AUAAGUUUGAAAUUCUUGAAUUUGUCCAAUAAUAAUCUCUCUGGGGCUAUUCCUACAUCUUUAGAGAAACUCUCAUAUCUUGAAGAUCUAAAUCUUUCUUUCAACAAGCUAGAAGGAGAAAUUCCUAGGGGAGGGUCUUUUGGAAACUUCGCAGCUGAAUCAUUUGAGGGAAAUGAAUUAUUAUGUGGUUCACCCACUUUACAAGUCCUGCCAUGCAAAACUAGCAUCCACCAUACAUCAUGGAAAAAUUCUCUUCUCCUAGGGAUUGUCUUGCCAUUGAGUACUACAUUAUUGAUAGUAGUCAUUUGGUUGAUCCUAAGAUAUCGUAAGAGAGGAAAACAACCAUCGAAUGAUGCUAAUAUGCCACUAGUAGCAACGUGGAGAACAUUUUCAUAUCUAGAACUUUGUCGAGCAACAAACGGAUUCAGUGAAAACAAUCUAAUCGGCAGAGGAGGUUUUGGCUCUGUUUAUAAGGCAAGACUUGGGGACGGGAUGGAGGUUGCAGUGAAAGUUUUCAAUUUGCAAUGUGGAAGAGCGUUCAAGAGUUUUGCUGUUGAAUGUGAAAUGAUGAAAAGUAUCCGUCAUCGAAACCUUAUCAAAGUUAUUAGUAGUUGUUCAAAUGAAGAGUUUAAAGCGUUGGUAUUAGAAUACAAGCCUCAUGGAAGUUUGGAGAAGUAUCUGUAUUCCAGUAAUUGCAUUUUGGAUAUUUUUCAAAGAUUGAACAUAAUGAUAGAUGUUGCAUCAGCUUUGGAAUAUCUGCACUUUGGUUGUUUAGCUCCAGUAAUUCAUUGUGACUUAAAGCCCGACAAUGUAUUGUUAGAUGAUAAUCUGGUUGCUUAUUUGAGUGAUUUUGGCAUCGCGAAGCUCUUAAUUGGAGAAGAUCAGUCUAUGACUCAAACGCAAACACUUGCCACAAUAGGUUAUAUGGCACCAGGUUUGUUCAAUAUAAAUAUUUUCUAUUUCUUGUAAAUUUCCUAAUAAGUUAUUUAUGUUUCAUGAUCUUCAUUAGAUGAGGAAAUUAUUAUUAAUGAUAUAUCUUACUAUUUAACUGUUGCAAUUCAUAGAGUAUGGAAGAGAAGGACGAGUAUCCACAAAUGGAGAUGUUUAUAGCUUUGGAAUUAUGUUAAUGGAAACUUUUACCGGGAAGAAACCCACAGAUGAAAUUUUUAAUGGAGAAAUGACAUUAAAGCAUUGGGUUAAUGACUGGCUACCCAUUUCCACUAUGGAAGUUGUUGAUGCUAAUUUGCUAAGUCAGGAGGACAUACAUUUUGUUGCAAAGGAGCAAUGUGUGUCAUUUGUCUUCAAUUUGGCUAUGGCGUGCACUGUGGAAUCUCAUGAGCAGAGAAUCAAUGCAAAAGAAAUUGUAACAAAGCUCUUAAAAAUUAGAGACUCAUUACUUAGAAAUGUUGGAGGCAGACGUAUAAGUCAACCAAAUUUAAAUUGAUUCUACCCCUCCAUUGCUUGCUAUCCUUUUCAGAGACUUGAACGGUUAUCCUUCAUACCAGUUUUGUUGAUAUGUUUUGUUAUUGCUCUUGCUCAUGUUUGUUUCUCUAUUUCUUUAAUUUGCAUGCAUGUAUUUUUCGUUCUCUUUUAUGUUUUUGUUGGUUUGUAUGUAGUUUGUUUUUAGGGGUAAGGUUGAUUAUGUCCUCCCCUAAUUACACGUAUCCUUUUUAUGUUUAUUCAAUAAAGCUUCUCUAAUACUAUCAAGGUUCAUCAAAAGAAAAUUUUUAAUUAAUUUUCUUUUCUUUGACAGGUAAUGAAAUUCUAAUCUUCAUAGUGAAUAACUUCAAUAAUAGAGUGUAAGAGUGUUAGUAAUUAUGGUUGUUUUUUGAACCUGGAGUCAAGAGCAAUUUAACAGCAACAAACAAGUCUCUUGUAUUAUAGGCAAAAUUCUUUUCAUUAAUCUUAUUUGUCUACAUGUUCUCCUAUUUUCACCAUUAAUCUUCGCUCAAGGUUUCAUGCUUCCUCUUUGAUGAAGGAAAAUAUUACUUGCGAAUAUUUCAAUUUGACAUAAGAGACUGUUUUGCCAUCCAUUUGAUAAAAUGGAUAUGAGUGGAGCUUUCAAUCAUUACCUCCACCAAAAUCCUUACAACGCCACUUUUAAAUUUUAUUUUUUAAAAUACAUUCAGUUUAAUUUAUAAAAAAUAAAUCCAUUUGUUCAAAUUAAUCUUUUUCUCAUAAAUUUCAACCUAAAAAACAUAUUUCUUUUAAAUUUUUAAUUAUAAAAUACAUACAAGUUCUAAACUAUUAUAUUAUUUUCUUCUUAUUAUAUAGUUUAUAUCUCCAUAACUCUAAACUCCUAUAAUUUUUUAAAAAAUGUUUUUAAUUUAAAAAAUAUAUAUAAUAUAGAAUGGAGUGGGUAUAAAAAAAACUUAUUAAAAGAAUAAUUCAUUUAAGUAUUUAACUGAAUUUAAAUUAAAAUAAGAAAUAAAUUAAUUUAUUUUUUAUUAGUUAAGUAAUUUUCAAUUGAAAAAGAGUUGUAUGAGUAAUAUUAUUGAAAUAUGAUUAAAAUUCUUAUGAAUUAAAUAUUUUCGUAUAAAUACUAGUGAUAAUUACAGAGAAAAGACGAGGAACCAAAGAAAACUUGAAUAUAAAUACUCCAGUGUAAUUUUACAUAUGCAAAUUAUGAACUAGUGAUCUUCAGAGCAUCAUAAAAUUAUUUUGACACAAUUAUUUAUUUUGAAAAAUUGCCAACAAUGUUUAAAGUGGAUUGAAAAGAUUAUAAUACUUAUAUAAGACAUGAUAUCAUUUAAGACGGCUUAUAAAUUAUAAGAAAUAUAUUGAUCUUACAAAUAUUUAAUACGUCAAUUAGACAGGUCCAGCUACCUUCCACCCGCUGGAAGGUACAACUUAUUUUGUCCUCUAGUGUUGUGGCCAUUGGAUAUUUGAGAAGUUGAUCUAACGGUUCUUGUUCGGCAGCGUGAAAUUGAAUUUCAAUUGGCAACCAUUUCAUGAACUUUGUAAGAGAAUUAUCUACAUAAACAUUAAAAAAAGAAGGGAAAAGGACACAGAGACCCUCAACGUUUAAAUAAGGUACAUAAAACUCCCUAAUGUUUCAAAAAAGACACUCAGACCUCCAUUGCUUAACAGAAUCCGUUUCUUUUAACAGAAAUUAUAAUUUUAAAGUGCAAUUACCAUUAUACCCUUAUAGCAUAUUAAAACUAAUUGUUCAUUGUCCAAUUUAUCCCUAUAUUAUCAAUAAAAUUACGAAAAUAAAUUUGAUAAAGAUAUUUCCAUGCACAUCUAAAAAUUGAUAAAGAAAAAAAAUAACAAAAGUAAUUAGCAAGAAAUCUCCAAUAAACUGAACAAAUUAAGAACUCUGUUCAUCAAACAACCAUAAACCAAAAAAAAAAAAUUUCUCGUAAUCAUUUAUUUAUAUUCUUGCACAUACAUCACAUAUGCAUCAAACAUGCUAGAGAAGUUAAUUUAGUAAAAAAAAUGAAAAUUAAAGAGAAUUCAAUAGGCAAGAUCAGCAACCGAACGCGAGCACAAGCAGCAGCCAAAAGCGAGCACAAGCAGUAGCCAAACACGAGAUUCAACAAGCAAGAUCAGCAACCAAACGCGAGCACAAGCAGCAGCCAAACGUGAGCACAAGCAGCAGCCAAACGCAAGCAAUUCCAGCAGCCAAACGCGAGUAGUUCCAACAACCAAAUGCGAGAUUCCAGCAGUUCCAACAGCACAAGCAGUAGCCAAACGUCGAUCGCGAGCAGAUUCGGCAACCAGAUGCGGUCUCGAUUGACGCACGAGCAGUUCCAGCAACUUCCGGUAGCGUGAGCUGUUCCAGCAACUUCCGGCAGUCCCAGCAGCUUUCGGCAAGGCAAACCGUGAGUGUGUGUUAAAAGAUUUGUCUGGAAUCAAUGUGUGUGUGUGGGGUUUGUUUGUGCGUGUGAUGUGUGUGUGGGUUUUUAGUCAAUUCACUUGUUUUUAAUUUGUAAUUAUGAUAUAAACCUUGUAAUGAUUUAACGAAACGAUUUCCGAUAAGCAAUGGGGGUCUGAGUGUCUUUUUUGAAACAUUAGGGAGUUUUAUGUCCCUUAUUCAAACGUUGAGGGUCUUUGUGUCCUUUUCCCAAAAAAGAAAACCAAUUUUUCCCUUUCAUCAGCCGCCGCCGCCACCCACAACCCCUUAAUAUCAUCAUCACCAUCCCAAUCUUUAGCUGCCAUCCACAAGCUCUAACAACCACCAUGACCGCCAUCACAAUCACCACUCCUCACAACCCCUAGCCACCACUACAAACAUUUACAAACUCUAACCAUCAUUGACUCAUUGUCAGUUCACCAGCCUUAUCUUCCAUUGCCGCGGCCUACCAAUCAUUCACAACACCUAACCGUCGUCACCAACAAACUUUCGCCGCCGCUUCCUACAAGCAAGCCUCACCACCCACCGCCGCACACACACAAAGCCAUACCAACCGCCAUACUAUUGCAAUAGAGGCCACAAUGUAGACAAGAUCCAGCAGAUGAAGGAUGUUUUCCUUCUCCAGCUGACUAUUCUUUUUUAUCCUUUUUUUUGUUUUUUAAUUGUUAUAUUACUUUUAAUUAUUUUGGUUGUUAGAUUGUUUUUGUUAUUGUUGCCGGCGGCAAUGGAGUUGCAGCUCGUGAUGAUGAUGGUGAUGUUGGUGUCAUUUAAUCGAGAUGAGAGAGAUUCAGAGCUAAACAAAAAAGUGGAGGCUGUGGAUGAGUAUGAGAGCGAUCUAGAUGAAGUGAAACACUCUCUCGUUUUACGUAGAAUGGAAACAAGCAAUGAUGAGGAGGAGUAGACAGAAUUUGAGCGUCGAAUAAAUUGAAGGGUCCAGAUUCACUCUUACAUUGAAUCUGAUAGCCAAAGUGGUGCUCCAGCUGAGUAUGAUGAUGAUGAAGAGGACGAAGAGGAACAUGACAGAGAAUUAGAAGAAGAAGAUGAAGAAGGGGAUGUUUAUGAGUAUGAAGAGGAAGACGAUUUUUAUGAAGAAGUGGAAAGGAAUGACGAGGCGGUUAAAGUCAAAGAAAUAGAGGGUAAUGAUGCAAGAGGAGUACAGAGGGCGCAGUGGAAGUGAGUAAAGGGAAUUAUGAUAAUGGCAAUGGUGCUAAAACAAUGAUGCAGCGAAUGAGGGAAUAGAGGAAGGGGAGAAGGAGAGUAAUGAGCCUUUUGCACAGCAGCCGGGGCUUUUUAUAUGGGACAAUGUUGCAGGUCGACACAGGUAUUAUUUGAUUUGAGUGAUCUAUAAAUAACUGAUAGCUGUACUUUCGUUAGGCUUGUCGAUUAGUCUAGUCUCGUUUUUUGGUGCUGUCUAAUGAUUGUUUGCUGGAAUUUGUGUAGAAGGCUUUUGGCGUAGUAGGUUGAAAGGAGAGAAAGUUCUCAAGUAAAGAUCUGUGCUUUGUGGUGUCAAAAGCAGCCAUCUAGAUGGUCUAAAGCAGCCAUCUAAAUGGUCAGCAACAAUUUGUUCAAACAAGAAGAAUUUGGUAGCAGCAAAUAUGGAAUGAAGAAAAUUGAAAAAAAAAGAAGUUUGAAGAAGAAAAUGGGGAACACAAUUUUGACGAGAAAAAAAAAAUUAAUUAUUAUUUUAAUAGCCAAUUUUGGCUAUAUAAAGGGAGCUCUUCAUUUGGUUUUCUGCAUUCAAUUCCAUUGAGAGAGAAGCAUUGCCUUGCUUUAGAGUUGAGAGUAUUAAAGAGUUUAAUAAACUCUUGAGUGAUUAGUGUUAUGAGAGUUUGGGUGUAUUGGGGUUUUGGAAGUGAGCUAAAAUACUACAAUACUUGUAACUCCUUUUCACUAGUAAAAUAUUUCCUUUUGUCUUCGCCCGUGGAUGUAGGCUGAAAGCCGAACCACGUAAUUUCUGGUGUCCUCUAUUGUGCUUAUUCUUUAUUUUUCUACCAAUUUUGCUUUAGCUGCGGUCCUACUUCACCCAUCAAUUUCCUAACAGUGGUAUCAGAGCUAUUGGUUGUAUUUUUGGAGUCGGGAACUGUUCACGUAAGGGGUACUAUUCACGUAUAUGGUACUGUUCACGUAUACAAUACUGUUCACGUAUACGGUACUAUUCACGUAUACGAUACUGUUCACAUAUUUGGUACACUAACUUGUGUGCAGUAUUGAUCAACAAAAUGGCGACAAAGUAUGAAAUUGAGAAGUUUAACGGAAAUAAUUUUUCGUUGUGGAAAAUGAAGAUGAAAGCUGUAUUGAGGAAAAAUAAUUGCUUGGCAGCAAUUGGAGAAAGGCCCAUGGAGAUAACUGAUGACAAGUGGAACGAGGUAGACGGCAACGCCAUUUCUGAUCUACACUUGGCACUUGCGGAUGGAGUAUUAUCCAGUGUGGUAGAGAAAAAUAAGGCGAAGGAAAUAUGGGAUACUCUCACAAAAUUGUAUGAGGCCAAGUCACUACACAACAAAAUCUUCUUGAAGAGAAAACUCUAUAUUCUUCGAAUGGCGGAAUCUACAAUGGUGACCGACCAUAUCAACACAUUGAAGACUCUAUUUUCACAACUCACAAUGUUGGGUCAUAAUAUAGAGGAAAAUGAACGUGCAGAGCUUCUACUUCAAAGUCUACCAGAUUCGUAUGAUCAACUUAUCAUCAACCUGACGAACAACAAUCCAGUGGAGAGUCUAGUUUUCGAUGAUAUUGCAGCCUCCGUAUUAAAUGAGGAAAGCAGGCGAAAAAAUAAGGAAAAUAGACAAGCAAGUUCGCAGCAAGCAGAAGCGCUAUCGGUGACGAGAGGGAGAUCAAUGGAACGUGGCCCCAGUGGGAGUCAAAAUCUGAGUAGAUCAAAAUUCAGAAGUAAGAAGAAUGUUAAAUGCUACAAAUGUGGCAAGAAAGGGCACGUCAAGAAAGAAUGUUGGAGUAACUAGAAGAGAAAAGAGGGCAAAGAACCUGAGUCAUCAAAUGCUCAGGGUUGUGUAGCAAGCACCUCGGAUGAUGGCGAAAUUCUUUACAGCGAGGCAACAACUGUUUCAGAAGGCAAAAAACGACUUUCUGAUGUCUGGCUUAUAGACUCAGGAGCUACCUGGCACAUGACCUCUAGGAGAGAAUGGUUCCACACAUAUGAACCUAUCUCAGGAGGAUCUGUAUAUAUGGGAGAUGAUCAUGCCUUGGAGAUCGCUGGUAUUGGUACUAUCAAAAUAAAAAUGUUUGAUGGUACAAUUCGCACAAUUGGAGAGGUACGACAUGUCAAUGGCUUGAAGAAAAAUCUAUUGUCUUUGGGAUAAAUGGAUAGUCAUGGGUACAAAACUCAUGUGGAGAAUGAAAUUAUGAAGAUCGUUAAAGGCGCGCUUGUAUUGAUGAAGGCAGAAAAGAUCGGUGCUAAUCUAUUCAUGCUUAAAGGAGAAACACUACAGGAGGCUGAUGCGUGUGUCGCGUCAAAUGGAGAAGAAUCAACGAUGAUGUGGCAUCUCAAACUUGGCCACAUGUCAGAAUAAGGUUUGAAGAUUCUCUCUGAGGGAAAAUUGCUUCCGGGGCUCAAAUCGGUAAGUUUACCAUUUUGUGAGCAUUGUGUUACAAGUAAGCAACAUAGAUUAAAAUUCAGUAGAUCUAUUGCUAGAAGUAAAUGCAUUCUAGACUUGAUUCAUUCUGAUGUUUGGGAAUCACCGGAUAUAUCCAUGGGAGGUGCAAAGUACAUGGUGACUUUCAUUGAUGAUUAUUCCAGAAGAUGUUGGGUGUAUCCAAUUAAGAAAAAGUCAGAUGUAUUUAUAGUGUUUAAAGAAUACAAAGCGCGGGUGGAACUUGAAUCUGGUAAAAAGAUCAAGUGCUUGAGGACAGAUAAUGGUGGAGAGUAUACAGACGGCGAGUUUCUUGCUUUCUGUAAGCAAAAAGGUAUUCAGAGGCAGUUCACGGUAGCAUACACUCCUCAACAAAAUGGAGUGGCAGAGCGGAUGAACAGAACUCUUACAGAAAGAAUAAGAGCUAUGUUGAGGACUGCUGGUCUACCCAAUUCAUUCUGGGCAGAAGCAGCCAAAACUGCCUGUUAUAUAGUAAAUCGGUCGCCAUCUACAGCUAUUGGGUUGAAGACGGCAAUGGAGAUGUGGACUGGAAAGCCAACUGAUUAUUCCUACCUACAUGCAUUUGGAUGUCCUGUGUACGUGAUGUACAAUGCCCAAGAAAGAACAAAGCUGGAUGCAAAAUCUAGAAGAUGUAUCUUCUUGGGAUAUGCUGAUGGAGUAAAGGGGUAUCGUCUGUGGGACCCCACUGCCCACAAGAUCGUCAUCAGCAGAGAUGUUAUUUUUGUAGAAGAUCAACUGCAAAGAAAAGAUGGAGAUGACGACACUGUAAAAGAAAAGUCAAAAACUAUGCCGGUAUAUGUCGAAAAUAAUCCAGAAAAUUCAGAUUCUUCUAAAGCAGCACCAGAGCACAAGAACAAGAACCAGUCGAGUCUGAGGCUCUAGAAGUUCGUCGGUCAACUCGUGAGAGACGACCGCCGGCGUGGCACUCGGAGUAUGUCACAGAGAUCAACGUUGCAUACUGUCUUCUAACAGAGGAUGAAGAGCCUUCAACUUUUCAUGAAGCUUUAGAAAGCUCAGAUAUUGCUUUGUGGAUGACAGCAAUGCAGGAAGAAAUUGAAGCUCUACACAAGAACAAGACAUGGGAACUUGUACCACUACCACGUGGAAGAAAAGCCAUUGGAAACAAAUGGGUCUACAAGAUCAAGCGUGAUGGCAAUGACCAAGCGGAACGGUAUCGUGCAAGAUUGGUGGUGAAAGGAUAUGCUCAGAAAGAAUGUAUUGACUUCAACGAGAUAUUUUCUCCGGUGGUUCGACUCACAACAGUCAGAAUAGUCUUGGCGAUGUGUGCUACAUUUGAUCUACAUCUUGAGCAGUUAGAUGUGAAAACUGCAUUUCUUCAUGGAGAACUUGAAGAAGAAAUAUAUAUGCUCCAACCAGAAGGUUUUGCAGAAACAGGAAAGGAGAACUUGGUUUGCAGGUUGAACAAAUCUUUAUACGGUCUCAAACAGGCGCCGAGGUGUUGGUAUAAGAGAUUUGAUUCCUUCAUCAUGAGCCUUGGAUACAACAGACUCAGUUCAGACCAUUGUACAUAUUACAAGAGGUUUGAAGAUAAUGAUUUCAUUAUUUUGCUGUUGUAUGUGGAUGACAUGUUGGUAGCAGGUCCCAACAAAGAUCGAAUCCAAGAAUUGAAGGCACAUUUAGCUAGGGAGUUUGAAAUGAAGGACUUGGGACCAGCAAAAAGAUUCUAGGGAUGCAAAUUCACCGAGACAGAAAUAACAGGAAAAUUUGGCUUUCGCAGAAGAAUUACUUGAAGAAAAUCUUGCGACGCUUCAACAUGCAAGAUUGUAAGUCAAUUUCUACCCCACUUCCUGUUAAUUUCAAAUUAUCCUCAAGUAUGUGUCCUAGUAAUGAAGUAGAGAGGAAGGAGAUGUCUCGAGUACCGUAUGCAUCAGCAGUGGGAAGUUUAAUGUUCGCUAUGAUAUGUACAAGACCAGACAUUGCACAAGCAGUGGGAGCAGUCAGUCGAUACAUGGCGAAUCCUGGUGGAGAGCAUUGGAUAGCUGUGAAGAGGAUUCUGAGAUACAUUAGAGGAACCUCAGGUGUUGCAUUAUGUUAUGGAGGAUCAGAGUUUACUGUCAGGGGCUAUGUAGAUUCAGAUUUUGCAGGAGACCUUGAUAAAAGGAAAUCCACUACUGGUUAUGUGUUUACACUUGCGAGAGCAGCUGUAAGCUGGGUUUCAAAACUGCAGACCGUUGUGGCUUUAUCUACAACAGAAGCAGAGUACAUGGCAUCUACACAAGCUUGCAAGGAAGCUAUUUGGAUACAAAGGUUAUUGGAGGAGCUCGGGCACAAACAAGAGAAAAUUUCUGUGUUUUGUGACAGUCAGAGUGCUUUGCACAUUGCAAGGAAUCCAGCCUUUCAUUCCAGGACAAAGCACAUAGGAGUUCAGUAUCACUUCGUUCGAGAAGUAGUGGAAGAUAGAAGUGUGGAUUUACAGAAAAUCUAUACCAAAGAGAACUUAGCAGAUGUUUUGACCAAGCCGAUAAAUACUGAUAAGUUUGUCUGGAGUAGAUCCUCUUGUGGCCUAGCAGAAACGUAGGCAACAUGAUUAUGGCGAAGCAGAAAGGAUGGUGUGGAGAUUGAUUGAUUCUCAAUCUAAUCUCCAAGUGGGAGAAAUGUCAAAAGCAGCCAUCUAGAUGGUCUAAAGCAGCCAUCUAGAUGGUCAGCAACAAUUUGUUCAAACAAGAAGAAUUUGGCAGCAGCAAAUAUGGAAUGAAGAAAAUUGAAAAAAAAAGAAGUUUGAAGAAGAAAAUGGGGAACACAAUUUUGACGAGAAAAGAAAAAUUAAUUAUUAUUUUAAUAGCCAAUUUUGGCUAUAUAAAGGGAGCUCUUCAUUUGGUUUUCUGCAUUCAAUUCCAUUGAGAGAGAAGCAUUGCCUUCCUUUAGAGUUGAGAGAAUUAAAGAGUUUAAUAAACUCUUGAGUGAUUAGUGUUAUGAGAGUUUGGGUGUAUUGGGGUUUUGGAAGUGAGCUAAAAUACUACAAUACUUGUAACUCCUUUUCACUAGUAAAAUAUUUCCUUCUGUCUUCGCCCGUGGAUGUAGGCUGAAAGCCGAACCACGUAAUUUCUGGUGUCCUCUAUUGUGCUUGUUCUUUAUUUUUCUACCAAUUUUGCUUUAGCUGCGGUCCUACUUCACCCACCAAUUUCCUAACAUGUGGAAUAUAAUUAAUAGGGACAAAGUAUACUAAAUUACUUGAUAGAUAGAUGCCGAGCUAAUCAUGAGCUAUGAUAGCAUUAUUCGUGCUUUGUGUAUUUUUAUUAGGGCUUGUCUAUUUCAAAGUGUGGAGUAUAGAAUUUUUGGGUUAAGUUUGAGUGAUGAAGUGUUAGAUAGGUUUCUGUUUUGCAUAGUUAAGCCGUCAAUACGAGCUAUCGAAACAGAUAUGGAGCAGGAUAUCUAGUUUUGGGUUUGGUCUUAGUUUGAAGAUGGCUACUGAUUAUGCAGCUAGGUACGUAUUCGUGUUUGUGGAUUUCUAAAUGCUUUCUGUCAAAUGUGACUAGAUUAUUACUAAAAGUGCAUGGAUCUUACACUUAAUUAAUUAUAUAUCCAUUUGUAAUGUUCAAAAUGAUAAUGUACUUUUGCUUGAAAUUAUGCUUUCAAGACAUCAUUUUGAAAAUCCAUGGUUAUAAUGUGUCUCUAAAUUCAGUAAUACAAGUUCUGUCAAUUGCUGUUGGAUGCAGUGACCUGAAUAGUUUAAUAUUCAUUUGCAGAAAGGAGUUGAGAAAGAAAACUAAAAAUUUCUGUGCGUGCUGCUGGAAAUUUAAAUAGCUUCAUUUGAGCAUUAAUUGCCGGCAUGAUCUCUUAGACUUCUCUUGCAUUGAAUGAAUGGAUGAGUGCUAAUCCAUGCAAAGACUUCCAUGCAUGCACAAUGAAUGCUACAUCAAAGGUAUGGUAAAAUGUCAGCAAGCUUGGCCCAAAUUAUCAAGCUGGUUUGGUGGCUGCUAGAUUUGUUCAUCCGGAUUUUGGACCAUUUUCCUUGACAAUGAGAAAAGCUCCAAGAUCUGUAAAUCGAAAACUCAUUGAAAUGCCAAAAGAGAGAUGGAAGUGAAUAAGUAGAGUGUUAGUGAAAAGAGGGUGUAGUGAUUGUGUGGGAAGCUUUGGGUAUAACUGGGGUUUGGAUGUGAGAUAAAAUAUUUUGAGAGUGAAGUUGUAACAAUUUUGUACGUAGAUAAAUUUUUUGUCUCGUUGUCCUUGGCAACUGUGGUUUUUUAUUUGGGUAAUAGAGUUUUUCAGGUAACUCUUUUGUUGUGUGAUCCGAGUAUUCUCUGUUGUAUUUCUUUUAUUUGUUAUUUAUUUGACGUAUUGCUAGCAGAGAUCUUGGGUGGGAAUAAAAAAUUCCCAACAAUUGUCAGUUGUUUUAAACUCUAUUCCGAACAGAGCAUGAAGGGAUUCACUUAUCUAAUUAUGUCAUUUAUGCUUUAACUUCACUUCAUUUCAUCUUGUCCGUCACCUUUACUAAAGUUGUGUAUGUUGGAGUAUUAGGUUCAUCACAAGGAUCAUAUUAUGGCUAAGGAAGGAGCACAGUUUAUUAGCUACACUCAAGUGUAGCAGAGUAUUUGGAUUCAAGACUGUUAUAAGGUUGUUACAGAUGCAAUGCUGUUGCUGUGCAACUGUAUGCCAUGCUCGCAAGUGCGCUGUAACAGAUUGCUCAGCAGGCACCGGAUAUUUUAAGCUAAUUUUGGUAAUUAGUCUAGAGUGUUCUGAUUUAUUCUAUAAAUAGCUCAUUUGAGCGUAGAUAUCGUACAUUUCUGUUACUUCUAAUAAAGAAAUUCUUUAUUCCUUUUUCUUUCACUUUCUCUUUCAUUUUCAUGAUCCCCAAACACCAUCAAACAUAGAAUUGCUGUUUUAAUUCCCUCCUCUUGUCGAUAGAUGUUUGCCGAAUUUUUUCAUUUAAAAAAUAUUAUAUUGGUUAAUAGAAUUUGAAGUUUUACAAAAUAUAAGUUUAAUUUAAAAAAUAUAUAUUUGUUAAUUUAAAUUUUUUAUUUGGUGGUUGUGUUUGAGAAAAUUUUAGGUAUACUUGGAUAUACUCUCUUAUUAUUCAUUGAAUUUGGGCAUUUAAACAUACUAGUAUGCAAUAUUUUUAAGUAAUUACCAGAGAAGUAUACAUGAGAAAAAUAUAACACGUGAAACAAUACACAAUGAAAUUAUCUACAAUUUUCCAUUGACUUAGUCAACUCUUCAUUAAUUUCAUUGACUUGAUCAACUCAUGAUCUAACUUGACAACUUGAAAAUUAAAUUAUGCUAGUAAUUCUGUAAAAUAUGCUAGUAAUUCCGUAAAAUUAAAAUUUAUCUCCCAAAAUUGAUAAAUACUGUGUCACUUUGUCAAAUUACUUAGGGUAAAAGCUCUGUGGCUAAAAACUUUUAACAUUAGUUGUAUGCUAAUUGAGAAGGACAAGACACGAAAGAAUUCAAUGAAUGCCACAUCAUGUAACACUAAUACUAACACUACUUACUCUUAACAAAUUCUUACAAACGUGAUUCAUGAAAUUAACUUGACUUUUUGUCUAAAAAAGGCCUAAAGAAACAUGCCAAGCAACAAAUAAAGUAGUCCAAACGUGAUUCAUGAAACUUGAUAGGCACUAUCUAAAUAGUAUUAAUAUGGCAACCAAAAACAUGCGCGCAAAGUAGACUUUCUUGGACGAUCCAUGCCAAUCAGCAUAUAAAGUAGUCCAAACGUGAUUCGUGAAACUUGACUUCUUGUCUAAAAAGGCCUAAAGAAACAAGACCAAAAUUUCCAUGCAAUAGCAAUAUGGUGGCCACAAUGCACUUUUUAAGCCAUUUUUCAAAACUAAGUUUCUUCGUAUCACAUGCACUAUUCAAGCAAUUUUUCAACAUUUUCUCCUUCCCCUAAAAGCUACAUGCAUGAAUCAUGUCCCAAUCAAUUUCUUGGCAAAAAUUGGAACGCAAGAACCGAUUGGAGCAUAAGGACAAUGUCGCGAUUCAAGAUUCUCAGCAAGACCACGUCACAAUGCAUCACUUUUGGAAAGUAAUUUAGCAAUUUCCAAUGCCUUAGCUGAUUAAUGGCUUGACCAUGUGACGAUUGGUCCACCUUAUGCACAUGGCAAGAUCAAAGAAAAUAUCACAGCUAGCUCGACGACUACUAGCCAAAAUAACAAGACAAUGACGGCCAGUUACAAACUCUAUACGAAGGAAAUACCGAAAUAUGAAUAUCCCUCCUAAUCACUUUCUUAUAUUAUCAUUAUUUUGUACAUGUAACAGAACACGUUCUCUCUUGUAAUGAAGUCAAGAAAACGGUUUUAGUUUUUAUAUCAAUAAUGGAAUCCAAAAUCUUUCACAGCUUGCUUCUCCUUUGGACGCUUGAAAGACUUUCUUACCUGGCUAAAACUGUGAAAAUUGUUCAAACUAAUUUGAUUGAUAACUUUCUGACACUAUAUUGUAUAUGAAGGCUGCAUUUAAAUGUGAAAUAAAAAUGAGUGCUUAUAUUAAAAAACAAUCAGUCUCAUUGCGUCCUCUUUCAUUGACAUAGGCAAUUUUGCGGUCAACUCGAGGAGUUGUUUGAUUUUAUGUUUCAAAUUAAGUACCAUAGCAUUACUACUUCUAUAAAUAACUCAUUUGAGCUUCGAGCUUGUUAUUUGUAUUUUACGUUUCUGUUUCUCUUCAUAAAGAUUUUUUUUUUUCAUUCUCUUUUUCUUCCACUUUCCCGACUCCCAAACACCACCAGUCUUUGAUUUUCCUAGAGUAUUAACUGUCUGUUUACACGAACAUAGACCGACUGUUUGUCUAAUUACUGACAAGAAACAGCAUACUCUGUCUCGGGGUCUCAUCGUUUAUUGACAUGUCACUUGUGAACGGGCUAAUUAAAGGGCGUUCCUUCCUUCAAGAAAGAAUGCCAAGAAAGUACCAUCCAUUAGACACGUUAAGAAUUAUUUAACAUUAAAAAUGAUAAUAAUCAUAAUAAUCGGUUUAGUGUUACCCCGUUAUUAGGUAAUGACUGUCCGAUUGUCUUCGCUUUCAUUGACUUCGCAACUGUGAAUUCUAAGCCGGGUUAAGGAUUGACAAAAUGUUAUAACCCAUAAACACUACAACAAACAGUUAUAUCACCGACGAAAUAUUUCCGAGGGCGUAAAAUACCUUUGAUAAUAAGUACUUUUUUCUAAGGUGUAAGAUGGCCGUCGGAUAAGGAUGAAAAUAUGAUCAAUAUUUCCGAGGGCAAUUUGCCCUUGGUGAUAAUGAAUACUUCGUCGAAAAUGCCUGCUAGACUUAACUAGAAGCACCCCAGAAUUUACACACUUCGGGCCCGGCCUUUGGAGUAGAGUACUAAAACCACAAGCCCGCAGCCAUAACUUCCACUAAUUGUUUUUUUUAAGAGUAGCGUACUUGGAAAUUUUUUUUCUUGUAAAUUUAAUUACUCUUGGUAAAAUUAAAAACCUAAAAGAAUGAAAUACAAAUAAAAAGCUAAGAAAAUACAGAAGAAACGAAAAAAUAAACAAAAGGAAAAAAAUUAAAACAGAAGGGAAAGUUCAAAAGAAAACGAAAAAGAACAAAGUUAAAGAGAACGAAUAAGAAAGAAAAAGAAGGGGAAAGUUCUUCAAUCAUUGCAGCGCAAGCACUCACAUCUCUCACUUUUCAAUUUCUCAUUGUCUAUUGCUCGCCCAAUCGCUUUGGUAAUUAUUUCACUGUUGCUUUCUCUAUUUGCGCUAGAUUUCAUCUUUUUUUUUUCCUUCAAUUAACUUAGGGUUAGGUUAUAGUUUCCAUCAUUGAUGAUGAGUCUGAAGGCUAAUUAUUUCUCUUAAGUUUGUAAUUGUUACCAUCUCUUGCAUAAUCGCUCACUCUAUGCUUCUAAUUUUGUUUUUAAUUUGUUUUUGCUGCUUCCGAUUUUGUUUUAGGCCAAAUGGUAGCUUCCUAUAAGUUCGGUGAAGCUAUUGCAUUUUUUUUUUUUUAAUUUUUAUUUUGGAGCCCUUACUUGUGAUGCUAAUUAUUUAGAAUUCAUUGUUUGUUAUCUGAUUUGGAUUAAUUUUAAUGAUCUUUUUGCUGGAUUUCAUUAAUUUUUUUUUCCAUUUUUAAUGUUAUGUGAUGCUAAGUAUGGACUCUAAAGGAUGUUGAUAUUUUUUAAUUUUGAGGAGUUGUAGGGAGAUGAAGUGAAAUAAACAUUUAGGGGGUCAUGUGUAUAUAGAAUUGUUUGAUAGAGCUAACAUGACUAAAAAAUGUAAGUUAAUGCUAUACUAAAGCGAUGGUUAACUUUGUACUUUGAAUUUUGCAGCAUGAAUUUAGUAUAUUGGUAUUUUCAUUUUAUGUGUACUAAAAAACUAAAAAGGAAGAUAAAAAUAGAUGAGUUACCAGGGAGAUAAAAUUCAAUCUGCGGUGAACUAGUUGUAUUUCUUUUUCUCCUUUUUUUUUUUUUUUGCCCCACUUUCUAUGCAUCCUCAUUUUAAAUAGUUAGUAUUGCUGGUAUUGGUUUUAUCAUAAUCAUAACUUGUGAGAUGAAUUUUGUGCUUAAUUUUUUUUUUGUUUUGUUGAAAGGGUGUAUAAAAUUUAAUAGUAAUAUCAAGAACAAGUUUCUUAAGCUUUGAACUGAAUAUAUAUUAAGCUUUUAAACUUUUCCUGGCUUGCUGCAAUGAUUUCUUUUCUAAGCUUUUCCUUCCUUGUUAAAGCACUUAUUCACAUGUUUCAGGCUUUGAUUGUUGUACUACUAUAUGAAGUAGCUCUAUGCUUUGUAGGGGAUGCCUUCUUGAUGAUAUUCUGCAGGUUAGAAUCUGAUUCUCUAAAAAUUCUUAUACAUGUAGAGAACAGGAGCUUAAAGAUGUCGUAGAACUUCAUGUAAAAAUUCGUUUUUCAGAUUGGAUGUCAGAGCUGAGGAGGGGAAUUUUUAAGAAGUAUCCAACUGUUGGAGAGCAUUAUGCACAUGCUCCUGAGAAUGUGCCUCCAAGAAUAUUGAGACAAAUGGUUGACAAAUGGAUGGAUGAGGGGUGGAAGGUACCAAUAAUGACUAUUAGCAUAAUAUUUUUCUGUCCUUUUCUUUCCUAAGCUUUGCUGUUAUUUUAAUUCAUCAGUGAAUUAUAGUUGCUAGAAUCAUUAUAGAAAUAGGAACUGAUAAAUCUUAUCCAUGUGCUUUGUACAUGAGUUGUUCUUGGCGGGUUUAGAAUAACCAAGUUGAUUUUAUGUUUUUUUUUAACUUAUAUAUAGAAAACAAGCACAACAAACAAGAGGAACCGAACCAAGUCCAAACUUAUUCACACUAUAUAUUCCUAUAUUUAUUUUUUUUUUGGCAUGAUUUCAUUACUAUAUGCACUCAGACAAAUGUAUGUAUUUAUUAUAGGAAACAAUGGAAUCAAUAUGAUCAACUGUUAUAGAUCAAGGCUUGUCAGUUGAUGAAUGGAAAAUAUUUCGAGAAGUAACAGGAGAACCAGCACAUGGUCGUGUUGUUGGUUGGAGAGCCGGCAUCAAAGGCAAGGAUGUGUAUGGUUCUCCAGGUCAAGGAGGUAACAAGCAUCAAUGUACUAAUUUGGAAGUGAAAGUAAAAGACUUAGAGAAGAAGUCAAGAAGUUGAAAAGACUGAUAAAGCUCGUUCUUGGAAAAUCCGCACAAGAAUCAUCUCAAAAGGUAUAGGUUGUUUAUUUCAUUUUAUUAAUAGAUUAAGUGAAUGAGUAUGUUCUAUGUUUUGAGUUCUCAUGGAAAAUGAUUGGUGACUUGUCAUUGCUCUGUUAGUUAAUGAACUGAAGUGAUUAUGGACAAGCUUAUAAUAUAGGUGGAUGAUUGAAUAAUUAUUAGAUUUUUUUUUUUUGAAACAGAGACUGCAUUUAUAUAGAGUUUUUUUUUAUUGCACAAUUUUUCUCAUUAGUCUCAGCUUCUUUAUUAUAUUUUAUACCAGUUUUUGUUUUGGUAAUAAUAGUGCUUAAAAUUUUUUCUUUUACCUAGGAUAUUGUUUUGACGGAAGAAGAUGACAGGUAUGAGGAUGAUGAAGUUGAGCCAAACGAUUUAGAAAUUGAAGAAGUUGCUUUAGAGGAUGAUUGAACACAUUCAAGAUAUGAUGAUAUCAUUUUGUAUAUACAUUUGGUAUUUUUUUGCAUAAAAGAUACGAUAAAAUUGAAUUUUUUGUUGUAUUCUUGAAUGAUGAAUGUGAUUUUAUGAAUUUUUAAAAUUAAUGAAGUUACAUUUAGUAAUUUCGAAUAUUAUUAUUACUUUUGUUACAUCACUUCUCUAAUAUAGAUAUUUCAACAAUAAAAAUAAAAAAAUUAAUGAAAUAUUAUUAUUAAAUAAAAUAAAGGGGGCCAUUAAACAACAAAAUAAGUUUAUUUUCGACGGUAUAUCUUUUAUUUCCGAGGGCAAGUUGCAGAUGAAAAUAAAAAUAACCAGGUUUAUUUAUCUUUUUUCCGAGGGCAUUUAAUUCCAUUUCCGACGGCAAUGCGCUCGGAAAUAAUUUUUUUCUCUGACGACUCGUCGGAAAUUCGACAUUUCCGAUAAGACUUAAUACGGCGACGGUCGACGGCAUACCACGCUCGAAAAUGAGUUUUUCUAAGGGUUUUUGUGUAUUUCCGACUCCGAGGGUAUUUGCCCUUGGAAAUGACCCAUUUUCUUGUAGUGAAAGCACAGAUAAUUAAUCAAUGGGCCACUGAUUUCUUCUUUCAUAAAAGAGAACUUUUCCAGGGAGAUUGGAAUAAAAGGCUAAUUCUUGGUAAAGAUCAGAAAGUUCUCAAAUAAAAAUUCGGCUUUGUGGAAAUUAAAUUAAAAGCAAUUAAGCAUUAUAAAUUACUUAACAGCUUAAUCGAGUUUGGUUUUGAAAAAUAUAUCUUUAAAUCUCUUGUAAUUAAAGAUAAUUAUCAUAUUACCGUCUCAAAUGGACCGAUUUCAAUCAAAUGAAAUCUAGAAAAUUGAGCAGCUCAUUGAUGUAUUUGGUGGAAUUGUGACUUGUGUCAGAGUCUUCGUUUUAGAAGAGUGCACAGCAGCUGCCAGGUCCACUUGGCAGUUGGCACGCCAAAAUUUUUCUGUUGACCAAUAAUUUUGAAAGGGAUAUUAUUAAUUCACUAUCAAAUAUUUUCGAACACAUCACUUUACUAUCAAAAUUUUUUGACAAUAAUUUUUUGUCAUUUAAUAUUUCAAUUUUUAUCAUUUUAUCAUUAAAAAAAUAGUAAAUACAUGCUUAGCGUAAGUUAUCCAUAAAAAUGGUUGUUGAAUUGUCUUGUUUCUCAUUUGGUUUAAUUUUCAUAAAUUCGACUCACACAAUUCAAUUAUGAGUGAAGAGUUUUUUUGGGAAAAAUCUGGUCUUCCAUGUACUAGAAUCAGGUCUGUUUGAUUUUAUUAUUUUUCUUUUGUUUGAAAUAUACGUGGAAAAUGUUGAACACUUUGUAGGAUUUAGAAGAAUUUGAAAGUUUGAAUGCAUAUAGUUUACUAUCGAUCAGCUAGUGCAUAUUCUGUAUUUUAUGAAAUCAAAGCUGGUUGAUUGAGAAAUGGACCUUAUUACAUGUCAUAAGAUUUUACAGUGCUUUCUAAUGGAGCAAAAUAAAAUGAUUCUUACCUGCACAGAAAAUUAGAAACGAAAAGGAGGGUUACUGAUCCACAGAGUUGUUAUUUACGAGAAGCACAUAGAUAUUACACUUAAUUUAUUAUCCAUCUGUAUUGUUUGGAUGACACUGAAGUAUUACCUAAAUUAGCCUUUCAAAACUUCUUUUUCAAAAAUCUAUGGUUGUGAUGCGUCUCUAUAAACUCACUCGUACAAAUUCUGUCUAAUGCCAAUUGUUUUAAACCCUGUUCUGAACAGAGCAUGAAAGGAUAUGUUCACUUAUCUAAUUAUGUUUUUUAUGCCUUCACUUCACUUGAUUCACCUUGUCCCUCUUUUAAAACAGCUGUAUAUGCUGGAGUGCCAAAUCCAUCACAAGGAUCAUAUUAUAUCCUACGGAAGGAGCACAGUUCAUUGGCUGCACUCAGUUUACAGAGUAUUUCGGGAUUCAAGACUGUAGGUUGUUGCGGAUGCAACUUGCAAGGCUGUUGCUGUGUGACUGUAUGCCACGCUGGCAAGUGUGCUCUGACAGAUUGUGGAGAUGGCACCAAAGAUUGUAAACUAAUUAGUACUGAAAAAUCAUAUUUGCACAUAAAAUUGCACAAAAUAAAUAGAUUGAGAAAAGUUGUACAAAGAAAUAAGAUUAAUAAAGUAAAUAAAUUUAUCUUUUAACAAAAUAUUUCUAGUCUUUUGGCGUUUUUGUGUAUUUUUGUGUAAGUGCAAAUAGCAUUACUCAUUAGUGAUUAACCUAGAGUGUUCUGAUUUCUUCUAAUAAGUAGCUCGUUUUAGCCUAGGACCUGUAAUUAUGUUUUACCUUUCUGUUACUUUCUCUUAAAUAUUAUCUCAGUUCUUUUCUUCUUUUCUUUCACUUUCUCUUCCAUUUUCCUGACUCCCAAACACCACCAAUCCUUGAUUUUCUAGAGUAUCAGCUAUCUAUUUCUACAAACACAAAACUGUUAUUUUUUUUUUUUUUUGAAGUCUGUUAUACACAGAUAUUACUGACAUUACAUCAGACAUUACAAUUAAUAUUUACAAUCAUACUAUAUAACUGGGAUUACCAUCAUACAUUGACACACUGAAGUAUAUGCUCAGAUAUUUUAAACCCUCUCUAAUAUUCGAGGGAUGCCUAUCCACUCACAUUUCGUGAGAGAGAGACUGUCUCCACUCAAUUAAUUGAUAAUUGAGGAAGAACUGAAACUAACCUCCAUAAUGCUUUUAUAGAGGCUCGAACCCUUACACUCAACAUUGUAAGUGCAAGGCUUCUCCCAUUGGACCAAAGGCCCAUUAGUACAAAAAAACAAAACUGCUAUUUACUUUCAAGAAAUAACAUAUUCUGUGGUUUAUUGGCUUAUGCCUCGUGAAUGGGGCUAAUGUUGGUCUAACUACUCCCGUGAAACAACGUACUCUGUGGCUUAUUGUCUCCUCUUCCAUUGACUCUGCCAAUUCACGACUUUGACACGCACACUAGAUGCUAACUGCCUUCUCCAUUCGACGUGCAAAAACUUUCUUGAGUCGGGUUAAAAUUAAUUGAUCAUUUUAUUUGGUGAUAAUGACUUAGUUGUCAAGUCAUGAGUUUGAUGAUGAAGAGGACGAAAAAUAUUAUUUUAUUAUUUAAAAUAAGACUAUCAAUUAUUUCGAUGGUCAUCUUAUUUUCUAAAAUAACUAAAUGGAAUCUUACAGAAUUAAAGUGCUUGACGUCUUCAUACCUUGCUUGACUUCUUUUUACAGAAUUAUAAAGUGAAAAAGGAAAUUAAGAAAUUAAAUACUUUUCAUGCGAGUGGAGAAGAUUGGGUAGCGAUUACAUUAAAUAAAAGAAAAUUAAUUUAAAAGUACAACACUUUAAUAAUCUCAUUCCCAAUCAUAUCGGUACAAAAAUUCUGUAGAUUUAUUGAAUAACUAUUUAUUUUACUUUGGUAAUUUCUUUCUAAAAGUGAGGUAAACAUUUUUAUUUUCUUUGCAUUCGAGCUUUCUUUCUUUUGCGCUGGCCUUCACUUUUGACCGUAUUUCAUGGGGCACAUUCAAUCUGAAUUUUCUGCAAGUUUGUGGCAGUUUUGUUAAUUACGAACAUUUGUAGGAUUUUAUGUAGAUGAUACAUUUUUCUUUUCUUUUUUUCUUCGGUGAACAAAUUAAAAUUUUAGUUUUUGUCAUCAUGACUAGUGAAAUGAAAAUAGUCCUCAUUUCAAGGAUAUACCGAUUAAUGGGGAACUAAUUUCGUCCUCUUAAAAAAGAAUUAUUUGCAGCGUGGUAAUUCGGAGAUUUCUGUAUUAUAUAGCCAAACCUAAGUGAUGAGAAAAAUGAGAAAUAAUUUGGAGGGAAACAAAAAAACUAAUUCAAGUUAAAGACCAGGAAUUGGUGUUCCUCACAAAAACAAUAAUUCAAGCCUCGCAAUAAUUUUUUUGAUUUAUUUAAAAAAAAGUUGUUUUCCUCACAAAACAUUUCAACGUCUAUUCUCUCGUACAGGGGAAUAUCCUUCACUCUUUGGCGUAUCCCUGGGGCAAUGUAAGUUGACUUUACAUUAAAACAAAAAAUAAUUACAAUCACAUAAUUACAAUUAUCAUCACUGAUUUGUAUAAUUUUCAGGACUAGUAAAUUAUCCCAAUUUUUAAAAAACAUAAUUACAAUUAUCGAUCGAACACCACUAAUUCCAACAAUUCAUCCAAGUUUUUCAACUUUUUAGAUAUUUGAUAUAUGUCAUGUUUUAACUUGGUACGAGAAAAAAAUUAUAGAAUAUUUUUUUUUCAAAUUAGUGGAAUUAUUUUGCGAUAAAACUAUCACAAUCACAUUUAAAAACAUUCUUUAAAUUUUCACUAUUUCUACUGUUAUUCUUUAAACUUUUUUCUGAACAGAGCAUGGAGGGUCGCUUAUCUAAAUAUGUUUUCUGAGCUUUCACUUCACUUGAUUCAUCUUGUCCCUCUUUUAUAGCUUCUAUCUCGUGUGAGCUUAGAACCUGCAACUCGUAUUUUACGUUUCUGUUACUUUCUCUUUCAUUUUCCCGACUCCCAAACACCAUCAGUCCUUGAUGUUAUAGAGUAUUAGCUGUCUAUUUGUACAGACAUAGAGCUACUGUUCCCACUGUAGAUCUUCAGAUGGUUAGCUCACUAUUGUUUGAAUAUUAAAAUUAAUUUGUUAAAUAAAUAAAGAAAACAAGAGACAAUUGCCAUAUAUAUUCCAUAUUAAUUAGUCACCGUCCGAUUGUCUCCACUUCCAUUGACUCUGUUGAUUCAUGCUUUCAUGAAGUGAAACGCUUAACACUCUGUUCUGAUCCGCAGGAGAGGAGGAAAAACAUAAUUUUAUUAUUUCAUUCCUGACACACGCAAAGAGCUUUCUUAAUUGAUGAAUGUGACAUGAAGCUCUAUAAAUAGUUUAAUUUGUAAAAUUGUUAAAAUUUGUUAAAUUUCAUUUAAUUGAUGAAUGUGACAUGAAGCUCUAUAAAUAGUUUAAUUUGUAAAAUUGUUAAAAAUUUAAAUUUCAAGGUAGAUAAAAUGAUUAACUUUUUUCAAUAUUUAGAUAAUUAACAUGUGCCAUGUAACUAUGAAUGAAUGAAUGAAAUUUUUGAAGUGCGAAUCCAUUUACAAGUUACAGACUUGUCUUAUUUCUCAUUUUACUUAAUUUUCAUAAAUUUGACUCACGAUCAAUUAUGAGUGAAGAGUUUGUUGGAAAAAUAUGGUAUUCCAUUUAUUGUAAUCAGAUGAGUGUGAUUUAAUUAUUUUUUCCUUUUGCUUGAUGUCCCGAAAAUUAUGAAUACUUUGUAGGAUGCAGAAGAUUAAAAAUUUUAACGCAUAUCUAUAGUCAAAACUGAGGAAACAGAACAUUAUUGCUUCUAUAAAUAGGUCAUUUCAACUUAAAACUUGUUACUUGUAUUUUAUAUAUUUUUUUUUUAACUUUUUCUUCCAUUUUCCCAAACACCACCAAUCCUUGAUUUUUUUCUUAGAGUAUUAGCUGUCGAUUGUUAUAAACGUAGACAUACUGUUUGUCUAAUUACUAUCAAGAAACAACAUACUCUAUCCUGGGGUCUCUUCGUUUAUUUAAUAUUUAGGUUUAUUAAUAUACUAUAUUAUUAAUUAAAUUAAUUAAUAUUAAUUAAUAAUUUAAAUUAAUUAAAUAAUAAAAGUUAAAUGAUUAUAUUGAAAAUCCAAGUAGUAUUUUAAUGUAAUGAAACCUAAAUCCCACCUCUAUACCACAUUUGUUACACAAUGUAAUUAUAUAAAAAUAAUAUUUUAAUACAAUAUAAUACAAGUAUAAGGCUGUGUAAGGCUGUAAUAUUAAUUAGCCUGUGUAAUAGUAUGCCAUGCUGGCAAGUGUGCUAUAACAGAUUGUCGAGCUGGCACCAAUUAUUUUAAACUAAUAUUAGUAAUUAGUUUAGAGUGUUUCGAUUUAUUCUAUAAAUAGAUCAUUUAAGCUUUGAACCUGUGAACUUGUAACGUGUACUGUACUUUUCUAUUACUUCUAAUAAAGAUUUUCUCUAUUCCUUUUUCUUUCACUUUCUCUUCUGUUUUCCCGACCCUCAAACACCGUCAAUCCUUGAUUUGAACUACUGUUUGUUUGUCUAAUUACUUUCAAGAACAAUACCCUCCAUCCCGCGGUCUCCUCGUUUAUUGACUUGUUACUUAUGAACAGGGCUAAAUAAAGGGCAAAUAAGAUGUUGGGCCAAUGGACCCAACGUCACAGAUCUUGAAUUGAUUGCCUCUUCUUUUCUCUACAAAUCUUUGCUUAAUUUUUAUGUUUCCUCAACUUUUUCCCCCCUUUUGUGCUAAAAUUAUUUUUCUGAUACUUUAUGCAAAAAAUAUGAUGAAAAUGAAUUAGUUUAGAUUAUCAAUAAAUUUUUAUUACAUUCAAGAUAAGGACAACUACUCUUAGAUCACUUUUAUUUAGUUGAAUUAUAGGUAAUAAAAUUGGUUUUAACAAAAUAUGAUUCUUAACCCUUGUAAUUAAAGACUGGUGUUAUUUAGUUUAGUUGUAACACCAUGCAACAGGUCAUCUUGGUGGGUUCAAAUUAAUAUACGAUCAUUCUCAAUAUUUAAUAGUUCGUAAUUAAAAAUUCCAAUAUCACAAUUAGAAUUUACAAACAUGUCAAAGUGAGUUAAAUCAAACCUAUAAAUUUAAGGUUUACUACAAGCUUCUAACAAAUUAAAAUUUAAAAUGAUUAAUUAAAUGCUAGACAAUAUUUAGCUUAUAAAUGUUCCCGACCACAUGAUGAAUGUACUUAAAACAUCCUAAUUGGUCGCUAAUUGAUUGGUUGUUAUUUUUUCAAUUUCUUUUUAUAUAUCUUUGAAGCUUCUAGUUUCAUAACAUGUUAUUUGCAAUUCGUGUAAAUUAUUAUUUUUUAAAUAUUAGAGCAACAACCAGUAUAAAAAUAAAAUGCACUCAUUUAAUGGAAAUUUUUCUAGAUGCUUCAAUGGCAGAAUCUCAUUGGUCUAUAACUCUCAAUAAAUUUUUCUAGAUGAUUCAAGAUUCAAUUUCAAACCAAUGCCGAACAAACAGUAUAAACCUUAAUAAGAUAGUUGAAUAACCAUCUCUUACGUCGGGUGACCGAAUAACCAUCGCUUACGUCGGAAUUUAAACUUAAACAAAGCUACAUCCCACGUGUUCCCCACUUUCUUCAUAUUUCCAAAAAACCCCUACCAGAUCCAGAUAAUCACCUUAACUUUUCUCGUAUAAAUAGAGAAGACGACGACGAUUCCUGCAAAGCCAGGUGAGUCACGUGAACGUUACGGCCAUGGGACAUUGGAAUUGGAUCAAACCACUGGAAUGCACAGCAAAAUUAACCCGAAUAAACUAGGUUGAGUUAAGAAUUACUUUUCUUUUCAUAAUAAAUUAGAUUGAGUUAAUAAUAUUUGCCUGUGUGAAAUGAAUAAUCAGUUUAGUGUCACCCCAUUAUUAAUUUGUGACUGUCCGAUUGUCUCCUUUUUCAUUGACUUUGCAACUGUGACUUCUGAACCGGGUUAAGAGUUGACAAAAAUGUUAAUGUUAAUAUGUUAUAAUUCAUAAAACACGCAUAAUUAAUUAAUGGCCCACCAAUUUCUUCUUCUCAAAAGAGAAUUUUUGCAGGAGAUUGAAAAAAGGCUAAUUCAUGUUAAAUAUCUUAGAUGAGUGUCUAUCACGGAUACAAGUCAAGCCACACGAUUUUUCUUGUUAUACUAUUUGUUGGCACUUGUGAAUCCUUGAAUUAUCAAAUGAAUAGCAACAACACUUCAAUAUCUAUUGUUACACGGAGAGAAAUCCGUUCUCUCUUUGAUGUACUACUUGGCAAUAUACAUUGAUCUUUCACUAAAACAAGCAUUCUCAUAUUGUUGAGAAAAACUCACGUUAAACUAUUCAAUUUAAUCAUUUAUUAAACGGAUAUUUGGUUUGAUUCAUUUUAUUCAUUUAGUAGAAUUAAUAAACGAAUCGAAUCGAAUCCAGAUUCAUUUAUUCUAUUACAAAUCUACAACGAAUUGAAUCGAAUCGAAUCAGAAUUCAUUUACAAUUCGUUUAGAAAAAUAUAAUUGAUAAACAAAAUUAAGCAAAAUAAAAUAUAAAAAAGCCGCAAAUUUAAUACCACUUCCUACACCAUAUUCCUAAUUAGCUAGGGAUAGUCUACCAUGCAAUGGCUGCUGUCUUCAUUAAAUAAAAUAUGUGCUUUUAUACGCCCUCUCAAAGAAUAUCGAUCUCCUCAAGACUUUACAUAUUUGUUUUUGAAUAUAAACACUUGUUCACUUCUACAUAUUUUUUUUUAGCUACAUCCAUAGAAUUGCUCUAGCCUCUACGUUGGACAUAGCUGCUGUCUUAAUUAAAUAAAAUAUGUACUUUCAUACGCCCUCUCAAAGAAUAUCGAUCUCGUGGAGGCUUUACAAGCUUCGGUGGGAUCUUUAGAAAACGUCUCGACGACUCAAAAGACUACACUCCCACUUUCAAAAGUGGCACGAUUUGAACUUAUCCUGCCAACCUUCUAGAAGAGUAGUGAUAAACUUCAAGAUCAUUCUUUUAAUUUUCUCCCUUUUAACAUUUUGGUUUCAGGUAAGGACCAAUCACUUGGACACUUCAAUUUUACUUUUGGACCUUUCUUAUAAUGACAACACCCUCCAUCCCUCGGUCUCUUCGUUUAUUGACUUAUUACUUGUGAACAGGACUAAAUAAAGGGCAAAUAAGAUGUUGGGCCAAUGGACCCAACGUCACAUAUCUUGAAUUGAUUGCCUCUUUUUUUCUCCAUAAAUCUUUACUUAAUUUUUAUGUUUCCUCAACUUCCCCCCCCCCCCCCCCCCUUUUGAUGAAUUAUUUUUCUGAUACUUUAUACAAAAAAUAUGAUGAAAAUGAAUUAGUUUAGAAUAUCAAUAAAUUUUUAUUACAUUCAAGAUAAGGACAACUACUCUUAGCUCACUUUUAUGAAAUUCGUUACUAGAAAUUUGUAUAAAAGUCGUGAGAAUAGAAAUUUUGGUAAAACAAAAGUCGCGGGCUUAUUUAGAAAAAAGAAAAAAUUACAUUCUAUUUUCCAAUUACUAAGGUCAGCCUUAACACAUGCCGGUCUUUUUCUCCUCUACUUUCUAGAAAUUUUGGUUUCACUAUAAAAACUCGGUAUAUAACAAACUUAUGAGUGUUCUUGCAUUACCAAUCCAACUAAGCACACGCUUACAAUCUAAAAUACUCUCAUCUCAUGGAAAGAGUUCAUUCUCUCAGGAUGAUGAGCAUAUUUCUCCUACUCCAUUGUUUGAUUAUUAUUUCCUUAUUUAUCGCAGCAACAACAGCCAACACAAGUUCUAAUAUCACAGACCGAGAUGCUCUGUUAGCCCUGAAAGCUCACAUAACUCAUGAUCCGACCAAUUUCUUGGCCAAGAAUUGGAACACAAGUACUCCUGUCUGUAAUUGGACAGGCGUCGCUUGUGACAUCCAUAGCCAUAGAGUCACAGUCUUGAAUAUUUCAAGCUUAAAUCUCAGAGGCACCAUCCCAUCUCAACUUGGGAAUCUUUCUUCUCUGCAAUCACUCAAUCUCAGUUGUAACCGACUUUCUGGUUCCAUUCCCUCCGCCAUCUUCACCAUAUACACACUGAAAAAUGUUAGUCUCGGUAAAAAUCAGCUCUCUGGGCAAAUUCCUACAAAUAUUUGUAGUAAUCUUCCUUUUCUUGAAUUUCUUUCUUUGUCCCUAAACAUGUUCCAUGGCGGAAUACCGUCCACUCUAUCAAAUUGCACAUAUUUAAGAAUCUUAAGUUUGGCAUACAAUGAUUUCUCGGGAGCCGUACCUAGAGAAAUCGGUAACUUGACCAAACUUAAGGUAUUAUAUAUUGGCGCGAAUAGACUCCAAGGUGCGUAUGGUCAUGGAGUUUAAUUAUAAACAUUGUUCCAUGAGUUGUAAUAUGAAUAAUGUUCCAUAAUACACUUCUGAGCCCGAAAUCCUUUCCUUUCCUCCUUGACUCUCCUAUCGUCGAGCUAAGUGACUCUGUCAUGCCGCUUCAAGUAAUACAAACGUUGAUUAAUUUGCAGGAGAAAUUCCUCGAGAGUUUGGCAAUCUUACCGAAUUGGAGCAGUUUUCGUUACCAACAAACAAUCUCCAAGGUAUGAUUUUAAACUUUUUGCAAUUUUAUUCUAGCUCUGCUUGCUUCUGUAUUCAUUCGUUUGUUCAUUAAUUAUGCUAUGAUUUAUUGUUUUUCUUUCAAAUAGAGAUAAAGCUCCAUGUCUCCCCUCACUCAUUUCGUUCUUUGAUUUAUGCAGAUAAAAAUAAAAAAAAAUGUUUUGUAAUUUUCUUUUGUCAUAUUGCCACUUCCCUUUUAAAGCUCCCAAUUAAGUCGAUGAAAAUGAAUGAUGCUUCAUUCGUAUUCUUGUCAGCCUAAUUCUUAUAUAAUUGAAGAGUAAAUUGUUAUUAUGAUAUUCGUCAGCCAAUAAAUUCUUUUUUUUUUCUCAAAAUAUGAGUGAUCAAAUUGUUUGCGCAUAUAUAAUUUUACUUAAUUUGCAGGAGGUAUUCCACAGGAAUUGGGGAAUCUUGCAAAAUUGGAGAUUUUACAGCUGUUCCAGAAUAACUUGACCGGUAACCAUCUUUACUAUAUAUAUAUGAGACAUCUUCCGCUUCUUAAUUAAAAGAUUUCAAGUCUCUCAUUAUAAAUUCUCAUAUGAGGAUAUGUCAUUACUACAAUCUAACAUUAUUCCCUUUUUUAUUAGAAAUUAGUUUGUGUUAAUUCAAAAUUUUGUAACAUUUAAAAAAAAAUUAAAAACACGUGGAAUAAAUCAUCAAUCUUUCUUCUUUAUUGAAUUUGGAUUUCUCAAAAAUUAUCUUGACAAGUAUACUUCACUAAUGAUAUGCAUGUGUGACAACUUCAUAAAAUAUUUUACAUGGAGUCACCAAUUAUCUUUAAAUAAUUGGAGAUGCCAUCAGUGAUACAUAAUUUCUUAACAAGCACCAUAUCAAAAGAAAUCAACAAUUUUAUUAAUCUUCAAGAGUUGCAUCUUCACUGCAAUUAUGACAUAAAUUUUUAGUCAUCAAUCGCAUAAUAUUUUAUGUUAACGGAUGAUGUUCAGUCUUGGAAUUUAUAAUACCUUGAAGGUUAGUAGCUUUGAAAAUAAGAACUGUUCAUUUGCUAAAAAGUUAACUUAGUAUUUAAGUUUUUCAAUUGAAAAUUUUGAAAAAAGUCUUGAGAACUGCCCUCCUUAGUAUUUCAGCUGAUAAAUAUGAAAAAUAGGCUAGAAGAAAUAUUGUUGUGUGUGCUUAUUCUACUUGGGCUUUGGGCUUGAUUACAAGGUCGAGCCUUGAUUACAAGGUCGAGCACUUACACCUGUCAUAAUAAUAGGCUUUUACUGUCACCACACGUUUAAUAAUUUCUUAACCUUCCGAAUUAAGUUAUAGCAAUUUAUAUAUAAAUAACUAAAGCAUACUAAUGCUAGCACAAAGUACUCAUGACUUAGGCUUGUUGUGUUACCUAUUACACACGGUCGAACACUUACAUCUAUUAGAAUAACAAUAGCAUCCGCGGAUCGACUAUCAGUGAUCAAAUUGUUUGCACAUAUGUAAUUUGCAGGACCAAUUCCACGGGAGUUGGGAAAUAUUACAGGAUUGGGGAUCUUAGCGCUGUCUGAUAAUUUUUUAACCGGUAUCAUUCCUUCAUCUAUCUACGAAUUGCUUUUCUCUAUUAAAUUUGGAACUGUCAUUUAAUAACUUAACAGGUAACUUCCCUUACAAAAUGUCUGUGUGACAUGUUUUGCUUCUAAAUUAAAAUAUUUCGCGUCUCUCAUUAUAAAUUCUCAUAGGCGGAUGUAUUGUUACUACUAUUUAACAUUAUCUCAUUUUUUUAUUAGAAAUUAAUCUGUGUUUAUGCAAAAAAAUUUAGCAUCUAAAAAAAGUAUAAAAACACGUGGAAUAAAUCGAAAAUCUUUCUUCAUUACUGAAUUCGGAUUUCUCAAAAAUUAUCAUGAGAACUUCAUAAAAUAUUUUACAUGGAAUCAGUAAUUAUCUUUAAAUAGUUGGAGAUGCCAUCACUAAUAAAUAGUUUCUUAAAAAGCAUCAUACUAAAAGAAUUCAAUAAUUUUAAUAAUCUUAAAGGGUUACAUCUUCACUGCAAUUAUGACAUAAUUUUUUAUCUAAAUAUAUUUUUAGUCAUCAAUCGCAUAAUAUUUUAUCUUGACGGAUGAUGUUCAAUCUUGGAAUUUAAAAUAUCUUGAAGGUUAGUAGCUAUGAAAAUUAGAAAAUUUUUAUUUGCUAAAAAAUUAACUUAGUAUUUAAGCUUUUCAAUUGGAAAAUUUGAAAUAAAUGUUGAGAACUGGCCCUCCUUAGUAUUUCAGCGGAUAAAUAUGGAAAAUAGGCUAGAAAAAAUUAUUUUACUGAAAUAAUAGUUAAAAAUAGAGGAGAAGUACAGUACUCAUGACUUAGGCUUGCUGUGUACUUUUUUUUACUUGGGGUUCGGGCUUGAUUACACACGGUCGAAUACUUACACAACUCCCCCCACAUAGGGUUUUACUUUCAUCCCACAUUUGAUAAUUUCUUAACCUUCCCAAUUAGAUUAUAGCAAUUUAUAAAUAAAUAAAUAACUAAAGCAUACUAAAGCUAGCAUUGAUGGAUGGAUGAGUGGUGUCAAAAGUGUAUCUGUUUUUAUGUAUUAUUGUUCCCUGAUACAAAUCUAAAUAAUGGAAAAUAUAAAUUUAAUACUUUAUUUAAUACUCUGUUAACAUUUUAUCUAUAUAUAAUAAUUAAACUGAAACUCGUACUUAAAAAAAUUUUGGUUACGCAUAUUCAUUUCAUGAUAAAAAAAUGUCUAUUUACACUAAUUUACCAUUAUCAAUAAAAUGCUUUGAGACAAAUAAUCUAAUUUAUAUUAGUAUAUUUAAAAUACUUGCAUUUAUUAUAUUUUGAAAAAAAACUAUUUGCAAUUAUUUUAAACCUUUGAAUUCAAAUUUUCUUAGUUAUUAAAGUCAAAGGGUAUAAAUGUAUAAUAGUCAAAAACAGAUUUGUAUGAUCAUUUUUCAAUGUAUAAAUUUUCUUAGUUAGUAGGAAAUUAAAAAUUGUUGAUUUACUCAUAAAUGAAUUUAGUGUUUAGCAUUUCAAUUUUGGAAAACUUGAACUAAAUGUUGAUAACUUCGAAUCCAUCGAGCCAAGUUUCGCUUCCUUGACACACAGACCCAUUCGAAUUGAGUUUCCAAGUGCUUAGAAAAAGCAUUUCUUUUCCAUGUCACUAUAAUUUAUUCACAAAAGAGUUGAUUAGCGUCGAUGUUGCUGCAGAGUCUGAGACCAUGUUAGUAGGAGAAAUUUGAAAAGAAAUUAUUUUACUAAAUUAACUUAUUUUAUCUUGCUGUAACUGAAAUACUACCUUUUUUUUUUUUUUGUUAUCACUGGGGCUUGAUUUACUUUAAUAAUAGCAGCCACAAGCUUAGGCUUUUUUACUUUUCACCACACAAUUUGAUCUUUUAAUUCGUUUUAACCACAUAAUCUAUCUAUCUCACACCUAUUGCUUACUUAAAUCGCAUACAUAUUUUACCUACUAAUUUUUACAAACAUUAGUGAAAUAUAUUUUAUUACAUUUCGCUUGUAACUGCUCUAGUUGUGCACUAUUAAUACUUAACCCUCCCUUUUAAUUUACCGUGCAAUCUAUCAACAACUUAAAUUACAUAUAUAUUUUAUCUAUAUUUUUCCCGAAAAAAAAUAUAAAAAUAACAGAAAAAGAAUAUGUGUAGCAAUUUGUAUGGAACUAACAAAGCAUUAACGGUGUGUAGCCUUUCAAUACUUCAUGAGUGGCUUUUCUUGUGUGUUAGUACUAGUAAUAAUUGUGUAGUGUAUAAAUGACCUUUUAUUAUUAAAGCGCGUCCGUUGUUAGAUAUUAUUUAUUAUUUGAAAAAUAAUCUGAAUAUAAUUCUUUCAAAAUACAGGGGAGAUACCAACUGAAAUCAGUAAUCUCCGUAAUCUGGAGGAGUUGGACCUUGCUCGAAACAAAUUAGUUGGUAUUGUCCCAGCUGCAAUCUUCAAUGUGUCAACACUCCAGCAUCUUGGUCUUCAAGAUAAUUCUCUCUUGGGAUGUCUUUCGUCCAACGGAGACGUCCGACUUCCAAAUCUUGAAGGGCUUUAUUUGUCGGGUAAUAAUUUCAGUGGCACAAUUCCUAGAUUCAUCUUUAAUGCUUCUAAGCUCUUUAAGCUAUCGUUGCAAAGGAACUCAUUCUUUGGUUUUAUUCCCAACACAUUUGGCAACUUAAGAAACCUUAAGUGGCUGUCUUUAUAUGAUAAUUAUUUGACAUCUUCAACUCCAGAAUUGAGCUUUCUAUCCUCGUUGUCAAAUUCCAAGUCUUUAACAUUUAUUGACUUAUCAAAUAAUCCACUAGAUAGCGUUCUUCCAAAGACAUUUGUCGGUAAUGUUUCUCAUUCUUUGGAAUUCUUUGUCAUGUCGUAUUGUAACAUUAGUGGCGUCAUCCCUGAAGAGAUCACCAACUUGACCAAAUUGACAACCAUUAUUUUAGGAGGCAAUAAAUUGAAUGGAUCAAUUCCGAUUACUCUCAGCAAGUUACAAAAGCUUCAAUAUUUGGGUCUUGACGAUAACAAAUUAGAAGGAUCAAUCCCAGACAGUAUUUGUCGUUUAGCUGAACUGUAUGAUUUGGAGUUGGGUGGUAAUAAGCUAUCUGGAUCAAUCCCUGCAUGCUUCAGUAAUCUGGCUUCUCUGAGGACACUGUCGUUGGAUUCCAAUGAGUUAACUUAUAUUCCCUUAACUUUUUGGAACCUUAAGGAUAUCUUGUACCUCAACUUUUCAUCAAAUUUUUUGAUUGGUCCACUCCCAUUAGAGGUUGGAAAUUUGAAGGUUUUAGUUGGAAUUGAUUUUUCGAUGAAUAAUUUUUCAGGCGUUAUCCCAACAGAAAUUGGAGGCCUACAAAAUCUAGAAUAUCUCUUCUUAGGAUAUAACAGAUUGCAAGGAUCGAUUCCUGAUUCAUUCGGUGAUUUGAUAAGCUUGAAAUCAUUGAAUUUGUCUAAUAAUAAUCUCUCUGGGGCUAUUCCUGCAUCUUUAGAGAAACUCUUAUAUCUUGAAGAUCUAAAUCUUUCUUUCAACAAACUAGAAGGAGAAAUUCCUAGGGGAGGGUCUUUUGGAAACUUCUCAGCUGAAUCAUUUGAGGGAAAUGAAUUAUUAUGUGGUUCACCCAAUUUACAAGUCCCGCCAUGUAAAACUAGCAUCCACCACACAUCAUCAAAAAAUUCUCUUCUCCUGGGGAUCGUCUUGCCAUUGAGUACUACAUUUAUGAUAGUAGUCAUUUUGUUGAUCCUAAGAUAUCGACAGAGAGGAAAACGACCAUCGAAUGAUGCUAAUAUACCACUAGUAGCAACAUGGAGAAUGUUUUCAUACCUAGAACUCUGUCAAGCAACAGACGAAUUCAGUGAAAAUAAUCUAAUUGGCAAAGGUGGUUUUGGCUCUGUUUACAAAGCAAGACUUGGGGACGGGAUGGAGGUUGCAGUGAAGGUUUUCAAUUUGCAAUGUGGAAGAGCAUUUAAGAGUUUCGAUAUUGAAUGUGAAAUGAUGAAAAGUAUUCGCCAUCGAAACCUUAUCAAAGUUAUUAGCAGUUGUUCAAAUGAAGAGUUUAAAGCGUUGGUAUUAGAAUACAUGCCUCAUGGAAGUUUGGAGAAGUAUUUGUAUUCAAGUAACUGCAUUUUGGAUAUUUUUCAAAGAUUGAACAUAAUGAUAGAUGUUGCAUCAGCUUUGGAAUAUCUGCACUUUGGUCAUUCAGCUCCAAUAAUUCACUGUGACUUAAAGCCCAGCAAUGUAUUGUUAGACGAUAAUAUGGUUGCUCAUUUGAGUGAUUUUAGCAUCGCAAAAUUGCUAACAGGAGAAGAUCAAUCUAUGACUCAUACACAAACACUUGCAACAAUAGGCUAUAUGGCACCAGGUUUGUUUAAUAUAAGUUAUUUAUAUUUCAUGAUCUUGAUUAGAUGAGGAAAUUAUUAUUAAUGAUAUAUCUUACUAUGUAAUUGUUGCAAUUCAUAGAGUAUGGAAGAGAAGGACGAGUAUCCGCAAAUGGAGAUGUUUAUAGCUUUGGGAUUAUGUUAAUGGAAACAUUUACUGGGAAGAAACCCACAGAUGAAAUGUUUAAUGGAGAAAUGACAUUAAAGCAUUGGGUUAAUGAUUGGCUACCCAUUUCCACUAUGGAAGUUGUUGAUGCUAAUUUGCUAAGUCAGGAGGACAUACAUUUUGUUGCAAAAGAGCAAUGUGUGUCAUUUGUCUUCAAUUUAGCUAUGAAGUGCACUGUGGAAUCCCCUGAGCAAAGAAUCAAUGCAAAAGAAAUUGUAGCAAAACUCUUAAAAAUUAGAGACUCAUUACUUAGAAAUGUUGGAGGCAGAUGUAUAAGACAAUCAAAUUUAAAUUGAUUCUGCCCCUCCUUCAUUGCUUGCUAUCCUUUUCAGAGACUUGAACAGUUAUCCUCCAUAGAAGUUUUGCUGAUAUGUUUUGUUAUUGCUCUUGCUCAUGUUUAUUUCUCUCUUUCUUUAAUUUGCAUGCGUGCAUUUUAGUUCUCUUCCAUGUUUGUGUUGGUUUAUAUGUAGUUUGUUUUUUGGGAUAUGGUUUAUUAUGUCCUCACCCUAAUUAGAUGUAUCCUUUUGAUUUUUAUCAAUAAAGCUUCGCUAGUACUAUCGAGGUUAAUCGAAAGAAAAUUUUCAAUUGAUUUUCUUUUCUUUGACUAAUAAUGGAAAUUCUAAUCUUUAUAGUGAAUAACUUCAAUAAUAGAGUGUAAGAGUAUUAGUAGUUGUGGUUGUUUUCUGAACUUGGAGUUAGAGUAGUUUAACAGCAACAAAUAGGUCUCUUGUAUUAUAGGCAAAAUUCUUUUCAUUAAUCUUAUUUGUCUACAUUUUCUCCUAUUUUCUUCUUUAAUCUUCGCUCAAGGUUUCAUGCUUCCAUUUUGACAUGUGAGAUUGUUUGUCAUCCAUUUGCUAAAAUGGAUAUGAGAGGAGCUUUCAAUCAUUACCUCCACCAAAAUCCUUACAAUGCAACUUUUAAAUUUAUUUUUUAAAAUACGUUCAGUUUAAUUUAUAAAAAAUAAAUCCAUUUGUUAAAAUUAAUCUUUUUCUCAUAGAUUUCAACCUAAAAAAUAUAUUUCUUUUAAGUUUUUAUUUUAAAAUACAUACAAGUUCUAAACUAUUAAAUUAUUUUUUUCUUAUUAUAUAGUUUAUAUUUCCAUAACUCUAAACUCCUAUAAUUUUUAAAAAAUAUAUUUUUAAUUUAAAAUAUGAAUAUAAAAUAUAGAAUGGAGUGGGUAUACAAAGUUUUGUUAAAAGAAUAAUUCAUUUAAGUAUUUAGCUGAAUUUUAAUUUAAAAUAAGAAAUAAAUUAAUUUAUUUUUUAUUAGUUAAGUAAUUUUUAAUUGAAAAGAGCUUAUAUUAUGGACAUAUGAUUAAAAUUAUCAUGAAUUAAACAUUUUCAUAUAAAUACUAGUGAUAAUUACAGAGAAAGUACGAUGAACCGAGGAAAACUUGAAUAGAAAUACUCCAAUGUAAUUUUACACAUGCAAAUUAUGAACCAGUGAUCUUUAGAGCAUCAUAAAAUUAUUUUAACACAAUUAGUUAGUUUGAAAAAUUGCCAAUAAUGUUUAAAGUGGGAUUGAAAAGAUUAUACUAAAAAUAUAAGACAUGAUAUCAUUUAAGAGCUUACAGAUUAUGAGAAAUAUAUUGAUCUUACAAAUAAUAUAAAAUAUGUCAAUUAGACUGAGUCUAUGCAAUAAAAGUUUCAAAUUAAAAAAUAAACCUUUAUUUUCUUUUAAUCAUUAAUGUGAUCUUAAUUAUUAAAGUCAUUCAAUGUCCAUUACUUAUUUAUUUUUUUAAUUAUUUAAAUGACAUUGAAAACUCUACUCAAUAUUAAUUCAUUCUAGUGUUUUGUUUUAAAGUAAUCGGAAACUACAAAUGAAACAAAUGCUUGAAAUCACAAAUGGCCUAAAAUUAGAUUUUUAUUUCUUAAUGUUGUAGUGACUUUGAUCUUGAUAUUGAAAAUUUAUUUGUAACUUAUAUAAAGGCCUCGAUUUUAUCAUAAUUGAUUAGUAAGGCUAUGUACGGGAGCAUGGAUAAAUUUUGAGAUUGGAUUAUAUUUUUGGAACUAAAAAAUUAAUUUCAUCCAAUGUUAUGUAUAGCUGUUGGGACUAGCAAAUUAGUCUAAAAUUAUUGAAAUUAUUAGUCUUUUAAAUUAUAAUUUUUUCGUUCCCACUUUAAAAACAAAAAAUAUUUUGGUGGAAAACUGUACAAUGAUUAAAAACAAAAAAUUAUCAUUUUCCAAUGUUUACAAAGAAAACAAGAGACAUUUUAUUUCACUUUUACGCUCGGGCCUCACUAUCUUAACUUUUGUAACAUAGUGUAAUAAAUUACGUGGGCCCAUUUAAUAAAGAAAUAAUCUAAUAAAUAAACUAAUAUAACAAAAUUUAAAAAUAAUAGCAAGAGUUUAUUCCAUACCUUGGAGCUUAACUACUUAAUAGAUUACCCAAAUAGUUUUAAAUAAAAAGUAAUAUCAUAUAAUUAUUAUACUAAAUUAUUACAUUGUUCGACCAAUAUGCAGUUAUUUAAAAAUUAUUACAAAUUUUCAUAUAUUAAUGAAAAUAUUUCAAUAAUAAAGUUACUUCUUGACAGCUAAUAUAAAUAAAUAUAUGAUAAUUAUGAAAUAAUUUAAAAUUUUCUCAAUUAAUAUUAUCUUAUAACUACAAUUUAUUUACAUAAUUAAAAGUUUUUAAGAAAUCAUAAAAUAUCAUCGUACCUAUAUGCAUUUAUAAUAAUAUAUAAUACAUCAUAAUAUAAUAGCUAAAUAGAUAAAUUAUUAAUGAUAUAAAAUAUAUAUUUAUAUUCACUGUAUUAUAUUAUUCUUUCAUAAUUGUUUCAUUAAAUAAUUCCCUAUUCUCUCUCUCUUUUUGUCUUCAUUUUUUCAGAUAAGCAACCAAAAAUCAUUUCACCUUUUUUAUUUUAUUUUCAAGUACUGUUUUUAAAAUAAGGUACCAAACAUGUUUUUAUUUUUAAUAAAAACUAAUCAUUCUUAUUUCAUAAAAUAAAUUCAAAAACACCAUUUAAAAAAUAAUACCAAAUGCACCCUUAGAAACUAUGAGAAAUAUACUGAUUUUGCAAAUAAUAUUUAAUACGUCGAUUAGACUGAAUCUUUGGAAUAAAAAUUUCAAAUUAAAUAAUAAACCCUUAGUUUCCUUUUAAUCGUAAUUAUAAUCUUAAUUAUUAAAGACAUUUUAUUUUGUGCUUGUCUUUUUUUAUUCACUUUUUUUUAAUGAAAAAUAUUGCUCUGCAUGCAAGUCUUUGGUCGCGGGCCUAGGCGUCCCAAACAUCCAGCUGACAGCGACGUUUCCACUUUGAUUAUCCGCACUUCCCAGAAGUCGCAAGGAAAGACUUAUUCGAGUAGUUUGAUUGGUUUGAAGAUUCAUGAGACUGCUUUUCACUAGAAUUCCACGGCCUCAUUCAUUUUUUUUUUUAAUAAUCUAAAUGACAUCGAACACUCUACUCAAUAUAAAUUUAUUCGAAUGUUCUGUUUCAACCUAAUCGGAAAUUACAAAUGAAACAAAUGCUUGCCAUCACAAACGGCCUAAAUGGGAUUUUUGUUUUUAAAUGUUGCAAUGACUUUGAUCCUGAUGUUGAAAAUUUAUAAUGGCUUCAAUUUUAUCAUAAUUGGUUUAUAAUGCUCUGUUAGGAAGCAUGGAUAAACUGUUGGAUUAGAUUAGAUUUUAGGACUAAAAAUUAAUUUCAUCCAAUGUCAUAUUUAGCUGUCGUGACUAAUAAAUUAGUCCAAAAUUAAGAUAAGAUUUAUAAUAUUAAAUGAAAUAUUUUUGUUCUCUUUAUCACUCUUUUCUUUUUCAUUUAAAUUAAAUAUAAACAAUAAUUUCAUAAUUUUUUAUGUAGAAUUUUAUAUUAUACUAAAUAUCGAAAUUCUAUUCAAUAAUUUAUUUUAAGUUGUAUUUACUUAAGAUUAGUUAUCUAAGUUUAAUACAAUAAUUUAUUUGAAUAGUAUUGAAUAUUAAACAUUAAAAAUUAUUCAAUUAUUUGUUUAAAAUAAAAUUGAAUAUUAAAUAUUGAAAUAAUUAUUUAAUAGCAUAUUAUAUUAUUUAUAUAAUUAUUUAAUAGUCCAAUCUAAUGUUGUACAAAACAUGCACAAUACUAUAUAUAAUCCAAACUAAUCCAAUUCAAUCUUAAUUAAUAAUUCAAUCCAAUCUUGUGAGUCAAAAUUGGCCUAAGGUUACCAAUUGUGCAAUAAUCUUUAUAGCCCGUUUCCCAGCCACACACCCUUUUGUAUUAGUAUUCUCACAGCCAUUGGAAAUAUGGCUCGUAAUCUAACAAAUGACAUUAUACGGCUGUUACUUGCUAGUUUUUAUAAGGUGGCCAAGGCCUUUUAUCAAACACUAUAGGAUCAACUAGUACAAAAUGAAUUCAUUUGGGAUGCAUUUAACGUACUGUGUUAGCUAUAUCGUAUUAUAAUGUAUUGCAUUAACAUGCAUUAUAUUAAGUUAUAAUGUUAUACUUUGAUAUAGUAUAAAUUGUAUUAUAUAAGGUAAUGUUUUAUAUUAAUGUUAAAACUAAAUUAAUAUUAUUUAAAUUUAUUAAUAUUUUAGGAUUUUUAUUAAUUUUUUAAAUUAAGUAUUAAAAAUUAUUUUAUAGUAUAUAAAUGAGUUAAUAAUAUACUAUUAUUAAAUGAUAAAAUAUUAAAGUACUAUGUUAUAUUAUUAAAAAUUAUUAUAUUAUAAUAUAAUUUAUUUCUAGAUAUUAAUUAUUAUAAUAUAGUAUAAUCAUAUAAUAAUAUAAUAUAAGUUAAUAUUAUAUUGUAAAAAUAUAAUAUUGUACAAUUAUUUAAUGUAAUAUAAAUUAAUUUAUACUAUAAUAUUAAAUUAUAAAUUUAUUUUUAUUAAUUAAAUAAAAUUAAAAUACUUUUAUGUAUUUAAACUAAAUAAUUAAAAUAAUUUAUGUAAUAGAAGUAUGAUAAUGUAUUAUCAUUUUCUCAUUAAAUAUUUUAGGUUUAUUAAUUUGUUAAAUUAUUAUUUAAAUUAAAAUUAAUUGUUUAAAUGUAAAUAUAAAUAUAAAUGAAUGUUUAAUAAAAUCUACUCCUAUGGAUCUAUUUUAUACACUUUUUAUUCUAUAAAUCACGCUUAUAAUGUAGUUGUAUAAUAGAAACUGGAUAUUUAAUGGAAGCAAAAUCGCGCACGGUUUGUGGGUUAAAAGGGUCAGGAUUCUCUCCUGAUCUGAUCUUCAUUUGAGCAAAUUCUGUUAAUAUGAUUAGUGGUUAAUAAGUUAAAAAGAAAAAGUAGUUAAAUCAUAAUCAUCCAAUUUGAUACACUGAUUUUGUCCUCUUUAAUAUUUUUCUAGAUGCUUCCAUGUCAUAAUCUCAUUGGUCCAGUUUUCUUCACUGCUUAGAUUCAACUUCAAAAAUCAAUUUGAAGCAAACACAACAAUUCAACAAAUAUAAUAAGCGUCGAUAAGCUUGUGGCUGACUGGCUGUGGCCAAGCAAAACGUACCUCAUGGUUACCGAAUCAUAUCUUACGUCAGAAUUUUUAACUUAAACUAUGUUACCGUUCCACGUGUCACUCUCCAAAAAAUCCCCAAACUUUUAUCGUAUUUCCAAAGAAACCCCUAACAAAUCAAGGUAAUUACCGUCACUCUGCUCAUAUAAAUAGUCUCCUUGAUUCAACUGAUGUAGGGAUGGCAAUGGGGUGGGUUGGGGUGGGGGUGCGGAAUGGGGUACAUUAAAAUUUUUUGUCUCCAUUCCCCACCUAUUCCCUAAUAAAUUUAGUGGGUUGGGGAUGGGGAAUCCCCACAUGGGGAAUGGUUUCCCCAUCCUCACCCCAUUCCCCAUUUACCUAUUUUAUAGUAAAUAUAAAUAUAUUAUUUCAGUAAAUUAAAAAUUAGAAACUUAAAAUAAAAUCAUCACCAUAUUAUGAAGUAUUUAUUUUUUUUUUAAAAAAUCUCUAAAAGUUUGAAACAAUAUCUUAAAAUGAUAUUAAAAGUGAAAAAUAUUUAAAGACAGCAACACCUUAAAAGAGAAAAGAAAACAUAAUAAUGUUUUAGAAUUGAAAAAUAUUGUAGGAUUUUCUUUUAUUCAUAUCUUGUUUAUAUUACAUAAAAAUUUAAAAAAAUUAUUAAUUGACAUUAUAGUUGAUAAAAUAAAAAUUACUAAAUAAGAAUUAAAAAUAUAUUUAUAUAUAAUGGGGAUUGGGGUAGGGGUGGGGUGGGGAGUGCAAUACCAAACCCCACUCCGUUAAUAAUUUGAGAAUUAUUUUUCCCCCACUCCCCACCCCAUUCCCCAAAAAUUAUUAAAAAAAUUUUCUAUUUGGGGUGGGGCUUCAUGGGGUCUCAAACCCGUGGAGGAUUUUGCCAUCCCUAAACUGAUGACAUAUCCUCAUAUAAAUAAAGACUAUGACGACAUUUAUUUAGAAGGGAAAAUUAUAAAAAAAAUCUCCUCUUUCUCUGAAAAUAUAGGGUUUCUCAAGAAUAGCUAAACCUACAUCCCUAUCCUGCAAAAUCUCAAUUUAACCUCUCUAGGGUUUCGAUUGAAGAGCAUACGCUUCAAAAUUUAUUAUUCUUUUAGUGGAUUUUGGUUGUCGCGUAUCCUUCAGUUGUUAGUUCGGUUCGGAUAAUAAUUUGGAAUUCAGUUUGAAGGGUUAAGUGCAAUUUCUAAUUUUUUAUACAAUUUAAAUUGAAAUUGAUAGAACAAUUGGGCGGUUAAUAAUUAAUUGAUGGCUAGUGAUACUACAACGGCGCCCGCGCCCGCAGCUCCGGAAAAAGCGGAGGCGGUGGAGGAGUAUGAUAGCAAUCCAGAUGAAGUGAAACGCUGUCUUGGGACACGCAGAAGGGAAGCCAGCGAUGACGAGGACGUGGAGGAGGAGAGAGAUUGGGACACGCAGAAGGGAAGCCAGCGAUGACGAGGACGUGCAAUACCAAACCCCACUCCGUUAAUAAUUUGAGAAUUAUUUUUCCCCCACUCCCCACCCCAUUCCCCAAAAAUUAUUAAAAAAAUUUUCUAUUUGGGGUGGGGCUUCAUGGGGUCUCAAACCCGUGGAGGAUUUUGCCAUCCCUAAACUGAUGACAUAUCCUCAUAUAAAUAAAGACUAUGACGACAUUUAUUUAGAAGGGAAAAUUAUAAAAAAAAUCUCCUCUUUCUCUGAAAAUAUAGGGUUUCUCAAGAAUAGCUAAACCUACAUCCCUAUCCUGCAAAAUCUCAAUUUAACCUCUCUAGGGUUUCGAUUGAAGAGCAUUUGCUUCAAAAUUUAUUAUUCUUUUAGUGGAUUUUGGUUGUCGCGUAUCCUUCAGUUGUUAGUUCGGUUCGGAUAAUAAUUUGGAAUUCAGUUUGAAGGGUUAAGUGCAAUUUCUAAUUUUUUAUACAAUUUAAAUUGAAAUUGAUAGAACAAUUGGGCGGUUAAUAAUUAAUUGAUGGCUAGUGAUACUACAACGGCGCCCGCGCCCGCAGCUCCGGAAAAAGCGGAGGCGGUGGAGGAGUAUGAUAGCAAUCCAGAUGAAGUGAAACGCUGUCUUGGGACACGCAGAAGGGAAGCCAGCGAUGACGAGGACGUGGAGGAGGAGAGAGAUUGAGGGCUUCCAAUGGCGAAGUGUCCACAUUCCUGCGGGAGAAGCGGAGGCUGUGGAUGAGUACGAGAGCGAUCCAGAUGAAGUGAAAUACUCUCUUGUGAUGGGCAGAAUGGAAGCAAGCGAUGAUAAGGAGGAGGAGGAUAAAGAAUUUGAGCGUCGAAUGAACCGUAGGGUCCACAUUCAUUCUUACGAUGAAUCUGAUGGCCAAGGUGGUGUCCAGCUGAGUAUGGUGAGGUUGAUGAUGAAGAAGAUGACAGAGAAUUAGAAGAAGAAGAUGAAGAGGGGGAUGUGAUAUGACUUCAUAUCAUUUAAUUUGUAUAACCGUGACGCCAAUCCCAUUGAUCCUGGUCCGACCCGAACGGAUCUUGUUGAAUGAAUUGAUCCAUUGUUGUAUGCCUUACUUCUUAGUGAUUUUUUUCCUACUUGGAGCCGCCUUUGAGUACUCCUGGGAGAUAAAGUGGAAACGUUUUUUUAUGGUGAAGAGUGGGGAGUGAAAAGACCAAUUCAGCAGAGAACGACCGCAUGAAUCGGAAUCCAAGAAAGGCUCCACGUUCUCCAAGUGAUUGAUCUUAGCGUAGCGUGCUAGCCGCUGCUUCAUUUCGUAUAGUGAUAACGCUUUCUUAGCGCUCCGCCGCCCCCCCCCCCCCGGCGGCCGCGCCCGGGGUAUAGUAGGGGACUGGUUGCGCGGCUUUCUCUUAUAGGGGUCUAUUUUCCCUUACUUUACUCAACUUGAGUCGGUUAGAGUAUCGCUUUCAUACGGCAAGAGUUAUUGAUUCAAAUCCAAUAGUAGGUAAUAAUGCUGUCAAUGUCGGUUAGAGUAUCCAAGAGUUAUUGAUUCAAACGCAGUUGUCAACCACAUUCGAAUAACCCUUCUGCUACCUUCUAAAAACCCUUGCAUGGGCAUUAAUGCUGGCAUAAUCUCUUUGACUUCCCUUGCAUUUGAAUGAAUGGAUGAGCGUUGCAUUUGAAUGAAUGGAUCAGUGUCAAUGCAGGCUAAGAUUUUCUGGACUUUCAUGGAUGCACAAUAAAUGCUACGUCAAAGGCCUGGUAAGAUGUCAGCAAGCUGGUCGAAGAUAUCAACCUGAUUUGGUGGCUGCAAGAUUUGUUCAUCCAGGACCAUUUUCUUUGACAAUGAGAAAGCCCCAAUGUCUAUAAAUUGAGAACUCACUGAAUUGUAGAGAGAGGGGAAAGUGAAUAACGGGAGAGCCAGUGAAAAGAGAGUGUGGGAAUAUUUGUGCGUAAUUGGGGUUUGGGUGUGAGAUAAAAUAAUCAGAGAGUGGUUGUAAUAAUUUUUUAUAUAGUGAAAAUUUUUGUCUCCUUGUUUUUUGCAGUGGUGGUAAAUUUUGUCUCUAAUAAAGGAGUCUUCCAAGUAAAUUUUGUGUGUUAUGAUUGGGAUAUUCACCAUUUUAGUUUUUUAUUUAUUAUUUGUUUUACAUAUUGCUAGCAAAAAUCUGGGGCGGGAACCGAAAAUUCCCAACAAUUAUUAAUUAUUUUAAACUCUGUUCUGAACAGAGCAUGAAGGGUUUCACUUACCUAGUUACGUUUUUCAUUCUUUCACUUCACUUGAUUUCAUCUUGUCCCUCUCCUUUAUAGAAGUUGCAGAGCUUGGAUCUUUACUCGAACAGUUUCACUGGCUCUAUUUCUGACACAUUGGGCAAGCUGAAGGAAUUGCAAUUCCUGUAUGAUAAUUUCCCCAACUAUUAUUUGAAUAAUUAUUUAAUGCCGUUCAUUCCAGCACUGUUUGGCUGUCAACUUUAUUUUGUUAUUUAUGAGGAGAUUCAUUUCCCACCUGAAGCUAGAAAUUUACGGAUCAAUGACUUUUUUUUUUUCGGGGGCCAAUUGCAGUUUUGAUAACAACUAAAAUCUGUGUGGUCCGGUUACCACAAAGCCUUGCCCCAGAUCCCUGCCAUUUUCUCCUCCACCUCCAUUUGGGGAAAUUACUACUUACUUUUUGCAAGUUUUUCUUGAAAUAUUUAUUUUGAUAAGAAAACCAAUAAUACAUUUUAAGAUUUGGGCUGUUUCAAAGAUUUCGCUUGAUGUCUCUGCUACUGGUUUUCAGCAGAGUGCCCAAAAAUAGUUUUCAGCAGUACAAAAAGUAUAUAUUUUGUACCUUCCAUACAUUUUGCUUUGUUAAUGUUAUUAUUUGAUAACAUGUUUGUCGAGUUGCACAGUGUAUAAAUGCUAUACAAAUACACUCCUUUCAUUUUAUACAACUUUGAUCGAUCAAGUUGUAUCUCUUUGAUAAUAUGUUCAAUCUCCUUUCAUUUUAAACUUCAAUUGAGUUGCUAUCUAUUUAACAUUGGCAAGUCAGAGAGAGGGAUGGGACUGUCCAAUUAAAAUUAAGUUCCAAGUGCCAAUCCCACCAUUGUCGUCUCUUGUUUGCCAAAUUCAAAUUUGAAAAUCUCACCAAGUCAGUAUGGUGAUGUUGUGGGAUUGUCUCGCCUAGGUUUUUAGCCUCAUGACCUCCUUUAUUAGAAAAUGUCUUAAGUGUUCUUACUCAAUGGUAGAAUCAUAAUUUUACUUCAAUGGAAGCCAUAAUGAUUAAAAUAUACUCUUUUGAUUAAUUACUUAUUUGAUGUUGCUCUCUCUACCUUCAUCUCCUUCUUUAUGAAAAAUUUAUUGUAAUACAUGGAAGUAUAUAUUGCAUUGAAUAAAAUGAAAUUGUUCAAAAAUUAACAAAUUCAGCUUUAUUAUAAUCUAAAACAAAGUAAAUAAAAUAAUACCCAUCAUGUAAAAAUUAAAAAAAUAAAAAAUUUUGUACCACUUUGAAUCUAUUUUAAUUUUUUUGGUCAAAUCUCAGAAGCACAAAAUUUGACCAACAAUAAUAGGUAAAAACUAAUAAUCUUAUAAUAAAAAGUAAUAUUUAAAAAUUGAAAAUUAAAUUAUGCUAGUAAUUCCGUAAAAUUAAAAUUUAUCUCCCAAAAUUGAUAAAUACUAUGUCACUUUGUCAAAUUACUUAGGAUAAAAGUUAUGUGGCUAAAAACUUUUAAGAUGAGUUGUAUGCUAAUGGAGAAGGACAAGACACAAAAGAAUUCAAUGAAUGCUACAUCACGCAACAAUGCUUACUCUUAACAAAUUAUUACAAUUUACAAACGUGAUUCAUGAAACUUGACUUUUUUGUCUAAAGAAAGGACUAAAGAAACAUGCCAAGCAACAAAUAAAAAGUUGAUAGGCACUAUUUAAAUAGUAUUAAUAUGGCAACAAAAAACAUGCGAGCAAAGUAGCCUAUUCCUUUAUUCUAUAAAUAGCUCAUUUGAGCUUAGAACCUUUAAAGUGUGUCGUACGUUUCUGUUACUUCCAAUAAAGAUUUUCUCUAUUCCCUUUUCUUCCACUUUCUCUUCCAUUUUCACGAUCCCCAAACACCAUCAAUCCAUGAUUUUCUAGAGUAUUAGCUGUCUAUUUCUACAAACAUAGAAUUGCUGUUUUAAGAAACAAAGUAGUCUGUCCUGUCACCCAUGAUUGCCUCUUUCUUUUCUCCACAAAUCUUUGGUUAAUUUUUAUUUUCCCUCAACUUUUUUCCCCUUUAGCACCAAAAUUGAUUUUUGAUACUUUAUGCAAAAAUUAUGAUGAAAAUGAGUCACUUUAGAACAUCAAUAAAUUUUUUUUUACAUCCAAAAUAACGACAAUUACACUUAGAUCACUCUUAUUUAGUUGAAUUAUAUAUGUAAUAAUGUUGGCUUAACAAAAUAUAAUUCUUGAUCGUUGUAAUUACGAGCUGGUAUUCUUUGGUUUUAGUAGUAGGGCUUAUAACGCUGUGCAACAAUUCUUGGUGGCUUCGAAUUAUUAUACGAUCAUUCUCAAUUCUUUACGGUACGUAAUUAAAAAUUCCUAUAUCACAAUUAGAACUUACAAACAAGUCAAAGUGAAUUAAAUCAAACGUAUAAAUUCGAGGUCUAUUACAAACUUCUAAAAAAAAUUUUCUCUGCUCUUUUUUCUUUCACUUUCUCUUCCAUUUUGCCAAUCCCCAAACACCGCCAAUCCUUGAUUUUUUAAGUAUUAGCUGUCAAUUUCUACAAACAUAGAACUGCUGUUUGUUUGUCUAAUUACUUUCAAGAAACAAAACUCUCUGUCAUGUGGUCUCUUCGUUUAUUGGCUUGUGAGCAAAUAAGAUAUUGGGCCGAUGGGCUUAACGUGACAAGUUCUUGAAUUGAAUGGCUCCUCUUUUUUUCAUAAAUCUUUGCUUAACUUUUUUGUUUCCUCAACCUUUUUUGGCCUUUCGCGCUAAAAUUCUUUUUUUGAUACAUUAUGCAAAAAUUAUGAUGAAAAUGAGUUACUUUAGAACAUCAAUAAAUUUUUAUUACAUCUAUAAUAAGACAACUGUAGUGAGAUUUCUCUUAUUUAGUUGAAUUAUAUGUAAUAAAAUUAGUUUAACGAAAUCUAACCCGUCAAUAUUCCAUAUGACAUAAUUAACGUAUUUAAAAAAUCUUAGCUGUUCCGUCGCUUGUUUUACAAUUCUUUUAUAUAUCUUUGAGACUUUCUGCUUCCUGACACAUCAUAUUGUUCUCAAUUCGUCUAAAUUAAUUUUUUCUUCAAACACUGCAGCAACAACCGGUAUAAAAUAGAAUGAACUCAUUUAAUGGGAAUUUUUCUCAUUGGUCUAUUUCUCUUCGCACCUUAGGUUCCUCUAACAAACUUAAAAGAUGUUCCCCAUCCCACGUGUCCCCAAAUCUUCGUAUUUCCAAACAAACCCCUGCCAAAUAGAGAAGAGGAUGGCUUUUAUUGCAACCUGUAUGAACGUUAUGGCCAUAGGACAUUGGAUCAAAAUCAAACCAAUGGAUUGUAAAGCAAAAUUACCAAUUAAAAAUUCAACCAAUUGAAUCGGUUUGGUGUCACUUAAAAAAUAAAUAAUAUAUAAAACAACACAAUUAAAUUCAUUCAGUCAGUAUUUUUCUUUUCUCAUUUUCAAUGAAUGCUUAAUAUGGAAAACAAUCUGUCCCAUUGAGCACUGUUUAAAUCAUUCCCUAGUUUGUUCAACAAGCAAAGAAUAUUCUUAUUCGGCUCGGCAGCCAAUCCGUUAAAAUUUGUAAAAAUUCAUUUAAGUGAUGACUGUGAUAUGACUCGAUCAAUCGUUUAAUUUAUAUAAUUUAUAAAAAUUUGAGCUUCAAGUAAUGUAGAUAGAAUGGUUAAUUAUUUUAAUAUUCAGAUAAAUUGAUAUAUGUCAUUAUAUUAUGAGUGGAUGAAAUAUCCAAUAGAAAAAAAAAAAAAUGUUUGUAUUCGUCAUUUUUAAUGGGAAUCUAUUUAGUUUAACUUAUCCAUAAAAAUGGUUGCCAGACUUAUCUUGUUUCUCAUUUUGUUUAAUUUUCAUAAAUUUGACUCACGAUUAAUUGUGAGUGAAGAAUUUUUUGAAAAAAAUCUGGUCUUCCAUUUAUUUUGUAGGAUUUAAAAGAUUAAAAAACUUUAAUACAUAUAAUUUUAUGCUCGAAACUAAAUACUCGUAGCAUUGCUGCUUCUAUAAAUAACUCAUUUGUGCUUCCAACUUGUUAUUUGUAUUUUACGUUUUUGUUUCUCUUCAUAAAGAUUUUCUUUUUUUUCUUUUUUCCUUUCACUUUUUCUUCCAUUUUCCCGACUCCCAAACACCACUAAUCCUUGAUUUUCUAGAGUAUUAACUGUCCGUUUCUACGAACAUAGACCUACUGUUUGUCUAAAUACUAUCAAGAAACAAUAUACUCUGUCGCGGGAUCUCUUCGUUUAUUGACUUUUGACUUGUGAACGGGGCUAAUUAAAGGGCAUUCCUUUCUUCAAGAAAGAAUGCAAAGAAAGUACUAUCCAUGAGACACGUUAAAAAUUAUUUUACAUAAAAAAUGAUAAUAAUCAUAAUAAUCGGUUUAGUGUAACCCCGUUAUUACUUAGUGACUGUUCGAUUGUCUUCUCUUUCAUUGACUUCGCAACUGUGACUUCUAAAUUGGGUCAAGGAUCGACAAAAAAUGUUAUAACCUAUAAAGCAUGGAUAAUUAAUUAAUGGGAAUGCACCUCUCAUCUUUACCAUUCUCUUUGUCAUUUUCAUAAUUCAGCUGUUUAUUAAUAAAGUGAAUAAAUUUAUCUUUUAAUAAUAUGUUUCUUGGCUGUUUUUUGUGUAUUUUUGCGUACAAUUUUGUGUGCAAAUAGCAUUAUUCAUUAGUAAUAAGUCUGGAGUGUUCUAAUUUCUUCUAACAAGUAGCUCAUUUUAGCUUAGGACAUGUAACUAGUAUUUUAUGUUUCUGUUAAUCUUUAAUAAAGAUUUUCUCUAUUUUUUUUUUUCCUUUCACUUUCUCUUCCAUUUUCCCCGACUCCCAAACACCACCAAUCCUUGAUUUUCCAGAGCAUUAGCUCUCUAUUUCGACAAAGGCAUAAUUAGUCACGGUCCGAUUGUCUGACUUCUCCGUUGACUCGGUCAAUUCACGACCUUGACCUGCACAGUUGAUACAAACGGACUUCUCCAUUUGAUGUGCACAAAACUUUCUUGGGUCAUUUUGUUUGGUGAUGAUGAAUUGGAUGUCAGUUCAUGAGUUUCAUGAUGAAGGGGACCAAAAACAUUAUUUUAUUAUUUAAAGAAGACUAACAAUUAUUUCGAUGGUCAUUUUAUUAUUAUUUUUUAAAUAUCCAAAUGGUGAAAUUUUAAAGAAUUAAGGUGGUUGACUUCUUUACACAGAAUUACAAAGCAAAACAAUUAAGAAAUUAAAUACUCGUCAUCCAAGUGAGAAGAGAUUGGGUUGUUGAUACAUUAAAUAAAAGAAAAAUCAAUUAAAAGCACAACAAUUCAAUAAUUUCAUUCUCAAUCAUAUCAAAAAUAAAAUUUACUGUACAUUGUUGUUCGGUUCUGUAAAAAAAAAAAAAUUAUUAGGGAUUUGCAGUUUUUUUUAGUGUAAUUCUCGUUAAUUAAAGUUUAGUCUGAAGGGUUAAGCACAUGGAUCAUAAUCAUAUUAUGGCCUAAGGAAGGAGCACAGUUCAUUGGCUGCACUCAGUUUACAGAAUAUUUUGGGAUUCAAGACUGUAGGUUGUUCCGGAUGUAACUUGCAAAGGCUGUUGCUGUGUAACUGUAUGCACUGCUGGCAAGUGUGCUAUACACAUAUUGUUGAGAUAGCACCAAAGAUUGUAAACUAAUUAGAACCGGAAAAUCCUAUUUGCACAAAAAAUUGCACAAAAUAAAUAGAAUGAGAAUACUUAUGCAAAAAAAAAUAAGAUUAAUAAAGUGAAUAAAUUUAUCUUUUAAUAAAAUAUUUCUAGUCUUUUAGUGUUUUCGUGUAUUUUUGUGUACGUGCAAAUAACAUUACUCAUGAGUAAUUAUGUUUUAUGUUUCUAUUACUUUCUAAUAAAGAUUUUCUCUGUUUUUGUUUUUUUUUUUCCCCUUUUACCUUCUCUUCCAUUUUUCCAACUCCCAAACACUACUAAUCCUUGUUUUUGGUUUUUUUUUCCAACUCCCAAACACUGCUUUCAUGAAACAACGUACUCUGCGGUUAAAAUUAAUUGAUCAUUUUAUUUGCUGAUAAUGAAUUGGUUGUCAAGUCAUGAGUUUGAUGAUGCACAGGACGAAAAACGUUAUUUUAUUAUUUAAAAUAAUACUAACAAUUAUGUUGAUGGUCAUUUUAUUUUUUAAAAUAUGCAAAUGGAAUCUUACCGAACUAUAGUGCUUGACUUCUUCAUACAGUGAUUGACUUCUUUGUACAGAAUUAUAAAGUGAAAGAAAUUACGAAAUUAAAUACUUUUCGUGCGAGUGGGGGAGAAAUUCUGUAAAUUUAUGAAAUAACUAUUGAUUUCACUUUGGUAAUUACUUUUUAAAAGUAACGUAAACAUUUUUAUUUUAUUUGCAUUCGAGCUUUCUUUCUUUUUCGCUGGCCUUUACACUUGACCGUAUUUCAUGGGGCAUAUUCAAUCUGAAUCCUCUGCAAGUUUGUGGCAGUUUGGUUAGUUACGAACUUUUGUAGAAUUGCAUGAAGAUGACGCUUUUAUAGACAUUUUUUCUUUUUUCAUUUUUUCUUCAGUGAACAUAUUAAAAAUUUAGUUUUUUGUCAUCGUGACUAGAACAGUAAAAUGAAAAUAGUCCUCAUUUCGACGAUUGACAAAAAUGUUGUACUCAUACCGAUUAAUGGGCCACUGAUUUCGUCUUCUUAAAAAAUUAUUAUUGCAGUGAGGCAAUUGAAUCGAAGAUGGACGAUUUCCAUAUUUGCCUAACCUACGUGAUAAGAAUUUUCAUAUGAGACAUAAUCUGAUUUAUUUUGCUUGACUGUAUGCCAAGAGACAGUCAUAUCUACUAAAUGAAACAAAUCUUGCUUUUCUAGAGAAAUAAUGCAAUAUGCAAUUAUGCAUGAAGGUACGCAUCCAUGUGAGAAAGUUGACGAAAGCUUCUUUUUCAGUAUUGGAAGUGCAAUCCACUGCGGAACAUUGGAUAAAACCAAUGGAAUGUAAAGCAAAAUUACCGAUUAAACUAAAUUGAAAAUCCAACUACUUGAAUCAGUUCAGUGUCACUCAAAUAUAUAUAUAUAUAUAUAACAACACAAUUAUCAUAUUAAUGAGGCACUGUUAAAUUCGAAUAUUUUUCUUUUUCAUUUUUAAUGAAUGUUUAAUAUGACAAACAAUCUGUUCCAUUGAGCACUGUUUAAGUCAUUCAAUGAAGAUGAAUACUUCUAUAACAAAACAAUUAUUCCCUUGAUUAUCUGACACACAAAGAACUUUCUUGCUCAGCUCGGCGGCCAAUCCUUUAAAGUUUGUUAAAAUUCAGUCAAUUGAUGAACGAGACAUAACCCGAUAAAUCGUUUAAUUUGUGUAAUUGAUAAAAAAAUUGAACUUCAAAUAAUAUAGAUAGAAUGAUUAAUUUUUUUCAAUAUUUAGAUAAUUGAUAUAUGUCAUGUUAUUAUGAGUGAAAGAAUGAAGUGUCUAUAGAAAACACAAUGUUUAUGUUUGUAUAAAAAAUUUUAAGUGCGAAUCUAUUUAGUGUAUAGGAUAUAAAUAAAAAUAGUUACCAACUUGUCUUGUUUCUCAUUUUGUUUAAUUUUCAUAAUUUGACUAAGGAUUAAUUAUGAGUCAAGGGUUUAUUGGAAAAAUAUGAUCUUUCAUUUACUAUUAAAGAUUAGCGUGAUUUAAUUAUUUAAUGGUCGUUCAAUUUUAUUGGUUACCAAAUUCUCUAGGAUCGCAUGUAGAUUAUACUUUUAUAUAUAAAAUAUAUAUAAAAACAAACACUGUACCAAUAAAGUGUUGGCUCCACUGGCAAUGGAGUCCCCUUAAGUGGCUUGACUGUGUUUGCUCCUCAGUUCGAGUCGCAGGGAAGUCGCCUUUGUUGGGAGAACCUGUGCCUCCCGGUUCGAGCGGGGACUUCUAGUCUGGGUUGUGGUACGGGCUUAAAGGUGCCUCCCACAGUUGGGGCCCUCCCCAAGAUACCUCGUGAUUAAGAUCAAAAAAAAAAAAAAAACAAACACUGUCAACAAGCAUUAAUGUCAUUUGACGCAUGAAAGACAAUUAGUCCCAUUUUUUGUCCUGUUUACUUGAACACCACUAAUUCCAACAAUUUAUCCAAAAAAAAAUAUAGUUACUCUUCUUCUUUUUUUUCCGAUCUGUUAAUGAAUGCUCCUACUCCUAUCAGUUCUAUAUCCAACUCGACCUCGGAAGCUAAUUCGCGUGGGCUUUGUUGGAAUAAUGGUAUCGAUUGGAAUUGUAAGGAAAGAGGUCUUCGUGUCGUGGACAGCUCAACCGAAGAGAGCAGAUGAAUAUCUUAUGUGAAAUUCAUUGAUGAAUGCCCUUUGCAGAAGCAGGAAAUAAGCUGCCUAAAAGUAAGCAUUAGAUGAAUGCCCGAUCGAACACCACUAAUUCCAACAAUUUAUCCAAAAAUAUCUUUGAGUUUCAAGGAAUGAAUGUAGCACGAAUGGCCAAGUUUUUCAAGUUUUUAAAUAUUUGAUAUAUGUCAUGUUCUGACUUAGUACGAGAAGAAAAUUAUAGAAUUUUUUUUAAAUUAAUGGAAUUAUUUUACGAUAAAACUAUCACAAUCACAUUUAAAAAUAUUCUUUAAAUUUUCACUAUUUCUACUGUUAUUCUUUAAACUCUUUCUGAACAGAGCAUGAAGAGUCACUUAUCUAAAUAUAUUUUUUUGUGCUUUCACUUCACUUGAUUCAUCUUAUCCCUCUUUUAUAGAACCUGCAACUCGUAUUUUACGUUUCUGUUACUUUCUCUUCCAUUUUCCCGACUCCCAAACACCAUCAAUCCUUGAUGUUACAGAGUAUAUUAAUUAAUUAAUGGGCCACUAAUUCUUCUUCUUAAAAGAAAAUUUUUGUAGGGAAAUUGGAAAAAAGGCUAAUUCAAUUUAAUUUUGAUAGGUGCGAGAGAAGGAUAGGACCGUCCAAUUAAAUUGCAAGUGGGCAUUCCCACCAUUCGUGUCACAUGCUUGUCAUAUUUAAAUUUAAAAAUCACACCAUGUCAGUAUGGUGAUGAUGUGGAAUUGUUUCACCGAAAUUUUUAUCUUCGUAACUGUUGUAGAAAAAAGCGUGCUCCCAGUGGAUGCUUCUAUUGAGUGGCAGAAUCAGUAUUUUAUUUCGAUGGUGGCCAUAAUAAUUAAACUACUGAUUAAGUUGGUUGUGACAUAAAAUCAAUGUUGUAUAAUUUUUUGGAUAUUAUCUCAAUUUUACUUCUGUAGGUUUGUUGUUUGUAUAUUAUCUCAAUUUUUAAAAAAAUGUAAUUGCAAUUAUCAAACACGACUAAUCCCAACAAUUUAUCCAAAAAUUUUUUAUGAUAGAAUGGCUAAUUUUUUUAAUCGACUUUCUGGAUAAAUGAUAAUUUUUUGAUAGAAAUGUUACUUAAGUAUUACAGGAAGAAAAUUAUAGAAUAAUUUUUUGAAUUAAUAGUAUUACUUUACGAGAACACUAUCACAAUCUAAUUUUAAAAAAAUAAAGUUAUUCGUUAAAUUUCGAAUUAUCAAGCAAAAGGCAAAAAUAGUUCAACAUCUGCUGUCCCACUGAGCAUUGUUAAAUUCAUACGAUAAAAUGAGUACUUAUAUUAAAAAAACAAUCAGUCCCAUUGCGUGCUCUUUCAUUGACAUAGGCAAGUUGCGGUCAACUUGUGGCACUUUUAUGAAUUUUCAAGAUGGGUGAAUUUUUCAAAAUUAAAAGAAAAAAAUAAAGAAAUGUAAUUUCAAUUUAUCCAAAAAUUUGAGUUUCAAGGAAUACAGCAUUUAUUAUAUGUCAUGUUAAUAUAGAGAAGAAAAUUUUAAAAACUUCUUUUUGGAUGAAUAAAAGUAUUUUCUGAUAAAUAUUUCACAAUCAUAUUUAAAAAUUUUCACUCCUCUUGGUACAUAAUUUAAGAAUUUAACAUUAUAAAUUAAUCUUUUUAAUCAAAGUAAUAAUCUCUCCUCGGUCUGCAAAUGCUAAAAUUUAAUAUUAUAUCCGUUGACGAUAUUUGCUCCAAAUUCACGAAAAUAAAAUUUGUAACAGAAUUAUGAAAUUCGUUACUAGAAAAUUGUAUAAAAGUUGUGAGAAUAGAAGGUUUGAUCAUAGGAAAUUAAUAUAACCCUAUCCGAUGCAAAAAUGAUUGUAAAGAAAAACAAAAGUCACGGGCUUAUUUAGAAAAAAGAAAAAAUUACGUUCCAUUUUCCAGUUAUUAAAGUAAUUCUAAAAUCACUAGGAUCACAAAGGAUAGGCUUUGGUUGACUGAGGUCAGCCUUAACGCUUUUCUCCUCUACAUUCUUAGAAAUUUUGGUUUCACUAUAAAUACUCGGUAUAUAACAAACUUAUAAGUGUUCUUGCAUUACCAAUCCAACUAAGCACACGCUUACAAUCUCAUGGAAAGAGUUCAUUCUCUCAGGAUGAUGAGCAGAUUUCUCUUACUCCAUUGUUUGAUUCUUAUUUCCUUAUUUAUCGCAGCUGCAACAGCCAACAGAAGUACUAUUACCACAGACCGAGAUGCUCUGCUUGCCAUGAAAGCUCACAUAACUCAUGAUCCAACCAAUUUCUUCACCAAAAAUUGGAAUACAGGUACUCCUGUCUGCAACUGGACAGGCGUCACUUGUGAUGUCUAUAGCCAUAGAGUCACAGUCUUGAAUAUUUCUCGUUUAAAUCUCACCGGCACCAUCCCUUCUCAACUCGGGAAUCUUUCGUCUCUACAAUCACUCAAUCUGAGUUUUAAUCGACUUUCUGGUUCCAUUCCCUCCGCCAUCUUCACCACGUAUACACUGAAACAUGUUAGUCUCAGUGAAAAUCAACUCUCUGGGCAAAUUCCUACAAAUAUUUGUAGUAAUCUUCCUUUUCUUGAAUUUUUUUCUUUGACCGGAAACAUGUUCCAUGGCGGAAUACCGUCCACUCUAUCAAAUUGCACAUAUUUGCAAAAAUUAGGUUUGGUAAACAAUAAUUUCUCGGGGGCCAUACCUAAAGAAAUCGGCAAUUUGACCAAACUUAAGAUAUUAUAUCUUGGCGGUAACAGGCUCCAAGGUGCGCAUGAUCACGAAGUUUAAUUAUGAAAAUUGUUGCAUAAGUUGUAGUAUGAAUAAUGUUCCAUAAUACAGUUUACACACGUUCAUUAAUUUGCAGGAGAAAUUCCUCGAGAAUUUGGCAAUCUUACGGAAUUGGAGCGGAUGUCGUUGGCAGGCAACAAUCUUCAAGGCAUGAUUUUAAACUUUUUGCAAUUUUAUUUUAGCGAUGAUUUAUUGUUUGAUUAUGCGAUGAUUUUAAACUUCUGUAUUCAUUCGCUUGUUCUUUGAUUAUACGAUGAUUUAUUGUUUUUCUUUCAGAUAGAGAUAACGCUCCAUGUCUCCCCUCACUCAUUUCAUUCUUUGAUUUAUGCAGAUAAAAAUUAAAAAAAAAAAAUGUUUUGUAAUUUUCUUUUGUCAUUGCCACUUCCGUUUUGAAGCUCCCAAUUAAGUCGAUCAAAAUGAAUGAUGUUUCAUUCUUAUUCUUGUCAGCCUAAUCUAUAUAUCUAUCUAUCUAUAUAUAUAUAUAAAGUUGAGACUUGAGGAGGUGAUGUGGCAUCACCAUUUCUCUUCUUUGUAUAUUCUCUAUUAUCUAAUAAAUUGAGAAAUUUUCUUUUAGAUUUGACUUUUCAUCUUCUCAUAAUUAAUUUGAUUGUUAUUAUACAAUAACAAUUAUGUAAAAAUUUUAAUUUUAAUGAGACAUAUUCUUUGUAAUGAAUAUCCAAAGAGAAGUGUUAUGAAUUUAUUAAAAUAAAUGUAAAUGUUCAUAACAUAUAUCUCUUAGUCUCCCCACUAUCUCUCAUUAGCAACCUUUAGCUUCCCUAUAACUCCCACUAUCUCACAAAGAAUUAUGAUCCAUAAUUUUUUAUUAAUUUCAUGGAGUGAUUAUAUAACUAUAAAAGGAGAGCUCAUCUUUUUGUUUUGUACACACACAAUUGGAAUGAAUAAAAUCACUCUAUAAUAAAUUAUCUCAUUGUAUUUUGUAUCUUGCAUUGCGUAUUUAUUUGUAUUGCUGGCUAAUAGCUUUUUUUGUUUUUUAUAAGGUUGCCUCAUCUUAAAAACAAUCAAUUCAUAUUUUUUAUCAGUUUCAUCAAGUGUAAAGUAACAAAAAAAAAAGAUAAUACUAAAUUCUUUUUUCAAAGCCGCGUGAAACGCGGGUAUAUUUUCUAGUUCUUAUAUAAAUGAAGAGUAAAUUGUUAUUACGAUAUUCGUCAGCCAAUAAAUUCUUCUUUUUUUUUCCCCCCAAACAUGAGUGAUCAAAUUGUUUGCGCAUAUAUAAAUGUACUUAAUUUGCAGGAGGUAUUCCACGGGAAUUGGGGAAUCUUACAAAAUUGGAGUGGUUACAGCUGUUCCGGAAUAACUUGACCGGUAACUUUCUUUACAAUAUAUAUACGAGACAUCUUCCGCUUUUUAUUAGAAAUUAUAAGUUCGAGUUAAAUCUUAAUUAAAAGAUUUCAAGUCUCUCAUUAUAAAUUCUCAUAUGAGGAUGUGUCGUUACCACUAUUGAUCUAACAUUAUUCCGUUUUUUAUUAGAAAUUAGUUUGUGUUAAUUCAAAAUUCUGUAGCAUUUAAAAAAAUUAAAAACACGUGGAAUAAAUUGUUAAUCUUUCUUCUUUACUGAAUUUGGAUUUCUCAAAAAUAAUUUUGACAAGUAUGCUUCACUAAUGAUACGCAUGUGUGACAACUUCAUAAAAUAUUUUACAGGGAAUCACUAAUUAUGUUUAAAUAAUUAGAGAUGCCAGCAGUGAUACAUAAUUUCUUAACAAGCACCAUACCAAAAGAAAACAACAAUUUUAUUAAUCUUAAAGAGUUACAUCUUCAUUGCAAUUAUAACAUAAAUUUUUAGUCAUCAAUCGCAUAAUAUUUUAUCUCAACGGAUGAUGUUCAGUCUUGGAAUUUAUAAUAUCUUGAAGGGUAGUAGCUUUGAAAAUAAGAAAUUGUUCAUUUGCUAAAAAGUUAACUUAGUAUUUAAGUUUUCCAAUAAAAAGCGUUGAGAACUGGCGCUCCAUAGUAUUUCAGCAGAUAAAUAUGAAAAAUAUGUUAGAAUAAAUUAUUUUACUGAAAUAAGAGUUAAAAAGAGGGAAGUACAAUACUCAUGACUUAGGCUUGUUGUGUGUGCUUAUUCUACUUGGGCUUUGGGCUUGAUUACCCCCGUUAUAAUAAUAGGCUUUUACUUUCACCACACAUGAUGAUUUCUUAACCUUCCCAAUUAGGUUAUAGCAAUUUAUAUAUAAAUAAUAAAGCAUACUAAAGCUAGCAUUGAUGUAUGGAUGAGUGGUGUAAAAAGUGUAUAUGUUUUCAUGUAUUAUUUAUUCACUAAAACAUAUCUGAACAGGGGUGGAUCUAGGAAUUUGUAUUACCCCGGGCUAAAUUAAAAAAUUUAUAUUUUAAAGUGAACAUAAAAAUUUAUAAGUAGAAAAAACUGCAUCAAAUAAGGGGGGCACGAAAAAUCUUAUCGCUAUAAGUUAUAAACAAAAAUAGUUAUAUAAAAAGAGUAGAAAACAAAAGCAAUUAAAAAAAUAAAACACUAUUUUACAAUUAUGAAAUCUGACUCUAAUAAAAUGUGAUUAUACAAGGAUUAUAUAAGGUUUAAUAUAUUAAUUAAGGAUUUUAAGCUGAAAAAAAUGAAUACAUGUAAUUACAAUCAAUUAAAAAUUGAAGUAAAACUUUAAUGUUUGAAGUCAAGUACUUAAUUACCAGGUUUCAAUAAAUUAAACAAUUCAAAUUUAUUCCUCUUUUUAAAUUAUAAAAAUAUUAUUAGUCAAAAGUUUCAAUUAUAAACUAAAUUCAACCUAACAAAAAUGUAUUUGGGUGUUGUUGUUUCUUUGCCAAACGCUCUAACUCUCUUUAAAGAACCAGUUGUUGAUGAUUUUUCUAUCAAAUUAAAGCUCCUCAAAAUAUUCAAAUUUUAUCUUAGUUAAUAUAACUAAUAAAUAAAAUCUCAAAAUUUACAUAAAAAGUUUAUGAAAAUGUUGAUAAUUGUUACUACAUGUUUUUUUUAAGUUGUUUAAUACUAGUGACAAUUUUAUAUUAGAUUGACAUACUUUUUUUCAAUUAGAAUUUUUUUAAAAUAAAUUAAAGUAAUAACAUUUUACCCCCUAAUGUUUUUUAUCUACAUUGUAAAUAUAUAAUUUACUCAUUUUAUAAAAUAAGUCACUAAUUUCAAUUGGAAAAAAAUAUAAUUGAAUUAAGGACAUAUUUAAAAAUAAAAUAAAAACUCUAUUAUAGUAUAAAAUUAAUGAAAAUAUAAGGAUAAUUAUAUUAGGGACAUGCAUGAAAACAAAAUAAAAUCUCUAUUAUUGUCUAUAAUUGAUAGUAAAAUAAGGGGUAUGAAUGAUUGUUUCCUAAGUUUGACCAGGCUACAGCCCGGUCUAGCCUUGCUGCAGGUCCGCCACUGUAUCUGAAUACAAUUCUUUCAAAAUACGGAUGAAAUAGCACAUGAAAUCGGAAAUAUUUUAUUGCGAUGAGAAUUCGUAUAUUCAUUGUAGUAGACUAUAAAUUUAUUAUUCUUUGAAACAAAUCUGAUUAUAAUUCCUUCAAAAUUAAGUUUGUCAUUAAAUGAUUUCUCAGGAGCCCUACCAAAAGAAAUCGGGAACUUGACCAAACUCAAGAAAUUAUCUCUUGGCGGUAACAGACUCCAAGGUGCGCAUGAUCACGAAGUUUAAUUAUGAAAAUUGUUGCAUAAGUUGCAGUUUGAAUAAUGUUCCAUAAUACACUUUACACACGUUGAUUAAUUUGCAGGCGAAAUUCCUCGAGAGUUUGGCAAUCUUGCCAAAUUGGAGGUGAUGUUGUUAUGGGAAAACAAUCUCCGAGGUAUGAUUAUAAACUUUUUGCGUUUUUUAUUAGAAAUUAAUUUGUGUUAAUUCAAAAUUCUGUAGCAUCUAAAAAAAUUAAAAACACAUGGAAUAAAUCGUCAAUCUUCUAAUUUGGAUUUCUCAAAAAUUAUAUUGACAAGUAUGCUUCACUAAUGAUAUACAUGUGUGACAACUUCAUAAAAUAUUUUACAUGGAAUCACCAAUUACCUUUAAAUAAUUGGAGAUGCCAUCAGUGAUACAUAAUUUCUUAAUAAGCAUCUUAUCAAAAGAAAUCAACAAUUUUAUUAAUCUUAAAAAGUUACAUCUUUACUGUAAUUAUGAAAUAAAUUUUUAGUCAUCAAUCACAUAAUAUUUUAUCUUAACGGAUGAUGUUCAGUCUAAGAAUUUAUAAUACCUUGAAGGUUAGUAGCUUUGAAAAUAAGAAAUUGUUCAUUUGCUAAAAAGUUAACUUAGUAUUUAAGUUUUUCAAUUGAAAAUUUUGAAAAAAGUCUUGAGAACUAGCCCUCCUUAGUAUUUCAGCGGAUAAAUAUGAAAAAUAGGCUUGAAGAAAUUAUUGUUGUGUGUGCUUAUUCUACUUGGGCUUUGGGCUUGAUUACACGGUCGAGCACUUACACCUGUCAUAAUAAUAGGCUUUUACUUUCACCACACGUUUGAUAAUUUCUUAACCUUCCGAAUUAAAUCUGAUUAUAAUUCUUUUAAAAUACAAAUUAAAUAGCACGUGAAAUCGGAAAAUAUUUUACAGCGAUAAGAAUUCAUAUAUUCAUUGUACCAGCACAUAUAAAAUAGACUAUAAAUUUAGUUCCAAAAUACAUUCUUAUCUUCAUAUAAAUUUUACAUUAUUAAUUUAAAUUAAUAUUAAAAUAUGUUGUUUCUUUCACUAUGUUAUUUUAUUUACACAGUUUACACACGUUGAUUAAUUUGCAGGAGAAAUUCCUCUAGAGUUUGGCAAUCUUGCCGACUUGGAGUGGAUGUCGUUGGCAGGCAACAAUCUCCAAGGCAUGAUUUUAAACUUUUUGCAAUUUUAUUUUAGCUAUGCUUGCUUCUGUAUUAAUUCGUUUGUUUAUUAAUUAUGCAAUGAUUUAUUGCUUUUCUUUCAGAUAGAGACAAAGCUCCAUGUCUCCCCUCACUCAUUUCAUUCUUUAAUUUAUGCAGAUAAAAAUAAAAAUAAAAUCUUUUGUAAUUUUCUUUUGUCAUAUUGCCACAUCCGUUUUGAAGCUCCCAAUUAAGUCGAUGAAUUAGAAUGAUGCUUCACUCUUAUUCUUGUCAGCCCAAUUCUUAUAUAAUUGAAGAGUAAAUUGUUAUUAUGAUAUUUGUCAGCCAAUAAAUUCUUUUUUUCCCCCCAAAUAUGAGUGAUCAAAUUGUUUGCGCAUAUAUAAAUGUACUUAAUUUGCAGGACGUAUUCCACGGGAAUUGGGGAAUCUUACAAAAUUGGAGAUAUUACAGCUGUUCACGAAUAACUUAUCCGGUAACUUUCUUUAUGAUAUAUAUAUAUAUGAGACAUCUUCCGCUUCUUAAUUAAUAGAUUUCAAGUCUCUCAUUAUAAAUUCUCAUAUGAGGAUGUGUCGUUACCUCUAUCUAACAUUAUUCUGUUUUUUAUUAGAAAUUAGUUUGUGUUAAUUCAAAAUUCUGUAGCAUUUAAAAAAAAUUAAAAACACGUGGAAUAAAUUGUUAAUCUUUCUUCUUUACUGAAUUUGGAUUUCUCAAAAAUAAUCUUGACAAGUAUGCUUCACUAAUGAUAUGCAUGUGUGACAACUUCGUAAAAUAUUUUACAUGGAAUCACUAAUUAUCUCUAAAGAUGCCAUCAGUGAUAAUAUUUUAUCUUAACCGACGAUGAUGUUCAGUCUUGGAAUUUAUAAUAUCUUGAAGGUUAGUAGCUUAGAAAAUAAGAAAUUGUUCAUUUGCUAAAAAGUUAACUUAGUAUUUAAGUUUUCCAAUUGAAAAUUUUGAAAAAAGCGUUGAGAACUGGCGCUCCAUAGUAUUUCAGCGGAUAAAUAUGAAAAUUUAUCCAAUUGUUCAUUUGCUAUAAAUUCAUUAUUCUUUGAAGCAAAUCUGAUUAUAAUUCCUUCAAAAUUAAGUUUGUCAUUAAAUGAUUUCUCAGGAGCCAUACCAAAAGAAAUCGGGAAUUUGACCAAACUCAAGGAAUUAUCUCUUGACCUUAACAGACUCCAAGGUGCGCAUGAUCACAGAGUUUAAUUAUGAAAAUUGUUGCAUAAGUUAUAUGGAUAUCCUUGAUAACCGCAGCAAGCAAACAAAAUCAAAUAAAAGCUAACUGAGACUCGAAUAUCCUAAACCCUGAAAAGGAAUGGUAAUGGUAUAAUAUGGAUUCUGUAGGCAUAUUUCACUGGACUCAACAUUUAUGGUUAAUUUACAACUCUUUGUUGUAGAGUCUGAGAAAUUGCUUUAUAUUAGGGGUGGGGAAAAUAAUGCUGGGCCACGAAUUUCAGGCAGAAUCCAGAUUGGGCCCAAUUAGACUUAUAGCUCAGCUCUGUGUCGAUAUCUGGGCCUUUACAAAUAACUAAUGGGCCAAUUAAUAAUAAUAAAUAAAUUACACACGGUCGAACACUUACACAGUUCCCUAGACACAUGCUUUCACUUUCACCACACAUUUGAUAAUUUCUUAGCCUUCCCAAUUAGUUUAUAGCAAUUUAUAUAUAAAUAACUAAAGCAUACUAAAGCUACCAUUGACGUACGGAUGAGUGGUGUCAAAAGUGUAUCUUGUUUUAUUUAUUAUUGUCCUAUGAUACAAAUCUGAAUAAUGGAAUAUAAUGCUUUGAAAAUACCGAUGAAAUAGCACAUGAAAUCGGAAAAUAUUUUACUGCAAUAAGAAUUCAUAUAUUCAUUGUAGUAGCACAUAUAAAAUAGACUAUAAAUUUAAUUUUAAAAUACAUUCUUAUCUUCAUAUAAAUUUUACAUUACUGAUUUAAAUUAACAUUAAAAUAUGUUGUUUCUUUCACUAUGUUAUUUUAUUUACACAAUGAUGUGACUAUUGGAAUUAAUAAUACUUAUAAUUAUUUUGUAAAAUUUAAUACUUUGUUAACAUUUUAUCUACAUAUAAUAAUUAAACUGAAACUUGUAUUUAAAAAAUUCUAGUUACGCAUAUUCAUUUCAUGACAUAAAAGUGUAUAUUUAUGCUAAUUUACCAGUAUCAACAAAAUUCUUUUGAGACAAAUAAUCUAAUUUAUAUUUGUAUAUUUAAAAUACUUGCAUUUAUUAUAUUUUGAAAAAAACUUUAUUUGCAAUUAUUUUAAACUGUUGGAUUCAAAUUUUCGUAGUUAUUAAAGUCAAAUGGUACAAAUGUAGAAUAGUCAAAAACAGAUUUGUAUAAUCAUUUUUCGAUGUAUAAAUUUCUUAGUUAGUAGGAAAAUUAGAAAUAGUUGAUUUACUCAUAAAUAAAUUUAAUGUCAAUUUUGGAAAACUUGAACUAAAUGUUGAUAACUUCGAAUCGGUCGAGCUGAGUUUCUCUUCCUUGACCCACGGACCCAUUGAAAGUUCUAUUCGAAUUGAGUUUCCCGGUGCUUAUAAAAAGCAUUUCUUUUCCUUGUUGCAGUAAUUUAUUCACAAAUGAGUUUAUUAGCAUCGAAGUUACCGGAGAGUCUGAGACCAUGCUAGUAGGAGAAAUUUGAAAAGAAAUUAUUUUACUGAAUUAAUUUAUUUUAUCUUCUUGUAACUGAAAUACUACUUUUUUUUUUUGGGCUAUCACUGGGGCUUGAUUUACUUUAAUAGUAGCAGCCACCGACUUAGGCAUUUUUUACUUCUCACCACACAAUUUGAUCUUUUAAUUCGUUUUAACCACAUAAUCUAUCUAUCUCUCACCUAUUGCUUACUUAAAUCUCAUGCAUAUUUUACCUACUAAUUUUUAUAAAUAUUAGUCAAAUAUAUUUUAUUACGUUUCUCUUGUAACUGCUCCAAAUGUGUACUAUUAACACUUAACCCUCCCUUUUAAUUUACCGUGCAAUCUAUCUAUCACUUAAGUCAGAUAUAUAUUUUACCUAUAUUUUACCCCAAAAAAUAUAAAAAUAAAAGAAAAAUAAUAUGUGUACCAAUUUGCAUAUAACUAACAAAGCAUUGACGGCGUGUAGCCUUUCAAUACUUCACGAGUGGCUUUUCUUGUGUGUUAGUACUUGUAAUAAUUGUGUAGCGUAUAAAUGACAUUUUAUUAUUAAAGUGCGUCCAUUUUUAUAUAUUACUUAUUAUUUGAAAAAUAAUCUGAAUAUAAUUCUUUUAAAAUAUAGGGGAGAUACCACUUGAAAUUGGUAAUCUCCAAAAUCUGGAGGAGUUGGACCUUCGUCAAAACAAAUUAAUUGGUACUGUCCCAGUUGCAAUCUUUAAUGUGUCAACACUCAAAUUACUUGGGCUUCAAGAUAAUUCUCUCUCUGGAAGUCUUUCGUCCAUCACAGACGUCCGACUACCAAAUCUUGAAGAGCUUGUUUUGUGGGGUAAUAAUUUCAGUGGUAGAAUUCCUCGUUUCAUCUUUAAUGCUUCUAAGCUCUCUAUACUAGAAUUGGAAGAGAACUCAUUCUCCGGUUUUAUUACCAACACAUUUGGCAACUUAAGAAACCUUGAGCGGCUUAAUUUACAAGAUAAUUAUUUGACAUCUUCAACUCCAGAAUUGAACUUUCUAUCCUCGUUGUCAAAUUGCAAGUCUUUAACAGUUAUUGGCUUAUCAAAUAAUCCACUAGAUGGCAUUCUUCCCAAGACGUCUAUCGGAAAUCUUUCUCAUUCUUUGGAAGAUUUUCAAAUGCACAAUUGUAACGUUACUGGUGACAUCCCUGAAGAGAUCGGCAACUUGACCAACUUGAUAACCAUUGAUUUAGGAGGCAAUAAAUUGAAUGGAUCGAUUCUGAUUACUCUUAGCAAAUUACAAAAGCUUCAAGGUUUGGUUCUUGAUGAUAACAAAUUAGAAGGAUCAAUCCCAGAUGAUAUUUGUCGUUUGGCUGAGCUGUAUAAAUUGGAGUUGGGUGGCAAUAAGCUUUCAGGAUCAAUCCCUGCAUGCUUCAAUAAUUUGAUUGCUCUGAGGAUACUGUCGUUGGGUUCCAAUGAGUUAACUUCUAUUCCCUUAACUUUUUGGAACCUUAAGGAUAUCUUGUACCUCAACUUUUCUUCAGCCCACUCCCAUUAGAGAUUGGAAAUUUGAAGGUUUUGGUUGGAAUUGAUUUUUCGAUGAAUAAUUUUUCAGGCAUUAUCCCAAAAGAAAUUGGAGGCCUAAAAAAUCUAGAAUAUCUCUUCUUAGGAUAUAAUAGAUUGCAAGGAUUGAUUCCUGAUUCAUUUGGUAAUUUGAUAAGUUUGAAAUUCUUGAAUUUGUCCAAUAAUAAUCUCUCUGGGGCAAUUCCUGCAUCUUUAGAGAAACUCUCAUAUCUUGAAGAUCUAAAUCUUUCUUUCAACAAGCUAGAAGGAGAAAUUCCUAGGGGAGGAUCUUUUGGAAACUUCUCAGCUGAAUCAUUUGAAGGAAAUGAAUUAUUAUGUGGUUCACCUAAUUUACAAGUCCCGCCAUGCAAAACUAGCAUCCACCACCCAUCAUGGAAUAUUUCUCUUCUCCUGGGGAUUGUCUUGCCAUUGAGUACUACAUUAAUGAUAGUAGUCAUUUGGUUGAUCCUAAGAUAUCGACAGAGAGGAAAACAACCAUCGAAUGAUGCUAAUAUGCCACUCGUAGCAAUGUGGAGAACGUUUUCAUACCUAGAACUUUGUCGAGCAACAGACGGAUUUAGUGAAAACAAUCUAAUCGGCAGAGGAGGGUUUGGCUCUGUUUAUAAGGCAAGACUUGGGGACGGGAUGGAGGUUGCAGUGAAGGUCUUCAAUUUGCAAUGUAGAAGAGCAUUUAAGAGUUUCGAUGUUGAAUGUGAAAUAAUGAAAAGUAUUCGCCAUCGAAACCUUAUCAAAGUUAUUAGCAGUUGUUCAAAUGAAGAGUUUAAAGGGUUGGUAUUAGAAUACAUGCCUCAGGGAAGUUUGGAGAAGCAUUUGUAUUCGACUAACUGCAUUUUGGAUAUUUUUCAAAGAUUGAACAUAAUGAUAGAUGUUGCAUCAGCUUUGGAAUAUCUGCACUUUGGUUGUUCAACUCCAGUAAUUCAUUGUGACUUAAAGCCCAGCAAUGUAUUGUUAGAUGAUAAUAUGAUUGCUUAUUUGAGUGAUUUUGGCAUCGCGAAGCUCUUAAUUGGAGAAGAUCAGUCUAUGACUCAGACGCAAACACUUGCCACAAUAGGUUAUAUGGCACCAGGUUUGUUCAAUAUAAAUAUUUUCUAUUUCUUGUAAACUUCCUAAUAAGUUAUUUAUGUUUCAUAAUCUUCAUUAGAUGAGGAAAUUAUUAUUAAUGAUAUAUCUUACUAUAUAAAUGUUGCAAUUCAUAGAGUAUGGAAGAGAAGGACGAGUAUCCACAAAUGGAGAUGUUUAUAGCUUUGGAAUUAUGUUAAUGGAAACUUUUACCGGGAAGAAACCCACAGAUGAAAUUUUUAAUGGAGAAAUGACAUUAAAGCAUUGGGUUAAUGAUUGGCUACCCAUUUCCACUAUGGAAGUUGUUGAUGCUAAUUUGCUAAGCCAGGAGGACGUACAUUUUGUUGCAAAGGAGCAAUGUGUGUCAUUUGUCUUCAAUUUGGCUAUGGCGUGCACUGUGGAAUCUCAUGAGCAGAGAAUCAAUGCAAAAGAAAUUGUAACAAAGCUCUUAAAAAUUAGAGACUCAUUACUUAGAAAUGUUGGAGGCAGACGUAUAAGACAACCAAAUUUAAAUUGAUUCUACCCCUCCAUUGCUUGCUAUCCUUUUCAGAGACUUGAACGGUUAUCCUUCAUACCAGUUUUGUUGAUAUGUUUUGUUAUUGCUCUUGCUUAUGUUUGUUUCUCUAUUUCUUUAAUUUGCAUGCAUGUAUUUUUCGUUCUCUUUUAUGUAUUUGUUGGUUUGUAUGUAGUUUGUUUUUAGGGGUAAGGUUGAUUAUGUCCUCCCCUAAUUAGACGUAUCCUUUUUAUGUUUAUUCAAUAAAGCUUCUCUAAUACUAUCGAGGUUCAUCAAAAGAAAAUUUUUAAUUAAUUUUCUUUUCUUUGACAGGUAAUGAAAUUCUAAUCUUCAUAGUGAAUAACUUCAAUAAUAGAGUGUAAGAGUAUUAGUAGUUAUGGUUGUUUUUUGAACCUGGAGUCAAGAGCAAUUUAACAGCAACAAACAAGUCUCUUGUAUUAUAGGCAAAAUUCUUUUCAUUAAUCUUAUUUGUCUACAUGUUCUCCUAUUUUCUCCAUUAAUCUUCGCUCAAGGUUUCAUGCUUCCUCUUUGAUAAAGGAAAAUAUUACUCGUGAAUAUUUCAAAUUUUCAAUUUGACAUGAGCGACUAUUUGCCAGCCAUUUGAUAAAAUGGAUAUGAGUGGAGUUUUCAAUCAUUACCUCCACCAAAAUCCUUACAACGCCACUUUUUAAUUUUAUUUUUUAAAAUACAUUCAGUUUAAUUUUAAAAAAUAAAUCCAUUUGUAAAAUUUAAUCUUUUUCUCAUAAAUUUCAACCUAAAAAAUAUAUUUCUUUUAAAUUUUUAUUAUAAAAUACUUACAAGUUCUAAACUAUUAAAUUAUUUUCUUCUUAUUAUAUAGUUUAUAUCUCCAUAACUCUAAACUCCUAUAAUUUCUUAAAAAAAAAAUUUUAAUUUAAAAUAUAAAUAUAAAAUAUAGAAUGGAGUGAGUAUAAAAAAACUUGUUAAAAUAAUAAUUCUUUUAAGUAUUUAACUGAAUUUUAAAUUAAAAUAAGAAAUAAAUUAUUUUUUUGGGAAAUAUUUAACCUACCCCCAAAUAAAUUGACAUUUUGCACCGCGUCCCCAAAAAAUUUGAUUUGUUGCACCGCGCCUCCAAUUCCGUUAUUUUCUCAGUUAAGUUUAACGGUGAGGGGGUAAAAUUGGAAGUUUAUUCCUCAAAUUACUUUUAAUAGGAAUUCUCUUUAUUGCAAUUGAAAUAAAAAUCUUUAAAAAUUAAAGGAAAAAUAAUAGUGGUGACAAUGUACAUGUAACAAGAAAUUUUUUUUAUUGCAAUUGAAAUAAAAAUCUUAAAAAAAUUAAAGGAAAAAUAAUAGUGGUGACAAAUGUACAUGUAACAAGAAAUUUUUUUUAUUGCAAUUGAAAAUUAAAGGAAAAAUAAUAGUGGUGACAAUGUACAUGUAACAUCAAUAAAUUUUUAUUACAUCUAUAAUAAGACAACUAUAGUGAGAUUACUCUUAUUUAGUUGAAUUGUAUGUAAUAAAAUUAGUUUAAAAAAAUCUAACCCGUCAGUAUUCCAUAUCACAUGAUUAACGUAUUUAAAAAAUCUUAGCUGUUCCGUCGCUUGUUUUAAACACUGCAGCAACAACCGGUAUAAAAUAGACUGAACUCAUUUAAUGGGAAUUUUUCUCAUUGGUCUAUUUCUCUUCGCACCUUAGGUUCCUCUAACAAACUUAAAAGAUGUUCCCCAUCCCACGUGUCUCCAAAUCUUCGUAUUUCCAAACAAACCCCUGCCAAAUAGAGAAGAGGAUGGCUUUUAUUGCAAACUGUAUGAACGUUAUGGCCAUGGGACAUUGGAUCAAAAUCAAACCAAUGGAUUGUAAAGCAAACUUACCGAUUAAAAAUUCAACCAAUUGAAUCGGUUUGGUGUCACUUAAAAAAUAAAUAAUAUAUAAAACAACACAAUUAUCAUAUUAAUGAGCCACUGUUAUAUUCAUUCAGUCAGUAUUUUUCUUUUCCCAUUUUCAAUGAAUGCUUAAUUUUCCAUAUGGAAAACAAUUUGUCCCAUUGAGCACUGUUUAAAUCAUUCCCUAGUUUGUUUAACACGCAAAGAAUAUUCUUAUUUGUAAAAAUUCAUUUAAGUGAUGACUGUGAUAUGACUUGACCAAUCGUUUAAUUUGUAUAAUUUAUAAAAAUUUGAGCUUCAAGUAAUGUAGAUAGAAUGGUUAAUUAUUUUAAUAUUCAGAUAAAUUGAUAUAUGUCAUUAUAUUAUGAGUGGAUGAAAUAUCCAAUAGAAAAAAAAAUAUUUGUAUUCGUCAUUUUUAGUGGGAAUCGAUUUAGUGUAACUUAUCCAUAAAAAUGGUUGCCGACUUAUCUUGUUUCUCAUUUUGUUUAAUUUUCAUAAAUUUGACUCAUGAUUAAUUGUGAGUGAAGAAUUUUUUGGAAAAAAUCUGGUCUUCCAUUUAUUUUGUAGGAUUUAAAAGAUUAAAAAACUUUAAUACAUAUAAUUUUAUGUUCGAAACUAAAUACUCGUAGUAUUGCUGCUUCUAUAAAUAACUCAUUUGAGCUUCCAGCCUGUUAUUUGUAUUUUACGUUUCUGUUUCUCUUCCUCUUCAUAAAGAUUUUUUUUUUUCCAUUCUCUUUUUCUUCCACUUUCCCGACUCCCAAACACCACCAGUCUUUGAUUUUCCUAGAGUAUUAACUAUCUGUUUACACGAACAUAGACCGACAGUUUGCCUAAUUACUAUCAAGAAACAACAUACUCUGUCUCGGGGUCUCUUCGUUUAUUGACUUGUCACUUGUGAACGGGCUAAUUAAAGGGCGUUCCUUCCUUCAAGAAAGGAUAACGUUACCCCGUUAUUCGGUAAUGACUGUCCGAUUGUCUUCGCUUUCAUUGACUUCGCAACUGUGAAUUCUAAGCCGGGUUAAGGAUUGACAAAAUGUUAUAACCCAUAAAGCACGGAUAAUUAAUUAAUGGGCCACUGAUUUCUUCUUUAAAGGCUAAUUCUUGGUAAAGAUCAGAAAGUUCUCAAAUAAAAAUUCGGCUUUGUGGAAAUUAAAUUAAAAGCAAUUAAGCAUUAUAAAUUACUUAACAGCUUAAUCGAGUUUGGUUUUGAAAAAUAUAUCUUUAAAUCUCUUGUAAUUAAAGAUAAUUAUCAUAUUACUGUCUCAAAUGGACCGAUUUCAAUCAAAUGAAAUCUAGAAAAUUGAGCAGCUCAUUGAUGUAUUUGGUCGAAUUGUGACUUGUGUCAGAGUCUUCGUUUUAGAAGAGUGCACAGCAGCUGCCAGGUCCACUUGGCAGUUGGCACGCCAAAAUUUUUCUGUUGACCAAUAAUUUUGAAAGGGAUAUUAUUAAUUUAAUAUCAAAUAUUUUCUAACACAUCACUUUACUAUCAAAAUUUUUUGACAAUAAUUUUUUAUCACUUAAUAUUUCAGUUUUUAUCAUUUUAUCAUCAAAAAAUAGUAAAAGCAUACUUAGUGUAAGUUGUUCAUAAAAAUGGUUGUUGAAUUGUCUUGUUUCUCAUUUGGUUUAAUUUUCAUAAAUUCGACUCACACAAUUCAAUUAUGAGUGAAGAGUUUUUUUGGGAAAAAUCUGGUCUUCCAUUUACUAGAAUCAGGUCUGAAUGAUUUUAUUAUUUUUCUUUUGUUUGAAAUAUACGUGGAAAAUGUUGAACACUUUGUAGGAUUUAGAAGAAUUUGAAAGUUUGAAUGCAUAUAGUUUACUAUCCAUCAGCUAGUGCAUAUUCUGUAUUUUAUGAAAUCAAAGCUGGUUGAUUGAGAAAUGGACCUUAUUACAUGUCAUAAGAUUUUACAGUGCUUUCUAAUGGAGCAAAAUAAAAUGAUUCUUACCUGCACAGAAAAUUAGAAACGAAAAGGAGGGUUACUGAUCCACAGAGUUGUUAUUUACGAGAAGCACAUAGAUAUUACACUUAAUUUAUUAUCCAUCUGUAUUGUUUAGAUGACACUGAAGUAUUACCUAAAUUAGGCUUUCAAAACUUCUUUUUCAAAAAUCUAUGGUUGUGAUGCAUCUCUAUAAACUCACUCGUACAAAUUCUAUCUAAUGCCAAUCAUUUUAACUCUGUUCUGAACAAAGCAUGAAAGGAUAUGUUCACUUAUCUAGUUAUGUUUUCUAUGCUUUCACUUCACUUGAUUCACCUUGUCCCUCGUUUUAGAAGAGUGCAGAGCAGCUGCCUUGUCCAUUAGGCACAGUUUCUUUUCUGGAAUUAGAAAAGAAAAGGAGGAUUACUGAUCCACAGAGGUGUCAUUUACUAGAAGCACAUAAAUCUUACACUUAAUUCAUUAACCAUAUGUAUGUUCUAAUGAUACUUAAGUAUUACCUAAAUUUGCCUUUCAAAACUUCACUUCGAAAAAGUCCAAGGUUGUGAUGUGUCUGUAUAAAUUCGCUAAUACAAGUUCUCUCUAUUCCCAAUUGUUUUAAACUCUGUUCUGAACAGAGCAUGAAAGGAUAUAUUCGUUUAUCUAGUUAUAUUUUUUAUGCUCUCACUUCACUUGAUUCACCUUCUCCAUCUUUUAAAACAGUUGUAUAUGUCGGAGUAUCAAGUUCAUCACAAGGAUCAUAUUAUGGCCCAAGGAAGGAGCACAGUUCAUUGUCUGCACUCAAGCUUAGCAGAGUAUUUUGGGAUUCAAGAGUGUUAGUAGGCCGUUACAGAUGCCAUGCUGGCAAGCGUGCUAUGACUGACUGCUAUUUGCACGUAAAAUUUGCCCAAAACAAAUAGAAUGAGAAUACUUGUACAAAAGGACAAGAUUAAUAAAGUGAAUAAAUUUUAUCUUUUAGUGAAUGCUUCUUGUCUUUUAGAGUUUUAGUGCAUUUUCGUGUGUAAUUUUAUGUGCAAAUAGCAUUACGCAUUAGUAAUUAGUCUAGAGUGUUCUAAUUUCUUCUAAUAAGUAGCUGAUUUGAGCUUAAGACUUGUAUUUUAUGAUUUUGUUACUUUCUAAUAAAGAUUUUCUCUGUUCUUUUUUUACUUUCACUUUCUCUUCCAUUUUCCCGACUCCCAAACACCACCAAUCCUUGGUUUUCUAGAGUAUAGCUAUGUAGUUCUGCAAACACGAAACUGCUGUUUGUCCAAUUACUUUCAAGAAACAACGUACUCUGUGGUUUAUUGACUUGUGACUUGUGGACGGGGCAAAUUAGUCACGGUCCGAUUGUCUCCUCUUCCACUGACUCUGUCAAUUCAUGACUUUGGCACACAGUAGACGCCAGCUGGCUUCUCCACUUGACGUGCAAAAAACUUUCUUGAGUCGGGUUAAAAUCGAUUGAUUAUUUUGUUUGGUGAUGAUGAGUUAUUUGUCAAUUCAUGAGUUUGAUACAGUGAAACGCUUAACGCUCUCUUGUGAUGCGCGGGAGAAAAGCCACCAGCGAUGAUGAAGAGGACGAAAAACAUUAUUUUGUUAUUUAAAAUAAGACUAUCAAUUAUAGGGUAAUGCUAAGUUACAUGCAUGUACCUUACAUCCCUCUCACAUGAAUAGUGUAUGGAUACUAUUCAUGUGAGAGGGUUGUAAGGUACAUGCAUGUAACUUAGAGGGAUCCUCAAUUAUAUAUUCCAAAAUAAUUGAGUUUGGUUAACCAAAGUUGGUUGAUGUGAGUGGUUCGGCACUCUCACUCCUUAAGAGAGAUCAGGGGUUCAAACCCCACUCUCGUAUGGAGUCACCACUUUGGCCAGCACUUUACCCCUUACGGGCCGACUCGGUGCAAGCGGGGAUUAGUCUGGGUUGUGGUACGAGCUUAAAGAUGCCUCCCAUAGUUAGGGUCCACUCAGGACUACCUCGUGGUUCAGACAAAAAAAAAUAAUAAUAAUUGGGUUUGGAUGGCCAUUUGGUUUUUUAAAAUAGCCAAAUGGAAUCUUACCGAAUUAGAGUGCUCGACUUCUUUAUACAGAAUUUUGAAAGUGUGAAAAUCAAGAAAUUAAAUACUCUUCAUAUGGUGGGAGGAGGUUUGGUUGCCGUUAUGCUAAAUAAAAGAAAAAUAAAGUAAAAGUACAAUACUUCAAUAAUCUCAUUCCCAAUCAUACCCGAAAUAAAAUUUUCUGUAUAUUUUUAUGAAAUAAUUAUUUAUUUUACUUUGGUAAUUUUUUUUAUUUAAAGUAAGGUAAACAUCCUUUGCUUUGGCCUUUACUCUUGACUCUAUUUCAUGGUCAUAUUCAAUCUCAUUCUUCUGUAGGUUUGUGGCUGCUUUAUGAGUUACGAUUUUUUAUAGGAUUGCAUGUAGAUGAUACAUUUAUAUACAUUUUUUCUUUUUUCUUUUCUUCUUCGGUGAGCAUAUAAAAAAUUUAGUUUUUGUUACUAUGUGAAAUGAAAAUAGUCCUCAUUUCAAGGAUUAAUGGGCCACUAAUUUCGUCUUCUUAAAAGAAAAUUAAUUAUUUUCAGCGAGGUAAUUGGAAGCUUGAGCAUUUCUAUAUUAUACAGCCAAACAAACCUAAUGGUGCGUUUACUUGCCGGAUUGGGGAAUCGGAAUCAGGAAUCGGAAUGACUGAUGGUGUUUACUUCAUAAAUAUGGAACAUGAAUCGGAAUCGGAAUAGUGGGGCCCACCACUAUUUGGGAAUGGAGAAUGAGAGAUUGAUUCCCAUGGGGGAGGUGGGAAUGUGUCUCCUAUUCCCGGGAUUGACCAUUUUGCCCUUCCCCAAAAUGGAAAAUGCCCACUUUGUCCUCUUUUAUAAUUAAUUAAUAUAAUAUUAUAAUCAAUUAAUUAAUAUAUUAUGAUAAAUAAAUAAAUAAAUAUAUUAUUAACUAUAAUUAUUAAAAAUUAUAGUUCUUGAAUAAAUAAUCACAAUAAUUAAUAUAUUAUUAUUAUAGUUAAUUAAUUAAUUAUUACUAUUAAUUAAUUAAUUAUUACUAUUAAUUAAUAUAUUAACAUAUUAUUAAUAAUAAUUUAUUAUUAUUAUUUUUGAAUAAAUAAUCACAAUAAUUAAUUUAUUAUUAUUAUAAUUAUAAUUAAUUAAUUAAUGUACUAUUACAAUAAUUAUUAAUAUAAUUAAUUUAUAUAUUAUUAUUAAUGAAUCAAUAUAAUUAUUACUAUUAAUUAAUAUAUUAAUAUAUUAUUAACAAUAAUAUAUUAAUAAUUAUUGUUCCUGAAUAAAUAAUCACAAUAAUAUAUUAAUAAUUAUUGUUCCUGAAUAAAUAAUCACAAUAAUUAUUAUUAAUAUUUUUAAUUAAUUAAUAUACUAUUAUAAUUAUUAUUAUAAUUAAUUCAUAUAUUAUUAUUAAUUAAAUAAUAUAUUUAUUACUAAUAAUUAAUAUAUUAUUAACAAUAAUUAUUAUAAUUAAUUCAUGUAUUAUUAUUAAUUAAUUAAUUAAAUUAAUAUUAUUAAAUAAAUAAAUAAUUUAAUUAUUACUACUAAUUAAUAUAUUAAUAUAUUAUUAACAAUAAAUAUUAAUAAUUAUAUUUUUUGAAUAAAUAAUCACAAUAAUUAAUAUAUUUUUAUAAUAAUUUUUAUUACAGUUAUUAUGAUUAAUUAAAAAAUUUUACAAGUAGUUAAUAUAUUAGUUAAUAAUAAUUAUGAAAAUAAUCCAUUAAGUACUUUUUAGUAAUUUGUUACAAUUUAAUUCAUUCCGAUUCUGAUUCCAAGACAAAGUAAACACAUUAAUGACAAUUCAACUCAUUCCGAUUUCGAUUCCUACAGUUCAAGUAAACAAUUUAUUUUGAUUCCCAUUCCAGCUCAUUCUCAUUCUUGUCCAUUUCGAUGCCAGCUCAUUCCAAUUCCAAUUUAGUAAACACAGCAUAAGUGAUAAGAAUUUCCAUAUGAGAUAUAAUUUGGAGGGAAAAAAAAUACUAAUUCAAGUUAAUAGAAAGAUUACAGCAAUAUAAUUUCAAUUUAUCCAAAAAUUUGAGUUUCAAGGAAUAUAGCAUUUAUUAUAUGUAUAGAGAAGCAAUUUUUAAAUAUUUCUUUUUUGAAUGAAUAAAAGUUUUUUUGAUAAAAAUUUCACAAUCAUAUUUAAAAAAAAGUUUAUUUUUUUUUAAAAAAAGUCACUCCUCUUCCUACAUAAUUUAGGAAUUUAACAUUACUUUCUUAGAAAUUUUGGUUUCACUAUAAAUACUCGGUAUACAGCAAACUUAUGAGUGUUCUUGCAUUACCAAUCCAAUUAAGCACACGCUUAAAAUCUAAAAUAAUCUCAUCUCAUGGAAAGUGUUCAUUCUCUCAAUAUUAUGAGCAGAUUUCUCUUACUCCAUUGAUUGAUUCUUAUUUCCUUAUUUAUCACAGCCAGUGGCGGACCUACACGUGGGCUACAGCCCGGUCUAGUCCAGAAAAAAUCGUUUAUACCCCUUAAUGUUUCAUUAAUUUAGUAAAAUUAUAGAGUUUUAAUUUUAUUUUCAUAUAUGUCCCUAACUCAAUUACCCUUAUAUUUUCAUCAAUUUAGUAUAACAAUAGAGUUUUUAUUUUAUAUUCAAAUAUGUCCCUAACCCAAUUACCCUUGUGUUUUCAUCAAUUUUAUAUAACAAUAGAGUUUUUAUUUUAUUUACAAAUAUAUCCCUUAUUCAAUUAUAUUAUUUUCAAUUGAAAUUAGUGACUUAUUUUAUAAAAUGAUUAAAUCAUAUAUUUAUUGAAUAGAUUGAAAACAUUAGGGAGCUAAAAUUUUAUUACUACUUUAAUUUAUUUUAAAAAACUUCUAAUUGAAAAAAAAAAUAUGUCAAUGUAAUAUAACAUUGUCACUAGUAUUAAAAGUACUUACAGAAACAACAUGCAGUAACAAUUAUCAAUAUUUUAUAAAAUUUUUAUGUGAAUUUUCAGAUUUUAUUUAUUAGUUAUAUUAACUAAGAGGGCAAGUUAGAAAAUAAAAUUUGAGUAUUUUAAGGAGCUUUUGAUAGAAGAAUUAUCAACAUCUAGUUUUUUAAAGAGAGCUAGAGCGCCUGACAAAGAAACAACUGCACCCAAAUACAUUUUUGCUGAAUUGAGUUUAGUUUAUUAUUGAAACUUUUGACUAAUAAUACCUUUACAAUUUGAAAGGAUGAAUAAAUUUUAAUUGUUUAAUUUAUUAAGUUUAGUAAUUAAGUACUUCACCUCAAACAUAAAAGUGUUACUUGUAAUUUUUAAUUGAUUGUAAUUACAUGUAUUGAUCUAUUUUAAUUUGAAAUUCUUAAUUGAUUUUUUAAUCCUUAUAUAAUUAUAUAUUAUUAUAGGCUGCAAUGUCAGAUUCUAUAAUUGAAGAAUAGUGUUUUCAUAUUCGAGUUACCUUUUGUUUUUUACUCUUUUUCUAUAAUUAUUUUUGUUUAUAGUUCAUAUUUAGAGAGAGAAAAUUUUUGGUAUUCCUCCUUAUUUAAUAUACUUAUUUUUAUAUAUAAAUUUUUAUGUUCGCUUCAAAAUAUAAAUUUUAAAAUUUAGCCCGGGGUAAUAUUAAGUCCUGGAUCCGCCCCUGAUCGCAGCUGCAACAGCCAACACAAGUACUAUUACCACAGACCGAGAUGCUCUGCUUGCCCUGAAAGCUCACAUAACUCAUGAUCCAACCAAUUUCUUCGCCAAAAAUUGGAACACGAAUAUCUCUUUCUGUAAUUGGACAGGCGUCGCUUGCGAUGUCCAUAGACAUAGAGUCACAGUCUUGAAUAUUUCUGGCUUAAAUCUCACGGGCACCAUCCCCUCUCAACUUGGGAAUCUUUCUUCUCUGCAAUCACUCAAUCUAAGUUUUAACCGACUUUCUGGUUCCAUUCCCUCCGCCAUUUUCACCACGUACACACUAAAAUAUGUUAAUCUCCGUCAAAACCAGCUCUCCGGCGCUUUACCUUCUUUCAUCUUCAACAAGUCUUCUUUACAACAUCUUGAUUUCACUUUCAAUACAUUGUCUGGUGAAAUUCCUGCAAAUAUUUGUAGUAAUCUUCCUUUCCUUGAAAUUCUUUCUUUACAAGAAAACAUGUUCCAUGGAGCAAUACCGUCCAAUCUAUCAAAUUGCACAUAUUUAAGAAUCUUAAGUUUGGCAUACAAUGAUUUCUCGGGAGCCAUACCUAGAGAAAUCGGCAAUUUGACCAAACUUAAGGGAUUAUAUCUUGGCGCUAACAGGCUCCAAGGUGCGUAUGAUGAUGGAGUUUAUGAAAAUUGUUGCAUAAGUUGUAAUAUGAAUAAUGUUCCAUAAUACAGUUUACACCCGUUGAUUAAUUUGCAGGAGAAAUUCCUCGAGAGUUUGGCAAUCUUGCCGUAUUGGAGCUGAUGUCGUUAGCAGGAAACAAUCUCCAAGGUAUGAUUUUAAACUUUUUGCAAUUUUAUUCUAGCCUCUGCUUGCUUCCGUAUUCAUUAGCUUGUUCUUUAAUUAUGCUAUGAUUUAUUGUUUUUCUUUCAGAUAGAGACAAAGCUCCACGUCUCCCCUCACUCAUUUCAUUCUUUAAUUUAUGCAGAUAAAAAAAAAAAAUGCUCUGUAAUUUUCUUUUGUCAUAUUGCCAUUUCCAUUUUGAAGCUUCCAAUUAAGUCGAUGAAAAUGAAUGAUGUUUCAUUCUUAUUCUUGUCAGCCUAAUUCUUAUAUAAUUGAAGAGUAAAUCGUCAUUAUGAUAUUCGUCAGCCAAUAAAUUCUUUUUUUCUUUUCCCAAAUAUGAGUGAUCAAAUUGUUUGCACAUACAUAUAUGUACUUAAUAUGCAGGAGGUAUUCCACAGGAAUUGGGGAAUCUUACAAAAUUGGAGGGGUUAGAGCUGGUCCAGAAUAACUUGACCGGUAACUUUCUUUACGAGAUAUAUAUAUAUAUAUAUAUAUGAGACAUCUUCCGCUUCUUAAUUAAUAGAUUUCAAGUCUCUCAUUAUAGAUUCUCACAUGAGGGUGUGUCGUUACCUCUAUCUAACAUUAUUCCGUUUUUUAUUAGAAAUUAGUUUGUAUUAAUUCAAAAUUCUGUAGCAUUUAAAAAAAAUUAAAACACGUGGAAUAAAUCGUCAAUCUUUCUUCUUUACUGAAUUUGGAUUUCUCAAAAAUUAUCAUGACAAGUAUUCUUCACUAAUGAUAUGGAUGUGUGACAACUUCAUAAAAUAUUUCACUAAUUAUCUUUAAAUAAUUGGAGAUGCCAUCAGUGAUACAUAAUUUCUUUGCAAUCACCAUACCAAAAGAAAUCAACAAUUUUAUUAAUCUUAAAGAGUUAUACCUUCACUGCAAUUAUGGCAUAAUUUUUUAUCUAAAGAAAUUUUAGCCAUCAAUCGCAUAAUAUUUUAUCUUAAUGGGUGAUGAUCAAUCUUGGAAUUUAUAAUAUCUUGAAGGUUAGUAGCUAUUAAAAUUAGAAAUUGUUUAUUUGCUAAAAAGUUAACUCAGUGUUUAAGCAUUUCAAUUGAAAAUUUUGAAACAAACGUUGAGAACUGGUCCUCCUUAGAAUUUCAGCGGAUAAAUAUGAAAAAUAGACUUGAAAACAAAAUAUUUUACUGAGAUAAUAAUUAAAAAGAGAGGAGAAGUACAAUACUCAUGACUUAGGGUUGCUGUGUACUUAUUUUACUUGGGCUUCGGGCUUGAUUACACGCGGUCGAACACUUACUUUUGGGGAUGAGUGGUGUCAAAUGUGUAUAUGCUUUUAUGUAUUAUUUAUUAUUCUUUGAAACAAAUCUAAUUAUAAUUCUUUCAAAAUACAGAUGAAAUAACAAGUGAAAUCGGAAAAUAUUUUUCUGCGAUAAGAAUUCAUAUAUUCAUUGUAGUAGCACAUAUCAAAUAGACUAUAAAUUUAGUUCAAAAUACAUUCUUAUCUUCAUAUAAAUUUUACAUUACUAAUUUAAAUUAAUAUUAAAAUAUGUUGUUUCUUUCACUAUGUUAUUUUAUUUACACAAUGAUGUGACUAUUGGAAUUAAUAAUACUCGUAAUUACUUAGCAAGAAUAUAAAUUUAAUACUUUGUUAACAUUUUAUCUACAUAUAAUAAUUAAACUGAAACUUGUAUUUAAAAAAUUUUAGUUACGCAUAUUCAUUUCAUGAUAUAAAAGUGUAUAUUUAUACUAAUUUACCAUUAUCAAUAAAAUGCUUUGAGACAAAUAAUCUAAUUUAUAUUAGUAUAUUUAAAAUACUUGCUUUUAUUAUAUUUUGAAAAAACUUUAUUUGCAAUUAUUUUAAACCUUUGGAUUCAAAUUUUCUUAGUUAUGUAUAAAUGUAUAAUAGUCAAAAACAUAUUUGUAUGAUCAUUUUUCAAUGUAUAAAGUUUCUUAAUUAGUAGGAAAAUUAGAAAUUGUUGAUUUACUCAUAAAUAAAUUUAGUGUUUAGCAUUUCAAUUUUGGAAAACUUGAACUAACUGUUGAUAACUUCGAAUCGGUCUAGCCGAGUUUCACUUCCUUGUCCCAUGGACCCAUUGAAAGUUCUAUUCGAAUUGAGUUAGUACUUGUAAUAAUUGUAUAGUGUAUAAAUGACCUUUUAUUAUUACAGUGCAUCCGUUUUUAGAUAUUAUUUAUUAUUUGAAAAAUAAUCUGAAUGUAAUUCUUUCAAAAUACAGAGAAGAUACCACCUGAAAUCGGUAAUCUCCGAAAUCUGGAGGAGUUGAACCUUGGUGAUAACAAAUUAGUAGGUACUAUCCCAACUGCAAUCUUCAAUGUGUCAAAACUCAAAGCACUUAAGCUUUAUAGUAAUUCUCUCUUGGGAAGUCUUUCGUCCAUCCCAGACUUCCGACUUCCAAAUCUUGAAGUGCUUCUUUUGUGGGGUAAUAAUGUUAGUGGCACAAUUCCUUGUUUCAUUUUUAAUGCUUCUAAGCUCUCUAAACUAGAUCUGGAAAACAACUCAUUCUCAGGUUUUAUUCCCAACACAUUAGGCAACUUAAGAAACCUUGAGCGGCUUAAUUUAGGUGAUAAUUAUUUGACAUCUUCAACUCCAGAAUUGAGCUUUCUAUCCUCGUUGUCAAAUUUCAAGUCUUUAACACAUAUUGUGUUAUCAAAUAAUCCACUAGAUGGCAUUCUUCCAAAGACGUUUUUCAGUAAUCUUUCUUAUUCUUUGGAAGAAAUUCAAAUGCACAAUUGUAACAUUAGUGGCGGCGUUCCUAAAGAGAUCGGCAACUUGACCAAUUUGACAACCAUUAUUUUAGGAGGCAAUAAAUUGAAUGGAUCGAUUCCGAUUACUCUCGAAAAAUUACAAAACCUUCAAUAUUUGGGUCUUAAAGAUAACAAAUUACAAGGAUCAAUCCCAGACAGUAUUUAUCGUUUGACUGAACUGUAUGAGUUGGAGUUUGGCGGCAAUAAGCUUUCUGGAUCAAUCCCUGCAUGCUUCAGUAAUCUGGCUUCUCUGAGGAUACUUUCGUUGGAUUCCAAUGAGUUAACUUCUAUUCCCUUAACUUUUUGGAACCUUAAGGAUAUCUUGCAACUCAACCUUUCAUCAAAUUUUUUUACUGGCCCACUCCCAUUAGAGAUUGGAAAUUUGAAGGUUUUGGUUGGAAUUGAUUUUUCGAUGAAUGAUUUUUCAGGCGUUAUCCCAACAGAAAUUGGAGGCCUAAAAAAUCUAGAAUAUCUCUUCUUAGGAUAUAAUAGAUUGCAAGGAUCGAUUCCUGAUUCAUUUGGUGAUUUGAUAAGUUUGAAAUUCUUGAAUUUGUCCAAUAAUAAUCUCUCUGGGCCAAUUCCUGCAUCUUUAGAGAAACUCUCAUAUCUUGAAAAUCUAAAUCUUUCUUUCAACAAGCUGGAAGGGGAAAUUCCUAGGGGAGGAUCUUUUAGAAAAUUCUCAGCUGAAUCAUUUGAGGGAAAUGAAUUAUUAUGUGGUUCACCCAAUUUACAAGUCCCGCCAUGCAAAACUAGCAUCCACCGCACAUCAAGGAAAAAUGCUCUUAUCCUAGGGAUUGUCUUGCCAUUGAGUACUAUAUUUAUGACAGCAAUCAUUUUGUUGAUCAUAAAAUAUCGAAAAAGAGAAAAAAGGCCACCAAAUUAUCCUAAUAUGCCACCAAUAGCAACGUGGAGAAGGUUUUCAUACCUAGAACUCUGUCAAGCAACAGACAAAUUCAGUGAAAACAAUCUAAUCGGUAGAGGAGGUUUUGGCUCUGUCUACAAAGCAAGAAUUAGGGAUGGGAUGGAGGUUGCAGUGAAGGUUUUCAACCUGCAAUGUGGAAGAGCAUUUAAGAGUUUCGAUGUUGAAUGUGAAAUGAUGAGAAGUAUCCGCCAUUGAAACCUUGUCAAAGUUAUUAGCAGUUGUUCAAAUGAAGAGUUUAAAGCAUUGGUAUUAGAAUACAUGCCUCAUGGAAGUUUGGAGAAGUAUCUGUAUUCAAGUAACUACAGUUUGGAUAUUUUUCAAAGAUUGAACAUAAUGAUAGAUGUUGCAUCAGCUUUGGAAUAUCUGCACUUUGGUUAUUCAGCUCCAGUAAUUCAUUGUGACUUAAAGCCCAGCAAUGUAUUGUUAGACGAUAAUAUGGUUGCUCACUUGAGUGAUUUUGGCAUUGCAAAGCUCUUAACUGGAGAAGAUCAAUCUAUGACUCAAACACAAACACUUGCCACAAUAGGCUAUAUGGCACCAGGUUUGUUCAAUAUAAACAUUUUCUCUUUCUUGUAAACUUCCUAAUAAGUUACUUAUGUUUCAUGAUCUUCAUUAGAUGAGGAAAUUAUUAUUAAUAAUAUAUCUUAUGAUGUAACUGUUGCAAUUCAUAGAGUAUGGAAGAGAAGGACGAGUAUCCACCAAUGGAGAUGUUUAUAGCUUUGGGAUUAUGUUAAUGGAAACUUUUACUGGGAAGAAACUCACAGAUGAAAUUUUUAAUGGAGAAAUGACAUUAAAGGAUUGGGUUAAUGAUUGCCUACCCAUUUCCACUAUGGAAGUUGUUGAUGCUAAUUUGCUAAGUCAGGAGGACAUACAUUUUGUUGCAAAAGAGCAAUGUGUGUCAUUUGUCUUCAAUUUGGCUUUGGAGUGCACUAUGGAAUCUCCUGAGCAGAGAAUCAAUGCAAAAGAAAUUGUAGCAAAACUCUUAAAAAUUAGAGACUCAUUACUUAGAAAUGUUGGAGGCAUAUGUAUAAGACAAUCAAAUUUAAAUUGAUUUUGCCCCUCUUUCAUUGCUUGCUAUCUUUUUCAGAGAUUUGAACGAUUAUCCUUCAUACAAGUUUUGUUGAUAUGUUUUGUUAUUGCUCUUGCUCAUGUUUAUUUCUCUCUUACUUUAAUUUGCAUGCAUGCAUUUUCGUUCUCUUUCAUGUUUGCGUUGGUUUGUAUGUAGUUUGUUUUUUGGGGUAAGGUUCAUUAUGUCCUCACCCUAAUUACAUGUAUCCUUUUUAUUUUUAUUCAAUAAAGCUUCGUUAUUACUAUCGAAGUUUAUUGAAAGGAAAUUUUCAGUUGAUUUUCUUUUCUUUGACUAGUAAUGGAAAUUCUAAUCUUUAUAGUGAAUAACUUCAAUGAUAGAAUGUGUGAACAUAUUUAGUAUGUUGAAAAUGAUCAUUAGAGAAAACAACAAGUAUCAAGGAAUAAGAUGUAAUUAAAUUGAUUGGACAGUUAAGAUAUCGAUUUAAUUAAUGAUGUGGUACAAAAGAUUGAGCGGUAAAGAAAUCAAUGUGGCUUGGGACGAAUGAUUAUUCGAACAUACAAUUAUGGAGGUCAACUCCAAUCUUAUAGUGGAGUAUAGUUGGAAUUAAAUGAUUAGGCUUAUUUAAUUACAGGCUUAAUUGUUGUAGCCAAUAGUGUAUGUUCCCAAAUGAUCCCCGAGUUAGCUCAUUUAAUUGACUGCACCACUAUUGGAUUAAUAAGCAAGAUAACUAACUAUUUGGGUCAAAAGCCUAAAUAUAUCAUUUAGUGGGAGGCUCCAUUUAAUAUGCUUGUGUGUAAGGGGCCUUAUGUUAUUUUACAAGGUGGGCCCCCUAUAGAAAAAGCAAGUAACUUGAUUUUUUAUUUUUAUUAUUUAGAGCCUAGGGUUUUCACUAAAGGGAGAUAUAAAAAGACUUAUUUUCUCAAAAGAAAAAAGUGAGCCGCAAUACAUAGAUUAGAGAAAAAGAAUUUUUCUCUCUCUAAUUGAGAGGAAAAUUUUCUGUUGCUAGUUGCUUUUAGUAGUGAUAAAGGCGUCCACAAAUCAAGUGCAGAUCAAAUCUAAGUCAUAACCUGGAAGAUCAUUGGUGACAGAUCGUGAUCUAACAAGCGUGCUGGUGACGGAUCGUGAUCUAAUAGGUGUGGUGGUGACGGAUCGUGAUUAGGGAGCCUAGAUUAACUCAGCGAAAAAGCCAAAUCAAAUUGUCAAGGUAUGAUUUUCUAGAUUACGAAUUCCUAUAUAUUAUAUGAGAUCAAUCCUAAAAGCUUUUUUUUUAAAACUGAUUUUUCCCUGACAAGAAAUUCACGGAUCAAUGGCUUCUUAUUGUUUCUUUUAGAUGACAGCUUGCAAUCUCUGGGUGUGCAUUCAUAAUGCCUUACAUGAAUACAAGAAUGAAGGUUGCCCCCCCCCCCCCCCCCCCCCCCCCCCCUCUCUCUGGGCCAAUUGCAGUUUUGAUAACAACUCAAAUCGGUGUGGUAGAAAGCCUUGCCCCAGACCUCCGCCAUUUUCUCUUCCACCACAAUUUGGGGAACCUAAACUACUUACUUUUUGCCAGUUUUUCUUGAAAUAUUUUUGAGAAGAAAACCAACAAUACAUUUUAUGAUUUGGGCUGUUUUAAAGAUCUUUGCUUGAUACCUCUGCUACUGGUUUUCAGCAGAGUGCCCAAAAAUAAUCAGUGCACGCACUAUAGGCUCUAUUAUUAUCAGUAAAAAGUAUUAAUGAUAUAUAUUGGGAUCGACUUUUUUAUUUGGGAGUGGAAGCAUGCUUGAAAGAGUAGAGUGGUGCAUCUUGUUCAAACAUGCCAAUUCCAUCUUAUGAAAUAGGAGUUAGACUGAACAAUGUUAUGUCUUCAUUAUCAUUUCAGAAGGAAACAAAUCAAAUGCAGCAAUUGAUGUACGAGUUGCUGUUGGCGCUGCUAUAUUUUUUACAGACUCUCAUACCAUGGAAAAACUCAGCUUUAAAGAAUGGUAUGAUGCUUUGAUUUAUGAAGUAAUUGGUAUAUAUUUUGUACCUUCCAUACAUUUUGCUCUGUUAAUGUUAUUAUUUGAUAACAUGUUUGUCGAGUUGCACAGUGUCUAGAAUUUUGAGAUUAAGAAGAGUCUAAAUGCUAUACAAAUACACUCCUUUCAUUUUAUACAACUUUGAUUGAUCAUUGUUUUAAAUUUACCUCAGGCAUCAAUGGAGUCUAUCCGAGUCUCCUUUGCUGGGGAAUCAGUCAAAUAACAGCACAGGUGCAUAUGUUCUAUCUCUUUUCAUUUAAAACUUCAAUUGAGUUGCUAUCUAUUUAACUUUGGCAAGUGAGAGAGAGGGAUGGGACCGUCCAAUUAAAUUUAAGUUUCAAGUGGCAAUCCCACCACUGUCGUCUCAUGUUUGCCAAAUUCAAAUUUGAAAAUCUCACCAAGUCAGUAUGGUGAUGUUGUGGGAUUGUCUCGCCUAGGUUUUUAGCCUCAUGACCUCCUUUAUUAGAAAAAGUCUUAAGUGUUCUUACUCAAUGGUAGAAUCAUGAUUUUACUUCAAUGGAAGCCAUACUGAUUAAAAUAUACUCUUUUGAUCAACUACUUAUUUGAUGUUGCUCUCUCAACCUUAAUCUCCUUCUUUAUGAAAAAUUUAUUGUAAUACAUGGAAGUAUAUAUUGCACUGAGUAAAAUGAAAUUGUUCAAAAAUUAACAAAUUCAGCUUUAUUAUAAUCUAAAACAAAGUAAAUAGAAUAAUACCCAUCAUGUAAAAAUAAAAAAUAAAAUUUUUAUACCACUUGGAAUUUAUUUUAAAUGUUUUGGUCAAAUCUAAGAAGCACAAACUUUGAACAAUGAUAAUAGGUAAAAACUAAUAAUCUUAUAAUAAAAAGUAAGAAAAAAAAUAAAGUUGAUUUAGCAGCUAAGAAUAAAAAAAGAAAAAUAGAAAGAGAGAGAAAUUAGUUUAGGCUUUAACCAUUGUUAUAGUAGAGAAAAAAAUUAAUUAAGAGUAAUUAGUUUAGACACUAUAAUGUAUUAUGUAUACGAAGGCUACAUUUAAAUGUGAAAUAAAAAUGAGUGCUUAUAUUAAAAAACAAUCAGUCUCAUUGCGUCCUCUUUCAUCGACAUAGGCAAAUUUGCGGUCAACUCGUGGCACCCUUAUUGACACGCAAAGAACUUACAUCGAGGAGUUGUUUGAUUUUAUGUUUCAAACUAAGUACCAUAGCAUUACUACUUCUAUAAAUAACUCAUUUGAGCUUCGAGCCUGUUAUUUGUAUUUUACGUUUCUGUUUCUCUUCAUAAAGAUUUUUUUUUCCAUUCUCUUUUUCUUCCACUUUCCCGACUCCCAAACACCACCAGUCUUUGAUUUUCCUAGAGUAUUAACUGUCUGUUUACACGAACAUAGACCGACUGUUUGUCUAAUUACUGUCAAGAAACAGCAUACUCUGUCUCGGAGUCUCAUCGUUUAUUGACUUGUCACUUGUGAACGGGCUAAUUAAAGGGCGUUCCUUUCUUCAAGAAAGAAUGCCAAGAAAGUACCAUCCAUUAGACACGUUAAGAAUUAUAAUUUUACAUUAAAAAUGGUAAUAAUCAUAAUAAUCGGUUUAGUGUUACCCCGUUAUUAGGUAAUGGCUGUCCGAUUGUCUUCGCUUUCAUUGACUUCGCAACUGUGACUUCUAAGCCGGGUUAAGGAUUGACAAAAUGUUAUAACCCAUAAAGCACGGAUAAUUAAUUAAUGGGCCACUGAUUUCUUCUUUCAUAAAAGAGAACUUUUCCAGGGAGAUUGGAAAAAAAGGCUAAUUCUGGGUAAAGAUCAGAAACUUCUCAAAUAAAAAUUUGGCUCUGUGGAAAUUAAAUUAAAAGCAAUUAAGCAUUAUAAAUUACUUAACAGCUUAAUUCUGAGCUAAUCGAGUUUGGUUUUGAAAAAUAUACCUUUAAAUCUCUUGUAAUUAAAGAUAAUUAUCAUAUUACCGUCUCAAAUGGACCGAUUUCAAUUAAAUGAAAUCUAGAAAAUUGAGCAGCUCAUUGAUGUAUUUGGUCGAAUUGUGACUUGUGUCAGAGUCUUCGGUUUAGAAGAGUGCACAGCAGCUGCCAGGUCCACUUGGCAGUUGGCACGCCAAAAAUUUUCUGUUGACAAUAAUUUUAUUAAUUUACUAUCAAAUAUUUUCUAUCACAUCAUUUUACUAUCAAAAUUUUUUGACAAUAAUUUUUUGUCACUUAAUAUUUCAGUUUUUAUCAUUUUAUCAUCAAAAAAUAGUAAAUGCAUACUUAGUGUAAGUUAUCCAUAAAAAUGGUUGUUGAAUUGUCUUGUUUCUCAUUUGGUUUAAUUUUCAUAAAUUCGACUCACGCAAUUCAAUUAUGAGUGAAGAGUUUUUUUGGGAAAAAUCUGGUCUUCCAUUUACUAGAAUCAGGUCUGAAUGAUUUUAUUAUUUUUCUUUUGUUUGAAAUAUACGUGGAAAAUGUUGAACACUUUGUAGGAUUUAGAAGAAUUUGAAAGUUUGAAUGCAUAUAGUUUACUAUCCAUCAGCUAGUGCAUAUUCUGUAUUUUAUGAAAUCAAAGCUGGUUGAUUGAGAAAUGGACCUUAUUACAUGUCAUAAGAUUUUACAGUGCUUUCUAAUGGAGCAAAAUAAAAUGAUUCUUACCUGCACAGAAAAUUAGAAACGAAAAGGAGGGUUACUGAUCCACAGAGUUGUUAUUUACGAGAAGCACAUAGAUAUUACACUUAAUUAGCCUUUCAAAACUUCAUUUUCAAAAAUCUAUGGUUGUGAUGCGUCUCUAUAAACUCAUUUUAAACUCUGUUCUGAACAGAGCAUGAAAGGAUAUGUUCACUUUUCUAGUUAUGUUUUUUAUGCUUUCACUUCACUUGAUUCACCUUGUCCCUCUUUUAAAACAGCUGUAUAUGUUGGAGUGCCAAAUCCAUCACAAGGAUCAUAUUAUAUCCUACGGAAGGAGCACAGUUCAUUGGCUGCACUCAGUUUACAGAGUAUUUCGGGAUUCAAGACUGUAGGUUGUUGCGGAUGCAACUUGCAAGGCUGUUGCUUUGUGACUGUAUGCGACGCUGGCAAGUGUGCUCUGACAGAUUGUGGAGAUGGCACCAAAGAUUGUAAACUAACUAGUACUGAAAAAUCCUAUUUGCACAUAAAAUUGCAUAAAAUAAAUAGAUUGAGAAAAGUUGUAUAAAGAAAUAAGAUUAAUAAAGUAAAUAAAUUUAUCUUUUAGUGUUUUUGUGUAUUUUUAGGUACGUACAAGAAGCAUUACUCAUUAGAGUGCAAUUUAUGCACUAGUUUUGCAUUAUUUACUUCCCUUAAUAUCGAUGUUUUGCAUUUAAUAAUAGUGAUUUACUUGUAUUUUACUUUUGUAGGUGCAAUUCUAUUGAUUGGUGAUAAAAUUGAGCUACAAGAUUAUGUCUAAGGAUGAUUGUUCUCUUGGAGAAAUUAUGAGCGUCAGAAGAACUUUGUUGAUAAGGCGUGGGCGCGUGCUGUCAACUACGGACCUGUAGUUUUUAGUUUAACGUGUUUUGUAUUUUUGGUUAUUUUUGUAAUUACGAAUUUAAUAUUUCAGAUAUUAGUAUUUUAUUUUAAAUAGAACUAUAGAGGAGAAGAGAGAGAGAGUAUUUAAGGGAAGAAUCUAUUGUGAAAAAGGGGACUUUCGGGGGAUUUUGAAAAAAAAGAAAGAAACUCUGGAUCUAAAUUUUUCUCUUCUCUCUAUGAAGAACUAAACCUAUUAUUCUGGUUUAAGGUUAAUGAAGCUUUGAUUCAUCACUACUGUGAGAUCUUUCUUAUUAUCAUGAUUAUGUUUGUUAAUUAGAUAAUUGACCACUAUUUAAUUAACAAACAUAAUCAUGAUAAUAAUUAAGAGAAUAAACAAAUACCCAAAAAGUAAUAAAACAAUUAAAGCAUAAGAAAGAUCUCACAGUAGUGAUAAUUAUAUUUUUUUUAAAAUAUAAAUAAAAUGAAUUUAUUUAAUGGAAAUUUAAAAAAGAGACACUUAUCUAUGCAAGCAAAGUUGCAUUCUGUCUGUGGGGACCUUAAAAAAAAAAGCAUAAUGAUAAACUGAUGACGACAAUCCUUAAGUAUUUGUUUUCUUUAGUUACAGUUAGGUUUGAAUGGUUAAGUUCAAGUUCGAAUUUUCUUUUUGUAAUUUAAAUUAAAAUUGAUAGAACAAAUGGGCUAAUCAGUAUGAUGAAGAAGAAGAAGAACUUUUGGUCCAUUCAAUGGACCGAAUUCAAUCAAAUGAAAUCUAGAAAAUAGAGCAGCUCAUAGAUGUACGUCGCUAAGUGGAUGUUCAUUUGGAAGUACUUUUGGUCGAAUUGCGACUUGCGCCGGAGGCUUCGUUUUAGAAGAGUGCAGAGCAGCUGCCUUGUCCAUUAGGCACGCCAACGACUUUCUAUUGACCAAUAAUUUUGAAAGCGAUAUUAUUAAUUUACCAUCUAAUUUUUUUAUAUUAUCAUUUCACCAUCAAAAUUUUUUGAUAAUUAUUUUUUUCACUUUGUGUUUUAGUUUUUAUUAUUUUACUACCAAAAAAUAGUAAACACACCCCUAAGAUAGGUUAUCCACAAAAAUAGUUACCGAAUUGUCUUGUUUCUCAUUUUGUUUAAUUUUCAUAAAUUCGACUCAUGAUUCAAACGUGAGUGAAGAGUUUUUUUUUGGGAAAAAAAUCUGGUCUUCCAUUUACUAGAAUUAGGUAUGUGUGAUUUUAUUAUUUUUCUUUUGCUUGAUAUAUAUCUGGAAAAUUAUGAAUACUUUGCAGGAUUUAGAAGGAUUUGAAUAUUUGAAAGCAUAUGGCUUUCUGUCCAUCAGCUAAUGCAUAUUCUGCAUUUUAUGAAUAUCAGAGCUGGUAGAUUGAAAAAUGGACCUUAUUACAUGUCAUAAGAUACUUUGCUCAAAGCUGCAAUUGGGCAACGCCGUGCUGUUCUUAUCGGCCAAGGCAAGCCAUUUACUAUUCUUUCUAAUGGAGCAAAAUAAGAUGAUUCUUACCUGCAUAGAGAAUUAGAAAAGAAAAGGAGGAUUACUGAUCCACAGAGCUGUCAUUUACUAGAAGCACAUAAAUCUUACACUUAAUUCAUUACCCAUCUGUAAUGUUCUAAUGAUACUUAAGUAUUACCUAAAUUAGCCUUUCAAAAUUUCACUUCGAAAAAAUCCAAGGUUGUGAUGUGUCUGUAUAAAUUCGCUAACACAAGUUCUCUCUAUUCCCAAUUGUUUUAAACUCUGUUCUGAACAGAGCAUGAAAGGAUAUAUUCGUUUAUCUAGUUAUGUUUUUUAUGCUCUCACUUCACUUGAUUCACCUUCUCCAUCUUUUAAAACAGUUGUAUAUGUCGGAGUAUCAAGUUCAUCACAAGGAUCAUAUUAUGGCCUAAGGAAGGAGCACAGUUUAUUGUCUGCACUCAAGCUUAGCAGAAUAUUUUGGGAUUCAAGAGUGUUAGUAGGCCGUUACAGAUGCCAUGCUGGCAAGCGUGCUAUGACUGAUUGCUAUUUGCACGUAAAAUUGCCCAAAACAAAUAGAAUGAGAAUACUUGUACAAAAGGACAAGAUUAAUAAAGUGAAUAAAUUUUAUCUUUUAGUGAAUGCUUCUUGUCUUUUAGAGUUUUAGUGCAUUUUCGUGUGUAAUUUUAUGUGCAAAUAGCAUUACUCAUUAGUAAUUAGUCUAGAGUGUUCUAAUUUCUUCUAAUAAGUAGCUGAUUUGAGCUUAAGACUUGUAUUUUAAGUUUUUAUUACUUUCUAAUAAAGAUUUUCUCUGUUCUUUUUUACUUUCACUUUCUCUUCCAUUUUCCCGACUCCCAAACACCACCAAUCCUUGAUUUUCUAGAGUAUAGCUAUGCAGUUCUACAAACACGCAACUGCUGUUUGUCCAUUUACUUUCAAGAAACAACGUACUCUGUGGUUUAUUGACUUGUGACUUGUGACUUGUGACUGGGGCAAAUUAGUCACGGUCCGAUUGUCUCCUCUUCCACUGACUCUGUCAAUUCAUGACUUUGGCACACAGUAGACGCCGGCUGCCUGCUUCAUUUGACGUGCAAAAAACUUUCUUUGGUUUUUUUGUUUGGUAAAUUAAACUCAACCUAUGGGUUAUUUUGUUUGGUGAUGAUGAGUUAUUUGUCAAUUCAUGAGUUUGAUGCAGUGAAACGCUUAACGCUCUCUUGUGAUGCGCAGGAGAAAAGCCAGCGAUGAUGAAGAGGACGAAAAACAUUAUUUUGUUAUUUACAAUAAGACUAUCCAAAUGGAAUCUUGUUUUCUAAAAUAAUUGGGUUUCGAUGGUCAUUUUGUUUUCUAAAAUAUCCAAAUGGAAUCUUACAGAAUUAGAGUGCUCGACUUCUUUAUACAGAAUUUAUAAAGGGGAAAAAUCAAGAAAUUAAAUACUCUUCAUAUAGUGAGAGGAGAUUUGGUUGCCAUAAUGAGAAAUAAAAGAAAAAUAAAUUAAAAGUACAAUACUUCAAUAAUCUCAUUCCCAAACAUACCAGAAAUAAAAUUUUCUGUACAUUUAUGAAAUAACUAUUGAUUUUACUUUGGUAAUUUUUUUUUUUUUAAAGUAAGGUAAACAUCUUUAUUUUCUUUGCAUACGAGCCUUCUUUCUUUUGCUUUGGCCUUUGCUCUUGACUAUAUUUCAUGGUCAUAUUCAAUCAAAAUCUUCUGUAGAUUUGUGGCUGUUUUAAGAGUUACAAUAAAUAUGUUAUCUCAAUUUAAAAAAAAAUGCAAUCGCAAUUAUCAAACACGACUAAUCCUAACAAUUUAUUCAAAAAUUUGAGUGUCAAGAAAUGUAGUAUUUAUGAUAGCAUGGCUAGUUUCAGAUAAAUGAUAAAUCAAUAUAUGACAUGUUACUAACUUACUUUAGGAAGAAAAUUAUAGAAUAAGUUUUUGAAUUAAUAGAAUUAUUUUACGACAAAACUAUCACAAUCUAAUUUAAAAAUAAAGUUAUUCUUUAAAUUUCUCAUUACUAUUCCUACCUGUCUUGUUAUACUACUUAAUGGCACUGCUGAAGCCUUGAACUAUCAAACAAAAAGCAAAAACACAUCAACAUCUGUUGUCCCAGUGAGCACUGUUAAAUUCAUACGAUAAAAGGAGUCUUUAAUUGACAUAGGCAAUGUGCGGUCAACUUGUGGCACCCUUACUGACACGUAAAGAACUUUCUUACACCACAGCCAAUACUUUUAUGAAUUUUUAGGACAGGUAAAAUUUUCAAAUUUAAAAGAAAAAAAUACAGAAAAGUAAUUUCAAUUUAUCCAAAAAUUUGAGUUUCAAGGAAUGUAGCAUUUAUUAUAUGUCAUGUUAACAUAAAGAAGAUUUAAAAAUUUCUUUUUUGAAUGAAUAAAAGUAUUUUUUGAUAAAAAUUUGACAAUCAUAUUUACAAAAAAAAAUAAAAAAAAAUCGCUCCUCUUCCUACAUAAUUUAAGAAUUUAACAUUUUAAAUUAAUCUUUUUAAUCAAAGUAAUAAUCUCUCCUUCCGUCUGUAAAUGCUAAAAUUUAAUAUUAUAUCCGUUGACGAUAUUUGCUCCAAAUUCACGAGAAUAAAAUUUCUAAUAGAAUUGUGAAAUUCGUUACUCGAAAUUUGUAUAAAAUUCGUGAGAAUAGAAGGUUUGAUCAUAGGAAAUUAAAAUAUCACUAUCCAAUGCAAAAAUGGUUAUAAAGAAAAACAAAAGUCACGGGCUUAUUAUAGAAAAAAAAAUUACUUUCCAUUUUCCAAUAAUUAAAUUAAUUCUAAAAUCAUAGACUUUUGGAAAGUAUCACAAAGGAUAGACUUUUGGUGACCGAGGUCAAGCCUAACGCAUGCCGGUCUUUUUCUCCUCUACUUUCUUAGAAAUUUUGGUUUCACUAUAAAUACUCGGCAUUACCAAUCCAAUUAAGCACAGACUUACAAUCUAAAAUACUCUCAUCUCAUGGAAAGAGUUCAUUCUCUCAGUAUGAUGAGCAGAUUUCUCUUACUCCAUUGUUUGAUUCUUAUUUUCUUAUUUAUCACAACUGCAACAGCCAACACAAGUACUAUUACCACAGACCGAGAUGCUCUGCUUGCCCUGAAAGCUCACAUAACUCAUGAUCCAACCAAUUUCUUCGCCAAAAAUUGGAACACGAGUAUCUGUUUCUGUAAUUGGACAGGCGUCACUUGUGAUCUCCAUAGCCAUAGAGUCACAGUCUUGAAUAUUUCAAGCUUAAAUCUCACAGGCCCCAUCCCUGCUCAACUUGGGAAUCUUUCUUCUCUGCAAUCACUCAAUCUCAGUUGUAACCGACUUUCUGGUUCCAUUCCCUCCGCCAUCUUCACCAUAUACACACUGAAAAAUGUUAGUCUCCAUAAAAAUCAGCUCUCUGGGCAAAUUCCUGCAAAUAUUUGUAGUUAUCUUCCUUUUCUUGAAGUUCUUUCUUUGUCCCAAAACAUGCUUCAUGGCGGAAUACCGUCCACUCUAUCAAAUUGCACAUAUUUAAGAAUCUUAAGUCUGCCAUACAAUAAUUUCUUGGGAGCCAUACCAAAAGAAAUUGGGAACUUGACCAAACUUAAGCUAUUAUAUAUUGGCGUUAAUAGACUCCAAGGUGCGUAUGAUCAUGGAGUUUAAUUAUAAAAAUUGUUCCGCAAGUUGUAAUAUGUAUAAUGUUCCAUAAUGCAAUUUACACACGUUGAUUAAUUUGCAGGGGAAAUUCCUCGAGAGUUUGGCAAUCUUGCCGAAUUGGAGCGGAUGUCGUUAGCAACUAACAAACUCCAAGGUAUGAUUAUAAACUUUUUGCAAUUUGAUUCUAGCCUCUGCUUGCUUCUGUAUUCAUUCGUUUGUUCAUUAAUUGUUUUUCUUUCAGAUGGAGAUAAAGCUCCAUGUCUCUCCUCACUAAUUUCAUGCUUUAAUUUAUGCAGAUAAAAAUAAAAAAAAAUUUAAUUUUCUUUAUUCAUAUUGCCACUUCCGUUUUGAAGCUCCCAAUCAAGUCGAUGAAAAUGAAUGAUGUUUCAUUCUGAUUCUUGUCAGCCUAAUCUAUAUAUAUAUAUAAAGCUGAGACUUGAGGAGGUGAUAUGGUAUCACUAUUUCUCAUCUUUGUAUAUUCUCUAUUUUCUAAUAAAUAGAGAAAUUUUCUUUUAAAUUUAGUUUUUCAUCUUCUCACAAUUAAUUUAAUUGUUAUUACACAAUAACAAUUAUGUAAAGGUUUUAAUGAGGCAUAUUCUUUGUAAUGAACAUCCAAGGGGGAGUGUUAUGAAUUUAUUAAAAUAAAUGUAGAUGUUCAUAACAUAUAUCUCUUAGUCUCCCUACUAUCUCCCAUUAGCAACCUUUAACUUCCCUAUAACUCCCACUAUCUCACAAGAAAUUAUGAUCCAUAAUUUUUCCUUAAUUUCAUGGAGUGAUUAUGUAACUAUAAAAGGAGAGCUCAUCUUUUUGUUUUGUACACACAAUUGAAAUGAAUAAAAUCACUGUAUAAUAUAUUCUCUCAUUUUAUUCUUUAUCUUGCAUUACUUCUUUAUUUGUAUUGCUGGCUAAUAGCUUUUUUUAUUUUUUAUAAGGCUGCCUCAUCUUAAAAAAAAAAUCAAUUCAUAUUUUUUAUCAGUUUCAUCAAGUGUAAAGUAAAAAAAAAAGGAUAAUACUAAAUUCUUUUUUCAAAGCCGCGUGAAACGCGGUUAUAUUUUCUAGUUCUUAUAUAAUUGAAGAGUAAAUUGUCAUUAUGAUAUUCGUCAGCAAAUAAAUUCUUUUUUUCUUUUUUCCCCCCAAAUAUGAGUGAUCAAAUUGUUUGCGCAUAUAUAUAUAUAUAUAUAUAUAUAUAUAUAUAUAUAUAUAUAUAUGUAUGUAUGGAGAAAUGUUCCAGUCAGGGAUUUUAAAGUACGGGAAAGUACGGGAAACCUUUAAAACCGCAUGGUUUUAAAGGCUUAAAACUGUAAGCCUUUAAAGCUGUGUGGUUUUAAAGGUUUCCCAUACUUUCCCGCACCUUAAAAUCCCUGAUCAGAAAACUACUAUGUAUGUAUGUAUAUAUAUGUACUUAAUUCGCAGGAGGUAUUCCACAGGAAUUGGGGAAUCUUGCAAAAUUGGAGGGGUUACAGCUGUUCGGGAAUAACUUGACUGGUAACUUUCUUUACGAUAUAUAUAUAUGAGACAUCUUCCACUUCUUAAUUAAAAGAUUUCAAGUCUCUCAUUAUAAAUUCUCAUAUGAGGAUGUGUCGUUACCACUAUCUAACAUAUAUAUUUUUUAUUCAAAAUUAGUUUGUGUUAAUUCAAAAUUCUAUAGCAUUUAAAAAAUAUUAAAAACACGUGGAAUAAAUCGUCGAUCUUUCUUCUUUACUGAAUUUGGAUUUCUCAAAAAUUAUCUCAACAAGUAUGCUUCACUAAUGAUAUGCAUGUGAGACAACUUCAUAAAAUAUUUUACAUGGAAUCAAUAAUUAUCUUUAAAUAAUUGGAGAUGCCAUCAGUGAUACAUAAUUUCUUAAUAAGCACCAUACCAAAAGAAAUCAACAAUUUUAUUAAUCUUAAAGAGUUACAUCUUCACUGCAAUUAUGACAUAAAUUUUUAGUCACCAAUCACAUAAUAUUUUAUCUUAACGGAUGAUGUUCAAUCUUGGAAUUUAUAAUACCUUGAAGGUUAGCAGCUUUGAAAAUAAGAAAUUGUUCAUUUGCUAAAAAGUUAACUUAGUAUUUAAGUUUUUCAAUUGAAAAUUUUGAAAAAAGUAUUGAGAACUGGCCCUCCCUAGUAUUUCAGUGGAUGAAUAUGAAAAAUAGGCUUGAAGAAAUUAUUGUUGUGUGUGCUUAUUCUACUUGGGCUUUGGGCUUGAUUACAUGGUCGAGCACUUACACCUGUUAUAAUAAUAGGCUUUUACUUUCACCACACGUUUGAUAAUUUCUUAACCUUCCCAAUUAGGUUAUAGCAAUUUAUAUAUAAAUAACACUUACACCUGUUAUAAUAAUAAUAGCAUCCGCCGAUCGACUACGAGUGAUCAAAUUGUUUGCACAUAUGUAAUUUGCAGGAGCAAUUCCGCGGGAGUUGGGAAAUCUUACAGGAUUGGGGACCUUAGAGCUGUCUGAAAAUUUUUUGACCGGUAUCAUUCCUUCAUCUAUCUACAAAUUGCUUUUCUCUAUUAAAUUUGAAAUUGUCAUUUAAUAACUUAACAAGUAACUUCCCUUACAACAUCUAUCUACAAAUUACUAAUUUAAAUUAAUAUUAAAAUAUGUUGUUUCUUUCACUAUGUUAUUUUAUUUACACAAUGAUGUGACUAUUGGAAUUAAUAAUACUUAUAAUUAUUUUGUAAAAAUAUAAAUUUAAUACUUUGUUAACAUUUUAUCUACAUAUAAUAAUUAAACUGAAACUUCUAUUUAAAAAAUUCUAGUUACGCAAAUUCAUUUCAUGACAUAAAAGUGUAUAUUUAUGCUAAUUUACCAUUAUCAACAAAAUGCUUUGAGACAAAUAAUCUAAUUUAUAUUUGUAUAUUUAAAAUACUUGCAUUUAUUAUAUUUUGAAAAAAAAUUAUUUUACUGAAAUAAUAGGCUUUUACUUUCACCACACGUUUGAUAAUUUCUUAACCUUCCGAAUUAGGUUAUUGCAAUUUAUAUAUAAAUAACUAAAGCAUACUAAAGCUAGCAUACAGUACUCAUGACUUAGGCUUGCUGCAAUAUCCAUUAAACACGGUCGAACACUUACACAUGUUAUAAUAAUAUUAGCAUCCGCCGAUCGACUAUGAGUGAUCAAAUUGUUUGCACAUGUGUAAUUUGCAGGAGCAAUUCCACUGGAGUUGGCAAAUCUUACAGGAUUGGAGAUCUUAGGCCUGUCUGAGAAUUUUUUAACCGGUAUCAUUCCUUCAUCUAUCCACAAAUUGCUUUUCUCUAUUAAAUUUGGAACUGUCAUUUAAUAACGUAACAGUUAACUUCCCUUACAACAUGUCUGUGUGACAUGUUUUGCUUCUUAAUUAAAAUAUUUCACUUCUCUCAUUAUAAAUUCUCAUAGGAGGAUGUGUUGUUAUUACUAUUUAACAUUAUCUCGUUUUUUAUUAGAAAUUAAUCUGUGUUUAUGCAAAAAAAUUUAGCAUCUAAAAAAAGUAUAAAAACACGUGGAAUAAAUCGAAAAUCUUUCUUCGUUACUGAAUUUCAAUUUCUCAAAAAUUAUCAUGACAGCUAUGUUAGUGUCUUACUAAUGAUAUGCAUGUGUGACAGCUCCAUAAAAUAUUUUACAUGGAAAAUAUGAAAAAUAGACUUAAAAAAAAAAAUUAUUUUACUGAAAUAAUAGUUAAAAAGAGAGGAGAAGUACAGUACUCAUGACUUAGGCUUGCUGUGUACUUAUUUUACUUGGGCUUCGGGCUUGAUUACACACGGUUGAACACUUACAUCCCCCGACAUAGGCUUUGAGGGAUGAGUGGCGUCAAAUGUGUAUCUGCUUUUAUGUAUUAUUAUUCUUUGAAACAAAUCUGAUUAUAAUUCUUUUAAAAUACAGAUGAAAUAGCAUGUGAAAUCGAAAAAUAUUUUACUGCGAUAAGAAUUCAUAUAUUCAUUGUACUAGCACAUAUAAAAUAGACUAUAAAUUUAGUUCCAAAAUACAUUCUUAUCUUCAUAUAAAUUUUACAUUAUUAAUUUAAAUUAAUAUUAAAAUAUGUUGUUUCUUUCACUAUGUUAUUUUAUCUACACAAUGAUGUGACUAUUGGAAUUAAUAAUACUUAUAAUUAUUUUGUAAAAAUAUAAAUUUAAUACUUUGUUAACAUUUUAUCUACAUAUAAUAAUUAAACUGAAACUUGUAUUUAAAAAAAUUCUAGUUACGCAUAUUCAUUUCAUGACAUAAAAGUGUAUAUUUAUGCUAAUUUACCAUUAUCAACAAAAUGCUUUGAGACAAAUAAUCUAAUUUAUAUUUUUAUAUUUAAAAUACUUGUAUUUAUUAUAUUUUGAAAAAAAUUUAUUUGCAAUUAUUUUAAACCGUUGGAUUCAAAUUUUCGUAGUUAUUAAAGUCAAAGGGUAUAAAUGUAUAAUAGUCAAAAAUAGAUUUCUGUGAUCAUUUUUCAAUGUAUAAAUUUUCUUAGUUAGUAGAAAAAUUAGAAAUUGUUGAUUUACUCAUAAAUAAAUUUAAUGUUUAGCAUUUCAAUUUUGGAAACUUUGAAUCGGUCGAGCCGAAUUUCGCUUCCUUGACCCACAGACCCAAUGAAAGUUCUAUUCGAAUUGAGUUUCCCAGUGCUUACAAAAAGCAUUUCUUUUCCUUGUCGCAGUAAUUUAUUCACAAAUGAGUUGAUUAGCAUCGAAGUUACCUGAGAGUCUGAGACCAUGCUAGUAGGAGAAAUUUGAAAAGAAAUUAUUUUACUGAAUUAAUUUAUUUUAUCUUGUUGUAACUGAAAUACUACUUUUUUUUUUGGGCUGUCACUUGGGCUUGAUUUACCUUAAUAGUAGCAGCCACCGACUUAGGCGUUUUUUACUUCUCACCACACAAUUUGAUCUUUUAAUUUGUUUUAACCACAUAAUCUAUCUAUUUUUCACCUAUUGCUUACUUAAAUCGCAUACAUAUUUUACCUACUAAUUUUUAUAAAUAUUAGUCAAAUAUAUUUUAUUACGUUUCUCUCGUAACUGCUCCAAAUGUGUACUAUUAAUACUUAACCCUCCCUUUUAAUUCACCAUGCAAUCUAUCUAUCACUUAAGUCACAUAUAUAUUUUACCCCAAAAAAUAUAAAAAUAAAAGAAAAAGAAUAUGUGUAGCAAUUUGCAUAUAACUAACAAAGCAUUGACGGUGUGUAGCCUUUCAAUACUUCACGAGUGGCUUUUCUUGUGUGUUAGUACUUGUAAUAAUUGUGUAGUGUAUAAAUGACAUUUUAUUAUUAAAGUGUGUCCAUUUUUAGAUAUUACUUAUUAUUUGAAAAAUAAUCUGAAUAUAAUUCUUUUAAAAUACAGGGGAGAUACCACUUGAAAUUGGUAAACUCCAAAUUCUGGAGGACUUGCACCUUGGUCAAAACAAAUUAAUUGGUACUGUCCCAGUUGCAAUCUUUAAUGUGUCAACACUCAAAUUACUUCAGCUUCAAAAUAAUUCUCUCUCGGGAUGUCUUUCGUCCAUCGCAAACAUCCGACUACCAAAUCUUGAAAAGCUUCAUUUGUGGGGUAAUAAUUUUAGUGGCAUAAUUCCUCGUUUCAUCUUUAAUGCUUCUAAGCUCUCUACACUAGAGUUGGAAGAGAACUCAUUCUCCGGUUUUAUUCCCAACACAUUUGGCAACUUAAGAAACCUUGAGCGGCUUAAUUUAGGUGAUAAUUAUUUGACAUCUUCAACUCCAGAAUUGAGCUUUCUAUCCUCGUUGUCAAAUUGCAAGUCUUUAACACUUAUUAUCUUAUCAAAUAAUCAACUAGAUGGCAUUCUUCCUAAGACGUCUAUCGGUAAUCUUUCUCGUUCUUUGGAAGAAUUUUACAUGCACAAUUGUAACAUUAGUGGCGGCAUCCCUGAAGAGAUCAGCAACUUGACCAACUUGACAACCAUUAUUUUAGGAGGCAAUAAAUUGAAUGGAUCAAUUCCGAUUACUCUCGGCAAAUUACGAAAGCUUCAACGGUUGAAUCUUGAAGAUAACAAAUUAGAAGGAUCAAUCCCAAACGACAUUUGUCAUUUGGCUGAACUGUAUAGAUUGGAGCUGGGCGGCAAUAAGCUUUAUGGAUCAAUCCCUGCAUGCUUCGGUAAUCUGGCUUCUCUGAGGAUACUGUCGUUGGGUUCCAAUAAGUUAACUUCUAUUCCUUUAACUUUUUGGAACCUUAAGGAUAUCUUGCAACUCAACUUUUCAUCAAAUUUUUUGACUGGCCCACUCCCAUUAGAGAUUGGAAAUUUGAAGGUUUUGAUUGGAAUUGAUUUUUCGAUGAAUAAUUUUUCAGGCGUUAUCCCAACAGAAAUUGGAGGCCUGAAAAAUCUAGAAUAUCUCUUCUUAGGAUAUAAUAGAUUGCGAGGAUCGAUUCCUGAUUCAUUUGGUGAUUUGAUAAGUUUGAAAUUCUUGAAUUUGUCCAAUAAUAAUCUCUCUGGGGCUAUUCCUACAUCUUUAGAGAAACUCUCAUAUCUUGAAGAUCUAAAUCUUUCUUUCAACAAGCUAGAAGGAGAAAUUCCUAGGGGAGGAUCUUUUGGAAACUUCUCAGCUGAAUCAUUUGAGGGAAAUGAAUUAUUAUGUGGUUCACCCAAUUUACAAGUCCCGCCAUGCAAAACUAGCAUCCACCAUACAUCAUGGAAAAAUUCUCUUCUCCUAGGGAUUGUCUUGCCAUUGAGUACUACAUUAUUGAUAGUAGUCAUUUGGUUGAUCCUAAGAUAUCGACAGAGAGGAAAACAACCAUCGAAUUAUGCUAAUAUGCCACUAGUAGCAACGUGGAGAACAUUUUCAUACCUAGAACUUUGUCGAGCAACAGACGGAUUCAGUGAAAACAAUCUAAUUGGCAGAGGAGGUUUUGGCUCUGUUUAUAAGGCAAGACUUGGGGACGGGAUGGAGGUUGCAGUGAAAGUUUUCAAUUUGCAAUGUGGAAGAGCGUUCAAGAGUUUCGAUGUUGAAUGUGAAAUGAUGAAAAGUAUUCGCCAUCGAAACCUUAUCAAAGUUAUUAGUAGUUGUUCAAAUGAAGAGUUUAAAGCGUUGGUAUUAGAAUACAUGCCUCAUGGAAGUUUGGAUAAGUAUCUGUAUUCAAGUAAUUGCAUUUUGGAUAUUUUUCAAAGAUUGAACAUAAUGAUAGAUGUUGCAUCAGCUUUGGAAUAUCUGCACUUUGGUUAUUCAGCUCUAGUAAUUCAUUGUGACUUAAAGCCCAGCAAUGUAUUGUUAGACGAUAAUAUGGUUGCUCAUUUGAGUGAUUUUAGCAUCGCAAAAUUGCUAACUGGAGAAGAUCAAUCUAUGACUCAAACACAAACACUUGGCACAAUCGGCUAUAUGGCACCAGGUUUGUUCAAUAUAAAAUUUUUCUAUUUCUUGUAAACUUCCUAAUAAGUUAUUUAUGUUUCAUGAUCUUCAUUAGAUAAGGAAAUUAUUAUUAAUGAUAUAUCUUACUAAGUAACUGUUACAAUUCAUAGAGUAUGGAAGAGAAGGACGAGUAUCCACAAAUGGAGAUGUUUAUAGCUUUGGGAUUAUGUUAAUGGAAACUUUUACCGGGAAGAAACCCACAGAUGAAAUUUUUAACGAAGAAAUGACAUUAAAGCAAUGGGUUAAUGAUUGGCUACCCAUUUCCACUAUGGAAGUUGUUGAUGCUAAUUUGCUUAGUCAGGAGGACGUACAUUUUGUUGCAAAGGAGCAAUGUGUGUCAUUUGUCUUCAAUUUGGCUAUGGCGUGCACUGUGGAAUCUCCUGAGCAGAGAAUCAAUGCAAAAGAAAUUGUAAAAAAGCUCUUAAAAAUUAGAGACUCAUUACUUAGAAAUGUUGGAGGCAGAUGUAUAAGACAAUCAAAUUUAAAUUGAUUCUACCCUUCCUUCAUUGCUCGUUAUCCUUUUUAGAGAAUUGAACAGUUAUCCUUCAUAUAAGUUUUGUUGAUAUGUUUUGUUAUUGCUCUUGCUCAUGUUUAUUUCUCUGUUUCUUUAAUUUGCAUGCAUGUAUUUUUCAUUAUCUUUUAUGUUUUUGUUGGUUUGUAUGUAGUUUGUUUUUAGGGGUAAGUUGAUCAUGUCCUCCCCUAAUUAGACGUAUCCUUUUUAUGUUUAUUCAAUAAAGCUUCUCUAAUAUUAUGGAGGUUCAUCAAAAGAAAAUUUUUAAUUAAUUUUCUUUUCUUUGAUAGGUAAUGAAAUUUUAAUCUUCAUCGUGAAUAACUUCAAUAACAGAGUGUAAGAGUAUUAGUAGUUAUGGUUAUUUUUUGAACCUGGAGUCAAGAGCAAUUUAACAGCAACAAACAAGUCUCUUGUAUUAUAGGCAAAAUUCUUUUCAUUAAUCUUAUUUGUCUACAUGUUCUCUUAUUUUCUCCAUUAAUCUUCGCUCAAGGUUUCAUGCUUCCUCUUUGAUAAAGGAAAAUAUUACUUGAGAAUAUUUCAAUUUGACAUAAGAGACUGUUUUGCCAACCAUUUGAUAAAAUGGAUAUGAGUGGAGCUUUCAAUCAUUACCUCCACCAAAAUCGUUACAACGCCACUUUUAAAUUUUAUUUUUUAAAAUGCAUUCAGUUUAAUUUAUAAAAAAUAAAUCCAUUUGUUAAAAUUAAUCUUUUUCUCAUAAAUUUCAACCUAAGAAAUAUAUUUCUUUUAAAUUUUUAAUUAUAAAAUACAUACAAGUUCUAAACUGUUAUAUUAUUUUCUUCUUAUUAUAUAGAUUAUAUCUCCAUAUCUCCAUAACUCUAAACUCCUAUAAUUUUUUAAAAAUAUUUUUAAUUUAAGAUAGGAAAAUUAUCAUUUGUAUACCCUAUAUUUGCUCUGUUAUCAAAAAUACUACAACACUUUGAGGGUGUAUCAAUCGUCCACCCUUAGUUGACAAAAUGUAUCAGCUGACCACCAAACCGUUAGUUGCCGUUUGAAAGUUAACGGAAUUACAGUGAAUUGACGAUUUUACCCUUGAAAAUUAUCACUUGUAUACCCUUAAUUUCUCUUUUUAUCACUUGUAUACCCUUAAAUUAUCACUUGUAUCUUAUGAAAAGACCAAAUUACCCUUCUAACGUCAUCAUAUUUAAACGGCAACUAACGGUUUGGUGGUCAGUUGAUACAUUUUGUCAACUUUGGGUGGAUGAUUGAUACACCCUCAAAGUGUUGUAGUAUUUUUGAUAAUGGAGUAAACUAAGGGUAUACAAAUGAUAAUUUCCCUUUAAAAUAUAAAUAUAAAAUAUAAAAUGGAGUGGGUAUAAAAAAACUUGUUAAAAGAAUAAUUCAUUUAAGUAUUUAACUGAAUUUAAAUUAAAAUAAGAAAUAAAUAAAUUUAUUUUUUAUUAGUUAAGUAAUUUUCAAUUGAAAAAGAGCUGUAUGAGUAAUAUUAUUGAAAUAUGAUUAAAAUUCUUAUGAAUUAAACAUUUUCGUAUAAAUACUAGUGAUAAUUAUAGAGAAAGUAUGAUGAACCAAAGAAAACUUGAAUAUAAAUACUCCAAUGUAAUUUUACACAUGCAAAUUAUGAACCAAUGAUCUUUAGAGCAUUAUAAAAUUAUUUUGACAUAAUUAUUUAUUUUGAAAAAUUGCCAACAAUGUUUUAUUAAAGUGGGAUUGAAAAGAUUAUGCUACUUAUAUAAGACAUGAUAUCAUUUAACAUGGCUUGCAGAUUAUGAGAAAUAUAUUGAUCUUACAAAUAUUUAAUAUGUUAAUUAGACAGGUCCAGCUGCCUUCCACCCGCUGGAAGGUACAACUUAUUUUGUCCUCUAGUGUUGUGGCCAUUGGAUAUUUGAGAAAUUGAUCUAUCGGUUCUUGUUCAGCAGCGUGAAAUUGAAUUUCAAUCGGCAAACGUUUCAUGAACUUUGCAAGGGACAAUUAUCUACAAAAAUAUUUUUUAAAAAAAUAAUUUUUCCCUUUCAUCAGCCGCCGCUGCCACCCACAACUCCUUAAUAUCAUCAUCACCAUCCCAAUCCUUAGCCGCCAUCCACAAGCUCUAACAACCACCAUGACCGCCAUCACAACCACCACUCCUCAUAACCCCUAGCCACCACUACAAACAUUCACAAACCCUACCAAUCAUCCACAACACCUAACCGCCGUCACCAACAAACUUUCGCCGCCGCUUCCUACAAGCAAGCCUCACCACCCACCACCGCACACACACAAAGCCACACCAACCGCCAUACUAUUGUGACAGAGCCCACAAUGUAGACAAGAUCCAGCAGAGGGGGGAUGUUUUCCUUCUUCGGCUGACUAUUCUUUUUUUUUUAUUUUUUAAUUAUUAUAUUACUUUUAGUUAUUUUUAGUUAUUCUUUUAUUUUGUCUAUAUUUUGGUUGUUAGAUUGUUUUUGUUGUUGUUAUUGGCGGCAGUGGAGUUGCAGCUCGUGAUGAUGAUGGUGAUGUUGGUGUCAUUUUAAUCGAGAUUUUGUCUUUUUUUUACCGGCUACGCCAGUCAUCUUCAUUCAUUACGUGUCCAUUUCUAACAUGUUAGAUUUUACUACUUUUUAAUCCAAGGAUUAGACCACAACGAGACAAAAGAUGGGGUACCUUCCAAUGGGUGGAAGGUAGUUUCGGCCCAAUUAGACUGAGUCUAUGCAAUAAAAAUUUCAAAUUAAAAAAUAAGCCCUUUAUUUUCUUUUAAUCAUAAGUGUGAUCUUAAUUAUUAAAGUCAUUUAAUGUCCAUUACUUAUUCAUUUUUUUUAAUUACCUAAAUGACAUUGAAAGCUCUACUCAAUAAUAAUUCAUUCAAAUGUUUUAUUUUAAAGUAAUCGGAAACUGCAAAUGAAGCAAAUGCUUGAAAUCACAAACAACCUAAAAUUAGAUUUUCAUUUUUCAAUGUUGCAAUGACUUUGAUCUUGAUAUUGAAAAUUUAUUUGUAACUUAUAUAUAGGCCUCGAUUUUAUCAUAAUUGGUUAGUAAGGCUACGUAGGGAGCAUGGAUAAAUUUUGGGAUUGGAUUAUAUUUUUGGAACUAAAAAAUUAAUUUCAUCCAAUGUUAGUUUGGCUGUUAGGACUAGCAACUUAGUCUAAAAUUAUUGAAAUUAUUGAUGUUUUAUAUUAUAAUAUUUUCAUUACCACUUUAAACAUUAUUGGUAACUUAAAUCAUUUUUUAAAUUAAAUAUAAAUUUAAUUAAUUAUAAAAAUUAAUUUAAUUAAAUAUAAAAAUCAUUUAAAUUAAAUAUUAACAUUAAUUUCAUAAUUUUUUACCUAGAAUUUUAUAUUAUAUUAAAUACUAAAAUUCUAUUCGAUAAUUUAUUAUCAUUUAUUUAAUAAAUGUUUAGUAUGUUAUAUUAUUAUUUAAAUUAAUUUUUUAUUUACAUAUAAACAUAAAUUAAUAUUUACUAAUUUCAAAUUUUUUUAGUUUGUUUAAUAAUAAAAGCUAAAUUACUAUAUUGAAAAUAUAAAUAGUAUUCUAAUGUAUUAUAGUCUAAAUCUCACCCCAAUGAGUUUAUUUUAUACACCUUUUAUUAUAUUAACCACAUUUAUAAUGCAGUGCAAUGCAACAAAAUUUUUUUAACAAAUAUGAGUUAGCAUGAAAAUAAUAUUUUAGUACAAUGUAAUACAAUGUAAUGUAAGCUGACAAAUGGAUAUUUAAUGGAAGCAAAAAUUGCAGAUGGUUUGGUUUGUGGGUCUCUCAAAAGACAACAAAGAAACCAAUAUGAUAAACUAAUUCUAUCCUCUUUAAUGGUGUCUUUACUAAAUGGAAAUCAGAAGAGUUAGAAUUGAAAUAGGCUUGAAUCGAAAUAAGGAAUUAAAAUCAGAAUAAGUUGUUUAUUUAAGUUGUAUGAAUCAGAAUCGAAAUAAUUUUUAUUCAAAUUGAUGUGUUUAUUUUCUCUUGAAAUUAGAAUGGACUAUUACAAGUUACUAAAAAAUCAUUUGGUAAUUGUUGUCUCUAGUAUUAUUUGUAUCUGUUAUAAUGUUAAAAAUAAUACUAAAAAUGAAAAUAAUAAUAAUAAUAAUAAUAAUAAUAAUAAUAAAGACAAUUAUAAUAAAAUUAAUAAAUUAUUAUUAUUAUUAUUACUACUACUACUACUAGUACUGAAGACCGCCUAGUGAAGAUUGGAUAGUGAAGAUGAAGACAACGAUCCUGGCAACCAACUGUUGCUUCAAAGAUGAUGUGCCCAAAUGGAGACAACCAGCGAUGACCAGCCAACUAGAUCCCAAUCUCGAUGUUGUGAUCUCACAUGAUCACUGAUAAAGCGAUGUGCGAUGCCAGUGUUGUGAUUUCUUUUUAUUUAUAUUUUUUAAUUUAUUGGGGGUAUUUUCAAAAUUUAGUAAUUUUAAUAUGGGCAAAUUGGAUAGUUGAGGGAACAAGAGACUGAUUUCCAACCAUCCUAAGAAUUAGUCUCUCAUUCUCUAUUUCUAAUUUGAUGUGGGUCCUAUUAUUUCGAUUUCAAUUUUUACAUUUAUUUGUAAAGUAAAUGACGUUAAUGAUUUCAAUUUCUAAUUGGAGAAGAAAACACAUCAUAAUAAUUUUUUAGAUGCUUCCAUGGCAUAAUCUCAUUGGUCCGUUUUUCUUCACGCCUUAGAUUCAACUUCAAGAUUUAAGAUCCAAUUUGAAGCAAACACAACUACAAAACAAAUAUAAUAAGCGUUACUAAGCCUGCGGCUGACUGGCUGUGGCCAAGCAAAUGGAACUCAUAGUGACCGAACCAUAUCUUAUUAUCUUACGCCAGAAGUUAAACAAUGUUCCCAUUCCACGUGUCACUCUCUGACCAACCCCCAAACUUUCUACAUAUUUCCAAAGAAACCCUUACCAAGUCAAGAUAAUUACCUUCACUCUACUUAUAUAAAUACUGUCCUCGAUUCAACUGAUGACGACAUAUCCUUACAGUCUUUAUUUAAAAGGAAAAAUUAUAAAAAAUUAUCCUCGUUCCCUAAAACUCUAGGGUUUGUCAAGAAUCGCUAAACAUAUAUCCCAAUCAUUCAAAAUCUCAAUUUAACCUCUCUAGGGUUUUGAUUGUCGAGGAUUCGCUUGAAAAUUUAGUAUUUUUUAGUGGAUUUUGCUUGUCUCGUAUGCUUCAAUUGUUGUUCGGUUCUGAAAAUAAUUUGGAAUUUUAGGGAUUUUCAAUUGUUGUUCGGUUCUGAAAAUAAUUUGGAACCAAAAAUUCCCAACAAUUGUCAGUUGUUUUAAACUCUAUUCCGAACAGAGCAUGAAGGGAUUCACUUAUCUAAUUAUGUCAUUUAUGCUUUAACUUCACUUCAUUUCAUCUUGUCCGUCACCUUGACUAAAGUUGUGUAUGUUGGAGUAUUAGGUUCAUCACAAGGAUCAUAUUAUGGCUAAGGAAGUAGCACAGUUUAUUAGCUACACUCAAGUGUAGCAGAGUAUUUGGAUUCAAGACUGUUAUAAGGUUGUUACAGAUGCAAUGCUGUUGCUGUGUAACUGUAUGCCAUGCUCGCAAGUGCGCUGUAACAGAUUGCUCAUCAGGCACCGGAUAUUUUAAGCUAAUUUUGGUAAUUAGUCUAGAGUGUUCUGAUUUAUUCUAUAAAUAGCUCAUUUGAGCGUAGAACCUUUAAGGUGUAUCGUACAUUUCUGUUACUUCUAAUAAAGAAUUUCUUUAUUCCUUUUUCUUUCACUUUCUCUUUCAUUUUCAUGAUCCCCAAACACCAUCAAACAUAGAAUUGCUGUUUUAGGCCAAUGGACAUAACGUGACAAGUUUUUGAAGUGAAUGACUCCUCUUUUCUCCAUAAAUCUUUGCUUAAUUUUUUUGUUCCCUCAACCUUUUUUGGCCUUUUCUGCUAAAAUUCAUUUUUUUGAUACAUUAUGCAAAAAUUGAUGAAAAUGAGUUACUCUAGAACAUCAAUAAAUUUUUAUUACAUGAUAAGACAAUUAUACUUAGAUUACUCUUAUUUGGUUGAAUUAUAUGUAAUAAAAUUAGUUUAACAGAAUCUAACCCGUAAAUAUUCCUUAUCACAUGAUUAACGUACUUAAAAAAUAUAACUGGUCGGCCGCUUGUUUUACAAUUCUUUUAUAUAUCUUUGAAACUUUCAGCUUCCUAACACAUCAUAUUGUUCUCAAUUCGUCUAAAUUAUUUUUUUUGGUCAAACACUAUAGCAACAACCAGUAUAAAAUAGAAUGAACUCAUUUAAUAAAAAUUUUUCUAGAUGCUUUCAUGACAGAAUCUCAUUGGUCUAUUUCUCUUCAUGGCAAAAUUUUUCUGAAAUACACUUAGUUUUUUAAAAAAGAGCUUUAUGAGAAAUUUUCAGUGUGUCAAAAGGCCUACUUAAUGGACUGGAUCCCGACUCAUUAAUUUUAUAACCCGACUUACAAUCCGAAUCAUUAUUCACAGAGAUUAAUUUGCUAUUGCUUAAGGCACAAUAUUUACUAAGCAAUUUAUCAGCAAUAAAACAUGUAUAUUAUAGUGGUUUGUAAUAAAAUUGGAAGAAGACAUCACGUACGAAUUGGAUUUAUCUGAUGAAAUUUGAUUAACGAAAGUGUAUGAAAAUAUAUAAAGAAAAUAGUAAAAAAAAUUGUUGUGUAAAUGUUGUAUAGGUGAUAUAUUACUUUUAUAAUCCAUCAAGGUACAUUUGAUUUUAAUGAUGAAACAAAUACAAAUAAAUCCAUGUAUGUCAAUGCUAGAUGGUUCCAUAUUAAACUUGUGAAGUAUAGAAAAUAAGCGAGAUUCGUAAAAAAUAUUUUAGAUAAUACCACUGAAAAGUUAUAAAAAAUAUUUUUAAAAAAAAAAAGAAAUACAUACUCGAGACACCAAGACCGAUACGCACAAACUCACACAUUUACAUAUUAAUUGAGGGAAAAAAUGAUAUUCUGAGUAAUAUUGUUGACAUAUGAUUAAAAUAAAAUUCUAUUUAAUGAAACAUUUUCGUAUAAAUACUAGUGAUAUUUGUAGAGAAAGUAGAAUGAAGUAAAAAAAAAAAAACUUGAAUAUAAAUGCUCCAAUAUAAUUUUUCCCAUGCAAAUUAUGAACUAGUGAACUUUAAAGCAUCAUAAAAUUGUUUCAACAUAAGUAAUUAGUUUGAAAAAUUGCCAAUAAUGUUUAAAGUGGGGACGAAAAGAUUAUACUAUAUGAGACAUGAUAUUAUUUAAGAUAGCUUACAAAUUAUGGGAAAUGUAUUGAUCUUACAAAUAAUAUUUAAUAAGUACAAAUUUCAAAUUAAAUAAUAAACUCUUAAUUUCCUUUUAAUCAUAAUUAUGAUCUUAAUAAUUAAAGUCAUUCAAUCUUAAUCACUUUUUCAUUUUUUUAAACUACCUAAAUGACAUUGAAAACUCUACUCAAUAUUAAUUUAUUCGAAUGUUCUGUUUCAAAAUAAUUGAAAACUGUAAAUGAAACAAAUGCUUGCAAUCACAAAUGGCAUAAAAUGGGAUUUUUAUUUUUUAAUAUUGCAAUGACUUUGAUCUUGAUAUUGGAAAUUUAUUUGUAACUUAUACUAAGUCUUCAAUUUUAUCAAAAUUAGUUUCUAAAGAUGCAUUUGCCAUACUGUGUAGUUUUAUUGUAUGAUGAUAUAUUACAUUAGGGUGCAUUGUAUUGAGCUGUAAUGCAAUACUAUUUUAUAUUAAUGUUAAAACUAAAUCAACCUUAUUUAAAUUUAUUAAUAUUUUAGGGUUUUAUUAGUAAUAUCUGAAAUUAAGUAUUAAAUAAUUAUUUUUAUAAUAUACAAAUUAUUUAAUAAUAUUCUACUAUUAAAUAAUAAAAUAUUAUAAUAUUAUGUUAUAUUAUUAACAAUUAUUCUGUUAUAAUAUAAUUUAUUUUUAUAUAUUAGUUAUUAUAAUUUAUUAUAAUCAUAUUAUAAUAAUAUUAUGUUGUAAAAAUAUAAUACUAUAUAAUUGUAUGAUAUAAUAUGAAUUAAUUUAUAAUUUAACAUUAAAUUAUAAAUUUAUUUUAUUUAUUAAUGUCAAAUAUAAUUGUCUAAUUUAAAUUUAGUAUUUUUUUAAAAAUAAACUACUAAAUAAUUAAAAUAAUUUUAUAUAAUAAAGUAAAAUAAUGUAUUAUUAUUUAUUAAUUAAAUAUUUAGGUUUAUUAAUAUACUAUAUUAUUAAUUAAAUUUAAUGAAUAUUAAUUAAUAAUUUAAAUUUAUUAAAUAAUAAAAGUUAAAUGAUUAUAUUUAAAAUAUAAAUAAUAUUUUAAUGCAAUAAAACCUAAAUCCCACAUGUAUACCACAUUUGUUAUACAGUGUAAUGCAACAUUUGUUAAGUGUGAAGGAUUAAUUGCAAUUUCGAAUUUUUGAUAAAAUUUAAAUUAAAAUUGGGCGGUUAUUAAUUAAUUGAUGGCUAGUGAUACUACAACGGCGGCCGAAGCUCCGGAAGAAGCGGAGGCGGUGGAGGGUUAUGAUAGCGAUCCAGAUGAAGUGAAACACUAUCUCGUGAUGCGCAGAAUGGAAGCAAGCGAUGAUGAGGAGGAGGUGGAGAAAGAAUUUGAGCGUCGAAUAGGAUCUACAUUUACUCUUAAGAUGAAUCUGAUGAUGAAUUAGAACAUGACAUAUAAUUAGAAGAAGAAGAUGAGGACUAUAAUAGAAAUAUUUAUGGGACCCAUUUUCGCAUCCAAUUGAAGGUUAAGACAAGACAUCUAAUAAGGGCUGCUCUCCAAAUUAUGUUACCACACCUACGGUCAAAGCUCGCUAGCACUUUUAUAACGGGAUGGCAAUGAGGCGGCUUCGGGGCAGGAUGACGAUCCUCACCCCCAUCCCGAAUUAGAAGCAGUCUCCAAACCUGCCUUCCAUAUCCCUGAUAAUUCUCAAAAUGAGACAAGGAUUAAAACAGAGGCUCAAUUCUCAAUUAUUUAGUUUUUAAGUAAAAAAAGAGCUCUCAAUCUGGAUCUGAAUAAUUGUUUAUUAAGGACUAAUUUUGAAGCUAGAACAUUUAACAAUUCAAAUGAGGUUCCUUUUGUUUCAUCUGAUAUUUUCAAAAGUUUGAAAGCUACUUGGAAGAUAUCAUCAAUCUCAGUCUAUAAAAAUCCAAAUGUUAUUUGUGCGGAAAAUACAAGAUAAUUAACAAUCUACAUGCUCUCUCUUCCACUGGAAAAAUAUAUAUAGUCCAAUAUAUAUUAAAUAUUUCUAUUAUAUGAAGAGGAAGAAGAAGUUUAUGAACAAGAGGAGAGAAGGUUGUUACAGAUGUAAGGCUGUUACUGUGUAACAGUAUGCCAUGCUGGCAAGUUUGCUAUAACAGAUUGCCAAGCUGGCACUAAUUAUUUUAAACUAAUAUUAGUAAUUAGUCUAGAGUGCUCUAAUUUAUUUUAUUCUAUAAAUAGCUCAUUUGAGCUUUGAACCUGUAACGUGUACUGUACUUUUCUAUUACUUCUAAUAAAGUUUUUCUCUGUUCUUUUUUCUUUCACUUUCUCUUCCAUUUUCCCGACCCUCAAACAGCGUCAAUCCUUGAUUUUCUACAGUAUUAGCUGUUUGGUUCUACAAACAUAGAACUGGUCGUUUAUUGACUUGUUACUUGUGAACAGGGCCAAUAAAGGACAAAUAAGAUGUUGGGCCAAUGGGCCCAACGUCACAGAUCUUGAAUUGAUUGUCUCUUCUUUUCUCCACAAAUCUUUGCUUAAUUUUUAUGCUCCCUCAACUUUUUUCCCCUUUUUGUGCUAAAUUUAUUUUUUUGAUACUUUAUGCAAAAAUUAUGAUGAAAAUUAAUUACUUUAGAACAUCAAUAAAUUUUUGUUACAUUCAAGAUACGGACAAUUACACUUAGAUCACUCUUAUUUAGUUGAAUUAUAGGUAAUAAAAUUGGUUUUAACAAAAUACGAUUCUUAACCCUCGUAAUUAAAGGCUCGUGUUAUUUGGUUUAGUUAUAACACCAUGCAACAGGUCGUCUUGGUGGGUUCAAAUUAAUAUACGAUCAUUCUCAAUUUUUAAUAGUUCGUAAUUAAAAAGUCUUAUAUCACAAUUAGAAUUUGCAAACAUGCCAAAGUGAGUUAAAUCAAAACCUAUAAAUUUGAGGUGUACUACAAACUUCUGACAAAUUAAAAUUUAAAACGAUUAAUUAAAUGCUAGACAAAAUUUAGCUUAUUAAUGUUCCUGACCACAUGAUGAAUGUACUUAAAACAUCCUAACUGGUCGCUAAUUGAUUAGUUGUUAUUUUUUCAAUUUCUUUUUAUAUAUCUUUGAAACUUCUAGUUUCCUAACAUGUUAUUCGCAAUUCGUGUAAAUUAUUAUUUUUUAAAUAUUAGAGCAACAACCAGUAUAAAAAUGAAAUGCACUCAUUUAAUGGAAAUUUUUCUAGAUGCUUCAAUGGCAGAAUCUCGUUGGUCUAUAACUCUCACGCCUUUGAUUCAAGAUUCAAUUUCAAACCAACGCCGAACAAACAGUAUAAACCUUAAUAAGUCUGUGGCUGUAGCCCAACAAACCUACUUCCGGCUCACCGAAUAAUCAUCUCUUACGUCGGAAUUUAAACUUAAACAAAGCUACAUCCCACGUGUCCCCAACUUUCUUCAUAUUUCCAAAAAACCCCUACCAGAUCCAGAUAAUUACCUUCACUCUUCUCGUAUAAAUAGAGAAGACGACGGUUCCUGCAACGUGAGUCACGUGAACGUCAAUUUCAAACCAACGUGAGUCACGUGAACGUUACGGCCAUGGGACAUUGGAAUUGGAUCAAACCACCGGAAUGCACAGCAAAAUUAACCGAAUAAACUAAAUUAGAUCCAACCAAUUGAAUCGGUUUGGGGCCAAUUGCAGUUUUGAUAGCAACUAAAAUCUGUGUGGCCCAGUUACCACAGAGCCUUGCCCCAGAUCCCUGCCAUUUUCUCCUCCACCUCCAUUUGGGGAAAUUACUACUUACUUUUUGCAAGUUUUUCUUGAAAUAUUUAUUUUGAGAAGAAAACCAACAAUACAUUUUAUGAUUUGGGCUCUUUCAAAGAUCUUCGCUUGAUGUCUAUGCUACUGGUUUUCAGCAGAGUGCCCAAAAAUAAUCAGUGCACGCACUAUAGGCUCUAUUAUUAUCAGUAAAAAGCAUUAAUGAUAUAUUGGGAUCGACUUUUUUAUGGGAGUGGUAAAGUGGUGCAUCUUGUUCAUGCACCGUAGAGCCAAUUCCAUUUUGUGAAAUAGGAGUUGAAUAAAAUUUAUUGUAAUACAUGGAAGUAUUGUUAGAAACACGAACACAGUGAGUUGACAAUUUAAAUUGCAAUUAAUUGAAACAAAAUGUAAACCAGCAAUUGGAAACAGCAAAUUAAGAACAGAAGAGAAAUGAAACGGAAUAAGAAAUAUAAACCCGAGGCCUGCACAAGGCAGUUUCCUUAAAACAGAUUUACCACCUCUUUUCUUGUGCUUAAGGUCUGCUGGUAUCUAUUUCCCAGGAUACAACGAGUACGAAUUUCUAGUCAAGCACAGGCUGGAGAUUCCGGCGAACCACAACAGGUAACUCGAUUAGAGAAAGACGAAGAAGGAUGAAGGAAAAAACAAGUGUGUUUUGUGCUGGUUUUUAUGGUGUCCAAAAACAGAAGAAGAGAUGCCUUUUUAUAAUCAUGUGAGGAUGUAACAGCUAAUGUGUAUUGAAUUUCCGAAUUCAAAAUUGAAUUAAAAAAACGUGAACAACAGCUAAAAAUAAUUGUAAAAGCUGUUACACAUUCUUUGAAUUCAAAACAUCAAAUUGUUACAAUAAAAAAUUCAAAAGGAAAUUAAAAACGUGCCAAGCUUGCAUGGAUGAUUUUGGGCUUCUUUUUCCCAUGUGGGAUAAGCCUCAUUUCCUUUCAAUCUAACUUCAAGGGUGAACUUUGAGAGACAAUUUCUCAUUCACCCAAGCACCAUUUUGAGAAAAUAAGAUUAUACUAUUGAAGUAUCAAUGGAGUAGAAUUCGAACCUCACAAUAUUUUCCACUUUUGUUAAGUGGGACCCACUCAAAAUGUGCCCUCAAAAUAGCAUGUUAUGCUAUUUUUCCAACAAUCCCCCACAUGAAUGAAAAUUGGCAGUAAAAACAAGAAAACCGCUAAAUUUUGACAUCAAAACCAUUUUUGACUCUUAAUGAUCGAGUUUAUUGGAUUGAUACCUAGCACAUGAUAGGUAGGUGUUAUCCUUUGAACCUUUCCUUGUAAUAGUAUAAAUACUUUACUAGCUGAUCAGUAGACGCGAUGUCUUUGAACUGUUCUGCCAUUAGUGUAAAGGAUCAUAUACUACACAUAGGUAUUUCCCCUAACACUGUUGAGUUCUCAUGAUUAUGUUCGUUUUGGCCUUGAACAUCUGCCUGGUUCUGCAAGAGUUUCUAAGAGCUGAACCCUUUAUAGCUCCCUUUGAAGCGGCCCCACUUCUCUCUCACAUAGGUAAUAUUUUAAUUAAGAGUAACCCGCAUUACUCCGCUAGAAUUUUCGACGCAUAAGAAUCAUUAAGAGCCUAGCUCAACCUUAUUCCCCACGGGCAACACUGUUUCAUCAUAGGAAUGGUCAAUGAGGUAAUCCUCUCAAGAGAAUGACCCCCACAGUGAUCCAUCUUUAGUCUUUAACAAAUAGGUUGUCCAAUUGAACCUAGAUCUUAGGAUCUCCAGUCUACUAGGUUAGGUUUUCCUUCGUUAUUGACUAAUCAAUCUAUAGGUUUUAAUCACAUCCCCCUCGAUAAUUUUUCUACUAGCUCUCUAUUUAAUCCUUUGGUUAGCGGAUCCUCUAUGUUAUCCUUUGACCUUACAUAGUCAAUAGAAAUAACUCCAGUAGAAAUAAGUUGUCUAAUGGUAUUAUGUCUACUACGAUGUAUGUGUCUAGACUUACCAUUAUACAUAUUGCUUUGUGCCCUACCGAUAGCUGAUUGACUAACGCAAUGUAUACAAAUCGUAUACACAGGCUUUGGCUAUUUUGGAAUACCUUCUAAAAAAUUGCGUAGCCAUUCUGUUUCUUCACCACAUUUAUCUAAUGCAAUGAAUUCAGAUUCCAUUGUAGAUCUAGCAAUUACUGUCUGUUUAGAACAUCUCCAUGAUACAGCUGCACCUGCUAGUGUAAAUACAUAGCCGCUAGUAGAUUUUGAAUCUUUUACAUCUGAUAUCCAGUUAGCAUCACUAAAUUUUUCUAAUACUUCUGGAUACCUAGUAUAGUGCAGUCUAUAAUUACGAGUGUAUCGAAGAUACCUAAGUACUCUUACAAUAGCUUUCCAGUGAUCAGUUCCUGGAUUACUCGUAUAUCUACUAAGUUUGCUUACUGUAUAGGCUAGAUCUGGUCUGGUACAAUUUGUUAAGUACAUCAGACUACCUAUUAUUCUAGCAUAUUCAACUUGAGAAAUACUCUCUCCUCUGUUUUUCGAUAGAUGAAUACUAGUAUCUAAUGGAGUUUUAGACAUAGUAUUAUCCUCUUUAUUAAAUUUCCCAAGAAUUUUAUCUACAUAAUGAGUUUGACUUAAAAUAAGUCCAUUAGAAGUCCUUGAAAUUUUAAUUCCCAAAAUGACAUCUGCAAGACCCAUGUCUUUCAUGUCAAACUUAGACUUCAACAUAUUCUUGGUAGAUUUAAUCAUGUCAUCAUUACUCCCAACAAUAAGCAUGUCAUCAACAUAUAAACAUAAAAUGACAUAGCCAUUUUCUGUUUCUUUGACAUAAACACAUUUGUCACAUUCGUUGAUCUUAAAGCCACUAUUAUCAUCGUAUGAUCAAAUUUCUCAUGCCACUGUUUCGGUGCUUGUUUCAAGCCAUAUAAUGACUUAACCAAUUUACAAACUUUCUUUUCUUGUCUUGGAGCUAUAAAACCUUCAGGUUGCUCCAUGUAGAUUUCUUCAUCUAAAUCUUCAUUUAGAAAAGCCGUCUUUACAUCCAUUAGAUGUAUCUCGAGAUUGCGCAAAGCUGCAAUUGCUAUUAUCAUCCGUAUGGAAUUUAUUCUCGUAACAGGAGAAUAAGUAUCAAAAUAAUCAAGGCCUUCUCGUUGCCUAUAACAUUUAAUUACAAGCCUAGCCUUGUACUUAUCGAUUGAUCCAUCGGCUUUCAUUUUCCUUUUGAAAAUCCACUUAUACCCCAAAGGUUUAUAUCCUGGAGGAAGAUCUACUAGCUCCCAAGUAUGAUUUUGUAAAAUGGAUUCAACUUCACUGUUAAUGGCUUCUUUCCAUAAAGUGCCUUCAGCUGAAGUUACAGCCUCUUUGAAGCUUUGAGGUUCAUUUUCUAGCAAAUACGUCAGAAAGUUUGGACCAAAAGACUUUUUUAUUCUAGCUCUUUUGCUACGUCUAACCUCAAUUUCUUGUUCUUCUUCUUCUUCUGGUGCUUGAUCAUUUUCUUCAUUUUCAAGUGUUGUUUCAUGAAAUUGUUCCAAUUCUCUCGAUUCCACUCUAGAAUUGCAAGGAAACACAUGUUUGAAAAACGAUGCAUUUCUUGAUUCUAUUAUUGUAUUUUUGUGGACAUCUGGAAUUUUAGACUCAUGCACCAAAAAUUGAUAUGCACUACUAUUUUGUGCAUAACCAAUGAAAAUGCAGUCAACAGUUUUUGGUCCUAUUUUCACUCUUUUAUUUAAAGGAACUACUACUUUAGCAAGACACCCCCACACUCAUAAGAAUUUAUAUGAAGGUGAUCUACCUUUCCAUAGCUCAUACGGGAUUUUAUCUUCUUGCUUUCGGGGUAUCUUAUUUAAUAAAUAAUUAGCUGACAAAACAACUUCUCCCCACAUAUUCUGGGGUAACCCAGAACUUAUCAACAUUGCAUUCAUCAUUUCCUUUAAAGUUCGAUUCUUUCAUUCUGCAAUCCCAUUAGAUUGAGGUGAAUAUGGAGCUGUGACUUGAUGUAUGAUUCCACUUUGUUCACAUAGUGACAUAAACGGAACAACAUACUCACCACCACGGUCACUCUUUAAUUCUUUGAUUUUUCUAUUAAGUUGAUUCUCAACUUCAUUUUUGUAGAGAAUAAACUUUUCCAAAGCUUUAUCUUUACUUUUCAAUAAAUAUACAUAGCAAUAUUUUGUGCAAUCAUCUAUAAAGGUAAUAAAAUAUUUAUUACCACCUCUUGUUUGAAGGGAUUUAAAGUCACAAAUAUCACUAUGUAUUAAAUCAAGUGGUUCGGUGUUUCUUUUAAUUAUUUGAAAAGACGACUUAGUUAGUUUUGCCUCAACACAAGUUUCACACUUAUGUUUCAAAUCAAUUUGGAAAUUGGGAAUAUGCUUCAUGUUAAUUAAUUUACGCAAAGAAUUAAAAUUAACAUGUCCUAAUCUACCAUGCCAAAGAUUAGAAGACUCAACCAAAUAAGCAAAAGAUGUAGCUUUAUUAUUAAUUGUUGGUUUCAAAGUCAUUACAUUGAGCUUAAAUAGCCCAUCAUCAACAUAACCCUUUCCCACAUACAUCCUAUUUUUAGAUAAAACUACCAUAUUUGACUCAAACACCAUUCGAAAACCAUGUUUAUUCAGCAGCGAUCCAGACACCAAGUUCUUCCGAAUUUCUGGCACAUAUAGCACAUUGUUCAGAGUCAGUUCUUUCCCAGACGUCAUCUUCAAAACCACCUUCCCUUGACCCUCAAUCUCAGACGUAGCCGAAUUCCCCAUGAGUAGCUUCUCUCCAUUGCUAUCUGCUUCAAAUGAAGUGAACAACCCUUUUUCCGAGCAAACAUGUCUGGUUGCUCCUGUAUCUAUCCACCAUUCUCUUGGAUUAGAGCCAACCAGAUUCACUUCUGAAACCACUGCAGAGAGGUUUAUGUCUUAAACAUGUUGCGUGAUGUUUUACACCACAUUCGCCUCUCGCUUCUUUUUAGGCAACCUGCAAUCCGAAGCCUUGUGACCCAUCUUAUCACAAUUAUAACAUUUUCCUUGAAACUUUGUUUGUUUCUUGGAAAUUCCUCCUUUCGGGCCCAAUUUUUUAUUUUUUAUUUUUAGGUCCAUGUUCAACAAAAUUUGCAUUUGCCAUAGAAAUAGGCCCUCUUCUUUCUGCAUUUCUGUUGUCUUUCUCAAUUCUGAGCUUAACAACCAGCCCUUCAAUAUUCAUCUCCUUUCGUUUAUGCUUCAAAUAGCUCUUGAAAUCUUUCCAAGCAGGAGGCAAUUUUUCAAUAAUUGCAGCAACUUGAAAAGUUUCACUUAGAUGCAUCCCUUCCGCAAGGAUUUCAGAUAAUAUAAUUUGAAGUUCUUGUACUUGACUUAUUACAGUUUUAGAAUCCACCAUUUUAUAAUCUAGGAAGCGACCAACAACAAAUUUUUUGGUACCCGCGUCCUCGGUUUUAUAUUUUCGGUCUAAGGAUUCCCAUAGCUCCUUGGCUGUUUUCUUUCCUAUGUAUAUGUUAUACAAGGAGUCACUAAGACCAUUCAUUACAUAAUUUUUACACAAAAAAUCCGAAUGGUGCCAUGCAUCAAUUGCACUUGCAACUUGAAUAUCUGUUUCACCCUCUUUGGGUUUAGGAGCAUCCUCGGUCAAGAACCUCGCAAGGUUCAACGUGGUCAAGUAAAAGAACAUCUUUUGAACUUUUCAGGCCUUUCCGCAUGAUUGACAAGAAUCGCCACAGAGGCUGGUUCCUUCACAACAUUUGGUGCAGAAACCGGAACAUACGGAACAUCAUCACUGGUUUCAGUUGCCAUCUCAAUGAUAAUAAAUUCUGUUUUAAGAUUGUUAGAAAAACGAACACAGUGAGUUGACAAUUUAAAUUGUAAUUAAUUGAAACAAAAUGUAAACCAGCAAUCGGAAACAGCAAAUGAAGAACAGAAGAGAAAUGAAACGGAAUAAGAAAUAUAAACCCAAGGCCUACACAAGGCAGUUUCCUUAAAACAGAUUUACUACCUCUUCUCUUGUGCUUAAGGUCUGCUAGUAUCUGUUUCCCAGGAUACAACGGGUACGAAUUUCUAGUCAAGCACAGGCUGGAGAUUCCGGCGAACCACAACAGGUAACUCGAUUAGAGAAAGACGAAGAAGGAUGAAGGAAAAACAAGUGUGCUUUGUGCUGGUUUUUCUGGUGUCCAAAAACAGAAGAUGAGAUGCCUUUUUAUAAUCAUGUGAGGAUGUAACAGCUGAUGUGUAUUGAAUUUCCGAAUUCAAAAUUGAAUUAAAAAAACGUGAACAAUAGCUAAAAAUAAUUGUAAAAGCUGUUACACAUUCUUUGAAUUCAAAACAUCAAACUGUUACAAUAAAAAAUUCAAAAGGAAAUUAAAAACGUGCCAAGCUUGCAUGGAUGAUUUUGGGCUUCUUUUUCCCAUGUGGGAUAAGCCUCAUUUCCUUUCAAAUUUCUAACUUUAAGGGUGAACUUUGAGAGACAAUUUCUCAUUCAUUCAAGCACCAUUUUGAGAAAAUAAGAUUAUACUAUUGAAGUAUCAAUGGAGUAGAAUCCGAACCUCAUAAUAUUUUCCACUUUCGUUAAGUGGAACCCACUCAAAAUGUGCCCUCAAAAUAGCAUGUUAUGCUAUUUUUCCAACAAGUAUAUAUUGCAUUGAAUAAAAUGAAAUUGUUCAAAAAUUAACAAAUUCAGCUUUAUUAUAAUCUAAAACAAAGUAAAUAGAAUAAUACCCAUCAUGUAAAAAUAAAAAAUAAAAUUUUUUAUACCACUUGGAAUUUAUUUUAAAUGUUUUGGUCAAAUCUAAGAAGCACAAACUUUGAACAAUGAUAAUAGGUAAAAACUAAUAAUCUUAUAAUAAAAAGUAAGAAAAAAAAUAAAGUUGAUUUAGCAGCUAAGAAUAAAAAAAGAAAAAUAGAAAGAGAGAGAAAUUAGUUUAGGCUUUAACCAUUGUUAUAGUAGAGAAAAAAAAUUAAUUAAGAGUAAUUUUAUGACUUUUUAGAAAUGAGUGAAUUAAAAUAAUAAAUUAUAAUUUGAUAAUUAUCUUAAUUAAAAAAUGGCUGUUGAAAUAAAAUUAGUGAAUUUAAAUAGGCCGCCCAAAAUCCAAACUCGCAUACCAAUAAUUUUCUAAUUUACAUAAAGUUUUUCUAAAUGUUUGAUAAAAUUUGAUUCUCAAUUGGCCUAAUGGAGAAACAACCAGCAAAAUGCAAAAUUGCAUUCCGUUUGUGGGAUCCUGGAAAAAAUAAAAGAAAGAAAACAGAGUAAGACGCUGAUACCGGGGGCUUUAAUAUUUUUCUAGGUGCUUCCAUGGCAGAUUCUCGUUGGUUCAUUUUUCUUUACGCCUUAGAUUCUAUGAUUCAAUUUCAAUCAAAUACGACAAACAAAAGAAGCUUUUAAGCCUGCAGCUGAAAUAGAUGGUACUUUAAUUUCGGCUGAACAUACAUAUGGCAAGAUUAUUAUUCAAUAUCGAGAUCGGAUAAGGGUCCAUAUGAUCAUGGGCCAGGCCACUACUUGCUCAUGCUUUGAAUCAAAAUUAGUGACGUUGGAAGCUGAAAGGGGCAAAUGAUGAAAUGGGGUUCAUCAUAUACUAUGCCCGACGGGAUAAGAUCAUCAUUUAAUUGCCUCCUCUUGUCGAUAGAUAUUUGCCGAAUUUUUCUAUUUAAAAAAUAUUAUAUUGGUUAAUAUAAUUAGAAGUUUUACAAAAUAUAACUAUAAUUUUAAAAAAAAUUUAUACUUAUUAAUUUAAAUUUUUCAUUGAGUUCUGCUAUUUAUCCCGGGUUAAAUUUCGGGUCAAACCCUGAAUUAAACAAAACGACGUCGUUUUCGCUUCUUUUUUUGGUCAUUUUUGCUUCUAUGGAACGAAGUCGUUUCAGCCAAACAAAAGCGAAUGUCUUCGUUUUCUGCAACAAAACCUCACUCUUCUUGAUCCCAUAUCUCUCCUACUUUCUCAGAACUCCAAUUCUCAAAACCCACCAGUCACACUGAAACUCAUUACAGAGAAUUACUUCAUGGAGAGGGGACCCAGAUUCCAUGAAUACGCUGAACUGAGAGAAUCAAGACUGAGAAGGAAGGUUAUACGAGUAGAAGAUGAAACUGAUGAAGCGUAUGAGCCAAAGCGAUCGCCUUUAAAGAAACAAGUGAAGUUUCGGGGGAUUUUGACUGGUUCAAGAAAAGGGUCCUCUGUUUCCUCUGUUUUGGCUCAGUCAGUGCCUGACUUUUCAGCAACUUUGCGGAAAGAAAAUCGGAGGCCGGCGGGUAGGGCGCUUGAGUUGACUCCUCCGGCUAAGAAUUGGUCGAAAAUGAAUGGGAAUUUGUCGAAUUCCAGAGGAAGUAAGUCGGCAAAUGCGGGGUAGAAGAAGGGAAUGAUGGCAAGAAAGAGUUAUGCGAGUAUUGAAGAAUUGAAGGGCAUGUCAAUGGGAGUGGCAAAGGACAAAAGUGAAAGAAUUAUAAAUAAUAGAAAGCAAGUUAAUUAGAAGCACAAAAGCAGAUUUUGUGGACACCAAAAUAGUCCAGAAUCAGCAGCUUUAUUGCCUUCUAUAAGCAUGAGAAAAAUGACACACACACACACACACACACACAUCACUGCUGCUGUUCAAGCUUUUGUUCGGGUGAUGAAUCGAAGAGGAAGAAGAAGAGAAAGAAAAGCAGCUGCGUUUUUUUCUGUUUUCACUGAGUUGAAACGACUACGUUUCAUGGAAGCAAAGAGAAAAAAAAAAAAAAAAAGAAACUAAAACGGCAUCGUUUUGAUUUGAUUCGGGAUUUGACCUGGGAAAAGUAGCAUUUUCCUUUUUCAUUUGGUAGUUGUGUUUGAGAAAAAGUUGAUAGGCACUACUUAAAUAGUAUUAAUAUGGCAACAAAAAACAUGCGAGCAAAGUAGACUAUUGCUUUAUUCUAUAAAUAGCUCAUUUGAGCUUAGAACCUUUAAAGUGUGUCGUACGUUUCUGUUACUUCUAAUAAAGAUAUUCCCUAUUCCCUUUUCUUCCACUUUCUCUUCCAUUUUCACGAUCCCCAAACACCAUCAAUCCAAGAUUUUCUAGAGUAUUAGCUGUCUAUUUCUACAAACAUAGAAUUGCUGUUUUAAGAAACAAAAUAGUCUGUCCUGUCACCCAUGGUCUCCUCAUUUAUCGGUUUGUGAACAGGGCUAAAUAAAGGGCAAAUAAGAUAUUGGGGCAAUGGGCCUAAUGUGACAAGAUCUUGAAUUGAUUGCCUCUUUCUUUUCUCCACAAAUCUUUGGUUAAUUUUUAUGUUCCCUCAACCUUUUUGCCCUUUAGCACCAAAAUUCAUUUUUGAUACUUUAUGCAAAAAUUAUGAUGAAAAUGAGUCACUUUAGAACAUCAAUAAAUUUUUUUGACAUCCAAGAUAACGACAAUUACACUUAGAUCACUCUUAUUUAGUUGAAUUAUAUAUGUAAUAAUGUUGGCUUAACAAAAUAUGAUUCUUAAUCGUUGUAAUUACGGGCUGGUAUUCUUUGGUUUUAGUAGUAGGGCUUAUAACGCCGUGCAACAGUUCUUGGUGGGUUCGAAUUAUUAUACGAUCAUUCUCAAAUCUUUACGGUAUGUAAUUAAAAAUUCCUAUAUAGCAAUUAGAACUUACAAACAAGUUAAAGUGAGUUAAAUCAAAUGUAUAAAUUCGAGGUCUAUUACAAACUUCUAAAAAAGAUUUUCUGUUCUUUUUUCUUUCACUUUCUCUUCCAUUUUGCCAAUCCCCAAACACCGCCAAUCCUUGAUUUUUUUAGUAUUAGCUGUCAAUUUCUACAAACCUAGAACUGCUGUUUGUUUGUCUAAUUAUUUUCAAGAAACAAAACUCUUUGUCAUGUGGUCUCUUCGUUUAUUGGCUUGUGAGCAAAUAAGAUAUUGGGCCGAUGGGCUUAACGUGACAAGUUCUUGAAUUGAAUGGCUCCUCUUUUUUUCAUAAAUCUUUGCUUAAUUUUUUUUGUUCUCUCAACCUUUUUUGGCCUUUCGCGCUAAAAUUCUUUUUUUGAUACAUUAUGCAAAAAUUAUGAUGAAAAUGAGUUACUUUAGAACAUCAAUAAAGUUUUAUGACAUGUAUAAUAAGACAACUAUAGUGAGAUUAGUUGAAUUAUAUGUAAUAAAAUUAGUUUAACAAAAUCUAACCCGUCAGUAUUCCAUAGCACAUGAUUAACGUAUUUAAAAAAUCUUAGUUGUUCCGUCGCUUGUUUUACAAUUAUUUUAUAUAUUUUUGAAACUUUCUGCUUCCUGACACAUCAUAUUGUUCUCAAUUCGUCAAAAUUAUUUGUUUCUUCAAACACUGCAGCAACAACCGGUAUAAAAUAGACUGAACUCAUUUAAUGGGAAUUUUUCUCAUUGGUCAAUUUCUCUUCGCACCUUAGGUUCCUCUAACAAACUUAAAAGAUGUUCCCCAUCCCACGUGUCCCCAAAUCUUCGUAUUUCCAAACAAACCCCUGCCAAUUAUCAUAUUAAUGAGCCACUGUUAAAUUCAUUCAGUCAGUAUUUUUCUUUUCCCAUUUUCAAUGAAUGCUUAAUAUGGAAAACAAUCUGUCUCAUUGAGCACUGUUUAAAUCAUUCCCUAGUUUGUUUAACACGCAAAGAAUAUUCUUAUUCGGCUCGGCAGCCAAUCCGUUAAAAUUUGUUAAAAUUCAUUUAAGUGAUGACUGUGAUAUGACUCGAUCAAUAGUUUAAUUUGUAUAAUUUAUAAAAAUUUGGGCUUCAAGUAAUGUAGAUAGAAUGGUUAAUUAUUUUAAUAUUCAGAUAAAUUGAUAUAUGUCAUUAUAUUAUGAGUGGAUGAAAUAUCCAAUAGAAAAAAAAAAUGUUUGUAUUCAUCAUUUUUAGUGGGAAUCUAUUUAGUGUAACUUAUCCAUAAAAAUGGUUGCCGACUUAUCUUAUUUCUCAUUUUGUUUAAUUUCAUAAAUUUGACUCCCGAUUAAUUAUGAGUGAAGAAUUUGUUGGAAAAAAUCUGGUCUUCCAUUUAUUUUGUAGGAUUUAAAAGAUUAAAAAACUUUAAUACAUAUAAUUUUAUGUUCGAAACUAAGUACUCGUAGCAUUGCUGCUUCUAUAAAUAACUCAUUUGUGCUUCCAACUUGUUAUUUGUAUUUUACGUUUUUGUUUCUCUUCAUAAAGAUUUUCUUUUUUUUUCUUUUUUCCAUUCACUUUUUCUUCCAUUUUCCCGACUCCCAAACACCACUAAGCCUUGAUUUUCUAGAGUAUUAACUGUCCGUUUCUACGAACAUAGACCUACAGUUUGUCUAAAUACUAUCAAGAAACAACGUACUCUGUCGCGGGAUCUCUUCGUUUAUUGACUUUUGACUUGUGAACGGGGCUAAUUAAAGGGCGUUCCUUUCUUCAAGAAAGAAUGCAAAGAAAGUACUAUCCAUGAGACACGUUAAAAAUUAUUUUACAUAAAAAAUGAUAAUAAUCAUAAUAAUCGGUUAAGGAUCGACAAAAAUGUUAUAACCUAUAAAGCAUGGAUAAUUAAUUAAUGGGAAUGCACCUCUCAUCUUUACCAUUCUCUUUGUCAUUUUCAUAAUUCAGCUGUUUAUUAAUAAAGUGAAUAAAUUUAUCUUUUAAUAAUAUGUUUCUUGGCUGUUUUUUUGUGUAUUUUUGUGUACAAUUUUGUGUGCAAAUAGCAUUAUUCAUUAGUAAUUAGUUUGGAGUAGCUCAUUUUGAGCUUAGGACCUGUAACUAGUAUUUUAUGUUUCUGUUAAUCUUUAAUAAAGAUUUUCUCUAUUUUUUUUUCCCUUUCACUUUCUCUUCCAUUUUCCCCGACUCCCAAACACCACCAAUCCUUGAUUUUCCAGAGUAUUAGCUCUCUAUUUCGACAAACGCAUAACUGUUGUUUGUCUAACUACUUUCAAGAAAUAACGUAGUCUGUGGUUUAUUGACUUGCGAACGGGGCUAAUUAGUCACGGUCCGAUUGUCUGACUUCUCCAUUGACUCGGUCAAUUCACGACCUUGACCUGCACAGUUGAUACAAACGGACUUCUCCAUUUGAGGUGUACAAAACUUUCUUGAGUCAUUUUGUUUGGUGAUGAUGAAUUGGAUGUCAGUUCAUGAGUUUCAUGAUGAAGAGGACCAAAAACAUUAUUUUAUUAUUUAAAGAAGACUAACAAUUAUUUCGAUGGUCAUUUUAUUUUUUAUUUUUAAAUAUCCAAGGUGCUUGACUUCUUUACACAGAAUUACAAAGCAAAAUAAUUAAGAAACUAAAUACUCGUCAUCCAAGUGAGAAGAGAUUGGGUUGUUGAUACAUUAAAUAAAAGAAAAAUCAAUUAAAAGCACAACAAUUCAAUAAUUUCAUUCUCAAUCAUAUCAAAACUAAAACAAAUUAUUAGGGAUUUGCAGUUUUUUUUAGUGUAAUCCUCGUUAAUUACAGUUUGGUCUGAAGGGUUGAGCACAUGAGAAUAGAAGGUUUGAUCAUAGGAAAAUAAUAUAUCCCUAUCCGAUGCAAAAAUGAUUGUAAAGAAAAAAUUACAUUCCAUUUUCCAGUUAUUAAAGUAAUUCUAAAAUCACUAGGAUCACAAAGGAUAGGCUUUGGUUGACUGAGGUCAGCCUUAACGCAUGCCGGUCUUUUUCUCCUCUACAUUCUUAGAAAUUUUGGUUUCACUAUAAAUACUCGGUAUAUAGCAAACUUAUAAGUGUUCUUGCAUUACCAAUCCAACUAAGCACACGCUUACAAUAUAAAUACUCUCAUCUCAUGGAAAGAGUUCAUUCUUUCAGGAUGAUGAGCAGAUUUCUCUUACUCCAUUGUUUGAUUCUUAUUUCCUUAUUUAUCGCGGCAGCAACAGCCAACACAAGUUCUACUAUCACAGACCGAGAUGCUCUGUUGGCCCUGAAAGCUCACAUAACUCAUGAUCCGACUAAUUUCUUGGCUAAGAAUUGGAACACGAGUACUCCUGUCUGUAAUUGGACAGGUGUCGCUUGUGAUGUCCAUAGCCAUAGAGUCACAGUCUUGAAUAUUUCAAGCUUAAAUCUCACAGGCACCAUCCCUUCUCAACUUGGGAAUCUUUCUUCUCUGCAAUCACUCAAUCUCAGUUGUAACCGACUUUCUGGUUCCAUUCCCUCCGCCAUCUUCACCAUAUAUACACUGAAAUAUGUUAGUUUCCGUGAAAAUCAGCUCUCCGGCGCUUUCUCUUCUUUCAUCUUCAACAAGUCUUCUUUACAACAUCUUGAUUUUAGUCACAAUACACUGUCUGGUGAAAUUCCUGCAAAUAUUUGCAGUAGUCUUCCUUUUCUGGAUUUCCUUUCUUUGCAAGAAAACAUGUUCCAUGGCGGAAUACCGUCCACUCUAUCAAAUUGCACAUAUUUGCAAAAAUUAGGUUUGGUAUACAAUAAUUUCUCGGGGGCCAUACCUAAAGAAAUCGGCAAUUUGACCAAACUUAAGAUAUUAUAUCUUGGCGGUAACAGGCUCCAAGGUGCGCAUGAUCACAAAGUUUAAUUAUGAAAAUUGUUGCAUAAGUUGUAGUAUGAAUACUGUUCCAUAAUACAGUUUACACACGUUGAUUAAUUUUCAGGAGAAAUUCCUCGAGAGUUUGGCAAUCUCGCCGACUUGGAGCGGUUGUCGUUGGCAGGCAACAAUCUCCAAGGCAUGAUUUUAAACUUUUUGCAAUUUUAUUUUAGCCAUGCUUGCUUCUGUAUUCAUUCGCUUGUUCUUUAAUUAUGCGAUGAUUUAUUGUUUUUCUUUCAGAUAGAGAUAAAGCUCCAUGUCUCCCCUCACUCAUUUCAUUCUUUAAUUUAUGCAGAUAAAAAUAAAAUAAAAAUGUUUUGUAAUUUUCUUUUGUCAUAUUGCCACUUCCGUUUUGAAGCUCCCAAUUAAGUCUAUGAAAAUGAAUGAUGUUUCAUUCUUAUUCUUGUCAGCCUAAUUCUUAUAUAAUUGGAGAGUAAAUUGUUAUUAUGAUAAUCGUCAGCCAAUAAAUUCUUUUUUUUUUUACCCCAAAUAUGAGUGAUCAAAUUGUUUGCGCAUACAUAUAUGUACUUAAUUUGCAGGAGGUAUUCCACAGGAAUUGGGGAAUCUUGCAAAAUUGGAGAUGUUACAGCUGUUCCAGAAUAACUUGAUCGGUAACUUUCUUUACGAUUUAUAUCUGAGACAUCUUCCACUUCUUAAUUAAUAGAUGUCUUAAUUAAUAGAUUUCAAGUCUCUCAUUAUAAAUUCUCAUAUGAGGAUGUGUAGUUACCACUAUCUAACGUUAUUCCUUUUUUAUUAGAAAUUAGUUUGUGUUAAUUCAAAAUUCUGUAGCAUUUAAAAAAAUUAAAAACACGUGGAAUAAAUCAUCAAUCUUUCUUCUUUACUGAAUUUGGAUUUCUCAAAAAUAAUCUUGACAAGUAUGUUUCACUAAUGAUAUGCUUGUGUGACAACUUCAUAAAAUAUUUUACAUGGAAUCACUAAUUAUCUCUAAAGAUGCCAUCAGUGAUACAUAAUUUCUUAACAACACCAUACCAAAAGAAAUCAACAAUUUUAUUAAUCGUAAAGAGUUACAUCUUCAUUGUAAUUAUGACAUAAAUUUUUAGUCAUCAAUCGCAUAAUAUUUUAUCUUAACUGAUGAUGAUGUUCAGUCUUGGAAUUUAUAAUAUCUUGAAGGUUAGUAGCUUUAAAAAUAAGAAAUUGCUCAUUUGCUAAAAAGUUAACUUAGUAUUUAAGUUUUUCAAUUGAAAAUUUUGAAAAAAGCGUUGAGAACUGGCGCUCCAUGGUAUUUCAGCGGAUAAAUAUGAAAAAUAGGCUAGAAGAAAUUAUUUUACUGAAAUAAGAGUUAAAAAGAGAGGAGAAGUACAGUACUCACGACUUAGGCUUUCUGUGUGUGCUUAUUCUACUUAGGCUUUGGGCUUGAUUACGCCCGUUAUAAUAAUAGGCUUUUACUUUCAGCACACAUGAUGAUUUCUUAACCUUCUCAAUUAGGUUAUAGCAAUUUAUAUAUAAAUAACUAAAGCAUACUAAAGCUAGCAUUGAUGUACGGAUGAGUGGCGUCAAAAGUGUAUUUGUUUUUAUGUAUUAUUUAUUCUCUAAAACAUAUCUGAAUACAAUUCUUUCACAAUACCGAGGAAAUAGCACAUGAAAUCGGAAAUAUUUUAUUGCGAUGAGAAUUCGUAUAUUCAUUGUAGUAGAACAUAUAAAAUAGACUAUAAAUUCAUUAUUCUUUCAAGCAAACCUGAUUAUAAUUCCUUCAAAAUUAAGUUUGUCAUUAAAUGAUUUCUCAGGAGCCCUACAAAAAAAAAUCGGGAAUUUGACCAAACUCAAGUAUUUAUCUAUUGGCGGUAACAGGCUCCAAGUUGCGCAUGAUCACAGAGUUCAAUUAUGAAAAUUGUUGCAUAAGUUAUAUGGAUAUCCUUGAUAACCGCAGCAAGCAUACAAAAUCAAAUAAAAGCUAACUGAGACUCGAAUAUCCUAAACCCUGAAAAGGAAUGGUAAUGGUAUAAUAUGGAUUCUGUAGGCAUAUUUCACUGGACUCAACAUUUAUGGUUAAUUUACAACUCUUUGUUGUAAAGUCUGAGAAAUUGCUUUAUAUUAGGGGUGGGGAAAAUAAUUGUUGGGCCACAAAUUUCAAGCAGAAUCCAGAUUGGGCCCAAUUAGACUUAUAGCUCAGCUCUGUGUCGAUAUCUGGGUCUUUACAAAUAAUUAAUGGGCCAAUUAAUAAUAAUAAAUAAAUUGAGAAGGGUAUGAGUGAAAUUAGAUAUGAAUGAAUCUGCUAGUGUAUGUACACAUUUUUCUAAUUAAUGCGUUAUGAGCCUGCCGCUGCCAGCAUGGAAAUUACAGAAACUAAGGAGAGAAUUGACCCAUUAAUUAAAUUAAAAAGAAUACGGAAUAUAUAAGCAGUCAAAAUAUAGGUGAAGUAGGCAUGAAUUGUCACAUAACUAAAUUUGAGAGUAAAACCGUGACUUGGGUUUGAAUGUUUGAUUAAGUUACUUCUAUUUCAAGUUGCUUAUUUUGCGUGGGCUUCAGGCUUAAUUACACACAGUCGAACACUUAUACAGUUCCCCUGACAUAGGCUUUCACCUUCACCACACAUUUGAUAAUUUCUUAGCCUUCCCAAUUAGAUUAUAGCAAUUUAUAUAUAAAUAACUAAAGCAUAGAAAAGCCACCAUUGAUGUACGGAUGAAUGGUGUCAAAAGUGUAUCUUGUUUUAUUUAUUAUUGUUCUAUGAUACAAAUUUGAAUAAUGGAAUAUAAUGCUUUGAAAAUACCGAUGAAAUAGCACAUGAAAUCGGAAAAUAUUUUACUGCAAUAAGAAUUCAUAUAUUCAUUGUAGUAGCACAUAUAAAAUAGACUAUAAAUUUAAUUUUAAAAUACAUUCUUAUCUUCAUAUAAAUUUUACAUUACUAAUUUAAAUUAACAUUAAAAUAUGUUGUUUCUUUCACUAUGUUAUUUUAUUUACACAAUGAUGUGACUAUUGGAAUUAAUAAUAAUUAUAAUUAUUUUGUAAAAAUAUAAAUUUAAUACUUUGUUAACAUUUUAUCUACAUAUAAUAAUUAAACUGAAACUUGUAUUUAAAAAAUUCUAGUUACGCAUAUUCAUUUCACGACAUAAAAGUGUAUAUUUAUGCUAAUUUACCAUUGUCAACAAAAUGCUUUGAGACAAAUAAUCUAAUUUAUAUUUUUAUAUUUAAAAUACUUGCAUUUAUUAUAUUUUGAAAAAAAAAUUAUUUGCAAUUAUUUUAAACCGUUGGAUUCAAAUUUUUGUAGUUAUUAAAGUCAAAGGGUAUAAAUGUAUAAUAGUCAAAAAUAGAUUUGUAUGAUCAUUUUUUAAUGUAUAAAUUUUCUUAGUUAGUAGGAAAAUUAGAAAUUGUUGAUUUACUCAUAAAUAAAUUUAAUGUUUAGCAUUUCAAUUUUGGAAAACUUGAAGUAAAUGUUGAUAACUUUGAAUCGGUCGAGCCGAGUUUCUCUUCCUUGACCCACAGACCCAUUGAAAGUUCUAUUCGAAUUGAGUUUCCCGGUGCUUAUAAAAAGCUUUUCUUUUCCUUGUCGCAGUAAUUUAUUCACAAAUGAGUUGAUUAGCAUCGAAGUUACCUGAGAGUCUGAGACCAUGCUAGUAGGAGAAAUUUGAAAAGAAAUUAUUUUACUGAAUUAAUUUAUUUUAUCUUGUUGUAACUGAAAUACUACUUUUUUUUGGGCUAUCACUGGGGCUUGAUUUACUUUAAUAGUAGUAGCCACCGACUUAGGCUUUUUUUAAUUGUCACCACACAAUUUGAUCUUUUAAUUUGUUUUAACCACAUAAUCUGUCUAUCUAUCUCUCACCUAUUGCUUACUUAAAUCGCAUACAUAUUUUACCUACUAAUUUUAUAAAUAUUAGUCAAAUAUAUUUUAUUACGUUUCUCUCGUAACUGCUCCAAAUGUGUACUAUUAAUACUUAACCCUCGCUUUUAAUUUAACCCAAAAAUAUAAAAAUAAAAGAAAAAGAAUAUGUGUAGCAAUUUGCAUAUAACUAACAAAGCAUUGACGGUGUGUAGCCUUUCAAAACUUCACGGGUGGCUUUUCUUGUGUGUUAGUACUUGUAAUAAUUGUGUAGUGUAUAAAUGACAUUUUAUUAUUAAAGUGCGUCCAUUUUUAGAUAUUACUUAUUAUUUGAAAAAUAAUCUGAAUAUAAUUCUUUUAAAAUACAGGGGAGAUACCACUUGAAAUUGGUAAUCUCCAAAAUCUGGAGGAGUUGGAGCUUGCUCAAAACAAAUUAAUUGGUAUUGUCCCAGUUGCAAUCUUUAAUGUGUCAACACUCAAAAUACUUCAGCUUCAAAUUAAUUGUCUCUCGGGAAGUCUUUCAUCCAUCACAGACGUCCAACUACCAAAUCUUGAAAAGCUUGAUUUGUGGGGUAAUAAUUUCAGUGGCACAAUUCCUCGUUUCAUCUUUAAUGCUUCUAAGCUCUCUAUACUAAAUUUGGGAGGGAACUCAUUCUCCGGUUUUAUUCCCAACACAUUUGGCAACCUAAGAAACCUUAAAUACCUUUAUUUAGAAAACAAUUAUUUGACAUCUUCAACUCUAGAAUUGAGCUUUCUAUCCUCGUUGUCAAAUUGCAAGUCUUUAACACAUAUUGACUUAUCAAAUAAUCCACUAGAUGGCAUUCUUCCUAAGACGUCUGUCGGUAAUCUUUCUCAUUCUUUGGAAGAUUUUCACAUGUACAAUUGUAACAUUAGUGGCGGCAUCCCUGAAGAGAUCAGCAACUUGACCAACUUGAUAACCAUUGAUUUAGGAGGCAAUAAAUUGAAUGGAUCGAUUCUGAUUACUCUUAGCAAAUUACAAAAGCUUCAAGGUUUGGUUCUUGAUGAUAACAAAUUAGAAGGAUCAAUCCCAGAUGAUAUUUGUCGUUUGGUUGAGCUGUAUAAAUUGGAGUUGGGUGGCAAUAAGCUUUCAAGAUCAAUCCCUGCAUGCUUCAAUAAUCUGAUUGCUCUGAGGAUACUGUCGUUGGGUUCCAAUGAGUUAACUUCUAUUCCCUUAACUUUUUGGAACCUUAAGGAUAUCUUGUACCUCAACUUUUCAUCAAAUUUUUUGACUGGCCCACUCCCAUUAAAGAUUGGAAAUUUGAAGGUUUUGGUUGGAAUUGAUUUUUCGAUGAAUAAUUUUUCAGGCGUUAUCCCAACAGAAAUUGGAGGCCUAAAAGAUCUAGAAUAUCUCUUCUUAGGAUAUAAUAGAUUGCAAGGAUCGAUUCCUGAUUCAUUUGGUAAUUUGAUAAGUUUGAAAUUCUUGAAUUUGUCCAAUAAUAAUCUCUCUGGGGCAAUUCCUGCACCUUUAGAGAAACUCUCAUAUCUUGAAGAUCUAAAUCUUUCUUUCAACAAGUUAGAAGGAGAAAUUCCUAGGGGAGGAUCUUUUGGAAACUUCUCAGUUGAAUCAUUUAAAGGAAAUGAAUUAUUAUGUGGUUCACCUAAUUUACAAGUCCCGCCAUGCAAAACUAGCAUCCACCACACAUCAUGGAAAAUUUCUCUUCUCCUAGGGAUUCUCUUGCCAUUGAGUACUACAUUAAUGAUAGUAGUCAUUUGGUUGAUCCUAAGAUAUCGACAGAGAGGAAAACAACCAUCGAAUGAUGCUAAUAUGCCACUAGUAGCAAUGUGGAGAACAUUUUCAUACCUAGAACUUUGUCGAGCAACAGACGGAUUCAGUGAAAACAAUCUAAUCGGCAGAGGAGGGCUUGGCUCUGUUUAUAAGGCAAGACUUGGGGACGGGAUGGAAGUUGCAGUGAAGGUCUUCAAUUUGCAAUGUAGAAGAGCAUUUAAGAGUUUCGAUGUUGAAUGUGAAAUAAUGAAAAGUAUUCGCCAUCGAAACCUUAUCAAAGUUAUUAGCAGUUGUUCGAAUGAAGAGUUUAAAGGGUUGGUAUUAGAAUACAAGCCUCAGGGAAGUUUGGAGAAGCAUCUGUAUUCAAGUAAUUGCAUUUUGGAUAUUUUUCAAAGAUUGAACAUAAUGAUAGAUGUUGCAUCAGCUUUGGAAUAUCUGCACUUUGGUUGUUCAACUCCAGUAAUUCAUUGUGACUUAAAGCCCGACAAUGUAUUGUUAGAUGAUAAUCUGGUUGCUUAUUUGAGUGAUUUUGGCAUCGCGAAGCUCUUAAUUGGAGAAGAUCAGUAUAUGACUCAAACGCAAACACUUGCCACAAUAGGUUAUAUGGCACCAGGUUUGUUCAAUAUAAAUAUUUUCUAUUUCUUGUAAAUUUCCUAAUAAGUUAUUUAUGUUUCAUGAUCUUCAUUAGAUGAGGAAAUUAUUAUUAAUGAUAUAUCUUACUAUUUAACUGUUGCAAUUCAUAGAGUAUGGAAGAGAAGGACGAAUAUCCACAAAUGGAGAUGUUUAUAGCUUUGGAAUUAUGUUAAUGGAAACUUUUACCGGGAAGAAACCCACAGAUGAAAUUUUUAAUGGAGAAAUGACAUUAAAGCAUUGGGUUAAUGAUUGGCUACCCAUUUCCACUAUGGAAGUUGUUGAUGCUAAUUUGCUAAGUCAGGAGGACGUACAUUUUGUUGCAAAAGAGCAAUGUGUGUCAUUUGUCUUCAAUUUGGCUAUGGCGUGCACUGUGGAAUCUCCUGAGCAGAGAAUCAAUGCAAAAGAAAUUGUAACAAAGCUCUUAAAAAUUAGAGGCUCAUUACUUAGAAAUGUUGGAGGCAGAUGUAUAAGACAAUCAAAUUUAAAUUGAUUCUGCCACUCCAUUGCUUGCUAUCUUUUUCAGAGACUUGAACGGUUAUCCUUCAUACCAGUUUUGUUGAUAUGUUUUGUUAUUGCUCUUGCUCAUGUUUGUUUCUCUAUUUCUUUAAUUUGCAUGCAUGUAUUUUUCGUUCUCUUUUAUGUUUUUGUUGGUUUGUAUGUAGUUUGUUUUUAGGGGUAAGGUUGAUUAUGUCCUUCCCUAAUUACACGUAUCCUUUUUAUGUUUAUUCAAUAAAGCUUCUCUAAUACUAUCGAGGUUCAUCAAAAGAAAAUUUUUAAUUAAUUUUCUUUUCUUUGACAGGUAAUGAAAUUCUAAUCUUCAUAGUGAAUAACUUCAAUAAUAGAGUAUAAGAGUAUUAGUAGUUAUGGUUGUUUUUUGAACCUAAAGUCAAGAGCAAUUUAACAGCAACAAACAAGCCUCUUGUAUUAUAGGCAAAAUUCUUUUCAUUAAUCUUAUUUAUCUACAUGUUCUCCUUUUUUCUCCAUUAAUCUUCGCUCAAGCUUUCAUGCUUCCUCUUUGAUAAAGGAAAAUAUUACUUGCGAAUAUUUCAAUUUGACAUAAGAGACUGUUUUGCCAACCAUUUGAUAAAAUGGAUAUGAGUGGAGCUUUCAAUCAUUACCUCCACCAAAAUCCUUACAACGCCACUUUUAAAUUUUAUUUUUUAAAAUACAUUCAGUUUAAUUUAUAAAAAAUAAAUCCAUUUGUUAAAAUUAAUCUUUUUCUCAUAAAUUUCAACCUAAAAAAUAUAUUUCUUUUAAAUUUUUAAUUAUAAAAUACAUACAAGUUCUAAACUAUUAUUUUAUUUUCUUCUUAUUAUAUAGUUUAUAUCUCCAUAACUCUAAACUCCUAUAAUUUUUUUUAAAAUGUUUUUAAUUUAAAAUAUAAAUAUUAAGUAUAUAAUGGAGUGGGUAUAAAAAAAUUUGUUAAAAGAAUAAUUCAUUUAAGUAUUUAACUAAAUUUAAAUUAAAAUAAGAAAUAAGUUAAUUUAUUUUUUAUUAGUUAAGUAAUUUUCAAUUGAAAAAGAGCUGUAUGAGUAAUAUUAUUGAAAUAUGAUUAAAAUUCUUAUGAAUUAAAUAUUUUCGUAUAAAUACUAGUGAUAAUUACAGAGAAAGGACAAGGAACCAAAGAAAAUGUGAAUAUAAAUACUCCAAUGUAAUUUUACACAUGCAAAUUAUGAACCAGUGAUCUUUAGAGCAUCAUAAAAUUAUUUUGACAGAAUUACUUAUUUUGAAAAAUUGCCAACAAUGUUUAAAGUGGGAUUGAAAAGAUUAUACUACUUAUAUAAGACAUGAUAUCAUUUAAGAUGGCUUACGAAUUAUAAAAAAUAUAUUGAUCUUACAAAUAUUUAAUAUGUCAAUUAGACGGGCCCAGCUACCUUCCACCUGCUAGAAGGUACAUCUUAUUUUGUCCUCUAGUGUUGUGGGCGUUGGAUAUUUUAGAAGUUGAUCUAACGGUUCUUGUUCGACAGCGUGAAAUUGAAUUUCAAUUGGCAACCGUUUCAUGAACUUUGCAAGAGACAAUUAUCUACAAAAAUAUUAAAAAAAUAAAACCAAUUUUUCCCUUUCAUCAGCCGCCGCCGCCACCCACGAACCCUUAAUAUCAUCAUCACCAUCCCAAUCCUUAGUCGCCAUCCACAAGCUCUAACAACCACCAUGACCGCCAUCACAACCACCACUCCUCACAACCCCUAGCCACCACUACAAACAUUCACAAACUCCAACCAUAAUUGUCAGUUCACCAACAUUAUCCUCCAUUGACGCGGCCUACCAAUCAUCCACAACACCUAACCGUCGUCACCAACAAACUUUCGCCACCGCUUCCUACAAGGAAGCCUCACCACCCACCACCGCACACACACAAAGCCACACCAACCGCCAUACUAUUGCGACAGAGGCCACAAUGUAGACAAAUUCCCUAAGAGGAAGGAUGUUUUCCUUCUCCAGCUGACUAUUCUUUUUUAUCCUUUUUUUUGUUUUUUAAUUAUUAUAUUACUUUUAGUUAUUUUUAGUUUUUCUUUUAUUUUGUCUAUAUUUUGGUUGUUAGAAUGUUUUUGUUGUUGUUGUUGGCGGCAGUGCAGUUGUAGCUCAUGAUGAUGAUGGUGAUGUUGGUGUCAUUUUAAUCGAGAUUUUGUUUUUUUUUUACCGGCUACGCCAGUCAUCUUCAUUCAUUACAUGUCCAUUUCUAACAUGUUAGAUUUUACUACUUUUUAAUCCAAGGGUUAGACCACAACGAGACGAAAGAUGGGGUACCUUCCAAUGGGUGGAAGGUAGUUCGGCCCAAUUUAGACAGAGUCUAUGCAAUAAAAAUUUCAAAUUAAAAAAUAAACCUUUUAUUUUCUUUUAAUCAUAAGUGUGAUCUUAAUUAUUAACGUCUUUCAAUGUCCAUUACUUAUUUAUUUUUUUAAUUACCUAAAUGACAUUGAAAACUCUACUCAAUAAUAAUUCGUUCAAAUGUUUUAUUUUAAAGUAAUCGGAAACUGCAAAUGAAACAAAUGCUUGAAAUCACAAACGGCCUAAAAUUAGAUUUUCAUUUUUCAAUGUUGCAGUGACUUUGAUCUUGAUAUUGAAAAUUUAUUUGUAACUUAUAUAAAGGCCUCAAUUUUAUCAUAAUUGGUUAGUAAGGCUACGUAGGGAGCAUGGAUAAAUUUUGGGAUUGGAUUAUAUUUUCGAAGCUAAAAAAUUAAUUUCAUCUAAUGUUAUGUUUGGUUGUCAAGACUAGCAACUUAGUCUAAAAUUAUUGAAAUUACUAAUCUUUUAUAUUAUAAUCUUUUCGUUCCCACUUUAAACAUUAUUGGUAACUUAAAUCAUUUUUUAAAUUAAACAUAAAAAUCAUUUAAAUUAAAUAUUAACAUUAAUUUCAUAAGUUUUUUACCUAGAAUUUUAUAUUAUAUUAAAUACUACAAUUCUAUUCAAUAAUGUAUUAUCAUUUAUUUAAUAAAUGUUUAGGUUUUCAGUAUGUUAUAUUAUUAUUUAAAUUAAUUUUUUAUUUACAUAUAAACAUAAAUUUAUAUUUACUAAUUUAUAUUUAUUAUAAUUUAUUAAAUAAUAAAAUCUAAAUGAUUAUAUUUAAAAUAUAAUUUGUAUGUUAAUGUAUUAUAGCCUAAAUCUUACCCCUAUGAGUUUAUUUUUUCCACCUUUUAUUCUAUUAACCACAUUUAUAAGGCAGUGCGAUGCAACUAAAAAUUAUAACCAAAUAUAAGUUAGCAUGAAAAUAAUAUUUUAGUACAAUACAAUACAAUGUAAUAUAAGCUGACAAAUAGAUAUUUAAUGGAAGCAAAAAUUGCAUAUGGUUUGUCGGCCUCUCAAAAGACAGCAAAGAAACCAAUAUGAUACACUGAUUCUGUCCUCUUUAGCAGUGCCUUUACUAAAUAGGAAUAAAAAUGAAUUAGAAUCGGAAUAGAUUAUAAUCGAAAUGAGGAAUUAGAAAAAGAAUAAGUUAUUUAAUUAAGUUGUAUGAAUUAGAAUUGAAAUAAACUUCAUUCUAAUUGAUGUGUUUAUUUUCUCUUGAAAUUAGAAUGGACUAUUACAAGUUACUAAAAAAUCAUUUGGUAAUUGAUGUCUCUAGUAUUAUUUGUAUUUGUUAUAAUGUUAACAAUAAUAAGAAUAAAACUAAUACUAAAAAUGAAAAUAAUAAUAAUAAUAAUAGAGACAAUAAUAAUAAAAUUAAUAAAUUAUUAUUAUUAUUAUUAUUAUUAUUAUUAUUAUUAUUAUUAUUAUUAUUAUUAUUAUUAUUACUACUACUACUACUACUACUACUACUACUACUACUACUACUACUACUACUACUACUACUACUACCACCACCACCACUACUAUUAGUACUGAAGACCGCCCGGUAAAGAUUGGAUAGUGAAAAUGAAGACGACGAAGAUCCCGGCAACCACCUGCUACUCCAAAGAUGAUGUGCCCAAAUGGAGACAACCAGUGAUGACUAGCCAACUAGAUCCAAAUCUCGAUAUUGUGAUCUUGCAUGACCAUUGAUAAAGCGAUGUGUGAUGUCGGUGUUGUGAUUUCUUUUUUAUUUAUAUUUUUUAAUUAAUCAGGGGUAUUUUCAAAAUUUAGUAAUUUUAAUAUGGGCAAAUUGGAUAGUCUAGUGAACAGGAGACUAAUUCCCAAUCAUCCUAGAAAUUAGUCUCUCAUUCUUUAUUUUUAAUUUAAUGUGGGUUCCACUAUUUCGAUUCCAAUUCUUACAUUUAUUUAUAAAGUAAAUAAUGUUAAUGAUUUCAAUUUCCAAUUCGAAAAAUAAACACAUCAUAAUAUUUUUUUAGGUGCUUCCAUGACAUAAUCUCAUUGGUCCAUUUUUCUUCAUGCCUUAUAUUCAACUUCAAGAUUCAAGAUUCAAUUUGAAGCAAACACAACUACAAAACAAAUAUAAUAAGCGUUAAUAAGCCUGUGGCCAAGCAAAUGUAACUUGUAGUGACCAAUCAUAUCUUAUUAUCUUCCGCCAGAAGUUAAACAAUGUUCCCAUUCCACGUGUCACUCUCUGACCAAUCCCCGAACUUUCUUCAUAUUUCCAAAGAAACCCUCACCAAGUCAACAUAAUUACCUUCACUCUACUCAUAUAAAUACUGUCCUCGAUUCGACUGAUGUCUGAUGACGACAUAUCCUUGGUCUUUAAUUAAAGAAAAAAGGACACAGAGACUCCCAACGUUUGAAUAAGGGACAUAAAAUUUUUUAAUGUUUUAAAAAAGACACUCAGACCCCCAUUUGUUAAUAAUAAAUUAUAAUUUUACCAUUAUACCCUUAUAGCAUAUUAAAAAUUAAUUGUUCAUUAUCCAAUUUAUUUCCAUAUUAUUAAUAAAAAUUACGAAUAUAACUUCAUUACCCUAUUUUUCCAUUUAUUUUUUAUCAAAUUUUAUCUUCAAACUAAAUAAAUUUAAUCCAUUGCUCAAAAAUAAAAAUAAAUUAAAUUGAUUAUUAAUAUAAUACAAAUAACAAUUCUCCAUAUGUUAUUUCUUAUAAUUUCUUAUAUAUAAAUUAAAUUGAUAAUUUCUUAAAAAUAACAAUUCUCCAUAUAUAAAUUAAAUUUAUUUUAAUUUAAUAUAUGUUAUUUUUAUAUUAAAUAUAUGUUAUUUUUAUUAUAUUAGUAAUCAAUUUAUUUUUAUUCUUGAGCAAUGGAUUAAAUUUAUUUAGUUUGAAGAUAAGAUUUGACAAAAAUUAAAUGAAAAAAUUGAAUAAUGAAGUUAUAUUCGUAAUUUUAUUAAUAAUAUAGGAAUAAAUUAGAUAAUGAAUAAUUAUUUUUUAAUAUGUUAUAAGAGUAUAAUGAUAAAAUUAUAAUUUACUAUUAAUAAAUAGGGGUCUGAGUGUCUUUUUUAAAACAUUAAAAAAUUUUAUGUCCCUUAUUCAAACAUUAGGGACCUCUAUGUCAUUUUCCCUUAUUUAAAAGUGGAAAUUAUAAAAAAUUCUCCUCGUUCCCUAAAGAUCUAGGGUUUCUCGAGAAUCGCUAAACCUAGAUCCCAAUCCUUCAAAAUCUCAAUUUAACCUCUCUAGGGUUUCGAUUAUCGAGGAUUCGCUUCAAAAUUUAGUAUUUUUUAGGGGAUUUUGCUUGUCUCGUAUCCUUCAAUUGUUGUUCGGUUCUGAAAAUAAUUUGGAAUUUUAGGGAUUUUCAGAUUAUUUGGUUUUGCUUGAGUGCAAUUUCCUCUAGUUACGGUUUCAGUUUGAAGGGUUAAGUGCGAUUUCGAAUAUUUUUAUAAAAUUAAAAUUAAAAUUCAUAAAACGACUGGGCUUUUAAUAAUUAAUUGCUGGCUAGCGAUACUACAACGGCGGCCGCAGCUGCAGAAGAAGCAGAGGCGGUGGAGGAGUAUGAUAGCGAUCCAGAUGAAGUGAAACGCUCUCUUGCGAUGCGCAGAAGGGAAGCCAGCGAUGAGGAGGUUGAGGAGGAUAAAGAUUCAGAGCUUCCAAUAGUUCAAAGUGUCCACAUUCCUGCGGGAGAAGCGGAGGCUGUGGAUGAGUAUGAGAGCGAUCCAGAUGAAGUGAAACACUCUCUCAUUAUGCGCAGAAGGGAAACAAGCGAUGAUGAUGAGGAGGAGACAUAAUUUGAGCGUCGAAUGAAUUGAAGGGUCCAGAUUCACUCUUACAUUGAAUCUGAUGGCCAAGGUGGUGCUCCAGCUGAGUAUGAUGAUGAUGAUGAUGAAGAAGAGGAACAUGACAGAGAAUUAGAAGAAGAAGAUGAAGAAGGGGAUGUUUAUGAGGCUGUAGAGGAAGAAGAAGUUUAUGAAGAAGAGGGGAGGAAUGAUGGGGCGGUUAAAGUCAAAGGAAUAGAGGGUAAUGAUGCAUAAGGAGUACGGAGGGUGCAGUGGAAGUGAGUAAAGGGAAUAAUGAUAAUGGCAAUGGUGCUAAAAGAAUGAUGCAGCAGAGGAGAGAAUGGAGAAAGAGAAGAAGGAGAGUAAUGAGCCUUUUGUACAGCAACUGGGGCUUUUUGCACAGCAACUGGGGCUUCUUAUAUGGGACAAUGUUGCAGGUCGACACAGGUAUUAUUUGAUUUGAGUGACAAUUUAUAAAUAGCUAAUAGCUGUACUUUCAUUAGUGCUUGUCAAUUAAUCCAGUCUCGUUUUUUGGUGCUGUAUAAUGAUUGUUUGCUGGAAUCUGUGUAGAAGGCUUUUGGCCUAGUAGGUUGAAAGGAGAGAAAGUUCUCAAAUAAACAUCUGUGCUUUGUGGAAUAUAAUUAAUAGGUACAAAGCAUACUAAAUUACUUGACAGAGAGAUGCCGAGCUAAUCAUGAGCUAUGAUAGCAUCAUCCGUGCUUUGUGUAUUUUUAAUAGGGCUUGUCUAUUUCAAAGUGUGUAGUAAUUUUUGGGUUUAGUUUGAGUGAUGAAGUGUUAGAUGGGUUUCUGUUUGGCAUAGUUAAGUGGUUAAUACGAGCUAUUGAAGCAAAUAUGGAGUAGGAUAUCUAGUUUUGGGUUUGGUCUUAGUUUGAAGAUGGCUACUGAUUAUGCAGCUAGGUACUAAUUAGUGUUUGUGGAUUGCUAAAUGCUUUCUGUCAAAUGUGACUAGAUUAUUACUUGAAGUGCAUGGAUCUUACACUUAAUUAAUUAUAUAUCCAUUUGUAAUGUACAAAAUGAUCAUGUACUAUUGCUUAAAAUUAUGUUUUCAAGACAUCAUUUUGAAUCCAUGGUUGUAAUGUGUCUCUAAAUUCAGUAAGACAAGUUCUGUCAAUUGCUGUCGGAUGGCAGUGACUUGAAUAGUUUAAUGUUCAUUUGCAGAAAAAAAUUGAGAAAGAAAACUAAAAAUUUCUGUGCGUUCUGCUGGAAAUUUAAUUAGCUUCAUUUGAGCAUUAAUUGCUGGCAUUAUCUCUUAGAUUUCUCUUGCAUUGAAUGAAUGGAUGAGUGCUAAUCCAUGCAAAGACUUCCAUGCAUACACAAUGAAUGCUUCAUCAAAGGUAUGGUAAAAUGUCAACACGCUUGGCCCAAAUUAUCAAGCUGGUGUGGUGGCUGCUAGAUUUGUUCAUCCGGAUUUUGGACCAUUUUCAUUGACAAUGAGAAAAGCUGCAAGAUCUGUAAAUCGGAAACUCAUUGAAGUGCCAAAAGAGAGAUGGAAGUGAAUAACUAGGGAGUUAGUGAAAAGAGGGUGCAGUGAUUGUGUGGGAAGCUUUGGGUAUAUUUGGGGUUUGGAUGUAAGAUAAAAUAAUUUGAGAGAGAGGUUGUAACAAUUUUUCGGUAAUAGAGUUUUUCAGGUAACUCUUGUGUUGUGUGAUUGGAGUAUUCUCUAUUGUAUUUUUUUAUUUGUUAUUUAUUUGACAUAUUGCUAGCGGAGAUCUUGGGUGGGAGCCAAAAAUUCCCAACAAUUGUCAAUUGUUUUAAACUCUAUUUCGAACAGAGCAUGAAGGGAUUCACUUAUCUGAUUAUGUCUUUUAUGCUUUAACUUCACUUGAUUUCAUCUUGUCUGUCACCUUUAUUAAAGUUGUAUAUGUUGGAGUAUUAGGUUCAUCACAGGGAUCAUAUUAUGGCUAAGGAAGGGGCACAAGAGUAUUUGGAUUCAAGACUGUUAGAAGGUUGUUACAAUGCAAGGCUGUUGCUGUGUAACUGUAUGCCAUUCACGCAAGUGCACUCUUAACAGAUUGCUGAGCUGGCACCGGAUGUUUUUAGCUAAUAUUAGUUAUUGGUCUAGAGUGUUCUGAUUUAUUCUAUAAAUAGCUCAUUUGAGCUUAGAACCUUUAUAGUGUAUCAUACGUUUCCGUUACUUCUAAUAAUGAGUUUCUCUAUUCCUUUUUCUUUCACUUUCUCUUCCAUUUUCAUGAUCCCCAAACACCAUCAAUCCAUGAUUUUCUAGAGUAUUAGUUGUCUAUUUCUACAAGGGGAAAUAUCCACCGUCCACCUGAUUUUGUUUACUUUUUUAAAAAUAUACAAAUCCUAAAUUUUUUAGCUGCGCUCCACCUGAACUUAUAAUUUUUUUCACAUUUCCACCUCCGUCUGCAAACCGUCAAGGCGUUGCUGAUGUCAUAAGGCUAAAAUGAUAAUUUCACUUGGGCUUAAAAAACGACGUCGUUUAAGAUCUGUAAUAAGCAAAAAAAAAAGUUAUUUCAGUUUCAAGAAUCCAAACAAAAGCUUUGAUAAACUCGAAGCUCAAAGCUUAAUUAUUCUCUGGUCUCUACUCACCACAUUCGCAUUCAUGGCUGCACAAGACACACAAAUUGAGAGCGAAAAUAAAGACUCAAAAGAACCCAAAAACCUGUUCGCACACUUUAUAAACUUAUUAUUUUCUGCUCCAAUAUUUAAUAAUAAGCAAGAGAGAAAUAAAAGUGAAGGUGAAGAAAGAGAAGCUGCAGAGGCAAGCAAGAAACGAGAGGUGGUGAAAUUUUCGCUUUUAAAAAAAUAAAAAAAAGAAAGAAAAAGCAAAGGCAAAGCCAAAAUCUUCUACUCUGAAAGUCAUCGACCAUAGUCAUGGCGGAAAACACAGAAAUUGCUUCCAGUCCCAGAAAACAAGAAAACAAAAGCAUACUCUCGCGGUUGCCGAAAUUCCAACUCAAUCUCCAUUUCUUCUUUAAUCAACAACCUAAGAAAGUAGAAGAAACUGUUGUUUCUAAAGGGACUGCCAAAACGUCAACGGUUAGUGAAGCCGAUGACGGUAAUGCUAGUAGUGUGAAGCCGAGCUUGGCUAGGUUUCCAGACGCCACACGUCCGAUUCUUCCGCUGCCGAUUGAGCUCGAGGCCCAAGAGCCCGCCGGGCGGACUUCCAAUCCUGUCGUUCUCUGGCAGGUUCGCUUUCUUCCGUCUGUUCCUGUUUGGUUCCCGAGAAAAUGUGGGGUCCUUUUGUGUUGCGAGAUUGCGAGAUUUUAUAAUAUUUGUUUAAAAAAUAAAAUUUUUGAAAGGAUUUCAAGAUUUUCAGUCUUUAUCUAGGGCUACAAUACUCACAAAGUUAAUAUUUUGGCGUUUAUUGAGGGUAAAUAUAUAAUUUUUUAUUUUCGGGGUUAAAAAGUAAUUUGGACAAAAUUCCGUUAGUUUUAUUGACGGUUUACAGACGGAGGUGGAAAUGUGAAAAAAAUUAUAAGGUCAUGUGGAGCGCAGCUAAAAAAAUUAGAAUUUGUGUAUUUUAAAAAAAGUGGACAAAAUCAGGUGGACGGUGGAUAUUUUCCCUUUCUACAAACAUAAAAUUGUUGUUUUAAGAAACAAAGUACUCUGUCCUGUCACCCGCGGUCUCCUCGUUUAUCGACUUGUGAACAGGGCUAAAUAAACGGCAAAUAAGAUAUUAGGUCAAUGGGUCUAACGUGACAAGAUAUUGAAUUAUUGCCCUUUUCUUUUCUCCACAAAUCUUUGGUUAAUUUUUAGGUUCUCUCAACUUUUUUCCCCUUUAGCACUAAAAUUCAUUUUUGAUACUUUAUGCAAAAAUUAUGAUGAAAAUGAGUCACUUUAGAACAUUAAUAAAUUUUUAUUUUUACAUCCAAAAUAACGACAGUUACACUUAGAUCACUCUCAUUUAGUUGAACUAUAUAGGUAAUAAAGUUGGCUUAACAAAAUAUGAUUCUUAACUGUUGUAAUUAAGCACUAGUAUUCUUUGGUUUUAGUUGUAGGGCUUAUAAUGCCGUGGCUCAGUUCUUGGUGGGUUCAAAUUAUUAGACGAUCAUUCUCAAUCCUUUACGAUUCGUAAUUAAAAAUUCUUAUAUCACAAUUAGAACUUACAAACAAGUCAAAGUGGGUAAAAUCAUAUGUAUAAAUUCGAGGUUUAUUACAAACUUUUAAAAAAGAUUUUCUCUGUUUUUUUUUUCUUUCACAUUCUCUUCCAUUUUCUCAAUCCCCAAACACCACCAAUCCCUGAUUUUUUGAGUAUUAGCUGUCUGUUUCUACAAACAAGUUCUUGAAUUGAAUGGCUCCUCUUUUAUCCAUAGAUCUUUGCUUAAUAUUUUUGUUCCCUCAACCUUUUUCGGCCCUUUGCUCUAAAAUUCUUUUCUGAUACAUUAGCAUUACGCAAAAAUUAUGAUGAAAAUAAGUAUGCCAUGCCGGCAAGUGUAUUGUACAGAUUUCUAGAGUAUUACCUGUCUAUUUUUUUCACCGAUGACGAAGCUAAUUAUUAGUAAUCAAUCUAAAGUCUACCUAUAAAUACAAUAGGUUGCUUAGGUGGCACCAAUAUCCUAACUUUAUGCCAUGUUUCUGGUGUGUCUUCACAAAUUCACCGAUACAAAUUAAUUUCUACCAAUAUUACCAAAUGAUUGUAUUUUACGUUUCUAUUUACUUGUAAUAAAGAUCUUCAAUUUUAUUGGUUACAAAAUUCUCUAGGAUUGCAUGUACAUUAUACUUUUAUAUACAUAUUUUCUUCUUUCUCAUUCGUUUUCUGGGUGAACAUAUUAUUUUCGUCAUCAUCUCUAUAACAAUGAAGUGAAAAUAGUCCUCAUUUAAAGUAUUGACAGCAAUGUUAUACUCAAUAUAACGUAUAAAGCACGCAUAAUUUAAUUAAUGGGGCAGCUGCUAGUACCUUCUAUAGAAGAGAAUUAUUGCAGCAAGUUAAUUGGAAGCUCAAAGAGUUUCCGUAUUAGCCGAAUCUAAGCGAUAAGUGUUUCCAUGUGAGACAUAAUUUGGGAAAAAGACCAAUUCGAGUUAAAGAUCAGAAAACAAACACUGUCAACAAGCAUUAAUGUCAUUUGAUGCAUGAAAGACAAUUAGUCCCAUUUUUUUGUCCUGUUUACUUGACUUGGGCAAUUUGCCGUCAACUUUUCUCAUCCACGUCAGGUAAUGUGGCUUUUAUUUGGUAUGAAAAAGCCAAUGCUUUACGAUAAAACUAUCACACACAUAUUAUCCAUCUGUAAUGUUCAAAUGACACUCAAGUAUUACCUAAAUUAGCCUUUUAAAAAUUCAUUUUCAAAAACCCAUGGUUGUGAUGUGUCUCUAUAAAUUAAGAUCUAUCUGUUACCAACUGUUUUAACUCUGUUCUGAACAGAGCUUGAAAGGGUACAUUCACUUAUCUAGUUAUGUUUUUUAGGCUCUCACUUUAUUUGAUUCACCUUAUCCCUCUUUUGAAACAAUUGUUCACUGGCUGCACUCAGUUAACAGAAUAUUUUGGGAUUCAAAAUAACAUCUUAUUUUCUAAAAUAACUAAAUAGAAUCUUACAGAAUUAGAGUGCCUGACUUCUUCAUACAGUGCUUGACUUCUUUUUACAGAAUUAUAAAGUGAAAAAAUAAAUUAAGAAAUUAAAUACUUUUCAUGCGAGUGGAGAAGAUUGGGUGGCGAUUACAUUAAAUAAAAGAAAAAUAAUUUAAAAGUACAACCCUUUAAUAAUCUCAUUCCCAAUAAAUCGUUGAAACGUCUUGCUUCAUAUUGUUCUUUUUUUUUUUUUUGAUUAAUUGGCCUAAAUAUUGUAUUUUUGUCAGGAGUCUUGCAAUGCUGCGUAACACCGUAGUAAGAAGAAACGUGUCUAAGGUUGCCACGUGUUGUCUCAACAUCUGUGUGAAAACCGAAUUAACCAGUUUGCGUUCGACAACAAAGGAAAAUCUUUAUAACACCCUUUUUAAUUUUAUUUUCUGAAAUACACUCAGUUUUAUUUGUAGCAUAUAAAUCUAUUUAUUAAAAUUAAUCAUCUUUCCAGAAAAUAUCAAUCUAAAAAAUAUUUUUUUAAAUUUUUUUAUAAAAUACAGAUAAAUUCUAAUUAUAAAAUUUAUAUCUCUAUAACUCUAAACUCAUUUAAUUUUUUAAAAUUAUUUUUUAAAUUUAAAAUAUAAAUGUAAAAUAUAAAAUAAAUCCAUGUAUGUCAAUACUAGAUGGUUCCAUAUUAAACCUGUGAAGUGUAGAAAAUAAGCGGGAUUCGUAAAAAAUAUUUUAGAUAAUAACAUUGAAAAGUGAUAAAAAUAUUUUUUUUAAAAAAAAGAAAUACAUACUCGAGACACCAAGACCGGCACGCACAAACUCACACAUUUAUAUAUUAAUUGAGGGGGAAAAUGAUAUUCUAAGUAAUAUUGUUGACAUGUGAUAAAAAUUCUUUUUAGUGAAACAUUUUUGUAUAAAUACUAGUGAUAUUUGUAGAGAAAGUAGAAUGAAGUGAGAAAAACUUGAAUAUAAAUGCUCCAAUAUAAUUUCUCCCAUGCAAAUUAUGAACUAGUGAACUUUAAAGCAUCAUAAAAUUGUUUCAACAUAAGUAAUUAGUUUGAAAAAUUGCCAAUAAUGUUUAAAGUGGGAACGAAAAGAUUAUACUAUAUGAGACACGAUAUUAUUUAAGACAACUUACAAAUUACGGGAAAUGUAUUGAUCUUACAAAUAAUAUUUAAUAAGUACAAAUUUCAAAUUAAAUAAUAAACCCUUAAUUUCCUUUUAAUCAUAAUUAUGAUCUUAAUAAUUAAAGUCAUUCAAUCUUAAUCACUUUUUCAUUUUUUUAAACUAUCUAAAUGACAUUGAAAACUCUACUCAAUAUUAAUUUAUUCGAAUGUUCUGUUUCAAAAUAAUUGAAAACUGUAAAUGAAACAAAUGCUUGCAAUCACAAAUGGCCUAAAAUGGGAUUUUUAUUUUUUAAUAUUGCAAUGACUUUGAUCUUGAUAUUGGAAAUUUAUUUGUAACUUAUACUAAGUCUUCAAUUUUAUCAAAAUUAGUUUCUAGAGAUGCAUUUGCCAUACUGUGUAGUUGUAUUGUAUGAUGAUAUAUUACAUUAGAGUGCAUUGUAAUGAGAUGUAAUGCAAUACUAUUUUAUAUUAAUGUUAAAACUAAAUCAACCUUAUUUAAAUUUAUUAAUAUUUUAGGGUUUUAAUAGUAAUAUCUGAAAUUAAGUAUUAAAUAAUUAUUUUUAUAAUAUACAAAUUAUUUAAUAAUAUUCUACUAUUAAAUAAUAAAAUAUUACAAUAUUAUGUUAUAUUAUUAACAAUUAUUCUGUUAUAAUAUAAUUUAUUUUUAUAUAUUAGUUAUUAUAAUUUAUUAUAAUCAUAUUAUAAUAAUAUUAUAUUGUAAAAAUACAAUACUAUAUAAUUGUAUAAUAUAAUAUGAAUUAAUUUAUAACUUAACAUUAAAUUAUAAAUUUAUUUUAUUUAUUAAUGUCAAAUAUAUUUGUCUAAUUUAAAUUUGGUAUUUUUUUAAAAAUAAACUAUUAAAUAAUUAAAAUGAUUUUAUAGAAUAAAGUAAAAUAAUGUAUUAUUAUUUAUUAAUUAAAUAUUUAGGUUUAUUAAUAUACUAUAUUAUUAAUUAAAUUAAUGAAUAUUAAUUAAUAUAAAUAGUAUUAAAUAGUAUAUUAAUACUAUAUUAUUAAUAUACUAUAUUAUUAAUUAAAUUAAUGAAUAUUAAUUAAUAAUUUAAAUUUAUUAAAUAAUAAAUUUAAAUGAUUAUAUUUAAAAUAUAAAUAGUAUUUUAAUGUAAUAAAACCUAAAUCCCACAUGUAUACCACAUUUGUUAUACAGUGUAAUGCAACUAUAAAUUAUAAUUAUAUAAAAAUAAUAUUUUAAUACAAGUAUAAUGCCACUUGAGAAAUUGAUAUUUUAAUGGAACCAAAAUUUGCAUUUGGUUUGUGGGUCUCUCAAAAAAUAAUAAUAAAAACCAAUAUAAAACACUGAUUCUGUCCUCUUUAAUAUUUUUCUAAAUGCUUCCAUGGCAUAAUCUCAUUGGUCCAUUUUGUUUCACAGCUUAGAUUCAACUUCAAGAUUUUCAAUUUGAAGCAAGCUGUGGUCGACUGGCCGUGGCCAAACAAACGUGCCUCAUGGAGUCAUGGUGACUGAAUCAUCUCUUAUCUCAGAAUUUGAACUUAAACAAUUUGAACUUAGACUGUUUUUUUAUUGUCGAAGAUUCGCUUCAAAAAUUAGUAUUUUUUAGUGGAGUUUGCUUGUCUCGUAUCCUUCAAUUGUUGUUUGGUUCUGAAAAUAAUUUGUGAUUUAGGGAAUUUCGAUUAUCUGGUUUAGUUUGAGUGCAAUUUCCUCUAGUUACGGUUUCAGUGUGACGGAUUAAUUGCAAUUUCGAAUUUUUGAUAAAAUUUAAAUAUUUAUUUAUUUAUUUUGAGAAGGCUAGUGAUAAAAUUGGGCGGUUAUUAAUUAAUUGAUGGCUAGUGAUACUACAACGGCGGCCGAAGCUCCGGAAGAAGCGGAGGCGGUGGAGGAGUAUGAUAGCGAUCCAGAUGAAGUGAAACACUCUCUCGUGAUGCGCAGAAUGGAAGCAAGCGAUGAUGAGGAGGAGGUGGAGAAAGAAUUUGAGCGUCGAAUAGUUGGCGAUGAAUCUGAUGAAUCUGAUGCGCAGAAUGGAAGCAAACGAUAGGGCAGUUAAAGUCAUUGGCUGCACUCAAUUAUUAGAAGGUUGUUACAGAGGUAAGGCUGUUGCUGAGUAACAGUAUGCCAUGCUGGCAAGUUUGCUAUAGCAGAUUGCCAAGCUGGCACUAAUUAUUUUAAACUAAUAUUAGUAAUUAGUCUAGAGUGCUCUAAUUUAUUUUAUUCUAUAAAUAGCUCAUUUGAGCUUUGAACCUGUAACGUGUACUGUACUUUUCUAUUACCUCUAAUAAAGUUUUUCUCUGUUCUUUUUUCUUUCACUUUCUCUUCUAUUUUCCCGACCCUCAAACACCCUCAAUCGUUGAUUUUCUAGAGUAUUAGCUGUCUGGUUCUACAAACAUAGAACUGGUGUUUGUUUGUUUGUCUAAUUACCUUUAAGAAACAAUAUACUCCACCCUGCGGCCUCUUCGUUUAUUGACUUAUUACUUGUGAUCAAGGCUCAAUGAAGGGCAAAUAAGAUGUUGAGCCAAUCGGCCCAACAUCACAGAUCUUGAAUUGAUUGCCUCUUCUUUUCUCCACAAAUCUUUACUUAAUUGUUAUGUUUCCUCAACUUUUUUCCCCUUUUUGUGCUAAUUUUUUUUUUUGAUACUUUAUGCAAAAAUUAUGAUGAAAAUUAAUUAGUUUAGAACAUCAAUAAAUUUUUGUUACAUUCAAGAUAAGGACAAUUACACUUAGAUCACUCUUAUUUAGUUGAAUUAUAGGUAAUAAAAUUAGUUUUAACAAAAUAUGAUUCUUAACCCUCGUAAUUAAAGGCUCGUGUUAUUUGGUUUAGUUAUAACACCAUGCAACAGGUCGUCUUGGUGGGUUCAAAUUAAUAUACGAUCAUUCUCAAUUUUUAAUAGUUUGUAAUUAAAAAGCCCUACAUCACAAUUAGAAUUUGCAAACAUGCCAAAGUGAGUUAAGUCAAAACCUAUAAAUUUGAGGUCUACUACAAACUUCUGACAAAUUAAAUUUAAAACGAUUAAUUAAAUGCUAGACAAAAUUUAGCUUAUUAAUGUUCCUGACCACAUGAUGAAUGUACUUAAAACAUCCUAAUUGGUCACUAAUUGAUUAGUUAUUAUUUUUUCAAUUUCUUUUUAUAUAUCUUUGAAACUUCUAGUUUCCUAACAUAUUAUUUGCAAUUCGUGUAAAUUAUUAUUUUUUAAAUAUUAGAGCAACAACCAGUAUAAAAAUGAAAUGCACUCAUUUAAUGGAAAUUUUUCUAGAUGCUUCAAUGGCAGAAUCUCGUUGGUCUAUAACUCUCACGCCUUUGAUUCAAGAUUCAAUUUCAAACCAACGCCGAACAAACAGUAUAAACCUUAAUAAGUCUGUGGCUGUAGCCCAACAAACCUACUUCCGGCUCACCGAAUAAUCAUCUCUUACGUCGGAAUUUAAACUUAAACAAAGCUACAUCCCACGUGUCCCCAACUUUCUUCAUAUUUCCAUAAAACCCCUACCAGAUCCAGAUAAUUACCUUCACUCUUCUCGUAUAAAUAGAGAAGAUGAUGAUUCCUACAAAGCCACGUAAGUCAAGCGAACGUUACGGCCAUGGCACAUUGGAAUUGGAUCAAACCACCGGAAUGCAAAGCAAAAUUAACCAAAUAAACUAAAUUAGAUCCAACCAAUUGAAUCGGUUAAUGAAUCAGUUUAGUGUCACUCAAAAAACAAAUAAAUAUAUAAAACCACACAAUUAUCAUAUUAAUGGGGCACUUUUAUCAAACACUAUAGGAUCAACUAGUACAAAAUGAAUUCAUUUGGGAUACGUUUAACGUACUGUGCUAUGGUGUAUUGCAUUAACAUACAUUAUAUUAAGUUAUAAUGUUAUACUUUGAUAUAGUAUAAAUUGUAUUAUAUAAGGUAAUGUUUUAUAUUAAUGUUAAAACUAAAUUAAUAUUAUUUAAAUUUAUUAAUAUUUUAGGUUUUUAUUAUUAAUUUUUUAAAAUUAAGUAUUAAAAAUUAUUUUAUAGUAUAUAAAUGAGUUCAUAAUAUAUUAUUAUUAAAUGAUAAAAUAUUAAAGUACUAUGUUAUAUUAUUAAAAAUUGUUAUAUUAUAAUAUAAUUUAUUUCUAGAUAUUAAUUAUUAUAAUAUAGUAUAAUCAUAUAAUAAUAUAAUAUAAGUUAAUAUUAUAUUGUAAAAAUAUAAUACUGCACAAUUAUUUAAUAUAAUGUAAAUUAAUUUAUAAUAUAAUAUUAAAUUAUAAAUUUAUUAAAUAAAAUUAAAAUACUUUUUACGUAUUUAAAGUAAAAUAAUUAAAAUAAUUUAUGUAAUAGAAGUAUGAUAAUGUAUUAUCAUUUUCUCAUUAAAUAUUUUAGGUUUAUUAAUUUGUUAAAUUAUUAUUUAAAUUAAAAUUAAUUGUUUAAGUGUAAAUAUAAAUAUAAAUGAAUGUUUAAUAAAAUCUACUCCUAUGGAUCUAUUUUAUACACUUUUUAUUCUAUAAAUCACGCAUAUAAUGUAGUUGUAUAAUAGAAACUGGAUAUGUAAUGGAAGCCAAAUUGCGCACGGUUUGUGGGUCUGUCAAAAAAUGAUAAAAAGACCAAUAUGAUAGACUGACUCUGUCCUCUUUAAUAUUUUUCUAGAUGCUUCCGUGGCAUAGUCUCAUUGGUCCAUUUUUCUUCACGGCUUAGAUUCAACUUCAAAAAUCAAUUUGAAGCAAACACAACAAUUCAACAAAUAUAAUAAGCGUCGAUAAGCUUGUAGCUGACUGGCUGUGGCCAAGCAAAAUGUACCUCAUGGUUACCGAAUCAUAUCUUACGUCAGAAUUUUGAACUUAAACAAUGUUCUCAUUCCACGUGUCACUCUCUAACCAAUACCCAAACUUUUAUCAUAUUUCCAAAGAAACCCCUACCAAAUCAAGGUAAUUACCGUCACUCGGCUCAAAUAAAUGGUCUCCUCAAUUCAACUGAUGACGACAUAUCCUCAUAGUCUUUAUUUAGAAGGGGAAAUUAUAAAAAAAAGGGUUAUUUUUAGGAACUUUCCCUGAAGUUUAGUGUAUUAACAGUCUGAUAAAAAGUAUUUAUGUAAUUAUAAGUAUUUCCCUUAACAUUAGUAUAAAAAUACGUAAACGUCAGUAUAAAAAGGUAAACAAGUAAAAGUAAACUUGAAAUUUAAACAAAAUCAAAAUUCAAGCAAAAUAUGUUUCGAUGUCUGUGAAAUAGAGACUUAAACACACCAUUACCCAGUCCAAAGUCAUUAUCCAGUAGAUGAAAGAAAAUGAUUUUUUCACAAAGGGUACUUCUCCUCGUAAACACAGCUUACACUUGAACAAAACCCACCAUCAUUUUCAUCCAUGGAGAAGAAGCGUCUGCAACUCACAAAUAAUUUCUGAAAUCAUUGAUUUAUUUUCAUCUACUGCACAAGAUGACGUCGUGCGGUGGUCCAGAGCUUCCAAGAAGCGAGUAUUGCCAGCAUCUAGCAUCUACCGUGACUGGAAUUAGAUCGCAAGAAGAGGUCAGUCUUCGAAAACACAGCUUGCAUGCUUGAAUCAGUGGCUUACAAGAUAUUGUUGUUAUUUUAUUGAUUAAAAAUAACAAUGGGUCUGUUUUAAUGAAUGAAAAUGGUGUUGGAUGUUGUUUCUCUCUAGGGUUGUUAGUGUUGAGUUGAAAAAAACUAUUGGGUAAUGACUGAUAAGAGCAAUUUCCUAAUGAUUUAAGAGCUGUGUAAGUACUAGAUGUAGUUCAUCAAAGAUGGGUUUCGAUUUGCUUAUAAUCUGAUAAUCUUUUAGAGAACCCACAGUGGUUUAUGUGAUUGUUCAGUUUGGGGUCAUGACACUAAUUGAGUUGUGUGCUAGUUUCGGUUUGUGCAUGCCUUUGGUGUUCUUUUGCCUUAUUGUUGUAAUUCCUUCAAUAAUUUGGCGGUGUUGUUUUUUUUUUUUUUUUUGAGAAGGUAAUUUUGUAUUUGCUAAAUAAUGUGAUUGUAAUCAGAGGUAACUUAAGUAUAUUGUUCUACACACAAUUUUUGCUCCCACGUGAGAUGUUCUCUGUGUUUUUGUCUAAGGCUUUUGUUUGUUAUUCAAACUAGAAAAUAGUGGAUGCAAGACUAUGAAUUUGGCAUGUGAUAAACUUUGAAAUUGCCCUUUUUCUAGAUUAAAAAAUAUUGACUUGCCAUUUUCCUUGUUUGAUUCUAAUUUUCAAACAAGUGUGCCGAAAUCUUAAGUUCGAUUACAUGUUGUUUAUUGUAUUUCUUAUUUCAAAGUCUGUAAUCUAUCUGCGUGCAUCAUUUCAGAAGAAGAAUAAGCAGCUGCAGCAAGUCCAUUAGUUUAGGUGUUCCGAGUAUGACAGAGAUGAUGCUCUAGAUCCAGGUUUGAGGCACCAACAAAACUCGAAGAUAUCAAUUAUAGAGUGGGAUUUUCAGGACCUGAAAUCCAAUUUAAUAUUUACUUGAUCUGGGUUUAAAUAUGGAUGGAGCAAAGAUUGGUAUCAGAAGGGUUUUAUUGUCGGUGCCAACGCCUGUACUAUCAAGUUUACAAUAUGAAAAUCAUUUCUUUUAAUAGCUCUGCUCUUGUGGCAUGUAUUAGUUAUGAAGUAGUUUGUAAUAAAAAAAAAAUCACAAUAAUAAUAUGCAUGCAGGAUGCAGCUAUGCCGCCACACAUUAUUUCAAUUUUUUUAUUAUUUUGCAAUGUCAAUUUUUUUAUUAUUUUGCAAUGUCAAUUUUUUUAUUAAGCAAUUUCAUUUUUUUAUCCAAUGGAUAUUUUCAUCUUCUUAAGUAAUUUGUGAUUUUGGCACGAAUUACCCAUCAGUUCAUCAGCGAAUAAAGAAAUAUUUUGACAGGAAGGGUAUUUUUGGAUUUUCAAUAGUCAACUAACAGUCCACUUAACAGAAUACAAAUGUCAGGGGAGGUCUUUGUAAUUACGUGAAUACUUUCUAUCAGAAUGUUAAUACACCAAACUUCAGAGGAGGUCCUUAAAAAUAACCCUAUAAAAAAAUCCCCUCGUUCUCUAAAAAUAUGAGGUUUUCUCAAGAAUAGCUAAACCUCCAUCACAAUCCUGAAAAAUCUCAAUUUAACCUCUCUAGGGUUUCGAUUGUCGGGGAUUCGCUUCAAAAUUUUGUAUUAUUUUAGUGGAUUUUGCUUAUCUCGUAUCCUUCAAUUGUUAGUUCAGUUCUGAUAAUAAUUUGGAAUUCAGUUUGAAGGGUUAAGCGCAAUUUCGAAAUUUUUUAUACAAUUUAAAUUAAAAUUGAUAGAACAAUUGGGCGGUUAAUAAUUAAUUGAUGGCUAGUGACACUACAACGGCGCCCGCGCCCGCAGCUCCGGAAAAAGCGGAGGCGGUGGAGGAGUAUGAUAGCAAUCCAGAUGAAGUGAAACGCUGUCUUGUGACGCACAGAAGGGAAGCCAGCGAUGACGAGGACGUGGUGGAGGAGUACGAGAGCGAUCCAGAUGAAGUGAAACACUCUCUCGUGAUGCGCAGAAUGGAAGCAAGCGAUGAUAAGGAGAAGGAGGAUAAAGAAUUCGAGCGUUGAAUGAACCGUAGGGUCCACAUUCAUUCUUACGAUGAAUCUGAUGGCCAAGGUGGUGUCCAGCUGAGUAUGAUGAUGAUCACCUCUCUCGACCAGUUCAGGUUCAAGGGAAGGGUGCUCGAGGGGUACUUGUCUUGUUUAUCAUUUUUGUUUAAUUUUCAUAAAUUCGACGACCCACAAUUCAAUUAUGAGUGAAGAGUUUGUUAAAAAACUGUGGUCUUCCAUUUACUAUAACUAAGUCCGUGUGAUGUAAUUAUUUUUCUGUCACUUAAAUGUCUUGAAAAUUAUGAAUACAUUGUAGGAUUUAGAAGGAUUCUAAAGUUUUAAUGCAUAUGGGUUUUUUAUGUCCAUCCACUUAUGCGUAUGCUGCAUUUUAUGAUUAUCGUAGUUGGUAGAUUGACAAAUGGACCUUAAUUACAAGUCAAAUAACCUAAAUACUUAUCGGCCAAAGGAAGCCAUUUAUAGUAAUUUCUAGUGAAGCAAAGUAAAAUGAUUCAUACUGGCAAAGAAAAUUGGAAAAGAAAAGGAGGAUUACUGAUCCACACAGUGUCGUUUACUAAAGGUACGUUGAUCUUACACUUAAUUUAUUAUAUAUCCAUUUAUAAUGUUCAAAAUGAUAAUGUACUAUUUCUUAAAUUAGGCUUUCAAAACAUCAUUUUGAUAAUGCAUAGUUGUGAUGUGUCUCUAAAUUCAGUAAUACAAGUUCUUUCCUGUUACUAAUGGAUGAAGUGACUUGAAAUAGUUUAAUAUUUAUUUGCAGUAAAAAAGUUGAAAAAGGAACUAACAAUUUACAUGCGUUUUGCUGAAAAUUUAGUUAGUUUCAUUUGAAACUUGCAUGGGCAUUAAAUGCUGGCAUAAUCUCUUUGACUUCUCUUGCAUUUGAAUGAAUGGAUCAGUGUUAAUGCAGGCAAAGAUUUUCUGGACUUUCAUGGAUGCACAAUAAAUGCUACGUCAAAGGCCUGGUAAGAUGUCAGCAAGCUGGUCGAAGAUAUCAACCUGAUUUGGUGGCUGCAAGAUUUGUUCAUCCAGGAUCGUUUUCUUUGACAAUGAGAAAGCCCCAAUGUCUAUAAAUUGAGAACUCACUGAAUUGUAGAGAGAGAGAGGAAAGUGAAUAACGGGAGAGCCAGUGAAAAGAGAGUGUGGGAAGAUUUGGGUGUAAUUGGGGUUUGGGUGUGAGAUAAAAUAAUCAGAGAGUGGUUGUAAUAAUUUUUUAUAUAGUGAAAUUUUUUUGUCUCGUUAUUUUUUGCAGUGGUGGUUUUUUACUCUAAUAAAAGAGUCUUCCAAGUAAAUUUUGUGUGUUAUGAUUGGGAUAUUCACCAUUUUAGUUUUCUAUUUAUUAUUUGUUUUACAUAUUGCUAGUAAAAAUCUGGGGCGGGAACCGAAAAUUCCCAACAAUUAUUAAUUAUUUUAAACUCUGUUCUGAACAGUGCAUGAAGGAUCAUAUUCACUUCACUUCACUUCACUUGAUUUCAUCUUGUCCCUCUCCUUUAUAAAAGUUGCAUAUAUUGGAGUAUCAAGUUCAUCACAAGGAUCAUAUUCUGGCUAACGAAGGAGCACAGUUCAUUGGCUGCACUCAUGUGUAGCAAAGUAUUUGGAUUCAAGACUGUUAGAAGGUCGUUACAGACGCAAGACUGCUGCUGUGUAACGGUAUGCCAUGCUGGCAAGUGGGGCAGUGCGCUAUAACAGAUUGCGGAGGUAGCACCAAAUAUUGUGAACUAGUAUUCGUAAUUAGUGUAGAGUGUUCUGAUUUAUUCAUUUGUGCUUAAAACCUACAUGUAUUGUACGUUUCUAUCGGUAAUUUGUUCUGAUUUUUUUUUGGGGCCAAUUGCAGUUUUGAUAACAACUAAAAUCUGUGUGGUCCGGUUACCACAAAGCCUAUAAUGAUUGCAAUUACUGUAUGAUCAUUUCCCCAACUAUUAUUUGAAUAAUUGGUCCAGUUACCACAAAGCCUUGCCCCAGAUCCCUGCCAUUUUCUCCUCCACCUCCAUUUGGGGAAAUUACUACUUACUUUUUGCAAGUUUUUUGUGAAAUAUUUAUUUUGAGAAGAAAACCAACAAUACAUUUUAUGAUUUGGGCUGUUUCAAAGAUCUUCGCUUGAUGUCUCUGCUACUGGUUUUCAGCAGAGUGCCCAAAAAUAGUUUUCAGCAGUACAAAAAGUAUAUAUUUUGUACCUUCCAUACAUUUUGCUUUGUUAAUGUUAUUAUUUGAUAACAUGUUUGUCGAGUUGCACAGUGUAUAAAUGCUAUACAAAUACACUCCUUUCAUUUUAUACAACUUUGAUUGAUCAAGUUGUAUCUCUUUGAUAAUAUGUUCUAUCUCCUUUCAUUUUAAACUUCAAUUGAGUUGCUAUCUAUUUAACUUUGGCAAGUCAGAGAGAGGGAUGGGACUGUCCAAUUAAAAUUAAGUUCCAAGUGCCAAUCCCACCAUUGUCGUCUCUUGUUUGCCAAAUUCAAAUUUGAAAAUCUCACCAAGUCAGUAUGGUGAUGUUGUGGGAUUGUCUGGCCUAGGUUUUUAGCCUCAUGAACUCCUUUAUUAGAAAAAGUCUUAAGUGUUCUUACUCAAUGGUAGAAUCAUAAUUUUACUUCAAUGGAAGCCAUAAUGAUUAAAAUAUACUCUUUUGAUUAAUUACUUAUUUGAUGUUGCUCUCUCUACCUUCAUCUCCUUCUUUAUGAAAAAUUUAUUGUAAUACAUGGAAGUAUAUAUUGCAUUGAAUAAAAUGAAAUUGUUCAAAAAUUAACAAAUUCAGCUUUAUUAUAAUCUAAAACAAAGUAAAUAAAAUAAUACCCAUCAUGUAAAAAUAAAAAAAUAAAAAUUUUUGUACCACUUUGAAUCUAUUUUAAAUUUUUUUGGUCAAAUCUCAGAAGCACAAACUUUGAACAAUAAUAAUAGGUAAAAACUAAUAAUCUUAUAAUAAAAAGUAAGAAAAAAAUAAAGUUGAUUUAGCAUGUAAGAAUAAAAAAAGAAAAAUAGAAAGAGAGAGAAAUUAGCUUAGGCUUUAACUAUUGUUAUAGUAGAGAAGUAAUUUUAUGACCUUUUAGAAAUGAGUGAAUUAAAAUAGUAAGUUAUAAUUUGAUAACUAUCUUAAUUAAAAAAGUGGGUGUUGAAAUAAAAUUAAUGGAUUCAAAUAGCCCACCCAAAAUCCAAAAUUGCAUACCAAUUAUUUUCUAAUUUACAUAAAGUUCUUCUAUUUUUUUUUUAUAACAUUUGAUUCUCAAUUGGUCUAAUGGAGAAACAACCAGCAAAAAAAUAAAAAAUAAAAAAUAAAAAAUAAAAUGAAUGCAAUUAAACCGAAAUUCGUAAAAGAGCCGUAUGACAUUUAUGUGCAAGCAAAAUUGCAUUCUGUUUAUGGGAUCCUGGAAAAAAUAAAAGAAAGAAAACAGAGUAAGACGCUUUCGCUGUGGGCUUUAAUAUUUUUCUAGAUGCUUCCAUGGCAGAUUCUCGUUGGUUGAUUUUUCUUUACGCCUUAGAUUCUAUGAUUCAAUUUCAAUCAAAUACGACAAACAAAAGAAGCUUUUAAGCCUGCAGCUGAAAUAGAUGGUACUUUAAUUUUCAGCUGAACAUAUAUAUGGUAAGAUUAUUAUUAUUGAGCUUGAUGAGGCUAUAGAAAAUUCAAUAUCGAGAUCGGAUAAGGGUCCAAUAAAUUAUAAAAAUAAAGCAGCUCAAAGCCCAUAUGAUCAUGGGCCAGGCCACUACUUGCUCAUGCUUUGAAUCAAAAUUAGUGACGUUGGAAGCUGAAAGGGGCAAAUGAUGAAAUGGGGUUCAUCAUAUAGUAUGCCCAACGGGGUAAGAUCAUCAUUUAAUUGCCUCCUCCUCUUGUCGAUAGAUAUUUGCCUAAAUUUUUCUAUUUAAAAAAUAUUAUAUUGGUUAGUAUAAUUAGAAGUUUUACAAAAUAUAAGUAUAAUUUUUAAAAAAAAUUAUAUUUGUUAAUCUAAAUUUACAUCCAAGAUCACGACAAUUACACUUAGAUCACUCUUAUUUAGUUGAAUUAUAUAUGUAAUAAUGUUGGCUUAACAAAAUAUGAUUCUUGAUCGUUGUAAUUACGAGCUGGUAUUCUUUGGUUUUAGUAGUAGGGCUUAUAACGUUGUGCAACAGUUCUUGGUGGGUUCGAAUUAUUAUACGAUCAUUCUUAGUUCUUUACGAUACGUAAUUAAAAAUUCUUAUAUCACAAUUAGAACUUACAAACAAGUCAAAGUGAGUUAAAUCAAACGUAUAAAUUCGAGGUCUAUUACAAACUUCUAAAAAAGAUUUUCUUUGUUCUUUUUUCUUUCACUUUCUCUUCCAUUUUGCCAAUCCCCAAACACCGCCAAUCCUUGAUUUUUUAAGUAUUAGCUGUCAAUUUCUACAAACAUAGAACUGCUGUUUGUUUGUCUAAUUACUUUCAAGAAACAAAACUGUUUGUCAUGUGGUCUCUUCGUUUAUUGGCUUGUGAGCAAAUAAGAUAUUGGGCCGAUGGGCUUAACGUGACAAGUUCUUGAAUUGAAUGGCUUCUCUUUUUUUCAUAAAUCUUUGCUUAAUUUUUUUUGUUCUCUCAACCUUUUUUGGCCUUUCGCGCUAAAAUUCUUUUUUUGAUACAUUAUGCAAAAAUUAUGAUGAAAAUGAGUUACUUUAGAACAUCAAUAAAUUUUUAUUACAUCUAUAAUAAGACAACUAUAGUGAGAUUAUUCUUAUUUAGUUGAAUUAUAUGUAAUAAAAUUAGUUUAACAAAAUCUAACUCGUUAGUAUUCCAUAUCACAUGAUUAACGUAUUUAAAAAAUCUUAGUUGUUCCGUCGCUUGUUUUACAAUUCUUUUAUAUAUCUUUGAAACUUUCUGCUUUCUGACACAUCAUAUUGUUCUCAAUUCGUCAAAAUUAUUUGUUUCUUCAAACACUGCAGCAACAAUCGGUAUAAAAAAGAAUGAACUCAUUUAAUGGGAAUUUUUCUCAUUGGUCUAUUUCUCUUCGCACCUUAGGUUCCUCUAACAAACUUAAAAGAUGUUCCCCAUCCCACGUGUCUCCAAAUCUUCGUAUUUCCAAACAAACCUCUGCCAAAUAGAGAAGAGGAUGGCUUUUAUUGCAAACUGUAUGAGCGUUAUGGCCAUGCAUGGGACAUUGGAUCCAAAUGAAACCAAUGGAUUGUAAAGCAAAAUUACCGAUUAAAAAUUCAAACAAUUGAAUCGGUUUGGUGUCACUUAAAAAAAUAAAUAAUAUAUAAAACAACACAAUUAUCAUAUUAAUGAGCCACUGUUAAAUUCAUUCAGUCAGUAUUUUUCUUUUCCCAUUUUCAAUGAAUGCUUAAUAUGGAAAACAAUAUGUCCCAUUGAGCACUGUUUAAAUCAUUCCCUAGUUUGUUUAACACGCAAAGAAUAUUCUUAUUCAGCUCGGCAGCCAAUCCGUUAAAAUUUAUUAAAAUUCAUUUAAGUGAUGACUGUGAUAUGACUCGAUCAAUCGUUUAAUUUGUAUAAUUUAUAAAAAUUUGAGCUUCAAGUAAUGUAGAUAGAAUGGUUAAUUAUUUUAAUAUUAAGAUAAAUUGAUAUAUGUCAUUAUAUUAUGAGUGGAUGAAAUAUCCAAUAGAAAAAAAAAUGUUUAUAUUCGUCAUUUUUAGUGGGAAUCUAUUUAGUGUAACUUAUCCAUAAAAAUGGUUGACGACUUAUCUUGGUUCUCAUUUUGUUUAAUUUUCAUAAAUUUGACUAAUGAUUAAUUGUGAGUGAGUGGGGCUAAUUAUCCGUGGGGCGGCAUCAGUUGCUGCUUGAGUGGAGCUGCGCUUUAUCCAUAAAUCUGGUCUUCCAUUUAUUUUGUAGGAUUUAAAAGAUUAAAAAACUUUAAUACAUAUAAUUUUAUGUUCGAAACUAAAUACUGGUAGCAUUGCUGCUUCUAUAAAUAACUCAUUUGUGCUUCCAACAAUAAUUCACGUUUUUGUUUCUCUUCAUAAAGAUUUUCUUUUUUUUUCUUUUUUCCAUUCACUUUUUCUUCCAUUUUCCCGACUCCCAAACACCACUAAUCCUUGAUUUUCUAGAGUAUUAACUGUCCGUUUCUACGAACAUAGACCUACAGUUUGUCUAAAUACUAUCAAGAAACAACGUACUCUGUCGCGGGAUCUCUUCGUUUAUUGACUUUUGACUUGUGAACGGGGCUAAUUAAAGGGCGUUCCUUUCUUCAAGAAAGAAUGCAAAGAAAGUACUAUCCAUGAGACACGUUAAAAAUUAUUUUACAUAAAAAAUGAUAAUAAUCAUAAUAAUCGGUUAAGGAUCGACAAAAAUGUUAUAACCUAUAAAGCAUGGAUAAUUAAUUAAUGGGAAUGCACCUCUCAUCUUUACCAUUCUCUUUGUCAUUUUCAUAAUUCAGCUGUUUAUUAAUAAAGUGAAUAAAUUUAUCUUUUAAUAAUAUGUUUCUUGGCUGUUUUUUUGUGUAUUUUUGUGUACAAUUUUGUGUGCAAAUAGCAUUAUUCAUUAGUAAUUAGUUUGGAGUAGCUCAUUUUGAGCUUAGGACCUGUAACUAGUAUUUUAUGUUUCUGUUAAUCUUUAAUAAAGAUUUUCUCUAUUUUUUUUCCCUUUCACUUUCUCUUCCAUUUUCCCCGACUCCCAAACACCACCAAUCCUUGAUUUUCCAGAGUAUUAGCUCUCUAUUUCGACAAACGCAUAACUGUUGUUUGUCUAACUACUUUCAAGAAAUAACGUAGUCUGUGGUUUAUUGACUUGCGAACGGGGCUAAUUAGUCACGGUCCGAUUGUCUGACUUCUCCAUUGACUCGGUCAAUUCACGACCUUGACCUGUACAGUUGAUACAAACGGACUUCUCCAUUUGAGGUGUACAAAACUUUCUUGAGUCAUUUUGUUUGGUGAUGAUGAAUUGGAUGUCAGUUCAUGAGUUUCAUGAUGAAGAGGACCAAAAACAUUAUUUUAUUAUUUAAAGAAGACUAACAAUUAUUUCGAUGGUCAUUUUAUUUUUUAUUUUUAAAUAUCCAAGGUGCUUGACUUCUUUACACAGAAUUACAAAGCAAAAUAAUUAAGAAACUAAAUACUCGUCAUCCAAGUGAGAAGAGAUUGGGUUGUUGAUACAUUAAAUAAAAGAAAAAUCAAUUAAAAGCACAACAAUUCAAUAAUUUCAUUCUCAAUCAUAUAAAAAAUAAAAUUUACUGUACAUUGUUGUUCGGUUCUGUAAAAAAAAAAAAUUAUUAGGGAUUUGCAGUUUUUUUUAGUGUAAUUUUCGUUAAUUACAGUUUGGUCUGAAGGGUUAAGCACAUGGAUCAUAAUCAUAUUAUGGCCUAAGGAAGGAGCACAGUUCAUUGGCUGAACUCAGUUUACAGAAUAUUUUGGGAUUCAAGACUUCAGGUUGUUAAAAAUGCAACUUGCAAGGCUGUUGCUGCGUAACUGUAUGCAAUGCUGGCAAGUGUGCUAUAACAGAUUGUUGAGAUAGCACCAAAGAUUGUAAACUAAUUAGUACUGGAAAAUCCUAUUUGCACAAACAAUUGCACAAAAUAAAUAGAAUGAGAAUACUUAUGCAAAAAAAAUAAGAUUAAUAAAGUGAAUAAAUUUAUCUUUUAAUAAAAUAUUUCUAGUCUUUUAGUGUUUUCGUGUAUUUUUGUGUACGUGCAAAUAACAUUACUCAUGAGUAAUUAUGUUUUACGUUUCUAUUAUUUUCUAAUAAAGAUUUUAUCUGUUUUUGUUUUUUUCCCCCCUUUGAACGGGGCUAAUGUUGGUCUAACUGCUUUCAUGAAACAACGUACUCUGCGGUUAAAAUUAAUUGAUCAUUUUAUUUGGUGAUAAUGAAUUGGUUGUCAAGUCAUGAGUUUGAUGAUGCACAGGACGAAAAACGUUAUUUUAUUAUUUAAAAUAUGACUACCAAUUAUGUUGAUGGUCAUUUUAUUAUUUAAAAUAUGCAAAUGGAAUCUUACCGAACUAUAGUGCUUGACUUCUUCAUACAGUGCUUGACUUCUUUGUACAGAAUUAUAAAGUGAAAGAAAUUACGAAAUUAAAUACUUUUCAUGCGAGUGGGGGAGAAAUUCUGUAUAUUUAUGAAAUAACUAUUGAUUUCACUUCGGUAAUUACUUUUUAAAAGUAACGUAAACAUUUUUAUUUUAUUUGCAUUCGAGCUUUCUUUCUUUUUCGCUGGCCUUUACUCUUGACCGUAUUUUCAUGGGGCAUAUUCAAUCUGAAUCCUCUGCAAGUUUGUGGCAGUUUGGUUAGUUACGAACUUUUGUAGAAUUGCAUGAAGAUGACGCUUUUAUAGACAUUUUUUCUUUUUUCUUUUUUUCUUCAGUGAACAUAUUAAAAAUUUAGUUUUUUGUCAUCAUGACUAGAACAGUAAAAUGAAAAUAGUCCUCAUUUCGACGAUUGACAAAAAUGUUGUACUCAUACCGAUUAAUGGGACACUGAUUUCGUCUUCUUAAAAAAUUAUUAUUGCAGUGAGGUAAUUGGAUCGAAGAUGGACGAUUUCCAUAUUUGCCUAACCUAAGUGAUAAGAAUUUUCAUAUGGGACAUAAUCUGAUUUGUUUUGCUUGACUGUAUUCCAAGAGACAGUCAUAUCUACUAAAUGAAACAAAUCUUGCUUUUCUAGAGAAAUAAUGCAAUAUGCAAUUAUGCAUGAAGGUGCGCAUCCAUGUGAGAAAGUUGACGAAAGCUUCUUUUUCAGUAUUGUUGGAAUAAUGGUAUCGAUUGGAAUUGUAAGGAAAGAGGUCUUCGAGUCGUGGACAGCUGAACCGAAGAGAGCAGAUGAAUGCCCUUUGCAGAAGCAGGAAAUAAGCUGCCUAAAAGUAAGCAUUAGAUGAAUGCCCGAUCGAACACCACUAAUUCCAACAAUAUAUCAAAAAAAAUCUUUGAGUUUAAGGAAUUAAUUUUUUAAAUAUUUGAUAUAUGUCAUGUUCUGACUUAGUACAAGAAGAAAAUUAUAGAAUUUUUUUUUAAAUUAAUGGAAUUAUUUUACGAUAAAACAAUCACAAUCACAAUUAAAAAUAUUCUUUAAAAUUUCACUAUUUCUACUGUUAUUCUUUAAACUCUUUCUGAACAGAGCAUGAAGAGUCACUUAUCUAAAUAUGUUUUUUUUGUGCUUUCACUUCACUUGAUUCAUCUUAUCCCUCUUUUAUAGAACCUGCAACUCGUAUUUUACGUUUCUGUUACUUUCUCUUCCAUUUUCCCAACUCCCAAACACCAUCAAUCCUUGAUGUUACAGAGUAUAUUAAUUAAUUAAUGGGCCACUAAUUCUUCUUCUUAAAAGAAAAUUUUUGUAGGGAAAUUGGAAAAAAGGCUAAUUCAAUUUAAUUUUGAUAGGUGCGACAGAAGGAUAGGACCGUCCAAUUAAAUUGCAAGUGGGCAUUCCCACCAUUCGUGUCUCAUGCUUGUCAUAUUUAAAUUUAAAAAUCACACCAUGUCAGUAUGGUGAUGAUGUGGAAUUGUUUCACCGAAAUUUUUAUUUCGAUGGUGGCCAUAAUAAUUAGACUACUGAUUAAGUUGGUUGUGACAUAAAAUCAACGUUGUAUAAUUUUUUGGAUAUUAUCUCAAUUUUACUUCUGUAGGUUUGUUUUUUUGUAUAUUAUCUCAAUUUUUAAAAAAAUGUAAUUGCAAUUAUCAAACACGACUAAUCCCAACAAUUUAUCCAAAAAAAUUUUAUGAUAGAAUUGGCUAAUUUUUUUAAUCGACUUUCUGGAUAAAUGAUAAUUUUUUUGAUAGAAAUGUUACUUAAGUAUUACAGGAAGAAAAUUAUAGAAUAAUUUUUUGAAUUAAUAGUAUUACUUUACGAUAACACUAUCACAAUCUAAUUUUAAAAAAAUAAAGUUAUUCUUUAAAUUUCGCAUUACUAUUCCUACUUUUCUUGUUAUACUACUUAAUGGCACUGGUGAAGCCUCGAAUUAUCAAACAAAAAAGCAAAAAUAGUUCAAUAUCUGCUGUCCCACUGAGCAUUGUUAAAUUCAUACCAUAACAUGAGUACUUAUAUUAAAAAAAACAAUCGGUCUCAUUGCGUGCUCUUUCAUUGACAUAGGCAAUUUGCUGUCAACUUGUGGCACUUUUAUGAAUUUUCAAGACGGGUGAAUUUUUCAAAUUUAAAAGAAAAAAAUACAGAAAUGUAAUUUCAAUUUAUCCAAAAAUUUGAGUUUCAAGGAAUACAACAUUUAUUAUAUGUCAUGUUAAUAUAGAGAAGAAAAUUUUAAAAACUUCUUUUUGGAUGAAUAAAAGUAUUUUCUGAUAAAUAUUUCACAAUCAAAUUUAAAAAAUUUCACUCCUCUUGGUACAUAAUUUAAGAAUUUAAGAUUAUAAAUUAAUCUUUUUAAUCAAAGUAAUAAUCUCUCCUCGGUCUGCAAAUGCUAAAAUUUAAUAUUAUAUCCAUUGACAAUAUUUGCUCCAAAUUCACGAAAAUAAAAUUUCUAACAAAAUUAUGGAAUUCGUUACUAGAAAUUUGUAUAAAAGUUGUGAGAAUAGAAGGUUUGAUCAUAGGAAAUUAAUAUAUCCCUAUCCGAUGCAAAAAUGAUUGUAAAGAAAAACAAAAGUCAUGGGCUUAUUUAGAAAAAAAGAAAAAAUUACAUUCCAUUUUCCAGUUAUUAAAGUAAUUCUAAAAUCGCUAGGAUCACAAAGGAUAAGUUUUGGUUGACUGAGGUCAGCCUUAACGCAUGCCGGUCUUUUUCUCCUCUACAUUCUUAGAAAUUUUGGUUUCACUAUAAAUACUCGGUAUAUAGCAAACUUAUAAGUGUUCUUGCAUUACCAAUCCAACUAAGCACACGCUUACAAUAUAAAUACUCUCAUCUCAUGGAAAGAGCUCAUUCUCUCAUGAUGAUGAGCAGAUUUCUCUUACUCCAUUGUUUGAUUCUUAUUUCCUUAUUUAUCGCGGCAGCAACAGCCAACACAAGUUCUACUAUCACGGACCAAGAUGCUCUGUUGGCCCUGAAAGCUCACAUAACUCAUGAUCCGACCAAUUUCUUGGCCAAGAAUUGGAACACAAGUACUCCUGUCUGUAAUUGGACAGGCGUCGCUUGUGAAGUCCAUAGCCAGAGAGUCACAGUCUUGAAUAUUUCAAGCUUAAAUCUCACAGGCACCAUCCCUUCUCAACUUGGGAAUCUUUCUUCUCUGCAAUCACUCAAUCUCAGUUUUAACCGACUUUUUGGUUCCAUUCCCUCCGCCAUCUUCACCACAUAUACACUGAAAUAUGUUUGUCUCCGUGGAAAUCAGCUCUCCGGCACUUUCCCUUCUUUCAUCUCCAACAAGUCUUCUUUACAACAUCUUGAUCUUAGUAGCAAUGCACUGUCUGGUGAAAUUCGUGCAAAUAUUUGCAGUAAUCUUCCUUUUCUGGAGUACCUUGCUUUCUUCAAAAACAUGUUGCAUGGCGGCAUACCGUCCACGCUAUCAAAUUGCACAUAUCUGCGAACGUUAGAUUUUUCAUACAAUGAUUUCUCGGAGGCCAUACCUAAAGACAUCGGCAAUUUGACCAACCUUAAGGAAUUAUAUCUUGGCCGUAACAGACUCCAAGGUGCGAGUAAUCACGGAGUUUAAUUAUGAAAAUUGUUCCAUAAGUUGUAUUAUGAAUAAUGUUCCAUAAGAUAAUUUGCACGCGUUGAUUAAUUUGCAGGAGAAAUUCCUCGAGAAUUUGGCAAUCUUCCCGAAUUGGAGCUGAUGUCGUUAGCAGCAAACAAUCUCCAAGGUAUGAUUAGAAACUUUUUGCAAUUUUUUUCUAGCCUCUGCUUGCUUCUGUAUUCAUUCGUUUGUUCAUUAAUUAUGCUAUGAUUUAUUGUUUUUCUUUCAGAUGGAGAUAAAGCUCCAUGUCUCUCCUCACUCAUUUCAUUUCUUAAUUUAUGCAGAUAAAAAAAAAAUUGUUUUGUAAUUUUCUUUUGUCAUAUUGCCACUUCCGUUUUGAAGCUCCCAAUUAAGUCGAUGAAAAUGAAUGAUGUUUCAUUCUUAUUCUUGUCAGCCUAAUUCUUAUAUAAUUGAAGAGUAAAUUGUUAUUAUGAUAUUCGUCAGCCAAUAAAUUCUUUUUUUUUUCCCCCCAAAUAUGAGUGAUCAAAUUGUUUGCGCAUAUAUAUAUGUACUUAAUUUGCAGGAGGUAUUCCACACGAAUUGGGGAAUCUUGCAAAAUUGGAGAUCUUAGAGCUGUUCGAGAAUAACUUGACCGGUAACUUUCUUUACGAUAUAUAUAUGAGACAUCUUCCGCUUCUUAAUUAAAAGAUUUCAAGUCUCUCAUUAUAAAAUAUAAAUUCUCAUAUGAGGAUGUGUAGUUAUCACUAUCUAACAUUAUUCCGUUUUUUAUUAGAAAUUAGUUUGUGUUAACUCAAAAUUCCAUAGCAUUUAAAAAAAAAUUAAAAACACGUAGAAUAAAUCGUCAAUCUUUCUUCUUUACUGAAUUUGGAUUUCUCAAAAAUUAUCUGCACAAGUAUGGUUCACUAAUGAUAUACAUGUGUGACAACUUCAUAAAAUAUUUCACUAAUUAUCUUUAAAUAAUUGGAGAUACCAUCAGUGAUACAUAAUUUCCUAACAAGCACCAUACCAAAAGAAAUCAACAAUUUUUUUAAUAUUAAAGAGUUACAUCUUCACUGCAAUUAUGGCAUAAUUUUUCAUCUAAAAAAAUUUUUAGUCAUCAAUCGCAUAAUAUUUUAUCUUAACGGUUGAUGUUCAAUCUUGGAAUUUAUAAUAUCUUGAAGGUUAGUAGCUAUUAAAAUUAGAAAUUGUUUAUUUGCUAAAAAGUUAACUUAGUGUUUAAGCUUUUCAAUUGAAAAUUUUGAAACAAAUGUUGAGAACUGGUCCUCCUUAGAAUUUCAGCGGAUAAAUAUGAAAAUAGACUUGAAAAAAAAUUAUUUUACUGAAAUAAUAGUUAAAAAGAGAGGAGAAGUACAGUACUCAUGACUUGGGCUUGCUGUGUCCUUAUUUUAUCUGACUAUUGGUACUAAUAAUAUUUAUAAUUACUUAGUAAAAAUAUAAAUUUAAUACUUUGUUAACAUUUUAUCUACGUAUAAUAAUUAAACUGAAACUUGUAUUUAAAACAUUUGAGUUACGUAUACUCAUUUCAUGACAUAAAAGUGUAUAUUUAUACUAAUUUACCAUUAUCAAUAAAAUGCUUUGAGACAAAUAAUCUAAUUUAUAUUAUUAUAUUUAAAAUACUUGCUUUUAUUAUAUUUUGAAAAAAAAUUAUUUGCAAUUAUUUUAAACCUUUGGAUUCAAUUUUUCUUAGUUAUAAAUGUAAAAUAGUCAAAAACAUAUUUGUAUGAUCAUUUUUCAAUGUAUAAAUUUUCUUGGUUAGUAGGAAAAUUAGAAAUUGUUGAUUUACUCAUAAAUAAAUUUAGUCUUUAGCAUUUCAAUUUUGGAAAACUUGAACUAAUUGUUGAUAACUUCGAAUCGGUCGAGCUUCGCUUCGCUUCCUUGUCCCACGGGCCUAUUGAAAGUUCUAUUUGAAUUGAGCUUCUUUUCAGCGUCACCACAAUUUAUUCACAAAUGAGUUGAUUAGAGUCGAAGUUGCCUGAGAGUCUAAGACCAUGUUAGUAGGAUAAAUUUGAAAAGAAAUUAUUUUACUGAAUUAAUUUAUUUUAUCUUGCUGUAAUUGAAAUACUACUCUUUUUUUUUGGGCUAUCACUGGGGCUUGAUUUACUUUAAGAGUCGCAGCCACCGACUUAGGCUUUUUUACUUCUCACCACACAAUUUGAUCUUUUAAUUCGUUUUAACCACAUAAUCUAUCUAUCUCUUACUUAAAUCGAAUACAUGUUUUACCUACUAAUUUUUACAAAUAUUAAUCAAAUAUAUUUUAUUACAUUUCUCUCGUAACUGCUCUAAAUGUGCACUAUUAAUACUUAACCCUCCCUUUUAAUUUACCGUGCAAUCUAUCUACACUUAAAUCACAUAUAUAUUUUACCUAUAGUUUACCCAAAAAAAAAAUAUAAAAAUAAAAAUAAAAGAAUAUGUGCAGCAAUUUGUAUAUAACUAACAAAGCAUUGAUGGUGUGUAGCCUUUCAAUACUUCAUGAGUGGCUUUUCUUGUGUGUUAGUACUUGUAAUAAUUGUGUAGUGUAUAAAUGACCUUUUAUUACGAAAUUGCGUCUGUUUUUUGAAUUAUUUAUUAUUUGAAAAAUAAUCUAAAUAUAAUUCUAUUAAAAUACAGGGAAGAUACCACUUAAAAUCGGCAAUCUCCGAAAUCUGGAGAAGUUGGACAUUGGUGAUAAUAAAUUAGUUGGUAUUGCCCCAAUCGCAAUCUUCAAUGUGUCAACACUCAAAAUUCUUGGCCUUCAGGACAAUUCUCUCUCGGGAUGUCUUUCGUCCAUUGGAUACGCCCGACUUCCAAAUCUUGAAAUCCUUUCUUUAUGGGGUAAUAAUUUCAGUGGCACAAUUCCUCGUUUCAUCUUUAAUGCUUCUAAGCUCUCUAUACUAGAUUUGGAAGGUAACUCAUUCUCCGGUUUUAUUCCCAACACAUUUGGCAACUUAAGAAACCUUAGUUGGCUGGUUUUAUCUGAUAAUUAUUUGACAUCUUCAACUCAAGAAUUGAGCUUUCUAUCCUCGUUGUCAAAUUGCAAGUUUUUAAAAUAUUUUGACUUAUCAUAUAAUCCAUUAUAUAGAAUUCUUCCAAGGACGACUGUCGGUAAUCUUUCUCAUUCUUUGGAAGAAUUUAAAAUGUCCAAUUGUAACAUUAGUGGUGGCAUCCCUGAAGAGAUAAGCAACUUGACCAACUUGAGAACCAUUUAUUUAGGGGGCAAUAAAUUGAAUGGAUCAAUUCUGAUUACUCUCAGCAAAUUACAAAAGCUUCAAGAUUUGGGUCUUAAAGAUAACAAAUUAGAAGGAUCAAUCCCAUAUGAUAUUUGUAAUUUGGCUGAACUGUAUAGAUUGGAUUUAGAUGGGAAUAAGCUUUCUGGAUCAAUCCCUGCAUGCUUCAGUAAUCUGACUUCUCUGAGGAUAGUGUCGUUGGGUUCCAAUGAGUUAACUUCUAUUCCCUUAACUUUUUGGAACCUUAAGGAUAUCUUGAACCUCAACUUUUCAUCAAAUUUUUUGACUGGCUCACUCCCAUUAGAGAUUGGAAGUUUGAAGGUUUUGGUUGGAAUUGAUUUAUCGAGGAAUAAUUUUUCAGGCGUUAUCCCAACAGAAAUUGGAGGCCUAAAAAAUCUAGAAUAUCUCUUUUUAGGAUAUAAUAGAUUGCAAGGCUCGAUUCCUAAUUCUUUUGGUGAUUUGAUAAGUUUGAAAUUCUUGAAUUUGUCCAAUAAUAAUCUCUCUGGGGUUAUUCCUGCAUCUUUAGAGAAACUCUCAUAUCUUGAAGAUCUAAAUCUUUCUUUCAACCAGCUAGAAGGAAAAAUUCCUAGAGGAGGAUCUUUUGGAAAUUUCUCAGCUCAAUCAUUUGAGGGAAAUGAAUUAUUAUGUGGUUCACCCAAUUUACAAAUCCCGCCAUGCAAAACUAGCAUCCACCACAAAUCAUGGAAAAAAUCUAUUCUCUUAGGGAUUGUCUUGCCAUUGAGUACUACAUUUAUGAUAGUAGUCAUUUUGUUAAUCCUAAGAUAUCGACAAAGGGGAAAACGACCAUCGAAUGAUGCUAAUGGGCCACUAGUAGCAUCAAGGAGAAUGUUUUCAUACCUAGAACUAUGUCGAGCAACAGAUGGAUUCAGUGAAAACAAUCUAAUCGGCAGAGGAGGGUUUGGCUCUGUUUAUAAGGCAAGCCUUGGGGACGGGAUGGAGGUUGCAGUGAAGGUCUUCACUUCGCAAUGUGGAAGAGCAUUUAAGAGUUUCGAUGUUGAAUGUGAAAUCAUGAAAAGUAUUCGCCAUCGAAACCUUAUCAAAGUUAUUAGCAGUUGUUCAAAUGAAGAGUUUAAAGCAUUGGUAUUAGAAUACAUGCCUCAUGGAAGUUUGGAGAAGUACUUGUAUUCAAGUAACUGCAUUUUGGAUAUUUUUCAAAGAUUGAACAUAAUGAUAGAUGUUGCAUCAGCUUUAGAAUAUCUGCACUUUGGUUACUCAGCUCCAGUAAUUCAUUGUGACUUAAAGCCCAGCAAUGUGUUGUUAGACGAUAAUAUGGUUGCUCAUUUGAGUGAUUUUAGCAUCGCAAAAAUGUUAACUGGAGAAGAUCAAUCUAUGAUUCAAACACAAACACUUGCCACAAUAGGCUAUAUGGCACCAGGUUUGUUCAAUAUGAAUAUUUUAUAUUUCUUGUUAACUUCCUAACAAGUUAUUUAUGUUUCAUGAUCUUUAUUAGAUGAGGAAAUUCUUAUUAAUGAUAUAUCUUACUAUGUAAAUGUUGCAAUUCAUAGAGUAUGGAAGAGAAGGACGAGUAUCCGCAAAUGGAGAUGUUUAUAGCUUUGGGAUUAUGUUAAUGGAAACUUUUACUGGGAAGAAACCCACAGAUGAAAUUUUUAAUGGAGAAAUGACAUUAAAGCAUUGGGUUAAUGAUUGGCUACCCAUUUCCACUAUGGAAGUUGUUGAUGCUAAUUUGCUAAGUCAGGAGGACAUACAUUUUGUUGCAAAAGAGCAAUGUGUGUCAUUUGUCUUCAAUUUGGCUAUGGAGUGCACUAUGGAAUUUCCUAAGCAGAGAAUCAAUGCAAAAGAAAUUGUAACAAAACUCUUAAAAAUUAGAGACUCAUUACUUAGAAAUGUUGGAGGCAGAUGUGUAAGACAAUCAAAUUUAAAUUGAUUCUGGCCCUCCUUCAUUGCUUGCUAUCCUUUUCAGAGACUUGAACGGUUAUCCUUCAUACAACUUUUGUUGAUAUGUUUUGUUACUGCUCUUGCUUUCUUUAAUUUGCAUGCAUGUAUUUUUCGUUCUCCUUUAUGUUUUUGUUGGUUUGAAUGUAGUUUGUUUUUAGGGGUAAGGUUGAUUAUGCCCUCUCCUAAUUACACGUAUCCUUUUUAUGUUUAUUCAAUAAAGCUUCUCUAAUACUAUUGAGGUUCAUCAAAAGAAAAUUUUAAAUUAAUUUUCUUUUCUUUGACAGGUAAUGAAAUUCUAAUCUUCAUAGAGAAUAACUUCAAUAAUAGAGUGUAAGAGUAUUAGUAGUUAUGGUUGUUUUCUGAACCUGGAGUCAAGAGCAAUUUGACAGCAACAAACAAGUCUCUUGUAUUAUAGGCAAAAUUCUUUUCAUUAAUCUUAUUUGUCCACAUGUUCUCCUAUUUUCUCCAUUAAUCUUCGCUCAAGGUUUCAUGCUUCCUCUUUGAUAAAGGAAAAUAUUACUCGCGGAUAUUUCAAAUUUUCAAUUUGACACGAGAGACUGUUUUGCCAGCCAUUUGAUAAAAUGGAUAUGAGUAGAGUUUUCAAUCAUUACCUCCACCAAAAUACUUACAACGCCACUUUUAAUUUUUUUUUAAAAUACAUUCAGUUUAAUUUAUAAAAAAAUAAAUCCAUUUGUUAAAUUUAAUCUUUUUCUCAUAAAUUUCAACCUAAAAAUAUAUUCCUUAUCUAUUUUUAUUAUAAAAUUCAUGCAAGUCCUAAACUAUUAAAUUAUUUUCUUCUUAUUAUAUAGUUUAUAUCUCCAUAACUCUAAACUCCCAUAAUUUUUUAAAAAUAUAUUUUUUAAUUUAAAAUAUAAAUAUAAAAUAGAGAAUGGAGUGGGUUAAAAAAUUGUUAAAAGAAUAAUUCAUUUAAGUAUUUAACUGAGUUUUAAAUUAAAAAUAAGAAAUAAAUUAAUUUAUUUUUUAUUAGUUAAGUAAUUUUCAAUUGAAAAAGAGCAUGAGUAAUAUUAUUGAAAUAUGAUUAAGUUCGUAUGAAUUAAACAUUUUUGUAUAAAUACUAGAGAUAAUUAUAGAGAAAGUACAAUGAAGUGAAAAAACUUAAACAUAAAUACUCUAGUAUAAUUUUACACACGCAAAUUAUGAACCAAUAAUCUUUGGAGCAUCAUAAAAUUGUUUUAACACAAUUAAUUAGUUUGAAAAAUUGCCAAUAAUGUCUAAAGUGGGAUUUAAAGGAUUAUACUACAUAUAUAAGACAUGAUAUCAUUUAAGACGACUUACAGAUUAUGAGAAAUAUAUUUAUCUUACAAACAUUUAAUAUGUUAAUUAGAUUGAGUCUAUGCAAUAAAAUUUUCAAAUUAAAAAAUAAACCCUUUAUUUUCUUUUAAUCAUAAGCGUGAUCUUAAUUAUUAAAGUCAUUCAAUGUCCAUUACUUAUUAUUUUUUUAAUUACCUAAAUGACAUUGAAAACUCUACUCAAUAGUAAUUCAUUCAAAUGUUUUGUUUUAAAGUAAUCGGAAACUGCAAAUGAAACAAAUGCUUGAAAUCACAAACGGCCUAAAAUUAGAUUUUUAUUUUUUCAAUGUUGCAGUGACUUUGAUCUUGAUAUUGAAAAUUUAUUUGUAAUUUAUAUAAAGGCCUCAAUUUCAUUAUAAUUGGUUAGUAAGGCUACGUAGUGAGCAUGGAUAAAUUUUGGGAUUGGAUUAUAUUUUUGGAACUAAAAAAUUAAUUUAAUCAAAUGUUAUAUUUGGCUGUCAGGACUAGCAACUUAGUCUAAAAUUAUUGAAAUUGUUAAUCUUUUAUAUUAUAAUCUUUUCGUUCCCACUUUAAACAUCAUUGGUAACUUAAAUAAUUUUUUUAAAAUUAAAUAUAAAAAUUAAUUUAAUUAAAUAUAAAAAUCAUUUAAAUUAAAUAUUAACAUUAAUUUCAUAAUUUUUUACCUAGAAUUUUAUAUUAUAUUAAAUACUAAAAUUCUAUUCGAUAAUGUAUAAACAUUUAUUUAAUAAAUGUUUAGGUUUUUAGUAUGUUAUAUUAUUAUUUAAAUUAUUUUUUAUUUACAUAUGAACAUAAAUUAAUAUUUACUAAUUUAAAUUUAUUAUAAUUUGUUAAAUAAUAAAAGCUAAAUGAUUAUAUUGAAAAUCUAAAUAGUAUUAUAAUGUAUUAUAGUAUAAAUCUUACCCCCAAUGAGUUUAUUUUAUACACCUUUUAUUAUAUUAACACAUUUAUAAUGCAGUGCAAUGCAUCAAAAAAUUAUAACCAAAUAUGAGUUAGAAUGAAAAUAAUAUUUUAGUACAAUAUAAUACAAUGUAAUGUAAGUUGACAAAUAAAUAUUUAAUGGAAGCAAAAAUUGCAUAUGGUUUGUGGGUCUCUCAAAAGACAACAAAGAAACCAAUACGAUACAUUGAUUAUGUCCUCUUUAAUGGUGUCUUUACUAAAUGAGAAUUAGAAUGAGUUAGAAUUGGAAUGGACUUGAUUUGAAAUAAGGAAUUAUAAUCAAAAUAAGUUGUUUAUUUAAGUUGUAUGAAUCGGAAUCGGAAUAAAUUUUACUCAAAUUGAUGUGUUUAGUUUCUCUUAAAAUUAUAAUAGACUAUUACAUGUUACUAAAAAAUCAUUUGGUAAUUGUUGUCUCUAGUAUUAUUUGUAUAUGUUAUAUUGUUAAUAAUAAUAAGAAUAAAAAUAAUACUAAAAAUGAAAAUAAUAAUAAUAAUAAUAGAGACAAUAAUAAUAAAUUUAAUAAAUCAUUAUUAUUAUUAUUACUAGUAGUGAAGACCGCCCAAUGAAGAUUGGAUAGUGAAGCUGAAGACGAUGAAGAUCCCGGCAACCAAUUUCUGCUUCAAAGAUGAUGUGCCCAAAUGGAGACAACCAGUUAUGAUCAGCCAACUAGAUCCCAAUCUCGAUGUUGUGAUCUCACAUGACCACUGAUAAAGCAAUGUGUGAUGCUGGUGUUAUGAUUUCUUUUUUAUUUAUAUUUUUUAAUUUAUUGGGGUGUAUUUUCAAAAUUUAGUAAUUUUAAUAUGAGCAAAUUGUAUAGUUCAGUGAACAAGAGACUGAUUUCCAACCAUCCUAAAAAUUAAUCUCCCAUUCUCUCUCUCUAAUUUGAUGUGGAUUCCAGUAUUUCGAUUCCAAUUCUUACAUUUAUUUGUCAAGUAAAUGAUGUUAAUGAUUUCAAUUUUUAGUUCGAGAAGUAAACACAUCACAAUAUUUUUUUAGAUGCUUCCAUGGCAUAAUCUCAUUGAUCCAUUUUUCUUCACGCCUUAGAUUCAACUUCAAGAUUCAAGAUUCAAUUUGAAGCAAACACAACUACAAAACAAAUAUAAUUAGCGUUAAUAAGCCUGUGGCUAACUGGCUGUGGCCAUGCAAUUGUAACUCAUAGUGACCGAAUCAUAUCUUAUUAUCUUACGCCAGAAGUUAAACAAUGUUCUCAUUCCACGUGUCACUCUCUGACCAAUCCCCAAACUUUCUUUGUAUUUCCAAAGAAACCCUUACAAAGUCAAGAUAAUUACCUUCACUCUACUCGUAUAAAUACUAUCCUCGAUUCGACUGAUGACGACGUAUCCUUACAGUCUUUAUUUAAAGGGAAAAUUAUAAAAAUUUCUCCUCGUUACCUAAAAAUCUAGGUUUCUCAAGAAUCGCUAAACCUAGAUCCCAAUCCUUGAAAAUCUCAAUUUAACCUCCCUAGCGUUUCGAUUGUCGAGGAUUCGCUUCAAAAUUUAGUAUUUUUUAGUGGAUUUUGCUUGUCUCGUAUCCUUAAAUUGUUGUUCGGUUCUGAAAAUAAUUUGGAUUUUUAGGGAUUUUCAGAUUAUUGGGUUUUGUUGAGUACAAUUUCGUCUAGUUACGGUUUCAGUUUGAAGGGUUAAAUGCAAUUUCGAUUUUUUUUUAUAAAAUUAAAAUUAAAAUUCAUAAAACGAUUGGGCGUUUAAUAAUUAAUUGAUGGCUAGCGAUACUACAACGGCGGCCGUAGCUCCGGAAGAAGCAGAGGCGGUGGAGUAUGGUAGGGUUCCAGAUGACGGGAAACGCUCUCUUGUGAUGCUCAGAAGGGAAGCCACUGAUGAGGAGGAGGCGGGGGAUGAGAGAUAUUCAGAGCUUCCAAUCGCUCAAAGUGUGCAUAUUCCUGCGGGAGAAGCGGAGGCUGUGGAUGAGUAUGAGAGCGAUCCAGAUGAAGUGGCACACUCUCUCGUUCUGCGCAGAAGGGAAACAAGCGAUGAGGAGGAGGAGACAGAAUUUGAGCGUCGAAUUAAUUGAAGGGUCCAAAUUCAUUCUUACGAUGAAUCUGAUGGCCAAGGUGGUGCUUCAGCUGAGUAUGAUGAUGAUGAAGAAGGCGAAGAGGAACAUGACAGAAUUAGAAGAAGAUGAUGAAGAAGGGGAUGUUUAUGAGGAUGAAGAGGGGGCGGUUAAAGUCAAAGGAAUAGAGGGUAAUGAUGCAAGAGGAGUACGGAGGGGGCAGUGGAAGUGAGUAAAGGGAAUAAUGAUAAUGGCAAUGUUGCUAAAAAAAUGAUGCAGUGGAGGGAAUGGAGGAAGAGAAGAAGGAGAGUAGUGAGCCUUUUGCACAGCAGCUGGGCUUUUUAUAUGGGACAAUGUUGCAGGUCGACACAGGUAUUAUUUGGUUUGAGCGACAAUUAAUAAAUAACUGAUAGUGUACUUUCAUUAGGGCUUGUCAGUUAGUCUAGUCUCGUUUUUUGGUGCUGUAUAAUGAUUGUUUGCUGGAAUCUGUCUAGAAUGCUUUUGGCCUAGUAGGUUGAAAGGAGAGAAAGUUCUCAAAUAAACGUCCGUGCUUUGUGGAAUGUAAUUAAUAGGUACAAAGCAUACUAAAUUACUUGACAGAUAGAUGCCGAGCUAAUCAUGAGCUAUUAUAGCAUUAUCCGUGCUUUGUGUAUUUUUAUUAGGGCUUGUCUAUUUCAAAGUGUGCAGUGUAGAAUUUUUGGGUUAAGUUUGAGUGAUGAAGUGUUAGGUAGGUUUCUGUUUGGCGUAGUUAAGUGGUUAAUAUGAGCUAUCGAAGCAAAUACAGAGUAGGAUAUCUAGUUUUGGGUUUGGUCUUAGUUUGAAGAUGGUACUGAUUAUGCAGCUAGGUACGUAUUAGUGUUUGUGGAUUUCUAAAUGCUUUCUGUCAAAUGUGACUAGAUUAUUACUAGAAGUAUAUGGAUCUUACACUUAAUUGAUUACAUAUCCAUUUAUAAUGUUCAAAAUGAUAAUAUACUAUUACUUAAAAUUAUGCUUUCAAGACAUCAUUUUGAAAAUCCAUGGUUGUAAUGUGUCUCUAAAUUCAGUAAUACAAGUUCUGUCAAUUACUGUUGGAUGCAGUGACCUGAAUAGUUUAAUAUUCAUUUGCAGAAAAAAGUUGAGAAAGAAAACUAAAAAUUUCCGUGCGUUCUGCUGGAAAUUUAAUUAGCUUCAUUUGAGCAUUAAUUGCCGGCAUGAUCUCUUAGACUUCUCUUGCAUUGAAUGAAUGGAUGAGUGCUAAUCCAUGCAAAGACUUCCAUGCAUGCACAACGAAUGCUAAAUCUAAGGUAUGGUAAAAUGUCUAGCAAGCUUGGCCCAAAUUAUCAAGCUGGUUUGGUGGCUGCUAGAUUUGUUCACCCGGAUUUUGGACCAUUUUCCUUGACAAUGAGAAAAGCUCCAAGAUCUGUAAAUUGAAGACUCACUGAAAGAUCCAAGUUUCAGGUAACUCUUGUGUUGUGUGCUCGGAGUAUUCUCUAUUGUAUUUUUUUUGUUUGUUAUUUAUUUGACAUAUUACUAGCAGAGAUCUUGGGUGGGAACCAAAAAUUCCCAACAAUUGUCAAUUGUUUUAAACUCUAUUCUGAACAGAGCAUGAAGGGAUUCACUUAUCUAAUUAUUGCUUUUAUGCUUUAACUUCGCUUGAUUUCAUCUUUUCCGUCACCUUUAUUAAAGUUGUAUAUGUUGGAGUGUUAGGUUCAUCAUAAGGAUCAUAUUAUGGCUAAGGAAGGAGCACAGUUUAUCAGCUGCACUGAAGUGUAGCAGAGAAUUUGGAUUCAAGACUGAUGCAAGGCUGUUGCUGUGUAAUUGUAUGCCAUGCUUGCUAGUGCACUCUAAUAGAUUGCUGAGCUGGCACCGGAUGUUUUUAGCUAAUAUUAGUAAUUAGUCUAGAGUGUUCGAUUUAUUCUAUAAAUUGCUCAUUUGAGCUUAGAACCUUUAAAGUGUAUCACACGAUUCUGUUACUUCUAAUACAGAUUUUCUCUAUUCCUUUUUCUAUCACUUUCUCUUCCAUUUUCAUGAUCCCCAAACACCAUCAAUCCAUGAUUUCUAGAGUAUUAGCCGUCAAUCCAUGAUUUUCUUGUUAUUUUUUCUUUCACUUUCUCUUCCAUUUUCCCACUCCCCAAACACCACCAAUCCCUGAUUUUUUGAGUAUUAGCUGUCUAUUUCUACAAACAUAGAAGUGCUGUUUGUUUGUCCAAUUACUUUCGAGAAACAAAACUCUCUGUCCUGUGGUCUUUUCGUUUAUUGACUUGUGAGUAAAUAAGAUAUUGGGCCAAUGGACUCAACGUGACAAGUUCUUGAAUUGAAUGGCUCCUCUUUUCUCCAUAAAUCUUUGCUUAAUUUUUUUGCUCCCUCAACUUUUUGGGCCUUUUGCGUUAAAAUUCUUUUUUUGAUACAUUAUGCAAAAAUUAUGAUGAAAAUGAGUUACCUUAGAAGAUCAACAAAUUUUUAUUACAUGACAAGACAAUUAUACUUAGAUUACUCUUAUUUAGUUGAAUUAUAUGUAAUAAAAUUAGUUUAACAAAAUCUAAUCCGUAAAUAUUCCUUAUCACAUGAUUAACGUACUUAAAAAUCUUAACGGAUUGGUCGCUUGUUUUACAAUUCUUUUAUAUAUCUUUGAAACUUUCAGCUUCCUAACACAUCAUUUGUUAGAGUGCAAUUUAUGCACUAGUUUUGCAUUGUUUACUUCCCUUAAUAUCGAUGUUUUGCACUUAAUAAUAUUGAUUUACUUGUGUUUUACUUUUGUAUAAUGAUGGCAAUGGGGUGGGGUGGGGGUGGGGAGGCCUACCCCAUUCCCCACCCCGUUAGAAAUUUUUACCUCUAUUCCCCACCCCAUUCCCCAAUAAAUUUAGUGGGGUGGGGAUGGGGAAUCCCCAUGUGGGGAAUGCUUUCCCCAUUCCCACCCCAUUCCCCAUUUAUCUAUUUUAUAUUAUGUAUAAAUAUAUGAUUUCAGUAAGUUAAAAAUUAGAGACUUAAAAUAAAAUCAUCACCAUAUUAUAAAGUAUUUAAAUUCUUUUUAAAAAAAUAUCUAAAAGUUUGAACCAAUAUCUUAAAAUAAUAUUAAAAGUAAAAAAAUAUUUAAAGAGCGUAGCACUUUAAAAGAGAAAAGAAAAUAUAACAAUGUUUCAUAGUUGAAAAAUAUUAUAGGGUUUUUUUUCAUUCAUAUCCUGUUUAUAUUGCAUAAAAAUUAAAAAAAUAUUAAUUGACAUUAUAAUUCAUAAAAUAAAAAUUAUUAAAUAAGAAUUAAAAAUAUAUUUAUAUAUAAUGGGGAUUGGGGUGGGGGUGGGGGUGGGGUGGGGAGUGCAAAACCAAACCCCACCCCAUUAAGAAUUUGGGGAUUAUUUUUCCCCCACUCACCACCCCAUUCCCCAUAAAUUAUUCAAAAUUUUAUCCAUUUGGGGUGGGGCUCCAUGGGGCCCCAAACCCGUGGAGGAUUUUGCCAUCCCUACUUUUGUAGGUGCAAUUCUAUUGAUUGGUGAUAAAAUUGAGCUAUAAGAUUAUGUUUAAGGAUGAUUGUUCUCUUAGAGAAAUUAUGAGCGUCAGAAGAACUCUGUUGAUAAGGCGUGGGCGCGUACUGUCAACUGCGGACCUGCAGUUUUUAGUUUAACGUGUUUUGUAUUUUUGGUUAUUUUUGUAAUUACGAAUUUAAUAUUUCAGAUAUUAGGAUUUUAUUUUAAAUAGAAUUAUAAAAGAGAAGAGAGAGAGAGUAUUUAAGGGAGGAAUCUAUUGUGAAAAAGGGGGAUUUUUGGAUUGGAGAAAAAGAAAGAAACCCUAGAUCUAAUUUUUCUCUUCUCUCUAUGAGGAACUAAACCCAUUUUUCUGGUUGAAGGUUAAUGAAGCUUUGAUUCAUCACUACUGUGAGACCUUUCUUGUGCUUUAAUUGUUUUAUUGCUUUUUAGAUAUUUGUUUAUUCUCUGAAUUAUUUUCAUGAUUAUGUUUGUUAAUUAGGUAAUUGGCCACUAUUUAAUUAUCAACUUAAUCUAUUGUCAAUUAAAGGAUUCAUCGUAUGAAGAAUUUAAUGUUUGUGACAAAUAACAUAGCAGAGAGUUGUGUUGUGAGAAUAAAAAAUCUAAUUUAAAUGAAUCAUCAUAUGUGUUGAUUAGGAUUUGGGUCUCUCUGAUUUUUCAGGCUGUCAAUUGAUUAAAUCCUAUGAUCGUAUCUAGGGUUGUCUAUUGAUUAGGGAAAUAACCAACGGUCGUACCUUGGUUAUCGACUAGUUAAGGAGAGAUUGGCUAUUAGAGGGUCUCAGUAGCUAUAAUCGGUCUAUUCAUGAGUAAUAAUAAUCUAUAUUUGAAUCAAUGAUCAGUAGUCGAAUCAAGCUGAGUUAAUUCCUUCAACCAGAGCUUUCUCCAAUUUGAAUUACAACUUUAAUUUGCAUUCUUGUUAUUUUUAAUUUGAUUUUUAUUAUUGUCAACAAUUCCCCCAUUUUACGUUUUACGUUUCAAAAGGAUUUAAAUAAUUACCGAUCUCUGUGGACACGACCCUGCUCAAUCACUAUACACAAUUUAUUUAGAGUAGGAAUUUAUUUUUGUUGGCUUCGACACCCAUCAAAUUUUGGCGCCGUUGCCGGGGAUUGGUGUCAUUUAUUUAAUCAUUUUUACGUUUUACUUGGUGUAUGGUUCGUUCUUCUCGUACAGGUACACUUUCAUUUGAUCCUGAAAUUGAGAAGACAGCUCGCCAGCUGAGACAAUAGACUAAGCGAGCUAAGCAAGGAUCCUCGUCGCCUUUGCUUUUUGAAACAGAUACGGUGCCUAAUUUAGUUGAAUCAUCUAGCGAUUCGGAAGAACAAGUGAUGGAUAGACCUGCACCUGUAGAAAGAACUCUUAGAGAGUUAGUUGAACCAGACUUGAAUCAGCAACCACUCUGCAUUCAAUAUGUAGAUUUGGAGGUAAAUUUUGAAUUAAAGUCUGGUCUUAUUCAUUUAUUACCCAAGUUUCAUGGUUUUGCAGGUGAAGAUCCUCAUAAACAUCUUAAGGAGUUUCAUGUUGUGUGUUCAAGUAUGAGACCACAAGGCAUGACUGAAGAGCAGAUUAAGCUGCGUGCUUUUCCGUUCUCUGUAGAUGGGCUAGCUAAAGACUGGUUGUAUUACUUGCCUCCUGGAUCGAUUACAACAUGGAAUGAUUUGAAGAAGCAGUUCCUCGAGAAGUACUUUCCUGCUUCAAGAGCUGCUAACAUCAGAAAAGACAUUUGUGGGAUCAGACAACUUCCUGGGGAGACUUUGUAUGAGUAUUGGGAGCGAUUCAAAUAAUUGUGUGCCAACUGUCCUCAACAUCAGAUUUCUGAUCAACUUCUUAUUCAAUAUUUUUACGAAGGACUGUCAUUGAUGGAUAGGAGUAUGAUAGAUGCUGCUAGUGGAGGCGUGUUGGUGAACAAGACCCCUACUCAAGCAAGGGAGUUGAUAUCAAAUAUGGCUGCCAAUACACAACAAUUUGGCAACAAGCAAGAUUUCACUUCAAGAACGGUGAAUGAGGUAAAUAUUUCUUCUGUUGAACAACGUUUAGAUAAACUUACUUCUCUUGUGGAAAAGUUUGUUGUAGGUAAUGUGCAACAGGUGAAGACUUGUGGCAUUUGUUACAAUAUGGGUCAUUCAACCGAUAUGUGUCCUACACUUCAAGAAGAACCCGUUGAACAAGCCAAUGCAGUUGGAGGAUUUCCAGGUAUGCCUCAGAGGAGGUAUGAUCCUUAUGCACAAACAUACAAUCCGGGAUGGAAGGAUCAUCCUAACUUCAGCUAUGGAGUUAGGCCGUCAAGAUUCCCACAACAGUAUCCACCAAGACAACCAACACCUCCACAGUCAAACUCCAAGUCAGGUGUAUCUCUUGAAGAAAUUGUUAAAUCACUUGCGACUAACACUCAACAAUUUCAGCAGGCAACUACAGCAAGCAUUCAGAACUUGGAGAACCAAAUGAGUCAAUUGGCGACUACAGUGAGCCGUCUGGAGUCUCAAGUAUUAGAAAGAUUGCCUUCACAAUCUGAGGUGAAUCCAAAGCAAAACGUUAGUGCUGUCAUCCUUAGAAGUGGGAAGGAGUUGCAAGAGCCUAGUAAGAAAGUGACAAAGCAUGUAGAAGAUGAGCUUGAGAAGAAUGAAUUGAUGCCUAAAUCUCAAGAUGCGCAACCCACCAAAGCGAAACCCGUACCUAUUGUGAUACCUCCUCCUUUUCCAAGCCGGUUUACAAAAUCCAAGAAGGAGGAACAAGAGAAAGACAUCCUUGAGACAUUUCGCAAGGUUGAGGUAAAUAUUCCUUUAUUAGAUGCUAUAAAACAAAUACCUCGAUAUGCUAAAGUCCUUAAGGAACUGUGCACCUCCAAAAGAAAAUUAAGAGGAGAUGAAAAAGUUCAUAUGGGGGAGAAUGUUUCAGCAGUUCUCCAAAAGAAACUACCUCCUAAGUGCAAGGAUCCAGGUAUGUUUACUAUCCCUUGUAAAAUUGGUAGUGUUAGAGUUGAAAAGGCUAUGUUAGAUCCAGGAGCUUCUAUUAAUGUCAUGCCUCGUUCCAUUUAUUCAUCUUUGAAUUUUGGUCCAUUAAAAGAAACUGGCGUGAUAAUUCAACUAGCUGAUAGGUCUAAUGCAUAUCCUGAUGGGGUAUUAGAAGAUGUCUUAGUACAAGUUAAUGAGUUGGUUUUUCCUGCUGAUUUUUAUGUACUUGAUAUGGAAGAUGAUAACUCCUCUAAUUCUGUCCCAAUUUUGCUAGGAAGACCUUUUCUUAAGACUGUUAGGACUAAAAUGGAUGUACAUAAAGAGACUCUCACUAUGGAGUUUGAUGGAGAGGUUAUAGAAUUCAAUAUGAAUGAUACCAUGAAAUAUCCUAGUGAGGAACAUUCGGUAUUUUCUAUGGAUGUUAUUAACCCUAUAGCGCAGGAAAUUUUCUACAAGGAAAAGACGAAGACAUUUCAUGAUAGAAUGAUUUUGAGAAAGGAGUUCUCUGUUGGUCAAAAAGUUCUUCUUUUUCAUUCUAAGCUUAAACUUUUUCCGGGUAAAUUACGUUCUUGCUGGGUUGGACCUUUUAUUGUUACUAAUGUUUUUCCUCAUGGUGCAGUUGAGAUUCGGAGUCCGACCUCUGACAAAGUUUUUAAGGUUAAUGGUCAUCGCUUAAAACCUUUUUAUGAAGGUUUUUCGGUGAAUAUUGUGGAGGAUGUGGCUCUCGAGAGUCCCAAUUAUGGAGAUUGAUGCAUAAAUGUGUCUAGCCAAAGACAUAAAACAAAGGCGCUUUUUGGGAGGCAACCCAAUUGAUUUAUUUAUUUUGGUUUUUGUCAUAUCUUCUUUUAAUUUUGAUUCAGAUUUUUUUUUUUAAAUAAUGUGUUUGCUUAUUUUGGUCAGAAGAAAAUUUUUGAUAAGGCGUGCCCACAUCUUAACUAAUAAGUACUUCUAUGAUUUUUAAAAUAAAAUGGUUUUAAGGCAUGCCCACGUGCUUAUUAGAAAAGUACUUCUGAAAUUUUUAGUGCCUCAAGUGAUUCAUCACUAAAAAAAAGAAAAAAUUAAAUUAAAAAAAUUAUUUUAUUUUAUUUUUUUUUCUAUUUAUUUAUUUUAAAAAAACAAAAAAAGAGAUUUUCUUUUGUUCUUUCUUUUAUAUAUUUAUUUAUUAAAAAAAAUUUCAAAAAUCACUGUUCAAAAAAAAAAAAAAUUUUUUUUCACUGUUCACAAAAUCCCUAAUUUUCCAGAACUUGUUUUCUUCUCCAACCGCUUGCAGCACACCAGCAGCACCUGCGCGCGCAGCACCAGCAUCCCGUGUCUCGCAGCCCAGCAGCGCGCAACGCAGCGCAGCACCCGCAAAGCAAGCCUCAACAGCGUGCAGCGCGAACCAGCCCCAGCCCGAGCACGCAACGCAACAAGCGUCACCAGCGCGCGCACCAGCAAUCCCCCAGCGCGCAGCAACAGCCGCAGCACGCUGAUCCAGCGUCACCAGUUCGCAGCAUCAGUCCCAUCCACGCGCAACUGAACCAGCAGCUGUGUACUCGCAAGCUCCAGUCGAGCAGCAAUAGUCCGCAACCAGCCUACGACCUGCAUUCCAGCCACAUGAAUCGAAAUCCGUGACAAGAUGAAGCAGAAUUUGGCCGCAUACUUCAAGAGUGUGGGAUUUAUCCCACCAUUCCCGCCAAGCCCAUAGACGUUAUGUGGAUCAAAGCUCACAAUUCAGGGAAGUUUUUGCCUUUAAUCUUUUAUCCUUACGCUUUAAUUUUUAUGUGAGCUUUGAUUAUCUUACAUUGGGGACAAUGUAAGUUAUUGGUGUGGGGGAGGGAUUUUUGCAUUAUUGAUGUCUGGAAUUAUUAUUUUCACUCUACUUAUUUUUUUUUCACUCUACUCAUCCUUAAAUGAUUUUGGAGUUAGUAUGCUUCAUAUAUUAUUAAUUUUCUUUUCAUUUCUCUCUCACUACUCUUUUCCCAUCUAUCUCAAAUUAUUUACAUCUAUUUUUUUUUUCUUUCUAUCAUACUCUUUCAUCACUCACAUUUUUUUUUACCUUUCCUUUUAUAUCUCACUCAUACCUUCUUCUCAUUGUACACCACUAUUUAUGGUUAAUUCAUUUAAAGAGUGUACAUGAUUUGAUGGCAAAUUUACCAACUUUGUGAGGAUUUGAGCCUAUGAGCAACCACUUUGCUCUAAUUAUUUUUUGUUAUGUGAAUAUCAAUCCUAGUUUGUUUAUUCUAGAACUUGCUUUGAUAUGCAUGUUGAAGCCACAUUACGGGAUUUUAUGCAUUAAAAUGAUAAGGGCAAACCAUUUACCAUUUUUCUAUUCUCGCAUUUUCCUUUUUCUCUACUCGAAGACCUUUAUUUGCUACCUUUGUUUGAGCCUUAACAAUUACCCAUCCAUUUUUCUUCUUUUUUGAGCCUCAAUUUAAGGAUAUUUUUGGACUCAUUGUGUGGAUAUAUUUUGUUGCUUUUUCUACCUUGUAGUAAAGCUUCUCAAUUAGAUCAACAAGCAUUAUGCUUGAAUUAAAUUGUGCAAGGUUCGUUUCUUUUGUUUGAUUCAAAAACAAAAACAAAAACAAAAACAAAAACAAAAAAGAAAAAAAAAAGAAAAAUCACAAAAAAAAAGAGAAAAAAAAAGGAAAAAAAAUGUUUACAUUCUUGGUGACUUGAGUAGAAAUAAGCAUUUUGAUAUCAUAAGUUCAUUCAAUGAGUUCAUUCUUCUCGUUUUGAUCUCUUUUUCUUUCAUAAACCUUUCUUUUUCAUUUAACCCAUUUAACCCCAUUACAACCCUUUUAAGACCCUUAGAUUUUUGCAUUUUAUUCAUGUUUUGUGGAUUGAGAUGUGAUAUAUGAGCAAGCUUAUGGUAAUAGCAUUCUUUGAUUUGAUUUGAGUGGAUAAAUGACAUCCUAAACACUUUCAGUGCAUGGAGUGAAGUUAUUGAGAGGGCUAUUACAUCUUGUUGCACUUGAAUUUUGAAUGGAUCUUCUUGGUGGUUGAAUGUUCUUAUUCUAUCUUAUGAAAUUCUAUGCUUUAAAAUCCUUGUCUCUCGAACGUUGAACGACUUAAUUUCUUGAGGUAUGCUUGCUUAAAAUUGUUUUUGGAUGAGUUGAGAUGAGAAUUGAGUGGAGAUUUGGGAUUAAUCUUGAGUUAUAUGCUUGAGGACAAGCAUCAUCUUAACGUGACAAGUUCUUGAAUUGAAUGGCUCCUCUUUUCUCCAUAAAUCUUUGCUUAAUUUUUUUGCUCCCUCAACUUUUUGGGCCUUUUGCGUUAAAAUUCUUUUUUUGAUACAUUAUGCAAAAAUUAUGAUGAAAAUGAGUUACCUUAGAAGAUCAACAAAUUUUUAUUACAUGACAAGACAAUUAUACUUAGAUUACUCUUAUUUAGUUGAAUUAUAUGUAAUAAAAUUAGUUUAACAAAAUCUAAUCCGUAAAUAUUCCUUAUCACAUGAUUAACGUACUUAAAAAUCUUAACGGAUUGGUCGCUUGUUUUACAAUUCUUUUAUAUAUCUUUGAAACUUUCAGCUUCCUAACACAUCAUUUGUUAGAGUGCAAUUUAUGCACUAGUUUUGCAUUGUUUACUUCCCUUAAUAUCGAUGUUUUGCACUUAAUAAUAUUGAUUUACUUGUGUUUUACUUUUGUAUAAUGAUGGCAAUGGGGUGGGGUGGGGGUGGGGAGGCCUACCCCAUUCCCCACCCCGUUAGAAAUUUUUACCUCUAUUCCCCACCCCAUUCCCCAAUAAAUUUAGUGGGGUGGGGAUGGGGAAUCCCCAUGUGGGGAAUGCUUUCCCCAUUCCCACCCCAUUCCCCAUUUAUCUAUUUUAUAUUAUGUAUAAAUAUAUGAUUUCAGUAAGUUAAAAAUUAGAGACUUAAAAUAAAAUCAUCACCAUAUUAUAAAGUAUUUAAAUUCUUUUUAAAAAAAUAUCUAAAAGUUUGAACCAAUAUCUUAAAAUAAUAUUAAAAGUAAAAAAAUAUUUAAAGAGCGUAGCACUUUAAAAGAGAAAAGAAAAUAUAACAAUGUUUCAUAGUUGAAAAAUAUUAUAGGGUUUUUUUUCAUUCAUAUCCUGUUUAUAUUGCAUAAAAAUUAAAAAAAUAUUAAUUGACAUUAUAAUUCAUAAAAUAAAAAUUAUUAAAUAAGAAUUAAAAAUAUAUUUAUAUAUAAUGGGGAUUGGGGUGGGGGUGGGGGUGGGGUGGGGAGUGCAAAACCAAACCCCACCCCAUUAAGAAUUUGGGGAUUAUUUUUCCCCCACUCACCACCCCAUUCCCCAUAAAUUAUUCAAAAUUUUAUCCAUUUGGGGUGGGGCUCCAUGGGGCCCCAAACCCGUGGAGGAUUUUGCCAUCCCUACUUUUGUAGGUGCAAUUCUAUUGAUUGGUGAUAAAAUUGAGCUAUAAGAUUAUGUUUAAGGAUGAUUGUUCUCUUAGAGAAAUUAUGAGCGUCAGAAGAACUCUGUUGAUAAGGCGUGGGCGCGUACUGUCAACUGCGGACCUGCAGUUUUUAGUUUAACGUGUUUUGUAUUUUUGGUUAUUUUUGUAAUUACGAAUUUAAUAUUUCAGAUAUUAGGAUUUUAUUUUAAAUAGAAUUAUAAAAGAGAAGAGAGAGAGAGUAUUUAAGGGAGGAAUCUAUUGUGAAAAAGGGGGAUUUUUGGAUUGGAGAAAAAGAAAGAAACCCUAGAUCUAAUUUUUCUCUUCUCUCUAUGAGGAACUAAACCCAUUUUUCUGGUUGAAGGUUAAUGAAGCUUUGAUUCAUCACUACUGUGAGACCUUUCUUGUGCUUUAAUUGUUUUAUUGCUUUUUAGAUAUUUGUUUAUUCUCUGAAUUAUUUUCAUGAUUAUGUUUGUUAAUUAGGUAAUUGGCCACUAUUUAAUUAUCAACUUAAUCUAUUGUCAAUUAAAGGAUUCAUCGUAUGAAGAAUUUAAUGUUUGUGACAAAUAACAUAGCAGAGAGUUGUGUUGUGAGAAUAAAAAAUCUAAUUUAAAUGAAUCAUAGCAGAGAGUUGUGUUCAAGUAGUUCUUCUGCGAAAGCCAAAUUUUCCUGUUAUUUAUGUCUCGGUGAAUUUGCAUCCCUAAAAUCUUGUUUGCUGGUCCCAAGUCCUUCAUUUCAAACUCCCUAGCCAACUGUGCCUUUAAUUCUUGGAUUCGAUCUUUAUUGGGACCUGCUACCAACAUGUCAUCUGUUGAGUGUUAGAAAAUGCAUAUUUAUAAAGGAGAAAACCGUCAUUUUACAUUUCAAGUCUUAUUAACAACCCUUACUUUUAUGUAUUUAACCUUCUUGUGAUUUAAUUACAUGUGUUUUAUUUUAAUUAAGUAUUUUAUGUAUUUUAGGGGCAUUAUAGUCAUUUCACAAUAAAGGAGAGAUCAGACGGAAAAACGGACAUCACUUUUGAACUCAGGACGGUCGAAAAUCUUAGGAGGAGCAUAAAAGGAAAAAUGGCCCUAUUCAUAUGUACGGUACUAUUCACGUGUACGGUACUAACUACGUUACUGUUCACAACACUGUUCACAUAGACGAAUCGAUGACGUGGCAUUGACCGAUGAUGUGGCAUUGACUGAUGAGAUGUCACGAUCUUGUUGGGCUAAAAUUCUUAUGUACUGUUGAUGGUGACGUGGCAGCAUAUCAGUGGAUGAAAAAUCUCGCGUACGGUACAUGCAUCACACAGGAUUAUUUUCAACCAAACCGCGUUACUGUUCAUCCGAGUCAAACCGCGUUACUGUUCAUCCGAGUCAAACCGUGUUACUGUUCAUCCACGUGGUCAAACCGUGGACUGUUGACUGAUGACGUGGCGCAAUCCUGAGCGUCCAAACUGUUUUUAAUCCGAUGGCCAUGAUUUACUCCAUGUAUCUAUAAAAAGGGGGCCUCCCCCCCCUAAUUUGAUAGCUCUGAAUCUAUUUUUUGGAUCCAUUUUCUGUAAUUCCCUCUCCAUCUUGUAUUUUCUUUGUAUUUUAAUAAAUUUUCAUUUUGCCCCUAGUUCAAUUAUGAGGAGCUAAUUUCCUUUCAAGCUUGGGUUGAAGGUGAAGUCUCAACAUGUGUCAUGGGCUUUAUUUGGUAAAUUUAUUUCCUUUUCCCCUCUAGUUUUUGUGGAUGAUUUGACUUAUCGUCGACAAAUAAUACUGAUCUUGUCUAGAUACCGCCUUGGUUACACCGGCUCUCUAGUAUAAGGUUAUUAUUAUUUGGCACGAUAAGCCCUUAGCACCAUAUUGAUUAGAGCGUGGUUCAUGAGGUGUGGAUUCCCCCCUCAUGAUUUAAUUGGCAUUAAUAAGGAAUAUUUAGCCCAUGAUGCAUGUUGAUACGGAUCCAGAUACCCAAGUACGUCAUUUCAAUAGAAUUCUCUUCAAUUUAUUCUCGCUAUUUCAAUUCCAAUUUUAGAAUUUAUUCUCGCCAUUUUAAUUUAAGUUUUAGUAUAUUCCAAAUCAUUUCCACCACAAAUCCAAUCACCCAUUUACAGAAUUAAUUCUACACAUAAUUAAAAUCCACCUCCUCGUGGGAUCGACACUCGUCACCAUUGAUCUACACUACAAUAGAUUCGUGCGCUUGCGAGUACAUUAAAAUUUGCACAACAUCAUCCACAUACAACAGUAAAAUAAUGAAAUCAUUAUCUUCAAACCUCUUGUAAUAUGCACAAUGGUCUGAACUGAGUCUGUUGUAUCCAAGGCUCAUGAUGAAGGAAUCAAAUCUCUUAUACCAACACCUCGGCGCCUGUUUAAGACCAUAUAGAGAUUUGUUCAACCUGCAAACCAAGUUCUCCUUUCCUGUUUCUGCAAAACCUUCUGGUUGGAGCAUAUAUAUUUCUUCUUCAAGUUCUCCAUGAAGAAAUGCAGUUUUCACAUCUAACUGCUCUAGAUGUAAGUCAAAUGUAGCACACAUCGCCAAGACUACUCUGACUGUUGUGAGUCGAACCACCGGAGAAAAUAUCUCGUUGAAGUCAAUACCUUCUUUCUGAGUAUAUCCUUUCACCACCAAUCUCGCACGAUACCGCUUCACUUGGUCAUUGCCAUCACGCUUGAUCUUGUAGACCCAUUUGUUUCCAAUGGCUUUUCUUCCACGUGGUAGUGGUACAAGUUCCCAUGUCUUAUUCUUAUGUAGAGCUUCAAUUUCUUCCUGCAUUGUUGUUAUCCACAAAGCAAUAUUUGAGCUUUCUAAAGCUUUAUGGAAAGUUGAUGGCUCUCCAUCCUCCGUUAGAAGACAAUAUGCAACAUUAAUUUCUGUGACAUACUCCGAGUGCCACACCGGCGGUCGUCUCUCACGAGUUGACCGUCGAACUUCUGGAGCCUCAGACCCGACUGGUUCUUGUUCCUCGUGCUCUGGUGCUGCUUGAGAAGAAUCUGAAUCUUCUAGAUUAUUUUCCACAUAUACUGGCACGGUCUCUGACUUUUCUUUUGUAGUGCCAUCAUCCUCAUCUCUCAUUUGCAGUUGAUCUUCUACAAAGAUAACAUCUCUGCUGAUGACGAUCUUGUGGGCAGUGGGGUCCCACAGACGAUACCCCUUUACUCGAUCAGCAUACCCCAAGAAAAUACAUAUUCUAGAUUUUGGAUCCAGCUUUGUUCUUUCUUGGGCAUUGUACAUCACGUACACAGGACAUCCAAAUGCAUGUAGGUAGGAAUAAUCAGCUGGCUUUCCAGUCCAUAUCUCCAUCGCUGUCUUCAGCCCAAUAGCUGUAGAUGGCGAUCGAUUUACUAUAUAACAGGCAGUUUUGGCUGCUUCUGCCCAGAAUGAAUUGGGUAGACUAGCAGUCUUCAACAUAGCUCUUAUUCUUUCUAUAAGAGUUUUGUUCAUCCGCUCUGCUACUCCAUUUUGUUGAGGAGUGUAUGCUACCGUGAACUGCCUUUGAAUACCUUCUUGCUUACAGAAAGCAAGAAACUCACAGUCUGUAUACUCUCCACCAUUAUCCGUCCUCAAGCACUUGAUCUUUUUACCAGAUUCAAGUUCCACCUGCGCUUUGUAUUCUUUAAAUACUGGAAAUACAUCUGACUUUUUCUUAAUUGGAUACACCCAACAUCUUCUGGAAUAAUCAUCAAUGAAAGUCACCAUGUACUUUGCACCUCCCAUAGAUAUAUCCAGUGAUUCCCAAACAUCAGAAUGAAUCAAGUCUAAAAUGCAUUUACUUCUAGCAAUAGAUCUACUGAAUUUUAAUCUAUGCUGCUUACUUGUAACACAAUGCUCGCAAAAUGGUAAACUUACCGAUUUGAGCCCCGGAAGCAAUUUUCGCUCAGAGAGAAUCUUCAAACCUUGUUCUGACAUGUGGCCAAGUUUGAGAUGCCACAUCAUCGUUGAUUCUUCUCCAUUUGAUGCGACACAUGCAUCAGCCUCCUGUAGUGUUUCUCCUUUAAGCAUGAAUAAAUUAGCACCGAUCUUUUCUGCCUUCAUCAAUACAAGCGCACCUUUAACGAUCUUUAUAAUUCCAUUCUCCACAUGAGUUUUGUACCCAUGACUAUCCAUUUGUCCCAAAGACAAUAGAUUUUUCUUCAGGCCGUUGACAUGUCGUACUUCUCCAAUUGUGCGAAUUGUACCAUCAAACAUUUUUAUUUUGAUAGUACCAAUACCAGCGAUCUCUAAGGCAUGAUCAUUACCCAUAUAUACAGAUCCUCCUGAGAUAGGUUCAUAUGUGUGGAACCAUUCUCUCCGAGAGGUCAUGUGCCAGGUAGCUCCUGAGUCUAUAAGCCAGACAUCAGACAGUCAUUUUCUGCCUUCUGAAACAGUUGUUGCCUCGCUAUAGAGAAUUUCGCCAUCAUCUAAGGUACUUGCCACACACCCUUGAGCAUUUGAUGACUCAGGUUCUUUACCCUCUCUUCUCUUCUGGUUACUCCAACACUCUUUCUUGACGUGCCCUUUCUUGCCACAUUUGUAGUAUUUAACAUUCUUCUUACUUCUGGAUUUUGAUCUACCCUGAUUUUGACUCCCACUGGGGCCACGUUCCGUUAAUCUCCCUCUCGUCACCGAUAGCGCUUCUGCUUGCUGCGAACUUGCUUGUCUGUUUUCCUUAUUUUUUCGCCUGCUCUCCUCAUUUAAUACGGAGGCUGCAACAUCGUCGAAAACUAGACUCUCCACUGGAUUGUUGUUCGUCAGGUUGAUGAUGAGUUGAUCAUACGAAUCUGGUAGACUUUGAAGUAGAAGCUUUGCACGUUCAUUUUCCUCUAUAUUAUGACCCAACGUUGUGAGUUGUGAAAAUAGAGUCUUCAAUGUGUUGAUGUGGUCGGUCACCAUUGUAGAUUCCGCCAUUCGAAGAGUAUAGAGUUUUCUCUUCAAGAAGAUUUUGUUGUGUAGUGACUUGGCCUCAUACAAUUUUGUGAGAGUAUCCCAUAUUUCCUUUGCCGUAUUUUUCUCUGCCAUACUGGAUAAUACUCCAUCCGCAAGUGCCAAGUGUAGAUCAGAAAUGGCGUUGCCGUCUACCUCGUUCCACUUGUCAUCAGUUAUUUCCAUAGGCCUUUCUCCAAUUGCUGCCAAGCAAUUAUUUUUCCUCAAUACAGCUUUCAUCUUCAUUUUCCACAACGAAAAAUUAUUUCCGUUAAAUUUCUCAAUUUCAUACUUUGCCGCCAUUUUGUUGAUAAAUAUCGCACACAAGCUAGUGUACCACCUUGAAUAGUUGUGAGUAUGUGUGAGAAUGCACACCAGGAAAGUUCCCAGGAAAGACUGGAGGGGUCACAAUGGUCCUACUUAAAACCCAGACUCCUUAAGCUCUUAUCGCUUUUGUGACAGAACUUUCCUAGACAUGUACAAAACCACAAUUGUUUUACUCACACCACUAUUCCCUGCUUUGCAUCGCAAAAUUCUUGGAUCGCUCCCACCGCUUCUUGUGAAUAGUACCGUAUACGUGAACAGUACCGUAUACGUGAAUAGUACCCCUUACGUGAACAGUACCCGACUCCAAAAAAUACAACUAAUAGCUCUGAUACCACUGCUAGGAAAUUGGUGGGUGAAGCAGACACGUAGCUAAAAUAAAAUUGGAAGAAAAUAAAGAACAAGCACUCUAGAGGACACCAGAAAAUUACGUGGUUCGGCUUUUAGCCUACAUCCACGGGCGAAGACAGAAGAAAAUAUUUUACUAGUGAAAAGGAGUUACAAGUAUUGUAGUAUUUUAGCUCACUUCCCAAAACCCCAAUACACCUAAACUCUCUCAAUCACUGUAACAAGAGCUUAUAAAUGCAAGCUCUCUAAAUUCUCUCUAAAUACAAGAGAAAUCUUCUCAAAAUUGGAUGAUCAAAUGAGGGAAUGAGUCCCUCUAUUUAUAGCCAAAAUCUUGGCUACUAUUCACGUAUUUUUUUUAAUUAUUUAUUAUUGUUCAAAAUUCAAAAUUCAAAGUUUGAUAUUCAAACUUUGAAUAUCUAGAAUUUUGAAUUUGAUAUUCAAAGUUUGAAUAUCUAGAAGUUUGAUUUUGAUAUUCAAACUUUGAAUAUCAAGACACCCAAUCUUGACAUCGGAGGCUUCGUUUUAGAAGAGUGCAGAGCAGCUGCCUUGUCCAUUUGGCACGCCAACGACUUUCUAUUGACCAAUAAUUUUGAAAGCGAUAUUAGUAAUUUACCAUCUAAUAUUUUUUUUAUAUUAUCAUUUUACCAUAAAGUUUUUUAACAAUUAUUUUUUUCCUUAAUGUUUUAGUUUUUAUUAUAUUACUACCAAAAAUUGGCAAACGCACUCCUAGUGUAGGUUAUCCACAAAAUGGCUACCGAAUUGUCUUGUUUCUCAUUUUGUUUAAUUUUCAUAAAUUCGACUCACGAUUCAAAUGUGAGUGAAGAGUUUUUUUUUUGGGAAAAAAUCUGGUCUUCCAUUUACUAGAAUUAGGUAUGUGUGAUUUUAUUAUUUUUCUUUUGCUUUAUAUGUAUCUGGAAAAUUAUGAAUACUUUGCAGGAUUUAGAAGGAUUUGAAUGUUUGAACGCAUAUAGCUUUCUGUCCAUCAGCUAAUGCAUAUUCUGCAUUUUAUGAAUAUCAGAGCUGGUAGAUUGAAAAAUGGACCUUAUUACAUGUCAUAAGAUACUUUGCUCAAAGCUGCAAUUGGGCAACGUCGUGCUGUUCUUAUCCGCCAAUGCAAGCCAUUUACUAUUCUUUCUAAUGGAGCAAAAUAAGAUGAUUCUUACCUGCAUAGAGAAUUAGAAAAGAAAAGGAGGAUUACUGAUCCACAGAGCUGUCAUUUACUAGAAGCACAUAAAAUCUUACACUUAAUUCAUUAACCAUAUGUAUAUUCUAAUGAUACUUAAGUAUUACCUAAACUAGCCUUUCAAAAUUUCACUUCGAAAAAAUCCAAGGUUGUAAUGUGUCUAUUUGGUUGCUAAUACAAGUUCUCUCUAUUCCCAAUUUUUUAUGCUCUCACUUCGCUUGAUUCACCUUCUCCAUCUUUUAAAACAGUUGUAUAUGUCGGGGUAUCAAGUUCAUCACAAGGAUCAUAUUAUGGCCUAAGGAAGGAGCACAGUUUAUUGUCUGCACUCAAGCUUAGCAGAGUGUUUUGGGAUUCAAGAGUGUUAGUAGGCCGUUACAGAUGCCAUGCUGGCAAGCGUGCUAUGACUGAUUGCUAUUUGCACGCAAAAUUUGCCCAAAACAAAUAGAAUGAGAAUACUUGUACAAAAGGACAAGAUUAAUAAAGUGAAUAAAUUUUAUCUUUUAGUGAAUGCUUCUUGUCUUUUAGAAUUUUAGUGCAUUUUCGUGUGUAAUUUUAUGUGCAAAUAGCAUUACUCAUUAGUAAUUAGUCUCGAGUGUUCUAAUUUCUUCUAAUAAGUGGCUGAUUUGAGCUUAAGACUUGUAUUUUAAGUUUUUAUUACUUUCUAAUAAAGAUUUUCUCUGUUCUUUUUUACUUUCACUUUCUCUUCCAUUUUCCCGACUCCCAAACACCACCAAUCCUUGAUUUUCUAGAGUAUAGCUAUGCAGUUCUACAAACACGAAACUGCUGUUUGUCCAUUUACUUUCAAGAAACAACGUACUCUGUGGUUUAUUGACUUGUGACUUGUGACUUGUGACCGGGGCAAAUUAGUCACGGUCCGAUUGUCUCCUCUUCCACUGACUCUGUCAAUUCAUGACUUUGGCACACAGUAGACGCCAGCUGCCUGCUUCAUUUGACGUGCAAAAAACUUUCUUGAAUCGGGUUAAAAUCGAUUGAUUAUUUUGUUUGGUGAUGAUGAGUUAGUUGUCAAUUCAUGAGUUUGAUGCAGUGAAACGCUUAACGCUCUCUUGUGAUGCGCAGGAGAAAAGCCAGUGAUGAUGAAGAGGACGAAAAACAUUAUUUUGUUAUUUACAAUAAGGCUAUCAAUUAUAUAUUCCAAAAUAAUUGGGUUUGGAUGGUCAUUUUGUUUUCUAAAAUAUCCAAAUGGAAACAGAAUUUAUAAAGUGGGAAAAUCAAGAAAUUAAAUACUCUUCGUAUAGUGGAAGGAGAUUUGGUUGCCGUUAUGCUAAAUAAAAGAAAAAUAAAGUAAAAUUACAAUACUUUAAUAAUCUCAUUCCCAAUCAUACCGGAAAUAAAAAUUUUCUGUAUAGUUAUGAAAUAAUUAUUGAUUUUACUUUAGUGAUUUUUUUUUUAAAGUAAGGUAAGCAUCUUUAUUUUCUUUGCAAACGAGCCUUCUUUCUUUUGCUUUGGCCUUUACUCUAGACUGUAUUUCAUGGUCAUACUCAAUCUCAAUAUUUUGUAGGUUUGUGGCUGUUUUAUGAGUUACGAUUUUUUAUAGGGUUGCAUGUAGAUGAUACAUUUAUUUUUUUCUUUUUUCUUUUCUUCUUCGGUGAAGAUACUAAAAUUUAGUUUUUGUUAUCAUGUGAAAUGAAAAUAGUCCUCGUUUCAAGGAUUAAUGGGCCACUAAUUUCGUCUUCUUAGAAGAAAAUUUUUUGCAGCGAGGUAAUUCGAAGCUCGAAGAUUUCUAUAUUACAUAGCCAAACCUAAGUGAUAAGAAUUUCCAUAUGAGAUAUAAUUUGGAAAAAAAAAAAAAACCAAUUCAAGUUAAAGAUAAAAAAAUCUGUGUUCCUUAAAAAACAUAAUUCAAGCCACACAAUUUUUCUUGUUUCAUUUGAGAAAAAGAAAAUUGUGUUCCUCACAAAAACACUUUAACAUUUGUUGUCUCAUAGAGGGAAAUGUCCUUCAAAACAAUUGAAACGUUGUCCACAAACAUUGUCAUGUAGUUAAGAAAAACUUAAUUUUGAGAAGUGCAAGAGAUUGGUGGGACUCAUUUGAUUCAAGAAAAAUAAUCAGUCUCAUUUGAUACGCAAAGAGCUUUUCUACUCAUGCAGCCAAUAUUUUGAUGAAUGUGACAUUACUGGUUUGUAUAAUUUUUUGGAUAUUAUCUCAAUUUUACUUCUGUAGGUUUGUGGUUUGUAUAUUAUCUCAAUUUUUAAAAAAAUGUAAUGCAAUUAUCAAACACGACUAAUCCCAACAAUUUAUCCAAAAAUUUUUAUUUCAAGAAAUGUAGCAUUUAUGAUAGAAUGGCUAAUGUUUUCAAUCGACUUUCUGGAUAAAUGAUAAUUUUUUGAUAGAAAUGUUACUUAAGUAUUACAGGAAGAAAAUUAUAGAAUAAUUUUUUGAAUUAAUUGUAUUACUUUACGAUAACACUAUCACAAUCUAAUUUAAAAAAAAAAAGUUAUUCUUUAAAUUUCGCAUUACUAUUCCUACUUUUCUUGUUAUAGUACUUAAUGGCACUGGUGAAGCCUCAGAAUUAUCAAACAAAAGGCAAAAAUAGUUCAAUAUCUGCUGUCCCACUAAGCAUUGUUAAAUUCAUAUAAUAAAAUGAGUACUUAUAUUAAAAAAAAACAAUCGGUCUCAUUGCGUGCUCUUUCAUUGACAUAGGCAAUUUGCUGUCAACUUGUGGCACUUUUAUGAAUUUUCAAGAUUGGUGAAUUUUUCAAAUUUAAAAGAAAAAAAUACAGAAAUGUAAUUUCAAUUUAUCCAAAAAUUUGAGUUUCAAGGAAUACAGCAUUUAUUAUAUGUCAUGUUAAUAUAGAGAAGAAAAAUUAAAAAACUUCUUUUUGGAUGAAUAAAAGUAUUUUCUGAUAAAUAUUUCACAAUCAAAUUUAAAAAAAUUUCACUCCUCUUGGUACAUAAUUUAAGAAUUUAACAUUAUAAAUUAAUCUUUUUAAUCAAAGUAAUAAUCUCUCCUCGGUCUGCAAAUGCUAAAAUUUAAUAUUAUAUCCUUUGACAAUAUUUGCUCCAAAUUCACGAAAAUAAAAUUUCUAACAGAAUUAUGACAUUCGUUACUAGAAAUUUGUAUAAAAGUUGUGAGAAUAGAAGGUUUGAUCAUAGGAAAUUAAUAUAUCCCUAUCCGAUGCAAAAAUGAUUGUAAAGAAAAACAAAAGUCAUGGGCUUAUUUUGAAAAAAGAAAAAAUUACAUUCCUUUUUCCCGUUAUUAAAGUAAUUCUAAAAUCACUAGGCACACAAAGGAUAGGCUUUAGUUGACUGAGGUCAGCCUUAACGCAUGCCGGUCUUUUUCUCCUCUACAUUCUUAGAAAUUUUGGUUUCACUAUAAAUACUCGGUAUAUAGCAAACUUAUAAGUGUUCUUGCAUUACCAAUCCAACUAAGCACACGCUUACAAUAUAAAUACUCUCAUCUCAUGGAAAGACUUCAUUCUCUCAGGAUGAUGAGCAGAUUUCUCUUACUCCAUUGUUUGAUUCUUAUUUCCUUACUUAUCGCAGCUGCAACAGCCAACACAAGUACUAUUACCGCAGACCAAGAUGCUCUGCUUUCCCUGAAAGCUCACAUAACUCAUGAUCCAACCAAUUUCUUGGCCAAAAAUUGGAACACGAGUAUCUCUUUCUGUAAUUGGACAGGCGUCACUUGUGAUGUCCAUAGCCAUAGAGUCACAAUCUUGAAUAUUUCUGGCUUAAAUCUCACCGGCACCAUUCCUUCUCAGCUUGGGAAUCUUUCUUCUCUGCAAUCACUCAAAUCUCAGUUUUAACCAACUUUCUGGUUCCAUUCCCUCCGCUAUCUUCACCACGUAUACACUGACAUAUGUUAGUCUCUGUCAAAAUCAGCUCUCUGGGAAAAUUCCUGCAAAUAUUUGUAGCAAUCUUCCUUUCCUUGAAUUUCUUUCUUUGUCCAAAAACAUGUUGUAUGGCGGAAUACCGUCCACUCUAUCAAAUUGCACAUAUUUAAGAAUCUUAAGUUUGGCAUACAAUGAUUUCUCAGGAGCCGUACCUAGAGAAAUCGGGAACUUGACCAAACUUAAGGAAUUAUAUCUUGGCGUUAAUAGACUUCAAGGUGCGCAUGAUCACGAAGUUUAAUUAUAAGAAUUGUUCCCUGAGUUGUAGUAUGAAUAACGUUCCAUAAUACACUUUACACACGUUGAUUAAUUUGCAGGAGAAACUCCUCGAGAGUUUAGCAAUCUUGCCGACUUGGAGCAUAUGUCGUUGGCAGGCAACAAUCUCCAAGGCAUGAUUUUAAAGUUUUUGCAAUUUUAUUUUAGCGAUGCUUGCUUCUGUAUUCAUUCGCUUGUUCUUUGAUUAUGCGAUGAUUUAUUGUUUUUCUUUCAGAUAGAGAUAAAGCUCCAUGUCUCCCCUCACUCAUUUCAUUCUUUAAUUUAUGCAGAUAAAAAUUUAAAAAAAAUGUUUUGUAAUUUUCUUUUGUCAUAUUGCCACUUCCGUUUUGAAGCUCCCAAUCAAGUCGAUGAAAAUGAAUGAUGUUUCAUUCUUAUUCUUGUCAGCCUAAUUCUUAUAUAAUUGAAGAGUAAAUUGUUAUUAUGAUCAAAUUGUUUGCGCAUAUAUAAAUGUACUUUAUUUACAGGAGGUAUUCAACGGGAAUUGGGGAAUCUUACAAAAUUGGAGGGGUUACAGCUGUUCCAGAAUAACUUGAUCGGUAACUUUCUUUACAAUAUAUAUACGAGACAUCUUCCGCUUUUUAUUAGAAAUUAUAAAUUCAAGUUAAAUCUUAAUUAAAAGAUUUCAAGUCUCUCAUUAUAAAUUCUCAUAUGAUGAUGUGUCGUUACCACUAUCUAACAUUAUUCCCUUUUUUAUUAGAAAUUAGUUUGUGUUAAUUCAAAAUUCUGUAGCAUUUAAAAAAAUUAAAAACACGUGGAAUAAAUUGUUAAUCUUUCUUCUUUACUGAAUUUGGAUUUCUCAAAAAUAAUCAUGACAAGUAUGCUUCACUAAUGAUAAACAUGUGUGACAACUUCAUAAAAUAUUUUAUAUGGAAUCACUAAUUAUCUCUAAAGAUGCCAUCAGUGAUACAUAAUUUCUUAACAAGCACCGUACCAAAAGAAAUCAACAAUUUUAUUAAUCUUAAAGAGUUACAUCUUCACUGCAAUUAUGACAUAAAUUUUUAGUCAUCAAUCACAUAAUAUUUUAUCUUAACGGAUGAUGUUCAGUCUUGGAAUUUAUAAUAUCAUGAAGGUUAGUAGCAUUGAAAAUAAGAAAUUGUUCAUGUGCUAAAAAGUCAACUUAGUAUUUAAGUUUUUCACUUGAAAUUUUUGAAAAAAGUGUUGAGAACUAGCCCUCCUUAGUAUUUCAGCGGAUAAAUAUGAAAAAUGGGCUAGAAGAAAUUAUUUUAUUGUAAUAAGAGUUAGAAAGAGAGGAGAAGUACAGUACUCAUGACUUAGGCUUGCUGUGUGUGUGCUUAUUCUACUUGGGCUUUGGGCUUGAUUACACGGUCGAACGCUUACACCUGUUAAAAUAAUGGGCUUUUGCUUUCGCCGCACAUCUGAUAAUUUCCUAACCUUCCAAUUAGGUUAUAGCAAUUUAAAUAUAAAUAAUAAAGCAUGCUAAAGCUAGCAUUGGUGUAUGGCUGAGUGGUGUAAAAAGUGGAUCUGUUUUCAUGUAUUAUUUAUUCUCUAAAACAUAUUUGAAUACAAUUCUUUCAAAAUACCGAGGAAAUAGCACAUGAAAUCAGAAAUAUUUUAUUGUGAUGAGAAUUCAUAUACUCAUUGUAGUAGAACAUAUAAAAUAGACUAUAAAUUUAUUAUUCUUCGAAACAAACUUGAUUAUAAUUCCUUCAAAAUUAAGUUUGUCAUUAAAUGAUUUCUCAGGAGCCAUACCAAAAGAAAUCGGGAAUUUGACCAAACUCAAGGAAUUAUCUCUUGGCGGUAACAGGCUCCAAGGUGCGCAUGAUCACAAAGUUUAAUUAUGAAAAUUGUUGCAUAAGUUAUAUGGAUAUCCUUGAUAACCGCAGCAAGCAAACAAAAUCAAAUAAAAGCUAACUGAGACUCGAAUAUCCUAAACCCUGAAAAGGAAUGGUAAUGGUAUAAUAUGGAUUUUGAAGGCAUAUUUCACCGGACUCAACAUUUAUGGUUAAUUUACAACUCUUUGUUGGAAAGUCUGAGAAAUUGCUUUAUAUUAGGGGUGGGGAAAAUAAUGCUGGGCCACGAAUUUCAGGCAGAAUCCAGAUUGGGCCCAAUUAGACUUAUAGCUCAGCUCUGUGUAGAUAUCUGGGCCUUUACAAAUAAUUAAUGGGCCAAUUAAUAAUAAUAAAUAAAUUGAGAAGGGUGUGAGUGAAAUUAGAUAUGAAUGAAUCUGCCAAUGUAUGUACACAUUUUUAGCAAAAGAAAUCGGGAAUUUGACCAAACUCAAGGAAUUAUCUCUUGACCGUAACAGGCUCCAAGGUGCGCAUGAUCACGGAGUUUAAUUAUGAAAAUUGUUGCAUAAGUUGUAGUAUGAAUAAUGUUCCAUAAUACAGUUUAGACACGUUGAUUAAUUUGCAGGCGAAAUUCCUCGAGAGUUUGGCAAUCUUGCCGACUUGGAGCAGAUGUCGUUAUGGGAAAACAAUCUCCGAGGUAUGAUUCUAAACUUUUUGCGUUUUUUAUUAGAAAUUAAUUUGUAUUAACUAAAAAUUUUGUAGCAUCUGAAAAAAUUAAAAACACAUGGAAUAAAUCGUCAAUCUUCUAAUUUGGAUUUCUUAAAAAUUAUCUUGACAAGUAUGCUUCACUAAUGAUAUGCAUGUGUGACAACUUCAUAAAAUAUUUUACAUGGAAUCACCAAUUACCUUUAAAUAAUUGGAGAUGCCAUCAGUGAUACAUAAUUUCUUAACAAGCACCUUAUCAAAAGAAAUCAACAAUUUUAUUAAUCUUAAAAAGUUACAUCUUUACUGCAAUUAUGAAAUAAAUUUUUAGUCAUCAAUCGCAUAAUAUUUUAUCUUAACGGAUGAUGUUCAGUCUUGGAAUUUAUAAUACCUUGAAGGUUAGUAGCUUUGAAAAUAAGAAAUUGUUCAUUUGCUAAAAAGUUAACUUAGUAUUUAAGUUUUUCAAUUGAAAAUUUUGAAAAAAGUCUUGAGAACUAGCCCUCCUUAGUAUUUCAGCGGAUAAAUAAGAAAAACAGGCUUGAAGAAAUUAUUGUUGUGUGUGCUUAUUCUACUUGGGCUUUGGGCUUGAUUACACGGUUGAGCACUUACACCUGUUAUAAUAAUAGGCUUUUACUUUCACCACACGUUUGAUAAUUUCUUAACCUUCCCAAUUAGGUUAUAGCAAUUUAUAUAUAAAAAACGAAAGCAUACUAAAGCUAGCAAUUUUUUGACUGGUAUCAUUCCUUCAUCUAUUUCACGUCUUUCAUUAUAAAUUCUCAUAGGAUGAUAUCUCAUUUUUUAUUAGAAAUUAAUCUGUGUUUAUGCAAAAAAAUUUAGCAUCUAAAAAAAGUAUAAAAACACGUGGAAUAAAUCGAAAAUCUUUCUUCAUUACUGAAUUUGGAUUUCUCAAAAAUUAUCAUGACAGCUAUGUUAGUGUCUUACUAAUGAUAUGCAUGUGUGACAACUUCAUAAAAUAUUUUAUAUGGAAAAUAUUAAAAAUAGACUUGAAAAAAAUUAUUUUACUGAAAUAAUAGUUAAAAAGAGAGGAGAAGUAUUACCUAUUACACAUGGUCGAACACUUACACCUGUUAUAAUAAUAAUAGCAUCCGCCGGUCGACUAUGAGUGAUCAAAUUGUUUGCACAUGUGUAAUUUGCAGGAGCAAUUCCACGGGAGUUGGGAAAUCUUACAGGAUUGGGGUUCUUAGAGCUGGGUGAAAAUUUUUUAACCGGUAUCACUCCUUCAUCUCUCUCCAAAUUGCUUUUCUCUAUUAAAUUUGGAACUCUCAUUUAAUAACUUAACAGGUAACUUCCCUUACAACAUGUUUGUGUGACAUGUUUUGCUUCUCAAUUAAAAUAUUUCACUUCUCUCAUUAUAAAUUCUCAUAGGAGGAUGUGUUGUUAUUACUAUUUAACAUUAUCUCGUUUUUUAUUAGAAAUUAAUCUUUGUUUAUGCAAAAAAAUUUAGCAUCUAAAAAAAGUAUACAAACACGUGGAAUAAAUCGAAAAUCUUUCUUCGUUACUGAAUUUGAAUUUCUCAAAAAUUAUCAUGACAGCUAUGUUAGUGUCUUACUAAUGAUAUGCAUGUGUGACAGCUUCAUAAAUUAUUUUACAUGGAAAAUAUGAAAAAUAGACUUGAAAAAAAAUUAUUUUACUGAAAUAAUAGUUAAAAAGGGAGGAGAAGUACACUACUCAUGACUUAGGCUUGCUGUGUACUUAUUUUACUUGGGAUUCGAGCUUGAUUACACAUGGUCGAACACUUACAUCCCACGACAUAGGCUUUUAGGGACGAGUGGCGUCAAAUGUGUAUAUGCUUUUAUGUAUUAUUAUUCUUUGAAACAAAUCUGAUUAUAAUUCUUUUAAAAUACAGAUUAAAUGGCACGUGAAAUCGGAAAAUAUUUUACUGCAAUAAGAAUUCAUAUAUUCAUUGUACUAGCACAUAUAAAAUAAACUAUAAAUUUAGUUCCAAAAUACAUUCUUAUCUUCAUAUAAAUUUUACAUUAUUAAUUUAAAUUAAUAUUAAAAUAUGUUGUUUCUUUCACUAUGUUAUUUUAUUUACACAAUGAUGUGACUAUUGGAAUUAAUAAUACUUUUAAUUAUUUUGUAAAAAUAUAAAUUUAAUACUUUGUUAACAUUUUAACUACAUAUAAUAAUUAAACUGAAACUUGUAUUUAAAAAAUUCGAGUUACGCAUAUUCAUUUCAUGACAUAAAAGUGUAUAUUUAUGCUAAUUUACCAUUAUCAACAAAAAGAUUUGAGACAAAUAAUCUAAUUUAUAUUUUUAUAUUUAAAAUCUUGCAUUUAUUAUAUUUUGAAAAAAAUUUAUUUGCAAUUAUUUUAAACGGUUGGAUUCAAAUUUUCAUAGUUACUAAAGUCAAAGGGUAUAAAUGUAUAAUAGUCAAAAACAUAUUUGUAUGAUCAUUUUUCAAUGUAUAAAUUUUCUUAGUUAGUAGGAAAAUUAGAAAUUGUUGAUUUACUCAUAAAUAAAUUUAAUGUUUAGCAUUUCAAUUUUGGAAAACUUGAACUAAAUGUUGAUAACUUCGAAUCGGUCGAGCCGAGUUUCUCUUCCUUGACCCACGGACCCAUUGAAAGUUCUAUUCGAAUUGAGUUUCCUGGUGCUUAUAAAAAGCAUUUCUUUUCCUUGUUGCAGUAAUUUAUUCACAAAUGAGUUGAUUAGCAUCGAAGUUACCUGAGAGUCUGAGACCAUGCUAGUAGGAGAAAUUUGAUAAGAAAUUAUUUUACUGAAUUAAUUUAUUUUAUCUUGUUGCAACUGGAAUACUACUUUUUUUUUUGGGCCAUCACUUGGGCUUGAUUUACUUUAAUAGUAGCAUCCACCGACUUAGGCGUUUUUUACUUCUCACCACACAAUUUGAUCUUUUAAUUAGUUUUAACCACAUAAUCUAUCUAUUUCUCACCUAUUGCUUACUUAAAUCGCAUACAUAUUUUACCUACUAAUUUUUAUAAAUAUUAGUCAAAUAUAUUUUAUUACGUUUUUCUCGUAACUGCUCCAAAUGUGUACUAUUAAUACUUAACCCUCCCUUUUAAUUUACUGUGCAAUCUAUCUAUCACUUAAGUCAUAUAUAUUUGACCUAUAUUUUACCCCAAAAAAUAUAAAAAUAAAAGAAAAAGAAUGUGUAGCAAUUUGCAUAUAACUAACAAAGCAUUGAUGGUGUGUAGCCUUUCAAUACUUCACGACUGGCUUUUCUUGUGUGUUAGUACUUGUAAUAAUUGUGUAGUGUAUAAAUGGCAUUUUAUUAUUAAAGUGCGUCCAUUUUUAGAUAUUACUUAUUAUUUGAAAAAUAAUCUGAAUAUAAUUCUUUUAAAAAACAGGGGAGAUACCACUUGAAAUUGGUAAUCUCCAAAAUCUGGAGGAGUUGGACCUUCGUCAAAACAAAUUAGUUGGUAUUGUCCCCGCUGCAAUCUUUAAUGUGUCCACGCUCAAAUUACUUCAGCUUCAGAAUAAUUCUCUCUUGGGAUGUCUUUCGUCCAUCGCAGACGUCCGACUACCAAAUCUUGAAGAGCUUUCUUUAUGGGGUAAUAAUUUCAAUGGCACAAUUCCUCGUUUCAUCUUUAAUGCUUCUAAGCUCUCUAUACUAGAAUUGGUAGGCAACUCAUUCUCCGGUUUUAUUCCCAACACAUUUGGCAACUUAAGAAACCUUGAGCGGCUUAAUUUACAAGAUAAUUAUUUGACAUCUUCAACUCCAGAAUUGAGCUUUCUAUCCUCGUUGUCAAAUUGCAAGUCUUUAACACUUAUUGCCUUAUCAAAUAAUCCACUAGAUGGCAAUCUUCGUAAGACGUCUGUCGGUAAUCUUUCUCAUUCUUUGGAAAUCUUUCUCAUGUACAAUUGUAACAUUAGUGGCGGAAUCUCUGAAGAGAUUAGCAACUUGACCAACUUGACAACCAUUAAUUUAGGAGGCAAUAAAUUGAAUGGAUCAAUUCCGAUUGCCCUUGGCAAAUUACAAAAGCUACAAUAUUUGGGUCUUGAAGAUAACAAAUUAGAAGGAUCAAUCCCAGAUGAUAUUUGUCGUUUGGAUGAACUGUAUGAAUUGGAGUUGGGUGGCAAUAAGCUUUCAGGAUCAAUCCCUGCAUGCUUCGGUAAUCUGAUUGCUCUGAGGAUACUGUCGUUGGGUUCCAAUGAGUUAACUUCUAUUCCCUUAACUUUUUGGAACCUUAAGGAUAUCUUGCAACUCAACAUUUCAUCAAAUUAUUUUACUGGUCCACUCCCAUUAGAGAUUGGAAAUUUGAAGGUUUUAAUUGGAAUUGAUUUUUCGAUGAAUAAUUUUUCAGGCGUUAUCCCAACAGAAAUUGGAGGCCUAAAAAAUCUAGAAUAUCUCUUCUUAGGAUAUAAUAGAUUGCGAGGAUCGAUUCCUGAUUCAUUUGGGGAUUUGAUAAGUUUGAAAUUCUUGAAUUUGUCCAAUAAUAAUCUCUUUGGGGCUAUUCCUGCAUCUUUAGAGAAACUCUCAUAUCUUGAAGAUCUAAAUCUUUCUUUCAACAAGCUAGAAGGAGAAAUUCCUAGGGGAGGAUCUUUUGGAAACUUCUCAGCUGAAUCAUUUGAGGGAAAUGAAUUAUUAUGUGGUUCACCCAAUUUACAAGUCCCGCCAUGCAAAACUAGGAUCCACCACACAUCAUGGAAAAAAUCUCUUCUCCUGGGGAUUGUCUUGCCAUUGAGUACUACAUUAAUGAUAGUAGUCAUUUCGUUGAUCCUAAGAUAUCGACAGAGAGGAAAACAACCAUCGAAUGAUGCUAAUAUGCCACUAGUAGCAACGUGGAGAACAUUUUCAUACCUAGAACUUUGUCAAGCAACAGACGAAUUCAGUGAAAACAAUCUAAUCGGCAGAGGAGGUUUUGGCUCUGUUUAUAAGGCAAGACUUGGGGACGGGAUGGAGGUUGCAGUGAAAGUUUUCAAUUUGCAAUGUGGAAGAGCGUUCAAGAGUUUCGAUGUUGAAUGUGAAAUUAUGAAAAGUAUUCGCCAUCGAAACCUUAUCAAAGUUAUUAGCAGUUGUUCAAAUGAAGAGUUUAAAGCGUUGGUAUUAGAAUACAUGCCUCAUGGAAGUUUGGAGAAGUAUCUGUAUUCAAGUAAUUGCAUUUUGGAUAUUUUUCAAAGAUUGAACAUAAUGAUAGAUGUUGCAUCAGCUUUGGAAUAUCUGCACUUUGGUUGUUCAGCUCCAGUAAUUCAUUGUGACUUAAAGCCCGACAAUGUAUUGUUAGAUGAUAAUUUGGUUGCUUAUUUGAGUGAUUUUGGCAUCGCGAAGCUCUUAAUUGGAGAAGAUCAGUCUAUGACUCAAACGCAAACACUUGCCACAAUAGGUUAUAUGGCACCAGGUUUGUUCAAUAUAAACAUUUUCUAUUUCUUGUAAACUUCCUAAUAAGUUAUUUAUGUUUCAUGAUCUUCAUUAGAUCAGGAAAUUAUUGUUAAUGAUAUAUCUUACUAUGUAACUGUUGCAAUUCAUAGAGUAUGGAAGAGAAGGACGAGUAUCCACAAAUGGAGAUGUUUAUAGCUUUGGAAUUAUGUUAAUGGAAACUUUUACCGGGAAGAAACCCACAUAUGAAUUUUUUAAUGGAGAAAUGACAUUAAAGCAUUGGGUUAAUGAUUGGCUACCCAUUUCCACUAUGGAAGUUGUUGAUGCUAAUUUGCUAAGUCAGGAGGACAUACAUUUUGUUGCAAAGGAGCAAUGUGUGUCAUUUGUCUUCAAUUUGGCUAUGGCGUGCACUGUGGAAUCUCCUGAGCAGAGAAUCAAUGCAAAAGAAAUUGUAACAAAACUCUUAAAAAUUAGAGACUCAUUACUUAGAAAUGUUGGAGGCAGACGUAUAAGACAAUCAAAUUUAAAUUGAUUCUACCCCUCCACUACUUGCUAUCCUUUUCAGAGACUUGAACAAUUAUCCUUAAUACAAUUUUUGUUGAUGUGCUUUGUUAUUGCUCUUACUCAUGUUUAUUUCUCUAUUUCUUUAAUUUGCAUGCAUGUAUUUUUCGUUCUCUUUUAUGUUUUUGUUGGUUUGUAUGUAGUUUGUUUUUAGGUUGAUUAUGUCCUCCCCUAAUUAGACGCAUCCUUUUUAUGUUUAUUCAAUAAAGCUUCUCUAAUACUAUCGAGGUUCAUCAAAAGAAAAUUUUAAAUUAAUUUUCUUUUCUUUGACAGGUAAUGAAAUUCUAAUCUUCAUAGUGAAUAACUUCAAUAAUAGAGUGUAAGUGUAUUAGUAGUUAUGGUUGUUUUUUGAACCUGGAGUCAAAAGCAAUUUAAUAGCAACAAACAAGUCUCUUGUAUUAUAGGCAAAAUUAUUUUCAUUAAUCUUAUUUUUCUACAUGUUCUCCUAUUUUCUCCAUUUAUCUUCGCUCAAGGUUUCAUGCUUCCUCUUGGAUAAAGGAAAACUUACUUGCGAAUAUUUCAAUUUGACAUAAGAGACUGUUUUGCCAACCAUUUGAUAAAAUGGAUAUGAGCGGAGCUUUCAAUCAUCACCUCCACCAAAAUCCUUACUACGCCACUUUUAAAUUGUAUUUUUUAAAAUGCAUUCAGUUUAAUUUAUAAAAAAUAAAUUCAUUUGUUAAAAUUAAUCUUUUUCUCAUAAAUUUCAGCCUAAAAAAUAUAUUUCUUUUAAACUUUUAAUUAUAAAAUACAUACAAGUUCUAAACUGUUAUAUUAUUUUCUUCUUAUUAUAUAGUUCAUAUCUCCAUAACUCUAAACUCCUAUAAUUUUUUUUAAAAUAUUUUUAAUUUAAAAUAUAAAUAUAAAAUAUAAAAUGGAGUGGGUAUAAAAAAACUUGUUAAAAGAAUAAUUCAUUUAAGUAUUUAACUGAAUUUAAAUUAAAAUAAGAAAUAAAUAAAUUUAUUUUUAUUAGUUAAGUAAUUUUCAAUUGUAAAAGAGCUUUAUGAGUAAUAUUAUUGAAAUAUGAUUAAAAUUCUUAUGAAUUAAACAUUUUCGUAUAAAUACUAGUGAUAAUUAUAGAGAAAAUGUGAUGAACCAAAGAAAACUUGAGUAUAAAUACUCCAAUGUAAUUUUACACAUGCAAAUUAUGAACCAAUGAUCUUUAGAGCAUCAUAAAAUUAUUUUGACACAACUAUUUAUUUUGAAAAACUGGUAACAAUGUUUAAAGUGGGAUUGAAAAGAUUAUGCUACUUAUAUAAGACAUGAUAUCAUUUAAGACGGCUUACAGAUUAUGAGAAAUAUAUUCAUCUUACAAAUAUUUAAUAUGUUAAUUAGACGGGUCUAGCUGCCUUUCACCCGCUGGAAGGUACAGCUUAUUUUGUCCUCUAGUGUUGUGGCCGUUGGAUAUUUGAGAAGUUGAUCUAUCGGUUCUUGUUCGGCAGCGUGAAAUUGAAUUUCAAUCAGCAACCAUUUCAUGAACUUUCAGGAGACAAUUAUCUACAAAAAAAAUUUUUUAAAAAAUAAUUUUUCGCUUUCAUCAACCGCCGCUGCCACCCACAACCCCUUAAUAUCAUCACCACCAUCCCAAUCCUUAGCCGCCAUCCACAAACUCUAACAACCACCAUGACUGCCAUCACAACCGCCACUCCUCACAACCCUAGCCACCCCUACAAAUGACUGUAUUUUACGUUUGAGCAUUAAUUGCCGGCAUGAUCUCUUAGACUUCUCUUGCAUUGAAUGAAUGGAUGAGUGCUAAUCCAUGCAAAGACUUCCAUGCAUGCACAAUGAAUGCUAAAUCUAAGGUAUAGCAAAAUGUCAGCAACCUUGGCCCAAAUUAUCAAGAUGGUUUGGUGGCUGCUAGAUUUGUUCAUCCGGAUUUUGGACCAUUUUCCUUGACAAUGAGAAAAGCUCCAAGAUGUGUAAUGUUAGUGAAUCAGAUGAAGCUGGAGCAGAGCAUGAUGUUGCUGUGUAGCUGGAGCAGAGCAUGAUGUUGCUAUGUAGCUGGUUGUAUCAGAUCAAAUCAUUAAGCUGACUUGUCAAAGUUAGUUAACUGGUUGAGCUGAUGUGUCAAGUUAGUUAUACAGCAAAUGGUUAUGUGUUGCAACAAUCUCGUGUGUGUGUUAAGAGAUUGUAGCUCAAUAUAAAUAUCAAUUGGUAAUCAUUAAACUGUAAGCUUGGAAUAAUAAGAAGAUCUAACAGUUUUCUUUGCAAAGCUUUUCUUUUAUUUUCUUUCAUUUUCUAGCCUACCAAACAAUAUAGAACUAAGUUUCUUUCAUGGUAUCAGAGCCAUAAAUGGCAAAUAUAGUUCAAAACAACAACUCUUUUAGUUUUGUUACACCAGUAAAGCUAGAUCAAAACAACUUCAUUCUGUGGCGCACACAAAUUUUAACUUCAAUCAAAGGAAACGGUUUGGAAGGGUUUAUCAAUGGCGAUCGAGAAUGUCCUGAGCAAUUUCUUUCUUCUGGAAACAACAAUGGAGCUGAAGUUUUAACUGAGUCUGGAUCCAGAUCUGUUAAUCCAGAAUUCGAAGCUUGGAUGAAGACUGACCAACUCUUACUGAGUUGGAUGAUGUCAUCGAUACAGCAAAAUCUGCUUGCUACUGUGAUUGAUUCUACAACUUCAAAACAGCUUUGGGAGACUCUUGCUAGUAUGUUCAUCUCUCAAUCACAAGCUAGAAUUCAAACACUUAGAAUGCAGAUUCAAACUAUUAAGAAAGGUGCCAUGCAUAUUUCUGAUUAUUUUGUUAAAGUAAAACGCAUAGCUGAUACUUUAGCUCUAGCUGGAAAACCUAUUGAGUUAAAUGAUCUUGUGAUGCAUAUAUUAACUGGUCUUGAUUCAUCAGACUAUGAAUCUUUAGUCACAGCUAUGUUAGCUCGAGGUGAAAAGAUCACAUUAGAUGAACUAUAUUCUUUGUUGUUGAAUCAUGAAAAUAGAGUUGAGCAAAAGAAAGGGAAAAUUGCUAGUGAUGUGAUGCAUAACAUGACAGCAAAUAUUGCUCAGAAAAAUUCAUAUGCUGGAAAGAAUAAUGGAAAUUUUCAGAAAAAUUAUGGAAAUAACUAUCGAAGAGGUAAUAAUUCUGGAUAUGGAGGUUCUAAUGGAUAUGGAUAUGGUCAGUUUAAUACUAGCAGUAAUUCCUCUGAAGUUGUUUGUCAAAUUUGCUUUAUACCUGGUCAUGCAGCAAAUAGAUGUAGGAAUAGGUACAACUCAUCCUUUGUUCCACAGAGGAAUCAUGGUAGAGGAAAUAUGAAUGGUGGCAGAGGUUUUAAUCAAGGGCAAUAUGGCAGAGGAAGAGUCUAUAAUGGUAAUAGUGGAAGAGGAUUUGGAGGUUUUGGUUCAAAUGCUGGUUUUGGACAAAAUGCUAGUUUUGGUCAUGCACCCAGGGGUUUUGGCUAUUAAGGAAAUAUAGUGUAUCCAGAUAGCAAUCCUUCUGCCUAUUACUCUUUCACUCCUGGAUCAUCUAAUUUUGUUGCUGGUCAAGGAAACAACAAUCCUGGACAGUCAAGUGCUUCAUCUUCCUCAGCUAUGUCUUUUUCACUCCCAGAAUACAUUUAAGAUCCUUCCUGGUACAUUGACAGUGGAGCAACAAAUCACAUUACUAAUGAUCUAGGUAAACUUCUAGAUUCACAAGCUUAUACUGGUACUGAAAAGUUAUUUGUUGGGGAUGGAAAUGCAUUAGCUAUUACACAUAUAGGAUCAGUUGUGCUAAACACUUCCAAUUCUCAAUCUUUAUUUCUUAACCAUGUUCUUCAUGUCCCUUUUAUUACUAAGAAUUUGCUUAGUAUCUCAAAAUUAUUGGCUGACAAUCCAGUUACUGUUGAAUUUCUUGGUGAUUUCUGUUUUAUAAAGGCCAAGAACACAAGGAAAAUUUUACUUGAAGGUGUUGCUAAAGGUGGCUUGUAUAGAGUCUCUUCACAUGCUGCUGCUCACUCAGUCUUUCUCAGUUCAGUUGGUCAAAACAAAAUUUAGUCUCUCUUUGCUUGGUCUCCUGUUUUUACUUCUGAAAAACCUUCUGUUGUUAGUUCUUAUAAACUCAAUAAAAAGUCAUGUAUGUCAGUUGUUGCAAAGGGUUUAACUGAUGUAAAUCUUCUGCAUAGAAGAUUAGGACACCCAGCCCCUUAUACUCUCAAAAUUAUUCUCAAAGCUUGUAACAACUUUACUGCUCUUAAUAAAGUUGAAAGUUUGAAAUUUUGUUCAGCAUGUCAAUAUGGAAAAAUCAUAUGCUGCAUUUUAAUUCAGUUGAAACAAAAACUUCAGCACCUUUAGAAUUGAUAUAUGCAGAUUUGUGGGGUCCUUCUCAUGUUUGUUCUACCCAAGGAUAUAACUACUACCUAUCAAUCCUAGAUGAUUACAGUAGGUUUACCUGGAUAUUCCCUUUAUCAGCAAAAUCUGAUGCUCUUGAAGUGUUUAAAAAUUUCAAAACAUUCAUUGAAAAGCAUCUUCAACUUUCAAUCAAAACUGUCCAAACAGACUGGGGAGGGGAGUUCAAAUCUUUUUCCUCAUUACUCACUACUUCUGGUAUCCAUUUUAGACACCCUUGUCCACAUAUUCAUCACCAAAAUGGAAGAAUUGAGAGGAAGCAUAGACACAUAGUUGAUGUAGGUCUGACUUUAUUAGCUCAAGCACAUUUACCACUCAAAUUUUGGUGGAAUGCAUUCCACACAGCUGUCUAUUUGAUAAACAGACUUCUCACUCCAGUUCUAAAUAGCAUUUCUCCCUUUCAAAAGUUGUUUCAUUAUCAACCAGAUUAUUCAACACUUAAAACUUUCGACUGUGCUUGUUAUCUAACACUCAGACCAUACAAUAGAUAUAAGUUUGAUUUCAGAACUGCUAGAUGUAUAUUCAUUGGCUAUAGUUCACAACACAAGGGAUAUAUGUGUCUUCAUUCUUCUAGAAGGGUCUAUAUUUCUAAUCAUUUCACUUUUGAUGAAAAUUCCUUUCCUUAUGAGUCUGGGGUAGAUUUUUCUUUAACUUCUUUAAGUUGUCAGUCCACUUCACACUCUGAGUCCUCUUUUCAGUCUUCCCCUUCUUCUGUUACUCAGUUACAAGCACCUUUAGCAGCAUCAUCAGCACUUCAACCAACUCACCCUGCUGAUCAUCAAUCUAAUGCUUCUACUCCUGUUUAUUUUUCUGAUAACUCCAACUCAGCUUCUCAUUUCUCAUCUUCUCAUUCUUCACCUCCACAUACAUUACCCCAACCUGUACCAUCUGGUCAUCCAAUGGUAACCAGAUCAAAAGUAGGUAUUUUCAAGCCAAAAGUUUAUUUGUCAGCCUUGUUAGCCCAGCAAUCAGAACCAACUUCUGUUUCCAAAGCACUCUCUGAUCCUAUGUGGUAUAAGGCUAUACAAGAAGAGUAUCUAGCACUUAAAGCUAAUCACACCUGGGAUUUGGUUUUACAUACUACUCCAGUGAAGAUAGUUGGUAACAAGUGGGUGUUUCGAAUUAAGUAUAACUCAGAUGGCUCGGUUUCAAGGCACAAAGCCAGACUUGUUGCUAAGGGGUUUCACCAGACACAUGGGGUUGAUUACACAGAAACCUUCAGUCCAGUGGUUAAGUCUUCAACUAUCAGAGUUAUUCUUAGCUUAGCAAUAUUGAAUCACUGGGUUAUUCGGCAAGUGGAUGUUAAUAAUGCCUUCCUCAAUGGCAUUUUAAUUGAAGAUGUGUACAUGGCUCAGCCUCAAGGUUUUGUUGAUUCAACUAAACCUAAUCAUGUUUGCAAGCUGAAUAAGGCUUUAUAUGGUUUAAAACAGGCUCCUAGAGCCUGGUUUGAUAGAUUUAAGGAUGCAAUGCUCUCCUAGUGGCAUUUUCAGCAUUCAAGGUCUGAUAACUCUCUCUUUUAUACCUGGAACAAUGGUCAUGUAACUAUUGUUUUAGUCUAUGUUGAUGAUAUUAUCAUCACUGGCUCAAGUCCAUCACUAAUUCAGCAAGCUAUUCAGAAUAUGCAUCAAACUUUUGCUUUAAAAGAUCUGGGGGAACUUAACUAUUUUUUGGGGAUUGAAGUCAGCAAGUCCUCCACAGGGGUUUCUUUGACACAAGCAAAGUAUAUUGCUGAUGUUCUGGAAAAACAUGGCAUGAUUGAUUGCAGUCCCGUGCCAACUCCCAUGUCUACAGGUUAUUACUCACCAAAGACUCAGGGGAGCCAAUUGACAAUGUCUCUCAAUACAGGAGUGUUAUAAGAGCUCUUCAGUAUGUUACUCUUACCAGACCUGACAUUGUUUUUUCUGUCAAUAAGUUAAGUCAGUUCCUUUCCGAUCCUAGAACUCAACAUUGGGAAGCAUGCAAAAGGUUAUUGAGGUACUUAAAAGGUACUAUCCAUCUUGGGCUACAAUUCUACAACCAAGGAGCUCUGCAAAUCCAUUGUUUUUCAGACUCUGAUUGGGCUUGUGAUCAUGAUGAUAGGAAGUUAGUAGCUGGCUUUGCUGUUUAUCUAGGUCCUAAUCUUGUUUCUUGGUAGUCCAAGAAGCAAGCUAUUGUUUCUAGAUCCAGCACAGAGGCUGAGUACAGAUCUCUUGCUCAUGCUGCUUUAGAGGUUACCUGGAUUAAGUCUUUACUUGGUGAACUUAGCGUCAACUUGAGCUCUACUCCUAUGAUGUGGUGUGAUAAUCAAGGAGCUAUUGCUUUAGCUUAUAAUCCAGUCUAUCAUGCUAAAACUAAGCAUGUUGAAUUGGAUAUCCAUUUCAUCCGAGAUAAAGUUACUGCUAAAGAAGUUGCAGUCUGCUAUGUGCCUAGUCAAGAUCAAACAGCAGAUGUGUUGACUAAAGCUCUCUCUUUCAAACAGUUUAGUUACUUCCAAAGUAAGCUGAAUGUUCAUCCUAAACAUUUCAGCUUGAGGGGGGGUGUUAGUGAAUCAGAUGAAGCUGGAGCAGAGCAUGAUGUUGCUGUGUAGCUGGAGCAGAGCAUGAUGUUGCUAUGUAGCUGGUUGUAUCAGAUCAAAUCAUUAAGCUGACUUGUCAAAGUUAGUUAGCUGGUUGAGCUGAUGUGUCAAGUUAGUUAUACAGCAAAUGGUUAUGUGUUGCAACAAUCUCGUGUGUGUGUUAAGAGAUUGUAGCUCAAUAUAAAUAUUAAUUGGUAGUCAUUAAACUGUAAGCUUGGAAUAAUAAAAAGAUCUAACGGUUUUCUUUGCAAAGCUUUUCUUUUAUUUUCUUUCAUUUUCUAGCCUACCAAACAAUAUAGAACUAAGUUUCUUUCAUGUAAAUUGAAGACUCACUGAACGCUCCAAGUUUCAGGUAACUCUUGUGUUGUGUGCUCGGAGUAUUCUCUAUUGUAUUUUUUUUGUUUGUUAUUUAUUUGACGUAUUGCUAGCAGAGAUCUUGGGUGGGAACCAGAAAUUCCCAACAAUUGUCAAUUGUUUUAAACUCUAUUCUGAACAGAGCAUAAAGGGACUCACUUAUCUAAUUUUGUCUUUUAUGCUUUAACUUCACUUGAUUUCAUCUUUUCCGUCACCUUUGUUAAAGUUGUAUAUGUUGGAGUAUUAGGUUCAUCAUAAGGAUCAUUUUAUGGCUAAGGAAGGAGCACACUUUAUCAGCUACACUCAAGUGUAGCAGAGAAUUUGGAUUCAAGACUGUUAGAAGGUUGUUACAGAUGCAAGGCUAUUGCUGUGUAAUUGUAAUGCUGCGUAGCACCGUAAGUAAGAAGAAAAGUGUCUAAGGUUGCCACGUGUUGUCUCAACGUCUGUGUGAAAACCGAUUUGUUUAAUCAAAAUCAUAAACACCAUUUUGAAAAUCCAUGGCCAUGGUCGUGAUGUGUCUUUAUCAAUCACGGAUACCAAAUUUAAUCAAAAUUAUCGAUUGUUUUAAAUUCUGUUUUUAACAGAGCAUGAAGAUGUCGCUUAUCUAGAUUUACUUUUUAUGCUUUGACUUCACUUAAUACAGCUUCUUCCUCCUUUAUCUGUAUGCCAUGCCGGCAAGUGUAUUGUACAGAUUUCUAGAGUAUUACCUGUCUAUUUUUUUCACCGAUGACGAAGCUAAUUAUUAGUAAUCAAUCUAAAGUCUACCUAUAAAUACAAUAGGUUGCUUAGGUGGCACCAAUAUCCUAACUUUAUGCCAUGUUUCUGGUGUGUCUUCACAAAUUCACCGAUACAAAUUAAUUUCUACCAAUAUUACCAAAUGAUUGUAUUUUACGUUUCUAUUUACUUGUAAUAAAGAUCUUCAAUUUUAUUGGUUACAAAAUUCUCUAGGAUUGCAUGUACAUUAUACUUUUAUAUACAUAUUUUCUUCUUUCUCAUUCGUUUUCUGGGUGAACAUAUUAUUUUCGUCAUCAUCUCUAUAACAAUGAAGUGAAAAUAGUCCUCAUUUAAAGUAUUGACAGCAAUGUUAUACUCAAUAUAACGCAUAAAGCACGCAUAAUUUAAUUAAUGGGGUAGCUGCUAGUACCUUCUUUAGAAGAGAAUUAUUGCAGCAAGGUAAUUGGAAGCUCAAAGAGUUUCCGUAUUAGCCGAAUCUAAGCGAUAAGUGUUUCCAUGUGAGCCAUAAUUUGGGAAAAAGACCAAUUCGAGUUAAAGAUCAGAAAACAGACACUGUCAACAAGCAUUAAUAUCAUUUGAUGCAUGAAAGACAGUUAGUCCCAUUUUUUUGUCCUGUUUACUUGAGUUGGGCAAUUUGCCGUCAACUUUUCUCAUCCACGUCAGGUAAUGUGGCUUUUAUUUGGUAUGAAAAAGCCAAUGCUUUACGAUAAAACUGUCACACACAUAUUAUCCAUCUGUAAUGUUCAAAUGACACUGAAGUAUUACCUAAAUUAGGCUUUCAAAAAUUCAUUUUCAAAAACCCAUGGUUGUGAUGUGUCUCUAUAAAUUAAGAUCUAUCUGUUACCAACUGUUUUAACUCUGUUCUGAACAGAGCUUGAAAGGGUACAUUCACUUAUCUAGUUAUGUUUUUUAGGCUCUCACUUUACUUGAUUCACCUUAUCCCUCUUUUGAAACAAUUGUUCACUGGCUGCACUCAGUUGACAAAAUAUUUUGGGAUUCAAGACUGUAGGUUGUUACGGAUGCAACUUGCAAGGCUGUUGCCAUGCUGGCAAGUGUGCUGCUAUAACAGAUUGUUGAGAUGGCACCAAAGAUUGUAAACUAAUUAGUACUGGAAAAUCAUGAGUUUGGUGAUGAAGAGGACCAAAAACAUUAUUUUAUUAUUUAAAAUAAGACUAUCAAUUAUUUCCAUGGUCAUCUUUUUUUUUAUUUAUUAAUUGGCCUAAAUAUUGUAUUUUUUGUCAGGAGUCUUGCAAUGUUGCUUAACACCGUAAGUAAGAAGAAACGUGUCUAAGGUUGCCACGUGUUGUCUCAACAUAUGUGUGAAAACUGAAUUAACCAGUUUGCGUUCGACAACAAAGGAAAAUACUUCUUGUUGCUGACCGGUUGAUAAGUAUUUCAAUACCUCCACCAAAAUCUUUAUAACACCCUUUUUAAUUUUAUUUUCUGAAAUACACUUAGUUUUUUAAAAAAGAGCUUUAUGAGAAAUUUUCAGUGUGUCAAAAGGCCUACUUAAUGGACUGGAUCCCGACUCAUUAAUUUUAUAACCCGACUUACAAUCCGACUCAUUAUUCACAGAGAUUAAUUUUCUAUUGCUUAAGGCACAAUAUUUACUAAGCAAUUUAUCGGCAAUAAAACAUGUAUAUUAUUGUGGUUUGUAAUAAAAUUGGAAGAAGACAUCACGUACGAAUUGGAUUUAUCCAAUGAAAUUUGAUUAACGAAACUGUAUGAAAAUAUAUCAAGAAAAUAGUAAAAAAAAAUGUUGUGUAAAUGCUGUAUAGGUGAUAUAUUACUUUUAUAAUCCAUCAAGGUACAUUUGAUUUUAAUGAUGAAACAAAUACAAAUAAAUCUAUGUGCGUCAAUGCUAGAUGGCUCCAUAUUAAACUUGUGAAGUAUAGAAAAUAAGCAGGAUUCGUAACAAAUAUUUUAGAUAAUACCACUGAAAAGUUAUAAAAAUAUUUUUUAAAAAAAGAAAUACAUGCUCGAGACACCACGACCGACGCGCACAAACUCACAUAUUUAUAUAUUAAUUGAGGUAAAAAAUGAUAUUCUGAGUAAUAUUGUUGACAUAUGAUUAAAAUUCUUUUUGAUGAAACAUUUUCGUAUAAAUACUAGUGAUAUUUGUAGAGAAAGUAGAAUGAAGUGAAAAAAACUUGAAUAUAAAUGCUCCAAUAUAAUUUUUCCCAUACAAAUUAUGAACUAGUGAACUUUAAAGCAUCAUAAAAUUGUUUCAACAUAAGUAAUUAGUUUGAAAAAUUGCCAAUAAUGUUUAAAGUGGGAACGAAAAGAUUAUACUAUAUGAGACACGAUAUUAUUUAAGACAGCUUACAAAUUGUGGGAAAUAUAUCGAUCUUACAAAUAAUAUUUAAUAAGUACAAAUUUCAAAUUAAAUAAUAAACCCUUAAUUUCCUUUUAAUCAUAAUUAUGAUCUUAAUAAUUAAAGUCAUUCAAUCUUAAUCACUUUUUUAUUUUUUUAAACUAUCUAAAUGACAUCGAAAACUCUACUCAAUAUUAAUUUAUUCGAAUGUUUUGUUUCAAAAAAAUUGAAAACUGUAAAUGAAACAAAUGCUUGCAAUCACAAAUGGCCUAAAAUAGGAUUUUUAUUUUUUAAUAUUGCAAUGUCUUUGAUCUUGAUAUUGGAAAUUUAUUUGUAACUUAUACCAAGUCUUCAAUUUUAUCAUAAUUAGUUUCUAAAGAUGCAUUUGCCAUACUGUGUAGUUGUAUUGUAUGAUGAUAUAUUACAUUAGGGUGCAUUGUAUUGAGCUGUAAUGCAAUACUAUUUUAUAUUAAUGUUAAAACUAAAUCAACAUUAUUUAAAUUUAUUAAUAUUUUAGGAUUUUAUUAGUAAUUUCUUAAAUUAAGUAUUAAAUAAUUAUUUUUAUAAUAUACAAACUAUUUAAUAAUAUUUUACUAUUAAAUAAUAAAAUAUUACAAUAUUAUGUUAUAUUAUUAAUAAUUAUUCUGUUAUAAUAUAAUUUAUUUUUAUAUAUUAGUUAUUAUAAUUUAGUAGAAUCAUAUUAUAAUAAUAUUAUAUUUUAAAAAUAUAAUACUAUAUAACUGUAUAAUAUAAUAUGAAUUAAUUUAUAAUUUAACAUUAAAUUAUAAAUUUAUUUUAUUUAUUAAUGUCAAAUAUAAUUGUCUAAUUUAAAUUUAGUUUUAAAUUUAGUAUUUUUUUAAAAAUAAACUAUUUAGUAAAAUUUAAAAAUAUAUUUUUAUUUAUUAAAUAAAACUAAAAUAUACUUUUAUGCAUUUAAAGUAAAAUUACUAAAAUGAUUUUAUAUAAUAAAGUAAAAUAAUGUAUUAUUAUUUAUUAAUUAAAUAUUUAGGUUUAUUAAUAUAAUAUAUUAUUAAUUAAAUUAAUGAAUAUUAAUUAAUAAUUUAAAUUUAUUAAAUAAUAAAAGUUAAAUGAUUAUAUUUAAAAUAUAAAUAGUAUUUUAAUGCAAUAAAACCUAAAUCCCACAUGUAUGCCACAUUUGUUAUACAGUGUAAUGCAACUAUAAAUUAUAAUUAUAUAAAAAUAAUAUUUUAAUACAAUAUAAUACAAGUAUAAUGCCACUUGAGAAAUUGAUAUUUUAAUCAUAAAAACCAAUAUAAUACAAUGAUUCUGUCCUCUUUAUUAUUUUUCUAAAUGCUUCCAUGGCAUAAUCUCAUUGGUCCAUUUUGUUUCACAGCUUAGAUUCAACUGCAAGAUUUUCAAUUUGAAGCAAGCUGUGGUCCACUGGCCGUGGCCAAACAAACAUGCCUCAUGAAGUCAUGGUGACUGAAUCAUCUCUUAUGUCAGAAUUUGAACUUAAACAAUUUGAACAUAGACUGUUUUUUGAUUGUCGAAGAUUCGCUUCAAAAAUUAGUAUUUUUUAGUGGAGUUUGGUUGUCUCGUAUCCUUCAAUUGUUGUUUGGUUAUGAAAAUAAUUUUUGAUUUUAGGGAAUUUCGAUUAUCUGGUUUAGUUUGAGUGCAAUUUCCUCUAUUUACGGUUUCAGUGUGACGGAUAAAUUGCAAUUUCGAAUUUUUGAUAAAAUUAAAAUUAAAAUUGGGCGGUUAUUAAUUAAUUGAUGGCUAGUGAUACUGCAACGGCGGCCGAAGCUCCGGAAGAAGCGGAGGCGGUGGAGGAGUAUGAUAGCGAUCCAGAUGAAGUGAAACACUCUCUCGUGAUGCGCAGAAUGGAAGCAAGCGAUGAUGAGUGUUAAGGAAGCUCAUGUUGCAGUCAAAGGAGCAGCUCAGUUAGCACGUGUGAAUCAAAGCACUCAUUUAAUGGAAAUUUUUCUAGAUGCUUCAAUGGCAGAAUCUCGUUGGUCUAUAACUCUCACGCCUUUGACUCAAGAUUCAAUUUCAAACCAACGCCGAACAAACAGUAUAAACCUUAAUAAGUCUGUGGCUCACCGAAUAAUAUCUCUUACGUCAGAAUUUAAACUUAAACAAAGCUACAUCCCACGUGUCCCCAACUUUCUUCAUAUUCCCAGAAAACCCCUACCAGAUCCAGAUAAUUACCUUCACUCUUCUCGUAUAAAUAGAGAAGAUGAUGAUUCCUACAAAGCCACGUAAGUCAAGUGAACGUUACGGCCAUGGGACGUUGGAAUUGGAUCAAACCACCGGAAUGUAAAGCAAAAUUAACCGAAUAGACUAAAUUAGAUCCAACCAUUUGAAUCGGUUGAGUGUCACUCAAAAAACAAAUAAAUAUAUAAAACAACACAAUUAUCAUAUUAAUGGGGUUCAGUGGAUGCUUCUUUUUUUUCAUUUUCAAUGAAUGCUUAAUAUGCAUUCAAUAUGAAAAACAAUCUGUCCCAUUGAGCACUGUUGAAGUCAUUGAAUGAAAAUGAAUACUUCUAUAAGAAACAAUCAUUCCCCUAUUUAUUUGACACGCAAAGAACUUUCUUACUCAGCUCGGCGGCCAAACCUUUAACAUUUGUUGAAAUUCAGUUAAUUGGUGAAUGUGACAUAACUCGAUAAAUCGUUUAAUUUGUAUAAUUGAUAAAAAUUUGAACUUCAAAUAAUAUAUGUUUUCAAUUUUAGAUAAUGGAUAUAUGUCAUGAUACUAUGAGCAAAUGAAGCGUCUGAUAGAAAACAUAAUGUUUGUAUUAGAAAUUUUAAGUGUGAAUCUAUUUACUGUUGGUUUUAUAUAUAAAAAAUUAGUUACCAACUUGUCUUGUUUCUCAUUUUGUUCAAUUUUCAUAAAUUUGACUAACGAUUAAUUGUGAGCGAAGAGUUUGUUGUAAAAAUAUGGUCUUCCAUUUACUAUAAAAAGAUUAGUGUGAUUUAAUUAUUUUUUCCUUUUGCUUCAUUUCUAGAAAAUUAUGAAUACUUUGGCAAAUAAGAUAAUUAAUUAUAAACAUCGUUUUCAAAAUCCAUGACCAUGGUUGUGAUGCGUCUUUGUAAAUAGCUAAUACAAAAUUAAUUUCUAUCAAAAUUACGGUAAUUACCAUUUGUUUUAAACUCUGUUCUGAACAGAGCAUGAAAAUACCACUUAUCUAGAUUUGCUUUUCAUGCUUUCACUUCACUUAAUCCAGCUUGUCCCUCCUUUGACUGUAUGCCGUGCUGGCAAGUGUGCUAUGCAGAUUACUGAGCUGACUAAUCAAUUUGAAGUGUACCAAUAAUAGAUUGGUGCCAGCUACUAACCUUAUGCCAUGUUAGUGCACAAUAACAGAUUGCUUAAGUUGGCUGGCACCAAUCUACUAACCCUAUGCCAUGUUUCUAAUGUGUCUAUAAAUUCACUAACACGUAUUAAUUUCUGCCAACAUUACCGAAUGAUUGUAUCGAUUUUUAAGCACGUAAACAUACCAGCUUUCUUUCUUUUACUCUCUAUUUCAUGUUUAUUCAAUUUCAAUCUUCUGCAAGUUUCUUUUACAUGCAUUUUUUCUUCUCUCUUUUGUUUUUUUGGUAAACAUAUUAUUUUAUCAUCUAUUACUAUAAGAAUGAAAUGAAAAUAGUCCUCAUUUAAAGUUUUGACAGCAAUGUUAUACUCAAUAUAACGUAUAAAGCACGCAUAAUUUAAUUAAUGGGGCUGCUAAUAUCUUCUUUAAAAGAGAAUUAUCGCAGCCACGUAGUUGGAAGCUCAAAGAGUUUCCAUAUUAGCCGAACCUAAGUGAUAAGCGUUUCCUUAUGAGCCAUGAUUUGGGGAAAAAAACCAAUUCAAGUUAAAGAUCAGAAAAGUGUGUCCCUCACGAAUACAAUAAUUCAAGCCACACAUUUAUCAAACGCAUGGCAGGGACGCUUCAACAUGUUGUCUCAUGGAAAGAAAUCCUUGUCUUUGACUUAAUACAAUGUUACAGAAAAAAUAUUGGGUGCUCCCACUGGCUGCUUUUAUUGAGUGGCAGAAUCAGAAUUUUAUUUCGGGUAAAAUCUCGUUUAGUCCCUAUAUUUUGAGGUUAGUGUCCGUUCAGUCCCUAUAUUUUUAAAAAUAUCUCAAAACAUCCCUGACAUUAAAUUAUUAGCACAUUUCCUCUUAUUUUUUGUUGCUUUUGGCUUAAUUUUUACAAUAUUACCCUCUUAUAAUAUUUUUUUUGGACAUUAGUAAAAAGAAAAAAAUUAAUUAUCAAUUUAAUCUCAAAAAAUAAAAUAGUAACAAAAUUAAUAUAUCAUACUUUUUUGUAACACACUACUGAGGAAUUAAUAUAAUAAUUUUUUUAUUACUAAUGUCCAAAAAAAAGGUAAUUUAAUUAUUUUAUUUUUGGGGUUAAAUUGAUAAUUUAAAUUUUUUUCUUUUUAUUAAUUUUAUAACAAGAAACAUUAUUGUAAGAGGGUAAUAUUAUAAAAGGAAGUCAAAAGAAACAAAAAGUAACAGCAUGGAUGUCAAUAAUUUAAGGGUAAGGAUGUUUUGAGGUAUUUAUAAAAAUAUAGGGACUAAAUGGGCACUAAUCUUAAAUUAUAUGGAUGAAACGAGCCUUUACCCUUUUAUUUCCAUGGUGGCAAUAAUGAUUAAACUGUAAACUUAAUUUGGUUGUGACAUGAAAAUAACGUUGUAAAUACUGGCUCUGCAUUUUAUAAAAUGCAGAUAUCUGUACUAGAAAAGAACUAUGACACACACACACACACACACACACACACACACACAUAUAAUCAUUCUCAGGUGCAGACGUCCGGAUUUUUUUUAAUGCAAACAAAUUUUUAAACCGUGCAAUUUUAAAGAAUUAGUUGUUGAAUAAACUAUAAAAUCAUGCUGUUUAGAAGAGUUAAAAGCUAACUCUCUUAUACCAUGCAGUUUUAAAGUGUGUCCGCAUAAAAAAAAAUGAGGACGCUCACACUAGAGAAGACUAUAUAUAUAUAUAUAUAUAUAUAUAUAUAUAUAGGUAUUCUCAUUUUAUUUUCAUGCGGAUACACUGUAAAACCGUAGGGUUUAAAAGAGUUGGUUAAUUUUUAACUCUUUUAAACUGCAUGGAUUAAAAGUGUGUCCACAUUAAGAAAAAUAUGGACAUCCGCACCCGAUAAUGAUUAUAUAUAUAUAAUAGUUUUUUGGUCCGGAAUUUUAAAGUGCGGGAAAGGUUAGGGAAAUCUUUAAAACCACAGAAUUUUAAAGGCUUAAAACUUGAAGCACUUAAACUGCACAUUUUAUGCAUUUUCCCGGACGUCCCCGUAAUUUAAAAUUCUAGAUUAUAUAUAUAUAUAUAUAUAAAGUUUUUUUUUCAAUUAACUAUUAUACCAUAUGAUUAAUAGCUGAUCCACACGAAAUUUACAUUUAGGCAAUUACUAUCAAAUAUCGAUACGUGUUUGAAUAAACUCUUAAAAAUCGAUUUCCACCUUCAUUAUUACAGCCCUUGUAUAAACUAACGCGGCAACAUAUAAUCAGUUGGUAAAAGAAUAAAUAUAUGUCAAGUGGGUUCUACCAUGUUUUUAAUUCAACGAAUGACAAUAUGCCACCUCGAUUUAUACAAUAAUAUUUAUGACUAUAUCAUUACUCAUUAAUUAAUAGGAACACUAAUUUAUUUUCUUAAAAGAGAAUUCAUCAAUUUGUACAAUAGUAUUUUUACAAAAGUAUUUGUGACUGUAUCAAUACUUGUUAGCUAUUAAUAGACCACUAAUUUAUUCUUCUUAAAAGAGAAUUACUGCAGCAAGUUUGGAGGCACAAAGAUUUCCCAUAUUAGCCAAACAUAAGAGAUAAAGAGUUCAUAUGAGAGGUAAUUUGGAAAAUCAAUUCCAUGCAAUAGGUCUUAGUGGGUUCGACUCAGUAUACGAUUAUUUUCAAAUUUUUAACGUAUUAAAGAUUCCUAUAUCACAUUAUAAUUUUCAAACAAUCAAAAUGAGUCAAAUCAAAUUUAGAACUUUGAGGUCUACUAUAGACUUGGACGUAUUAAAUUUAAGACAAUUAAGCAAAUCCUAGACAAAAUCUAACUUGUAAAUAUACCUUACCACACGAUGAACGUACUGAUAAAUCUUAACUGAUUGCUCACCAAUUAAUUGUUAUUUUGCAAUUUUUAUGUAUCCUUUUUUUCCCUAAAACUUCUAGUUUCCUAACAUACGGUUCUCAAUUGGUCUAAUUAUACUGUAAAUUGUAUUUUAAAUAUAAAUAAAAUGAAUUUAUUUAAUGGAAAUUUGAAAAAGGGACACUUAUCUACGAAAGCAAAGUUGCAUUCUCUUUGUGGGGACCCUAAAAAAAAAAAACGAGCCAGAAUGAUACUCCGAUGACGAUAAUCCUUAAGCUUAAGCAUUAAUUUUCUUUGCUUACAAUUUGGUUUGAAGGGUUAAGUUCAAGUUCGAAUUGAUAGAAAGAAUGGGCUGGUCAGUAUGAUGAUGAUGAUGAAGAAGAAGAAGAGGGGGAUGUCUUUGAGGAUGAAGAGAAAGAAAGUUCUAAAAAAAAAAAUACAGAUUUGUGGAAAUUAAAUUAAAAGCAACUAAUUAAGCAUUAUAAAUUACUUAACAGAGUAAUGCUGAGCUAAUCAAGUUUGUUUUUGAAGAAGGUAUCUUUAAAUCUCUUGGAGUUAAAGAUAAUUAUCAUAUCGCCAUAUCAAACGGACCGAUUAAAAAAUAAACUUAAAUAUUAUUUAAAAUCAUUUAAAUUUAACUUAAUAUAAUCCAAUAUAGACAAUACUAUAUAUAAUCUAGUCUAAUCCAAUUCAAUUGUAAUAAAUAAUACAAUCCAAUCUUGCGAGACAAAAUUGGCCUAAGGGUACCAAUUGCGCAAUAAUCUUUAUAGCCCGUUUCCCAGCCACGCACCCUUUUGUAUUAGUAUUCUCACAGCCGUUGGAAAUAUGGUUCGUAAUCCAAUAAAUGACAUUUUAUGGCUGUUGCUUGCUAGUUUUUGUAAGGUGGCCAAGGCCUUUUAUCAAACACUAUAGGAUCAACUAGUACAAAAUGAAUUCAUUUGGGAUGCGUUUAACGUACUGUGUUAGCUAUAUGCCUAUUAUGAUGUAUUGCAUUAACAUGCAUUAUAUUAAGUUAUAAUGUUAUACUUUGAUAUAGUAUAAACUGUAUUAUAUAAGGUAAUGUUUUAUAUUAAUGUUAAAACUAAAUUAAUAUUAUUUAAAUUUAUUAAUAUUUUAGGAUUUUAUUAUUAAUUUUUUUAAUUAAGUAUUAAAAAUUAUUUUAUAGUAUAUAAAUGAGUUAAUAAUAUAUUAUUAUUAAAUGAUAAAAUACUAAAGUACUAUGUUAUAUUAUUAAAAAUUAUUAUAUUAUAAUAUAAUUUAUUUCUAGAUAUUAAUUAUUAUAAUAUAGUAUAAUCAUAUAAUAAUAUAAUAUAAGUUAAUAUUAUAUUGUAAAAAUAUAAUACUGUACAAUUAUUUAAUAUAAUGUAAAUUAAUUUAUAAUAUAAUAUUAAAUUAUAAAUUGAUUAAAUUAAAUUAAAAUACUUUUUACGUAUUUAAAGUAAAAUAAUUAAAAUAAUUUAUGUAAUAGAAGUAUGAUAAUGUAUUAUCAUUUUCUCAUUAAAUAUUUUAGGUUUGUUAAUUUGUUAAAUUAUUAUUGAAAUUAAAAUUAAUUGUUUAAAUGUAAAUAUAAAUAUAAAUGAAUGCUUAAUAAAAUCUACUCCUAUGGAUCUAUUUUAUACACUUUUUAUUCUAUGAACCACGCUUAUAAUGUAGUUGUAUAAUAGAAACUGGAUAUUUAAUGGAAGCAAAAUUGCGCACGGUUUGUGGGUCUGUCAAAAAAUGAUAAAAAGACCAAUAUGAUACACUGACUCUGUCCUCUUUAAUAUUUUUCUAGAUGCUUCCGUGGCAUAAUCUCAUUGGUCCAUUUUUCUUCACGGCUUAGAUUCAACUUCAAAAAUCAAUUUGAAGCAAACACAACAAUUCAACAAAUAUAAUUAGUGUAGAGUGUUCUGAUUUAUUCUAUAAGUAGCUCAUUUGUGCUUAAAACCUACAUGUAUUGCACGUUUCUAUCGGUAAUUUGAUUACCUUUCCGUACUUUAUCAAUUAUUGAAUGAUUUUACCGGUUUAAUCGCUUGAUUGUUUGAGUAUAAUCGGUAAUUUGAUCGUCUGUCAGCAAGUGAUUUACAAUUCACUCUCCAAUUUUCAUUAAUUUAGUGUAGCCAAGCUUUAACUAGAUAGGUAGAUAACGUGGUCAUGAAAACUUGAUUAAGAGUUUAAUGCAAUCAAAUCUACUUUAAUGAUUAUUUAAUGCACGGAGAUUUAACAUCAAUUAUCAUCACGUUAUUCUAACAACGAAAUUGUAGAGCUUGGAUCUUUACUCGAACAGUUUCACUGGCACUAUUUCUGACACAUUGGGCAAGCUGAAGGAAUUGCAAUUCCUGUAUGAUCAUUUCCCCAACUAUUAUUUGAAUAAUUAUUUAAUGCCGUUCAUUCCAGCUCUGUUUGGCUGUUAACUUUAUUUUGUUAUUUAUGAGGAGAUUCAUUUCUCACCUGAAGCUAGAAAAUUUAUUGUAAUACAUGGAAGUAUAUAUUGCAUUGAAUAAAAUGAAAUUGUUCAAAAAUUAACAAAUUCAGCUUUAUUAUAAUCUAAAACAAAGUAAAUAGAAUAAUACCCAUCAUGUGUAAAAAUAAAAAAUAAAAUUUUUUAUACCACUUGGAAUUUAUUUUAAAUGUUUUGGUCAAAUCUAAGAAGCACAAACUUUGAACAAUGAUAAUAGGUAAAAACUAAUAAUCUUAUAAUAAAAAGUAAGAAAAAAAAUCAAGUUGAUUUAGCAGCUAAGAAUAAAAAAAGAAAAAUAGAAAGAGAGAGAAAUUAGUUUAGUCUUUAACCAUUGUUAUACUAGAGAAAAAAAAUUAAUUAAGAGUAAUUUUAUGAAUUUUUAGAAAUGAGUGAAUUUAAAAUAAUAAAUUAUAAUUUAAUAAUUAUCUUAAUUAAAAAAAUGGGUGUUGAAAUAAAAUUAGUGAAUGACUCUUUAUUUUACGGAUCAAUGACUCUUUAUUUUUUCUUUUAUAUGAUAGCUUGCAAUCCCUGGUGUGUGUUGAUAGUGCCAUACAUAAAUACAAAAAUGAACAAUUUUUUUUUUUUUUUGGGGGGCCAAUUGCAGUUUUGAUAACUAAAAUCUGUGUGGUCCGGUUACCACAAAGGCUUGCCGCAGAUCCCUGCCAUUUUCUCCUCCACCUCCAUUUGGGGAAAUUACUACUUACUUUUUGCAAGUUUUUCUUGAAAUAUUUAUUCUGAUAAGAAAACCAAUAAUACAUUUUAAGAUUUGGGCUGUUUCAAAGAUCUUCCCUUGAUGUCUCUGCUACUGAUGAUAUAUUGGGAUCGACUUUUUUUAUGAAAUAGGAGUUAGACCGAACAACGUUAUAUUUUUUACGGACUCUCAUACCAUGGAAAAACUCAGCCUUAAAGAAUGGUAUGAUGCUUUGAUAUAUGAAGUAAUUGGUAUAUAUUUUGUACCUUCCAUACACGGUGUCUAGAAUUUUGAGAUUAAGAAGAGUAUAAAUGCUAUACAAAUACACUCCUUUCAUUUUAUACAACUUUGAUUGAUCAAGUUGUAUCUCUUUGAUAAUAUGUUCUAUCUUCUUUCAUUUUAAACUUCAAUUGAGUUGCUAUCUAUUUAACUUUGGCAAGUCAGAGAGAGGGAUGGGACUGUCCAAUUAAAAUUAAGUUCCAAUUGCCAAUCCCACCAUUGUUGUCUCAUGUUUGCCAAAUUCAAAUUUGAAAAUCUCACCAAGUCAGUAUGGUGAUGUUGUGGGAUUGUCUCGCCUAGGUUUUUAGCCUCAUGACCUCCUUUAUUAGAAAAAGUCUUAAGUGUUCUUACUCAAUGGUAGAAUCAUGAUUUUACUUCAAUGGAAGCCAUAAUGAUUAAAAUAUACUCUUUUGAUUAAUUACUUAUUUGAUGUUGCUCUCUCUACCAUCAUCUCCAUCUUUAUGAAAAAAUUUAUUGUAAUACAUGGAAGUAUAUAUUGCAUUGAAUAAAAUGAAAUUGUUCAAAAAUUAACAAAUUCAGCUUUAUUAUAAUCUAAAACAAAGUAAAUAGAAUAAUACCCAUCAUGUAAAAAUAAAAAAAAAUAAAAAUUUAUACCACUUUGAAUUUAUUUUAAAUGUUUGGUCAAAUCUCAGAAGCACAAACUUUCAACAAUGAUAAUAGGUAAAAACUGAUAAUCUUAUAAUAAAAAGCGAGAAAAAAAAUAAAGUUGAUUUAGCAGGUAAGAAUAAAAAAAGAAAAAUAGAAAGAGAGAGAAAUUAGUUUAGGCUCUAACCAUUGUUAUAGUAGAGAAAAAAAAAUUAAUCAAGAGUACUUUUAUGACUUUUUAGAAAAGAGUGAAUUAAAAUAAUAAGUUAUAAUUUGAUAAUUAUCUUAAUUAAAAAAAUAGGGGUUGAAAUAAAAUUAGUGAAUUUAAAUAGCCUGCCCAAAAUCCAAACUUGCAUAUCAAUUAUUUUCUAAUUUACAUAAAGUUUUUCUAUAUGUUUGAUAACAUUUGAUUCUCAAUUGGUCUAAUGGAGAAACAACCAGCAAAAAAAUAAAAUGAAUGAAAUUAAAUGGAAUUUUGAAAAGAGCAGUAGAUGACAUUUAUGUGCAAGCAAAAUGCAAAAUUGCAUUCUGUUUGUGGGAUCCUGGAAAAAAUAAAAGAAAGAAAACAGAGUAAGACGCUGGUACUGUGGGCUUUAAUAUUUUUCUAGAUGCUUCAAUGGCAGAUUCUCGUUGGUUCAUUUUUCUUUACGCCUUAGAUUCUAUGAUUCAAUUUCAAUCAAAUAAGACAAACAAAAGAAGCUUUUAAGCCUGCAGCUCAAAAAGAUGGCACUUUAAUUUUCGGCUGAACAUACAUAUGGCAAGAUUAUUAUUAUUGAGCUUGAUAAGUGGGGAUAGCAAAAUCCGAAUUCGGAUGUAGGUGCAUUCGGAUUUGGAUUCGGGAAAAAUUAUGUGGAUGUGGAUUUGGAUGCGGGUAAUAUCUGCACGAAUUGCGGGUGAAUAUUCUAAAUAUUUAGAUCCGCAUAAUAAUAAAUUUAAUUUUAAUUUUAAUAAUUUACAUAAUAAUAUUAAAUAUAAUAUAAUUAUACUUUAACAAUCAUUAAUUUAACAUCAAUUCAACAUAAAUACCAUACAACAACACCAUAAAUUCACAAACAAUAAUUUCACAAUAUAAAUCAAACAUAAAAAAUAAAAAUAAAAAUCUAUGGUAAACCGAUUUAUUACAAUAUUCUCUAAUUAUUAUUAUUAUUAUUAUUAUUUGUUUUUUAAUAUAUUCAUAGUUAAUGAAGAUUAUAGAGUUAAUUAUGCUUAUACAUUUAUAUAAAUAAUUUAAUUUAUAUAUUUUCAAUUGAAAUUUAAUUAAAUAAAUAAUUUAAUUAUAAAAUAAUGCAGAUCCGGAUAUCUAAUUUUUCGGAUGUAAAUGCAUCCGGAUCCGUACGGAUCUUAAUUUUUAAGAUUCGGAUUCUUUUUUUUUAACAUACAGAUUUAAAUUUUUUUGAAUUCGGAUCUUCUGAAUCUUUGCAGAUCCAGAGUUUAUUGCCAACCCUAAAUUGAUAAGGCUAUAGAAAAUUCAAUAUCCAGAUCGGAUAAGGAUCCAAUAAAUUAUAAAAUAUUGCGGCUCAAAGCCCAUAUGAUCAUGGGCCACCGCUUGCUCAUGCUUUGAAUCAAAAUUUUCUAAUGAAGUGAGGUUGGAAGCUAAAAGGGGCAAAUGAUGAAAUGGGGUUCAUCAUAUAUUGAGCCCAACGGGACAAGAUCAUCAUUUAAUUCCCUCCUCUUGUCGAUAGAUAUUUGCCGAAUUUUUUCAUUUAAAAAAUAUUAUAUUGGUUAAUAGAAUUUGAAGUUUUACAAAAUAUAAGUUUAAUUUAAAAAAAAAUUAUGUUUGUUAAUUUAAAAUUUUCAUUUGGUGGUUGUGUUUGAGAAAAAAUUUAGGUAUACUCGGAUAUACUCUCUUAUUAUUCAUUGAAUUUGGGUAUUUAAACAUACUAGUAUGUAGUAUUUUUAGGUAAUUAGCAGAGAAGUAUACGUGACAAAAAUAUAACACGUGAAACAAUACACAAUGAAAUUAUCUACAAUUUUCCAUUGACUUAGUCAACUCUUCAUUAAUUUCAUUGACUUGAUCAACUCAUGAUCUAACUUGACAACUUAAAAAUUAAAUUAUGCUAGUAAUUCCGUAAAAUUAAAAUUUAUCUCCCAAAAUUGAUAAAUACCAUGUCACUUUGUCAAAUUACUUAGGGUAAAAACUCUGUGGCUAAAAACUUUUAACAUUAGUUGUAUGCUAAUUGAGAAGGACAAGACACAAAAGAAUUAAAUUAAUGCCACAUCAUGCAACACUAACACUACUUACUCUUAACAAAUUCUUACAAACGUGAUUCAUGAAAUUAACUUGACUUUUUGUCUAAAAAAGGCCUAAAGAAUCAUGCCAAGCAACAAAUAAAGUAGUCCAAACGUGAUUCAUGAAACUUGAUAGGCACUAUCUAAAUAGUAUUAAUAUGGCCACCAAAAACAUGCGCGCAAAAUAGACUUUCUUGGACGAUCCAUGCCAAUCAGCAAAUAAAGUAGUCCGAACGUGAUUCGUGAAACUUGACUUCUUGUCUAAAAAUGCCUAAAGAAACAAGACCACAAUUUCCAUGCAAUAUCAAUAUGGUGGCCACAAUGCACUUUUUAAGCCAUUUUUCAAAACUAAGUUUCUUCGUUUCACAUGCACUAUUCAAGCAAUUUUUCAACAUUUUCUCCUUCCCCUAAAAGCUACAUGCAUGAAUCAUGUCCCAAUCAAUUUCUUGGCAAAAAUUGGAACGCAAGAACCGAUUGGAGCAUAAGGACAAUGUCACGAUUCAAGAUUCUCAGCAAGACCACGUCACAAUGCAUCACUUUUGGAAAGUAAUCUAGCAAUUUCCAAUGCCUUAGCUGAUUAAUGGCUUGACCAUGUCACGAUUGGUCCACAUUAUGCACAUGGCAAGAUCAAACAAAAUAUCACAGCUAGCUCGACGACUACUAGCCAAAAUAACAAGACAAUGACGGCCAGUUACAAACUCUUUACGAAGGAAAUACCGAAAUAUGAAUUUCCCUCCUAAUCACUUUCUUAUAUUAUCAUUAUUUUGUACAUAUAACAGAACACGUUCUCUCUUGUAAAGAAGUCAACAAAACGGUUUUAGUUUUCAUAUCAAUAAUAGAAUCCAAAAUCUUUCACAGCUUGCUUCUCCUUUGGACGCUUGAAAGACUUUCUUACCUGGCUAAAACUGUGAAAAUUGUUCAAACUAAUUUGAUUGAUAACUUUCUGACACUAUAAUGUAUUAUUUAUAUGAAGGCUACAUUUAAAUGUGAAAUAAAAAUGAGUGUUUAUAUUAAAAAACAAUCAGUCUCAUUGCGUCCUCUUUCAUUGACAUAGGCAGUUUGCGGUCAACCCUUUAUUAGGUCAUGACUGUCCGAUUGUCUUCGCUUUCAUUGACUUCGCAACUGUGAAUUCUAAGCCGGGUUAACGAUUGACAAAAUGUUAUAACCCAUAAAGCACGGAUAAUUAAUUAAUGGGCCACUGAUUUCUUCUUUAAAGGCUAAUUCUUGGUAAAGAUCAGAAAGUUCUCAAAUAAAAAUUCGGCUUUGUGGAAAUUAAAUUAAAAGCAAUUAAGCAUUAUAAAUUACUUAACAGCUUAAUCGAGUUUGGUUUUGAAAAAUAUAUCCUUAAAUCUCUUGUAAUUAAAGAUAAUUAUCAUAUUACCGUCUCAAAUGGACCGAUUUCAAUCAAAUGAAAUCUAGAAAAUUGAGCAGCUCAUUGAUGUAUUUGGUCGAAUUGUGACUUGUGUCAGAGUCUUCGUUUUAGAAGAGUGCACAGCAGCUGCCAGGUCCACUCGGCAGUUGGCAGCAAAUUAUCUAACACCACUUUACUAUCAAAAUUUUUUGACAAUAAUUUUUUGUCACUUAAUAUUUCAAUUUUUAUCAUUUUAUCAUCAAAAAAUAGUAAAUGCAUGUUUAGUGUAAGUUAUCCACAAACAUGGUUGUUGAAUUGUCUUGUUUCUCAUUUGGUUUAAUUUUCAUAAAUUCGACUCACACAAUUCAAUUAUGAGUGGAGUUUUUUUGGAAAAAAUCUGGUCUUCCAUUUACUAGAACCAGGUCUGAAUGAUUUUAUUAUUUUUCUUUUGUUUGAAAUAUACGUGGAAAAUGUUGAACACUUUGUAGGAUUUAGAAGAAUUUGAAAGUUUGAAUGCAUAUAGUUUACUAUCCAUCAGCUAGUGCAUAUUCUGUAUUUUAUGAAAUCAAAGCUGGUUGAUUGAGAAAUGGACCUUAUUACAUGUCAUAAGAUUUUACAGUGCUUUCUAAUGGGGCAAAAUAAAAUGAUUCUUAUCUGCACAGAAAAUUAGAAACGAAAAGGAGGGUUACUGAUCCACAGAGUUGUUAUUUACGAGAAGCACAUGGAUAUUACACUUAAUUUAUUAUCCAUCUGUAUUGUUUAGAUGACACUGAAGUAUUACCUAAAUUUAUUAUCCACAAAACUUCUUUUUCAAAAAUCUAUGGUUGUGAUGCGUCUCUAUAAACUCACUCGUACAAAUUCUAUCUAAUGCCAAUUGUUUUAAACCCUGCUCUGAAGAGAGCAUGAAAGGAUAUGUUCACUUAUCUAGUUAUGUUUUUUAUGCUUUCACUUCACUUGAUUAUAUCCAUCACAAGGAUCAUAUUAUAUCCUACGGAAGGAGCACAGUUCAUUGGCUGCACUCAGUUUACAGAGUAUUUCGGGAUUCAAGACUGUAGGUUGUUGCGGUUGCAACUUGCAAGGCUGUAGCUGUGUGACUGUAUGCCACGCUGGCAAGUGUGCUCUGACGGAUUGUGGAGAUGGCGCCAAAGAUUGUAAACUAAUUAGUACUGAAAAAUCCUAUUUGCACAUAAAAUUGCACAAAAUAAAUAGAAUGAGAAUAAUUGUACAAAGAAAUAAGAUUAAUAAAGUAAAUAAAUUUAUCUUUUAACAAAAUAUUUCUAGUCUUUUAGUGUUUUUGUGUACGUACAAGUAGCAUUACUCAUUCUAAUAAGUAGCUCACUUGAGCCUAGGACUUGUAACUAUGUUUUACCUUUCUGUAACUUUCUUAUAAAGAUUUUUUUUUUUUUUACAUUUUCAAUUUCUCUUCCAUUUUCCCGACUCCCAACACCACCAAUCCUCGGUUUUCUAGAGUAUCAGCUAUCUCUUUCUACAAACACAAAACUGCUAUUUACUUUCAAGAAACAACGUAUUCUGUGGUUUAUUGGCUUGAGCCUUGUGAACCGGGCUAAUGUUGGUCUAACUACUUUCACGAAACAACGUACUCCGUGGUUUAUUGACGCGCACGGUAGCUGCUAAGUGCUAACUGCCUUCUCCAUUUGACGUGCAAAACACUUUCUUGAGUCGGGUUAAAAUUAAUUGAUCAUUUUAUUUGGUGAUAAUGACUUAGUUGUCAAGUCAUGAGUUUGAUGAUGAAGAGGAUGAAAAAUAUUAUUUUAUUAUUUAAAAUAAGACUAUCAAUUAUUUCCAUGGUCAUCUUAUUUUCUAAAAUAACUAAAUGGAAUCUCACAGAAUUAAAGUGCUUGACUUCUUCAUACAGUGGUUGACUUCUUUUUACAGAAUUAUAAAGUGAAAAAGGAAAUUAAGAAAUUAAAUACUUUUCAUGCGAGUGGAGAAGAUUGGGUAGCGAUUACAUGAAAUAAAAGAAAAAUAAUUUAAAAGUACAACACUUUAAUAAUCUCAUUCCCAAUCAUAUCGGUAUAAAAAUUCUGUAGAUUUAUUGAAUAACUAUUGAUUUUACUUUGGUAAUUUCUUUCUAAAAGUGAGGUAAACAUUUUUAUUUUCUUUGCAUUCGAGCUUUCUUUCUUUUGCGCUGGCCUUCACACUCUUGACCGUAUUUCAUGGGGCACAUUCAAUCUCAAUCUACUGCAAGUUUGUGGCAGUUUUGUUAAUAACGAACAUUUGUAGGAUUUUAUGUAGAUGAUACUUUUACAUACAUUUUUCUUUUCUUUUUUUCUUCGGUGAACAAAUUAAAAAUUUAGUUUUUGUCAUCAUGACUAGUGAAAUGAAAAUUGUCCUCAUUUCAAGGAUUGACAAAAACGUUGUGCUCAUACCGAUUAAUGGGGAACUGAUUUCGUCUUCUUAAAAGAGAAUUAUUUGCAGCGCCGUAAUUCGGAGAUUUCUGUAUUAUAUAGCCAAACCUAAGUGAUAAGAAUUUCCAUAUGAGAUAUAAUUUGGAGGGAAACAAAAAACUAAUUCAAGUUAAAGACCAGGAAUUUGUGUUCCUCACAAAAACACUUCAACGUCUAUUCUCUCAUAGAGGGGAAUAUCCUUCACUCUUUGACGUAUCCCUGGGGCAAUGUAAGUUGACUUUACAUUAAAACAAAAAAUAAUUACAAUCACAUAAUUACAAUUAUCAUCACUGAUUUGUAUAAUUUUCAGGACUAGUAAAUUAUCUCAAUUUUUAAAAAACAUAAUUACAAUUAUCGAUCGAACACCACUAAUUCCAACAAUUCAUCCAAGUUUUUCAACUUUUUAGAUAUUUGAUAUAUGUCAUGUUUUAACUUAGUACGAGAAAAAAAAUAUAGAAUAAUUUUUUUUCAAAUUAGUGGAAUUAUUUUACGAUAAAACUAUCACAAUCACAUUGAAAAAUAUUCUUUAAAUUUUCACUAUUUCUACUGUUAUUCUUUAACCUUUUUUCUGAACAGAGCAUGGAGGGUUGCUUAUCUAAAUAUGUUUUCUGUGCUUUCACUUCACUUGAUUCAUCUUGUCCCUCUUUCAUAGCUUCUAUCUCGUGUGAGCUUAGAACCUGCAACUCGUAUUUUACGUUUCUGUUACUUUCUCUUUCAUUUUCCCGACUCCCAAACACCAUCAGUCCUUGAUGUUAUAGAGUAUUAGCUGUCUAUUUGUACAGACAUAGAGCUACUGUUCCCACUGUAGAUCUUCAGAUGGUUAGCUCACUAUUGUUUGAAUAUUAAAAUUAAUUUGUUAAAUAAAUAAAGAAAACAAGAGACAAUUGCCAUAUAUAUUCCAUAUUAAUUAGUCACCGUCCGAUUGUCUCCACUUCCAUUGACUCUGUUGAUUCAUGCUUUCAUGAAGUGAAACGUUUAACACUCUGUUCUGAUCCGCAGGAGAGGAGGAAAAACAUAAUUUUAUUAUUUCAUUCCUGACACGCGCAAAGAGCUUUCUUAAUUGAUGAAUGUGACAUGAAGCUCUAUAAAUAGUUUAAUUUGUAAAAUUGUUAAAAUUUGUUAAAUUUCAUUUAAUUGAUGAAUGUGACAUGAAGCUCUAUAAAUAGUUUAAUUUGAAAAAUUGUUAAAAAUUUAAAUUUCAAGUAAGGUAGAUAAAAUGAUUAAAUUUUUUCAAUAUUUAGAAAAUUAACAUGUGUCAUGUAACUAUGAGUGAAUGAAUGAAAUUUUUGAAGUGCGAAUCCAUUUACAAGUUACGACUUGUCUUGUUUCUCAUUUUACUUAAUUUUCAUAAAUUUGACUCACGAUCAAUUAUGAGUGAAGAGUUUGUUGGAAAAAUAUGGUCUUCCAUUUAUUGUAAUCAGAUGAGUGUGAUUUAAUUAUUUUUUCCUUUUGCUUGAUGUCCCGAAAAUUAUGAAUGCUUUUGUAGGAUGCAGAAGAUUAAAAAUUUUAAUGCAUAUCUAUAGUCAAAACUGAGGAAACAGAACAUUACUGCUUCUAUAAAUAGGUCAUUUCAACCUAAAACUUGUUACUUGUAUUUUACAUUUUUUUUUUUUAACUUUUUCUUCCAUUUUCCCAAACACCACCAAUCCUUGAUUCUUUUCCUAGAGUAUUAGCUGUCGAUUGUUACAAACAUAGACAUAUUGUUUGUCUAAUUACUAUCAAGAAACAACAUACUCUAUCCUGGGGUCUCUUCGUUUAUUUAAUAUUUAGGUUUAUUAAUAUACUAUAUUAUUAAUUAAUAAUUUAAAUUAAUUAAAUAAUAAAAGUUAAAUGAUUAUAUUGAAAAUCCAAGUAGUAUUUUAAUGUAAUGAAACCUAAAUCCCACCUCUAUACCACAUUUGUUAUACAAUGUAAUGCAACUAUAAAUUAUAAUUAUAUAAAAAUAAUAUUUUAAUACAAUAUAAUACAAAUUACAAGUGUAAGGCUGUAAUAUUAAUUAGCCUGUGUAAUAGUAUGCCAUGCUGGCAAGUGUGCUAUAACAGAUUGUCGAGCUGGCACCAAUUAUUUUAAACUAAUAUUAGUAAUUAGUCUAGAGUGUUCUGAUUUAUUCUAUUAAUAGCCCAUUUAAGCUUUGAACAUGUGAACUUGUAACGUGUACUGUACUUUUCUAUUACUUCUAAUAAAGAUUUUCUCUAUUCCUUUUUCUUCACUUUCUCUUCCGUUUUCCCGACCCUCAAACACCGUCAAUCCUUGAUUUGAACUGCUGUUUGUUUGUCUAAUUACUUUCAAGAACAAUACCCUCCAUCCCACGGUCUCUUCGUUUAUUGACUUGUUACUUGUGAACAGGGCUAAAUAAAGGGAAAAUACAACAAUUCAAGCCAGCCAUUUAUCAAACGCAUGACAGAGACGCUUCAACAGGUUGUCUCAUGGAAAGAAAUCCUUCAGUCUCUGACGUAAUACUUGGGGCAACGUAAAUUGACUUUACAUUGAACGAAACACUGGCCACAAACAUUAUCAAAAUUAAAUUGAUCGGUUUAACGUAAGUUUUUCUUCAAGAACGAAUGCCAAGAGCUCAAGAAAGUCCUAUCCUUUAGACACGUUAAGAAUUACUUUUCUUUUCAUAAUAAAUUAGAUUGAGUUAAUAAUAUUUGCCUGUGUGAAAUGAAUAAUCAGUUUAGUGUCACCCCAUUAUUAAUUUGUGACUGUCCGAUUGUCUCCUUUUUCAUUGACUUUGCAACUGUGACUUCUGAACCGGGUUAAGAGUUGACAAAAAUGUUAAUGUUAAUAUGUUAUAACUCAUAAAACACGCAUAAUUAAUUAAUGGCCCGCCAAUUUCUUCUUCUCAAAAGAGAAUUUUUGUAGGAGAUUGAAAAAAGGCUAAUUCAUGUUAAAUAUCUUAGAUGAGUGUCUAUCAGGGAUACAAGUCAAGCCACACGAUUUUUCUUGUUAUACUAUUUAUUGGCACUUGUGAAUCCUUGAAUUAUCAAAUGAAUAGCAACAACACUUCAAUAUCUAUUGUUACACGGAGAGAAAUCCGUUCUCUCUUUGAUGUACUACUUGGCAAUAUACAUUGAUCUUUCAUUAAAACAAGCAUUCUCAUAUUGUUGAGAAAAGCUCACGUUAAACUAUUCAAUUUAAUCAUUUAUUAAACAGAUAUUUGGUUUGAUUCAUUUAAUUCAUUUAGUAGAAUUAAUAAACGAAUCGGAUCGAAUCCAGAUUCAUUUAUUCUAUUACGAAUCCACAACGAAUUGAAUAGAAUCGAAUCAGAAUUCAUUUACAAUUCGUUUAGAAAAAUAUAAUUGAUUAACAAAAUUAAGCAAAAUAAAAUAUAAAAAAGCCGCAAAUUUAAUAUCCUACAACAAAAUACAAAUAACACAAACCAUAUUCUAGGAUUAAAUAUACAGUCAUCCAAAUUACAACAUUAACCUUCAAAUUUUAAAAUAAAUAAAUAAAUUUAAGGACAAAAAAAUAAUUUUAUUAAAUGAAUAAUAAACGAAUUUUAAACGAAUCGACAUGUAUUCGAUUUGUUUAUCACUUGUUUAUUAAACGAAUCCUAGACAAAUAUAACGAAUCAAUAUCUUCAAAGCUGGAUUUGAUUUGUUUAAUUAGCGAAUCGAAUCAAAUUAGCCCAUUUAUUAAACGAAUCAAUUUUUUCGAACCCAAACCCAUUUAAUUGGCAUCGAAUCAAAUAAACAAAUCCUGACCUAUAUUGUCACCCCUAGGCUUUUGGUGUUUCUUUGCGUAUUUUUGUGUACAAGUUUGUGUGCAAAUAGCAUUACUUAUCAAUAAUUAGUCUGGAGUGCUCUAAUUUCUUCUAAUAAGUAGCUCAUUUGGGCUUAGGACCUAUAACUAGUAUUUUACGUUUUUGUUAAUCUCUGAUAAAGAUUUUCUCUAUUCUUUUUUUUUUUCCUUUCACCUUCUCUUUCAUUUUCCGAGUCUCAAACACCACCAUUCCUUGAUUUUCUAGAGUAAUAGCUCUCUAUUUCGACAAUCGCAGAACUGUUGUUGAUCUAACUACUUUCAAGAAAUAACGUAUUCUGUGGCAUAUUGACUUGUGAACGGGCCUAAUUAGUCACGGUCCGAUUGUCUCCUCUUCCAUUGACUCGGUCAAUUCAUGACUUUGACCUGCACAGUUGAUACGAACUGACUUCUCCAUUUGACGUGCACAAAACUUUCUUUAGUCGGGUUCAAAUUAAUUGAUCACUUUGUUUGGUGAUGAUGAAUUGGAUGUCCAAUUCAUGAGUUUCAUGAUGAAGAGGACGAAAAACAUUAUUUUUUGAUUUAAAAAAGACAAACAAUUAUUUCGAUGGUCAUUUUAUUAUUAUUUUUUUAAAUAUCCAAAUGGUAGAAUCUUACAGAAUUAAGGUGCUUGACUUCUUUAUACAGAAUUACAAAGCGAAAAAAUAAAGAAAUAAAAUACUCAUCGUGCAAGUGAGAAGAGAUUGGGUUGUUGAUACAUUAAAUAAAAGAACAAUGAAUUAAAAGCAUAACAUUUCAAUAAUUUCAUUCUCAAUCAUAUCAAAAAUAAAAUUUACUGUACAUUGUUGUUCGGUUCUGCAAAAAAAAAAAAAAAAGGAUUUGCGGUUUUGCUUGAGUGUAAUUUUCGUUAAUUACAGUUUGAUUUGAAGGGUUAAGCGCACGUUCGGGUUUCUUUUAUGUAAUUUAAAUCAACAUUGAUAUAACAAAUGAGCUGAGUACGAUGAUGAAGAAGAGGAAGAGGGGUAUCAUCAAUUUAUUAUCAAAUCUUUUCUCAUACAUCACUUUAUCAUUAUAAGCUUUUGACAAUUAUUUUUAUCAAUCGGGGUUCUUGACUUUUUGUUUGAAGUCUAAAGCUUAAUAAUUUUAAAGCAUUUACCAUUUUUAUUUUGUUUUUUUAAUCACUUAUGUCUGAUUAUAAGAUGUUUAGGUAUGAAUAGAAAAAGUUAAAUAUUUUAACUUUUAUCUGAAUGACAAAAUAUAUAAAUGGAUUUUAAUAUUCUCUCUUGUUAAUACCCCUAUUCGAUAAAUUUAUUUCUUGUUAUAUAAAUUAUUGUUUUAUUUUUUUAUUUUUUUAUUUUUUUAUUUACCCCUCUCUUUUGUUAUAUACAUGCAUUCAACUAUCAUUUUUUUUUCUAUGAAUGAGAAUUUUAGACAUAAUAGAAAUUUAGGUGAGUAUGUUUUAUAAUAGAUCUAUCUCUUUGUAUUUACAUUUACUAUUUUAUAAUAAAAUUUUGAAUUUUAUUUACUACAUUAAUUUUAAUUCAAAUGAUAAAGCAAUUCUUGAUUGACUUAUAUAAUUAACAAGAAAAAAAUAUCAAUAUAAAAUACAAAAAAUAGCAUUAUAUUCAAUACUUUAAUAAUCUCAUUCCCAAUCAUACCGGAAAUAAAUUUUUCUGUAUAUUUAUGAAAUAACUAUUGAUUUUUUUUUUUAAAGGUAAACAUCUUUAUUUUCCUUGCACACGAGCCUUCUUUCUUUUGCUUUGGCCUUUACUGUUGAUUUCAAGGUCAUAUUCAAUCUCAAUCUUCUGUAGGUUUGUGGCUGUUUUAUGAGUUACGAUUUUUAUAGGAUUGCAUGUAAAUGACAUAUUUAUAUACAUUUUUUCUUUUCGGUGAAGAUAUUAAAAAUUUAGUAUUUGUUACCAUGUGAAAUGAAAAUAGUCCUCAUUUCAAGGAUUAAUGGGCCACUAAUUUCGUCUUCUUAAAAGAUAAUUAUUUGCAGCGAGAUAAUUGGAAGCUCGAAGAUUUCUAUAUUACAUAGCCAAACCUAAGUGAUAAGAAUUCCCAUAUGAGAUAUAAUUUUGGGAAAAAAAAAACCAAUUCUAGUUAAAGAUAAAAAAUUUGUGCUCCUCACAAAAACAAUAAUUCAAGCCACACAAUUUUUCUUGUUUUAUUUCAAAAACAAAAUUGUGUUCCUCACAAAAACACUUCAACAUCUGGAGAAAUUUUAGAAUAUAUCUGUUGUAACAUGUCAACCAUACAACAAACAAAUAAUUUCAUGACAUGUAUGUAUUUAUUUUAUAAGCUAUCAUUCAAGUGGUGGUUGUAUUAAACUCAAUUACACAUGUCAUGCAUGUAUUAAUUGGUUGUAAUACAACAGAUGUAUUAUAGAAUUAUUCCAACAUCUGUGGUCUAGUAAAGGGAAAAAUCCUUCACUCUUUGACGUGUCCCCAGGGCAAUGUAAGUUGACUUUACAUUAAAAAAAAAAAAAGAAACAUUGUCAUAUAGUUAAGAAAAACGUAAUUUUGACAAGUGCAAGAGAUGGGUAGGACUCAUUUGAUGCAAGAAAAACAAUGAGUAUACGCAAAGAGCUUUAUUACUCUGCAGCCAAUACUUUGAUGAAUGUGACAUUAUUGGUUUGUAUAAUUUUUUGGACUAAUAUUUUAUCUCAAUUUUUUUAAAAAAAUAUAAUUGCAAUUUUCAAACACGAUUAAUCCCAACAAUUUAUCCAAAAAUUUGAGUUUCAAUAAAUGUAGCAUUUAUGAUAGCAUGGCUAAUUUUUUUCAACCAACACUUUAGAUAAAUGAUAAAUCAAUAUUUGACAUGUUACUAACUUACUACAAGAAGGAAAUUAUAGAAUAAUUUUUUGAAUUAGCAGAAUUAUUUUACGAUAAACCUAACACAAUCUAAUUUAAAAAUAAAGUUAUUCUUUAAAUUUCCCGUUCCUAUUCCUACUUUUCUUGUUAUACUACUUUGGCACCGGUGAAGCCUUGAAUUAUCAAACAAAAAGCAAAAAACACUUCAACAACUGUUGUCCCACUAGGCAUUGUUAAAUUCAUACGAUAAAAUGAGUACUUGUAUUAAAAAACAAUGAGUCUCAUUGUGUCCUCUUUCAUUGAUAUAGGCAAUUUCCAGUCAAUUUGUGGCACCCUUACUGACACGUAAAAAACUUACUUACCCCUCACCCAAUACUUUUAUGAAUUUUCAGGACUAGCAAAAUUUUCAAAUUUAAAAGAAAAAAAAUGCAGAAAUAUAAUUUCAAUUUAUCCAGAUAUUUGGGUUUCAAGGAACAUAGCAUUUAUUAUAUGUCAUGUUAAUAUAGAGACUAAUUUUUUUUAAAAAAAAAUUGAAUGAAUAAAAGUAUUUUUUUGAUAAAAAUUUCACAAUCAUAUUUUUUUAAAAAAGUUUUUUUAAAAAAGAAAAUUCACUCCUCUUCUUACAUAAUUUAAUAAUUUAACAUUAUAAAUUAAUCUUUUUAAUCAAAGUAAUAAUCUCUCCUUCGGUGUGCGAAUGCUAAAAUUUAAUAUUAUAGUCGUUGAUGAUAUUUGCGUCAAAUUCACGUGAAUAAAAUUUCUAACAGAAUUAUGAAAUUCGUUACUAGAAAUUUGUAUAAAAGUAGUGAGAAUAGAAGGUUUGAUCAAAGGAAAUUAAUAUAUCCCUAUCCGAUGCAAAAAUUACAUUCUAUUUUCCAAUUACUAAGGUCAGCCUUAACGCAUGCCGGUCUUUUUCUCCUCUACUUUCUAGAAAUUUUGGUUUCACUAUAAAAACUCGGUAUAUAACAAACUUAUGAGUGUUCUUGCAUUACCAAUCCAAUUAAGCACACGCUUACAAUCUAAAAUACUCUCAUCUCAUGGAAAGAGUUCAUUCUCUCAGGAUGAUGAGCAUAUUUCUCCUACUCCAUUGUUUGAUUAUUAUUUCCUUAUUUAUCGCAGCAACAACAGCCACCACAAGUUCUACUAUCACAGACCGAGAUGCUCUGUUAGCCCUGAAAGCUCACAUAACUCAUGAUCCGACCAAUUUCUUGGCCAAGAAUUGGAACACAAGUACUCCUGUCUGUAAUUGGACAGGUGUCGCUUGUGACGUCCAUAGCCAUAGAGUCACAGUCUUGAAUAUUUCAAGCUUAAAUCUCAGAGGCACCAUCCCAUCUCAACUUGGGAAUCUUUCUUCUCUGCAAUCACUCAAUCUCAGUUGUAACCGACUUUCUGGUUCCAUUCCCUCCACCAUCUUCACCAUAUACACACUAAAAAAUGUUAGUCUCGGUAAAAAUAAGCUCUCUGGGCAAAUUCCUACAAAUAUUUGUAGUAAUCUUCCUUUUCUUGAAUUUCUUUCUUUGUCCCUAAACAUGUUCCAUGGCGGAAUACCGUCCACUCUAUCAAAUUGCACAUAUUUAAGAACCUUAAGUUUGGCAUACAAUGAUUUCUCGGGAGCCGUACCUAGAGAAAUCGGUAACUUGACCAAACUUAAGGUAUUAUAUAUUGGCGCGAAUAGACUCCAAGGUGCGUAUGAUGAUGGAGUUUAAUUAUAAAAAUUGUUCCAUGAGUUGUAAUAUGAAUAAUGUUCCAUAAUACACUUCUGAGCCCGAAGUCCUUUCUUUUCCUCCUUGACUCUUCUAUCGUCGAGCUAAGUGACUCUGUCAUGCCGCUUCAAGUAAUACACACGUUGAUUAAUUUGCAGGAGAAAUUCCUCGAGAGUUUGGCAAUCUUACCGAAUUGGAGCAGUUUUCGUUACCAACAAACAAUCUCCAAGUUAUGAUUUUAAACUUUUUGCAAUUUUAUUCUAGCUCUGCUUGAUUCUGUAUUCAUUCGUUUGUUCAUUAUUUAUGCUAUGAUUUAUUGUUUUUCUUUCAGAUAGAGAUAAAGCUCCAUGUCUCCCCUCACUCAUUUCGUUCUUUGAUUUAUGCACAUAAAAAUAAAAUAAAAAUGUUUUGUAAUUUUCUUUUGUCAUAUUGCCACUUCCCUUUUGAAGCUCCCAAUUAAGUCGAUGAAAAUGAAUGAUGUUUCAUUCGUAUUCUUGUCAGCCUAAUUCUUAUAUAAUUGAAGAGUAAAUUGUUAUUAUGAUAUUCGUCAGCCAAUAAAUUCUUUUUUUUUUUCAAAAUAUGAGUGAUCAAAUUGUUUGCGCAUAUAUAAUUUUACUUAAUUUGCAGGAGGUAUUCCACAGGAAUUGGGGAAUCUUGCAAAAUUGGAGAUUUUACAGCUGUUCCAGAAUAACUUGACCGGUAACCAUCUUUACUAUAUAUAUAUGAGACAUCUUCUGCUUCUUAAUUAAAAGAUUUCAAGUCUCUCAUUAUAAAUUCUCAUAUGAGGAUAUGUCAUUACUACAAUCUAACAUUAUUCCCUUUUUUUAUUAGAAAUUAGUUUGUGUUAAUUCAAAAUUUUGUAACAUGUAAAAAAAAUUAAAAACACGUGGAAUAAAUCAUCAAUCUUUCUUCUUUAUUGAAUUUGGAUUUCUAAAAAAUUAUCUUGACAAGUAUGCUUCACUAAUGAUAUGCAUGUGUGACAACUUCAUAAAAUAUUUUACAUGGAGUCAUCAAUUAUCUUUAAAUAAUUGGAGAUGCCAUCAGUGAUACAUAAUUUCUUAACAAGCACCAUAUCAAAAGAAAUCAACAAUUUUAUUAAUCUUAAAGAGUUACAUCUUCACCGCAAUUAUGAUAUAAAAUUUUAGUCAUCAAUCGCAUAAUAUUUUACCUUAACGGAUGAUGUUCAGUCUUGGAAUUUAUAAUACCUUGAAGGUUAGUAGCUUUGAAAAUAAGAACUGUUCAUUUGCUAAAAAGUUAACUUAGUAUUUAAGUUUUUCAAUUGAAAAUUUUGAAAAAAGUCUUGAGAACUGCCCUCCUUAGUAUUUCAGCUGAUAAAUAUGAAAAAUAGGCUAGAAGAAAUAUUGUUGUGUGUGCUUAUUUUACUUGGGCUUUGGGCUUGAUUACAAGGUCGAGCACUAACACCUGUCAUAAUAAUAGGCUUUUACUUUCACCACACGUUCAAUAAUUUCUUAACCUUCCGAAUUAAGUUAUAGCAAUUUAUAUAUAAAUAACUAAAGCAUACUAAAGCGAGCACAAAGUACUCAUGACUUAGGCUUACUGUGUUACCUAUUACACACGGUCGAACACUUACAUCUGUUAGAAUAACAAUAGCAUCCACGGAUCGACUAUCAGUGAUCAAAUUGAUUGCACAUAUGUAAUUUGCAGGAGCAAUUCCACGGGAGUAGGGAAAUAUUACAGGAUUGGGGAUCUUAGAGCUGCCUGAUAAUUUUUUAACCGGUAUCAUUCCUUCAUCUAUCUACGAAUUGCUUUUCUCUAUUAAAUUCGGAACUGUCAUUUAAUAACUUAACAGGUAACUUCCCUUACAACAUGUCUGUGUGACAUGUUUUGCUUUGAAAUUAAAAUAUUUCACGUCUCUCAUUAUAAAUUCUCAUAGGCGGAUGUAUUGUUACUACUAUUUAACAUUAUCUCAUUUUUUUAUUAGAAAUUAAUCUGUGUUUAUGCAAAAAAAUUUAGCAUCUAAAAAAAGUACAAAAACACAUGGAAUAAAUCGAAAAUCUUUCUUCAUUACUGAAUUCGGAUUUCUAAAAAAUUAUCAUGAGAACUUCAUAAAAUAUCUUACAUGGAAUCAAUAAUUAUCUUUAAAUAGUUGGGGAUGCCAUCACUAAUAAAUAGUUUCUUAAAAAGCAUCAUACUAAAAGAAUUCAAUAAUUUUAAUAAUCUUCAAGGGGUACAUCUUCGCUGCAAUUAUGACAUAAUUUUUUAUCUAAAUAUAUUUUUAGUCAUCAAUCGCAUAAUUUUUUAUCUUGACGGAUGAUGUUCAAUCUUGGAAUUUAAAAUAUCUUGAAGGUUAGUAGCUAUGAAAAUUAGAAAUUUUUUAUUUGCUAAAAAAUUAACUUAGUAUUUAAGCUUUUCAAUUGGAAAAUUUGAAAUAAAUGUUGAGAACUGGCCCUCCUUAGUAUUUCAGCGGAUAAAUAUGGAAAAUAGGCUAGAAAAAAUUAUUUUAUUGAAAUAAUAGUUAAAAAUAGAGACGUACAGUACUCAUGACUUAGGCUUGCUGUGUACUUUUUUUACUUGGGGUUCGGGCUUGAUUACACACGGUAGAAUACUUACACAACUCCCCCCAUAUAGGGUUUUACUUUCAUCCCACAUUUGAUAAUUUCUUAACCUUCCCAAUUAGAUUAUAGCAAUUUAUAAAUAAAUAAAUAACUAAAGCACACUAAAGCUAGCAUUGAUGGACAGAUGAGUGGUGUCAAAAGUGUAUCUGUUUUUAUUAGGGUUGGCAAUUUAAGGGCCUGGGCCGGGCUUUGCCAAGCCCAGGACCAGGCCCAUAUAAUGUUAAAUAAGUUCAGGGCCUCUCAAAGCCCAUCCAAGUUGGGCGGGCCGGGCCUUGACCGGCCUCGGGCCGGGCCCGGGCUUUUAUGAAUUUUCAAAUUUUUUUAAAAAAUAAAACUAUAAAUUUUCAAAACAUAAUUAUCCAAUACAUAAUACUACAAUAGGCUAAAAACUUAAAUAUAUUUCUCUAAUACAUGAUUAGCCAACACAAAAUAUAAAAAUACUAACAAUACAAGUACCGUACAUAACAUACAAAUCAACCACUAAUAUAAAAAAAAAAACUAAUAGAGAUUUACCAAUUUAGGAAUUUUGACAUUUUGUGACAAAACCUUUGCCCUUUCCCUUUGCCCCAUUUUUUUAUUGUUUUGUUUAAUUUUUUUUUUCAAUUUUAUAAUAUAUUAUACAUUUUUUUUAAAAUAUAUAUAUAUAUAUAUAAAGCCCUUAUCCAUAAUAUAUAAUAUAUAUAUUAUUUAUUAUAAAGCCCGGGCUUUUCAUUUAGGCCCUUGACUGAGCCCAUAUGUUAUGGGCUUUAUUAAUUAUGAGCCCUUACCCAUACUUUCAAGCCACGGGCCAGGCUUAAAGCCCGCGGGCCUGGGCCGGCCCGGGCUUUUCUGCCAACCCUAGUUUUUAUGUAUUAUUGUUCCCUGAUACAAAUUUGAAUAAUGGAAAAUAUAAAUUUAAUAUUUUAUUUAAUACUUUGUUAACAUUUUAUCUAUAUAUAAUAAAUAAACUGAAACUUGUACUUAAAAAAUUUUUUGGUUACGCAUAUUCAUUUCAUGAUAAAAAAAAUGUCUAUUUACACUAAUUUACCAUUAUCAAUAAAAUGCUUUGAGACAAAUAAUCUAAUUUAUAUUAGUAUAUUUAAAAUACUUGCAUUUAUUAUAUUUUGAAAAAACAUUAUUUGCAAUUAUUUUAAACCUUUGAAUUCAAAUUUUCUUAGUUAUUAAAGUCAAAGGGUAUAAAUGUAUAAUAGUCAAAAACAGAUUUGUAUGAUCAUUUUUCAAUGUAUAAAUUUUCUUAGUUAGUAGGCAAUUAAAAUUUGUUGAUUUACUCAUAAAUAAAUUUAGUGUUUAGCAUUUCAAUUUUGGAAAACUUGAACUAAAUGUUGAUAACUUCGAAUCCAUCGAGCCAAGUUUCGCUUCCUUGACACACAGACCCAUUCGAAGUUCUAUUCGAAUUGAGUUUCCAAGUGCUUAGAAAAAGCAGUUCUUUUCCAUGUCGCUAUAAUUUAUUCACAAAAGAGUUGAUUAGCGUCGAUGUUGCUUCAGAGUCUGAGACCAUGUUAAUUUAUUUUACUGAAUUAAUUUAUUUUAUCUUGCUGUAACUGAAAUACUACCUUUUUUUUUUUUUUGCUAUAACUGGGGCUUGAUUAACUUUAAUAAUAGCAGCCAUAGACUUAGGCUUUUUUACUUUUCACCACACAAUUUGAUCUUUUAAUUCGUUUUAACCACAUAAUCUAUCUAUCUCACACCUAUUGCUUACUUAAAUCGCAUACAUAUUUUACCUACUAAUUUUUACAAACAUUAGUGAAAUAUAUUUUAUUACAUUUUGCUCGUAACUGCUCUAGUUGUGCACUAUUAAUACUUAACUCUCCCUUUUAAUUUAUCGUGCAAUCUAUCAACCACUAAAAUUACAUAUAUAUUUUACCUAUAUUUUGCCCCAAAAAAUAUAAAAGUAAUAGAAAAAGAAUAUGUGUAGCAAUUUGUAUGUAACUAACAAAGCAUUGACGGUGUGUAGCCUUUCAAUACUUCAUGAGUGGCUGUUCUUGUGUGUUAGUACUGGUAAUAAUUGUGUAGUGUAUAAAUGACCUUUUAUUAUUAAAGCGCGUCUGUUGUUAGAUAUUAUUUAUUAUUUGAAAAAUAAUAUGAAUAUAAUUCUUUCAAAAUACAGGGGAGAUACCAACUGAAAUCAUAAUCUCCGUAAUCUGGAGGAGUUGGACCUUGCUCGAAACAAAUUAGUUGGUAUUGUCCCAGCUGCAAUCUUCAAUGUGUCAACACUCAAGCAUCUUGGUCUUCAAGAUAAUUCUCUCUUGGGAUGUCUUUCGUCCAUCGGAGACGUCCGACUUCCAAAUCUUGAAGGGCUUUAUUUGUCGGGUAAUAAUUUCAGUGGCACAAUUCCUAGUUUCAUCUUUAAUGCUUCUAAGCUCUUUAAGCUAUCGUUGCAAAGGAACUCAUUCUUUGGUUUUACUCCCAACACAUUUGGCAACUUAAGAAACCUUAAGUGGCUAUCUUUAUAUGAUUCUUAAGUGGCUAUCUUUAUAUGAUAAUUAUUUGACAUCUUCAACUCCAGAAUUGAGCUUUCUGUCCUCGUUGUCAAAUUGCAAGUGUUUAACAUUUAUUGACUUAUCAAAUAAUCCACUAGAUAGCGUUCUUCCAAAGACAUUUGUCGGUAAUGUUUCUCAUUCUUUGGAAUUCUUUGUCAUGUCCUAUUGUAACAUUAGUGGCGGCAUCCUUGAAGAGAUCACCAACUUGACCAAAUUGACAACCAUUAUUUUAGGAGGCAAUAAAUUGAAUGGAUCAAUUUCGAUUACUCUCGGCAGGUUACAAAAGCUUCAAUAUUUGGGUCUUGACGAUAACAAAUUAGAAGGAUCAAUCCCAGACAGUAUUUGUCGUUUAGCUUAACUGUAUGAUUUGGAGUUGGGUGGUAAUAAGCUUUCUGGAUCAAUCCCUGCAUGCUUCAGUAAUCUGGCUUCUCUGAGGAAACUGUCGUUGGAUUCCAAUGAGUUAACUUCUAUUCCCUUAACUUUUUGGAACCUUAAGGAUAUCUUGUACCUCAACUUUUCGUAAAAUUUUUUGAUUGGUCCACUCCCAUUAAAGGUUGGAAAUUUGAAGGUUUUAGUUGGAAUUGAUUUUUCGAUGAAUAAUUUUUCAAGCGUUAUCCCAAUAGAAAUUGGAGGCCUACCAAAUCUAGAAUAUCUCUUCUUAGGAUAUAACAGAUUGCAAGGAUCGAUUCCUGAUUCAUUCGGUGAUUUGAUAAGCUUGAAAUCCUUGAAUUUGUCUAAAAAUAAUCUCUCAGGGGCUAUUCCUGCAUCUUUAGAGAAACUCUUAUAUCUUAAAGAUCUAAAUCUUUCUUUCAACAAACUAGAAGGAGAAAUUCCUAGGGGAGGGUCUUUUGGAAACUUCUCAGCUGAAUCAUUUGAGGGAAAUGAAUUAUUAUGUGGUUCACCCAAUUUACAAGUCCAGCCAUGCAAAACUGGCAUCCACCACACAUCAUCAAAAAAUUCUCUUCUCUUGGGGAUUGUCUUGCCAUUGAGUACUACAUUUAUGAUAGUAGUCAUUUUGUUGAUCCUAAGAUAUCGACAGAGAGGGAAACGACUAUCGAAUGAUGCUAAUAUGCCAAUAGUAGCAACAUGGAGAAUGUUUUCAUACCUAGAACUCUGUCGAGCAACAUACAAAUUCAGUGAAAACAAUCUAAUCAGCAAAGGUGGUUUUGGCUCUGUUUACAAAGCAAGACUUGGGGACGGGAUGGAGGUUGCUGUGAAGGUUUUCAAUUUGCAAUGUAGAAGAGCAUUUAAGAGUUUCGAUAUUGAAUGUGAAAUGAUGAAAAGUAUUCGCCAUCAAAACCUUAUCAAAGUUAUUAGCAGUUGUUCAAAUGAAGAGUUUAAAGCGUUGGUAUUAGAAUACAUGCCUCAUGGAAGUUUGGAGAAGUAUCUGUAUUCAAGUAACUGCAUUUUGGAUAUUUUUCAAAGAUUGAACAUAAUGAUAGAUGUUGCAUCAGCUUUGGAAUAUUUGGACCUUGGUUAUUCAGCUCCAAUAAUUCAUUGUGACUUAAAGCCCAACAAUGUAUUGUUAGACGAUAAUAUGGUUGCUCAUUUGAGUGAUUUUAGCAUUGUAAAAUUGCUAACAGGAGAAGAUCAAUCUAUGACUCAUACACAAACACUUGCAACAAUAGGCUAUAUGGCACCAGGUUUGUUCAAUAUAAAUAUUUUCUAUUUCUCAUAAACUUCUGAUGGGUGUCGAAGCCAACAAAAAUAAAUUCCUACUCUAAAUAAAUUGUGUAUAGUGAUUGAGCAGGGUCGUGUCGACAGAGAUCGGUAAUUAUUUAAAUCCUUUUGAAACGUAAAACGUAAAAUGGGGGAAUUGUUGACAAUAAUAAAAAUCAAAUUAAAAUAACAAGAAUGCAAAUUAAAGUUGUAAUUCAAAUUAGAGAAAGCUCUGGUUGAAGGAAUUAACUCAGCUUGAUUCGACUACUGAUCAUUGAUUCAAAUAUAGAUUAUUAUUACUUAUGAAUAGACCGGUUAUAGCUACUGAGACCCUCUAAUAGCCAAUCUCUCCUUAACUAGUCGAUAACCAAGGUACGACCGUUGGUUAUUUCCCUAAUCAAUAGACAACCCUAGAUACGAUCAUAGGAUUUAAUCAAUUGACAGCCUAAAAGACCAGAGAGACCCAAAUCCUAAUCAACACAUACGAUGAUUCAUUUAAAUUAGAUUGUUUAUUCUCAUAACACAACUCACUGCUAUGUUAUUUGUCACAAACAUUAAAAUCUUCAUACGAUGAAUCCUUUAAUUAACAAUAGAUUAAGUUGAUAAUUAAAUAGUGGCCAAUUACCUAAUUAACAAACAUAAUCAUAAAAAUAAUUCAGAGAAUAAACAAAUACCCAAAAAGCAAUAAAACAAUUAAAGCAUAAGAAAGAUCUCACAGUAGUGAUGAAUCAAAGCUUCAUUAUCCUUCAACAAGAAAAAUAGAUUUAGUUCUUCACAGAGAGAAGAGAAAAGUUUAGAUCUAGGGUUUCUUUCCUUUUCUCCAAUCCCUUUUUUCACAAUAGAUUCCUCCUUAAAUACUUUCUCUCUCUUCUCAUUUAGAGUUCUAUUUAAAAUAAAAUACUAAUAUCUGAAAUAUUAAAUUCGUAAUUUCAAAAAUAACCAAAAAUACAAAACACGUUAAACUAAAAACUGCAGGUCCGCAGUUGACAGCACGCGCCCACACCUUAUCAAUAAAGUUCUUCUGACUCUCUAAAUUUCUCGAAGAGAACAAUCAUCUUUAAACAUCAUCUUAUAGCUCAAUUUUAUCACAAAUCAAUAGAAUUGCACCUACAAAAGUAAAACACAAGUAAAUCAUUAUUAUUAAGUGCAAAACAUCGAUAUUAAGGGAAGUAAACAAUGCAAAACUAGUGCAUAAAUUGCACUCUAACAAAUUCCCCUACACCAAGAUGAUGCUUGUCCUCAAGCAUAUAACUUAAGACUAAUCACAAAUCUCCACUCAAUUUUCAUCUCAACUCAUCCAAAAACAAUUUUAAGCAAGCAUACCUCAAGAAUUUAAGUCGAUCAACAUUCGAGAGCCAAGGAUUUUAAAGCAUAGAAUCUCAUAAGCUAGAAUAAAAACAUUCAACCAUCAAGAAGAUCCAUUCAAAAUUCAAGUGCAACAAGAUUUAAUAGCCCUCUCAUUGACUUCACUCGAUGCACUCAAAGUGUUUAGGGUGUCAUUUAUGCACUCAAAUCAAAUCAAAGAAUGCUAUUACCAUAAGCUUGCUUAUAUAUCAUAUCUCAAUCCACAAAACAUGAAUUAAAUGCAAAAAUCUAAGGGUCUUAAAAAGGUUGUAACGGGGUUAAAUGGGUUAAAUGAAAAAGAAAGGUCUAUGAAAGAAAAAAAGAUUAAAAUGAGAAGAAUGAACUCAUUGAAUGAACUUCUGAUAUCAAAAUGCUUAUUUCUACUCAAGUCACCAAGAAUGUAAACUUUUUUUUUCGAUUUUUCUUUUUCUUUUUUUUUUUUUAAUCAAACAAAAGAAACGAACCUUGCACAAUUUAAUUCAAGCAUAAUGCUUGUUGAUCUAAUUGAGAAACUUUAAUACAAGGUAGAAAAAGCAACAAAAUAUAUCCAUACAAUGAGUCCAAAAAUCUCCUUAAAUUGAGGCUCAAAAAGGAGAAAAAUGGUUAAGUAGACGGAGAGAAUUAGAUGGGUAAUGGUUAAGGCUCAAACAAAGAUAGCAAAUAAAGGUCUUCGAGUAGAGAAAAAAAAAUACGAGAAUAGAAAAUUGGAAAAUGGUUUGCCCUUAUCAUUUUAAUGCAUAAAAUCCCGUAAUGCGGCUUCAACAUGCAUAACAAAGCAAGUUCUAGAAUAAACAAACUAAGAUUGAUAUUCACAUAACAAAAAUAAUUAGAGCAAAGUGGCUGCUCAUAGGCUCAAAUCCUCACAAAGUUGGUAAAUUUUCCAUCAAAUCAUGUACACUCUUCAAAUGAAUCAACCAUCAAUAGUGGUGUAGAAUGAGAAGAAGGUAUGAGUGAGAUAUAAAAGGAAAGGUAAAAAGGAUAAUAAGCGAGAAAGAUGUAUGUAGUAAAAAAAAUGAAAGAUAAAAUGUGAGUGAUGAAAGAGUAUGAUAGAGAAAAAAAAUAGAUGUAAAUAAUUUGAGAUAGAUGGGAAAAGAGUAGUGAGAGAGAAGGGAAAAGAAAAUUAAUAAUAUAUGAAGCAUACUAACUCCAAAAUCAUUUAAGGAUGAGUAGAGUGAAAAUAGUACUUCUAGACAUCAAUAAUGUAAAAAUCCCUCCCCAACACCAAGAACUUACAUUGUCUCCAAUGUAAGAUAAUCAAAGCUCACAUAAAAAUUAAAGCGUAAGGAUAAAAGAUUAAAGGCAAAAAAAAUUCCCUGAAUUGUGAGCUUUGAUCCACAUAAUGUCUAUGGGCUUGGCAGAAAGGGUGGGGUAAAUCCCAUACUCUCGAAGUAUGCGGCCAAAUUCUGCUCCAUCUUGUUCAGCUUGUGCUCCAUCUUCUCUAACUGAAUGCUGGUAGUGCGGAUGUAGAAGGAAUAGUUGGCGGGCCAGCAGUGUCGUCUUCAAACUCGUCAUUAGAGGUAACACCACUCCUAGCAUAAAGCUUCUUUGGAGGUUGAGUGGGUCUUGGUUUAGUAAACUAAAAUCUCCCCUCCUUGAAUUCGACGACACCUGUUCUUUGAAACACAGACAUAUCCAAAAAUUCCUUUUUGCAAGCAGGAUGCAAAUCAUUAUUGUCAGGAUCAAGCACACAUAGGUUUAUAGCUAACAGAGUAAUGUAUGGACCAAGAAAGAAAGUCCGAUACCGUUUAAGCACACUUUGAAAUUUAUCCGCUAACCAAAAACCUAAAUUAGGCCUCACAUCAUUUAACAUGCACCAGAUAAAAUAAAAUUCAGUUUUAGAGAAAACUCCUGAGUGAUCUUUCUUUCCUAAAAAAUUAUAUGCUAAGAAUCGAUGCACACAUUUCAAAACAGGAUCACGUAAGAAAUAACUCUUUGAUUUACUCAGGUCAUAGGCAUUGUGAUCAACACAUAAAUUACGCCAAAGACCAUAAGGCUCAAAAUUGUCACUAAAGUCACAAGUUGUUCCUAAAUAUGCAUCACUAGAAGAAUAAUCAUCAUCAAGGAAUCCUAAAGCUAGGUUAAAAUCCGUGAUAGAGGUGAAAAAUUUUGUCCCAUUAACCUAAACUUUAUGACAUCUGGGGUAUGCAAAGUAAAAUCAUUCGGUAUAUUAAAUUGAAAAGUCGCAUAAGACUCCUUAAUCAACUCAACAUAACCCAAACAAUCAACAUCAACAAACUUACGCAACCCAAUCUUAUCUAUCAAAUAAUCAAAAUUAUCCUUAACAUUCAAUUUUUCAAGAGUCGGGUAAUUAAUAUACUUAGCUGGAAGUAUUUUGCACGUGGAAAUAUCUUUGUAUCUCUCUUUCUCUUGUUGAGUCGCGAAUGCAAGGCAUCCUCCGAGAUUGGAUUCCGCAAGUGGCAAAACACUCAUGCCUUUUUCAUGUUUCGAUCUUUGUCUCAUGGCUUGGCGUGAAUCUGAACUUGUGUUCCAUGGAACCGGAAUGCGAGCGACAAUCUUAGAUUUCUUUGUGACGGGUAUCUUUUUAGAUGACUUGGAAGUAGAUGCUUUCCUCUUCGGCAUUGUUACAAUAAUUGCACUCACGGAUUUCGAUUUACCCGGCUGGAAUACAGGGCGUAGGCUGGUUGCGUUGCACUUGCUGCUCGACUGGAGCUUGCUGCGCGGGUUGGGGUUGGUUGCGCGCGCAGCUGGUUUUGCAUGCUGGUGAUGCUAGUUGCGUUGCGUGCGCGAGCUGGAGACUCUGGAUCUGCGUUACGAGGCGUGCUCGUCUGCUGUUCGUUGGGACUGUGUUGCGCGCGCGGGAUUGAUGCGCUGCGUGAUGGUGAUGGCCAAAGCUUGCUGCGCGCGGGCUGGUUGUGUUGCAGGUGGGACUGAUACGACUGCUGCUGGUGAAAACAAUAAUCAACAGUGAAUUUUUUUUUUAAUUAGGGAAUUGUAAAUAGUGAUUUGUGGUUUUUGCUUUUUUUGUUUUUUUUCUUUUUUUUUUAAAUAAAUAAAUAAAAUAUAUAUAUAUAUAUAUAAAAGAAAGAAAAAAAGGAAAAAAAAAAUAAAUAAUUUUUUUUUAAGUGAUGAAUCACUUUGAGUCACUAAAAAUUUCAGACGUACUUUUCUAAUAAGCACGUGGGCACACCUUAAAACUAUUUUACUUUAAAAAUUAUAGAAGUACUUAUUAGUUAAGACGUGGGCACGCCUUAUCAAAAAUUUUCUUCUGACCAAAAUAAGCAAACACAUUAAUUUUUUUUUUAAAAAUCUGAAUCAAAACUAAAAGAAGACAUAACAAAAACCAAAAUAAAUAAAUCAUUUGGGUUGCCUCCCAAAAAGCGUCUUUGUUUUAUGUCUUUGGCUAAACACAUUUAUGCAACAAUCUCCAUAAUUGGGACUCUCGAGAGCCACAUCCUCCACAAUAUUCACCGAAAAACCUUCAUAAAAAGGUUUUAAGCGAUGACCAUUAACAUUCAAAACUUUGUCAGAGGUCGGACUCCGAAUCUCAACUACACCAUGAGGAAAAAUAUUAGUAACAAUAAAAGGUCCAACCCAGCAAGAACGUAAUUUACCCGGAAAAAGUUUAAGCUUAGAAUGAAAAAGAAGAACUUUUUGACCAAUAGAGAACUCCUUUCUCAAACUCAUUCUAUCAUGAAAUGUCUUCGUCUUUUCCUUGUAAAAAACUUCAUGCACUAUAGGGUUAAUAAUAUCCACAGAAAAUACUGAAUGUUCCUCACUAGGAUAUUUCAUGGCAUCAUUCAUAUUGAAUUUUAUAACCUCUCCAUCAAACUCCAUAGUGAGAGUCCCUUUAUGUACAUCUAUUUUAGUCCUAGCAGUCUUAAGAAAAGGUCAUCCUAACAAAAUUGGGACAUAAUUAGAGGAGUUAUCAUCUUCCAUAUCAAGUACAUAAAAAUCAGCAGGAAAAACCAACUCAUUAACUUGUACUAAGACAUCUUCUAAUACCCCAUCAGGAUAUGCAUUAGACCUAUCAGCUAGUUGAAUUAUCACGCUAGUUUCUUUUAAUGGACCAACAUUCAAAGAUGAAUAAGUGGAACGAGGCAUGACAUUAAUAUAAGCUCCUAGAUCUAACAUAGCCUUUUCAACUCUAACACUACCAAUUUUACAAGGAAUGGUAAACAUACCUGAAUCCUUGCACUUAGGAGGUAGUUUCUUUUGGAGAACUGCUGAAACAUUCUACCCCAUGUGAACUUUUUCAUCUCCUCUUAAUUUUCUCUUGGAGGUGCAUAGUUCCUUAAGGACUUUAGCAUAUCAAGGUAUUUGUUUUAUAGCAUCUAAUAAAUGAAUAUUUACCUCAACCUUGCAAAAUGUCUUAAAGAUGUCUUUCUCUUGUUCCUCCUUCUUGGAUUUUACAAACUAGCUUGGAAAAGGAGGAGGUAUCACAAUAGGUAGGGGUUUCGUUCUGGUGGGUUGCGCAUCUUGAGAUUUAGGCAUCAAUUCAUUCUUCCCAAGCUCAUCUUCUACAUGCUUUGUCACUUUCUUACUAGGCUCUUGUAACUCCUUCCCGCUUCUAAGGAUGACAGCACUAACGUUUUGCUUUGGAUUCACCUCAGAUUGUGAAGGCAAUCUCCUUAAUACUUGAGACUCCAGACGGCUCACUGUAGUCGCCAAUUGACUCAUUUGGUUCUCUAAAUUCUGAAUGCUUUCUGUAGUUGCCUGCUGAAAUUGUUGAGUGUUAGUCGCAAGUGAUUUAACAAUUUCUUCAAGAGAUAUACUUGACUUGGAGUUUGACUGUGGAGGUGCUGGUUGUCUUGGUGGAUACUGUUGUGGGAAUCCUGACGGUCUAACUCCAUAGCUGAAGUUGGGAUGAUCCUUCCAUCUCAGAUUGUAUGUUGUGCAUAAGGAUCAUACCUCCUCUGAGGCAUGCCUGGAAAUCCUCCAACUGCAUUGGCUUGUUCAACGGGUUCUUCUUGAAGUGUAGGACACAUAUCAGUUGAAUGACCCAUAUUGGAACAAAUGCCACAAGUCUUUACCUGUUGCAUAUUAUCUACAAUAAACUUUUCUACAAGAGAAGUAAGUUUAUCUAAACGUUGUUCAACAGAAGAAAUAUUUACCUCAUUCACCGUUCUUGAAGUGGCAUCUUGCCUGCUGCCAAAUUGUUGUGCAUUGGCAGCCAUAUUUGAGUUCAACUCCCUUGCUUGAGUAAGGGUCUUAUUCACCAACACACCUCCACUGGCAACAUCUAUCAUACUCCUAUCCAAUAAUGAUAGUCCUUCGUAAAAAUAUUGAAUAAGAAGUUGAUCAGAAAUCUGAUGCUGAGGACAGCUGGCACACAAUUGUUUGAAUCGCUCCCAAUACUCAUACAAAGUCUCCCCAGGAAGUUGUCUAAUCCUACAAAUAUCUUUUCUGAUGUUGGCAGCUCUUGAAGCAGGAAAGUACUUCUCGAGGAACUGCUUCUUUAAACCAUUCCACGUUGUAAUCGAUCCAGGAGGCAAGUAGUACAACCAAUCUUUAGCUAGCCCAUCUACAGAGAACGGAAAAGCACGCAACUUAAUCUGCUCUUCAGUCACGCCUUGUGGCCUCAUACUUGAACACACAACAUGAAACUCCUUAAGAUGUUUAUGAGGAUCUUCACCUGCAAAACCAUGAAACUUGGGUAAUAAAUGAAUAAGACCAGACUUUAAUUCAAAAUUUACCUCCAAGUCUACAUAUUGAAUGCAGAGUGGUUGUUGAUUCAAGUCUGGUUCAGCUAACUCUCUAAGAGUUCUUUCUACAGGUGCAGGUCUAUCCAUCACUUGUUCUUCUGAAUCGCUAGAUGAUUCAACUAAAUCAAGUAUUGUAUCAAUUUCAGAAAGCAAAGGCAACGAGGAUCGUUGCUUAGCUCGCUUUGUCUGCUGUCUCAACUGGCGAGCUGUCUUCUCAAUUUCAGGAUCAAACGAAAGUGUACCUGUACGAGAAGAACGAACCAUACACCAAGUAAAACGUAAAAAUGAUUAAAUAAACGACACCAAUCCCUGGCAACGGCGCCAAAAUUUGAUGGGUGUCGAAGCCAACAAAAAUAAAUUCCUACUCUAAAUAAAUUGUGUAUAGUGAUUGAGCAGGGUCGUGUCCACAGAGAUCGGUAAUUAUUUAAAUCCUUUUGAAACGUAAAACGUAAAAUGAGGGAAUUGUUGACAAUAAUAAAAAUCAAAUUAAAAUAACAAGAAUGCAAAUUAAAGUUGUAAUUCAAAUUAGAGAAAGCUCUGGUUGAAGGAAUUAACUCAGCUUGAUUCGACUACUGAUCAUUGAUUCAAAUGUAGAUUAUUAUUACUUAUGAAUAGACCGGUUAUAGCUACUGAGACCCUCUAAUAGUCAAUCUCUCCUUAACUAGUCGAUAACCAAGGUACGACCGUUGGUUAUUUCCCUAAUCAAUAGACAACCCUAGAUACGAUCAUAGGAUUUAAUCAAUUGACAUCCUGAAAGACCAGAGAGACCUAAAUCCUAAUCAACACAUACGAUGAUUCAUUUAAAUUAUAUUGUUUAUUCUCAUAACACAACUCACUGCUAUGUUAUUUGUCACAAACAUUAAAAUAUUCAUAUGAUGAAUCCUUUAAUUAACAAUAGAUUAAGUUGAUAAUUAAAUAGUGGCCAAUUACCUAAUUAACAAACAUAAUCAUAAAAAUAAUUUAGAGAAUAAACAAAUACCCAAAAAGCAAUAAAACAAUUAAAGCAUAAGAAAGAUCUCACAGUAGUGAUGAAUCAAAGUUUCAUUAUCCUUCAACCAGAAAAAUAGGUUUAGUUCUUUAUAGAGAGAAGAAAAAAGUUUAGAUCUAGGGUUUCUUUCCUUUUCUCUAAUCCCCUUUUUCACAAUAGAUUCCUCCCUUAAAUACUUUCUCUCUCUUCUCAUUUAGAGUUCUAUUUAAAAUAAAAUACUAAUAUCUGAAAUAUUAAAUUCGUAAUUUCAAAAAUAACCAAAAAUACAAAACACGUUAAACUAAAAACUGCAAGUCUGCAGUUGACAGCACGCGCCCACGCCUUAUCAACAAAGUUCUUCUGACUCUCUAAAUUUCUCGAAGAGAACAAUCAUCUUUAAACAUCAUCUUAUAGCUCAAUUUUAUCACAAAUCAAUAGAAUUGCACCUACAAAAGUAAAACACAAGUAAAUCAUUAUUAUUAAGUGCAAAACAUCGAUAUUAAGGGAAGUAAACAAUGCAAAACUAGUACAUAAAUUGCACUCUAACAACUUCCUAAUAAGUUAUUUAUAUUUCAUGAUCUUGAUUAGAUGAGGAAAUUAUUAUUAAUGAUAUAUCUUACUAUGUAAUUGUUGCAAUUCAUAAAGUAUGGAAGAGAAGGACGAGUAUCCGCAAAUGGAGAUGUUUAUAGUUUUGGGAUUAUGUUAAUGGAAACAUUUACUGGGAAGAAACCCACAGAUGAAAUGUUUAAUGGAGAAAUGACAUUAAAGCAUUGGGUUAAUGAUUGGCUACCCAUUUUCACUAUGGAAGUUGUUGAUGCUAAUUUGCUAAGUCAGGAGGACAUACAUUUUGUUGCAAAAGAGCAAUGUGUGUCAUUUGUCUUCAAUUUAGCUAUGGAGUGCAUUGUGGAAUCCCCUGAGCCAAGAAUCAAUCCAAAAGAAAUUGCAGCAAAACUCUUAAAAAUUAGAGACUCAUUACUUAGAAAUGUUGGAGGCAGAUGUAUAAGACAAUCAAAUUUAAAUUGAUUCUACCCCUCAUUCAUUGCUUGCUAUCCUUUUCAGAGACUUGAACAAUUAUCCUCCAUAGAAGUUUUGCUGAUAUGUUUUGUUAUUGCUCUUGCUCAUGUUUAUUUCUCUCUUUCUUUAAUUUGCAUGCGUGCAUUUUAGUUCUCUUCCAUGUUCGUGUUGGUUUAUAUGUAGUUUGUUUUUUGGGAUAUGGUUUAUUAUGGCCUCACCCUAAUUAGAUGUAUCCUUUUGAUUUUUAUCAAUAAAGCUUCGCUAGUACUAUCGAGGUUAAUCGAAAGAAAAUUUUCAAUUGAUUUUCUUUUCUUUGACUAGUACUGGAAAUUCUAAUCUUUAUAGUGAAUAACUUCAAUAAUAGAGUGUAAGAGUAUUAGUAGUUGUGGUUGUUUCUGAACCUAGAGUUAGAGUAGUUUAACAGCAACAAAUAGGUCUCUUGUAUUAUAGCCAAAAUUCUUUUCAUUAAUCUUAUUUGUCUACAUUUUCUCCUAUUUUCUUCUUUAAUCUUCGCUCAAGGUUUCAUGCUUCCAUUUUGAAAUGUGAGAUUGUUUGUCAUCCAUUUGAUAAAAUGGAUAUGAGAGGAGCUUUCAAUCAUUACCUCCACCAAAAUCCUUACAAUGCAACUUUUAAAUUUAUUUUUUAAAAUACGUUCAGUUUAAUUUAUAAAAAAUAAAUCCAUUUGUUAAAAUUAAUUUUUUUCUCAUAAAUUUCAACCUAAAAAAUAUAUUUCUUUUAAGUUUUUAUUAUAAAAUACAUACAAGUUCUAAACUAUUAAAUUAUUUUCUUCUUAUUAUAUAGUUUAUAUUUCCAUAACUCUAAACUCCUAUAAUUUUUAAAAAAUAUAUUUUUUAAUUUAAAAUAUGAAUAUAAAAUAUAGAAUGGAGUGGGUAUAAAAAGUUUUGUUAAAAGAAUAAUUCAUUCAAGUAUUUAGCUGAAUUUUAAUUUAAAAUAAGAAAUAAAUUAAUUUAUUUUUUAUUAGUUAAGUAAUUUCAAUUGAAAAAGAGCUUAUAUUAUGGACAUAUGAUUAAAAUUGUCAUGAAUUAAACAUUUUCAUAUAAAUACUAGUGAUAAUUACGGAGAAAGUACGAUGAACCAAAGAAAACUUGAAUAGAAAUACUCCAAUGUAAUUUUACACAUGCAAAUUAUGAACCAGUGAUCUUUAGAGCAUCAUAAAAUUAUUUUAACACAAUUAGUUAGUUUGGAAAAUUGCCAAUAAUGUUUAAAGUGGGAUUGAAAAGAUUAUACUACAAAUAUAAGACAUGAUAUCAUUUAAGAGCUUACAGAUUAUGAGAAAUAUAUUGAUCUUACAAAUAAUAUAAAAUAUGUCAAUUAGAUUGAGUCUAUGCAAUAAAAGUUUCAAAUUAAAAAAUAAACCUUUAUUUUCUUUUAAUCAUAAGUGUGAUCUUAAUUAUUAAAGUCAUUCAAUGUCCAUUACUUAUUCAUUUUUUUAAUUAUCUAAAUGACAUUGAAAACUCUACUCAAUAUUAAUUCAUUCUAGUGUUUUGUUUUAAAGUAAUCGAAAAUUGCAAAUGAAACAAAUGCUUGAAAUCACAAACUGCCUAAAAUUAGAUUUUUAUUUCUUAAUGUUUUAGUGACUUUGAUCUUGAUAUUGAAAAUUUAUUUGUAACUUAUAUAAAGGCCUCGAUUUUAUCAUAAUUGAUUAGUAAGGCUAUGUACGGGAGCAUGGAUAAAUUUUGAGAUUGGAUUAUAUUUUUGGAACUAAAAAAUUAAUUUCAUCCAAUGUUAUGUAUAGCUGUCGGGACUAGCAAAUUAGUCUAAAAUUAUUGAAAUUAUUAGUCUUUUACAUUAUAAUUUUUUCGUUCCCACUUUAAACGUUAUUGGUAACUUAAAUCAUUUUUUAAAUUAAAUAUAAAGUUAAUUUAAUUAAAUAUAAUUUAAUUAAAUAUAAAAAUUAAUUUUAUAAUUUUUUCACCUAGAAUUUUAUAGUAUAUUAAAUACUAAAAUUAUAUUCGAUAAUGUAUUAUCAUUUAUUUAAUAAAUAUUUAGGUUUAUUAGUGUAUCAUAUUAUUAUUUAAAUUAAUUUUUUAUUUUCAUAUAGACAUAAAUUAAUAUUUACUAAUUUAAAUUUAUUAUAAUUUAUUAAAUAAUAAAAGCUAAAUGAUUGUAUUUAAAAUAUAAAUUGUAUUUUAAUGUAUUAUAGCCUAAAUCUUACCCCUAUGAAUUUAUUUUAUCCAUCUUUUAUUGUAUUAACCACAUUUAUAAGGCAGUGCGAUGCAACCGAAAAUUAUAACCAAACAUGAGUUAGUAUGAAAAUAAUAUUUUAGUACAAUACAAUACAAUGUAAUAUAAGCAAACAAAUAGAUAUUUAAUUGAAGCAAAAAUUGCAUAUGGUUUGUCGUCUCUCAAAAGACAGCAAAGAAACCAAUAUGACACAUUGAUUUUGAAUUUGUUGUUUUUCGUGUUAUGAAAAGGAAAAUGCAGAAAACUUAUUUGGUGAGCUUAUUUUGGUGGAAAACUGUACAGUGAUUAAAAACAAAAAAAUUAUCAUUUUCCAAUGUUUACAAAGAAAACAAGAGACAUUUUAUUUCACUUUUACUCUCUGCCAAGGGUCUCACUAUCUUAACUUUUAUAAGAUAGUGUAAUAAAUUACGUGGGCCCAUUUAAUAAAGAAAUAAUCUAAUAAAUAAACUAAUAUAACAAAUAUUUAAAAAUAAUAGCAAUAGUUUAUUCCAUACCUUGCAGCUUAACUACUUAAUAGAUUACCCAAAUUGUUUUAAAUAAAAAGUAAUAUCAUAUAAUUAUUAUACUAAAUUAUUACAUUGUUCGACCCAAUAUGCAGUUAUUUAAAAAUUAUUACAAAUUUUCAUACACUAAUGAAAAUAUUUCAAUAAUAAAGUUACUUCUUGACAGCUAAUAUAAAUAAAUAUAUGAUAAUUAUGAAAUAAUUUAAAAUUUUCUCAAUUACUAUUAUCUUAUAAGUACAAUUUAUUUACAUAAUUAAAAGUUUUUAAGAAAUCAUUAAAAUAUCAUCGUACCUAUAUGCAUUUAUAAUAAUAUAUAAUACAUCAUAAUAUAAUAGCUAAAUAGAUAAAUUAUUUAAUGACAUAAAAUAUAUAUUUAUAUUCAUUGUAUUAUAUUAUUCUUUCAUAAUAAUUUCAUUAAAUAAUUCCCUAUUCUCUCUCUCUCUUUUUGUCUUCAUUUUUUCAGAUAAGCAACCAAACAUCUUUUCACCUUUUUUUAUUUUCAAGUACUGUUUUUAAACUAAGGUACCAAACAUGUUUUUAUUUUUAACAAAAACUAAUCAUUCUUAUUUCAUAAAAUAAAUUUAAAAACACUAUUUAAAAAAUAAUACCAAAUGCACCCUUAAAAACUAUGAGAAAUAUACUGAUUUUACAAAUAAUAUUUAAUAUGUCGAUUAGACUGAAUCUUUGGAAUAAAAAUUUCAAAUUAAAUACUAAACCCUUAGUUCCCUUUUAAUCGUAAUUAUAAUCUUAAUUAUUAAAGACAUUUUAUUUUGUGCUUGUCUUUUUUUAUUCACUUUUUUUUUAAUCAAAAAUAUUGCUCUGCAUGCAAGUCUUUGGUCGCGGGCCUAGGUGUCCCAAACAUCCAGCUGACAGCGACGUUUCCACUUUGAUUAUCCGCACUUCCCAGAAGUCGCAAGGAAAGACCGAUUGAGUAGUUUGAUUGGUUUGAAGAUUCAUGAGACUGCUUUUCACUAGAAUUCCACGGCCUCAUUCAUUUUUUUUUUUAAUAAUCUAAAUGACAUCGAACACUCUACUCAAUAUAAGUUUAUUCGAAUGUCCUGUUUCAACCUAAUCGAAAAUUGCAAAUGAAACAAAUGCUUGCUAUCACAAACAGCCAAAAUGGAAUUUUUGUUUUUCAUUGUUGUAAUGACUUUGAUCUUGAUGUUGAAAAUUUAUUUGUAACUUAUAUAAAGGCUCAAUUUUAUCAUAAUUGGUUACAUCCAUAUGCAGCUUAUAUAAUGUUUAUUACAUCCAUAUAAUCUUUCUUAUAUAAUGUUUUUGUUACAUCCAAGAGAAAGACAGUUACGCUUAGAUCAGUCUUAUUUAAUAGAAUUAUAGGAUAAUAAAAUUGGUUUAAAGAAAUGUGAUUCUUAACUCUUGUAAUUAAAGUUAGUGUUCUUUGAUUUUAGUGGUGUAGGGCUUAUAAGUCUAUGCAACAAUUCUUGGUGAGUUUGAUUCAAUAUACGAUCAUUUUCAGUUCUUUAAAGUCUCAUAAUUAAAAAUUCCGAAAUCAUAAUUAGAAUUUACAAACAAGUCAAAGUGAGUCAAAGCAAACCUAGAAAUUUAAGGUCUAUCAUAAACUUUUGACAAAUUAAAGUUAAGGUGAUUAAUUAAAUGCUAGACAAAACAAAACCUAUAAAUUUACCUUACCACAUGAUGAAGCUAUUUCAAAGAUCUCAAAUUACACACUAAUUAAUAAUUAAUCUACAUUUUUUUCCGUUGUAUAUCGUUGAAACUUCUAUCUUCACAACAUAUUGUUCUUAAUUGGCCAAAUGUAUUUUUGUCUAGAAAUUUGCUAUGAACAAAUUUCAGAAUUCAUCAGAGAUAAUACAAACAACUAAUGUAUUUAUAAUAUACAUAAUUAAACUUAAUAUAACCAUCACUUACAUGAUAGUUUUUCAAAAUAAAUAAACACAUAUUAUAACAUAUUUAUUUAUUAUAUAAUUAAUAUAGUACCUUUAAUAUAUUGUAGAAUUUCUUCUUCCUAUGUUACAGAAAAUGUAAGUAACGGACACUAAUUUAACAAGAAACGUAUAUAUAAGUUUGCCACGUGUAGUCUCAACAUGUGUGUAAAAACCGAAUUAACCGGUUUGCAUUCGACAACAAAGGAAAAUAUUACUUGUUGCUGAUCGAUUGCAUAAUAUUUUAAUUCGACAUGUCUGACUGCUUUGCCAGCUCGUGUGAUAAAAUGGAUAUGAGUGGAUCUUCAAUGCCUCCCGCAAAAUCCUUGUAACACCACUUCAAAAUUUUAUUUUCUAAAAUACACCGAGUUUAAAUUAUAAAAUAUAAAUCUGUUUAUAAAAAUUAAUCAUCUUUCCAUAAAAUUUCAACCUAAAAAUUAUUUUUCUUUUAAUUUUUAUUAUAAAAGGUAUACAAACUCUAUUAUUAAAUUGUUUUCUUCUUAUGAUAUAGUUUAUAUCUCUAUAACUCUAAACUUGUGUAAUUUUUUUUUAAAAAUAUUUUUCAAUUUAAAAUAUAAAAUGGCGUGGGUAUUAAAAAAUUUGUUAAAAGAAUAAUUUAUUUAAGUAUUUAACUGAAUUUAAAAUAAGAAAUAAAUUAAUUUAUUUUUGAUUAUUUAUGUAAGUUUCAAUUAAAAAAGAGUUUUAUGAGAAAUUGAGAGGGGAAAAUGAUAUUCUUAGUAAUAUUAUUAACAUAUGAUUAAAAUUCUUAUUAAUUAAACAUUUUCAUAUAAAAACUACUGAUAUUUAUAGAGAAAGCACAAUGAAGUGAAGAAAACUUGAAUAUACAUACUCCAAUAUAAUUUUACACAUGCAAAUUAUGAACCGAUGAUCUUUAAAUUAUCAUAAAAUUAUUUCAACAUAAGUAAUUAGUUUGAAAAUUUUCCAAUAAUGUUUAAAAUGGGAAUGAAAGGAUUAUACUAUAUAAGACACAAUAUCAUUUAAGGCGGCUUAGAAAUUAUGAGAAAUUUAUCGAUCUUACAAAUAAUAUUUAAUACGUCGAUUAGACUGAAUCUUUGGAAUAAAAAUUUCAAAUUAAAUAAUAAACCCUUAGUUUCCUUUUAAUCAUAAUUAUAAUCUUAAUUAUUAAGACAUCUUGUUUUUUGCUUGCCUAUUUUAUUAACUUUUUUUUAAUGAAAAAUAUUGCGCUGCAUGCAAGUCUUUGGUCGCCGGCCUACGCGUCCCAAGCAUCCAGUUGACAGCGAGGUUUCCACUUUGAUUAUCGGCACUCCCCAGAAGUCGCAAGGAAAGACUUGUUCGAGUAGUUUGAAGAUUCAUGAGACUGCUUUUCACUAGAAUUCCACGCCCUCAUUCCUUUUUUUCUUUUUUUUUUUUAAUUAUCUAAAUGACAUCGAACACUCUACUCAAUAUAAAUUUAUUCGAAUGUUCUGUUUCAACCUAAUCAGAAAUUGCAAACGAAACAAAUGCUUGCGAUCACAAACGGCCUAAAUGGGAUUUUUGUUUUUAAAUGUUGCAAUGACUUUGAUCCUGAUGUUGAAAAUUUAUUUGUAACUUAUAUAAUGGCUUCAAUUUUAUCAUAAUUGGUUUCUAAUGCUAUGUUAGAGGGCAUGGAUAAACUGUGGGAUUAGAUUAGAUUUUAGGACUAAAAAAUUAAUUUCAUCCAAUGUCAUAUUUAGCUGUCGUGACUAAUAAAUUAGUCCAAAAUUAGGAUAAGAUUUAUAAUAUUAAAUGAAAUAUUUUUGUUCUCUUUAUCACUCUUUUCUUUUUCAUUUAAAUUGAAUAUAAACAGUAAUUUCAUAAUUUUUUAUGUAGAAUUUUAUAUUAUACUAAAUAUCAAAAUUCUAUUCAAAAUUUAUUUUAAGUUGUAUUUACUUAAGAUUAAUUAUCUAAAUUUAAUCCAAUAAUUUAGUUGAUCUAGUAUUGAAUAUUAAACAUUAAAAAUUAUUCGAUUAUUUGUUUAAAAUAAAAUUGAAUAUUAAAUAUUGAAAUAAUUAUUUAAUAGCAUAUUAUAUUAUUAAUAUAAUUAUUAAUAAGAAACAUAUCAUUUAUUUGAUUACUAUUUAAAGAUAAACUUAAAUACUAUUUAAAAUCAUUUAAAUUUAACUUAAUAUAAUCCAAUCUAAAAUUGUACCAGACAUGCAUAAUACUAUAUAUAAUUCAGUCUAAUCCAAUUCAAUCUUAAUAAAUAAUACAAUCUAAUCUUGUGAGUCAAAAUUGGCCUAAGGUUACCAAUUGUGCAAUAAUCUUUAUAGCCCGUUUCCCAGCCACACACCCUUUUGUAUUAGUAUUCUCACAGCCGUUGGAAAUAUGGCUCGUAAUCUAACAAAUGACAUUAUACGGCUGUUACUUGCUAGUUUUUGUAAGGUGGCCAAGGCCUUUUAUCAAACACUAUAGGCCUUUUAGUGCUGAGCUAACAGAUUAGUGCUGUCUAUUUCUACAAACACAGAACUGCUAUUUGUUUGUCUAUCCCGUGGUCUCUUCGUUUAUUGACUUGAACUGUGAUAACUAAGGGGGCAUUCCUUUCUUCAAGAGAGUACUACCCAAUGGAGACGUUAAGUAUUAUUUUGUUUUUUUUUCGAAAUAAUAAUGAGUCAUAGUCAAUUGGAUUGAAUUAAUAAUGUUUGUGUCUGUGUGGUGUAAAUUGUAUAAGAAUGGAAUUUUUAUACAUAAAUAUAUUUCUCAUUCAAACUAACGCGACCAUAUUUUAACAAAUAAUUGUCUUGUAUUUCAUAUUAUUUAUUUUAUUAUAUUAUUUUCAUUUUAAUAUAUCAUCACGCUACUCUUCCCCAGUUUUCAUAUACACCAUAUCUGUUUGUGUGAGAUUAAUUUGUACACACUACAAAAAAGGCGGCCUGAUGCGAGGCCGGAUUUGACGAAUAUCUGAGCCGACGUAAAUGAUGAUCGUCUGUCGGUAAUUUGAUUACCUUUCCGUACUUUAUCAAUCAUUGAAUGAUUUUACUGGUUUAAUCGCUUGAUUGUUUGAGUAUGAUCGGUAAUUUGAUCGUCUGUCAGCAAGUGAUUCACCAUUCACUCUCCAAUUUUCAUUAAUUUAGUGUAGCAAAGCUUUAACUAGACAGGUAGAUAACGUGGUCAUGAAAACAUGAUUAAGAGUUUAAUGCAAUCAAAUCUACUUUAAUGAUUAUUUAAUGCACGGAGAUUUAACAUCAAUUAUCAUCACGUUAUUCUAACAACGAAAUUGCAGAGCUUGGAUCUUUACUCGAACAGUUUCACUGGCACUAUUUCUGACACAUUGGGCAAGCUGAAGGAAUUGCAAUUCCUGUAUGAUCAUUUCCCCAACUAUUAUUUGAAUAAUUAUUUAAUGCCGUUCAUUCCAGCUCUGUUUGGCUGUUAACUUUAUUUAGUUAUUUAUUUAUGAGGAGAUUCAUUUCUCACUUGAAUCUAGAAAUUUACGGAUCAAUGACAUUUUAUUUUUUCUUUUAUAUGACAGCUUGCAAUCCCUGGUGUGUACUCAUAGUGCCUUACAUGAAUAAAAAAAUGAUUUUUUUUUUUUUGGGGGGACAAUUGCAGUUCUGAUAACAACUAAAAUCUGUGUGGUCCGGUUACCAGAAAGCCUUGCCCCAGGUCUCUGCCAUUUUCUCCUCCACCUCCAUUUGGGGAAACUAAACUAUUUACUUUUUGCAAGUUUUUCUUGAAAUAUAUAUUUUUGAGAAGAAAACCAACAAUACAUUUUAUGAUUUGGGCUGUUUCAAAGAUCUUUGCUUGAUAUCUCUGCUACUGGUUUUCAGCAGAGCGCCCAAAAUAAUCAGUGCACGCACCAUAUGCUUUAUUAUUAUCAGCAAAAAUCACUGCUGAUAUGUUGGGAUCGACUUUUUUAUUUGGGAGAGGAAGCAUGCUUGAAAGAGUAGAGCGGUGCAUCUUGUUCAAACAUGCACCGUAGAGCCAAUUCCAUUUUAUGAAAUAGGAGUUAGACUGAACAACGUUAUGUCUUCAUUAUCAUUUCAGGAGGAAAUAGAUCAAAUACAGCAAUUGCUGUAGGAGUUGAUGUUUGUGCUGCUAUAUUUUCUUCAGACUCUCAUACCAAGGAAAAAUUUAGCUUCAAAGAAUGGUAUGAUGCUUUGAUUUAUGAAGUAAUUGUUAUACAUUUUGUACCUUCCAUACAUUUUGCUCUGUUAAUAUUAUUAUUUGAUAACAUGCUUGUCGAGUUGCACAGCGUUUAGAAUUUUGAGAUUAAAUAGAGUAUAAAUGCUAUCCAAAUGCACUCCUUUCAUUUUAUACAACUUUGAUUGAUCAUUGUUUCUAAUUUACCUCAGGCAUCAAUGGAGUCUGUCCGAGUCUCCUUUGCUGGGAAAUCAGUCAAAUGACAGCACAGGUGCAUAUAUUCCAAGAGCCAGUAAUGUAAUAGCUCACAAUUUAGCAAGACUAGCUUUGGAGCAAUCUGAAGUUGUACUUUGGAUGGAUAAUAUUCCAGCCCAACAUUUGUAUUUAUUCACUAGUUUUUUUUUUUUUUUUGAAGAGAAAGUAAAGCUUUCUAACUAAACAAACUUAGACAGUAACAAUAUGAUUUGAACUGGAAAGUCCUCCAGCCAAACUACAGGGCUUUCAAAAUCUAAGGCUACUUUGGCCAAUGAGUGAGCUGCUACAUUACAGUUUCUAGGAACGAAUUGAAUUGAUGCUCUGCUCUGGUUCUUUAGACAUGCUUGAAUCUCUUCCACUGCCCAGCAAAUUUCUGCCAUGCUGCUCUUCCUUUGCAGUGAUAGCUCCACCACUUCUAAAGAAUCUGACUCUAUAAUGAUUGGAUUACAUUUUGCUUGGCAGGCAACUUGAAUUCCAAACAACACGGCUUCCGCUUCCAUACAAGCCACAUCACCUCUGAAUCCAGUGCUCUGAACUGCUGCAGCCAAAAUUUUCCCGCUUGAAUCUCUAACCACUACACCUAGCCCAGCCUUCGAAUCUGCCAUUUGAAUUGCUGCAUCCACAUUCACUUUAUACCAACCAAUUGGAGGGGGAUUCCACACCUGUUGAUUAUUAUUGUGCUGACUUGGAACAACUUGGACAUUUGGACACUUAAUUCUCAAGUACGACUCUACAGUUGCUGCAGCCCCGGCUGCUGUCAUUUGGGGAUCUUCUUGCUUACCUUCAUUUACCACUCUAUUUCUUGCAUACCAGAUAGCCCAACAAGUUGCAAUUAUCAGCCCCAAAUCAUCUUUUUUCCUCUUCCCGGCUAAAUCUUGAAGAAUACUCAGCAUAUCCUGGUGAGCCAUUAGCUUUAUAUCCUCAUAAAAUUCUGUCAACUUCCACACCUUCCUAGUAGCUCUGCAUCCCACCAAUGCAUGAAAGACAUCACUAGUUGAAUGCUUAAAAGGGAGACAUUUUUAUCAAAAAAAGAAAAAAAACUUCAAUUGAGUUGCUAUCUAUUUAACUUUGGCAAGUGAGAGAGAGGGAUGGGACUGUCCAAUUAAAAUUAAGUUUCAAAUGGUAAUCCCAUCAUUGUCGUCUCAUGUUUGUCAAAUUCAAAUUUGAAAAUAUCACCAUGUUUGUAUGGUGAUGUUGUGGGAUUGUCUCGCCUAGGCUUUUAGCCUUACGACCUCCUUUAUUAGAAAAAAUCUUUGGUGUUCUUACUCAAUGGUAGAAUCAAAAUUUUACUUCAAUGGAAGCCAUAAUGAUUAAAAUAUAUUCUUAUUAAAUUUGAUCAAUUACUUAUUUGAUGUUGCUCUCUCUAUCUACAUCUCCUUCUUUAUGAAAAAAAUUAUUGUAAUACAUGAAAGUAAAUAUUGCAUUGAAUAAAAUGAAAUUGUUCAAAAAUUAACAAAUUCAGCUUUAUUAUAAUCUAAAACAAAGUAAAUAGAAUAAUAUCCAUCAUGUAAAAAUAAAAAAAAAUUGUACCACUUUGAAUCUAUUUUAAUUUUUUUGGUCAAAUCUCAAAAGCACAAACCUUGAACGAUAAUAAUAUGUAAAAGCUAAUAAUCUUAUAAUAAAAAGUAAGAAAAAAAUAAAAUUGAUUUAGCAUGUAAGAAUAAAAAAAGAAAAAUAGAAAGAGAGAGAAAUUAGUUUAGGCUUUAAGCAUUGUUAAGUUCGGAGAAAAAUAAUAAUUAACUAAGAGUAAUUUUAUGACUUUUUAGAAAUGAGUGAAUUAAAAUAAUAAGUUAAAAUUUAAUAAUUAUCUUAAUUAAAAAAAUAGGUAUUGAAAUAAAAUUAGUGGAUUCAAAUAGCCCACCCAAAAUCUAAACUUGCAUACCAAUUAUUUUCUAAUUUACAUAAAGUUUUUCUUUAUGUUUGAUAACACUUGUUUCUCAAUUGGUCUAACGGAGAAACAACCAGCUAAAAAAUAAAAUGAAUGCAAUUAAAUGGAAAUUUGAAAAAGAGCAGUAUGUCACGGGAUGAGUGUUUUGCGCAGCUAACCCGUGCGGCACUUAGACAACUUUGCCGAAUGUUGCUAAGUAAGCCUAGAGCUUCUCGAACUAGAGAAGAGAGCAAUUGAGCCAAAGAAGAAAACUUGUAUUGCACAAAGAGAGAAUACAAUGCUUGAGUUGCUUACAAAGCUUGUUGGAUACAAAUGCCUAAUGCCAUCCCAUAUUUAUAGGGGAGGCUUGCCAAGCUCUAGAGAUUCUAGAGAAUUCUACCACUUCCUAGCUAUUUACAUGUGCUGGAAUUCUAUGGAGAAUUCUAGAGUUGCUUAGAACUUUCCGGAAUUGAGCCAAGCUAACACUCUUGGCCUUGUGUUGGCUCUCUAGCCCAAAAUUGUGAGCAAUUGGGCUAGCGAUUUGGGCGGUCCGCAACAAGUAGGUGACAUUUUUGUGCAAGCAAAAUUGCAUUCUGUUUGUGGGAUCCUGGAAAAAGUAAAAGAGAAAACACAGAAUGACACUGAUAUUGUGUUCUUUAAUAUUUUUCUAGUUGCUUCCAUGGCAGAUUCUCAUUGGUCCAUUUUUCUUUACGCCUUAGAUUCUAUGAUUCAAUUUCAAUCAAAUACCACAACCAAAAGAAGCUUUUAAGCCUGCAGCUGAAAUAGAUGGCACUUUAAUUUUCAGCUGAACAUAUAUAUGGUAAGAUUAUUAUUAGUAUCGAGCUUGAUGAGGCUAUAGAAAAUUCAAUAUCGAGAUCGGAUAAGGGUCCAAUAAAUUAUAAAAAUAUUGCAGCUCAAAGCCCAUAUGAUCAUGGGCCACUACUUGCUCAUGCUUUGAAUUAAAAUUUUCUAACGAAGUGACGUUGGAAGCCGAAAUGGGCACAUGAUGAAAUGGUGUUCAUCAUAUAUUGAGCCCAACGGGACAAGAUCAUCAUUUAAUUGCCUCCUCCACUUGUCGAUAGAUAUUUGCCGAAUUUUUCUAUUUAAAAAAAUAUUAUACUGGUCAAUAUAAUUAGAAGUUUUACAAAAUAUAAAUAUAAUUUUAAAAAAAUUUAUAUUUGUUAAUUUAAAAUUUUCAUUUGGUGGUUAUGUUUGAGAAAAAUCUUAGAGAUACUAAGAUAUACUCUCUUAUUAUUUAUUAAAUUUAGGUAUUUUGACAUAUUAGUAUUCAGUAUUUUUUGGUAAUUAGCUGAGAAGUAUAUGUGACAAAAAUUUAACACAUGAAAGAAUACACAUCGAGAUUAUCUAAAAUUUUCCAUUGACUUAGUCAACUCUCCAUUAAUUUCAUUGACUUGGUCAACUUAUGAUCUAACUUGACAACUUGAAAAUUAAAUUAUGCUAGUACUUUUGUAAAAUUAAAAUUUAUCUUCCAAAAUUGAUAAAUACCGUGUCACUUUGUCAAAUUACUUAGGGUAAAAGUUCUAUAGCUAAAACAUUUAAGAUGAGUUAUAUGCUAAUUGAGAAGGACAAGACACAAAAGAAUUCAAUGGGGCAAAACUAUGUUACAACUGUGGUAUGGUACCACAGUUGCUUUCAGUCGGUAGAUCCACAGUUGUACAGUUACAUUAGUUAGAUCUAAUGGUUGAAAGUAACUGUGAUACCAUACCAUAGUUGCAACAUAGCUGGACCCAAUUCAAUGAAUGCCACGUUAAGUAACGUUGCUUACUCUUAACAAAUUAUUACAAACGUGAUUCAUGAAACUUGACUUUGUGUAUAAAGACGACCUAAAGAAACAUGCCAGGGCAACAAAUAAAGUAGUCCAAACGUGAUUCAUGAAAACUUGAUAGGCACUAUUUAAAUAGUAUUAAUAUGGCAACCAAAAACAUGCGAGCAAAGUAGACUUUCUUGGACGAUCCAUGCCAAUCAACAAAUAAAGUAGCCCAAACGUGAUUCGUGAAACUUGACUUUCUGUCUAAAAAGGCCUAAAGAAACAAGAUCAAAAUUCCAUGCAGAAGCAAUAUGGUGGGCACAAUGCACUAUUUAAGCCAUUUUUCAAAACUAAGUUUCUUCUUUUUCACAUGCACUAUUCAAGCAAUUUUUCAACAUUUUCUCAUUCCCCUAAAAGCUAACACGCAUGCGUGAAUCAUGUGCCAAUCAAUUUCUUGGCAAAAAUUGGAACGCAAGAACCGGUUCGAGCAUAGGGACAUUUUCACGAUUCAAGAUUCUCAGCAAGACGGCGAGACCAACGUGCAUCACUUUUGGAAAGUAAUUUAGCAAGUUCCAAUGCCUUAGCUGAUUAAUGGCUUGACCAUGUCACGAUUGGUCCCCUAAAAGCUAACACGCAUGCGUGAAUCAUGUGCCAAUCAAUUUCUUGGCAAAAAUUGGAACGCAAGAACCGGUUCGAGCAUAGGGACAUUUUCACGAUUCAAGAUUCUCAGCAAGACGGCGAGACCAACGUGCAUCACUUUUGGAAAGUAAUUUAGCAAGUUCCAAUGCCUUAGCUGAUUAAUGGCUUGACCAUGUCACGAUUGGUCCACAUUAUGCACAUGGCAAGAUCAAACAAAAUAUCACAGCUGGCUCGACGACUACCAGCCAAAAUAAGAAGACAAUUACGGCCAGUUACAUCAUUAUUGCUAGUAAACUCUUUACGAAGGAAAUGUGAAUAUCCCUCCUAAUCACUUUCUUAUAUUAUCAUUAUUUUGUACAUAUGACAGAACAUGUUCUCCCAUGUAAAGAAGUCAAGAAAAUGGUUUUAGUUUUCACAUCAAUAAUGGAAUCCAAAAUCUUUCACAGCUUGCUUCUCCUUUGGACGCUUGAAAAACUUUCUUACCUGGCUAAAACUGUGAGAAUUGUUCAAACUAAUUUGAUUGAUAACUUUCAGACACAAAAAUGUAUAUGAAUGCUACAUUUAAAUGUGAAACAAAAAGGAGUACUUAUAUUAAAAAACAAUCAGUCUCAUUGCGUCCUCUUCCAUUGACAUAGGCAAUUUGCGGUCAACUUGUGGCACCCUUAUUGACACGUAAAUAACUUACUUACCCUGCAGCCAAUACUUUUAUGAAUUUUUAGGGUUGGUAAAUUUUUCAAAUUUAAAAGAAAAAGUACAGAAAUAUAAUUUCCAUUUAUCCAGAAAUUUGAGUUUCAAGGAACAUAGCAUUUAUGUUAAUAUAGAGAAGAAAUUUUUUAAAAAAAAAUUGAAUGAAUAAAAGUAUUUUUUGAUAAAUAUUUGACAAUCAUAUUUAAAAAAAAAAGUUUUUUUAAAAAAAAAAAUUCACUCUUCCUACAUAAUUUAAUAAUUUAACAUUAUAAAUUAAUCUUUUUAUUCAAAGUAAUAAUCUCUCCUUCGGUCUGCAAAUGCUAAAAUUUAAUAUUAUACCAUAUGAUGUAAUAGCAAAUCUGCAUGAAAUCUGCAUUUAGUCAAUAACUAUGAAAUAUCGAUACGUGUUUGAAAAAACUCUUAAAAAUCGGUUUCCACCUUCAUUAUUAUAGCUCUUGUAUAAACCAACUUGGCAACAUAUGAUUGAUUAAUAUAAGAAUAAAUAUUUAUUAAGUGGGUUCUACCAUGUUUUUAAUUCACCUAAUGAUAAUAUGUCACAUCAAUUUGUACAACAAUAUUUGUGACUAUAUCAUUACUCGUUAAUUAAUAUGAACACUAAUUUAUUCUUCUUGAAAGAGAAUUACUGCAGCGAGGUUUGAGGCUCAAAGAGUUCUCAUUUAGCCAAACAUAAGAGAUGAGAGUUCACAGGAGACGUAAUUUGGAAAAUCAAUUCCAUCCAAUAGGCAAUAGGUCUCAGUGGGUUUGACUCAGUAUACGAUUAUUUUCAAUUUUUUAACGUCUUGUAAUUACAAAUUCCGAUAUCACAUUAUAAUUUUCGAACAAAUCAAAGUGAGUCAAAUCAAAUUUAGAAAAUUGAGAAAUUUAAGAUGAUUAAGUAAAUGCUAGACAAAAUCUAACUUGUAAAUAUACCUUACCACAUGAUGAACGUACUUAAAGAUCUUAACUGAUUGCUAACCAAUUAAUUGUUGUUUUACAAUUUUUAUAUAUCCUUUCUUUUCCCUAAAACUUCUAGUUUCCUAACAUAUUGUUCUCAAUUGGUCUAAUUAUAAUAUAAUUUUUUUAAAUAUAAAUAAAAUGAAUUUAUUUACUGGAAAUUUGAAAAAGAGGCACUUAUCUAUGCAAGCAAAGUUGCAUUCUGUUUGUGGGGACCUUAAAAAAAAGAAAAAAGAAAAAAGCAUAAUGACACACUGAUGACGACAAUCCUGAAGUAUUUGUUUUCUUUAGUUACAGUUUGGUUUGAAUGGUUAAGUUCAAGUUCGAAUUUUCUUUACGUAAUUUAAAUUAAAAUUGAUAGAACAAAUGGGCUGAUCAGUAAGAUGAUGAAGAAGAAGAAGAAGAAGAGGGGAUGUCUUUGAGGAUGAAGAGAAAGAAAGUUCUCGAAUAAAAAUCCGGCUUUAUGGAAAUUAAAUUAAAAGCUAUUAAGCAUUGUAAAUUACUUAACAGAUUAAUGCUGAGCUAAUCAAGUUUGUUUCUGAAGAUGAUACCUUUAAAUCUCUUGUAGUUAAAGAUAAUUAUCAUAUCACCAUAUCAAAUGGACCGAAUUCAAUCAAGUGAAAUCUAGAAAAUAGAGCAGCUCAUAGAUGUACGUGGCUAAGUCGGGGUUCAUUUGGAAGUACUUGGUCGAAUUGCGACUUGCAUCGGAGGCUUCGUUUUAGAAGAGUGCAGAGCAGCCGCCUUGUCCAUUUGGCACGCCAACGACUUUCUAUUGACCAAUAAUUUUGAAAGCGAUAUUAUUAAUUUACCAUCUAAUAUAUUUAUGAUAUUAUCAUUUUACUAUAAUAUUUUUUUGAUAUUAUCAUUUUACUAUCAAAGUUUUUUGACAAUUAUUUUGUUCACUUAAUGUUUUAGUUUUUGUUAUUUUACUAUCAAAAAAUGGUAAACGCACCCCUAGUAUCGGUUAUACACAAAAAUGGUUACCGAACUGUCUUGUUUCUCAUUUUGUUUAAUUUUCAUAAUUCGACUCACGAUUCAAACGUAGGUGAAGAGGUCUUUUGGGAAAAAUCUGGUCUUCCAUUUACUAGAAUAAGCUAUGUGUGAUUGUUUGACCGCAUAUGGCUUUCUGUCCAUCAGCUAAUGCAUAUUCUGCAUUUUAUGAAUAUCAGAGCUGGUAGAUUGAAAAAUGGACCUUAUUACAUGUCAUAAGAUACUUUGCUCAAAGCUGCAAUUGGGCAACGCCGUGCUGUUCGUAUCGGCCAAGGCAAGCCAUUUACUAUUCUUUCUAAUGGAGCAAAAUACGAUGAUUCUUACCUGCGUAGAGAAUUAGAAAAGAAAAGGAGGAUUACUGAUCCACAGAGCUGUCAUUUACUAGAAGCACAUAAAAUCUUACACUUAAUUCAUUAACCAUAUGUAAUGUUCUAAUGAUACUUAAGUAUUACAUAAAUUAGCCUUUCAAAAUUUCACUUCGAAAAAAUCCAAGGUUGUGAUGUGUCUGUAUAAAUUCGCUAAUACAAGUUCUCUCUAUUCCCAAUUGUUUUAAACUCUGUUCUGAACAGAGCAUGAAAGGAUAUAUUCGUUUAUCUAGUUAUAUUUUUUAUGCUCUCACUUCACUUGAUUCACCUUCUCCAUCUUUUAAAACAGUUGUAUAUGUCGGAGUAUCAAGUUCAUCACAAGGAUCAUAUUAUGGCCUAAGGAAGGAGCACAGUUUAUUGUCUGCACUCAAGCUUAGCAGAGUAUUUUGGGAUUCAAGAGUGUUAGUAGGCCGUUACAGAUGCCAUGCUGGCAAGCGUGCUAUGACUGAUUGCUAUUUGCACGUAAAAUUUGCCCAAAACAAAUAGAAUGAGAAUACUUGUACAAAAGGAUAAGAUUAAUAAAGUGAAUAAAUUUUAUCUUUUAGUGAAUGCUUCUUGUCUUUUAGAAUUUCAGUGCAUUUUCGUGUGUAAUUUUAUGUGCAAAUAGCAUUACUCAUUAGUAAUUAGUCUAGAGUGUUCUAAUUUCUUCUAAUAAGUAGCUGAUUUGAGCUUAAGACUUGUAUUUUAAGUUUUUAUUACUUUCUAAUAAAGAUUUUCUCCGUUCUUUUUUACUUUCACUUUCUCUUCCAUUUUCCCGACUCCCAAACACCACCAAUCCUUGAUUUUCUAGAGUAUAGCUAUGCAGUUCUACAAACACGAAACUGCUGUUGGUCCAAUUACUUUCAAGAAACAACGUACUCUGUGGUUUAUUGACUUGUGACAUGGGCAAAUUAGUCACGGUCCGAUUGUCUCCUCUUCCACUUACUGUCAAUUCAUGACUUUGGCACACAGUAGACGCCAGCUGCCUGCUCCAUUUGACGUGCAAAAAACUUUCUUGAGUCAUGUAGUUAAGAGAGACUUAAUUUUGAGAAGUGCAAGAGAUUGGUGGGACUCAUUUGAUUCAAGAAAAACAAUCAGUCUCAUUUGAUACGCAAAGAGCUUUUCAACUCUGCAGCCAAUAUUUUGAUGAAUGAGACAUUACUGGUUUGUAUAAUUUUUUGGAUAUUAUCUCAAUUUUACUUCUGUAGGUUUGUGGUUUGUAUAUUACCUCAAUUUUUAAAAAAAUGUAAUUGCAAUUAUCAAACACGACUAAUCCCAACAAUUUAUCCAAAAAAUUUUGUUUCAAGAAAUGUAGCAUUUAUGAUAGAAUGGCUAAUUUUUUCAAUCGACUUUCUGGAUAAAUGAUAAUUUUUUGAUAGAAAUGUUAAUUACUUAUUACAGGAAGAAAAUUAUAGAAUAAUUUUUUGAAUUAAUAGUAUUACUUUACGAUAACACUAUCACAAUCUAAUUUUUUUAAAAAUAAAGUUAUUCUUUAAAUUUCGCAUUACUAUUCCUACUUUUCUUGUUAUACUACUUAAUGGCAAAAAUAGUUCAUACGAUAAAAUGAGUACUUAUAUUAAAAAAAACAAUCGGUCUCAUUGCGUGCUCUUUCAUUGACAUAGGUAAUUGGCGGUCAACUUGUGGCACUUUUAUGAAUUUUCAAGACUGGUGAAUUUUUCAAAUUUAAAAGAAAAAAAUACAGAAAUGUAAUUUCAAUUUAUCCAAAAAUUUGAGUUUCAAGGAAUACAGCAUUUAUUAUAUGUCAUGUUAAUAUAGAGAAGAAAAAUUUAAAAACUUCUUUUUGGAUGAAUAAAAGUAUUUUCUGAUAAAUAUUUCACAAUCAAAUUUAAAAAAUUUCACUCCUCUUGGUACAUAAUUUAAGAAUUUAACAUUAUAAAUUAAUCUUUUUAAUCAAAGUAAUAAUCUCUCCUCGGUCUGCAAAUGCUAAAAUUUAAUAUUAUAUCCAUUGACAAUAUUUGCUCCCAAUUCACGAAAAUAAAAUUUCUAACAGAAUUAUGAAAUUCGUUACUAGAAAAUUGUAUAAAAGUUGUGAGAAUAGAAGGUUUGAUCAUAGGAAAUUAAUAUAUCCCUAUCCGAUGCAAAAAUGAUUGUAAAGAAAAAAUUACAUUCCAUUUUCCAGUUAUUAAAAUAAUUCUAAAAUUGCUAGGAUCACAAAGGAUAGGCUUUGGUUGACUGAGGUCAGCCUUAACGCAUGCCGGUCUUUUUCUCCUCUACAUUCUUAGAAAUUUUGGUUUCACUAUAAAUACACGGUAUAUAGCAAACUUAUAAGUGUUCUUGCAUUACCAAUCCAAUUAAGCACACACUUACAAUCUAAAAUACUCUCAUCUCAUGGAAAGGCUUCAUUCUCUAAGCAUUAUGAGCAGAUUUCUCUUACUCCAUUGUUUGAUUCUUAUUUCCUUAUUUAUCGCUGCAGCAACAGCCAACACAAGUUCUACUAUCACAGACCGAGAUGCUCUGUUAGCCCUGAAAGCUCGCAUAACUCAUGAUCCGACCAAUUUCUUGGCCCAGAAUUGGAACACAAGUACUCCUGUCUGUAAUUGGACAGGCGUCGCUUGUGAUGUCCAUAGCCAUAGAGUCACAGUCUUGAAUAUUUCAAGCUUAAAUCUCACAGGCACCAUCCCUUCUCAACUUGGGAAUCUUUCUUCUCUGCAAUCACUCAAUCUCAGUUUUAACCGACUUUCUAGUUCCAUUCCCUCCGCCAUCUUCACCAUAUACACACUUCAAAAUGUUAGUCUCCGUAAAAAUCAGCUCACCGGCACUUUCCCUUCUUUCAUCUUCAACAAGUCUUCUUUACAACAUCUUGAUUUUAGUUUCAAUACAUUGUCUGGUGAAAUUCCUGCCAAUAUUUGCAGUAAUUUUCCUUUUCUGGAAUAUCUUGCUUUGUCCAACAACAUGUUUCAUGGAGGAAUACUGUCCGCUCUAUCAAAUUGCACAUAUUUGCAAAAAUUAGAUUUGGUAUACAAUGAUUUCUCGGGAGCCGUACCUAGAGAAAUCGGUAAUUUGACCAAACUUAAGGAAUUACAUCUUGGCCGCAACAGAUUCCAAGGUGCGUAUGAUCACGGAGUUUAUGAAAAUUGUUCCACAAGUUGUAAUAUGUAUAAUGUUCCAUAAUACAAUUUACACACGUUGAUUAAUUUGCAGGAGAAAUUCCUCGAGAGUUUGGCAAUCUUGCCGAAUUGGAGCAGAUGUCGUUGGCAGAAAACAAUCUCCAAGGCAUGAUUUUAAACUUUUUGCAAUUUUAUUCUGUAUUCAUUCGUUUGUUCAUUAAUUAUGCUAUGAUUUAUUGUUUUUCUUUCAGAUAGAGAUAAAGCUCCAUGUCUCCCCUCACUCAUUUCAUUCUUUGAUUUAUGCAGAUAAAAAUAAAAAAAUGUUUUGCAAUUUUCUUUUGUCAUAUUGCCACUUCCAUUUUGAAGCUCCCAAUUAAGUCGAUGAAAAUGAAUGAUGUUUCAUUCUUAUUCUUGUCAGCCUAAUUCUUAUAUAAUUGAAGAGUAAAUUGUUAUUAUGAUAUUCGUCAGAAAAUAAAUUCUUUUUUUUUUCCACCCAAAUAUGAGUGAUCAAAUUGUUUGCGCAUAUAUAAAUGUACUUAAUUUGCAGGAGGUAUUCCACAGGAAUUGGGGAAUCUUGCAAAAUUGAAGACGUUACAGCUGUUCCAGAAUAACUUGACCGGUAACCAUCUUUACAAUAUAUAUAUGAGACAUCUUCCGCUUCUUAAUAAAUAGAUGUCAAGUCUCUCAUUAUAAAUUCUCACUAUCUAACAUCAUUCCGUUUUUUAUUAGAAAUUAGUUUAUGUUAAUUCAAAAUUCUGCAGCAUCUAAAAAUUAAAAACACGUGGAAUAAAUAAUCAAUCUUUCUUCUUUACUGAAUUUGGAUUUCUCAAAAAUUAUCUUGACAAGUAUGCUUCACUAAUGAUAUGCAUGUGUGACAACUUCAUAAAAUAUUUUACAUGAAAUCACUAAUUAUCUUUAAAUGUGUAUAUGCUUUUAUGUAUUAUUAUUCUUUGAAACAAAUCUGAUUAUAAUUCUUUUAAAAUACAGAUGAAAUAGCAAAUCGGAAAAUAUUUUACUGCGAUAAGAAUUCAUAUAUUCAUUGUAGUAGCACAUAUAAAAUAGACUAAAUUUUGUUCCAAAAUACAUUUUUAUCUUCAUAUAAAUUUUACAUUAUUAAUUUAAAUUAAUAUUAAACUAUGUUAUUUCUUUCACUAUAUUAUUUUAUUUACACAAUGAUGUGACUAUUGGAAUUAAUAAUACUUAUAAUUACUUUGUAAAAAUAUAAAUUUAAUACUUUGUUAACAUUUUAUCUACAUAUAACAAUUAAAUUGAAAAUUGUAUUUAAAAAUUUUUAGCUACGCAUAUUCAUUUCAUGAUAUAAAAGUGUAUAUUUAUACUAAUUUACCAUUAUCCAUAAAAUGUUUUGAGACAAAUAAUCUAAUUUAUAUUUGUAUAUUUAAAAUACUUGCAUUUAUUAUAUUUUUAAAAAAAAAAUAUUUGUAAUGAUUUUAAACCAUUGGAUUCAAAUUUUUGUAGUUAUUAAAGUCGAAGGGUAUAAAUGUAUAAUAGUUAAAAACAGAUUUGUAUGAUCAUUUUUCAAUGUAUAAAUUUUCUUUGUUAGUAGGAAAAUUACAAAUUGUUGAUUUACUCAUAAAUAAAUUUAAUGUUUAGCAUUUCAAUUUUGGAAAACUUGAACUAAAUGUUGAUAACUUCGAAUCGGUCGAGCCGAGUUUCACUUCCUUGACCCACGGACCCAUUGAAAGUUCUAUUCGAAUUGAGUUUCCCAGUGCUUAUAAAAAGCAUUUCUUUUCCUUGUCGCAGUAAUUUAUUCACAAAUGAGUUGAUUAGCAUCGAAGUUACCUAAGAGUCUGAGACCAUGCUAGUAGGAGAAAUUUGAAAAGAAAUUAUUUUACUGAAUUAAUUUAUUUUAUCUUGUUGUUGUAACUGAAAUACUACUUUUUUUUUUGGGCUAUCACUGGUACUUGAUUUACUUUAAUAGUAGCAGCCACCGACUUAGGCGUUUUUUACUUCUCACCACACAAUUUGAUCUUUUAAUUCGUUUUAACCACAUAAUCUAUCUAUUUCUCACCUAUUGCUUACUUAAAUUGCAUACAUAUUUUACCUAGUAAUUUUUAUAAAUAUUAGUCAAAUAUAUUUUAUUACGUUUCUCUCGUAACUGCUCCAAAUGUGUACUAUUAAUACUUAACCCUCCCUUUUAAUUUACCGUGCAAUCUAUCUACACUUAAAUCACAUAUAUAUUUUACCUAUAUUUUACCCAAAAAAAUAUAAAAAUUAAAGAAAAAGAAUAUGUGUAGCAAUUUGUAUAUAACUAACAAAGCAUUGACGGUGUGUAGCCUUCCAAUACUUCAUGAGUGGCUUUUCUUUUGUGUUAGUAUUUGUAAUAAUUGUGUAGCGUAUAAAGACUCUUUAUUGUAUAUGCGUGUCCGUUUAUAUAUAUCAUUUAUUAUUUGAAAAAUAAUCUGAAUAUAAUUCUUUCAAAAUACAGGGGAGAUACCACCUGAAAUCGGUAAUCUCCGAAAUUUAGAGGAGUUGGACCUUGGUCAUAACAAAUUAGUCGGUACUGUCCCAGCUGCAAUCUUCAAUUUGUCAACGCUCAAAGAAUUCUCCAUUCCAAAUAAUUCUCUCUCGGGAUGUCUUUCGUCCAUCGCAGACGUCCGACUACCAAAUCUUGAAGUGCUUAAUUUUUGGGGUAAUAAUUUCAGUGGCACAAUUCCUCGUUUCAUCUUUAAUGCUUCUAAGCUCUCUGCACUAGAUUUGGACGGCAACUCAUUCUCCGGUUUUAUUCCCAACACAUUUGGCAACUUAAGAAAUCUUAAGUGGCUCAUUUUAUCUGAUAAUUAUUUGACAUCUUCAACUCCAGAAUUGAGCUUUCUAUCCUCAUUGUCAAAUUGCAAGUCUUUAACAUAUAUUGACUUAUCAUAUAAUCCACUGGAUAGCAUUCUUCCAAGGACGUCUGUCGGUAAUCUUUCUCAUUCUUUGGAAGAUUUUGAAAUGAACAAUUGUAACGUUAGUGGUGGCAUUCCUGAAGAGAUCAGCAACUUGACCAACUUGACAACCAUUGAUUUAGGAGGCAAUAAAUUGAAUGGAUUGAUUCCAAUUACUCUCAGCAAAUUACAAAAGCUUCAAGGUUUGGUUCUUUAUGAUAACAAAUUAGAAGGAUCAAUCCCAGACGAUAUUUGUCGUUUGGCUGAACUGUAUGAAUUGGAGUUGGAUGGCAAUAAGCUUUCAGGAUCAAUCCCUGCAUGCUUAAGUAAUCUGAUUUCUCUGAGGAUACUAUCGUUGGGUUCCAAUGAGUUAACUUCUAUUCCCUUAAUUUUUUGGAACCUUGAGGAUAUCUUGUACCUUAACUUUUCUUCAAAUUUUUUGACUGGCCCACUCCCAUUAGAGAUUGGAAAAUUGAAGGUUUUGGUUGGAAUUGAUUUUUCGAUGAAUAAUUUUUCAGGCGUUAUCCCAACAAAAAUUGGAGGCCUAAAAAAUCUAGAAUAUCUCUUCUUAGGAUAUAACAGAUUGCAAGGAUCAAUUCCUGAUUCAUUUGGUGAUUUGACAAGUUUGAAAUCCUUGAAUUUGUCUAAUAAUAACCUCUCUGGGACUAUUCCUGCAUCUUUAGAGAAACUCUCAUAUCUUGAAAAUCUAAAUCUUUCUUUCAACAAGUUAGAAGGAGAAAUUCCUAGGGGAGGAUCUUUUGGAAAGUUCUCAGCUGAAUCAUUUAAGGGAAAUGAAUUAUUAUGUGGUUCACCUAAUUUACAAGUCCCACCAUGCAAAACUAGCAUCCACCACACAUCAUGGAAAAAUUCUCUUCUCCUAGGGAUUGUCUUGCCAUUGAGUACUACAUUUAUGAUAGUAGUUAUUUUGUUGAUCCUAAGAUAUCGACAGAGAGGAAAACAACCAUCGAAUGAUGCUAAUAUGCCACUAGUAGCAACGUGGAGAAUGUUUCCAUACCUAGAACUUUGUCGAGCAACAGAUGGAUUCAGUGAAAACAAUCUAAUUGGCAAAGGAGGUUUUGGCUCUGUUUACAAAGCAAGACUUGGGGACGGGAUGGAGGUUGCAGUGAAGGUUUUCAAUUUGGAAUGUGGAAGAGCAUUUAAGAGUUUCGAUGUUGAAUGUGACAUGAUGAAAAGUAUUCGCCAUCGAAACCUUAUCAAAGUUAUUAGCAGUUGUUCAAAUGAAGAGUUUAAAGCGUUGGUAUUAGAAUACAUGCCUCAUGGAAGUUUGGAGAAGUAUCUAUAUUCAAGCAACUGCAUUUUGGAUAUUUUUCAAAGAUUGAAUAUAAUGAUAGAUGUUGCAUCGGCUUUGGAAUAUCUGCACUUUGGUUAUUCAGCUCCAGUAAUUCACUGUGACUUAAAGCCCAGCAAUGUAUUGUUAGACGAUAAUAUGGUUGCUCAUUUGAGUGAUUUUAGCAUCGCAAAAUUGUUAACUGGAGAAGAUCAAUCUAUGACUCAAACACAAACACUUGCCACAAUCGGCUAUAUGGCACCAGGUUUGUUCAAUAUAAAUAUUUUCUAUUAUUUCUUGUAAACUUCCUAGUAAGUUCUUUAUGUUUCAUUAUCUUCAUUAGAUGAGGAAAUUAUUAUUAAUGAUAUAUCUUACUAUGUAAUCGUUGCAAUUCAUAGAGUAUGGAAGAGAAGGACGAGUAUCCGCAAAUGGAGAUGUUUAUAGCUUUGGGAUUAUGUUAAUGGAAACUUUUACUGGGAAGAAACCCACAGAUGAAAUUUUUAACGAAGAAAUGACAUUAAAGCAUUGGGUUAAUGAUUGGCUACCCAUUUCUACUAUGGAAGUUGUUGAUGUUAAUUUGCUAAGUCAGGAGGACAUACAUUUUGUUGCAAAAGAGCAAUGUGUGUCAUUUGUCUUCAAUUUGGCUAUGGCGUGCACUGUGGAAUCUCCGGAGCAGAGAAUCAAUGCAAAAGAAAUUGUAACAAAACUCUUAAAAAUUAGAGACUCGUUACUUAGGAAUGUUGGAGGCAGAUGUAUAAGACAAUCAAACUUAAAUUGAUUCUACCCCUCCUUCAUUGCUUGCUAUCAUUUUCAGAGACUUGAAUAGUUAUCCUUCAUACAAGUUUUGUUGAUAUGUUUUGUUAUUUCUCUUGCUCAUGUUUAUUUCUCUCUUUCUUUAAUUUGCAUGCAUGCAUUUUCGUUCUCUUCCAUGUUUGCAUUGGUUUGUAUUUAGCUUGUUUUUUGGGGUAAGGUUCUUUAUGCCCUCCCCUAAUUAGAUGUAUCCUUUUAAUUUUUAUUCAAAAAGUUUCGCUAGUACUAUCGAGGUUCAUCGAGGUUAAUCGAAAGAAAAUUUUCAAUUGAUUUUCUUUUCUUUGGCUACUAAUGGAAAUUCUAGUCUUUAUAGUUAAUAACUUUAGUAGUUAUGGCUGUUUUCUGAACUUGGAGUCAGAGUAGUUGAACAGCAACAAACAAGUCUCUUGUAUUAUAGGCAAAAUUCUUUUCAUUAAUCUUAUUUGUCUACAUUUUCUCCUAUUUUCUCCAUUAAUCUUCGCUCAAGGUUUCAAGCUUCCUCUUUGGCAAAGGAAAAUGUUAUUUGCUACUGACCGAUUGCGAGUAUUUCAAUUUGACAUGUGAGACUGUUUUGUCGGCCAUUUGAUAAAAUGGAUAUGAGUGGAGCUUUUAAUCAAUACCUCCACCAAAAUCCUUAUAACGCCACUUUGAAAUUUUAGUUUUUAAAAUACAUUCAGUUUAAUUUAAAAAAAAUAAAUUCAUUUGUUAAAAUUAAUCUUUUUCUCAUAAAUUUCAACCUAAAAAAUAUUUUUCUUUUAAGUUUUUAUUAUAAAAUACAUACAAGUUCUAAACUAUUAAAUUAUUUUCUUCUUAUUAUAUAGUUUAUAUCUUCAUAACUCUAAACUCCUAUAAUUUUUUUUAAAAAAUAUUUUUCAAUUUAAAAUAUGAAUAUAAAAUAUAGAAUGGACUGGGUAUAAAAAGUAUGUUAAACGAAUAAUUCAUUUAAGUAUUCAACUGAAUUUUAAUUUAAAAUAAGAAAUAAAUUAAUUUAUUUUUAUUAGUUAAGUAAUUUUCAAUUGAAAAAGAGCUUAUAUUAUGGACAUAUGAUUAAAAUUCCUAUGAAUUAAACAUUUUCGUAUAAAUACCAGUGAUAAUUAUAGAGAAAGUACGAUGAACCGAAGAAAACUUGAAUAUAAAUACUCCAAUGUAAUUUUACACGUACAAAUUAUGAACCAGUGAUCUUUAGAGCAUCAUAAGACAUGAUAUCAUUUAAGACGGCUUACAAAUUAUGAAAAAUACAUUGAUCUUAUAAAUAAUAUUUAAUAUGUCAAUUAGACUGAGGUGGCGUUUGUUUUUUAACUUAAUAACUUAAAGUGACUUAACUUAAUUAAUUAAGUUAAUUAGAGGUGUUUGUUUUAUAACUUAAUGAGACUUUUUAGAUAAUUUUGACUUAAUAAAAUAAGCCAAUUUUUUUGACUUUUUACUUAAUGGAGAAAUCUGAAUUAAGUCAAUUACUUGCUAAUGUCAAAAAUAUCCUUAUUUUAUAAUUUAUUUUUCAUGUCUAUCCCAAACUCACCCAUAGACAUUUACCUCAUAUAAAAAUAUCUCUAUUUUUUCUUUCUUAUAUUAUAUACAAUAAAAUUUAAAAUUUAUGGUAUUUUAUAUAUUAAAAUUCUAAAAUAAUUAUGUAUUCACUUGAAUAUAAUUUUACUUAUAAAUGUUAAAAUAUUGUGUUAUUUAAUAUAUUAUUUAUUUGACAUUCAAAUUUAAUAAGGAUACAAAUGUAAAAGUACAUAUUUUUAGUUUUUUAAGUCGAAAAAACAAACAACUUAAUAUUUAUUUUCCGAGAUUCAGACGAAAAAACAAACAUAUUAUUCAGAUUCAGACAUUCAGAUAUAUUCAGAAUUCAGACUAAUUCAGGUCUAUUCAGAUUUCAGAUAAAAAAAAAACGCCACCUGAGUCUCUGCAAUAAAAUUUUCAAAUUAAACAAUAAACCCUUUAUUUUCCUUUAAUUAUAAGUGUGAUCUUAAUUAUUAAAGUCAUUCAGAUGAAAAAUGAGAAGCUUGAAGCUUCUCUCGGUUAUUUACUAUAUUCUUAUCUCUUUUCUUUUGUUGCAUUUUUCUUCUGUCGUUAUAAAUUAUUUUUUUACAGAUAUACAAAUAGAAACUAUAUAAAUUUAUAACACCUUAUCAGGGGGUUUUUAAUUAAAUACCCUUUAAUAGUUUCAAAAUUAUUGAAAUACCCCCUCCCUUUUUGGUUUUCAUGGAUACCCUAACAAAUGUGAGUAAAGUCGGAAAUACCCUUAAUGAAUGCAUCAAAUUCACUCAAUGAAUUGUCUUCAUAUUCCUUUCCUCAUUUCUUUCACCCAACUCCAUUUUUGCUGCCGAUUCUUUCAAAAUCUCUUAGAAUCUCUCAAAAUCUCUCAUAAUUUCUUACACAAAUACAAUUAUGUAGUCAUUUCUUUAACACCCACUCUUUCUUUAAAGGUGCAUUGCUUAUUAAACAACCCAAUAAGGUAUGUUAAUGUUGUUGGGUUUUAAAUUUUUUAAUUUUUAGGAAAAUUUAGAAAUUUUCCUCACAUUACAAUGUUUUAUUUUCACCAUUUUUUCUUAUAUGUAGAAAUAUAUGCAAUGUAGGUUGUUUAAUUAUUUUUUUCAGCAAUAAAACUUAUUUAUGGCGAAAAUGUUUCGCGUCGUGCAUUCUUUUGAUACCGUGUACGUCAUAUAGUUAGUCAUGUAGGUCAUGUACUUACUUGUAUAUGAAAUUUGAUAUUAUUAUUUUUAUUGUAUCAUCAGAUAUGGUUUUGGUACGUGUGCCUAUUCUCUUCAAUGGUGAAUGAAUUGAGCAAAAUGACGAGUAUAAGUUCAAAGGUUUCAAGGCUAAAGGGAUAAUGAUACCACGAUCGACAAUAUAUGCCGAAUUGAUGGAGAAGAUAGUUGAAGUUAUUGAUAUAGAUACUUCGGAAUUCGAAAUCACAAUGAAGUUCAAACUUAAGACAUCUGAUCCUAUGCCACCAGUUACAAUUCAAACCAAUGAUGAUGUGGAAUUUUUCUUAGAGGAAGUAGCUAGUGGAAUGAAGUUUAGAAACCCGCUUUGCAUUACUUUUGAACGUAGAUCAAAUCGUGUGUUCAUAAAUUACAGCAAAAAAAAAAAAAAUUGCAUAUUCGACAAUUUGAGAAAUGAUGAGAUUAAUUAUUAUAAAUAAACAAAGUUAUCAGUUUACAAUGUCAAUAUUUGGAUAUGAUACACUAAUGGAUAUCGUAAUUAAACAUAUUACAACCAUUUAAAAAGUUUUUUUUUUUUUUUUAUCUUCAAACUGCUUUCUUCCUCUGCCGAAGCAUACAUGCAUACAUGAGGAAUGCCUGCAUAUAAUAAAUCCAUGAAAUCAAUUAGAAACAACUCUUAAAUCAAAGGCUAGUUGAAAACACAGUCGCAAGUGUGGCAAUACUCGGGUUAUCAUCAAAUGUUGUCAGAAUCUGCACAGCAGCAAAUAUUAAUAACUUUACACAAUUUGUACGUAGUUAAAAAUAAUAACAUACUUAGUUAAAAAUAAUAACAAAAUGAACCUUCACAUUAUUCUUAUUGGUUCUAACGAUGACAAAUUAGUAAUUUUCAGCUUUCGGUUUGCCACAUUUCAUUUUUUCCUGAAUACUUUUCGUUGACAUUUUCUGCAUAGCAACAAAUAUAAAUUCUUAGCAAAAAUUAAGUCUUUAAACAACUAAGUUAUUAUAAUGAAUUAACAACAGUGAAAAAAGUCGUGUAAUUUUGAGGUCGUGUAAUACAUGAAGGUCGUGCAAGUGCAAUACAUGAAGGUCGUGUAAUACACAACCUUGAAUCCUAAUAACCUGACACGACCAAAUCGUGUGUUACAUAAAAAAAUUAUAAUCGGCACAAUCCAUCAAUUUUUCACAAUUUGCAUGCAGCAAAACAACUAGAAAUUUGUUUUUGAACAUGUAAUGAGAGACCCGCAACUAAUUAAUCUAUUUUUUCUAUAUAAACCCUAACUUUUUUUUUCCCUGAAUAUCAACAAGAAAACUAUUUAUAGAGAAUUACUUACCUCAACUAGUUAAAUUAUGACCAUUUUGCAGUAAAGAAUCAGCUCUCGCCGCCGAUUAUGUGGCGACGAACUAGGCUUCUCUUUCUCAGUUGUGGUAGCUUCCCCUUCUCAAGGUUAGUUUGCUCGUGUUGAAGUUCGAUUUACCAUGUAUGGAGAAUGAAUAUUUGUUUCGGUAGAUGUGAUGCCGGUGAGUAGGGAUGGCAAUGGGGCGGGGUGGGGGUGGGGAUGCCUACCCCAUUCCCCACCCCAUUAAAAAUUUUUGCCUCCACUCCCCACUCCAUUCCCCAAUAAAUUUAGUGGGUUGGGGAUGGGGAAUCCCCACGUGGGGAAUGAUUCCCCCAUCCCCACCCCAUUCCCCAUUUACUUAUUUUAUAGUAGAUAUAAAAAUAUGAUUUCAGUAAAUUAAAAAUUAGAGACUUAAAAUAAAAUCAUUAUCAUAUUAUAAAGUAUUUAAUUUUUUUUUUAAAUCUCUAAAAGUUUGAAACAAUAUCUUAAACUGAUAUUAAAAGUGAAAAAUAUUUAAAGAGAGCAGCACCUUAAAAGAGAAAAGAAAAUAUAAUAAUAUUUUAAAAUUAAAAAAUAUUGUAGGGUUUUCUUUUACUAUCAUGUUUAUAUUACAUAAAAAUUAAAAAAUUAUUAAUUGACAUUAUAGUUGAUAAAAUAAAAAUUAUUAACAUAAUUAUAUAUAAUGGGGAUUGGGGUGGGAAUGGGGUGGGGAGUGCAAUACCAAACCCCACCCCGUUAACAAUUUGGGGAUUAUUUUUCUCCCACUCCCCACCCCAUUCUCUAAAAAUUAUUAAAAAUUUUUCCCAUUUGGGGUGGGGCUCCAUGGGGCCCCAAACCCGUGGAGGAUUUUGCCAUUCCUACCGGUGAGGGAAUUGCAGAGGUGAUGCCGAUGAGGGAAUUGCAGUGUUUAUUUGUUUGAGUUUGAUAAUGGAGGGAAUUGCAGCAGAUGAGUGUUUGUUUGCUUCAGUAGAGAAGGGAGAGGUGCUGUCCGUUGAGUUGAAAUGUUUUAAAAUGAGGAUACCUUAGUAAUUUCCUAUCAGUUUUUAAAGGGUAUCGAUGAAAAUUUUGGCAAAAACAGAUUUUUGGGUAUUAAGAUAAUUUUUGAAGUAUGGAGGUGUACCGGGCGCAAUUGGCUCCCUUAUCAGUGCGGUUAAGCCGAAUAAUAUAUCAAAACGAAGCUCUCCAUAAGCUGAGCUUUCUGCCACAAAAUUAUUGUUAUCGGAGUCCCUAGGCGUCGACAAUUGCCACCGAAAAACUUUGGUUUUAAGGGAUAGAAAUGCAUCACGAUCGGGUCGGGUCAAUCCGAAUUCCUACCCGAUUGUUGAGCCUGAUUCAGGCCACAUUACUGGCCGUGGAGGGUACCAAUCAAACCGCCAAAAGUCACCUGUCAUUCUCCAAGUCAUCAUGGUUGCCGGAAAUGACUGGAAAACCGCCGAACGAAGCUCGAAUAUCCGCAACAAAUCGACCCAAAUCGGCAUGAUAUCGCCGAUUUCAGGCCACGCCACCACCUGGGCUUUACUCCUCAUGUCGUCCUCUUUAAUAUUUGACUGAAAACCGGUGCCAAAAGCCACUGGUUUGCCACAAAUCAAGCCACCAAGUUUCACGAUCGUUGGGGCCCGAUCCACUGCCGUAGCAGCGCGUCGGAGCUCACUGUCGGUAUCUUUGGAUUCAGCACGACCUGAAGUCUCUAUCUCGAGCUUCUAAGCCACCGGGGCUUGAUUUCCGGGCACCGUUGAAUGGUUAGGGUAGUUUGGUAAUUUCGAAUUUUAAGGGCAUUCUGGUAAUUUCAAAUUUUCGAGGUUAAUAUCUUUUAGAUCCCUAAAAGUUAUUUAAAUUAUGAUAAAAUCCACAUAUAUUUUUAAUGGUGUUAAAAAAAAUUAGGGAAAUUAUCAGACAUAUACCUUUAAAUGACACUAGUAUCAAACGUGUUACAACACUUUUCAAGUGUAUAACUCGUAUAUCGUAAGUUGACAAAACACUUCUGCCGUCCACCAAUCCGUUAACUACCAUUUACAAGCGCUGACAUCAUAAGGGUAAUCUAUUUUUUUUAAAAAAUGACAUGACAUCUCAUUUACCUAGUAAAAAAUGACAUGUUAUAUGAUAUAUAUUGAUAAAAAUGACAUGUCAUAUGAUAUAUAUUGAUAAAAAUGACAUGUCAUAUGAUAUAUAUUGAUAAAAAUGACAUGUCAUCCCAUUUAUCGAAUAGUUGUUCAUAAUUGCUAAAAAAAAAAAAGCUACUUUACAACCGAAUCUACUCCUCCAAACUUAACCUAAAUUUUUGAAGAUUUACUCCUCCAAGCUCCAACUAAAAUUUUUUAUGGUAUAGUAUAUAUAAUUAUAAAUAAUAUGUUGUUAAUAUUUUUUUAUGGUAUAAUAUAGAUAUUUUUUACAAAUAAUUGUUAAUAAUAUGUACCAUUAAUAAUUCAUAUAUUUUUUAAUAAAAAAAUGUAUUGUUAUUAAAAAAAUUUAAAAAAAUUGUGUAUUGAAAAUUUAUAUUAAUUUUUUAGGUAAAUUUAUCUUUUUACCUCAUUUUGAGUUUUAAGGGCGAAAUAGUCAAUUUGCCAUAAUUCUGUUAACUUUCUAACGGAAGUUAACGGAUUGGUGGAUGGCAGAAGUGUUUUGUCAACUUAGGGUAUAUGAGUGAUACACUUGAAAAAUAUUGUAACACGUUUGAUACGAAUAUCAUUUAAGGAUAUAUGACUGAUAAUUUUCCUAAAAAUUAUUAAAGUCAUUCAAUGUACAUUACUUAUUCAUUUUUUUAAUUAUCAAAUGACAUUGAAAACUCUACUCAAUAUUAUUUCAUUCAAAUGUUUUGUUUUAAAGUAAUCGGAAACUGCAAAUGAAACAAAAUAACAAAUGCUUGAAAUCACAAACGGCCUAAAAUUAGAUUUUUUUUUUAAUGUUACAGUGACUUUGAUCCUGAUAUUAAAAUAAUCUGAAAAUAAUUUGGAAUUUUGGGGAUUUUGAAAUUUUUUGGUUUUGUUUGAGUGCAAUUUCCUCUAGUUACAGUUUCAGUAAGAAGGGUUAAGUGCAAUUUCGAAUUUUUUAUAAAAUUUAAAUUAAAAUUCAUAAAAAGAUUGGGCAUCUAAUCCUAAAUUGAUGGCUAGCGAUACUACAACGGCGGCUGCAGCUCCAGAAAAAGCAGAGGCGGUGGAGGAGUAUGAUAGGGAUCCAGAUGAAAUGAAACGCUCUCUUGUGAUGCGCAGAAGGGAAGCCACUGAUGAGGAGGAGGCGGAGGAUGAGAGAGAUUCAGAGCUUCCAAUCGCUCAAAGUGUGCAUAUUCCUGCGGGAGAGGCGGAGGCUGUGGAUAAGUAUGAGAACGAUCCAGAUGAAGUGAUACACUCUCUCGUUCUGCACAGAAGGGAAACAAGCGAUGAGGAGGAGGAGGAGACAGAAUUUGAGCGUCGAAUGAAUUGAAGGCUCCAGAUUCACUCUUACGAUGAAUCUGAUGGCCAAGGUGGUGCUUCAGCUGAGUAUGAUGAUGAUGAUGAUGAAGACGAAGAGGAACAUGACAGAAUUAGAAGAAGAUGAUGAAGAAGGGGAUGUUUAUGAGGAUGAAGAGGAAGAAGAAGUUUAUGAAGAAGAGGAGAGGAAUGACGGGGCGGUUAAAGUCAAAGGAAUAGAGGGUAAUGAUGCAAGAGGAGUACGAAGGGGGCAGUGGAAGUGAGUAAAAGGAAUAAUGAUAAUGGCAAUGGUGCUAAAAGAAUGAUGUAGUGGAGGGAAUGGAGGAAGAGAAGGAGAGUAAUGAGCCUUUUGUCUCACGUUAACCCUCACCUCUGUUUAUUUCUCUUUCUUUUCUUUUAACCCAAUUUUUACUUCAAUCUUCGUUUUUCUUCUUCCCCCAAAAUUAAACAGCGAUUACAUUCCUCAACAGCUACAAAGAAAAAAAGCCACGGCACUUUCAAGAUACCGAAACAUACCCACAUUUACUAAACAAAAGAGAUUUAAUUUAAAAAAAAUUGCAGAGCGGAUUAAGCACUGACCAAGUGAAAAGCUGACCAAGCGAAGUAAGAGCAAUAGAAUGAACUCCACCAAGAGCAAUACAACGAACAUGAUCAUCCAAAUAAGGAUUCAAAGUAGGCACAAACGCAGCAUCCUCAUGCCCAAAUCCAAGCCGCCCGCCAUCUCCUUUGCCCCAAAUCCACAACUUCCCGUUCACCACCAACCCAGAAUGAAACAACCCACAUGAUGAAGAAUUUGAAAAGCGCUCUGAAGAAGACGAAUCACGAGUUCUCAGAGGUAAAAUUCCUGAUCUUUCUAUGUGGUUAACUCCUGAAUCAGUCGAUUCUUGGUUUCAAUUGGUUCACUGAGUUAGGUGAUUUUGUCUUACGUCUGAUGCAGGGAAGGAGCUUGGCUGAAGGUCACAACUCACGAGUUCGAUUUUUGCUUUUGGCUGAAGGUCACGACGAGCAGCGGCCAGCGGGAACAGAAGAAGUUAUGACGAGCAGCGGCCAGCGGGAAGUCGGGAACCGAAGAAGACAGAAGUCAGAAGUUUAGAUUUAGAUUUUAGGCUUUUAGGUUUUAACUUUAGCUUUCAAAUCGGUUUAUUUGUGAUUUCGGUUCGGUUUUGCGGUUUUUUUUAAAUCAAAAACUGAACCGAUUGGUUUUACUGGACCCUUUUUUAUAUUACUAUUUCGGUUUUUUAGAGGUAAAAAAAUCGCACAAAAACCGAACCGAACCGAUCGAUUCGAUUUUUAAUUAAUCAAUUUUUUUUGCCCAUCUCUACAGCUAGGUACGUAUUGGUGUUUGUGGAUUUCUAAAUGCUUUCUGUCAAAUGUGACUAGAUUAUUAUUAGAAGUCUAUGGAUCUUACACUUAAUUAAUUAUAUAUCCAUUUAUAAUAUUCAAAAUGAUAAUGUACUAUUGCUUAAAAUUAUGCUUUCAAGACAUCAUUAUGAAAAUCCAUGGUUGUAAUGUGUUUCUAAAUUCAGUAAUACAAGUUCUGUCAAUUACUGUUGGAUGCAGUGACCUGAAUAGUUUAAUAUUCAUUUGCAGAAAAAAGUUGAGAAAGAAAACUAAAAAUUUCCAUGCGUUCUGCUAGAAAUUUAAUUAGCUUCAUUUGAGCAUUAAUUGCCGGCAUGAUCUCUUAGACUUCUCUUGCAUUGAAUGAAUGAAUGAGUGCUAAUCCAUGCAAAGACUUCCAUGCAUGCACAAUGAAUGCUAAAUCUAAGGUAUGGUAAAAUGUCAGCAAGCUUGGCCCAAAUUAUCAAGCUGGUUUGGUGGCUGCUAGAUUUGUUCAUCCGGAUUUUGGACCAUUUUCCUUGACAAUGAGAAAAGCUCCAAGAUCUGUAAAUUGAAGACUCACUGAAAGCUCCAAGUUUCAGGUAACUCUUGAGUUGUGUGCUGGAGUAUUCUCUAUUGUAUUUUGUUUGUUUGUUAUUUAUUUGAUGUAUUGCUAGCAGGGAUCUUAGGUGGGAACCAAAAAUUCUCAAUAAUUAUCAAUUGUUUUAAACUCUAUUCUGAACCGAGCGUGAAGGGAUUCACUUAUCUAAUUAUGUCUUUUAUGCUUUAAAUUCAGUUGAUUUCAUCUUUUCCGUCACCUUUAUUAAAGUUGUAUAUGUUGGAGUAUUAGGUUAAUCAUAAGGAUCAUAUUAUGGCUAAGGAAGGAGCACAGUUUAUCAGCUGCACUCAAGUGUAGCAGAGUAUUUGGGGCUGAUGCUACAAUACCUGCAUGUAUGUGAUACAUGCAUAAAAGAUGACCGUUGGAUUGAAUAUAAUGAAUCCAACGGUUGAGAUGAGUUUAAUUAACAAAUAAUUAAAAAUUUUCACAAAACCUGAAACCUAUAGAAACGGUAACAGGCACACAUCCCAACUGGCUAUAUAUAUUUGUGGGAAAAAAAAAAGAAAAAGAAAAAGAAAAAAGCUCUCACCUCACGCAAAGCUAGUUCUUCUCUUCUCUUCUUCUUCGACAAUGGUGAACGGCACGAUGAACGGCGGCAUAGCUAAUUAGUAAUUCCUCUCCUCUUCUGCUUCCACAACAGUCAACGGCGGCAUAGCUUCCACAACAGUCAGCGACGGAUUUGAUUUUCAGGUAUUUUGGUUAACUCUAAACUGAUUUCAUAGCCUUUCAAUUCUUUUUUUUGCUAAUUUUUUUCUUUUUUUGCCCACGCUGCAGAAUCCUUGUCAGUAAACAAACCCUCACAGCCACCAGCCACCACUGACAUGCAUGAACGUCCAAUCUCUUAGCCGCAAUCGCUAUUCUUUGUCGACGUCGCGAAGAAAUUGGGUAUGAUGUUGUUAAUCAAUUACACAUGCUACCAAAAAAUUGUAAGAACCAAUUUUUUAAAUUUUGUUAAUAUGAUUAUGAAAUUGGGCUUGCUUUUGUGUGAAAUUUUAGGGUUUGUUUGCUUUUGGAUGAAAAUUAAAAAUCAGAUUUUGAAAUUGUUUGUUCCUCAUUUUGUUGAGAUAUAUCUUGUCUUCGUUUAUUGAUUUGUGCAUGUCUGGAUAGAUAUGCCAACCUAAUCGAAUGCUUAUUAAAUUCAAUGAAAUGUGAUGCAUGGCCUUAAGCUUGCGGUGAAUAGCUUUAUUCGACAUAUAUAUUUUGGAAAUUAGUUUUCUUUUGUUUGAUUUAUUUUGCUUUAAAAAAAAGAGCCUAGUCAAAAUAAGUUUAUUUAAAAGUGGAUGGCAUUUGAUUAAAAGAAGAGGUAAGAUUUAAAGCCCUCCAAGUGUUUGAUAAAAUAUCUAAAUGAAACUUCAUGUUCUUAUUUUCCUUUCGCAACUGACUUAGGUUCUUCGUAAUCAAGGUGAAGGUGCUAUAGUGUUAGUAUUGGCACCUACUAGAGACUUAGCCGAUCAAAUUCAGGAAGAGGCUUUUAAAUUUUGGUCGUGCGCAAGUGUUAUAAAUACUUGUGUUUAUGGUACUGCUCCUAAAUGAUCUCAAAUAUUCGAAGAGGUGUUUUGAAUUCUUUUUUGGAGAAUUUAAUUGUUUUUAGAUUAAAAUUACAAGUCAAGUAUUUUUAUUUGGUGUAUCUUCCUCUUUAACUACAAUAUGAAAUUGGAGAAUUUGAUAGAACUUUAAUCAUUUGUCUAUACUUUACUAUUGCUUAAUUGUAUCAUAAGAGUGUGUUAAUUUGCUCUGUAAUUCUUUCAAGAUUCUUGAGCUAUAGUCUUUAUAUUUAUAAUUUGUUUUGAUAAAUUUCUCUUGGUUCUUUAAUUUUGAUCUAUUCCCCACUUUAAAGAUAUUUUAUUUUAAACAUAAGAUGUCAUUAAUUAUAUUGAUUUAAUCUUACAGGGUGAUGAGCUAAAUUAAUUAAUUAUAUUAUAUGUAGAUUUUAGUUUGCUCAAUAAUGGUAUACUAGGAAUGCAGUUUUAUUUUAAGCAUAAUAUGCAAUUUGUUUUGCUAUUGUUUAUGCAUAAAAACAGCACCUGAAAGUUUCCAGGUGCUGCUUAGCUGCUGUUAUGUAAUAAACAUAAACACAACACAUGGAAACUUUGGGGUGUUGUUUAUGCACAAAAAUAGCAUGUAGAAGCUUGAGGCGCUGCUUAGCUGCUGUUAUGUAGCAAAAACAAAACAUGGAAGUUUCUAGGUGCUGCUUAGCUGCUGUUAUGCAGCAAAAACAACAGCCGGAAGUUUCUAGGUGUUGUUUUGUUGCUGUUUGUGCAGAAAAACUACACUUGGAGAUUUCCAGGUGCUGGUUAGCUGUUGUUAUGCUGCAAAAACAACACCAGGAAAUUUACCGGUACUGUUUUACUAAUGUUUGUGUAGAAAGACUUUAACUGUUGCUUUAUAUACCUAUAAUUUGUAUUUCAAUAUGAUCUCCAUUUUGCUUUUAUUGUUUAAUUUUUAAAAUGGGAAGAUUCCCUUGUAUUUUAUCUCAAAUGCAAUUUUGUCUAGUAAUCGUUCUUGGGAUUAUAUCUUCUUUUACUUGUUUUUAGGGUGCGGCUCUCAGUUUCAAGUACUACCAACAUUGUUUCCCUUCCAUGAAAGAAUCUGUAGUUUUACCCAGUUAUGAACUGAGUUAGCCAUUGGUUAUUAGCAGUUUCUGGACAAGGAGCAAGAAGAUACCAAUGAGGACCUGGAUUUCAGAAGCAAUUCUCUUAUUUUUCUUUUAUUUUAAAUCAUUAGCAUUUUCUUUUUCUCGUUUGGUUUCAGAUAUUGGUGGUAUUGGGUAGUGGGUUUGUUUCUCGAAUCAUCAUGAUACCAAAUGUAAUUGCAAACAGCAGGGUCUAAAAUUUAUACGACCUGAUGAUUUGUCCUAUAUUUUUUUACUGAUGUUUGCUUAAUUUUCUUUUCCUUUUUGUUUUUUUAAGUGAUCUCCAUAAUUAAUCAAGAACCAAAAUAUCAAGUUUGUUAAUCUUUUAAUUUAAUAGUAUUUUGAGAAUUAUUGGCUUCCAUCUUACAUUAAAAUAAUCCCUCAAUGAAAAAUCAUUGUUUUAGCAUUAAAUUUAAUUUUGCAAUAUGUAAAUUACCAGAAUAAAAUUUUCAAAAUUAAAAAUUUUUUGUUAGAAGAAUUAUAAUGUUAUAUUUUAUAUAUCUAAAAAUUAACCAAAAAAAGUUUGUGUAUUUUAAAGUUAUAAUAAAUGUACCAUUAAAAAAAUCUAUAUCUAUCGUAAAAUACGAUUUUAUGAAAUGAGUUAUUAUGAAAGCUUAUGGACAAAAUAGAAAAUAUUUUAGAAAUUAACAAGUAUUAUUUGAAAUUUUGGAAAAUAGGUUUGAUUGAGUUUCAUAAUGUUUUUAAUAAAAUUGUAAUUUUUGGGGCACAAACGGCGAACUGCUAACACUUAAAUUGGCUAAUUGAUUCCAAUUUGGAGAGUUUUCAGAAUUAAAAAGGCGAACCACUAACUUUAAAUGGCAAAACGACUACGGUUGGGUGAGUUUAUUGUAUGGUGUGCGUUGAUCAUCCCCGAUCCUCCGAGUAAGAAAAUGUGCUAGUUCUUCCAUGUAAUAAGAAACUUAGUGGUAUUUGGGUUGGGUUUUUAAAGCAUUUAAUGUCACCAUUAAUGAAAGGAUUUGGUUGGUUUCUGAGUUGGUGUACAAAUAAAUUAACUGCGCUCAUAUGUUACGUAGAGCUAAAUCGACUAGUCUGUAGUGAAAAGGCGGUUAGCCAUUUGGAGUUGCAUGCUCUCUGGAAUGAAAGAGGCUAGCCUCUUUGUAGGAAACAAGUAGCCCUUUUCACGCCAGAGAGCAUGUUUCUCGAAAAGGGCUAGCCGUUUCCCACGAAGAGGCUAGUCCUUUCACUUCGCAUGCUCUCUGGAAUGAAAAAGGCUAGCCUCUUCGUGGGAAACAGCUAACCCUUUUCACUCCAGAGAGUAUGUUUCCCGAAAAUGGUUAGCCAUUUCAAUAAAGAGGAUGGGCGUUUGGAGUUGUAUGCUUUCUGGAUUGAAAAAGGUUAGACGCGAUAAAGCAAACGGCUAGCCCUUUUUACUCCAAAAAGCAUUUUGAUCGAAAACGGCUAGCCGCUUAUUUUAAAGAGGCUAGCCGUUUUCGAUCCAGAAUCUGUUACAUUUGUAAUGGCUAGCCUCUUUAACAAAAUGGCUACCUGUCUCCCUCACUAUUCAACUUCAACCCACGACCACCUCUCUCACCGUCGCAUGAAAUUCACGGCUUCUUCAGCCAUUAACGAGAAAAUAUACAACUCCUCAUCAUUUUCCUUCAUUUACGCAUCUAAAUUUCAUUAGCUAAAUACUCUUUAACCCUAUUUCACCGAAAAACCCAAUUAAAAACCCUAGGUUCGGCCGAGGUUGUUUCUCUAAAAUUGAGUCCUUGUUCACUUCUUAUUGCUGAAAUUACUCACCCACAUUGAUUUUAAACCCAUUUGCGUGCUAUUUAAUUGGUUCAUCUUGACCCAAAACACAAUAUUUGUUAUUCAAAGAAAGAUUUUGGUUUCCAUGGCAGGUGGUGAAACUUCUCGGGGGAAGCAAGGGAAACUAAAGGAACAUUACAUCAUUAACUUGAAACAAGAGAUAAUUUUCAUGGCAGGACCAUUAACUUGAUACCUGGACCACUAAACUUGAAACCUAGGGCAAUAAACAUGAAACAUGAGAUCAUUAACUUGCAACCUGAAAAUCAUUUACUUAAUGGACUAAUAAAUAUGAAAUCAUGACCAUUAACUUGAUACAUCGGCUAUUAAACAUGAAACCAAAAGAACUUGAAACUUAGGGCAAUAGACAUGAAACAUGUUAUCAUUAACUUGCAACCGUGAAAAUCAUUUAAUUAACGAACUUGAAACUUAGGGCAAUAAACAUGAAACAUGAGAUCAUUAACUUGGAACCUUGAAAAUUAUUUAAUUAAUGGACCAAUAAAUAUGAAAUCAUGACCAUUAACUUGAUAUCUAGACCAUUAAAGGUGAAACCAAUGGAACUUGAAAAUAAUGGCAAUAGACAUGAAACAUGUUAUCAUUAACUUGCAACCAUGAAAAUCAUUUAAUUAAUGAACUUGAAACUUAGAGUAAUAGACAUGAAACAUGAGAUCAUUAACUUGCAACCAUGAAAAUCAUUUAAUUGAUGGACCAAUAAACAUCAAACUGUGACCAUUAACUUGAUACCUCGACCGUUAAACUUGAAAUCAAAGGAACUUGAAACUGAGGGCAAUCAACAUGAAACAUGAGAUCAUUAACUUGCAACCAUGAAAAUCAUUUAAUUAAUGGACCAAUAAACAUGAAACCUUGACCAUUAACUUGACACCUGAACCAUUAAACUUGAAACCAAAAGAACUUGAAACUUAGGACAAUAGAUAUGAAACAUAUUAUCAUUAACUUGCAACCAUGAAAAUUAUUUAAUUAAUGAACUUGAAACUUAAGGCAAUAAAUAUGAAACAUGAGAUCAUUAACUUGCAACCAUGAAAAUUAUUUAAUUAAUGGACCAAUAAAUAUGAAAACAUGCCCAAUAACUUGAUAUCGGGAACAUUAAACUUGAAACCAAUGAAACUUGAAACUAAGGGCAAUAAGCAUGAAACAUAAGAUCAUUAACUUGCAACCAUAAAAAUCAUUUAAUUAAUGGACCAAUAAACAUGAAACUAUGACUAUUAACUUGAUACCUCGGCCAUUAAACGUGAAAUUAAAGGAACUUGAAACUUAGGACGAUAAAUAUGAAACAUGUUAUCAUUGACUUACAAUCAUGAAAAUCAUUUAAUUAAUGAACUUGAAACUUAGCGCAAUAAACAUGAAAAAUGAGAUCAUUAACUUGCAACCAUGAAAAUUAUUUAAUUAAUGGGCCAAUAAACAUGAAACCAUGACCACUAACUUGAUACCUAAACCAUUAAACUUGAAACCAGUGAACUUAAAACUUAAGGUAAUAAACAUGAAACAUGAGAUCAUUAACUUGCAACCAUGAAAAUUAUUUAAUUAAUGGACCAAUAAAUAUGAAACCAUAACCAUUAACUUGAUACCUGAACCAUUAAACGUGAAACCAAAGGAACUUAAAACUUACGGCAAUAAACAUGAAACAUGUUAUCAUUAAUUUGCAACCAUGAAAAUCAUUUAAUUAAUGAACUUGAAACUGAGGGCAAUAAACAUGAAACAUGAGAUCAUUAACUCGCAACCAUGAAAAUCAUUUAAUUAAUGGACCAAUAAACAUGAAACCAUGGCCAUUAACUUGAUACCUGAACCAUUAAACUGGAAACCAAAGGAACUUGAAAUUUAUGGCAAUGAAUAUGAAACUUGAGAUCAUUAAUUUGCAACCAUGAAAAUAAUGAAAUUAAUGGACCAAUAAACAUGAAAUCAAAACCAUUAACUUGAUACCUAUACCAUUAAACUUGAAAUUCUUUUUUUAUUAUUAUAAAAAUAAUUUUUUAUUUUUAUGUGUCCUUUAAUAUUAAAAUAAUAAUUAUUUUAUUAUUAUUUUAUUUAUUAUAAUUGAAUAUUAUUAUAUUUAUUAUUAUUUAAUUCAUUUAAGGGGCAAAAACCGGUUGCUCCCAGUUUUUUUUUUUUUUUCCAUUGCUCUAUUUUCUUUCUUUUUUUAUUGCUUGCAUGUAUCACAUACAUGCAUGUACUGUAGCCGUGCCCAGUAUUUGGUUGUUACAGAUGCAAGGUUGUUGCUGUGUAAUUGUCAUUUGAGCUUAGAACCUUUGAGCUUAGAACCUUUAAAGUGUAUCAUACGUUUCUGUUACUUCUAAUACAAAUUUUCUCUAUUCCUUUUUCUUUCACUUUCUCUUCCAUUUUCAUGAUCGCCAAACACCAUCAAUCCAUGAUUUUCUAGAGUAUUAGCCGUCUAUUUCUACAUACAUAGAAUCAUUGUUUUAAGAAAUAAAGUACUCUGUCCUGUCCCCGUGGUCUCCUCGUUUAUUGACUUCUGAACUAGGCUAAAUAAAGGGCAAAUAAGAUAUUAGACCAGUGGGCCUAACGUGACAAGUUCUGGAAUUGUUUGCCUCUUUCUUUUCUCCACAAAUCUUUGGUUAAUUUUUAUGUUCCCUCAACUUUUUUCCCCUUUAGCACUAGAAUUCAUUUUUGAUACUUUAUGCAAAAAUUAUGAGGAAAAUGAGUCACUUUAGAACAUCAAUAAAUUUUUUUUACAUCCAAGAUAAAGACAAUUACACUUAGAUCACUCUUAUUUAGUUGAAUUAUAUGUAAUAAAAUUAGUUCAACAAAAUCUAACCCGUCAAUAUUCCAUAUCAUAUGAUUAACGUAUUUAAAAAAUCUUUAUUGUUCGGUCGCUUGUUUUAUAAUUCUUUUAUAUAAUAUCUUUGAAACUCAUCAUAUUGUUCUCAAUUCGUCUAAAUUAUUUUUUUCUUCAAACACUGCGGCAACAACCGGUAUAAAAUAGAAUGAACUCAAUUAAUGGAACUUUUUCUAGAUGCUUUCAUGGCAGAAUCUCAUUGGUCUAUUUCUCUUCGCACCCUAGGUUCCUCUAACAAACCUGCCUCUUAACUCUCAUGUCCGAAUUUAAACUUAAAAGAUGUUCCCCAUCCCACGUGUCCCCGAAUCUUCGUAUUUCCAAACAAACCCCUGCCAAAUUGAGAAGAGGAUGAUUCCUACAAAGCCACGUAAGUCAAGUGAUAGGAUGGCUUUUAUUACAAACUGUAUGAACGUUAUGGCCAUGGGACAUUGGAUAAAGCCAAUGGAAUGAAAAGCAAAAUUACCGACUAGACUAAAAUGAAAAUCCAACCAAUUGAAUCGGUUCAGUGUCACUGUAUAUAUAUAUAUAUAUAUAUAUAUAUAACACAACACAACUAUCAUAUUAACGAGGCACUGUUAAAUUCAUUCCGUGAAUAUUUUUCUUUCUUUUCAAUGAAUGUUUAAUAUGACAAACAAUUUGUCCCAUUGAGCACUGUUUUAGUCAUCAAUGAAAAUGAAUACUUCUAUAACAAAACAAUAAUUCCCUUGUUUAUUUGACACGCAAAGAAUUUUCUUGCUCAGCUCGGCGGCCAAUCCUUUAAAAUUUGUUGAAAUUCAGUUAAUUGAUGAACGAGACAUAACCGGUAAAUCGUUUAAUUUGUAUAAUUGAUAAAAAUUUGAACUUCAAAUGAUAUAGAUAGAAUGAUUAAUUUUUUUAAUAUUUAGAUAAUUGAUAUAUGUCAUGUUACUAUGAGUAAAAGAAUCAAGUGUCUGAUAGAAAACACAAUGUUUAUAUUUGUAUUAAAAAUUUUAAGUGCGAAUCUAUUUAGUGUAAGUUAGACAUAAAAAUAGUUACCAACUUGUCUUGUUUCUCAUUUUGUUUAAUUUUCCUAAUUUGAAUAACGAUUAAUUACGAGUCAAGGGUUUAUUAGAAAAAUAUGGUCUUCCAUUUACUAUAAAAUUAUGAAUACUUUGGCAAAUAAGAUAAUUAUAAACACCAUUUUUGAAAAUUCAUGGCCAUGGUUGUGAUGUGUCUUUAUCAAUCACACAUACAAAAGUUAAUCAAAAUUAUCGAUUGUUUUAAAUUCUGUUUUUAACAGAGCAUGAAGAUGUCAAUUAUCUAGAUUUACUUUUUAUGCUUUGACUUCACUUAAUACAGGUUCUUCCUCCUUUAUCUGUAUGCCAUGCCGGCAAGUGUAUUGUACAGAUUUCUAGAGUAUUACCUGUCUAUUUUUUUCACCGAUGACGAAGCUAAUUAUUAGUAAUCAAUCUAAAGUCUACCUAUAAAUACAAUAGGUUGCUUAGGUGGCACCAAUAUCCUAACUUUAUGCCAUGUUUCUGGUGUGUCUUCACAAAUUCACCGAUACAAAUUAAUUUCCACCAAUAUUACCAAAUGAUUGUAUUUUACGUUUCUAUUUACUUGUAAUAAAGAUCUUCAAUUUUAUUGGUUACAAAAUUCUCUAGGAUUGCAUGUACAUUAUACUUUUAUAUACAUAUUUUCUUCUUUCUCAUUCGUUUUCUGGGUGAACAUAUUAUUUUCGUCAUCAUCUCUAUAACAAUGAAGUGAAAAUAGUCCUCAUUUAAAGUAUUGACAGCAAUGUUAUACUCAAUAUAACGCAUAAAGCACGCAUAAUUUAAUUAAUGGGGUAGCUGCUAGUACCUUCUUUAGAAGAGAAUUAUUGCAGCAAGGUAAUUGGAAGCUCAAAGAGUUUCCGUAUUAGCCGAAUCUAAGCGAUAAGUGUUUCCAUGUGAGCCAUAAUUUGGGAAAAAGACCAAUUCGAGUUAAAGAUCAGAAAACAGACACUGUCAACAAGCAUUAAUAUCAUUUGAUGCAUGAAAGACAGUUAGUCCCAUUUUUUUGUCCGGUUUACUUGAGUUGGGCAAUUUGCCGUCAACUUUUCUCAUCCACGUCAGGUAAUGUGGCUUUUAUUUGGUAUGAAAAAGCCAAUGCUUUACGAUAAAACUGUCACACACAUAUUAUCCAUCUGUAAUGUUCAAAUGACACUGAAGUAUUACCUAAAUUAGGCUUUCAAAAAUUCAUUUUCAAAAACCCAUGGUUGUGAUGUGUCUCUAUAAAUUAAGAUCUAUCUGUUACCUACUGUUUUAACUCUGUUCUGAACAGAGCUUGAAAGGGUACAUUCACUCUUUUAAAACAAUUGUACUAUAUGUUCUGAACAGAGCUUGAAAGGAUUAGCAAUAACUACUGUUUUAUCCCUCUUUUUAAAACAAUUGUUCACUAGCUGCACUCAGUUGACAGAAUAUUUUGGGAUUCAAGACUGUUGGUUGUUACGGAUGCAACUUGCAAGGCUGUUGCCAUGCUGGCAAGUGUGCUGGAAAAUCAUGAGUUUGAUGAUGAAGAGGACGAAAAAUAUUAUUUUAUUAUUUAAAAUAAGACUAUCAAUUAUUUCCAUGGUCAUCUUUUUUUUUUUUAAUUAAUUGGCCUAAAUAUUGUAUUUUUUGUCAGGAGUCUUGCAAUGUUGCGUAGCACCGUAAGUAAGAAGAACUAGUGAACUUUAAAGCAUCAUAAAAUUGUUUCAACAUAAGUAAUUAGUUUGAAAAAUUGCCAAUAAUGUUUAAAGUAGGAACGAAAAGGUUAUACUAUAUGAGACACGAUAUUAUUUAAGACAGCUUACAAAUUAUGGGAAAUGUAUUGAUCUUACAAAUAAUAUUUAAUAAGUACAAAUUUCAAAUUAAAUAAUAAACCUUAAUUUCCUUUUAAUCAUAAUUAUGAUCUUAAUAAUUAAAGUCAUUCAAUCUUAAUCACUUUUUCAUUUUUUUAAACUACCUAAAUGACGUUGAAACUUCUAAUCAACAUUAAUUUUUUUGAAUGUUCUGUUUCAAAAUAAUUGAAAACUAUAAAUGAAACAAAUGCUUGCAAUCACAAAAGGCCUAAAAUGGGAUUUUUAUUUUUUAAUAUUGCAAUGACUUUGAUCUUGAUAUUGGAAUUUAUUUGUAACUUAUACUAAGUCUUCAAUUUUAUCAAAAUUAGUUUCUAAAGAUGCAUUUGCCAUACUGUGUAGUUGUAUUGUAUGAUGAUAUAUUACAUUAGGGUGCAUUGUAUUGAGCUGUAAUGCAAUACUAUUUUAUAUUAAUGUUAAAACUAAAUCAACCUUAUUUAAAUUUAUUAAUAUUUUAGGUUUUUAUUAGUAAUAUCUGAAAUUAAGUAUUAAAUAAUUAUUUUUAUAAUAUACAAAUUAUUUAAUAAUAUUCUACUAUUAAAUAAUAAAAUAUUACAAUAUUAUGUUAUAUUAUUAACAAUUAUUCUGUUAUAAUAUAAUUUAUUUUUAUAUAUUAGUUAUUAUAAUUUAUUAUAAUCAUAUUAUAAUAAUAUUAUAUUGUAAAAAUAUAAUACUAUAUAAUUGUAUAACAGAAUAUGAAUUAAUUUAUAAUUUAACAAUAAAUUAUAAAUUUAUUUUAUUUAUUAAUGUCAAAUAUAAUUGUACAGGUGUAGAAUUAUGAGGAGGAGGUGGAGAAAGAAUUUGAGCGUCGAAUAGGAUCUACAUGUACUCUUAAGAUGAAUCUGAUGGCGAUGGUGCUCCUUCAGCUGAGUAUGCUGAUGAUGAAUUAGAACAUGACAUAUAAUUAGAAGAAGAAGAUGAAGAGGAAGAAGUUUAUGAACAAGAGGAGAGAAACGAUAGGACAGUUAAAGUCGUUGGCUGCAGACUAUUAGAAGGUUGUUACAGAUGUAACGCUGUUGCUGUGUAACAGUAUGCCAUGCUGGCAAGUUUGCUAUAACAGAUUGCCAAGCUGGCACUAAUUAUUUUAAACUAAUAUUAGUAAUUAGUCUAGAGUGCUCUAAUUUAUUUUAUUCUAUAAAUAGCUCAUUUGAGCUUUGAACCUGUAACGUGUACUGUACUUUUCUAUUACUUCUAAUAAAGAUUUUCUCUAUUCUUUUUUCUUUCACUUUCUCUUCCAUUUUCCCGACCCUCAAACAGCGUCAAUCCUUGAUUUUCUACAGUAUUAGCUGCCUGUUUCUAUAAACAUAGAACUGGUCGUUUUAAAGGGCAAAUAAGAUGUUGGGCCAAUGGGCCCAACGUCACAGAUCUUGAAUUGAUUGUCUCUUCUUUUCUCCAUAAAUCUUCACUUAAUUUUUAUGCUCCCUCAACUUUUUUCCCCUUUUUGUGCUAAAUUUAUUUUUUUGAUACUUUAUGCAAAAAUUAUGAUGAAAAUUAAUUAGUUUAGAACAUCAAUAAAUUUUUGUUACAUUCAAGAUAAGGACAAUUACACUUAGAUCACUCUUAUUUAGUUGAAUUAUAGGUAAUAAAAUUGGUUUUAACAAAAUAUGAUUCUUAACCCUCGUAAUUAAAGGCUCGUGUUAUUUAGUUUAGUUAUAACACCAUGCAACAGGUCGUCUUGGUGGGUUCAAAUUAAUAUACGAUCAUUCUCAAUUUUUAAUAGUUCGUAAUUACAAAGUCCUAUAUCACAAUUAAAAUUUGCAAACAUGUCAAAGUAAGUUAAAUCAAAAUCUAUAAAUUUGAGGUCUACUACAAACUUCUGACAAAUUAAAAUUUAAAAUGAUUAAUUAAAUGCUAGACAAAAUUUAGCUUAUAAAUGUUCCCGACCACAUGAUGAAUGUACUUAAAACAUCCUAAUUCGUCACUAAUUGAUUGGUUGUUAUUUUUUCAAUUUCUUUUUAUAUAUCUUUGAAACUUCUAGUUUCGUUACAUGUUAUUCUCAAUUCGUGUAAAUUAUUAUUUUUAAAUAUUAGAGCAACAACCAGUAUAAAAAUAAAAUGCACUCAUCUAAUGGAAAUUUUUCUAGAUGCUUCAAUGGCAGAAUCUCAUUGGUCUAUAACUCUCACACCUUAGAUUCAAGAUUCAAUUUCAAACCAACGCCGAACAAACAGUUUAAACCUUAAUAAGUCUGUGGCUGUAGCCCAACAAACCUACUUCCGGCUCACCGAAUAAUCAUCUCUUACGUCGGAAUUUAAACUUAAACAAAGCUGCGUCCCACAUGUCCCCAACUUUCUUCAUAUUUCCAUAAAACCCCUACCAGAUCCAGAUAAUUACCUUCACUCUUCUCGUAUAAAUAGAGAAGACAACGAUUCCCGCAAAGCCAGGUGAGUCACGUGAACGUUACGGCCAUGGGACAUACGGUUCUCAAUUGGUCUAAUUAUACUGUAAAUUGUUUUUUAAAUAUAAAUAAAAUGAAUUUAUUUAAUGGAAAUUUGAAAAAGGGACACUUAUCUACGAAAGCAAAGUUGCAUUCUCUUUGUGGGGACCCUAAAAAAAAAAAAAAAGAGAGCCAGAAUGAUACACCGAUGACGAUAAUCCUUAAGCUUAAGCAUUAAUUUUCUUUGCUUACAAUUUGGUUUGAAGGGUUAAGUUCAAGUUCGAAUUGGUACACUGAUGAUGAUGAUGAUGAAGAGGGGGAUGUCUUUGAGGAUGAAGAGAAAGAAAGUUCUAAAAAAAAAAUACAGCUUUGUGGAAAUUAAAUUAAAAGCAACUAAUUAAGCAUUAUAAAUUACUUAACAGAGUAAUGCUGAGCUAAUUAAAUUUGUUUUUGAAGAAGGUAUCUUUAAAUCUCUUGGAGUUAAAGAUAAAUAUCAUAUCACCAUAUCAAGCGGACCAAUUAAAAAAUAAAUUUAAAUAUUAUUUAAAAUCAUUUAAAUUUAACUUAAUAUAAUUCAAUCUAAUAUUGUACCAAACAUGCACAAUACUAUAUAUAAUCCAGUCUAAUCAAAUUCAAUCUUAAUAAAUAAUACAAUCCAAUCUUGCGAGACAAAAUUGGCCUAAGGGUACCAAUUGCGCAAUAAUCUUUGUAGCCCGUUUCCCAGCCACGCACCCUUUUGUAUUAGUAUUCUCACAGCCAUUGGAAUUAUGGCUCGUAAUCCAAUAAAUGACAUUAUAUGGCUGUUGCUUGCUAGUUUUUGUAAGGUGGCCAAGGCCUUUUAUCAAACACUAUAGGAUCAACAAGUACAAAAUGAAUUCAUUUGGGAUGAAUUAUGAUGUAUUGCAUUAACAUGCAUUAUAUUAAGUUAUAAUGUUAUAUUUUGAUAUAGUAUAAAUUGUAUUAUAUAAGGUAAUGUUUUAUAUUAAUGUUAAAACUAAAUUAAUAUUAUUUAAAUUUAUUAAUAUUUUAGGAUUUUAUUAUUAAUUUUUUAAUUAAGUAUUAAAAAUUAUUUUAUAGUAUAGAAAAAUUAUUUUAUAGUAUAUAGACUAUUAUUAAAUGAUAAAAUAUUAAAGUACUAUGUUAUAGACUAUUAUUAAAUAAUAAAAUAUUAAAGUACUAUGUUAUAUUAUUAAAAAUUAUUAUAUUAUAAUAUAAUUUAUUUCUAGAUAUUAAUUAUUAUAAUAUAGUAUAAUCAUAUAAUAAUAUAAUAUAAGUUAAUAUUAUAUUGUAAAAAUAUAAUACUGUACAAUUAUUUAAUAUAACGUAAAUUAAUUUAUAAUAUAAUAUUAAAUUAUAAAUUUAUUAAAUUAAAUUAAAAUACUUUUUAUGUAUUUAAAGUAAAAUAAUUAAAAUAAUUUAUGUAAUAGAAGUAUGAUAAUGUAUUAUCAUUUUCUCAUUAAAUAUUUUAGGUUUAUUAAUUUGUUAAAUUAUUAUUGAAAUUAAAAUUAAUUUUUUAAAUGUAAAUAUAAAUAUAAAUGAAUGUUUAAUAAAAUCUACUCCUAGGGAUCUAUUUUAUACACUUUUUAUUCUCUAAAUCACGCAUAAUGUAGUUGUAUAAUAGAAACUGGAUAUUUAAUGGAAGCAAAAUUGCGCACGGUUUGUGGGUCUGUCAAAAUAUGAUAAAAAGACCAACAUGAUACACUGACUCUGUCCUCUUUAAUAUUUUUCUAGAUGCUUCCGUGGCAUAAUCUCAUUGGUCCAUUUUACUUCACGGCUUAGAUUCAACUUCAAAAAUCAAUUUGAAGCACACACAACAAUUCAACAAAUAUAAUAAGCGUCGAUAAACUUGUAGCUGACUGGCUGUGGCCAAGCAAAAAUGUACCUCAUGGUUACCGAAGGGUAAUUAUUAGAAAUCUCCCCUAAGGUUUGGCGUAUUUUCAGUUUGAUAGAUUGUAUUCGUGUAUUUUCAAAAACCUCCCCUGACAUUGAUAUACUGUUAAUUUGACCGUUUGUUGCAUGAUAAAAUGACAAAUAUAACCCUAAUUCAAAAAAGGGUAAUUAUCAUAAAAUUCUGUUGUAGCCUUAUAGGAAUAGAAUUUAAAAUUCUGUUGCAUCUCCUGUACCAAAUACUAAUUUGCUGGCUAUAUAUAUGGGAAAUGGCAGCUUCAUCAUCUCAUUUCUUUGACGUGAGUAGUGUAACAUUAUCUAAAUUCAAAAGUAUUUCUAUCACUUGUGUAAAAAACAACCUACUAAAAAAAAAACAAAAUCUUCACCAAGAUUGAAAGAAGUUUGAUGAAGAAAGCUAAGCAAUGAGGCAAAGUGCAAAAAGCUUCCUUCUAAUUCUGCGAUAUUUGACUCAAAUCUUUUCUUUGUUUCAUUCAUCAAAGUCAUUUUGGAAAGUAACAGGGAUGAUUUGGUAUUUUCAUUCCUUGGUGCCAGAACAAACAUGCUAGUACGAACCAACAAUUUUUUAUUUUCAGUAUACAAACUAUGUUUUUUGAAUUAGGGGAGGCAUCUGAAUUAUCCUCACCAACCAAAUUAUACGAAACGGUAUACUAAUGUUAGGGGAGGCAUCUGAAAAUAGGUGAAUACAAUCUAUCAAACUGAGAAUAUGCUAAACUUCAGGGGAGGUUUAUGAUAAUUACCCGGUUACCGAAUCAUAUCUUACGUCAGAAUUUUGAACUUAAACAAUGUUCUCAUUCCACGUGUCACUCUCUAACCAGUCCCCAAACUUUUAUCAUAUUUCCAAAGAAACCCCUACCAAAUCAAGGUAAUUACCGUCACUCGGCUCAAAUGAAUAGUCUCCUCGAUUCAACUGAUGACGACAUAUCCUCAUAGCCUUUAUUUAGAAGGGGAAAUUAUAAAAAAAUCCCCUCGUUCUCUAAAAAUAUGGGGUUUCUCAAGAAUAGCUAAACCUACAUCCCAAUCCUGAAAAAUCUCAAUUUAACCUCUCUAGGGUUUCGAUUGUUGAUGAUUCGCUUCAAAAUUUUGUAUUCUUUUAGUGGAUUUUGCUUGUCUCGUAUCCUUCAAUUGUUAGUUCAGUUCUGAUAAUAAUUUCGAAAUUUUUUAUACAAUAUAAAUUAAUUUAAAUUAAAAUUGAUAGAACAAUUGGGCGGUUAAUAAUUAAUUGAUGGCUAGUGAUACUACAACGGCGCCCGCGCCCGCAGCUCCGGAAAAAGCGGAGGCGGUGGAGGAGUAUGAUAGCAAUCCAGAUGAAGUGAAACGCUGUCUUGCGACGCGCAGAAGGGAAGCCAGCGAUGACGAGGACGUGGAGGACGUGGUGGAGGAGUACGAGAGCGAUCCAGAUGAAGUGAAACACUCUCUCGUGAUGCGCAGAAUGGAAGCAAGCGAUGAUAAGGAGGAGGAGGAUAAAGAAUUCGAGCGUCGAAUGAACCGUAGGGUCCACAUUCAUUAUUACGAUGAAUCUGAUGGCCAAGGUGGUGUCCUGCUGAGAAUGAUGAUGAUCAUCUCUCUCGACCAGUUCAGGUUCAAGGGAAGGGUGCUCGAGGGGUACUUGUCUUGUUUAUCAUUUUUGUUUAAUUUUCAUAAAUUCAACGACCCACAAUUCAAUUAUGAGUGAAGAAUUUGUUAAAAAAAUGUGGUCUUCCAUUUACUAUAACUAAGUCCGUGUGAUGUAAUUAUUUUUCUGUCACUUAAUGUCUUGAAAAUUAUGAAUACAUUGUAGGAUUUAGAAGGAUUUUAAGUUUUAAUGCAUAUGGGUUUUUUAUGUCCGUCCACUUAUGCGUAUACUGCAUUUUAUGAUUAUCGUAGUUGGUAGAUUGACAAAUGGACCUUAAUUACAAGUCAAAUAACCUAAAUACUUAUCGGCCAAAGGAAACCAUUUAUAGUACUUUCUAGUGAAGCAAAGUAAAAUGAUUCAUACUGGCAAAGAAAAUUAGAAAGAAAAGGAGGAUUACUGAUCCACACAGUGUCGUUUACUAAAAGUACGUUGAUCUUACACUUAAUUUAUUAUAUAUCCAUUUAUAAUGUUCAAAAUGAUAAUGUACUAUUUCUUAAAUUAGGCUUUCAAAACAUCAUUUUGAUAAUGCAUAGUUGUAAUGUGUCUCUAAAUUCAGUAAUACAAGUUAUUUCUGUUACUAAUGGAUGAAGUGACUUGAAACUUGCGUGGUCAUUAAAUGCUGGCAUAAUCUCUUUGACUUCUCUUGCAUUUGAAUGAAUGGAUGAGCGUUGCAUUUGAAUGAAUGGAUCAGUGUUAAUGCAGGCAAAGAUUUUCUGGACUUUCAUGGAUGCACAAUAAAUGCUACGUCAAAGGCCUGGUAAGAUGUCAGCAAGCUGGUCGAAGAUAUCAACCUGAUUUGGUGGCUGCAAGAUUUGUUCAUCCAGGACCGUUUUCUUUGACAAUGAGAAAGCCCCAAUGUCUAUAAAUUGAGAACUCACUGAAUUGUAGAGAGAGAGAGGAAAGUGAAUAACGGGAGAGGCAGUGAAAAGAGAGUGUGGGAAGAUUUGGGCGUAAUUGGGGUUUGGGUGUGAGAUAAAAUAAUCAGAGAGUGGUUGUAAUAAUUUUUUAUACGGUGAAAUUUUUUUGUCUCGUUGUUUUUUGCAGUGGUGGUUUUUUACUCUAAUAAAAUAGUCUUCCAAGUAAAUUUUGUGUGUUAUGAUUGGGAUAUUCACCAUUUUAGUUUUCUAUUUAUUAUUUGUUUUACAUAUUGCUAGCAAAAAUCUGGGGCGGGAACCGAAAAUUCCCAACAAUUAUUAAUUAUUUUAAACUCUGUUCUGAACAGAGCAUGAAGGGUUUCACUUACCUAGUUACGUUUUUCAUUCUUUCACUUCACUUGAUUUCAUCACAAGGAUCAUAUUCUGGCUAACGAAGGAGCAAAGUUCAUUGGCUGCACUCAUGUGUAGCAGAGUAUUUGGAUUCAAGACUGUUAGAAGGUCGUUACAGAGUAUUUGGAUUCACUCUCCAAUUUUCAUUAAUUUAGUGUAGAUAACGUGGUCAUGAAAACUUGAUUAAGAGUUUAAUGCAAUCAAAUCUACUUUAAUGAUUAUUUAAUGCACGGAGAUUUAACAUCAAUUAUCAUCACGUUAGUCUAACAACGAAAUUGCAGAGCUUGGAUCUUUACUCGAACAGUUUCACUGGCUCUAUUUCUGACACAUUGGGCAAGCUGAUGGAAUUGCAAUUCCUGUAUGAUCAUUUCCCCAACUAUUAUUUGAAUAAUUAUUUAAUGCCGUUCAUUCCAGCUCUGUUUGGCUGUUAACUUUAUUUAGUUAUAUAUGAGGAGAUUCAUUUCUCACCUGAAGCUAGAAAUUUACGGAUCAAUGACUUUUUAUUUUUUCUUUUAUAUGAUAGCUUGCAAUCCCUGGUGUGUGUUGAUAGAGCCUUACAUGAUUACAAAAAUGAAUUUUUUUUUGGGGGCCAAUUGCAGUUUUGAUAACAACUAAAAUCUGUGUGGCCCAGUUACCACAAAGCCUUGCUCCAGAUCCCUGCCAUUUUCUCCUCCACCUCCAUUUGGGGAAAUUACCACUUACUUUUUGCAAGUUUUUCGUGAAAUAUUUAUUUUGAGAAGAAAACCAACAAUACAUUUUAUGAUUUGGGCUGUUUCAAAGAUCUUCGCUUGAUGUCUCUGCUACUGGUUUUCAGCAGAGUGCCCAAAAAUAAUCAGUGCACGCACUAUAGGCUCUAUUAUUAUCAGUAAAAAGCAUUAAUGAUAUAUUGGGAUCGACUUUUUUAUUUGGGAGUGGAAGGAUGCUUGAAAGAGUAGAGUGGUGCAUCUUGUUCAAACAUGCACCGUAGAGAAAUUAGUUUAGGCUCUAACCAUUGUUAUAGUAGAGAAAAAGAAAAUUAAUCAAGAGUAAUUUUAUGACUUUUUAGAAAAUAGUGAAUUAAAAUAAUAAGUUAUAAUUUCAUAAUUAUCUUAAUUAAAAAAAUGGGGGUUUGAAAUAAAAUUAGUGAAUUUAAAUAGCCUGCCCAAAAUCCAAACUUGCAUAUCAAUUAUUUUCUAAUUUACAUAAAGUUUUUCUAUAUGUUUGAUAACAUUUGAUUCUCAAUUGGUCUAAUGGAGAAACAACCAGCAAAAAAAUAAAAUGAAUGCAAUUAAAUGGAAAUUUGAAAAGAGCAGUAGAUGACAUUUAUGUGCAAGCAAAAUGCAAAAUUGCAUUCUGUUUGUGGGAUCCUGGAAAAAAUAAAAGAAAGGAAACAGAGUAAGACGCUGGUACUGUGGGCUUUAAUAUUUUUCUAGAUGCUUCAAUGGCAGAUUCUCGUUGGUUCAUUUUUCUUUACGCCUUAGAUUCUAUGAUUCAAUUUCAAUCAAAUACGACAAACAAAAGAAGCUUUUAAGCCUGCAGCUCAAAAAGAUGGCACUUUAAUUUUCGGCUGAACAUACAAAUGGCAAGAUUAUUAUUAUUGAGCUUGAUAAGUGGGAUAGCAAAAUCCGAAUUCGGAUGUGGGUGUAUUUGGAUUUGGAUCCGGAAAAAAAUAUGUAGAUGUGGAUUCGGAUGCGGGUAAUAUCUGCACGGAUUGCGGGUGAAUAUUCCGGAUAUUCAGAUCCGCAUAAUAAUAAAUUUGAUUUUAAUUUUAAAUUUAAUAAUUUACAUAAUAAUAUUAAAUAAAAUUCAAUUAUAAUUUAACAAUCAAUAAUUUAACAUCAAUUCAACAUAAAUAACAUACAACAACACCAUAAAUUCACAAACAAUAAUUUCACAAUAUAAAUCAAACAUAAAAAAUAAAAAAUAAUCUAUGGUAAACCGAUUUAUUAUAAUAUUCUCUAAUUAUUAUUAUUAUUUGUUUUUUAAUAUAUUCAUAGUUAAUGAAGAUUAUAGAGUUAAUUAUGCUUAUAAAUUUAAAUAAAUAAUUUAAUUUAUAUAUUUUCAAUUAAAAUUUAAUUACAUAAAUAAUUUAAUUAUAAAAUAAUUGAUAAGUGCAUAUUUUCCACAUAUUUUGCUUUUAAUUUCUCCAUCUUUUUCUUAUUUUGAUCUUAAAUAUUCUAGUUAUUUUAGUUAAUUUUUAAUUUAAUAGGGAAUUAAUUAAUAUACAUAUUUUAUUUUUUUAUAUAUUUGCUAGUUAUUUUUAUUUCUUAUUUUUAAUUCAUUGUAUUAUUUUAUUGAAUAGGAAAUUAAUUGGAGAUUGUGGAUAAUAAAAAGGCAUGAAGAAAUUCAAAUUGAGAAGGAAUGAAGAUUAAAUUGGAAGACAAAAAUCAAAGCAAUUAAUCCAAUUGAGAAAUGUUGAAUAAUUAAAAGAUUUAAUUUUUUCCAAUUGGCAAAUUGGAGUACACGUUCAUGGCAUUGCAAAAGUGGAAAGCAUUUAAACGGGCCCACAAUUGACUUUCAAAAGUUGGAAUUAAUGGCUUUGGGUGGCGUUAAAUUGGAAAAGGAUUUCAAUUAGAAUUGAAAAAGGAUUUCUUUGGAUUUGUUGGAGAAGAAUUCGGUCAACUAGCAUUAUAAAAAGAGAGCAGCUGCUGGACGGAAGAAAAAAAAAAGACAGGAGAGAGAGCAGGGGCUGAUCCAAUUCGGCAAGAAGAAGAAAAAAAUCAGCAGCCGGAAUUCAAUUGAAGAAAAACGCUGCCGCUUGAAUUAAUCUCCAUGAUUGGUUUUGUCAAUUCUCUUAUUCUCAAUUCAAUUAUGUUAGGCUAAAUUUUUAUUUGGUUGAGGGUGAAUUCAAAACCCUAAACAUGCUAUGCAAUUAAAUUUAAAUUCUAUCAUUCAAUUUAUUUAAUUGAGAUUGUCUAUAAUUAAUUUUCAUGGUUUAUUCUUGUUUUAUUUAAGUGGCCAAUUAGAUAGGACUUGAAUAAAUUUUAUUGCUAGAUUAAAAUUCUUGAUCCGUAAUUGUCUUGAUAUUUUAAUCAUUAGUAGCAGGUUGGAAUCAGUGAUUUCAAUUGAAGAACAUAACCUAGGUUAAAUAAUCCGAGCUUGUGUGUUUAUUGCCUAGAUCAACCUAAUAUCUUUCUCUGUUUAAUGCUUCCAUUAUCUUAAAUUUAAAGAGCUUGUUUUAAAUUAUUUAAUGGUUAGAGAUUAUGUGAAGAGCUUAUUUUGCCUAACGACACACUAAGGAAAGAUUGAGACUAACAGAGCUUAUUGUUGUCUACGGUUGAUAGUUUUAAUAUAAAUUGAUGGUAGAAUUGAUAUAUUAUGUGCAUGUUUGGUGGUGGCGAAUGAUCCUUUAACCAAAGUUUUCAUCAUUAUUAUUUCCUUCUCAUUUAAUUAGAGUUUUUAUUAAAUUCUUGUUCGUAGUUUUAAUUUCUUUAUUUCUUACUAUUUAGUUAAAAAUUCAUAAACCCCCAUUUUAUUUAUAAUUGGCAUUUUCUUUAGUUAGAUUAAUUUAUAUUAUUAUUACUAUUAUUAUUAUUACUAUUAUUUUAUUUUAAAUCUUGCUUUGGAGUUAAUAAUAAAUAUAACUAGCAUAGUCUCUGUGCGAUCGAUCCUUACUCGCUCUGUACUAAUUAUUUAUAUUAGUGGUAAGGUUUUAAAUUUGGUGCACCUUAACGACACUACCAAAUUUUUGGCGCCGUUGCCGGGGACUAGCGUCUAGUUUGUUUAUUAUCACUCGUUUUAUUUUUAUUUUUUUUUAUUUCUUUUCUCAUUUUAUUUAUUUAUUUUAUUUUAAUUAGUUAAUUUUUGUUCUAUAUUUAGAUUUUCAUGAGCAUAGAGGACAUUCGAUUGAAACUCGAACAACUUAGAGCAACCUCAUCAUAUUCAGAACUCGAUUUUGCCAUCCACAUUCCACUCCCGAAGACAGAACCAAGCAGCCCAGAACCCGAACCAAUGGCUCAGAAUAACAACCGAACACUUAAAGAGUUGGCAGCUCCUAACUUGGACCAGCAACCCUUAUGCAUUGAGAAUCCAAACCCUCAGGUAAACUUUGAACUCAAAUCUGGGAUGAUUCAUCUUCUUCCUACUUUUCAUGGUCUUGCAGGAGAGGAUCCAAAUAAGCACUUGAAGGAGUUCCAUGUGGUCUGCUCCACAAUGAAACCAGCCGGAGUUUCUGAAGAGCAAGUUAAGCUAAUGGCCUUCCCAUUCUCUUUGGCGGAUUCAGCCAAGGAAUGGUUGUACUAUCUUCCCUCCGGUACUAUCACUACAUGGAAUGAGAUGCGUCAGCUAUUUUUGGAGAAAUAUUUCCCAACAUCAAAAGCUGGCAGCAUUCGAAAAGAAAUUUGUGGAAUCCGACAGUAUAAUGGAGAGUCGCUCUACGACUAUUGGGAACGAUUCAAAAAGCUAUGUGCUAGUUGCCCUCACCAUCAGAUAAGUGAUCAACUUCUUAUUCAAUACUUUUAUGAGGGUCUACUACCUAUGGAUAGGAGUAUGAUUGAUGCCGCUAGUGGAGGAGCACUCGUGGAUAAGACACCAGAAGCAGCCCGAAAUCUCAUUGCUAACAUGGCUGCUAAUUCCCAACAGUUCAACACUAGGAACGAUCUACUGCCGCCACCUAAGCGAGUCAAUGAGGUAAGUACUACUUCUCUAGAAAAACAAGUUUCAAAUCUUACUUCUUUGGUGCAACAAUUAGCUCUAGGGCAACAAAUGAGACCGUGUGGCGUAUGUUCUAUGGUCGGGCAUGCAACUGAUAUGUGCCCUACUCUCCAAGAGGGUUCACAUGAGCAGACCAACGCAGUUGAGGGGUUCCUAGGCCAAUCAAGACAAAGGUAUAAUCCAUAUUCUAAUUUUUACAAUGAAGGGUGGAAGGAUCACCCUAAUUUUAGGUAUGGGAACCAACAACAAGGCAUUCCUAAUGUGGCACCAUCUCGACCACCGGGCUACCCCCAACAGCGGGUGCAACAACCUUAUCAAGAUCGGUCACCUCCACCUUCUCAAAAUCAAGGUACGUCUUUGGAAGAUCUUGUAAAAGCUCUCGCUACUAACUCUAUGCAAUUCCAACAGACUACCCAGACACAGCUCCAACAUUUAGAGAAUCAAAUUGGCCAAUUGGCCACAUCUAUGAGUAGGAUAGAGGCUAGAACUUCAGGAAAGCUACCUUCUCAACCAUAAAUUAAUCCAAAGGAGAAUGCUAGUGCUAUGUCUCUUAGGAGCGGAAAGCAAUUGGAACCAUUAUUAGCUAAGCCAUCAAAAGUGUCCACAACAUCAUCGCCCUCUGUGACAAUUCCUCCCCUGAGGCUCUUCCUUUAACAAGGAAAGACGAUUCCCACUCGGCAUUGCCAGUCGAUCCAUCUAGCCAGGUAAGUACCCCCUCACCUCGAAUUAAGACUCUUUCCAUUCCUCCACCAUUUCCUAGCAGAUUUAAACAAUCCAAGAAAGAGGAGCAAGAAAAAGAGAUCCUUGAGACCUUUCGUAAAGUAGAGGUAAAUAUUCCUCUACUUGAUGCUAUUAAACAAGUGCCACGUUAUGCAAAGUUUUUGAAGGAAUUAAGCAGCAACAAGCGAAAGUUGAGCGGUAACGAAAAAGUAAGUGUAGGAGAGAACAUUUCUGCUGUACUUCAAAGAAAACUUCCUCCUAAGUGCAAGGAUCCAGGUACUUUUACUAUCCCCUGCACUAUUGGCAAUACCAGAUUCGAAAGAUGUAUGCUAGAUUUAGGGGCCUCAAUUAAUGUUAUGCCAUAUUCGAUUUAUAACUCCUUGAAUUUAGGUCCAAUGGAAGAAACUGGUAUAAUUAUUCAAUUGGCUGAUAGAUCUAACGCUUACCCGAAGGGGGUUGUGGAAGAUGUUCUUGUGCAGGUCAAUGAAUUGGUCUUUCCAGCUGAUUUUUAUAUCCUUGAAAUGGACGAUGAAUCAUCGCCCAAUCCCACUCCUAUUCUGUUGGGGCGACCAUUCCUUAAGAUAGCCCGAACCAAGAUUGAUGUUCAUGAUGGAACCCUUACAAUGGAAUUUGAUGGUGAAGUGAUCCGCUUCAAUAUCUUUGAGGCAAUGAGGUAUCCUAGUGAUGUUCAUUCUGUUUUUGCCAUGGAUGAUAUUAAUACUUUGGUGCAAGAUUUCUUUGAAUUAUCCGGUAAUGACAGUUUUGAAAUUGCCAUAAGCAAAAAUCUUACGAAAGAUGAUUCUAAGGAACAUGCAAAUUUGAUAAAGUUGGAUGAUGAGGCACCUACCUUAGAACUUAAACCACUCCCAGAACACCUGCAAUAUAUUUACUUGGGUGAGAAUGAAACACUUCCAGUCAUAAUUGCUAAAACCCUCACCCCAGUUCAACAAGAAAAGUUAAUUAGGGUGCUUCGGGAUCACAAAACGGCGAUUGGCUGGACCAUUGCCGACAUUAAGGGAAUUAGUCCUUCCAUGUGCAUGCAUCGCAUUUUGCUAGAGGAAGGGUCUAAACCAACGAGAGAUGCACUUUGGGCAUGUAGGACCGCAUACAAAACUCCUAUUGGUAUGUCACCCUACAGGUUGGUAUAUGGUAAGCCUUGUCAUCUUCCAGUGGAACUUGAACAUAAAGCAUGGUGGGCUGUGAAACAAUGUAACAUGGAACUGGACGCCGCCGGCCAACACAGAAAGCUCCAAUUGCAAGAAUUAGAGGAAAUUCGAAAUGAUGCCUAUGAGAGUUCACGAAUCUAUAAGGAAAAGACUAAGGCUUUUCAUGAUAAGCAGAUCUUGAGAAAGAAUUUUGAAGUUGGACAGAAAGUUCUGCUAUUCCAUUCUCGCCUUAAGUUGUUUCCAGGUAAGUUAGGUUCUCGAUGGGUUGGGCCUUUUGUUGUUAUUAAUGUUUUUCAUCAUGGUGCAGUUGAGAUCAGGAGCUUAAAGACAGGUAAAGAGUUCAAAGUUAAUGGUCAUAGGUUGAAGCCUUACUAUGAAAAUUUUCAAACACUCAAUGUAGAGGAGGCUCCACUUUAUGAACCUGCGUACGUUGAUGAGUGAAACUUGAGAACCAGGUCAGGCUGAGGACAAUAAACCAAGCGCUUAUUGGGAGGCAACCCAAUGGUUGGAGAAAAGAAUUUGAGAGCACGCCAUAACAGAUUUGAUCUUUCUCCCUUUCAUUCUCAUUUACUUUAUCCACUAUGUUGAAUUUUGUUUGUUUCUGUUUGUGUGUCUCAUCUCCUUUCCCCAUGUUUAAUUCUUUUGUUAGUUUAGGCUUACAUUGAGGACAAUGUAAGAAUUAAGUGUGGGGGGGUGGAUUUCGAACUUAGUUUUUGUUGCUUUGUCUUUUUCUUUUUUAAAAAAAAAAAUUUGAAUAUUAGCCAGUGAUAAGAAUUUGAUUGACAAUAAAUAUGGUUCUUAGAAAGGGUUGAAUAUUACCUUAGUUUAUACUUGAUUCUUGUGUUGAUUUCCUCUUAAUUGAGAUUCUUUAAACCAUGAGCACUAAUAUCAAUUCUUUCAUAAUUUUGACUUAGAAUUUGAGAUUGACGCAGCCUGAGUUGAGAAUUUUAGAUUGAGUAAAUGACUGUUUGUCUUGAUUCUUAUCUCCACAAUACAGUGUAGUAUACACAGGCACCAUAGUCAGAAAUAGCUACCUAUAACCCUUAAGAGUGAAGCUAUCCUUGAGUAAUUUGGGCCUAUGUACCACCAGUAUGUAGAGGAUAAUCUACCAUGAGAAGAAGGCUACCUUAAGGGGUAGAGUGAAAGCUCCUGACUAAAAAAAAAAAAAAAAACCAAAAAAAAACCAAAAAAAAAAACAAAAAAAAAGAGAACUUCAAAAGAAAAUGCACACAAAUGCCUGUGAAAGAAAGAAAAUUUUUUUUUUGGAGAUCAAGAUGAUAAGAUUAGUUUGACCUACUCUUUUCUUUGUUCGAGGCAAAGGCUGUUGAUAUUGAAGAUUUUGGGAAUGGAUUUUAAUUGAAUUGAUUCACACACACACACAAUGAGAAUCAAAAGAGAGAUGUGAUUGAGUAUUGAAUUAAAGUUAGAACUUCGAUAAUAUUUGAAAUUUUCUUUGAGCUAUAUGAUUUAUGCAAUCUUUGAGGCUAGUUUUAUUUUAAAAUAAAAAAAAAAACAAAAAAAAAAAAAUUGCAAUGAUGUUUGUGGGUAUCAUCGUUGAAGCCCUCACGAGACUAUAACUCGUCCACUAGGGCCGCCUAGGGGUUUAAAGGCUUGUUGCAUACGCUAAAUGCAAUCGUGAUUUCCUACGAAAGUGGACUAGUUUAGGUUUUCUUUUUAUUUUUGUUCUAGGUUUACUCGAGGACGAGCAAAGGGUAAGUGUGGGGGAAUUUGAUAAGUGCAUAUUUUCCACAUAUUUUGCUUUUAAUUUCUCCAUCUUUUUCUUAUUUUGAUCUUAAAUAUUCUAGUUAUUUUAGUUAAUUUUUAAUUUAAUAGGGAAUUAAUUAAUAUACAUAUUUUAUUUUUUUAUAUAUUUGCUAGUUAUUUUUAUUUCUUAUUUUUAAUUCAUUGUAUUAUUUUAUUGAAUAGGAAAUUAAUUGGAGAUUGUGGAUAAUAAAAAGGCAUGAAGAAAUUCAAAUUGAGAAGGAAUGAAGAUUAAAUUGGAAGACAAAAAUCAAAGCAAUUAAUCCAAUUGAGAAAUGUUGAAUAAUUAAAAGAUUUAAUUUUUUCCAAUUGGCAAAUUGGAGUACACGUGCAUGGCAUUGCAAAAGUGGAAAGCAUUUAAACGGGCCCACAAUUGACUUUCAAAAGUUGGAAUUAAUGGCUUUGGGUGGCGUUAAAUUGGAAAAGGAUUUCAAUUAAAAUUGAAAAAGGAUUUCUUUGGAUUUGUUGGAGAAGAAUUCGGUCAACUAGCAUUAUAAAAAGAGAGCAGCUGCUGGACGGAAGAAAAAAAAAAAGACAGGAGAGAGAGCAGGGGCUGAUCCAAUUCGGCAAGAAGAAGAAAAAAAUCAGCAGCCGGAAUUCAAUUGAAGAAAAAGGCAGCCGCUUGAAUUAAUCUCCAUGAUUAGUUUUGUCAAUUCUCUUAUUCUCAAUUCAAUUAUGUUAGGCUAGAUUUUUAUUUGGUUGAGGGUGAAUUCAAAACCCUAAACAUGCUAUGCAAUUAAAUUUAAAUUCUAUCAUUCAAUUUAUUUAAUUGAGAUUGUUUAUGUUCUUCUAUAAUUAAUGUUCAUGGUUUAUUCUUGUUUUAUUUAAGUGGCCAAUUAGAUAGGACUUGAAUAAAUUUUAUUGCUAGAUUAAAAUUCUUAAUCCGUAAUUGUCUUGAUAUUUUAAUCAUUAGUAGCAGGUUGGAAUCAGUGAUUUCAAUUGAAGAACAUAACCUAGGUUAAAUAAUCCGAGCUUGUGUGUUUAUUGCCUAGAUCAACCUAAUAUCUUUCUCUGUUUAAUGCUUCCAUUAUCUUAAAUUUAAAGAGCUUGUUUUAAAUUAUUUAAUGGUUAGAGAUUAUGUGAAGAGCUUAUUUUGCCUAACGACACACUAAGGAAAGAUUGAGACUAACAGAGCUUAUUGUUGUCUACGGUUGAUAGUUUUAAUAUAAAUUGAUGGUAGAAUUGAUAUAUUAUGUGCAUGUUUGGUGGUGGCGAAUGAUCCUUUAACCAAAGUUUUCAUCAUUAUUAUUUCCUUCUCAUUUAAUUAGAGUUUUUAUUAAAUUCUUGUUCGUAGUUUUAAUUUCUUUAUUUCUUACUAUUUAGUUAAAAAUUCAUAAACCCCCAUUUUAUUUAUAAUUGGCAUUUUCUUUAGUUAGAUUAAUUUAUAUUAUUAUUACUAUUAUUAUUAUUACUAUUAUUUUAUUUUAAAUCUUGCUUUGGAGUUAAUAAUAAAUAUAACUAGCAUAGUCUCUGUGGGAUCGAUCCUUACUCGCUCUGUACUAAUUAUUUAUAUUAGUGGUAAGGUUUUAAAUUUGGUGCACCUUAACGACACUACCAAUAAUACAGAUCCGGAUAUCCGGUUUUCCGAAUGUAAGUGCAUCCGGAUCCGCAUGGAUCUUAAUUUUUAAGAUCCGGAUUCGCAUUUUUUAACGUACAGAUCUGAAUUUUUUGAAUUCGAAUCUUCUGAAUAUUUGCUGAUCCAGAGUUUAUUGCCAACCCUAAAUUGAUAAGGCUAUAGAAAAUUCAAUAUCCAGAUCGGAUAAGGAUCCAAUAAAUUAUAAAAUAUUGCGGCUCAAAGCCCAUAUGAUCAUGGGCCACCGCUUGCUCAUGCUUUGAAUCAAAAUUUUCUAAUGAAGUGAGGUUGGAAGCUAAAAGGGGCAAAUGAUGAAAUGGGGUUCAUCAUUUAUUGAGCCCAACGGGACAAGAUCAUCAUUUAAUUCCCUCCUCUUGUCGAUAGAUAUUUGCCGAAUUUUUUCAUUUAAAAAAUAUUAUAUUGGUUAAUAGAAUUUGAAGUUUUACAAAAUAUAAGUUUAAUUUUAGAAAAAAUUAUAUUUGUUAAUUUAAAAUUUUCAUUUGGUGGUUGUGUUUGAGAAAAAUUUUAGGUAUACUCGGAUAUACUCUCUUAUUAUUCAUUGAAUUUGGGCAUUUAAACAUACUAGUAUAGUAUGCAGUAUUUUUAGGUAAUUAGCGGAGAAGUAUACGUGACAAAAAUAUAACACGUGAAACAAUACACAAUGAAAUUAUCUACAAUUUUCCAUUGACUUAGUCAACUCUUCAUUAAUUUCAUUGACUUGAUCAACUCAUGAAUCAUGAUCUAACUUGACAACUUGAAAAUUAAAAUAUGCUAGUAAUUCCGUAAAAUUAAAAUUUAUCUCCCAAAAUUGAUAAAUACUGUGUCACUUUGUCAAAUUACUUAGGGUAAAAACUCUGUGGCUAAAAACUUUUAACAUUAGUUGUAUGCUAAUUGAGAAGGACAAGACACAAAAGAAUUCAAUGAAUGCGACAUCAUGUAACACUAACACUAUUUACUCUUAACAAAUUCUUACAAACGUGAUUCAUGAAAUUAACUUGACUUUUUGUCUAAAAAAGGCCUAAAGAAACAUGCCAAGCAACAAAUAAAGUAGUCCAAACGUGAUUCAUGAAACUUGAUAGGCACUAUCUAAAUAGUAUUAAUAUGGCAACCAAAAACAUCCGCGCAAAAUAGACUUUCUUGGACGAUCCAUGCCAAUCAACAAAUAAAGUAGUCCAAACGUGAUUCGUGAAACUUGACUUCUUGUCUAAAAAGGCCUAAAGAAACAAGACCAAAAUUUCCAUGCAAUAGCAAUAUGGUGGCCACAAUGCACUUUUUAAGCCAUUUUUCAAAACUAAGUUUCUUCGUAUCACAUGCACUAUUCAAGCAAUUUUUCAACAUUUUCUCCUUCCCCUAAAAGCUACAUGCAUGAAUCAUGUCCCAAUCAAUUUCUUGGCAAAAAUUGGAACGCAAGAACCGAUUGGAGCAUAAGGACAAUGUCACGAUUCAAGAUUCUCAGCAAGACCACGUCACAAUGCAUCACUUUUGGAAAGUAAUUUAGCAAUUUCCAAUGCCUUAGCUGAUUAAUGGCUUGAACAUGUCACGAUUGGUCCACAUUAUGCACAUGGCAAGAUCAAACAAAAUAUCACAGCUAGCUCGACGACUACUAGCCAAAAUAACAAGACAAUGACGGCCAGUUACAAACUCUUUACGAAGGAAAUACCGAAAUAUGAAUAUCCCUCCUAAUCACUUUCUUAUAUUAUAAUUAUUUUGUACAUAUAACAGAACACGUUCUCUCUUGUAAACAAGUCAAGAAAACGGUUUUAGUUUUCAUAUCAAUAAUGGAAUCCAAAAUCUUUCACAGCUUGCUUCUCCUUUGGACGCUUGAAAGACUUUCUUACCUGGCUAAGACUGAAAAUUGUUUGCGGUCAACUCGUGGCACCCUUAUUGACACGCAAAGAACUUACAUCGAGGAGUUGUUUGAUUUUAUGUUUCAAAUUAAGUACCAUAGCAUUACUACUUCUAUAAAUAACUCAUUUGAGCUUCCAGCCUGUUAUUUGUAUUUUACGUUUCUGUUUCUCUUCAUAAAUAUUUUUUUUUCCAUUCUCUUUUUCUUCCACUUUCCCGACUCCCAAACACCACCAGUCUUUGAUUUUCCUAGAGUAUUAACUGUCUGUUUACACGAACAUAGACCGACUGUUUGUCUAAUUACUGUCAAGAAACAGCAUACUCUGUCUCGGGGUCUCUUCGUUUAUUGACUUGUCACUUGUGAACGGGAUAAUUAAAGGGCAUUCCUUUCUUCAAGAAAGAUUGCCAAGAAAGUACCAUCCAUUAGACACGUUAAGAGUUAUUUUACAUUAAAAAUGAUAAUAAUCAUAAUAAUCGGUUUAGUGUUACCCCUUUAUUAGGUAAUGACUGUCCGAUUGUCUUCGCUUUCAUUGACUUCGCAACUGUGAAUUCUAAGCCGGGUUAAGGAUUGACAAAAUGUUAUAACCCAUAAAGCACGGAUAAUUAAUUAAUGGGCCACUGAUUUCUUCUUUAAAGGCUAAUUCUUGGUAAAGAUCAGAAAGUUCUCAAAUAAAAAUUCGGCUUUGUGGAAAUUAAAUUAAAAGCAAUUAAGCAUUAUAAAUUACUUAACAGCUUAAUCGAGUUUGGUUUUGAAAAAUAUAUCUUUAAAUCUCUUGUAAUUAAAGAUAAUUAUCAUAUUACCGUCUCAAAUGGACCGAUUUCAAUCAAAUGAAAUCUAGAAAAUUGAGCAGCUCAUUGAUGUAUUUGAUCGAACUUGUGUCAGAGUCUUCGUUUUAGAAGAGUGCACAGCAGCUGCCAGGUCCACUUGGCAGUUGGCACGCUAAAAAUUUUCUGUUGACCAAUAAUUUUGAAAGGGAUAUUAUUAAUUUACUAUCAAAUAUUUUCUAACACAUCACUUUACUAUCAAAAUUUUUUGACAAUAAUUUUUUGUCACUUAAUAUUUCAAUUUUUAUCAUUUUAUCAUCAAAAAAUAGUAAAUGCAUGCGUAGUGUCAGUUAUUCAUAAAAAUGGUUGUUGAAUUGUCCUGUUUCUCAUUUGGUUUAAUUUUCAUAAAUUCGACUCACACAAUUCAAUUAUGAGUGAAGAGUUUUUUUUUGGGAAAAAAUCUGGUCUUCCAUUUACUAGAAUCACGUCUGAAUGAUUUUGUUAUUUUUCUUUUGUUUGAAAUAUACGUGGAAAAUGUUGAACACUUUGUAGGAUUUAGAAGAAUUUGAAAGUUUGAAUGCAUAUAGUUUACUAUCCAUCAACUAGUGCAUAUUCUGUAUUUUAUGAAAUCAAAGCUGGUUGAUUGAGAAAUGGACCUUAUUACAUGUCAUAAGAUUUUACAGUGCUUUCUAAUGGAGCAAAAUAAAAUGAUUCUUACCUGCACAGAAAAUUAGAUGUUACACUUAAAUUUAUUAUCCAUCUCUAUUGUUUAUAUGACACUGAAGUAUUACCUAAAUUAGCCUUUCAAAACUUCAUUUUCAAAAAUCUAUGGUUGUGAUGCGUCUCUAUAAACUCACUCGUACAAAUUCUAUCUAAUGCCAAUCAUUUUAAACUCUGUUCUGAACAGAGCAUGAAAGGAUAUGUUCACUUAUCUAGUUAUGUUUUUUAUGCUUUCACUUCACUUGAUUCACCUUGUCCCUCUUUUAAAACAGCUGCAUAUGCUGGAGUGCCAAAUCCAUCACAAGGAUCAUAUUACAGAGUAUUUCGGGAUUCAAGACUGUAUGCCACGCUGGCAAGUGCGCUCUCACAGAUUGUGGAGAUGGCACCAAAGAUUGUAAACUAACUAGUACUGAAAAAUCCUAUUUGCACAUAAAAUUGCAUAAAAUAAAUAGACUGAGAAAUAAGAUUAAUAAAGUAAAUAAAUUUAUCUUUCUAGUGUUUUUGUGUACGUACAAGUAGCAUUACUCAUUAGCAAUUAGUCUAGAGUGUUCUGAUUUUUUCUAAUAAGUAGCUCACUUGAGCCUAGGACUUGUAACUAUGUUUUACGUUUCUGUAACUUUCUAAUAAAGAUUUUUUUUUUUUAAUUUUCAAUUUCUCUUCCAUUUUCCUGACUCCCAAACACCACCAAUCCUUGAUUUUCUAGAGUAUCAGCUAUCUAUUUCUACAAACACAAAACUACUAUUUACUUUCAAGAAACAACGUAUUCUGUGGUUUAUUGGCUUGUGCCUUGUGAACGGGGCUAAUGUUGGUCUAACUACUUUCACGAAACAACGUACUCCGUGGUUCAUUGACGCGCACGGGGCUAAUUGUCUCCUCUUCCAUUGACUCUGUCAAUUCAUGACUUUGACGCGCACGGUAGCUGCUAACUGCCUUCUCCAUUUGACGUGCAAAAAACUUUCUUGAGUCGGGUUAAAAUUAAUUGAUCAUUUUAUUUGGUGAUAAUGACUUAGUUGUCAAGUCAUGAGUUUGAUGAUGAAGAGGACGAAAAACAUUACUUUAUUAUUUAAAAUAAGACUAUCAAUUAAAUGGAAUCUUACGGAAUUAGAGUGCUUGACUUCUUUUUACAGAAUUAUGAAGUGAAAAAGGAAAUUAAGAAAUUAAAUACUUUUCAUGCGAGUGGAGAAGAUUGGGUAGCGAUUACAUGAAAUAAAAGAAAAAUAAUUUAAAAGUACAACACUUUAAUAAUCUCAUUCCCAAUCAUAUCGGUAUAAAAAUUAUGUAGAUUUAUUGAAUAACUAUUGAUUUUACUUUGGUAAUUUCUUUCUAAAAGUGAGGUAAACAUUUUUAUUUUCUUUGCAUUCGAGCUUUCUUUCUUUUGCGCUGGCCUUCACACUCUUGACCGUAUUUCAUGUAUUUAGUUUUUGUCAUCAUGACUGGUGAAAUAAAAAUAGUCCUCAUUUCAAGGAUUGACAAAAACGUUGUGCUCAUACCGAUUAAUGGGGAACUGAUUUCGUCUUCUUAAAAGAGAAUUAUUUGCAGCGCGGUAAUUAGAAGAUUUCUGUAUUAUAUAGCCAAACCUAAGUGAUAAGAAUUUCCAAAUGAGAUAUAAUUUGGAGGGAAACAAAAAACUAAUUCAAGUUAAAGACCAGCAAUUUCCAUAUGUGAUAUAUCCUUCACUCUUUGACGUAUCCCUGGGGCAAUGUAAGUUGACUUUAUAUUAAAACAAAACAUAAUUACAAUUAUCAUCACUGAUUUGUAUAAUUUUCAGGACUAGUAAAUUAUCUCAAUUUUUAAAAAACAUAAUUACAAUUAUCGAUCGAACACCACUAAUUCCAACAAUUCAUCCAAGUUUUUCAACUUUUUAGAUAUUUGAUAUAUGUCAUGUUUUAACUUAGUACGAGAAAAAAAUUAUAGAAUUUUUUUUUUUUCAAAUUAGUGGAAUUAUUUUACGAUAAAACUAUCACAAUCACAUUUAAAAAUAUUCUUUAAACUUUCACUAUUUCUACUGUUAUUCUUUAAACUUUUUUCUGAACAGAGCAUGGAGGGUCGCUUAUCUAAAUAUGUUUUCUGUGCUUUCACUUCACUUGAUUCAUCUUGUCCCUCUUUUAUAGCUUCUAUCUCGUGUGAGCUUAGAACCUGCAACUUGUAUUUUACGUUUCUGUUACUUUCUCUUUCAUUUUCCCGAUUCCCAAACACCAUCAGUCCUUGAUGUUAUAGAGUAUUAGCUGUCUAUUUGUUCAGACAUAGAGCUACUGUUCCCAGUCCCACUGUAGAUCUUCAGUGGUUAGCUCACUAUUGUUUGAAUAUUAAAAUUAAUUUGUUAAAUAAAUAAAGAAAACAAGAGACAAUUGCCAUAUAUAUUCCAUAUUAAUUAGUCACCGUCCGAUUGUCUCCACUUCCAUUGACUCUGUUGAUUCAUGCUUUCAUGAAGUGAAACGUUUAACACUCUGUUCUGAUCCGCAGGAGAGGAGGAAAAACAUAAUUUUAUUAUUUCAUUCCUGACACGCGCAAUGAGCUUUCUUAAUUGAUGAAUGUGACAUGAAGCUCUAUAAAUAGUUUAAUUUGUAAAAUUGUUAAAAUUUGUUAAAUUUCAUUUAAUUGAUGAAUGUGACAUGAAACUCUAUAAAUAGUUUAAUUUAUAAAAUUGUUAAAAAUUUAAAUUUCAAGUAAGGUAGAUAAAAUGAUUAACUUUUUUCAAUAUUUAGAUAAUUAACAUGUGUCAUGUAACUAUGAGUGAAUGAAUGAAAUUUUUGAAGUACGAAUCCAUUUACAAGUUACGACUUGUCUUGUUUCUCAUUUUACUUAAUUUUCAUAAAAUUGACUCAUGAUCAAUUAUGAGCGAAGAGUUUGUUGGUCUUCCAUUUAUUGUAAUCAGAUGAGUGUGAUUUAAUUAUUUUUUCCUUUUGCUUGAUGUCCCGAAAAUUAUGAAUGCUUUUGUAGGAUGCAGAAGAUUAAAAAUUUUAAUGCAUAUCUAUAGUCAAAACUGAGGAAACAGAACAUUAUUGCUUCUAUAAAUAGGUCAUUUCAGCUUAAAACUUGUUACUUGUAUUUUACAUUUUUGUUUUUUUAACUUUUUCUUCCAUUUUCCCAAACACCACCAAUCCUUGAUUCUUUUCCUAGAGUAUUAGCUGUCGAUUGUUACAAACAUAGACAUACUGUUUGUCUAAUUACUAUCAAGAAACAACAUACUCUAUCCUGGAGUCUCUUCGUUUAUUUAAUAUUUAGGUUUAUUAAUAUACUACAUUAUUAAUUAAAUUAAUUAAUAAUUUAAAUUAAUUAAAUAAUAAAAGUUAAAUGAUUAUAUUUAAAAUCCAAGUAGUAUUUUAAUGUAAUGAAACCUAAAUCCCACCUCUAUACCACAUUUGUUAUACAAUGUAAUGCAACUAUAAAUUAUAAUUAUAUGAAAAUAAUAUUUUAAUACAAUAUAAUACAAGUAUAAUAGUAUUACAAGUGUAAAGGCUGUAAUAUUAAUUAGCCUGUAUAAUAUUAUGCCGUGCUGGCAAGUGUGCUAUAACAGAUUGUCGAGCUGGCACCAGUUAUUUUAAACUAAUAUUAGUAAUUAGUCUAGAGUGUUCUGAUUUAUUCUAUAAAUAGCCCAUUUAAGCUUUUUUCUCUAUUCCUUUUUCUUUCACUUUCUCUUCCGUUUUCCCGACCCUCAAACACCGUCAAUCCUUGAUUUGAACUGCUGUUUGUUUGUCUAAUUACUUUCAAGAACAAUACCCUCCAUCCCGCGGUCUCUUCGUUUAUUGACUUGUGAAUAUCAAUAAAUUUUUAUUACAUUCAAGAUAAGGACUGACCAAAUUAUUAAAAUGUGAUGCCACGUGUGUGAGUAAUUGGAUUGGACUGACCAAUACUUUGACGUUCAUAUUGGUUUAGGACCAUUCAUAAUUAUGACUUAAAUAGUUUCCAUUAAUAUCGAUUUUUCUAGAUUCUAAUUUCUAAAUGGUUAGAAGUUUCAGCCACUUAAAGCAAAGGAAUAAUCGCCCUUCUUGCACGGAAGCACGGAUAUUCCAGGAUUAAAAUCCUAGCCUAACUCCAACGCCAGGGAUUGGCAUCUAUUCCUAAGACAAAUUAACUAAUUACAACCGCUUAAUAAUAAUAAUAAUAUAUUAUUGUUGAGAUGAUGCGCUGGCAAAUCAUACAGGUGUACGUCCUAACCAAUAUGCUACGUUUCCCCACAUUAUAUAUUGUUUGAGGGAAAUGCUUCGAUGAGACCAGAAGUGAUGAGCAGAUAUUUGGUGGCAGAGUUCUGCGAACAGGUGCGUCCUGUAAGAGCCUGGUAGCAGGGGAACAGGAGCAGGAAUAUUCUGCUCGUCCAAGAACAUGCCAUUCACGAGGACGAACUCCUGUUAGAGGCAUGAGGCCAUUCCUGCUAGGGGUCGAGGCAAGGAGGCCCGGUCAACGACAGUUGGUAAGGCGUGCAUUCCUCCCCGAGAAUCAAGGCGCGAAGUCCAUCUCCAUUUGCCCACAAUGGCGAUAAUGGGGCAUCCACAUCCGAGAGUGGGGAGAAUAACGGGCGUGGACUACAGAAGACUGGGAUUCAGAGGAAGCCUAUAAAAAGGUAGCCAACGAAGGUAAAAGGGUUGGACUUUUUGCUAUUAGAACUAAGAAAAGAAAACUCUAAGAACUGAGAUUGAAAAGACACCAUAGGAUUCGUGGCAAACAUUCCCAGAACCUUCAUAUCUGACUUGAGCGUCAGAUGGUUUACGCCGGGAAAACAACCGGCGUACUCUGACCUGCUUCUGUGUACGCAGGAACUUUUGGAGAAGAAACCUUACGAGGAGAGAUCCUGGUCGUGGUAGAGUUGAUCGAGCCGAGUUCCUGGUCUUGGUAGAGAAGGCAACCAGAAUCUCGCAUCAACAUUUUGGCGCCGUCUGUGGGGAGCUGAGAAAAAAGCUUCUGCUGAUAGCAAGAAGAGGAGUGAAGCAAGUGAAAAGCAAUGGAGACAGGAGGAAGUAGUGCACAAGGGGGUGAUAUAAGGCUUAAUGAUUCCGUGACGUUGAGGGAGAUAGCCAGUGAAGCGCGGGAAAAAGCCAUGUUCGACCGGAUGGAACGGAUGGAAAAGCAAAUGGAGACCCUGACAACCAUCCUGCAUGAGUUGCGGAGUGAACGAAGAGUAACCCAGGAGGAAAGGGUGAGAAGUGGUGGAGUGGCACCAGGUCCCGAUAGUACGAGGAGAAGUCGAACCACCGUGAGAUUUGGUGGUGAGAGAGGUAACAUACCUCUGCGGGGAGAAUUUCAUAGAGAGGAAGAGCAAUCCCCGGCGAGACAGAUUUUUGAGGAGGACGACGGGGUGGCGAAUGCAGAGGAAACAGAGUUGAGGCAACACUUGCAUGAUUUAGAGCAAGAGCGGGAUCAAGUUGCAGCACGUGACCCUGGUCGUGCAGUGCAGCUGGAGGAGGAAGUGCGCAGGCUAGCGCAGAUAAUUGACGACAUGCAAGGAAGGAGUAGAGCUCCUGGUUGGAGGAUAAUGCUGGACGGAGAAUCACCGCUCGCAGCAGAGAUCAUGAGGGCAGUUAUUCCGAGAGAUUUCCGCCUCCCAGAUCUUAGAUAUUCGGGACGAACUGAUCCGCUGGUGCACAUAGAGCGCUUCAAUGACAUAACUGGGGUACAAGGAUUAUCUCAAUCCCAAAGGUGCAGGGUGUUCCCACUAUCCCUUGAGGGACGUGCACGAGAGUGGUACAUGAAACUUCCUCGGGGGAGCAUUAAAACCUUCGAGCAGAUGUGCCAGGAAUUUGCAGAGCAGUUUCGUGGGGCAAUGGCACCAGAAGAUGACAUGAUGGAGUUGAAAAGCAUGAAGCAGAGGGAACAAGAAACACUUCGGGAAUUCAUCAAGAGGUUUCACCGUGCUGUCCUUGAUUUGGGAGCCUUCAACCAUCCUCAAGCAUUAAGGGGACUGAAAGAAGGGGUGAAGAUAGGAAGACUAUGGUACAAUUUGAGAAGCCCAGUUAUUCAGACGUAUACAGCCGCAUACGAGCAGGCUAAGAAGGACAUUGAGAUUGAAGAGGAAAAGACAGCACGAAUCAAGACAGACCAGUUAGAAGGGUUGGGGAAGAAAGAAAAGAAAGCAUUGCCAGGGAAUGGGCCGAUCAGGAGGAGGGACCACUAGGCCUCAGGUAGUGGAGCAGGAGGUCGGGUAACUACUUACCAGCCUCAUCAGAGGCCACCAUAAUAUCAGCGCAGCAGGGUGCAACCUCCUCGUUCCCCAGCUAGGGAACUUUGGAGAAGGCAUGACUCGGCAUAUGGUGGUCUUCAUCAACACUCCCACGGUAGUAGAGUGGGCAGACCAGAAGUGCUGCCACCGCCUCCAACUCAGAACGGAGCAAACAGAGAAAGGGCAGUGCACCUGAUCGACCAGAACCAAGACUAUGGGCGGUAUACUUCCUUGAAGAUGUCCCUGGACGAGGUGUACGAGGCCAUAAAGGAUCGAGGGUUGCUAUACCUCCUUGCCCCAAUAACAAAGCUACCCAGCAGGAGGGAUAAGGGACGCUAUUGUAAGUUCCAUGGCACUCAUGGCCACACCACAGUAGAUUGCAGGGAUCUCAAGACCCAGGUUGAAGAUUUGGUGAGAAAUCGGUACCUGCACGAGUUUAUAGAUGGGACCUUCCCAAUGGUAGCCUCGACAAGCGAAAGGGAGCAGAGUGACAGAAACUUGAGGCGCGAGCCGCCUGCAGUAAGGGUGAUAGCUGGGGGCCCAACAUUGGCUGGAGAUUCCAACAGGUCGAGGAAGAAUUAUGCUAGAUACGCCAUGACUAGCAAAGAUGUGUUCUUCAACACCCCAGCAGCCAAACGUGCAAGAGUCAGGCAAGUGCCAAUCAUGUGGACAGAUGAGGAUGAAGAAGGGAUUCUAUACCCCCACGAGGAUGCUUUGGUCAUCAAGGCCACUGUUGCCAGCAAGAAGUUUGACAGGAUACUGGUUGACAUAGGGAGCUCAGUUGAUGUGUUGUUUAAGUCAACCCUUGAGGAGAUGGGAAUAGCAGACCUGAAGUUGGAUUACACCAAUACCUCAUUGAAGGGGUUUGGAGGAGGAAAGUUGGUCCCUCUAGGCGUAGUCGAGCUGCCUAUCACGAUUGGGAGCUCCCCGACAGAAAGGACAAUGAUACUGGACUUUGUGGUAGUGGAUGAGGAAGGUCCUUACCAGAUGAUCCUAGGCCGGCCAUUUCUGAGGAUGAGCAAAGCGGUGCUGUCCAACCAUUAUCUAGCUCUCAAGUACCGGGUGAAUGGGGUAGUUGGACUGGUACGAGGAGACCAGAGGAUCGCAAGAAGCUGCUACUCCUCGGCAACAAGGGAAGCAAUGCAGAUAACAUCGCUUGAUACCCGAGUGGAAAACAAGAAUGGCAGACAAGAACCUGUGGAGGAUCUAGAGACAGUAAGCCUGGGACUAGAGAAUCCGGGAAAGACGAUCAGAAUCGGGUCGAAGCUUAAGGAAGAGCAAAAGCAGGAGUUGGUGAAAUGCUUACAGGCUCAUGCAGAUGUGUUUGCUUGGACACAUGAAGACAUGCCAGGGAUUAAUCCUGAGGUAGCAUGUCAUAAGCUGGCAAUAAAGAAAGGUGCUCGGGCAGUAAGGCAGAAGAGGAGGUGCUUUAACCAGGAGAGGUAUGAGGCUAUAAAUGGCGAGGUGGAAAAGCUCUUGAGAGCAGGAUUCAUUCGAGAAGUCAAUUAUCCCGAGUGGAUUUCGAAUGUGGUGUUGGUAAAGAAGGCAAAUGGCAAGUGGAGGAUGUGUGUGGAUUUUACAGAUCUCAAUAAAGCAUGCCCGAAAGACAGCUUCCCUUUGCCAAAAAUCGACCAGCUAGUAGAUUCAACAGCUGGGCACGGCCUGCUUAGCUUCAUGGACGCGUUCUCGGGAUAUAACCAAAUCCCCAUGUACGAGCAGGAUGAGGAGAGCACUGCUUUUAUCACUAACCAGGGUUUAUUCUGUUACAGGGUAAUGCCAUUUGGUCUCAAAAAUGCUGGGGCCACCUAUCAGAGGCUGGUGAAUAAAGUCUUUAAGCCGUUGAUCGGGAAAACCAUGGAGGUGUACGUGGAUGACAUGAUCACCAAGUCCAAAAUCCCGAAGGAACAUGUCGGACACCUCGAGGAGACAUUCGGGCUUUUGAGGAAGUAUAAAAUGAAGCUUAACCCGGAGAAGUGUGCUUUUGGGGUCAAGUCAGGGAAAUUCCUUGGAUUCAUUGUGAGCCAUAGGGGAAUUGAGGCAAAUCCCGAGAAGAUCCAGGCGAUCGUGCAGAUGAGGUCUCCUCAUAGCCUAAAGGAGAUGCAGAGCCUCACGGGGAGGUUGGCGACAUUGAGCAGAUUCAUAUCUAAGGCUACAGGUAAGUGUCAGCCGUUCUUUCAAGUGAUAAGGAGGGGAAAGAAAAUAGAAUGGACUCCAGAAUGCGAGGAAGCCUUCUAGAACUUGAAGCAAUACUUGCAGCAAGCACUUCUGCUGUCCACACCGAGGGUUGGGGACAAGUUAUUUCUGUAUUUGGCGGUAUCAGAUCGGGCCACAAGUUCUGUUCUGGUGAGAGAGGAAGAAAGGGUUCAAUAUCCGAUAUAUUACACUAGCAAGGCCCUGCUCGACGCUGAGACCAGAUACCCACCGUUGGAAAAAUGGGCACUUGCCCUUGUGGUUGCUGCUCGGAAGCUGAGACCAUACUUCCAAGCAUUCCCAGUCUCGGUAAUAACAAACCAGCCAUUGCGUCAAACUCUGCACAAGCCAGACGCCUCUGGUCGGCUCGUCAAGUGGGCUGUAGAGCUGAGCGAGUUCGACAUAGACUACAAACCCCGAGCAGCGAUAAAGGCUCAGGCAAUGGCCGAUUUCGUAGCAGAAUUCACAGAGCCCGAAGUAUGUUUGGACCAACGAGAGGUAGCUACAGACAGUGGCGAAGCCCAAGUAUGGCAAAUGUUUGUAGAUGGGUCAUCAGGGGAGCAGGGAUUGUCUUGGAAGGACCGGAGGGGGAGCAGAUCUCUUAUGCUGUAAAGUUAGAAUUCGCAGCCACAAAUAACCAGGCAGAGUAUGAAGCCUUGAUAGCAGGUUUGGAAUUGGCUAAGGCCGUGAAAGCAGACAGAGUGAAGAUCAGAACUGAUUCCCAGCUGGUUGCAAAUCAUGUCAGUGAAAGAUUUCAACCAAGAGAGGAGAAGAUGGAGCAGUACCUGAAGAUAGUCAGGCAGAUGAUGGGGAAAUUUGAAGCAGUGGAGGUGGUACAAAUCCCCAAGGAGCAGAAUAGUCAAGCAGAUAUUUGGCCAGGAUGGCAGCGGUAGCAGACCCAAAAAUGCCAAAGUCGAUCCCUCUGGAGGUGAAGUCCAGCCCGAGCAUCGAACAGAAUUUGGGGGUGCUACGGAUAGAACAAAAAUGCUCGUGGAUGGACCCAAUAAUUUCGUACCUUAGAGACGGGGUAUUACCACCAGAUAAACUGCGAGCUCGGAAGGUUAGAGCCCAGGCCUCGAGAUACACGAUGAUUGAUGGGGUACUGUAUCGGCGAGGAUAUACACUACCUUUCCUUCGAUGUUUGGAUGAGGACGACGCGGAUUACGUACUAAGAGAAGUACAUGAAGGGAUUUGCGGAAAUCAUUCUGGUGGGAGGUCCCUGGCCCACAAGGUUCUAAGACAGGGAUAUUUCUGGCCAACAAUGCACCAGGAUGCGCAAGGGAAGACCAGGAGCUGUGUAAGCUGCCAGAGUUUUGCAAGUUUCUCCAACCAACCACCAGAGAAGCUCACCUCUAUGGCCUCCCCAUGGCCAUUUGCUCAAUGGGGAAUUGAUCUGAUCGGCCCGUUGCCAAAGGGACGAGGAGCAGCAACGCAUGCAAUAGUUGCUAUAGACUACUUCACGAAGUGGAUAGAGGUAGAAGCCCUUAGCAGGAUCACAGAGAAGAAAACAACAGACUUUGUGUGGAGAAACCUGGUUUGUCGAUACGGGAUCCCUUAUGCCUUGAUAACGGAUAAUGGUAGGCAGUUCGAUAAUCACAGCUUCAGGGAUUUCUGCUAGAACCUCGGGAUAGAGUUGAAGUAUUGCUCGCCGGCUCACCCUCAAUCUAACGAACAAGUAGAAGCAACCAACAAGACAAUCAAGAGGCUUUUGAAAACCAGGCUUGGAGCAAAGAAGGGUGCUUGGGUUGAUGAGCUAUCAGGCGUACUAUGGGCAUACAGGACAACCCAUAAGACAGCAACGGGGGAGACACCGUUCGCCUUGGCUUUCGGACAUGAAGCGGUCAUACCAGCUGAGAUAGGAACCACCACAUACCGAACAGAUCAUUUCAACGAGCAGGACAACGACGAGCAGAUGUGUUUGAAUUUGGACUUGCUAACGGAAAAAAUGGAGCAAGCAACCGAGCGAUAAGUCAUUUACCAGCAGAGGGUUGCCCGAUAUUAUAACCAGAAGGUGAAUGUACGGCAGUUCAAGGUCAGAGAUUGGGUGUUAAAGAGAGUGAAUCAGAACACCAAAGACUCAACUCAAGGAGUGCUCGGACCGAAUUGGGAGGGGCCAUACAGGGUCAAGCAGCUAGUUGGACCAGGAGCUUACAAGUUGGUUCGCAUAGAUGGCCACGAGGUGAAGCGCCCAUGGAACGCAGCACAUCUCAAGAAAUAUUUCCAGUAAGAGUCGUUCAUAUUUUCAAGUUCUUUCUGUUCGUGUUCGUUGUUAUUUAUUUUAUGUCAAAACGAUCUCAUGUAAGCCGAAUUCAACAAUAAAGGGAUCAAUGAGGAAUUUCAGUCAGCUAUACUGUCAUCGAAGAAUUUUCUAAGGCAUGCAAAGGCUCAUCAAGUCUCAAAGCCUGUUUUAUGGCGAGACAGAAGCCAAGCGUGCCAGGGUUUGCUCGACCGCGCGAAGGUGAGCAGAACCCCCAAACAUCGAAAUAUUUUCUAAGGCAUGCAAAGGCUCACAAAGUCUCAAAGCCUGUUUAUGGCGAGACCAGAAGCAAGCGUGCCAGGAUCUGCUCGACCGCGCGAAGGCGAGCAGAAUCCCAAGCAUUGAAGAAUUUUCUAAGGCAUGCAAAGGCUCAUCAAGUCUCAAAGCCUGUCUAUGGCGAGACAGAAGCCAAGCGUGCCAGGGUCUGCUCGACCGCGCGAAGGUGAGCAGAACCCCCAAACAUCGAAAUAUUUUCUAAGGCAUGCAAAGGCUCACCAAGUCUCAAAGCCUGUUUAUGGCGAGACCAGAAGCAAGCGUGCCAGGAUCUGCUCGACCGCGCGAAGGCAAGCAGAAUCCCAAGCAUUGAAGAAUUUUCUAAGGCAUGCAAAAGGCUCACUAAGUCUCAAAGCCUGUCUAUGGCGAGACCGGAAGCCAAGCAUGCCACGAUUUGCUCGAUCGAGCAAAGGCGAGCAAAAUCCCAAGUCAUGUAGAAAGACCAUAUUCUAAGCCAAAGCCUGCUCGACCAAGUGAAGGCGAGCAAACCUUCAAAUGGAAAAAUAACUUGUAAAUACAAACGCAAGAAAGUAAUCAAAAACAGUUUUUAUUAAUUUAUCAAUAACCAACAAAGUUGUUCAUUACAACGCAAGAAAUAUGUUCAAGAAGAUGGCGGAUCAGUAAGCCGAGCAGCUUCGGUUGGCUGGACCUCCUCAGGUGCAGGGGGGUAUCACCAGUUGCGUCCGGUGGGGUGCUCGCCUCGCCAACAUCAGCAGGGAUUGUACGAGGAGGAGAGUUUUCCUCCUCAAUCACGAUUGGCUCCACCCCUUCGGCAUCUUCCUUGGCCGCCUCCUCGUCUAUAUGUUGAGCAACACCAGCUGCUAGGUCAUCCAUCUUCAUAUCAGGAUACUGCUUCCCGAGGACGGCCAUGAUGUAACGAUAGGAAUGCCGAAGUCCCUGGUCGUAUUGAUUGUCGGCCUCCUUCUCCAAGUUCUCGACCUGAACUCGGUGGGAAUCGCGGAGAGAUUCGAGCUGAGCCUCAUACAUAGCCUUCUGCCUUUGAAGAUCCUCCUUGACCUUGGUCAACUCCUCCUCGAGGGUAAUGGCUUUUGCUUGAGCAAGAGAUUCUUGCUCUAUCAGCUUCAGGUUCUCGACAUUCAGCUCCCCUGCUUUCUUCUCGGCAUGGUCAGCUCUGGUCAUCGCCGACUGAAUGUCCUCCUUCAUCUUCCUGUCAUAACGGCCAACCUUGGCCUUAUAGUAAGUGGUCAUGCAGUUGAGAUGGAAAGCGCUAUACUGCAUGGCUCCUACCAGCUCGCCCAGGGUGUAGCCAUCAAAGUCCUCCAGGUCCUUCUUGCUCACGAGUUUAGAUAACUCAUUGAGAUAGAGGACCAAGUGUUCUGCUCGGUUGUCAGGUAAGCGAGACCGAGGCCGACAGGAGGAGAAGAGGACGCAGGAUCUAUGGCUGCUCCACUAGUUUCCCCGACUUUGGCAGGAGCAGAAGGUAAAGUCUUCAAGGGAGAGACCUGCUGUACGAUGUUGGCCCGCUUUGCAGUAGGGGCGUCCUUGUUCUGGUCCGUCUUCGUGGUUUGAGGUCGAGAACGUUUCCUGUUCAGAGCCCCAAUCACAGCGUCCUCCAUCUUAUGGCCAGGGAGUAUCAAGCGAGACUCGAGCAAGUUGUAAGUAGUUAUCAGUUCUCGGCUCGAGCAGGAAUUGACUAGUACAGCCUCAACCCGUUUGAGCUGGUCAGGUUUGAGCGGGAAGUGAACACCCCACGAACCUGCAAUACAAACAGACACUUGGUUAGAGACAAACCAAUAAAGCGAGAACAAUUAUGGAUACAAGACAUCUAAAGCGAGCAGGCAACCUGGGACCGUGAAACGGGAUGGGACACGAUAAUCCUUCCCGUCCAUUUGUGCAACCUGACCCCAAGGACCCCCAGCAAAAAAGAAUUUUCUCUUCCAAGCCCCACCACCACCAGUUGGAAGAUCAGUUAUGGGUUUCAUGCUCUUGGUGCUAGAUUGGAAGUAGUACCAGCCGGCAUCUUUGGGGCUGCUCUUUAGUUGGUACAGAUGCUUAGUCAUCUGAAGUACAUGUUUUUAGGAGAUGAUGAGACACUUCCGGUGAUCAUCUCUUCAAAGCUUAGUACUUUAGAGGAAGAGAAACUUAUUAGAGUGCUAAAGGAUUACAAAAAGGCUAUUGGGUGGACAAUUGCAGAUAUUAAAGGGAUAAGUCCGUCCACGUGCAUGCAUAGAAUACUACUGGAGGAAGAUGCCAAACCUUCAAUUCAAGCUCAAUGCCGUUUGAAUCCACUCAUGAUGGAAGUAGUGAAGAAAGAAAUUCUAAAACUUCUUGAUGCAGGUAUAAUCUAUCCAAUUUCGGAUAGUAAAUGGGUAAGUCCGGUACAAGUGGUACCGAAGAAAACUGGUAUAACAAUUGUUGAGAAUUCUUAUGGUGAGUUAGUACCUACCCGAGUUCAGAAUGGGUGGAGGGUUUGUAUUGAUUUUAGAAAGCUUAAUUCACUCACUAGGAAUGAUCAUUUUCCUAUUCCUUUUAUUGAUCAGAUGCUCGAUAGGUUGGCAAGAAAAUCUCACUUGUGUUGUCUUGAUGGCUAUUCAGGUUUUCAUCAGAUACCAGUUGCGCCCGAGGAUCAGGAGAAGACUACCUUCACAUGUCCUUUUGGAACCUUUGUGUACCGACGUAUGCCAUUUGGUCUUUGUAAUGCUCCCGCCACUUUUCAGAGGUGCAUGGUCAGUAUUUUUUCAGACUAUGUAGAAAACACUAUAGAGGUAUUUAUGGACGAUUUUACGGUCUAUGCUGAUUCUUUCGAUGAUUGUCUCUAUAAUCUGAAGAAAGUGCUUGAAAGAUGCAUUGAAACAAACCUUGUCUUAAAUUAUGAAAAAUGUCAUUUUAUGGUAGAUCAAGGCAUUAUUUUGGGUCAUGUAGUCUCUGCUAGAGGAAUUGAGGUAGAUAAAGCUAAAAUAGAUGUUAUUAAAUCUUUACCUUAUCCCACAUGUGUGCGGGAAGUUCGUUCUUUCCUUGGUCAUGCAGGUUUCUAUAGACGAUUUAUCAAGGAUUUUUCGAAGAUAGCUCAGCCUUUAUGCAAGCUUCUUCAGAAAGAUGUGACAUUUGAUUUUAAUGAAGCAUGCAAGGUAGCAUUUGAUAAACUUAAGGAGUUAUUGACUUCAGCUCCAAUUAUACAGCCACCAAACUGGAGCCUCCCUUUUAAGAUAAUGUGCGACGCCAGUAAUUAUGCUGUUGGUGCUGUUCUCGGACAAAGGGUUGGAAAAGCUGCUCAUGUGAUAUAUUACGCAUCAAGGACACUUGAUAGUGCUUAGUACAAUUACUCAACAACGGAAAAAGAACUUUUAGCUAUUGUUUUUGCUUUAGAAAAAUUCCGUUCAUAUUUAUUGGGUACCAAAGUGAUUGUUUUUUCUGACCAUGCAGCUCUUAGAUAUUUGCUCGCCAAGAAGGAAGCGAAACUGAGACUUAUCCGCUGGAUCCUACUGCUUCAAGAAUUCAACUUGGAGAUCCGUGACAAGAAAGGAACAUAAAACUUAGUUGCAGACCACCUUAGUAGAUUGACCACGAGUGAAGAAGCAGCACUUUUGAAAGAUGAUUUUCCAGAUGAGCAUCUCUUUGUAACUCAAGGUAUGGUUCCUUGGUACGCUGACAAGGACACUACCUAGUGAUCUGACGAGGGCUCAAAAAGAUAAAAUUAAGAGCGAUGCUAAAUACUAUGUUUGGGAUGACCCUUACUUGUGGAAACAUUGCUCUGACCAAGUCAUCAGAAGGUGUGUAUCUGAGUUUGAAAUUCCUUCUAUUCUUCAAUUUUGUCACUCAUAUGCAUGUGGUGGUCAUUUUGGUCUCAAAAUGACAGCAUCCAAGGUGUUAGAAUGUGGUUUAUUUUGGCCUACUUUAUUUCGUGAUUCAUAUAUGUUUUGUAAGUCGUGUGAGAAUUGUCAAAAGACUGGUAAUUUAAGUCAUAGAAAUCAAAUGCCACUUACCCCUAUUCUUGUAUGUGAAAUAUUCGAUGUGUGGGGCAUUGGUUUUAUGGGACCUUUUCCCUAAUCUUUUGGCAAUGCUUACAUUCUUUUAGCAAUGGAUUACGUUUCUAAGUGGGUAGAGGCUAAGGCCACCCGGACUGACAAUGCUAAAGUUGUUGUAGAUUUUGUCAAGUCUAAUAUUUUUGCCAGGUUUGGUGUACCGAGAGCGAUGAUAAGUGAUAGAGGCACUCAUUUCUGUAAUCGAGUGGUGGAAGCUUUGUUCAAAAGAUAUCAUGUUACCCACCGAGUGUCUACCGCUUAUCAUCCACAGACAAGUGGACAAGCUGAGAUAUCAAACAGAGAAAUCAAGUCUAUUCUUGAAAAGACAGUUAGUCCAAAUCGAAAGGAUUGGAGUUUGCGAUUAGAUGAUGCAUUAUGGGCGUAUCGCACCGCUUACAAAACUCCCAUAGGUAUGUCUCCUUAUCGUUUGGUAUUUGGUAAGCCUUGCCAUUUACCUGUAGAACUUAAGCACAGAGCAUACUGGGCGGUUAAGCAAUGCAAUAUGCGGAUGGAUGAAGCGGGAAAGCAGAGGAAGUUGCAGCUGCAAGAGUUGGAGGAGAUUAGAAAUGAAUCCUACGAGAGUUCGUGAUUUUACAAGGAAAAGACGAAGACAUUUCAUGACAGAAUGAUUUUCAGAAAGGAGUUAUCUGUUGGUCAAAACGUUCUUCUUUUUCAUUCUAAACUUAAACUUUUUCCUUGUAAAUUACGUUCUCGUUGGGUAGGACCUUUUAUUGUUACUAAUGUUUUUCCUCAUGGUGCAGUUGAGAUUCGGAGUCCAACCUCUGAUAAAGCCUUUAAGGUAAAUGGUCAUCGUUUAAAACCUUUUUAUGAAGGUUUUUCGGUGAAUAUUGUAGAGGAAAUGGCUCUCGAGAGUCCUAUUUAUGGAGAUUGAUGCAUAAAUGUGUCUAGCCAAAGACAUAAAACAAAAGCGCUUUUUGGGAGGCAACCCAAAUGAUUUGUUUAUUUUGGUUUUUGUUUUAUCUUCUUUUAGUUUUGAUUCAGAUUUUUUUUAAAAUAAUGUGUUUGCUUAUUUUGGCCAGAAGAAAAUUUUUGAUAAGGCGUGCCCACGUUUUAACUAAUAAGUACUUCUGUAAUUUUUAAAGUAAAAUAGUUUUAAGGCGUGCCCACGUACUUAUUAGAAAAGUACUUCUGAAAUUUUUAGUUCUCAAAGUGAAAAAAAAAAAAAUUAAUGUGUUUGCUUAUUUUGGUCAGAAGAAAAUUUUUGAUAAGGCGUGCCCACGUCAUAACUAAUAAGUACUUCUGUGAUUUUUAAAGUAAAAUGGUUUAAAGGCGUGUCCACGUGCUUAUUAGAAAAGUACUUCUGAAAUUUUUAGAGUCUCAAAGUGAUUCAUUAAAAAAAUAUAUAUUUUUUAAAAAAAAUAAUUUUAUUUUAUUUUUUAAAAAACAAAAAAUGAAAAAAAGAGCUUUUCUUUUGUUCUUCUUUUAUAUAUUUAUUUAUUUAUUUAUAAUAAAAAAAUCAUCAUUGUUCAAAAAAAAAAAAUUUACUGUUCACAAAAUCCCUAAUUUUCCAGAUCUUGUUUUCUUCUCCAGCCGCUUGCAGCACACCAGCAGCAAACCAGCCCGCCGGAAAAUGCAAGCCCCGCAACGCAGCGCGAACCAGCAACGCAAACCACCAGAGCGCAACGCAAGCCCCCGCGCGCGCAGCACCAACAGCCCACGAAGCAGCCGCAGCAACACGAAGCAUCUCUCACGCACAACAGCCCCGCAGCGCAACGAACCAGCAACGCGAACCAGCUCUCGCGUGCAACAGUCCCGCAGCAACAAGCCGCCCCGCGCGCGCAACACAGCCACGCACCAGCAUCCCGCACGCAACCAGCAGUGCGCAACCAGCCCCAAGCUGCGCAGCAAGCUCAAGCCGAGCAGCAAUGCAACGCAACUAGCCUACGCCCUGUAUUCCAGCCGGGUAAAUUGAAAUCCGUGAGUGCAAUUAUUGUAACAAUGCCAAAGAGGAAAGCAUCUACUUCCAAGUCAUCGAAAAAGACACCCGUCGCAAAGAAAUCUAAGAUUGCCGCUCCCACUACGGUUCCAUGGAACACAAUUUCAUAUUCACGCCAAGCCGUGAGACAAAGAUCGAAACAUGGAAAAGGCAUGAGUGUUUUGCCACUUACGGAAUCCAAUCUCGGAGGGUGCCUCGCAUUCGCGACUCAACAAGAGAAAGAGAGGUACAAAGAUAUUUCCACGCGCAAAAUACUUCCAGCUAAGUAUAUUCAUUACCCGACUCUUGAAAAAUUGAAUGUUAAGGAUAAUUUUGAUUCUUUGAUAGAUAAGAUUGGGUUGCGUAAAUUUUUUGAUGUUGAUUGUUUGGGUUAUGUUGAGUUGAUUAGGGAGUUUUAUGCUACUUUUCAAUUUAAUAUGCCGAAUGAUUUUACUUUGCAUACCCUGGAUGUCAUUAAGUUUAGGUUAAUGGGAUGAAAUUUUUCACUCUAUCACGGAUUUUAACUAGCUUUAGGAUUCAUUGAUGAUGAUUAUUCUUCUAGUGAUGCAUAUUUAGGAACAACUUGUGACUUUAGCGAAAAUUUUGAGCCUUAUGGUCUUUGGCGUAAUUUAUCUGUUGAUCACAAUGCCUAUGACCCGAGCAAAUCAAAGAGUUCUUUCUAACGUGAUCCUGUUUUGAAAUGUGUGCAUCGAUUCUUAGCAUAUAAUUUUUUAGGCAAGAAAGAUCACUCAUGAGUUUUCUCUAAAACUGAAUUUUAUUUUAUCUGGUGCAUGUUAAAUGAUGUGAGGCCUAAUUUAGGUUUUUGGUUAGCGGAUCAAUUUCAAAGUGUGCUUAAACGGUAUAGGACUUUAUUUCUUGGUCCAUACAUUACUCUGUUAGCUAUAAACCUAUGUGUGCUUGAUCCCAAUAAUAAUGAUUUGCAUCCUGCUUGCAAAAAGGAAUUUUUUGAUAUGUCUGUGUUUGAAAGAACAGGUGUGGUCGAAUUCAAGGAGGGGAGAUUUCAAUUUACUGAACCAGGACCCACUCAAAUUCCAAAGAAGCUUUAUGCUAGGAGUGCUGCUACCUCUAAUGACGAGUUUGACGACGACACUGCUGCCCCGCCAACUAUUCCUUCUACAUCCGCACCACCUUUGAGCAUUCAGUUAGAGAAAAUGGAGCACAAGCUGAACAAGAUGGAGCAUAAUUUGGCCGCAUACUUCGAGAGUGUGGGAUUUACCCCACCAUUUCCGCCAAGCCCAUAAACGUUAUGUGGAUCAAAGCUCACAAUUCAGGGAAGUUUCUUUUUGCCUUUAAUCUUUUAUCCUUACGCUUUAAUUUUUAUGUGAGCUUUGAUUAUCUUACAUUAGGGACAAUGUAAGUUCUUGGUGUGGGGGAGGGAUUUUUGCAUUAUUGAUGUCUAGAAGUAGUAUUUUCACUCUACUCAUCCUUAAAUGAUUUUGGAGUUAGUAUGCUUCAUAUAUUAUUAUUUUUUUUCUUUUCUUUUCUUUCUCACUACUCUUUUCCCAUCUAUCUCAAAUUAUUUACAUCUAUUUUUAUUCUAUCAUGCUCUUUCAUCACUCACAUUUUAUCUUUCACUUUUCAUAUUACUACAUACAUCUUUCUCACUUCUUAUCAUUUUUACAUUUUUUUUUAUAUAUCACUCAUACCUUCUUCUCAUUCUACACCACUAUUGAUGGUUGAUUCAUUUGAAGAGUGUACAUGAUUUGAUGGCAAAUUUACCAACUUUGUGAGGAUUUGAGCCUAUGAGCAACCACUUUGCUCUAAUAUUUUUGUUAUGUGAAUAUCAAUCUUAGUUUGUUUAUUCUAGAACUUGCUUUGUUAUGCAUGUUGAAGCCGCAUUACGGGAUUUUAUGCAUUAAAAUGAUAAGGGCAAACCCUUUUCCAUUUUUCUAUUCUCGCAUUUUUUUUUUCUCUACCCGAAGACCUUUAUUUGCUAUCUUUGUUUGAGCCUUAACCAUUACCCAUCUAAUUUUCUCCGUCUACUUAACCAUUUUUCUUCUUUUUUAGCCUCAAUUUAAGGAGAUUUUUGGACUCAUUGUGUGGAUAUAUUUUGUUGCUUUUUCUACCUUGUAAUAAAGUUUCUCAAUUAGAUCAACAAGCAUUAUGCUUGAAUUAAAUUGUGCAAGGUUCGUUUCUUUUGUUUGAUUCAAAAACAACAAAAAAAAGAAAAAAAAUUGAAAAAAAAAGAGAAAAAAAAUGUUUACAUUCUUGGUGACUUGAGUAGAAAUAAGCAUUUUGAUAUCAUAAGUUCAUUCAAUGAGUUCAUUCUUCUCAUUUUGAUCUCUUUUUCUUUCGUAAACCUUUCUUUUUCAUUCAACCUAUUUAACCCCAUUACAACCCUUUUAAGACCCUUAGAUUUUUGCAUUUUAUUCAUGUUUUGUGGAUUGAGAUGUGAUAUAUGAGCAAGCUUAUGGUAAUAGCAUUCUUUGAUUUGAUUUGAGUGAAUAAAUGACACCUUAAACACUUUGAGUGCAUGGAGUGAAGUUAUUGAGAGGGCUAUUAAAUCUUGUUGCACUUGAAUUUUGAAUGGAUCUUCUUGGUGGUUGAAUGUUCUUAUUCUAUCUUAUGAAAUUCUAUGCUUUAAAAUCCUUGUCUCUCGAAUGUUGAUCGACUUAAUUUCUUGAGGUAUGCUUGCUUAAAAUUGUUUUUGGAUGAGUUGAGAUGAGAAUUGAGUGGAGAUUUGAGAUUAAUCUUGAGUUAUAUGCUUGAGGACAAGCAUCAUCUUGGUGUGGGGGAAUUUGUUAGAGUGCAAUUUAUGCACUAGUUUUGCAUUGUUUACUUCUUUUAAUAUCGAUGUUUUGCACUUAAUAAUAGUGAUUUACUUGUGUUUUACUUUUGUAGGUGCAAUUCUAUUGAUUAGUGAUAAAAUUGAGCUACAAGAUGAUGUUUAAGGAUGAUUGUUCUCUUGGAGAAAUUAUGAGCGGCAGAAGAACUUUGUUGAUAAGGCGUGGGCGCAUGCUGUCAACUGUAAACCUGCAGUUUUUAGUUUAACGUGUUUUGUAUUUUUGGUUAUUUUUGUAAUUACGGAUUUAAUAUUUCAGAUAUUAGUAUUUUAUUUUAAAUAGAAUUCUAGAGGAGAAGAGAGAGAGAGUAUUUAAGGGAGUAAUCUAUUGUGAAAAAGGGGGGAUUUUGAUUGGAGAAAAAGAAAGAAACCCUAGAUCUAAUUUUUCUCUUCUCUCUAUAAAGAACUAAACUUAUUUUUCUAGUUGAAGGUUAAUGAAGCUUUGAUUCAUCACUACUGUGAGAUCUUUCUUAUGCUUUAAUUAUUUUAUUACUUUUUGGGUAUUUGUUUAUUCUCUGAAUUAGUUUCAUGAUUAUGUUUGUUAAUUAGGUAAUUGGCCACUAUUUAAUUAUCAACUUAAUCUAUUGUCAAUUAAAGGAUUCAUCGUAUGAAGAUUUUAAUGUUUGUGACAAAUAACAUAGCAGAGAGUUGUGUUGUGAGAAUAAACAAUCUAAUUUAAAUGAAUCAUCAUAUGUGUUGAUUAGGAUUUGGGUCUCUCUGGUUUUUCAGGCUGUCAAUUGAUUAAUUCCUAUGAUCGUAUCUAGGGUUGUCUAUUGAUUAGGGAAAUAACCAACGGUCGUACCUUGGUUAUCGACUAGUUAAGGAGAGAUUGGCUAUUAGAGGGUCUCAAUAGCUAUAACCGGUCUAUUCAUAAGUAAUAAUAAUCUAUAUUUGAAUCAAUGAUCAGUAGUCGAAUCAAGCUGAGUUAAUUCCUUCAACCAGAGCUUUCUUCAAUUUGAAUUACAACUUUAAUUUGCAUUCUUGUUAUUUUAAUUUGAUUUUUAUUAUUGUCAACAAUUCCCCCAUUUUAUGUUUUGCGUUUCAAAAGGAUUUAAAUAAUUACCAAUCUCUGUGGACACGACCCUGCUCAAUCACUAUACACAAUUUAUUUAGAGUAGGAAUUUAUUUUUGUUGGCUUCAACAACCAUCAGGCAUUCCCUUCUUGAAGAAAGAAUGCAAAGAGCCCAAGAAAGCACUAUCCAUUAGACACGUUAAGAAUUAUUUUGCUUUUCAUUAAAAAUGAUAAUAAUUAUAAUAAAUUAGAUUGAAUUAAUAAUAUUUGCAUGUGGUAUAUAAAUAAUCAGUUUAGUCACUAAUUAGUCACUGUCCGAUUAUCUUCUCUUUCAUCGACUUCGAAACUGGGACUUCUGAGUUGGAUUAAGAAUUGAAAAAAAUGUUGCAACCCAUAAAGCGCGUAAAAUUAAUUAAAGGGCGCGUAAACUAAUUCUUCUUCUUAAAAGAAAAGUUUUGCAGGGAGAUUGAAAAAAGGCUAAUUCGUAUUGAAGAUCAUAAAUGAGUAUCUGUCACAAAUAGAUCCUUCUGGGCAAAAAUAUUAUUUUAUCAUCUAUCACUAUAAGAAUGAGAUGAAAAUUGUCCUCAUUUAAAGUAUUGACAACAAUGUUAUACUCAAUAUAAUGUAUAAAGCACGCAUAAUUUAAUAAUUGGGGCUGCUAAUAUCUUCCACGUAAUUGGAAGCUCAAAGAGUUUCCGUAUUAGCCGAAUCUAAGCGAUAAGUGUUUCCAUGUGAGCCAUAAUUUGGGAAAAAGACCAAUUCAAGUUAAAGAUCAUGGAAAGAGAUCCUUCUGUCUUUGGCGUAAUGCUUGGGCAACGUAAAUUGACUUUACAUUAAAACAAAACAAAACAAACACUGUCAACAAGCAUUAAUGUCAUUUGAUGCAUGAAAGACAAUUAGUCCCAUUUUUUGUCCUGUUUACUUGACUUGGGCAAUUUACCGUCAACUUUUCUCAUCUACGUCAGGUAAUGUGGCUUUUAUUUGGAAUGAAGAAGCCAAUACUUGGACCGAGUGUAGCAUCACUGAUUUGUAUAUUUUUCAGGACUAAGUAAAUUAUCUCAAUUUAAAAAAAUAUAUAAUUACAAUUAUCGAUCGAACACCACUGAUUCCAACAAUUUAUCCAAAACUAUCUUUGAGUUUUAAGGAAUGUAACAUUUAUGAUAGAAUGGUCAAGUCUUUCAACUUUUUAGAUAUUUGAUAUAUGCCAUGUUCUAACUUACAAUGAGAAUAAAAUUAUAGUAUAAUUUUUUUAAAUUAGUGGAAUUAUUUUACGAUAAAACUAUCACAACAACAUUUAAAUAUAAAGUUAUUCUUUAAUUUUUCACUACUUUUAGUGAUAUUCUUAAACUCUUUUCUGAAUGGAGCAUGAAAGGACUACUUAUCUAGAUACGUUUUUUAUGCUUUCACUUCGCUUGAGCCUAGAACUUACAACUCGUAUUUUACGUUUCUCUUACUUUCUCUUCCAUUUUCCCGACUCCCAAACACCAUCAAUCCUUGAUGUUGUAGAGUAUUGGCUGUCUAGUUCUACAAACAUAAUAAAGAAAACAAGAGACAGCUGCCAUAUAUAUUCCAUAUUAAUUAGUCACCGUCCGAUUGUUUCCACUCCCACUGACUCUGUCGAUUCAUGCUCUGAUGAAGUGAAACGCUUAACGCACUAUUGUGAUGCGGAGGAGAGGAGGAAAAACACAAUUUUAUUAUUGCAAUCCUGACACGCGCAAAGAGCUUUCUUACUCGGCUCGGCGGCUAAUUCUUUAUAAUUUGUUAAAACUCAUUUAAUUGAUGAAUGUGACAUGAAGCUCUAUAAAUAGUUUAAUUUGUAAAAUUGUUAAAAUUUUAAAUUUCAAGUAAAGUAGAUAAAAUUAUUAACGUUUUUCAAUAUUUAGAUAAUUGAUAUACGUCAUUUACUGUGAGCGAAUGGCUGAAAUUUUUCAUAGAAAACACAAUGCUUGUAUUAAAAAUUUUAAGUGCGAAUCCAUUUAUUGUAAUCAGAUGAUGUGAUUUAAUUAUUUUUUCCUUUUGCUUGAUGUCCUGAAAAUUAUGAAUGCUUUGCAGGAUGUGGAAUAUUAAAAUUUUUAAUGCAUAUUCAUAUUGAAAACUGAGUAAACAUAACAUUAUUGCUUCUAUAAAUAGAUCAUUUCAACUUAAAACCUGUUACUUGUAUUUUACAUUUCUGUUCCUUAUCAUAAAGUUUUUCUCUGUUUUUUUUUUUUUUGGGUUUCACUUUUUCUUCCACUUUCCCGACCCACAAACACCACCAAUCCUUGAUUCUUUUCCUAGAGUAUUAGCCGUCUAUUGUUACAAACAUAGACAUACUGUUUGUCUAAUUACUAUUAAGAAACAACAUACUCUGUUCUGGGGUCUCUUCGUUUACUGACUUAUGUGACACGUUAAGAAUUAUUUUGCUUUUCAUUAAAAAUGAUAAUGAAAGAAUGCAAAGAGCCCAAGAAAGUACUAUCCAUUAGACACGUUAAGAAUUAUUUUGCUUUUCACUAAAAAUGAUAAUAAUUUUAAUAAAUUGGAUUGAAUUAAUAAUAUUUGCCUGUGUGAUAUAAAUAAUCGCUUUAGUGUCGCCCCAUCAUUAAUGAGUGACUGUCCGAUUGUCUUCUCUUUCAUUGACUUUGAAACUGUGACUUCUGAGUUGGAUUAAGAAUUGACAAAAACUGUGACUUCUGAGUUGGAGAUCAAUAAUUUUGUAAACAAGCCACCGUCUACGACCGUGGGUUGAAAGGAAAGAGGAUUAUGUUUUCAUUGUUUUGUACUUUGUUUCUGUUAAAGUAAGGUAAACAUCUUUCUUUUGCUUUGGCCUUUACUCUUGACUGUAUUUCAUGGUCAUAUUCAAUCUCAAUCUUCUGUAGGUUUGUGGCUGUUUUAUGAGUUACGAUUUUUUAUAGGGUUGCAUGUAGAUGAUACAUUUAUAUACAUUUUUUCUUUUUUCUUUUCUUCUUCGGUGAAGAUACUAAAAUUUAGUUUUUGUUAUCAUGUGAAAUGAAAAUAGUCCUCAUUUCAAGGAUUAAUGGGCCACUAAUUUCGUCUUCUUAAAAGAAAAUUUUUUGCUGCGAGGUAAUUGGAAGCUCGAAGAUUUCUAUAUUACAUAGCCAAACCUAAGUGAUAAGAAUUUCCGUAUGAGAUAUAAUUUGGAGAAAAAAAAAAACCAAUUCAAGUUAAAGAUAAAAAAAUCUGUGUUCCUUAAAAAACAUAAUUCAAGCCACACAAUUUUUCUUGUUUUAUUUGAAAAAAAGAAAAUUGUGUUCCUCACAAAAACACUUUAACAUUUGUUGUCUCAUAGAGGGAAAUGUCCUUCACUCUUUGACGUGUCCCUGGGGCAAUGUAAACAUUAAAACAUUGUCAUGUAGUUAAAACAUUGUCCACAAACAUUGUCAUGUAGUUAAGAAAAAUUUAAAUUUGACAAGUGCAAGAGAUUGGUGGGACUCAUUUGAUUCAAGAAAAACAAUCAGUCUCAUUUGAUACGCAAAGGGCUUUUUUACUCUGCAGCCAAUAUUUUGAUGAAUGUCACAUUACUGGUUUGUAUAAUUUUUCGGACUAAUAUAUUAUCUCAAUUUUAAAAAAAAAAUGCAAUUGCGAUUAUCAAACACGACUAAUCCCAACAAUUUAUCCAAAAAUUUGAGUGUCAAGAAAUGUAGUAUUUAUGAUAGCAUGGCUAGUUUUUUCAAUCAAACUUUUUAGAUAAAUGAUAAAUCAAUAUAUGACAUGUUACUAUCUUACUAUAGGAAGAAAAUUAUGGAAUAAUUUUUUGAAUUAAUAGAAUUAUUUUACGACAAAACUUUCACAAUCUAUUUUUAAAAAUAAACUUAUUCUUUAAAUUUCUCGUUACUACUCCUACUUGUCCUGUUAUACUACUUAAUGGCACUGGUGAAGCCUUGAAUUAUCAAACAAAAAGCAAAAACACUUCAACAUCUGUUCCACUGAGCACUGUUAAAAUCAUACGAUAAAAUGAGUACUUAUGUUAAAAAAAAAAAAAAGAAAAACAAUCAGUCUCAUUGCGUCCUCUUUCAUUGACAUAGGCAAUUUGCGGUCAACUUGUGGUACCCUUAUUGACACAUAAAGAUCUUUCUUACACUACGGCCAACACUUACUUUCAGGACUGGUAAAUUUUUCAAAUGUAACAGAAAAAAAUACAGAAAUAUAAUUUCAAUUUAUCCAAAAAUUUGAGUUUCAAGGAAUAUAGCAUUUCUUAUGUGUCAUGUUAAUAUAGAGAAGAAAAUUUUAAAAUUUAUUUUUUGAUAAAAAAACUCACAAUCAUAUUUACAAAAAAAAAGUUUUAUUUAAAAAAAAUUCACUCCUCUUCCUACAUAAUUUAAGAAUUUAACAUUAUAAAUUAAGCUUUUUAAUCAAAGUAAUAAUCUCUCCUUCGGUGCGCAAAUGCUAAAAUUUAAUAUUAUAUCCGUUGACGAUAUUUGAUCCAAAUUCAGAGAAUAAAAAUUCUAACAGAAUUAUGAAAUUCGUUACUAGAAAUUUGUAUAAAAGUCACGAGAAUAGAAGGUUUGAUCAUAGGAAAUUAAUAUGUCCCUAUCCGAUGCAAAAAUGAUUAAAAAGAAAAACAAAAGUCAUGGGCUUAUUUAGAAAAAAGAAAAAAUUACAUUUCAGCUUAACGCAUGCCAGUCUUUUUCUCCUCUACUUUCUUAGAAAUUUUGGUUUCACUAUAAAUUCUUGGUAUAUAGCAAUCUUAAGAGUGUCUUGCAUUACCAAUCCAAUUAAGCACACACUUACAAUCUAAAAUACUCUCAUCUCAUGGAAAAGCGUCAUUCACUCAGCAUUAUGAGCAGAUUUCUCUUACUCCGUUGUUUGAUUCUUAUUUCCUUAUUUAUCGCAGCUGCAACAGCCAACACAAGUACUAUUACCACAGACCGAGAUGCUCUGCUUGCCCUGAAAGCUCACAUAACUCAUGAUCCAACCAAUUUCUUCGCCAAAAAUUGGAAUACAAGUACUCCGGUCUGCAACUGGACAGGCGUCACUUGUGAUGUCCAUAGCCAUAGAGUCACAGUUUUGAAUAUUUCUCGCUUAAAUCUCACCGGCACCAUCCCUUCUCAGCUUGGGAAUCUUUCUUCUCUGCAAUCACUCAAUCUCAGUUGUAACCGACUUUCUGGUUCCAUUCCCUCUGCCAUUUUCACCACGUACACACUGAAAUAUGUUAGUUUCCGUAAAAAUCAGCUCUCCGGCGCUUUUCCUUCUUUCGCCUUCAACACGUCCUCUUUACAAUAUCUUGAUUUUGGUUUCAAUACACUGUCUGGUGAAAUUCCUGCAAAUAUUUGCAGUAACCUUCCUUUUCUGGAAUACCUUGCUUUGUCCCAAAACAUGUUUCAUGGAGGAAUACCGUCCGCUCUAUCAAAUUGCGCAUAUUUGCAACGAUUAGGUUUGUCAAGCAAUGAUUUCUCGGGGGUCGUACCUAAAGAAAUCUGCAAUUUGACCAAACUUAAGGGAUUAUAUCUUGGCGGUAACAGACUCCAAGGUGAGAAUAAUCACGGAGUUUAAUUAUGAAAAUUGUUCCAUAAGUUGUGAUAUGAAUAAUGUUCCAUACGACAAUUUGCACGCGUUGAUUAAUUUGCAGGAGAAAUUCCUCGAGAGUCUGGCAAUCUUGCCGAAUUGGAGCUGAUGUCGUUAUCAGAAAACGAACUCCAAGGUAUGAUAAUGAACUUUUUGCAAUUUCAUUCUAGCCUCUGGUUGCUUCUGUAUUCAUUCGUUUGUUCGUCAAUUAUGCUCCAUGUUUUAUUGCUCAGUCUAGUGGAUAAUGUUCAGUCUCAGAAUUUAUAAUACCUUGAAGGUUAGUAGCUUUGAAAAUAAGAAACUGCUCAUCUGCUAAAAAGUUAACUUAGUAUUUAAGUUUUUGAAUUGAACAUUUUGAAAAAAGUCUUGAGAACUGGCCCUCCUUAGUAUUUCAGCUGAUAAAUAUGAAAAAUAGGCUAGAAGAAAUUAUUGCUGUGUGUGCUUAACUGCUUAUUCUACUUGGGCUUCUGGCUUGAUUACAUGGUCGAGCACUUACACCUGUUAUAAUAAUAGGCUUUUACUCUCACCACACGUUCGAUAAUUUCUUAACCUUCCCAAUUAGGUUAUAGCAAUUUAUAUAUAAAUAAUUAAAGCAUACUAAAGCUAGCAUACAAUACUCAUGACUUAGGCUUGCUGCGUUACCCAUUACACACGGUCGAACACUUACACCUGUUAUAAUAAUAAUAGCAUCCGCCGAUCGACUAUGAGUGAUCAAAUUGUUUGCACAUAUGUAAUUUGCAGGAGCAAUUCCACGGGAGUGGGGAAAUCUUACAGGAUUGGGGAUCUUACAGCUGUCUGAUAAUUUUUUAACCGGUAUCACUCCUUCAUCUAUCUACAAAUUGCUUUUCUCUAUUAAAUUUGGAACUGUCAUUUAAUAACUUAAUAGGUAACUUCCCUUACAACAUGUCUGUGUGACAUGUUUUGCUUCUCAAUUAAAAUAUUUCACUUCUCUCAUUAUAAAUUCUCAUAUGAGGAUGUGUUGUUAUUACUAUUUAACAUUAUCUCGUUUUUUAUUAGAAAUUAAUUUGUGUUUAUGCAAAAAAAAUUGAGCAUUUAAAAAAAGUAUAAAAACACGUGGAAUAAAUCGAAAAUCUUUCUUCAUUCGUGAAUUUGGAUUUCUAAAAAAUUAUCAUGACAGCUAUGUUAGUGUCUUACUAAUGAUAUGCAUGUGUGACAGCUUCAUAAAUUAUUUUACAUGGAAAAUAUGAAAAAUAGACUUGAAAAAAAAAUUAUUUUACUGAAAUAAUAGUUAAAAAGGGAGGAGAAGUACAGUACUCAUGAAUUAGGCUUGCUGUGUACUUAUUUUACUUGGGCUUCGGGCUUGAUUACACACGGUUGAAUAUUUACAUCCCCCGACAUAGGCUUUUAGGGAUGAGUGGCGUCAAAUGUGUAUCUGCUUUUAUGUAUUAUUAUUCUUUGAAACAAAUCUGAUUAUAAUUCUUUUAAAAUACAGAUUAAAUAGCACGUGAAAUCGGAAAAUAUUUUACUGCGAUAAGAAUUCAUAUAUUCAUUGUACUAGCACAUAUAAAAUAGACUAUAAAUUUAGUUCCAAAAUACAUUCUUAUCUUCAUAUAAAUUUUACAUUAUUAAUUUAAAUUAAUAUUAAAAUAUAUUGUUUCUUUCACUAUGUUAUUUUAUUUACACAAUGAUGUGACAAUUGGAAUGAAUAAUACUUAUAAUUAUUUUGUAAAAAUAUAAAUUUAAUACUUUGUUAACAUUUUAUCUACAUAUAAUAAUUAAACUGAAACUUGUAUUUAAAAAAUUCUAGUUACGCAUAUUCAUUUCAUGACAUAAAAGUGUAUAUUUAUGCUAAUUUACCAUUAUCAACAAAAUGCUUUGAGAGACAAAUAAUCUAAUUUAUAUUUUUAUAUUUAAAAUACUUGCAUUUAUUAUAUUUUGAAAAAAAUUUAUUUGCAAUUAUUUUAAACCGUUGGAUUCAAAUUUUCGUAGCUAUUAAAGUCAAAGGGUAUAAAUGUAUAAUAGUCAAAAACAGAUUUGUAUGAUCAUUUUUCAAUGUAUAAAUUUUCUUAGUUAGUAGGAAAAUUAGAAAUUGUUGAUUUACUCAUAAAUAAAUUUCAUGUUUAGCAUUUCAAUUUUGGAAAACUUGAGCUAAACGUUGAUAACUUCGAAUCGGUCGAGCCGAGUUUCGCUUCCUUGACCCACGGACCCAUUGAAAGUUCUAUUUGAAUUGAGUUUCCCGGUGCUUAUAAAAACCAUUUCUUUUCCUUGUCGCAGUAAUUUAUUCACAAAUGAGUUGAUUAGCAUCAAAGUUACCUGAGAGUCUGAGACCAUGCUAGUAGGAGAAAUUUGAAAAGAAAUUAUUUUACUAAAUUAAUUUAUUUUAUCUUGUUGUAACUGAAAUACUACUUUUUUUUUUGGGCUGUCACUUGGGCUUGAUUUACUUUAAUAGUAGCAGCCACCGACUUAGGCGUUUUUUACUUCUCACCACACAAUUUGAUCUUUUAAUUCGUUUUAACCACAUAAUCUAUCUAUUUCUCACCUAUUGCUUACUUAAAUCGCAUACAUAUUUUACCUACAAAUGUUUAUAAAUAUUAGUCAAAUAUAUUUUAUUACGUUUCUCUCGUAACUGCUCCAAAUGUGUACUAUUAAUACUUAACCCUCCCUUUUAAUUUACCGUGCAAUCUAUCUAUCACUUAAAUCACAUAUAUAUUUUACCUAUAUUUUACCCCAAAAAAUAUAAAAAUAAAAGAAAAAGAAUAUGUGUAGCAAUUUGCAUAUAACUAACAAAGCAUUGACGGUGUGUAGCCUUUCAAUACUUCACGAGUGGCUUUUCUUGUGUGUUAGUACUUGUAAUAAUUGUGUAGUGUAUAAAUGACAUUUUAUUAUUAAAGUGCGUCCAUUUUUAUAUAUUACUUAUUAUUUGAAAAAUAAUCUGAAUAUAAUUCUUUUAAAAUACAGGGGAGAUACCACUUGAAAUUGGUAAUCUCCAAAAUCUGGAGGAGUUGGAGCUUGGUCAAAACAAAUUAAUUGGUACUGUCCCAGUUGCAAUCUUUAAUGUGUCAACACUCAGAUUUCUUGAUUUUCAAGAUAAUUCUCUCUCGGGAAGUCUUUCGUCCAUCGCAGACGUCCGACUACUAAAUCUUCAAGAGCUUCUUUUGUGGGGUAAUAAGUUUAGUGGCACAAUUCCUCGUUUCAUCUUUAAUGCUUCUAAGCUCUCUAUACUAGAUUUGCAAGACAAUUCAUUCUCCAGUUUUAUUCCCAACACAUUUGGCAACUUAAGAAACCUUCAGCGGCUGAGAUUAUAUGAUAAUUAUUUGACAUCUUCAACUCCAGAAUUGAGCUUUCUAUCCUCGUUGUCAAAUUGCAAGUCUUUAACACAUCUUUCCUUAUCAAAUAAUCCACUAGAUGGCAUUCUUCAAAGGACGUCUGUUGGUAAUCUAUCUCAUUCUUUGAAAGAAUUUUACAUGUCCAAUUGUAAUGUUAGUGGCGGCAUCCCUGAAGAGAUCACCAACUUGACCAACUUGACAACCAUUUAUUUAGGGGGCAAUAAAUUGAAUGGAUCAAUUCCGAUUACUCUCGGCAAAUUACAGAAGCUUCAAGGUUUGGGUCUUGAAGAUAACAAAUUACAAGGAUCAAUCCCAGACAAUAUUUUUCGUUUGACUGAACUGUAUGAGUUGGAGUUGGGUGGCAAUAAGCUUUCUGGAUCAAUCCCUGCAUGCUUCAAUAAUCUGGCUUCUCUGAGGAUACUGUCGUUGGGUUCCAAUGAGUUAACUUCUAUUCCCUUAACUUUUUGGAACCUUAAGGAUAUCUUGCAACUCAACUGUUCAUCAAAUUUUUUGACUGGCCCACUCCCAUCGGAGAUUGGAAAUUUGAAGGUUUUGGUUAUAAUUGAUUUUUCGAUGAAUAAUUUUUCAGGCGUUAUCCCAACAGAAAUUGGAGGCCUAAAAAAUCUAGAAUAUCUCUUCUUAGGAUAUAACAGAUUGCAAGGAUCAAUUCCUAAUUCAUUUGGUGACUUGAUAAGUUUGAAAUCCUUGAAUUUGUCUAAUAAUAAUCUCUCUGGAGCUAUUCCUGCAUCUUUAGAGAAACUCUCAUAUCUUGAAGAUCUAAAUCUUUCUUUCAACAAGCUGGAAGGAGAAAUUCCUACGGGAGGAUCUUUUGGAAACUUCUCAGCUGAAUCAUUUGAGGGAAAUGAAUUAUUAUAUGGUACACCCAAUUUACAAGUCCCGCCAUGCAAAACUAGCAUCCACCGCACAUCAUGGAAAAAUUCUCUUCUCCUCAGGAUUGUCUUGCCAUUGAGUACUACAUUUAUGAUAGUAGUCAUUUUGUUGAUCCUAAGAUAUCGACAGAGAGGAAAACGGCCAUCGAAUGAUGCUAGUAUGCCACUAGUAGCAAUGUGGAGAACGUUUUCAUACCUAGAACUCUGUCGAGCAACAGACGAAUUCAGUGAAAACAAUCUAAUCGGCACAGGGGGUUUUGGCUCUGUUUAUAAGGCGAGACUUGGGGAUGGGAUGGAGGUUGCAGUGAAAGUUUUCAAUUUGCAAUGUGGAAGAGCGUUCAAGAGUUUCGAUGUUGAAUGUGAAAUGAUGAAAAGUAUUCGUCAUCGAAACCUUAUCAAAGUUAUUAGCAGUUGUUCAAAUGAAGAGUUUAAAGCGUUGGUAUUAGAAUACAUGCCUCAUGGAAGUUUGGAGAAGUAUCUGUAUUCAAGUAACUGCAUUUUGGAUAUUUUUCAAAGAUUGAACAUAAUGAUAGAUGUUGCAUCAGCUUUGGAAUAUCUGCACUUUGGUUAUUCAGCUCCAAUAAUUCAUUGUGACUUAAAGCCCAACAAUGUAUUAUUAGACGAUAAUAUGGUUGCUCAUUUGAGUGAUUUUAGCAUCGCAAAAUUGUUGGCUGGAGAAGAUCAAUCUAUGACUCAAACACAAACAUUUGCCACAAUAGGCUAUAUGGCACCAGGUUUGUCAAUAUAAAAAUUUUCUAUUUCUUGUAAACUUCCUAAUAAGUUAUUUACGUUUCAUGAUCUUCAUUAGAUGAGGAAAUUCUUAUUAAUGAUAUAUCUUACUAUGUAACUAUUGCAAUUCAUAGAGUAUGGAAGAGAAGGACGAGUAUCCGCAAAUGGAGAUGUUUAUAGCUUUGGGAUUAUGUUAAUGGAAACUUUUACUAGGAAGAAACCCACAGAUGAAAUUUUUAACGGAGAAAUGACAUUAAAGCAUUGGGUUAAUGAUUGGCUUCCCAUUUCCACUAUGGAAGUUGUUGAUGCUAAUUUACUAAGUCAGGAGGACAUACAUUUUGUCGCAAAAGAGCAAUGUGUGUCAUUUGUCUUCAAUUUGGCUAUGGCGUGCACUGGGGAAUCUCCUGAGCAGAGAAUCAAUGCAAAAGAAAUUGUGAAAAAGCUCUUAAAAAUUAGAGACUCAUUACUUAGAAAUGUUGGAGGCAGAUGUAUAAGACAAUCAAAUUUAAAUUGAUUUUGCCCCUCCUUCAUUGCUUGCUAUCCUUUUCAGAGACUUGAACGGUUAUCCUUCAUACAAGUUUUUUUGAUAUGUUUUGUUAUUGCUCUUGCUCAUGUUUAUUUCUCUCUUUCUUUAAUUUGCAUGCAUGUAUUUUUUCAUGCUCUUUUCUGUUUUUGUUGAUUUGUAUGUAGUUUGUUUUUAGGGGUAAGGUUGAUUAUGUCCUCCCCUAAUUAGACGUAUCCUUUUUUUUUUAUUCAAUAAAGCUUCUCUAAUACUAUCGAGGUUCAUCAAAAGACAAUUUUAAAUUAAUUUUCUUUUCUAUGUUAGAUAAUGAAAUUCUAAUCUUCUUAGUGAAUAACUUCAAUAAUAGAGUGUAAGAGUAUUAGUAGUUAUGGUAGUUUUCUGAACCUGGAGUCAAGACCAAUUUAACAGCAACAAACAAGUCUCUUGUAUUAUAGGCAAAAUUCUUUUCAUUAAUCUUAUUUGUCUACAUGUUCUCCUAUUUUCUCCAUUAAUCUUCGCUCAAGGUUUCAUGCUUCCUCUUUGAUAAAGGAAAAUAUUACUUGCGAAUAUUUCAAUUUGACAUAAGAGACUGUUUUGCCAACCAUUUGAUAAAAUGGAUAUGACUGGAGCUUUCAAUCAUUGCCUCCACCAAAAUCCUUACAACGCCACUUUUAAAUUUUAUUUUUUAAAAUACAUUCAGUUUAAUUUAUAAAAAAUAAAUCCAUUUGUUAAAAUUAAUCUUUUUCUCAUAAAUUUCAACCUAAAAAAUAUAUUUCUUUUAAAUUUUUAAUUAUAAAAUACAUACAAAUUCUAAAUUAUUUUAUUAUUUUCUUCCUAUUAUAUAGUUUAUAUCUCCAUAACUCUAAACUCCUAUAAUUUUUAAAAAAUAUUUUUUAAUUUAAAAUAUAAAUAUAAAAUAUAGAAUGGAGUGAGUAUAAAAAAACUUGUUAAAAGAAUAAUGCAUUUAAGUAUUUAACUGAAUUUUAAAUUAAAAUAAGAAAUAAAUUAAUUUAUUUUUAUUAGUUAAGUAAUUUUCAAUUGAAAAAGAGCUUUUAGUAACAUUAUUGAAAUAUGAUUAAAAUUCUAUGAAUUAAACAUUUUCGUAUAAGUACUAGUGAUAAUUACAGAGAAAGUACGAUGAAGUGAAAAAACUUAAAUAUAAAUACUCUAGUAUAAUUUUACACAUGCAACUUAUGAACCAGUGAUCUGUAGAGCAUCAUAAAAUUGUUUUAACACAAUUAAUUGGUUUGAAAAAUUGCCAAUAAUGUCUACAGUGGGAUUUAAAAGAUUAAACUACAUAUAUAAGACAUGAUAUCAUUUAAGACGGCUUACAGAUUAUGAGAAAUAUUUUGAUCUUCCAAAUAUUUAAUAUGUCAAUUAGACUGAGUCUAUACAAUGAAAAUUUCAAAUAAAAAAUAAACCCUUUAUUUUCUUUUAAUCAAAAGUGUGAUCUUAAUUAUUAAAGUCAUUUAAUGUCCAUUACUUAUUCAUUUUUUUAAUUACCUAAAUGACAUUGAAAACUCUACCCAAUAUUAAUUCAUUCAAAUGUUUUGUUUUAAGGUAAUCGGAAACUGCAAAUGAAACAAAUGCUUGAAAUCACAAACGGCCUAAAAUUAGAUUUUCAUUUUUCAAUGUUGCAGUGACUUUGAUCUUGAUAUUGAAAUUUUAUUUGUAACUUAUAUAAAGGCCUCAAUUUUAUCAUAAUUGGUUAGUAAGGCUACGUAGGGAGCAUCGAUAAAUUUUGGGAUUGGAUUAUAUUUUUGGAACUAAAAAAUUAAUUUCAUCCAAUGUUAUGUUUGGCUGUUAGGACUAGCAACUUAGUCUAAAAUUAUUGAAAUUAUUGAUGUUUUAUAUUAUAAUCUUUUCAUUACCACUUUAAACAUUAUUGGUAACUUAAAUCAUUUUUUAAAUUAAAUAUAAAUUUUAAUUUAAUUAAUUAUAAAAAUUAAUUUAAUUAAAUAUAAAAAUCAUUUAAAUUAAAUAUUAACAUUAAUUUCAUAAUUUUUUACCUAGAAUUUUAUAUUAUAUUAAAUACUAAAAUUCUAUUCGAUAAUGUACUAUCAUUUAUUUAAUAAAUGUUUAGUAUGUUAUAUUAUUAUUUAAAUUAAUUUUUUAUUUACAUAUAAACAUAAAUUAAUAUUUACUAAUUAAAGUUAUUAUAAUUUGUUAAAUAAUAAAAGCUAAAUGAUUAUAUUGAAAAUAUAAAUAGUAUUCUAAUGUAUUAUAGUCUAAAUCUUACCCCUAUGAGUUUAUUUUAUACACCUUUUAUUAUAUUAACCACAUUUAUAAUGCAGUGCAAUGUAACAAAAAAUUAUAACCAAAUAUGAGUUAGCAUGAAAAUAAUAUUUUAGUGCAAUAUAAUACAAUGUAAUGUAAGCUAACAAAUGGAUAUUUAAUGGAAGCAAAAAUUGCAUAUGACUUGUGGGUCUCUUAAAAGACAACAAAAAAACCAAUAUGAUACAUUGAUUCUGUCCUCUUUAAUGGUGUCUUUACUAAAUGGGAAUAAGAAUAAGUUAGAAUUGGAGUGAGCUUGAAUCGAAAUAAGGAAUUAUAAUCAAAAUAAGUUGUUUAUUUAAGUUGUAUGAAUUAGAAUCAAAAUAAAUUUUAUUCAAAUUGAUGUGUUUAUUUUCUAUUGAAAUUAGAAUGGACUAUUACAAGUUGCUAAAAAACCAUUUGGUAAUUGUUGUCUCUAGUAUUAUUUGUAUAUGUUAUAAUGGUAACAAUAAUAAGAAUAAAAAUAGUACUAAAAAUGAAAAUAAUAAUAAUAGUAGAGACAAUAAUAAUAAAAUUAAUAAAUUAUUAUUAUUAUUAUUAUUAUUAUUAUUAUUAUUACUACUACUACUACUACUACUACUACUACUACUACUACUACUACUACUACUACUACUACUACUACUACUACUACUACUACUACUACUACUACUACUACUACUACUACUACUGAAGAUCGCUCGGUGAAGAUUGGAUAGUGAAGAUGAAGACGACGAAGAUCCCGGCAACCAACUGCUGUUCCAAAGAUGAUGUGCCCAAAUGGAGACAACCAAUGAUGACUAGCCAACUAGAUCCCAAUCUCGAUGUUGUGAUCUCGUAUGACCACAGAUAAAGCUAUGUGUGAUGUUGGCGUUAUGAUUUCUUUUUUAUUUAUAUUUUUUAAUUUAUUAGUGGUAUUUUCAAAUUUUUGUAAUUUUAAUAUGGACAAAUUGGAUAGUCCAGUAAACAGGAGACUGAUUCGCAACCAUCCUAAGAAUUAGGGCCCGUUUGGUAUCAUUUUCAAGGGCUUAUUUUCAUUUUCGUUUUUGGAGUUUAAAUGUAAUACCCGUUUGGUACGCUGAAUUCAAAAAUAAACUGUAAAACAAAUAAUUCAGAUUUCCAUUUACAGUUAUAAAAUUGAGAACGUGUUUAACACGUUCUCAGUGAAUCACAAACCAAAUUUUAGAAUAAAUCGCAAAACAAAACCCGAUCAAAAUACACCUUUCUCUCAUCUCUCUCAUCCACAGCUCUCUUUCUCUUCGUGACAGUUCUCCAACCAAAAUCAGCUACUGUUACUGCGUCUCAGCUCCAUCUCGACUAGUGGUGGUGGUGGUGGUGCGUCUCUGCUCUGCUUCGGCCAUGGUGGAUCGACUGAUACUGCUGUAUCUCUGUUGAGGAUUGAUUGGUGCUGCUGCUGUUGCGUCUCGGCUCCGUCCCGACUGGUGGUGGUGCGGCCGUUGCUGCUGCAUCUCUGCUCUGCUUUAGGGAGGGCUUAAUUUCAUUUUCUGCUUAACCGAUCGAAUCUAUUUUUCGUUUUGAAUGAUUGCUCGAAGCAUGCCUUCGAUUUUGCAUUUAAUUGGGCAAACAAAACAAAAAAAAAAAUUUAUGGAUUCAUUCGUCAUUUUCACAUGGAUUGAGAUUGACCAUUACAUUUCUUAUUAUUUGUUGGCAGUACAUUAUAAUGAUGACACAUAUAUAAAUCAUAUAAUUAACAUUAUAUUAAUAAUAAAUUUAUACCUAAUAAUAAUAUUGAUACCAAUUAACAUUUUAUAUCAAUUUUUAAAAAUUUUAAAAUUAACAAUUUUUGGGCAAACUAACAAUUGUUAAAAAAAGAACAAAAAGUUACUGAUUAGAUAGAGUUGCUUAAUGCGCAUGGUGUGUUUGUGUAUGUAUUAGUUAAAUUUUUUAGUAAAAAUUAUUUCUGAAAAAAAUAUUACCAAACGCAUAUUUUCUGUUUUUAUCAUUUUCAAUUGUGUCUACCAAACGCAUAUUACUGUUUUCAAUUUUAAAAUAUAGGAUAUAGAAAAUGAUACCAAACGCAUAUUUAAAUUCGAAAUACAGUAACUGUUUCGUUUUUAUUCUCAGAAAAUACAGAUUCAAAAACAAUACCAAACAUGCCCUUAGUCUCUCAUUUUCUAUUUCUAAUUUGAUGUGAGUUCUACUAUUUCGAUUCCAAUUCUUACAUUUAUUUGUGAGACAAAACUAUGGUGCAACUGUAGACUGUAGUACCAUUGGAUCCAGCCACAAUAUCAUCAUGACUGGAUCUAAUGGCUGAAACCUGAAAGUAAUUGUGGUAUGGUACCACAGUUGCACCAUAGUUGAACCUUUAUUUGUGAAGUAAAAUGAUGUUAAUAAUUUCGAUUUUCAAUUCGAGAAGUAAACACAUCAUAAUAUUUUUUUAGAUGCUUCCAUGGCAUAAUCUCAUUGGUCCAUUUUUCUUCACGCCUUAGAUUCAACUUCAAGAUUCAAGAUUCAAUUUGAAGCAAACACAACUGCAAAACAAAUAUAAUAAGCGUUAAUAAGCCUGCGGCUGACUGGCUGUGGCCAAGCAAAUGUAACAUAUAGUGACCGAAUCAUAUCUUAUUAUCUUACGCCUGAAGCAAAACAAUGUUCCCAUUCCACGUGUCACUCUUUGACCAAUCCCCGAACUUUCUUCAUAUUUCCAAAGAAACCCUUACAAAGUCAAGAUAAUUACCUUCACUCUACUCAUCCUUACGGUCUUCAUUUAAAAGGAAAAAUUAUAAAAAAUUCUCCUCAUUCCUUAAAAAUCUAGGGUUUCUCAAGAAUCGCUAAACAUAUAUCCCAAUCAUUCAAAAUCUCAAUUUAACCUCUCUAGGGUUUUGAUUGUCGAGGAUUCGCUUGAAAAUUUAGUAUUUUUUAGUGGAUUUUGCUUGUCUCGUAUGCUUCAAUUGUUGUUCGGUUCUGAAAAUAAUUUGGAAUUUUAGGGAUUUUCAGAUUAUUUAGUUUUUUUUAGUGCAAUUUCCUCUAGUUACGGUUUCAGUUUGAAGGGUUAAGUGCAAUUUCGAAUUUUUUUAUAAAAUUAAAAUUAAAAUUCCUAAAACGAUUGGGCGCUUAAUAAUUAAUUGAUGGCUAGCGAUACUACAACUGCGGCCGCAGCUGCGGAAGAAGCAGAGGCGAUGGAGGAGUAUGAUAGCAAUCCAAAUGAAGUGAAACGCUCUCUUGUGAUGCGCAGAAGGGAUGCCAGCGAUGAGGAGGAGGCGGAGGAUGAGAGAGAUUCAGAGCUUCCAAUCGCUCAAAGUGUCUACAUUCCUGCGGGAGAAGCGGAGGCUGUGGAUGAGUAUGAGAGCGAUCCAGAUGAAGUGAAACACUCUCUCGUUAUGAGCAUAAGGGAAACAAGCGAUGAUGAGGAGGAGUGGACAGAAUUUGAGCGUCGAAUAAAUUGAAGGGUCCAGAUUCACUCUUACAUUGAAUCUGAUGGCCUAAGUGGUGCUCCAGCUGAGUAUGAUGAUGAUGAAGAGGACGAAGAGGAACAUGACAGAGAAUUAGAAGAAGAAGAUGAAGAAGGGGAUGUUUAUGAGUAUGAAGAGGAAGACGAGUUUUAUGAAGAAGUGGAGAGGAAUGACGAGGCGGUUAAAGUCAAAGAAACAGAGGGUAAUGAUGCAAGAGGAGUACAGAGGGCGCAGUGGAAGUGAGUAAAGGGAAUUAUGAUAAUGGCAAUGGUGCUAAAACAAUGAUGCAGCGAAGGAGGGAAUGGAGGAAGGGGAGAAGGAGAGUAAUGAGCCUUUUGCACAGCAGCCGGGGCUUUUUAUAUGGGACAAUGUUGCAGGUCGACACAGGUAUUAUUUGAUUUGAGUCAUCUAUAAAUAACUGAUAGCUGUACUUUCAUUAGGCUUGUCGAUUAGUCUAGUCUCGUUUUUUGGUGCUGUCUAAUGAUUGUUUGCUGGAAUCUGUGUAGAAGGCUUUUGGCGUAGUAGGUUGAAAGGAGAGAAAGUUCUCAAGUAAACAUCUGUGCUUUGUGGAAUAUAAUUAAUAGGGACAAAGUAUACUAAAUUACUUGAUAGAUAGAUGCCGAGCUAAUCAUGAGCUAUGAUAGCAUUAUCCGUGCUUUGUGUAUUUUUAUUAGGGCUUGUCUAUUUCAAAGCGUGGAGUAUAGAAUUUUUGGGUUAAGUUUGAGUGAUGAAGUGUUAGAUAGGUUUCUGUUUUGCAUAGUUAAGCCGUCAAUACGAGCUAUCGAAGCAAAUAUGGAGUAGGAUAUCUAGUUUUGGCUUUGGUCUUAGUUUGAAGAUGGCUACUGAUUAUGCAGCUAGGUACGUAUUAGUGUUUGUGGAUUUCUAAAUGCUUUCUUUUAAAUUUGACUAGAUUAUUACUAGAAGUGCAUGGAUCUUACACUUAAUUAAUUAUAUAUCCAUUUGUAAUGUUCAAAAUGAUAAUGUACUAUUGCUUGAAAUUAUGCUUUCAAGACAUCAUUUUGAAAAUCCAUGGUUAUAAUGUGUCUCUAAAUUCAGUAAUACAAGUUCUAUCAAUUGCUGUUGGAUGCAGUGACCUGAAUAGUUUAAUAUUCAUUUGCAGAAGAGUUGAGAAAGAAAACUAAAAAUUUCGGUGCGUUCUGCUGGAAAUUUAAUUAGCUUCAUUUGAGCAUUAAUUACCGGCAUGAUCUCUUAGACUUCUCAUUGCAUUGAAUGAAUGGAUGAGUGCUAAUCCAUGCAAAGACUUCCAUGCAUGCACAAUGAAUGCUACAUCAAAGGUAUGGGAAAAUGUCAGCAAGCUUGGCCCAAAUUAUCUAGCUGGUUUGGUGGCUGCUAGAUUUGUUCAUCCGGAUUUUGGACCAUUUUCCUUGACAAUGAGAAAAGCUCCAAGAUCUGUAAAUCAAAAACUCAUUGAAGUGCCAAAAGAGAGAUGGAAGUGAAUAACUAGAGAGUUAGUGAAAAGAGGGUGCAGUGAUUGUGUGGGAAUCUUUGGGUAUAAUUGGGGUUUGGAUGUGAGAUAAAAUAUUUUGAGAGUGAGGUUGUAACAAUUUUUCACGUAGGGAAAUUUUUUAUCUCGUUGUCCUUGGCAACUGUGGUUUUUUAUUUGGGUAAUAGAGUUUUUCAGGUAACUUUUUUGUUGUGUGAUCUGAGUAUUCUCUAUUGUAUUUCUUUUAUUUGUUAUUUAUUUGAUGUAUUGCUAGCAGAGAUCUUGGGUGGGAACCAAAAAUUCCCAACAAUUGUCAGUUGUUUUAAACGCUAUUCCGAACAGAGCAUGAAGGGAUUCACUUAUCUAAUUAUGUCAUUUAUGCUUUAACUUCACUUCAUUUCAUCUUGUCCGUCACCUUUACUAAAGUUGUGUAUGUUUGAGUAUUAGGUUCAUCACAAGGAUCAUAUUAUGUUUGAGUAUUUGGAUUCAAGACUGUUAUAAGGUUGUUACAGAUGCAAUGCUGUUGCUGUGUAACUGUAUGCCAUGCUCGCAAGUGCGCUGUAACAGAUUGCUCAGCUGGCACCGGAUAUUUUAAGCUAAUUUUGGUAAUUAGUCUAGAGUGUUCUGAUUUAUUCUAUAAAUAGCUCAUUUGAGCGUAGAACCUUUAAGGUGUAUCGUACAUCUCUGUUACUUCUAAUAAAGGAUUUCUUUAUUCCUUUUUCUUUCGCUUUCUCUUUCAUUUUCAUGAUCCCCAAACACCAUCAAACAUAGAAUUGCUGUUUUAAGAAACAAAGUACUCUAUCCUGUCACCCAGCGGUCUCCUCGUUUAUCGACUUGUGAACAGGGCUAAAUAAAGGGCAAAGAUAUUAGGCAAAUGGACAUAACGUGACAAGUUCUUGAAUUGAAUGGCUCCUCAUUUCUUCAUAAAUCUUUGCUUAAUUUUUUUUGUUCCCUCAACCUUUUUUGACCUUUUGCGCUAAAAUUCUUUUUUUUAUACAUUAUGCAAAAAUUGAUGAAAAUGAGUUACUUUAGAACAUCAAUAAAUUUUUAUUACAUGAUAAGACAAUAUCAAUAAAUUUUUAUUACAUGAUAAGACAAUUAUACUUAGAUUACUCUUAUUUAGUUGAAUUAUAUGUAAUAAAAUUAGUUUAACAAAAUUUAACCCGCAAAUAUUCCUCAUCAUAUGAUUAACGUACUUAAAAAAUCAUAACUGAUCGGCCGCUUGUUUUACUAUAAAAGAUUGGUGUGAUUUAAUUAUUUUUCUUUUUGCUUGGUGACUGUAAAAUUAUGAAUACUUUGGUAAAUAAGAUAAUUAUAAACACCAUUUUGAAAAUCCAUGGCCAUGGUUGUGAUGUGUCUUUAUCAAUCACGGAUACAAAAAUUAAUCAAAAUUAUCGAUUGUUUUAAAUUCUGUUUUUAACAGAGCAUGAAGAUGUCGCUUAUCUAGAUUUACUUUUUAUGCUUUGACUUCACUUAAUACAGCUUCUUCCUCCUUUAACUGUAUGCCAAAUGAUUACUACCAAAUUAAUUUCACAAAUUAAUAAGCUAACCUAAUUAAUUUGCAGCAAGGUAAUUGGAAGCUCAGAGAGUCUGUAUUAGCCGACUCUAAGCGAUAAGUGUUUCCAUGUGAGCCAUAAUUUGGGAAAAAGACCAAUUCAAGUUAAAGAUCAGAAAAGUCUGUCCCGCACGAAUACAAUAAUUCGAGCCACACAUUCAUCAAACGCUUGCAUUGCAAAUACACUUCAACAUGUUGUCUCAUAGGGAGAAAUCCUUCACUCUUUGACGUAAUGCUUGGGCAACGUAAAUUAGUCCCAUUUUUUGAUGCAUGAGAGAUAAUUAGUCCCAUUUUUGUCCUGUUUACUUGACUUGGGCUAUUUGCCGUCAACUCUUCUCAUCUACGUAGGUAAUGUGUCUUUUAUUUGGCAUGAAAAAGCCAAUACUUGCACGAGUGUAGCAUCACUGAUUUGUGUAAUUUUCAGGACUGGUAAAUUAUCUUAAUUUAAAAAAAAUAUAUAAUUACAAUUAUCGAUCGAACACCACUAAUUCCAACAAUUUAUCCAAAAAUAUCUUUGAGUUUCAAGGAAUUAAUGUAGCACGAAUGGCCAAGUUUUUCAACUUUUUCGAUAUUUGAUAUAUGUCAUGUUCUAACUUAGUACGAGAAGAAAAUUAUAGAAUAAACUUUUUAAAAAAUUAGUGGAAUUAUUUUUCGAUAAAAUUAUCACAAUCACAUUUAAAAAUAUUCUUUAGAUUUUCACUAUUUCUACUGUUAUUCUUUAAACUCUUUUCUGAACAGAGCAUGGAGGGUCACUUAUCUAAAUAUGUUUUGUGUGCUUUCACUUCACUUGAUUCAUCUUGUCCCUCUUUUAUAGCUUCUAUCUCGUGUGAGCUUUGAACCUGCAACUCGUAUUUUACGUUUCUAUUACUUUCUCUUUCAUUUUCCCGACUCCCAAACACCAUCAAUCCUUGAUGUUAUAGAGUAUUAGCUGUCUAUUUGUACAAACAUAGAGCUACUGUUCGUACUUUAGAUCUUCAGAUGGUUAGCUAACUAUUGUUUGAAUAUUAAAAUUAAUUUGUUAAAUAAAUGAAGAAAACAAGAGACAAUUACCAUUCAUAUUCCAUAUUAAUUAGUCACUGUCCGAUUGUCUCCGCUUCCAUUGAAUCUGUUGAUUCAUGCUUUCAUGAAGUGAAACGCUUAACACUCUGUUCUGAUCCGCAGGAGAGGAGGAAAAACACAAUUUUAUUAUUUCAUUCCUGACACGGGCAAAGAGCUUUCUUAGCCGGCUCGGCAGCUAAUUCCUUAAAAUUUGUUAAAUUUCAUUUAAUUGAUGAAUGUGACAUGAAGCUCUAUAAAUAGUUUAAUUUGUAGAAUUGUUAAAAAUUUAAAUUUCAAGUAAGGUAGAUAAAAUGAUUAAUGUUUUUCAAUAUUUAGUAAUGAACAUGUGUCGUGUUACUAUGAGUGAAUGAAUGAAAUUUUUGAUAGAAAAUACAAUGCUAGUAUUAAAAAUUUUAAGUGCGAAUCCAUUUAGUGUACGUUAUCCAUAAAAGCAAUUGCGAGUCUUGUUUCCCAUUUUGUUUAAUUUUCAUAAAUUUGACUCACGAUCAAUUACGAGUGAAGAGUUUGUUGGAAAAAUCUGGUCUUCCAUUUAUUGUAAUCAGAUGAGUGUGAUUUAAUUAUUUUUUUCUUUUACUUCAUGUUCUGAAAAUUAUGAAUGCUUUGUAGGAUGUAGGAGAUUAAAAAUUUUAAUGCAUAUUUAUAUUCAAAACUGAGUAAACGUAACAUUAUUGCUUCUAUAAAUAGGUCAUUUCAACUUAAAACCUGUUACUUGUAUUUUACGCCGUUUCUGUUUCUUAUCAUAAAGAUUUUCUAUGUUUUUUUUUUUUCACUUUUUCUUCCGUUUUCCCGACUCCCAAACUCCACCAAUCCUUGAUUCUUUUCCUAGAGUAUUAGCUCUCUAUUAUUACAAACAUACAGUCUGUCUAAUUACCAUCAAGAAACAACAUACCUUGUCCUGGGGUCUCUUCGAUUAUUGACUUGUGUGACUUGCGAACGGGGGGCAUUCCCUUCUUGAAGAAAGAAUGCAAAGAGCCCAAGAAAGUACUAUCCAUUAGACACGUUAAGAAUUAUUUUGCUUUUCAGUAAAAAUGAUAAUAAUUAUAAUAAAUUAGAUUGAAUUAAUAAUAUUUGCAUGUGGGAUAUAAAUAAUCAGUUUAGUCACUAAUGAGUGACUGUCCGCUUGUCUUCUCUUUCAUUGACUUUGAAACUGUGACUUCUGAGUUGGAUUAAGAAUUGAAAAAAAUGUUGCAACCCAUAAAGCGCGUAAAAUUAAUUAAUGGGCCACUAAUUCUUCUUCUUAAAAGAAAAGUUUUGCAGGGAGAUUGAAAAAAGGCUAAUUCGUGUUGAAGAUCAUAAAUGAGUAUCUGUCAUAAAUACAAGUCAAGCUACACAAUUGUUCUUGUCAUACUAUUUAUUGGCACUUGUGAUCCUUGAAUUAUCAAACGAAUAGCAACAACACUUCAACAUCUGUUGUCACAUGGAGGGAAAUCCGCUGCCUCUUUGAUGUAAUACUUGGCAAUAUACAUUGACUUUUCAUUAAAACAAGCAUUGGCAUAUUGUCAUUUUCAAAUUUUUAACGUCUUGUAAUUAAAGAUUCCUAUAUCACAUUAUAAUUUUCAAACAAAUCUAAGUGAGUCAAAUCAAAUUUAGAAAUUUGAGGUCUACUAUAGACUUUUGACAUAUUAAAUUUAAGACAAUUAAGUAAAUGCUAGACAAAAUCUAACUUGCAAAUAUACCUUACCACAUGAUGAACGUACUUAAAAAUCUUAAUUGAUUGCUCACCAAUUAAUUGUUGUUUUACAGUUUGGUUUGAAUGGUUAAGUUCAAGUUCGAAUUUUCUUUUUGUAAUUUAAAUUAAAAUUGAUAGAACAAAUGGGCUGAUCAGUAUGAUGAUGAAGAAGAAGAAGUAAAAGCUAUUAAGCAUUAUCCUAUCACCAUAUCAAAUGGACCGAAUUCAAUCAAAUGAAAUCUAGAAAAUAGAGCAGCUCAUAGAUGUACGUCGCUAAGUGGAGGUUCAUUUGGAAGUACUUGGUCGAAUUGCGACUUGCGCCGGAGGCUUCGUUUCGUUUUAGAAGAGUGCAGAGCAGCUGCCUUGUCCAUUAGGCACGCCAACGACUUUCUAUUGACCAAUAAUUUUGAAAGCGAUAUUAUUAAUUUACCGUCUAAUUUUUUUUAUAUUAUCAUUUCCCCAUCAAAAUUUUUUUAUAAUUAUUUUUUUCACUUUGUAUUUUGGUUUUUAUUAUUUUACUACCGAAAAAUAGUAAACACACCCGUAAGAUAGGUUAUCCACAAAAAUGAUUACCAAAUUGUCUUGUUUCUCCUUUUGUUUAAUUUUCACAAAUUCGACCCACGAUUUAAAUGUGAGUGAAGAGUUUUUUUUUGGGAAAAAAUAUGGUCUUCCAUUUACUAGAAUUAGGUAUUUGUGAUUUUAUUAUUUUUCUUUUGCUUAAUAUGUAUCUGGAAAAUUAUGAAUACUUUGCAGGAUUUAGAAUGAUUUGAAUGUUUGAACGCAUAUAGCUUUCUGUCCAUCAGCUAAUGCAUAUUCUGCAUUUUAUGAAUAUCAGAGCUGGUAGAUUGGAAGAUGGAUCUUAUUACAUGUCAUAAGAUACUUUGCUCAAAGCUGCAAUUGGGCAACGCCGUGCUGUUCUUAUCGGCCAAUGCAAGCCAUUUACUAUUCUUUCUAAUGGAGCAAAAUAAGAUGAUUCUUACCUGCAUAGAGAAUUAGAAAAGAAAAGGAGGAUUACUGAUCCACAGAGCUGUCAUUUGCUAGAGGCACAUAAAAUCUUACACUUAAUUCAUUAACCAUAUGUACGUUCUAAUGAUACUUAAGUAUUACCUAAAUUGGCCUUUCAAAAUUUCAAUUCGAAAAAAUCCAAGGUUGUGAUGUGUCUGUAUAAAUUCGCUAAUACAAGUUCUCUCUAUUCCCAAUUGUUUUAAACUCUGUUCUGAACAGAGCAUGAAAGGAUAUAUUUGUUUAUCUAGUUAUAUUUUUUAUGCUCUCACUUCACUUGAUUCACCUUCUCCAUCUUUUAAAACAGUUGUAUAUGUCGGAGUACAAGUUCAUCACAAGGAUCAUAUUAUGGCCUAAGGAAGGAGCACAGUUUAUUGUCUGCACUCAAGCUUAGCAGAGUAUUUUGGGAUUCAAGAGUGUUAGUAGGCUGUUGCUGUAAAACUAUAGGCCAUGCUGGCAAGCGUGCUAUGACUGAUUGCUAUUUGCACGUAAAAUUUACCCAAAACAAAUAGAAUGAGAAUACUUGUACAAAAGGACAAGAUUAAUAAAGUGAAUAAAUUUUAUCUUUUAGUGAAUGCUUCUUGUCUUUUCGAGUUUUAGUGCAUUUUCGUGUGUAAUUUUAUGUGCAAAUAGCAUUACUCGUUAGUAAUUAGUCUAGAGUGUUCUAAUUUCUUCUAAUAAGUAGCUCAUUUGAGCUUAAGACUUGCAUUUUAAGUUUUUAUUACUUUCUAAUAAAGAUUUUCUCUGUUCUUUUUUACUUUCACUUUCUCUUCCAUUUUCCCGACUCCCAAACACCACCAAUCCUUGAUUUUCUAGAGUAAAGCUAUGCAGUUCUACAAACACGAAACUACUGUUGGUCCAAUUACUUUCAAGAAACAACGUACUCUGUGGUUUAUUGACUUGUGACAUGGGCAAAUUAGUCACGGUCCGAUUGUCUCCUCUUCCACUGACUCUGUCAAUUCAUGACUUUGGCACACAGUAGACGCUGGCUGCCUGCUUCAUUUGACGUGCAAAAAACUUUCUUGAGUCGGGUUAAAAUCGAUUGAUUAGUUUGUUUGGUGAUGAUGAGUUAGUCGUCAAUUCAUGAGUUUGAUGCAGUGAAACGCUUAACGCUCUCUUGUGAUGCGCAGGAGAAAAGCCAGUGAUGAUGAAGAGGGCGAAAAACAUUAUUUUGUUAUUUACAAUAAGGCUAUCAAUUAUAUAAUCCAAAAUAAUUGGGUUUGGAUGGUCAUUUUGUUUUCUAAAAUAUCCAAAUGAAAACAGAAUUUAUAAAGUGGGAAAAUCAAGAAAUACUAUACUCUUCGUAUAGUGGAAGGAGAUUUGGUUGCCAUUAUACUAAAUAAAAGAAAAAUAAAAUAAAAUUACAAUACUUUAAUAAUCUCAUUCCCAAUCCUACUGGAAAUAAAAUUUUCUGUAUAUUUAUGAAAUAAUUACUGAUUUUACUUUAGUGAUUUUUUUUUAGGAUAAAACUGUAGUGCAACUGUGGUACCGUGCCACAGUUGCACCCAACCGUUGGAUUUCCACUUAUUCAAGUGGACCCAACUUAUUUGAGUGAAUCUAACGGCUAGUGCAACUGUGGCACAGUACCACAGUUGCACUGUAGCUUGACCUUUUUUUUUUUAAAGUAAGGUAAGCAGCUUUAUUUUCUUUGCAUACGAGCCUUCUUUCUUUUGCUUUUGCCUUUACUCUUGACUGUAUUUCAUGGUCAUAUUCAAUCUCAAUCUCCUGUAGGUUUGCGGCUGCUUUAUGAGUUACGAUUUUUUAUAAGGUUGCAGGUAGAUGAUACAUUUAUAUACAUUUUUUCUUUUUUCUUUUCUUCUUCGGUGAAGACACUAAAAUUUAGUUUUUGUUAUCAUGUGAAAUGAACAUAGUCCUCAUUUCAAGGAUUAAUGUGUUAGGAAUUUGGUGGGUGAAGCAGACACGCAGCUAAAGUAAAAUUAGAAGAAAAUAGAGAACAAACACAAAAGAGAAUACCAGAAAUUACGUGAUUCGGCUUUUAGCCUACGUCUACGAGCGAAGACAAAAGGAAAAUAUUAUACUAGUGAAAAUGAGUUACUAGUAUUGUAGUAUUUUAGAUCACUACCCAAAACCCCAAUACACCCAAACUCUCAAAUCACUAAGCACACAAAAUUCUUUACUCUGCAAGAAUUACUUCUCACAACUCUCAACUCUCUCUACAAAAUUGGAUGCUAAAUGAAAUGGGGAGCUCUCUCUUUUAUAGCCAAAAAAUGGCUAUUAAAUUAAUUUUUUUUCCUUUGGGCGGUACCAAAUUCUUCUUUUUCUUCUUUCUCUUUUGUUUCUUUCUUUGGGCAGCACCUCCCGACCAAGACUUUAACUCUUUCUUUGGGCGGCACCUCCCAACCAAAACUUUAACAUUCUCCCACUUGGAGAUUUGAUUGAGAAUCAAUCAAUCUCCACACCAUCCUUUCUGCUCCGUCAUUGUUAUGUUGCCUACGUUUCUGCUAGGCCACAAGAGGAUCUACUCCAGAAAAACUUAUCAGUAUUUAUCGGCUUGGUCAAAACAUCUGCUAGGUUCUCCUUCGUAUGGAUUUUCUAUAAAUCCACACUUCCGUCUUCCAAAACUUCUCGAAUGAAGUGAUACUGAACUCCUAUGUGCUUUGUCUUGGAAUGAAAAGCUGGACUCCUUGCAAUGUGCAAGGCACUCUGACUAUCACAAAACACAAAAAAUUUCUCUUAUUUGAGCCCGAGCUCCUCCAAUAAUCUUUGUAUCCAAAUAGCUUCCUUACAAGCUUGUGUAGCUGCCAUGUAUUCUGCUUCUGUUGUAGAUAAAGCCACAACGGUCUGCAGUUUCGAAACCUAGCUUACAGCUGCUCCCGCAAGUGUAAACAUAUAACCAGUAGUAGAUUUUCUUUUAUCAAGUUCUCCUGCAAAAUCUGAAUCCAUAUAGCCUCUGACAGUAAAUUCUGAUCCUCCAUAACAUAAUGCAACAUUUGAGGUUCCUUUGAUGUAUCUUAGAAUUCUCUUCACAACUAUCCACUGCUCUCCACCAGGAUUUGUCAUGUAUCGACUAACUGCUCCCACUGCUUGUGCAAUGUCUGGUCUUGUGUUGUGCAAAUUUUAAUGUACUCGCAAGCGCACGAAUCUAUUGUAGUGUAGAUCAAUGGUGACGAGUGUCGAUCCCACGAGGAGGAGGAUUUUAAUUGUGUAUAGAAUUAAUUUUGCAAAAUGGGUGGUUGGAAUUAUGGUGGAAGUGAUUUAAGUUAUCCCAAAAUUGGAAUUGAAAUUGCGAUAAUAAAUUCUAAAAUUGGAAUUGCAAUGGCGAGAAUAAGUUGAAGCGAAAUCUAUUGAAAUGACGUACUUGGGUAUCUGGAUCCGUAUCAACAUGCAUCAUGGGCUAAAUAAUCCGUAUUAAUGCCAAUUAAAUCAUGAGGGGGGAAUCCACACCUCAUGAACCACGCUCUAAUCAAUAUGGUGCUAAGGGCUUAUCGUGCCAAAUAAUAAUAACCUUAUACUAGAGAGCCGGUGUAACCAAGGCGGUAUCUAGACAAGAUCAGUAUUAUUUGUCGACGAUAAGUCAAAUCAUCCACAAAAACUAGAGGGGAAAAGAAAAUAAAUUUACCAAAUAAAGCCCAUGACACAUGUUGAGACUUCACCUUCAACCCAAGCUUGAAAGGAAAUUAGCUACUCAUAAUUGAACUAGGGGCAAAAUGGGAAUUUAUUAAAAUACAAAGAAAAUACAAGAUGGAGAGGGAAUUACAGAAAAUGGAUCCCAAAAAUGGAUUCAGAGCUAUCAAAUUAGGGGGGGGAGGCCCCCUUUUUAUAGAUACAUGGAGUAAAUCAUGGCCAUUGGAUUAAAAACAGUUUGGACGCUCAGGAUUGCGCCACGUCAUCAGUCAACAGUCCACUGUUUGACCACGCGGAUGAACAGUAAUGCGGUUUGACCCGGAUGAACAGUAACGCGGUUUGGUUGAAAAUAAUCCUGUGUGAUGCAUGCACCGUACGUGAGAUUUUUCGUCCACUGAUAUGCUGCCACGUCACCAUCAACAGUACAUAAGAAUUUUAGUCCAACAGGAUCGUGACACCUCAUCAGUCAAUGCCACAUCAUCGGUCAAUGCCACGUCAUCGAUUCGUUUAUGUGAACAGUGCCGUGAACAGUAACAUAUACAGUACCGUAUACGUGAAUAGUACCGUACAUGUGAAUAGUGCCAUUUUUCCUUUUAUGCUCCUCCUAAGGUUUUCGACCGUCCUGAGUUCAAAAGUGAUGUCCGUUUUGCCGUCUGAUCUCUCCUUUAUUGUGAAAUGACUAUAAUGCCCCUAAAAUACAUAAAAUACUUAAUUAAAAUAACACACGCGUAAUUACAUCACAAGAAGGUUAAAUACAUAAAAGUAAGAGUUGUUAGUAAGACUUGAAAUGUAAAAUGAUGGUUUUCUCCUUUAGAAAUAUAUAUUUUCUAACACUCAACAUCUUGUACAUAUCACAGCGAACAUCAAACUUUCCACUGCUGAUGCAUACGGUACUCAAGACAUCUCCUUCCUCUCUGCUUCAUUGCUAAGACAUAUACUUGAGGAUAAUUUGAAAUUAACAGGAAGUGGGGUAGAAAUUGACUUACAAUCUUGCAUGUUGAAGCGCCGUAAGAUUUUCUUCAAGUAAUUCUUCUGUGAAAGCCAAAUCUUCUUGUUAUUUCUGUCUCGAUGAAUUUGCAUCCCUAGAAUCUUGUUUGCUGGUCCCAAGUCCUUCAUUUCAAACUCCCUAGCCAAUUGUGCCUUCAAUUCUUGGACUCGAUCUUUGUUGGGGCUUGCUACCAACAUGUCAUCCACGUACAACAACAAAAUGAUGAAAUCAUUAUCUUCAAACCUCUUACAAUAUGCACAAUGGUCUGAACUGAGUCUGUUGUAUCCAAGGCUCAUGAUGAAGGAAUCAAAUCUCUUAUACCAACACAUUGGCGCCUGUUUGAGACCGUAUAGAGAUUUGUUCAACCUGCAAACCAAGUUCUCCUUUCCUGUUUCUACAAAACCUUUUGGUUGGAGCAUAAAUAUUUCUUCUUCAAGUUCUUCAUGAAGAAAUGCAGUUUUCACAUCUAACUGCUCUAGAUGUAGGUCAAAUGUAGCACACAUUGCCAAGACUAUUCUGAUUGUUGUGAGUCGAGCCACCGACGAAAAUAUCUCGUUGAAGUCAAUACCUUCUUUUUGAGCAUAUCCUUUCACCACCAAUCUGGCACGAUACCGCUUCACUUGGUCAUUGUCAUCACGUUUAAUCUUGUAGACCUAUUUGUUUCCAAUGGCUUUUCUUCCACAUAGUAGUGGUACAAGUUCCCAUGUCUUGUUCUUGUGUAGAGCUUCAAUUUCUUCCUGCAUUGCUGUCAUCCACAAAUCAACAUUUGAGCUUUCUAAAGCUUCAUAAAAAGUUGAUGGCUCUCCAUCCUCUAUUAGAAGACAGUACGCAACAUUGAUCUCUGUGACAUACUCUGAGUGCCACGCCGGCGGUUGUCUCUCAUGAGUUAACCAAUGAACUUCUGGAGCCUCAGACUCGACUGGUUCUUGUUCUUCGUGCUCUAGUGCUGCUUCAGAAGAAUCUGAAUCUUCUGGAUUAUUUUUGACAUAUACCGGCACAGUUUCUGACUUUUCUUUUACAGUGUCAUCAUCUCCAUCUUUCAUUUGCAGUUGAUCUUCUACAAAGAUAACAUCUCUGCUGAUGACAAUCUUGUGGGCAGUGGGGUCCCACAGACGAUACCCUUUACUCCAUCAACAUACCCCAAGAAGAUACACCUCCUAGAUUUUGGAUCUAACUUUGUUCUUUCUUGGGCAUUGUACAUUACGUACACAGGACAUCCAAAUGCAUGUAGGUAGGAAUAAUCAGCUGGCUUUUCAGUCCACAUCUCCAUCGCCGUCUUCAACCCAAUAGCUGUAGAUGGCGACCGAUUUACUAUAUAACAGGCAGUUUUGCCUGCUUCUGCCUAGAAUGAAUUGGGUAGACCAGCAGUCCUCAACAUAGCUCUUAUUCGUUAUUUAAGAGUUCUAUUCAUCCGCUCUGCCACUCCAUUUUGUUGAGGAGUGUAUGCCACCGUGAACUGCCUCUGAAUACCUUCUUGCUUACAGAAAGCAAGAAACUUGCCGUUUGUAUACUCUCCACCAUUAUCUGUCCUUAAGCACUUGAUCUUUUUACCAGAUUCAAGUUCCACCCGUGCUUUGUAUUCUUUAAACACUGGAAAUACAUCUGACUUUUUCUUAAUUAGAUACACCCAACAUCUUCUGGAAUAAUCAUCAAUGAAAGUCACCAUGUACUUUACACCUCCCAUGGAUAUAUCCGGUGAUUCCAAAACAUUAGAAUGAAUCAAGUUUAUAAUGUAUUAACUUCUAGCAAUAGAUCUACUGAAUUUUAAUCUAUACUGCUUACUUGUAACACAAUGCUCGCAAAAUGGUAAAUUUACCGAUUUAGGCCCUGGAAGCAAUUUUCGCUCAGAGAGAAUCUUCAAACCUUGUCUGACAUGUGGCCAAGUUUGAGAUGCCACAUCAUCGUUGACUCUUCUCUAUUUGAUGCGACACACGCAUCAACCUCCUGUAGUGUUUCUCCUUUAAGCAUGAAUAAAUUAGCACUGAUCUUUUCUGCUUUCAUCAAUACAAGCGCUCCUUUAACAAUCUUCAUAAUUUCAUUCUCCACAGGCGUUUUGCACCCAUGACUGUCUAUUUGUGCUAAAGACAAUAGAUUUUUCUUCAGGCCAUUAACAUGUCGUAACUCUCCAAUUGUGUGAAUUGUACCAUCAAAUAUUUUUAUUUUGAUAGUACCAAUACCAGCGAUCUCUAAGGCAUGAUCAUCUCCUAUAUAUACAGAUCCUCCUGAGAUAGGUUCAUAUGUGUGGAACCAUUCUCUCCGAGAGGUCAUGUGCCAGGUAGCUCCUGAGUCUAUAAACCAGACAUCAGAUAGUCAUUUUCUGCUUUCUGAAAUAGUUGUUGCCUCGCUGUAGAGAAUUUCGCCAUCAUCCGAGGUACUUGCUACACACCCCUGAGCAUUUGAUGACUCAGGUUCAUUACCCUCUCUUCUCUUUUGGUUACUCCAACACACUUUCUUGAUGUGCCCUUUCUUGCCAUAGUUGUAGCAUUUAACAUUUUUCUUACUUUUGAAUUUUGAUCUACCAUUAUUGUGACUCCCACUGGGGCCACGUUCCGUUGAUCUCCCUCUCGUCACCGAUAGCGCCUCCACUUGCUGCGAACUUGCUUGUCUGUUUUCCUUAUUUUUCCACCUGCUCUCCUCAUUUAAUACGGAGGCUGCAACAUCGUCGAAAACUAGACUGUCCACUGGAUUGUUGUUCGUCAGGUUAAUGAUGAGCUGAUUAUACGAAUCUGGUAGACUUUGAAGUAGAAGCUCUGCAUGUUCAUUUUCCUCUAUAUUAUGACCCAACGUUGUGAGUUGUGAAAAUAGAGUUUUCAAGGUGUUGAUAUGGUCGGUCACCAUUGUAGAUUCUGCCAUUCGAAGAGUAUAGAGUUUCCUCUUCAAAAAGAUUUUGUUGUGUAGUGACUUGGCCUCGUACAAUUUUGUGAGAGUAUCCCAUAUUUCCUUCGCUGUAUUUUUCUCUGCCACACUGGAUAAUACUCCAUCCGCAAGUGCCAAGUCUAGAUCAGAAAUGGCGUUGCCGUCUACCUCGUUCCACUUGUCAUCAGUUAUCUCCACGGGCCUUUCUCUAAUUGCUGCCAAACAAUUAUUUUUCCUCAAUACAGCUUUUAUCUUCAUUUUCCACAACGAAAAAUUAUUUCUAUUAAACUUCUCAAUUUCAUAUUUUACUGCCAUUUUGAUGAUAAAUACCGCACACAAGCUAGUGUACCACCUUGAAUAGUUGUGAGUAUGUGUAAGAAUACACACCAAGAAAGUUCCUAGUAAAGACUGGAGGGGUCACAAUGGUCCCACUUAAAACCCAGACUCCUUAAGCUCUUAUCGCCUUUGUAGCAGAACUUUCCUAUACAUGUACAAAACCACACAGUUGCUUUACUCACACCACUAUUCUGAAAUACAAGUAUGCAACCCAAGAUGGGGGUGAAUUGAGAUUCUAAAAAUUAUUCAAUUUAUAAAGAAAAACUUAAAACAAAUAUAAUCCAAAUUCAAAGCAAUAACAAUUAAGUUGAUCACAAUAUAAAAAGAUAAGGGAAGAGAAAUUCAAACACAGAGAUUUUUACGUGGUUCGGCCAACCUCGCCUACGUCCACGCCUCCAAGCUUUUCGGGCUUGAGGAUUCCACUAAACAAGCCUCCAAGGCUUCAAAUGCUUACACUUGACUUCCAAGGUGUCAAUAACCUUUACAACAAGAGAUUAUCCCAAUCUCUUUAACCCAAGUGAAUCCCAACACUUACAACCACUCAAAACAAAAGAUUUCAAAUUUGUUUUGCCUCUCACAAUAUAUAAGAUUACACAAUGAUGCCCAAUAUGUGAAUAGAUGAAGUAAGAAUGUGUUCUAAGCUAUAUGAAGAUUGUAUUCUCGAAUAUAAGCUCAAUAGUCGUGUUGUGAUCAAUCUUCUUUGAAUUUGAAUGAGCUUAUUUAUAUUUGGAGCUGAAAAACUAGCCGUUACAAACUAUCGGCCCUAAACGGUUUGCCGUUAACUAUUAACGGUUAACCGUUUAAGCUGGUCAAAAGUUACCGUUGGGCCAAAUUUUAAAUAAACGGUUUGCCGUUUUAUGAUUACCCUUUCGCCGUUAAAUUCCAGAGACCUGCAAGAUGAACAUCAGUUAUCCGUUUACAUUAAACGGUUAAGGAUUUGCAUGAAGUGACUUCUCUGGAUAUUAUCGGUUAACCAUUUGUAAUAAACGGUUCGCCGUUUGUUUUCAGUAACCUGCAAAACAAUUUAGGCUUAUUCGGUUUUGUUAAACAGUGCCAGAGGAGUACAACCUUCAAUUCUGGAUGUUAUCGGUUAACCGUUUCAAUAAACGGUUCACCGUUAAAUUCCAGUAGCUUUCCCAUCUUUUGUGUUUUCCGUUUUUCACAAACGGUUAGAGCUUAGGCAAUAUGUUGCUUUCUGGUAUUAAUCGGUUAACUAUUUAAAAGAAAACGGUUCACUGUUUAUUUUCAGAAUCACAUUUUAAACCAGUUUUUGCAGAGAAUCUUUUUCUAAUUUGAAAGUCCAUCUUUUAUGAAUAUGAAUGGAAUGAUUAUUAAGGCUUUCGUUUAUUAAGGAAUAGCUCCAACAUUUUUAUCAAAAACCAUUUAAAGUUUGUUAUCAUCAAAAUCAAUAUUAUUAAAAAAUUCAUGUUAACAAUCUCCCCUUUUUUUAUGAUGACAAACUUCAUUCAAUAUAUAGCUCCCCCUUAAUAUGUACUCCCCCUAAAUGUAUGGCCAAAUUAAGAAAUGUCCAAUAAAAAGAUUUUUGCUCAAGAAAACAUUUUUAAAUUCAUUUAAAUACAUUCUAAAUCUCCCCAUAAUUCUCUCCCCCUUCAUCAUCAAAAAGAAAAGAGAGAAAUAAAAAAAAAACAAAAAACGCAAGUCCGUUAAAGAAGUUACCCGGUUUUGGUGAGCGAAAAUUUUGGCAGAGUUUCCCUUUAAAAAUGAGCAAAACCACUAAUACAAAAUGAGAUUAAAACACUUCCAAAAUAUAUUAACAACAAUUCCAUCUUUCAACAAACCAACAACGCCAUGAACAAACAAACCAACACUUCAAUAUCCAAGAAACCAACAAUUUCAUCAACCAAUUACCAAGUCAUCCAACAUCAAGAACAUCACAAAAAUAUGUCAUCAAAAUCCAGAAAGAGCAUAUAGAGGUAACAGUGUGUAUAAAAAUAUAAAUGGAAACACGCAAACAACCAAAAUAUGAAAUGUAUGUGCGAAAAUAGAACUCAGAAACUAUGGAGGUGGAGAAGAUGUGCUCCCCGGAUCAUAGCCGAAAUAGCGGAGAAGAGUGCGCUGUCCAGCAAUAAGCUCAAGCUGCUGAUCAAUGCUCUGCUGCUGGAAGGUCUGAAAGUCAGAACGUAGCUGCUGGUGGGUGAGGCAGACAUGCAGCUAAAGUAAAAUUGGAAGAAAAUAAAAAACAAGAACAAAAGAGAAUACCAGAAAUUACGUGGUUCGGCUUUUAGCCUACGUCCAUGGGCGAAGACAGAAGGAAAAUAUUAUACUAGUGAAAAGGAGUUACAAAUAUUGUAGUAUUUUAGCUCACUACCCAAAACCCCAAUACACCCAAACUCUCAAAUCACUGAGCACACAAAAUUCUUUGCUCUACAAGAAUUACUUCUCACAACUCUCAACUCUCUCUGCAAAAUUGGAUGCUAAAUGAAAUGGGGAGCUCUCCCUUUUAUAGCCAAAAAAUGGCUAUUAAAUUAAAAAAAAAAUUUCCUUUGGGCGGUACUAAAUUCUUCUUUUUCUUCUUUCUCUUUUGUUUCUUUCUUUGAGUGGCACCUCCCAACCAAGACUUUAACUCUUUCUUUGGGCGGCACCUCCCAACCAAGAAUCUACAACUUCAGCCCCAGGAACAGAAUCGAUCCCACUUAAAAUUUCAAUUUUGCAAUGCAGCUGAGGGGCAUGUGCCCUGUAAGAAUUGAUCCUAAAAUUGCCAUUGACAUGGACCCCACGAAGCUUGAAGAUUUCUAUAUUACAUAGCCAAACCUAAGUGAUAAGAAUUUUCAUAUGAGAUAUAAUUUUGGGAAAAAAACCAAUUCAAGUUAAAGAUAAAAAAUCUGUGUUACUUAAAUUCAAGCCACACAAUUUUUCUUGUUUUAUUUGAAAAAAAGAAAAUUGUGUUCCUCACAAAAACACUUUAACAUUUGUUGUCUCAUAGAGGGAAAUGUCCUUCACUCUUUGACGUAUCCCUGGGGCAAUGUAAGUUGACUUUACAUUAAAACAAAACAAUUGAAACGUUGUCCACAAACAUUGUCAUGUAGUUAAGAAAAACUUAAUUUUGACAAGUGCAAGAGAUUGGUGGGACUCAUUUGAUUCAAGAAAAACAAUCAGUCUCAUUUGAUACGCAAAGAGCUUUUCUACUCUGCGGCCAAUAUUUUGAUGAAUGUGACAUUAUCUCAAUUUUACUUCUGUAGGUUUGUUGUUUGUAUAUUAUCUCAAUUUUUUAAAAAAUGUAAUUGCAAUUAUCAAACAUGACUAAUCCCAACAAUUUAUCCAAAAAAUUUUGUUUCAAGAAAUGUAGCAUUUAUGAUAGAAUGGCUAAUUUUUUCAAUCGACUUUCUGGAUAAAUGAUAAUUUUUUGAUAGAAAUGUUACUUACUUAUUACAAGAAGAAAAUUAUAGAAUAAUUUUUUGAAUUAAUAGUAUUACUUUACGAUAACACUAUCACAAUCUAAUUUUAAAAAGAAAUAAAGUUAUUCUUUAAAUUUCGCAUUACUAUUCCUACUUUUCUUGUUAUACUACUUAAUGGCACUGGUGAAGCCUCGAAUUAUCAACCAAAAAGCAAAAAUAGUUCAAUAUCUGCUGUCCCACUGAGCAUUGUUAAAUUCAUACGAUAAAAUGAGUACUUAUAUUAAAAAAACAAUCGGUCUCAUUGCGUGCUCUUUCAUUGACAUAGGCAAUUUGCUGUCAACUUGUGGCACUUUUACGAAUUUUCAAGACAGGUGAAUUUUUCAAAUUUAAAAGAAAAAAAUACAGAAAUGUAAUUUCAAUUUAUCCAAAAAUUUGAGUUUCAAGGAAUACGGCAUUUAUUAAAUGUCAUGUUAAUAUAGAGAAGAAAAUUUUAAAAACUUAUUUUUGGAUGAAUAAAAGUAUUUUCUGAUAAAAUAUUUCACAAUCAAAUUUAAAAAAUUUCACUCCUCUUGGUACAUAAUUUAAGAAUUUAACAUUAUAAAUUAAUCUUUCUAAUCAAAGUAAUAAUCUCUCCUCGGUCUGCAAAUGCUAAAAUUUAAAUAUUAUAUCCAUUGACAAUAUUUGCUCCAAAUUCACGAAAACAAAAUUUCAAACAGAAUUAUGAAAUUCGUUACUAGAAAUUUGUAUAAAAGUUGUGAGAAUAGAAGGUUUGAUCAUAGGAAAUUAAUAUAUCCCUAUCCGAUGCAAAAAUGAUUGUAAAGAAAAACAAAAGUCACGGGCUUAUUUAGAAAAAAAGAAAAAAUUACAUUCCAUUUUCCAGUUAUUAAAGUAAUUCUAAAAUCGCUAGGAUCACAAAGGAUAGGCUUUGGUUGACUGAGGUCAGCCUUAACGCAUGCCGGUCUUUUUCUCCUCUACAUUCUUAGAAAUUUUGGUUUCACUAUAAAUACUCGGUAUAUAGCAAACUUAUAAGUGUUCUUGCAUUACCAAUCCAACUAAGCACACGCUUACAAUAUAAAUACUCUCAUCUCGUGGAAAGAGUUCAUUCACUCAGGAUGAUGAGCAGAUUUCUCUUACUCCAUUGUUUGAUUCUUAUUUCCUUCUUUAUCGCGGCAGCAACAGCCAACACAAGUUCUACUAUCACAGACCGAGAUGCUCUGUUAGCCCUGAAAGCUCGCAUAACUCAUGAUCCGACCAAUUUCUUGGCCAAGAAUUGGAACACAAGUACUCAUGUUUGUAAUUGGACAGGCGUCGCUUGUGAUGUCCAUAGCCAUAGAGUCACAGUCUUGAAUAUUUCAAGCUUAAAUCUCACAGGCACCAUCCCUUCUCAACUUAGGAAUCUUUCUUCUCUGCAAUCACUCAAUCUCAGUUGUAACCGACUUUCUGGUUCCAUUCCCUCCGCCAUCUUCACCAUAUAUACACUGAAAUAUGUUAGUUUCCGUGAAAAUCAGCUCUCUGGCGCUUUCUCUUCUUUCAUCUUCAACAAGUCUUCUUUACAACAUCUUGAUUUUAGUCACAAUACACUGUCUGGUGAAAUUCCUGCAAAUAUUUGCAGUAGUCUUCCUUUUCUGGAUUUCCUUUCUUUGCAAGAAAACAUGUUGCAUGGAGGAAUACCGUCCACUCUAUCAAAUUGCACAUAUUUGCAAAAAUUAGGUUUGGUAUACAAUAAUUUCUCGGGGGCCAUACCUAAAGAAAUCGGCAAUUUGACCAAACUUAAGAUAUUAUAUCUUGGCGGUAACAGACUCCAAGGUGCGCAUGAUCACAGAGUUUAAUUAUGAAAGUUGUUCCAUAAGUUGUAAUAUGAAUAACGUUCCAUAAUACAGUUUACACACGUUGAUUAAUUUGCAGGAGAAAUUCCUCGAGAGUUUGGCAAUCUUGCCGACUUGGAACGGAUGUCGUUAUCAGAAAACAAUCUCCAAGGUAUGAUUUUAAACUUUUUGCAAUUUUAUUUUAGCGAUGCUUGCUUCUGUAUUCAUUCGCUUGUUCUUUGAUUAUGCGAUGAUUUAUUGUUUUUCUUUCAGAUAGAGAUAAAGCUCCAUGUCUCCCCUCACUCAUUUCAUUCUUUAAUUUAUGCAGAUAAAAAUAAAAAAAAUGUUUUCUAAUUUUCUUUUGUCAUAUUGCCACUUCCAUUUUGAAGCUCCCAAUUAAGUCGAUGAAAAUGAAUGAUGUUUCAUUCUUAUUCUUGUCAGCCUAAUUCUUAUAUAAUUGAAGAAUAAAUUGUUAUUACGAUAUUCGUCAGCCAAUAAAUUCUUCUUUUUUUUCCCCCCAAACAUGAGUGAUCAAAUUGUUUGCGCAUUUAUAAAUGUACUUAAUUUGCAGGAGGUAUUCCACGGGAAUUGGGGAAUCUUACAAAAUUGGAGAUAUUACAGCUGUUCCGGAAUAACUUGACCGGUAACUUUCUUUACAAUAUAUAUAGAGACAUCUUCCGCUUUUUAUUAGAAAUUAUAAAUUCAAGUUAAAUCUUAAUUAAAAGAUUUCAAGUCUCUCAUUAUAAAUUCUCAUAUGAGGAUGUGUCGUUACCACUAUCUAACAUUAUUCUGUUUUUUAUUAGAAAUUAGUUUGUGUUAAUUCAAAAUUCUGUAGCAUUUAAAAAAAUUAAAAACACGUGGAAUAAAUUGUUAAUCUUUCUUCUUUACUGAAUUUGGAUUUCUCAAAAAUAAUCUUGACAAGUAUGCUUCACUAAUGAUACGCAUGUGUGACAACUUCAUAAAAUAUUUUACAGGGAAUCACUAAUUAUGUUUAAAUAAUUAGAGAUGCCAGCAGUGAUACAUAAUUUCUUAACAAGCACCAUACCAAAAGAAAUCAACAAUUUUAUUAGUCUUAAAGAGUUACAUUUUCACUGCAAUUAUAACAUAAAUUUUUAGUCAUCAAUUGCAUAAUAUUUUAUCUUAACGGAUGAUGUUUAGUCUUGGAAUUUAUAAUAUCUUGAAGGUUAGUAGCUGUGAAAAUAAGAAAUUGUUCAUUUGCUAAAAAGUUAACUUAGUAUUUAAGUUUUUCAAUUGAAAAAUAGGCUUGAAGAAAUUAUUGUUGUGUGUGCUUAUUCUACUUGGGCUUUGGGCUUGAUUACACGGUCGAGCACUUACACCUGUCGUACUAAUAGGCUUUUACUUUGACCACACGUUUGAUAAUUUCUUAACCUUCCGAAUUAAAUCUGAUUAUAAUUCUUUUAAAAUACAGAUUAAAUAGCACGUGAAAUCGGAAAAUAUUUUACUGCGAUAAGAAUUCAUAUAUUCAUUACACACGGUCGAACACUUACACAUGUUAGAAUAAUAAUAGCAUCCGCCAAUCGACUAUGAGUGAUCAAAUUGUUUGCACAUAUGUAAUUUGCAGGAGCAAUUCCACGGGAGUUGGGAAAUCUUACAGGAUUGGGGGUCUUAGAGCUGUCUGAAAAUUUUUUGACCGGUAUCAUUCCUUCAUCUAUCUACAGAUUGCUUUUCUCUAUUAAAUUUGGAAUUGUCAUUUAAUAACUUAACAAGUAACUUCCCUUACAACAUGUCUGUGUGACAUGUUUUGCUUCUAAAUUUAAAGGUCUCACGUCUCUCAUUAUAAAUUCUUCUAGGAGAUGUAUUGUUACUACUAUUUAACAUUACCUCGUUUUUUAUUAAAAAUUAAUCUGUAUUUAUGCAAAAAAAAUUAUUAUCUAAAAAAGGUAUAAAAACACGUGGAAUAAAUCGCAAAUCUUUCUUCAUUACUGAAUAUGGAUUUCUCAAAAAUUAUCAUGAUAGCUAUGUUAGUGUCUUACUAAUGAUAUGCAUGUGUGACAGCUUCAUAAAUUAUUUUACAUGGAAAAUAUGAAAAAUAAACUUGAAAAAAAAUUAUUUUACUGAAAUAAUAGUUAAAAAGGGAGGAGAAGUACAAUACUCAUGACUUAGGCUUGCUGUGUACUUAUUUUACUUGGGAUUCGGGCUUGAUUACACACGGUCGAACACUUACAUCCCACGACAUAAGCUUUUAGGGAUGAGUGGCGUAAAUGUGUAUCUGCUCUUAUGUAUUAUUAUUCUUUGAAACAAAUCUGAUUAUAAUUCUUUUAAAAUACAGAUUAAAUAGCACGUGAAAUCGGAAAAUAUUUUACUGCGAUAAGAAUUCAUAUAUUCAUUGUUCUAGCACAUAUAAAAUAGACUAUAAAUUUAGUUCCAAAAUACAUUCUUAUCUUCAUAUAAAUUUUACAUUAUUAAUUUAAAUUAAUAUUAAAAUAUAUUGUUUCUUUCACUAUGUUAUUUUAUUUACACAAUGAUGUGACUAUUGGAAUGAUUAAUACUUAUAAUUAUUUUGUAAAAAUAUAAAUUUAAUACUUUGUUAACAUUUUAUCUACAUAUAAUAAUUAAACUGAAACUCGUAUUUAAAAAAUUCUAGUUACGCAUAUUCAUUUCAUGACAUAAAAGUGUAUAUUUAUGCUAAUUUACCAUUAUCAACAAAAUGCUUUGAGAGACAAGUAAUCUAAUUUAUAUUUUUAUAUUUAAAAUACUUCCAUUUAUUAUAUUUUGAAAAAAAUUUAUUUGCAAUUAUUUUAAACCCUGGAUUCAAAUUUUCGUAGUUAUUAAAGUCAAAGGGUAUAAAUGUAUAAUAGUCAAAAACAGAUUUGUAUGAUCAUGUAUAAAUUUUCUUAGUUAGUAGGAAAAUUAGAAAUUGUUGAUUUACUCAUAAAUAAAUUUAAUGUUUUGCAUUUCAAUUUUGGAAAACUUGAGCUAAACGUUGAUAACUUCGAAUUGGUCGAGCCGAGUUUCGCUUCCUCGACCCACGGACCCAUUGAAAGUUCUAUUAAAAUUGAGUUUCCCGGUGCUAAUAAAAAGCAUUUCUUUUCCUUGUCCCAGUAAUUUAUUCACAAAUGAGUUGAUUAGCAUCGAAGUUGCCUGAGAGUCUGAGACCAUACUAGUAGGAGAAAUUUGAAAAGAAAUUAUUUUAUUGAAUUAAUUUAUUUUAUCUUGUUGUAACUGAAAUACUACUUUUUUUUGGGAUGUCACUAGGUCUUGAUUUACUUUAAUAGUAGCAGCCACCGACUUAGGCUUUUUUUACUUCUCACUACACAAUUUGAUCUUUUAAUUCGUUUUAACCACAUAAUCUAUCUAUUUCUCACCUAUUGCUUACUUAAAUUGCAUACAUAUUUUACCUACUAAUUUUUAUAAAUAUUAGUCAAAUAUAUUUUAUUACGUUUCUCUCGUAAUUGCUCCAAAUGUGUACUAUUAAUACUUAACCCUCCCUUUUAAUUUACCGUGCAAUCUCUAUCACUUAAGUCACAUAUAUAUUUUACCUAUAUUUUACCCCAAAAAAUAUAAAAAUAAAAGAAAAAGAAUAUGUGUAGCAAUUUGUAUAUAACUAACAAAGCAUUGACAGCGUGUAGCCUUUCAAUACUUCACGAGUGGCUUUUUCUUGUGUGUUAGUACUUGUAAUAAUUGUGUAGCGUAUAAAUGACAUUUUAUUAUUAAAGUGCGUCCAUUUUUAGAUAUUACUUAUUAUUUGAAAAAUAAUCUGAAUAUAAUCUUUUAAAAUACAGGGGAGAUACCACUUGAAAUCGGUAAUCUCCAAAAUCUGGAGGAGUUGGAACUUGGUCAUAACAAAUUAAUUGGUACUGUCCCAGUUGCAAUCUUUAAUGUGUCAACAACACUCAAAUUACUUGGGCUUCAAGAUAAUUCUCUCUCUGGAGGUCUUUCGUCCAUCGCAAACGUCCGACUACCAAAUCUUGAAGAGCUUUAUUUGUGGGGUAAUAAUUUUAGUGGCACAAUUCCUCGUUUCAUCUUUAAUGCUUCUAAGCUCUCUAUACUAGAUUUGGACAAGAACUCAUUCUCCGGUUUUAUUCCCAACACAUUUGGCAACUUAAGAAACCUUGAGUACCUUGAUUUACAAUAUAAUUAUUUGACAUCUUUAACUCUAGAAUUGAGCUUUCUAUCCUCGUUGUCAAAUUGCAAGUCUUUAACACUUAUUGGCUUAUCAAAUAAUCCACUAGAUGGCAUUCUUCCAAGGACGUCUGUCGGUAAUCUUUCUCAUUCUUUGAAAUAUUUUAAAAUGCACAAUUGUAACAUUAGUGGCGGCAUCCCUGAAGAGAUCAGCAACUUGACCAACUUGAUGACCAUUGAUUUAGGAGGCAAUAAAUUGAAUGGAUCGAUUCCGAUUACUCUCGGCAAAUUACAAAAGCUUCAAUGGUUGAGUCUUGAUGAUAACAAAUUAGAAGGAUCAAUCCCAGAUGAUAUUUGUCGUUUGGCUGAACUGUAUUUAUUGGAGCUGGGCGGCAAUAAGCUUUAUGGAUUAAUCCCUGCAUGCUUCGGUAAUCUGGCUUCUCUGAGGAUACUGUCGUUGUGUUCCAAUGAGUUAACUUCUAUUCCCUUAACGUUUUGGAACCUUAAAGAUAUCUUGCACCUCUACUUUUCUUUAAAUUUUUUUACUGGCCCACUCCCAUUAGAGAUUGGAAAUUUGAAGGUUUUGAUUGGAAUUGAUUUUUCGAUGAAUAAUUUUUCAGGCGUUAUCCCAACAGAAAUUGGAGGCCUAAAAAAUCUAGAAUCUCUCUUCUUAGGAUAUAAUAGAUUACGAGGAUCGAUUCCUGAUUCAUUUGGUGAUUUGAUAAGUUUGAAAUUCUUGAAUUUGUCCAAUAAUAAUCUCUCUGGGGCUAUUCCUACAUCUUUAGAGAAACUCUCAUAUCUUGAAGAUCUAAAUCUUUCUUUCAACAAGCUAGAAGGAGAAAUUCCUAGGGGAGGAUCUUUUGGAAACUUCUUAGCUGAAUCAUUUGAGGGAAAUGAAUUAUUAUGUGGUUCACCCAAUUUACAAGUCCCGCCAUGCAAAACUAGCAUCCACCACACAUCAUGGAAAAAAUCUCUUCUCCUAGGGACUAUCUUGCCAUUGAGUACUACAUUUAUGAUAGUAGUCAUUUGGUUGAUCCUAAGAUAUCGACAGAGAGGAAAACGACCAUCGAAUGAUGCUAAUAUGCCACUAGUAGCAACGUGGAGAAUGUUUUCAUACCUAGAACUUUGUCGAGCAACAAGCGGAUUUAGUGAAAACAACCUAAUCGGCAGAGGAGGUUUUGGCUCUGUUUAUAAAGCAAGACUUGGGGACGGGAUGGAGGUUGCAGUGAAGGUUUUCAAUUUGCAAU
rnacentral:lncRNA from 1 species